CCGAUCCAAGACACCGGAAUACUGAACUGCAUCUUGAAUUAAGGGUCUUGGGGGCGACUCAUCGCUUCAAGCACUAUCCACUAUCAACAUCCUUCCCCUAUAUAAUAUAAACUUCGCAAAAUAAAAUACUGAAACAAAUUAAAACAGAUUAUAAAAGAGAUUGUGGAUCUUGGUUCAUCGCUCCUUAUACUAUCUACUAUCUACAUCCUCCCCUAUAUAAACUCUGCAAAAAUAUAUUAAAACAAAAUAUAAAAGACAGUGGUUGGUUCAUUGCUUCUUUUACCAUCUACUAUCUAUUUCCUAAAAGUUACUAAAAAGAAUUAGUAACAGAAACAUCAGCAGAUAAGGAAAAACAACUACAAAAUUUGCAUCUGUAAAAGGAAACACCAAAACGGUGAGAAUGAGACUCAAGACUAGAGUGAUUUUGCUUACGGACGGGCAAAAACGGAAAAGAACAAAAAUGACCUAAAGUGAAAAGAACUCCUCCACACAACUGAAUAGCAUCUAUGUUCUCCAAUAACAAAAUUUACCCUAUAUAAGGCAAAUGGCCGAAUGACCUCAGAGUUUCAAAUAGGGUAGGCAUAGUGGUUUCACAGCCGCUAAUUCAAAAUAGCAGCAGCAUCCGCUACCGCUAAAGAUCUCAAUAGCUGCGUCAACAUGUUUUCAGAUGUUCUUCGAAACUAAGUAAAUAGAGAAAGAGUACAAGAUACGGCGGAAUCCAAAGUAGAAAAUAAAAUGUAGAGGAGUAACGUAGAGGCUGAGAUAAAGUAAUUGAUACUGUAAGUAGAGAUAUUUUAGGGUUUCGAAAUUUACCUUUGAUUAAAUGCUAAAGUUACAUAUUUUAUGUAACUUAAAUUGGUUGAUUUAUUAGAAUGCACCACUAAUUUUGCCAUAUUUAUUGAAUUUUGUGCAGGAAUGCAAUUUUGGGCUAAAUAGAAGAAAAAUGAAACAAUUGGGCUAGAUUGAAGAAAGAAGCAAAGAAGGAGGGUCAAAGUAGAAUUUUUCCAAUAUUAAUUAGCUGAUAUUGUUGACUUAGUGGGAGAUUAUUUUGGGAUAUUUUUUAUAUUAUGGAAUAUUUUCCUUGAUUUUCUAUACUAGUUGGCUCUUAAUUUAGUAAGGCCACUAGUAUAAAUAGAGACUACAUUUGUUCAUUUUAAUCAUCAAUUCAUAAAUCAACUUUCAUCUUUGAAUUCAAUCUUUUCUCCAUUUUUUCUCACGUAGCAUCUGUUGUUCAUAGUUUCUUUUUCUUCAAUUUAUUAAUUCCUAGUUAGCCACCCAAUUAAAUAAUUUGCAAUUCCUUUUUCAAAUUUUCUUUUUAUUUCCAGUAGCCAACCACCCAUUUAUCUUAUUUAAUUUAUCCAAUAGUCAACAUGCCCCAAACCUUAGUUAACUAAACUCAUUUUCAGCUUUAGGUCGGAAUUAACCUCGUCAAAACCCGUGAGUUACGAACCCGAGCAAUUUAACUCCUAAAUUCCAGUACUUAUUAUUUCUCCAGAUUAAGAGUAUGAUUUUGUCAACUCACAAAGUCAGAUCAACAUUAAGUUAAAAAAGACGUCGUUUGAUUUAGUGUGGUUAGACGUACAGUUGGAAUUCCGAAAGGAACGUUUCUAAUCGGUUUUCUGUGAACACAUUGGCGUGCCAAGUGGAGAUUGUUGUUUGGUUCCGUCAAGGGAAGUAGUAACCGGAUUUAAAUGCCCCACGCGGUUGAGGGCACUGGUUCGAGCUAGGCUCUUCUAGAACGCAAAGCUACCGGAGUUCUAAAUCACGAACAUUUCGUGGUUGUUCGAUCGGUAAGGGUUAGUUAUUGGACGUUCCAUAACUAAUUUACACAAGGAAGAGUUGGUGUCCGAGGCGUCCUUGGUAGCUAUAACUAGCUUAUUGGAGAAGAGGAGUUCAUUUAAUUUCGAGGAUCGGUUCAAAGACAGGGGAAAAUCCGUGCCUAAGGCUGAGCUUAUUUUAAUUAAUUCUUUUACAUAUUUUAUUUAACUGUUUUUAUUAUUCUGUCUUCAACUUUUACUUUUUACGAUUUUUAUUUAUUUAUUUCAGGCUCCAGAUUUUCUACUUUAUCCUCCCCCAUAAUAUCUUGGGCACGACAACUGCCCCGACAUAAAUCUGGUCAAGAGAAGAACAAUUUACAGUAAACCCAGUCUCUGAGGGAUCGACCCUACUUCCUAUACUGCUGAAAUCGCAAAUUAGGAGUAGGUUUAUAUUGGUGGAUUAGACACCCAUCAUUUUUGGCGCCAUUGCCGGGGACUGGCAACACUUACAAUUGUUUAGAUUAUCUUCAUGACCAGAUCUUCAUCCGGAGAACUCGAAUACGACCCAGAGAUCGAAAAAUCAGCACGAGCACAACGUAAAGAGACGGAAGUUCUUAAACGUGUAGAAGCAAUUCAACGUGGAAAGCAAGUCAAAGUGGUUGAUCCUAAGACCGAACCACUUCCUGAAACAAAAGAAGUAGAAGACAACCUCGACGAACCAGAAAGGAUGGCGAACCGAACCAUUCGUCAACUAGCUGCUGCUCCCAACGAGGAAACACUGUUGUGCAUCAACUAUCCAGUCGGAGAAACCCCGUUCGAGUUGAAGUCAGGCCUGAUCCACCUUUUGCCCACUUUUCGAGGCUUGAAGAAUGAGAAUCCACAUACCCACUUGAGAGAAUUCCACAUGGUCUACUCAAGCAUGAAACCACAGGGAGUAACCGAAAAUGAAAUUAAACUUCGGGCCUUUCCUUUCUCUUUAGUUGAUACAGCAAAAGAAUGGUUAUUUUACUUACCCCCUGGUUCUAUUACAAUGUGGGAUGACUUAUCUCGUGUUUUUCUUGACAGAUUUUUCCCAGCAUCGCGAGUAGCUGAACUUAGGAGAGACAUAGUGGGAAUUCGACAAAUGGAGAGUGAAUCGCUCUACGACUAUUGAGAGCGAUACAAAAAACUGUGUGCAAGUUGUCCUCAACACAGUUUGACCGAGCAAUCACUUCUUCAGUAUUUCUACGAGGGUUUGCUCCCUAUGGAAAUGAAAAUGAUUGACGCUGCUAGUGGAGGGGCGCUUGUCAAUAUGACUCCUCAAAGGGCAAGAGAACUGAUAUCCACCAUGGCAGUAAAUUCUCAACAGUAUCGGCCGAAUUCAGAACCCACAAGACGGGUUAAUGGGGUAAAUGUUUCAUCCUUAGAAGAUAAAUUGGAUAAGCUCACUAAUAUUGUUCAAUCUAUGCUUACAGAAAAGAAGAAUCGGACCCAACUGUAUGGAAUUUGUACUACAUCUGAACAUCCGACGGAUUUGUGCCCAAUCCUUAACGAAAAAUCAACGACACAUGUUGACGAUGUCGGAGGUUUUCUGAGACCUCCGCAAAGACGCUAUGAUCCUUUUUCCAACACCUACAAUCCCGGGUGGAAGGAUCAUCCCAACUUGAAUUACGAAGCUAAUCUCCGAUAUAAUCUGUCAUACCAACCGAGACCUUUGCAACCACCGCAACUACCACCCAAGCCGAGCACAUCUCUAGAAGCUAUUGUGGAAAGACUUGUAGUCGAUGCUGUAAAAUACCAACAACGGACAGAUACAUCAAUACAGGAGUUAACUAAUCAAGUUAGUAAACUCUCGAUGGCAGUUAAUCGUUUAGAGUCUCAAGGUAAAUUACCUUCUCAGAUAGAGCCGAAUCCUAGGCAGAAUGUAAGUGCAAUAGCUCUUCGUAGCAGAAAAGUUUUGGAAAUAGUUUCAGACAAAAGUCAUGGGCAAGACAACGAACGGGAAAAGCAGAUCUCUGAUCCAAAAGUCAGAAUGGAAUCAGAAAUCCAGAAACCGUUGGAUGCUGAAAUGAUAUACCUGAUUUCCGACAGUGAUUGGGCUAGCCCGGUUCAUGUCGUGCCCAAGAAAACUGGCGUGACAGUGGUGAAAAAUUUGUCAGGAGAGCUAGUUCCUACCCGAGUCCAGAAUGGAUGGAGGGUUUGCAUCGAUUACAGGAAGUUGAACGCAGCUACCCAGAAAGACCAUUUUUCGAUUCCCUUCAUCGAUCAAAUGCUCGAGCGAUUAGCUGGUAAGACUCAUUAUUGUUGUCUCGAUGGAUAUUUAGGAUUUUUCCAAAUUUCGGUGGCGCCUGAGGAUCAAGACAAAACAACUUUCACGUGCCCUUUCGAAACGUUUACGUAUAGACGAAUGCCGUUUGGACUCUAUAAUGCUCCGACCACUUUCCAGAGAUGCAUGUCGAGCAAAUUCUCUGAUCAUGUCAAGAAAAUCAUUGAAGUCUUCAUGAAUGACUUCACGGUGUACGGAUCUUAUAGACGAUUCAUAAAAAACUUCUUGAAGAUCAUGCAACCGCUUUGCAGUCUAUUACAAAAGGAUAAAGAAUUUAAAUAACACAGGUCGUCGAGCUAAACGACGUUAAACAAAGCGUUGUUGGGAGGCAACCCAAAUUUUCUUUUUCCUUUAUGCAAAUAAAAUUUUUGGUAAAAUGGAAAAUGAAAAUGCAUGUCAAGGAUUAGUUCUGUCUAAGGAAAGACUUGGUACUUAAGUAUGUCCAUUGUGACUCACCUCUCUUUCCUGGGAACUUACUUGGUGCAUUUAUCACGACUAUUUUACUAAAUCUCGUACUCUUGGUUUUUAAUAAUAUUUCUCGAGUUUAUAGCUUAGCUAAUAAAUUUGAAAAAAAAAUUUCUAUUAUUAUUAUUUAUUUUUACUAUUUUAUUUUAUUUUCAUUUUUAUUUUUGCAGAAAACAUUCCAAGACAAAAUUAAAUUCCACAUGUCAACCCACAAAAUUCUUUUUCAGCCAAGGCCCACUCUACCUACGAGACCACCCUCCACGACGUUGAAAUACAAGGGGAGUUUCUUUUUCUUUCUUUCUCCUACUUAUCUUUACUUUUAUUUUUUAAUUACAUUGGGACAAUGUAAAAUAAGUAGGGGGGAGGGAAAUAUAAAUUGGUUCUAAUUUGCUUAUCUGUCAUCGUUAUUUCUGCAUGUUUUCGGUAAAAGGUAAAAUUUUUCUUUUGAUAAAUUGGGGAUGGUACACUUAUGGUUUGACCUAUUUAGCUAUUUAGUUCUUUACACAUAAACUUUUCAAUAACCUAAAUUUCGUGGGUAAGAAAUUUUUGGGAAUUAUGAGUUUGCUUGACUGCCUACUUUUUAUCAUAUGUCAAAUUUUUGAAUGCAAAAAAAUACUCCUCUGAUACGAAUGUUAAGAGUGAAAAAUUGGGGUUAUACAUCGGGCUGAGUAACCGGAAUGUAGUGCUUGGGUUGUCAUUACAUCCACCGCGCCGGCCACCAUUUUUUUCGAUGCAGCCCUUCACCCUCCGAGUGCUCCGGCAACAGCGAAAAGGUAAAAAAAAAGAAAAAACUUCUUUUUUCUUUUGCUAUUUAAUAUUUCAAAAUAAAAAAAUAAAAAAUAAAAACAAAACAAAACAAAAAAAAAACAACCUUUGAAUCUUUGCUCCUUUUUUGAACAAUUUUCUUUUAUUAUUUCCCCAAAAGAAAAAUCCCCCCUUUUACAAUAAUUUUUCAUGGCUUUUAUAGCCAUUGAUACAUCAUUUUAUUUUAUUACUAUUUUUACUACUGUUUUGUCCUUCUUUGCUUGCGUGUUUUGCUCGCUUUUCUGUUUUCCAGGUGCUUGGUGGUCGGUGGCAGAGUUGGUGGCUGACAGAGGGCAGCGGCGGCACAUGGGCAAGGGUCAGAAAACCUAGGUACCUAGGGUUUCCCCCCUUUUUUUUUUGAUUUGGUGUUGGGCUGCUGUAGGGUUUAAUUGGGUAUUGGGCUAGGUUUAGAUUUGGGCCUUUUGGGUCUGCUGUUUUGUUUUGGGUUGAGGUUUGGGUGUAUUGGGUUGGUAAUUUUUGUUUGGUUUUUGUUUGCCUGGGCAGGUGAAAUUGGGAUUGUGCACUAUUGAUCUAAAAUGACUAAAUCCACCAUAGCUAAGUCCAAACCCAAGCAAAGGUUGCGCCUAAGCAAAUGAUGUGAACAUUUUGCCAGACAAAUCACAAUAGGUGAGCACUUUUGAGCCUCUAAUUUGGUUAGAUCAGAGCAGGAGAAGGCAUCUCAAAACCCACAUGAAAAGCUCUCUUUGUCCAAAAAUAGCUCGAAAGAUUGCCAAUCAAAGUUCGUCUAGAAAGAUAUAAAUAACCCAACCUAAGUACACCCUCUUAACCCAAUGUUACUAUGAUGAGUUUUCUCCAAACCCUUUCUCAUCCACAUAUCGAUAUAAGCAUUCGGGAACUGCAUUUUUACGCAUUCCUCAAUUAGACUCCAAAAAAAAAUCAAUAAAUGCCAUUAAUGAACACGUACACUUAAAAAAUAACAUCGAACCGAAUUAGUUCAGCUAAUUUGAUCAGUUAAUCGAAAUUUAUAUGUUUAUCUCUUUUAAUCAAAACAAGUAUAAAACAUAUAAAAAAAUACAUUGAUAAUGUCCGUUGGUCUUGAAAGUUAAUUGACUUAAUCGGAAUUUUAAGCCUUGAGACACUACAUAAUUGUUAAGUUCAGUUAAUUAGCUGAUUUCGAAUCAGUUUAAUCGAAACCAAAAUUUCAAAAAAACAUUAACCGACUUUUGACCAAAUUAAAUUCGACCAUCAAUUGAUUAACUGAAUUAAUUCGAUUUUAAUCGAAGUUUCAACCCUAAUAAUCUCCGCCUCACUUCAAUGAAAUCCACAAAUCCACCCAAGAGGCCUAUCCUGCUAAAACUCAUCUUUCUAAUGAGAGUAACUUCGUUAUAUAUCAUCUAUCACUUACGAUUAUACAUUAAAAAUUGGUUGGACUUUCAAUAAUAACUUAUUUAACGAGUUUAUAAUGGAUUUUUCACUGGAAAAUGUACUGCAACAUUUGCUGGUGUACAUUUGUUUUUUUAUUUAUUUUGGUACUACUUUCUUUUGGAGCCAUAAGUACACGAGUAACAACUUAAUAUCACAUACAUUAAAAAAACCAUCACUUAUGAAAAUUAUGCCAAUUCAACAAACGUCAAGAACGGUCUUUCGCGUAGAAGCUCGGGUUAUUCUUGAAAGUUUACGUAUUGCAUGGGAAAAAGGUUACAGACAGUUGGAGAUUGAAUGCGACAAUACACUACUUGUAGAGUCCGUUCUUAUGGGUAGUGUUGCCAGUAGUAACCUAGUUGAAUUACGUUUAAUCAAUGUUUACCUUAAGAGGAAUUGAAAUACAAGAAUCUGUCACAUUCCUCUAGCUCAAAAUAUGGCUGCUGAUCGAAUGACGAAAUGUACUUAUAAGAAUCUUUGUUUAAUUGAUUGCCAUUGAAUACUUUAUCAGUUUUAAACAAAUUAUUCUUCGCAUCAACAAACCUUUUUCAAUUUAAAGUAAUUUUAAAAAUAAUGAUUAUAGAAUAAAAAUUUAUAUUUUUAUAAAAUUUUUGAAAUAAUUAUAUAUAUUUUUAAUUUUCAAAACAAAAAUUGUUUAAAAGAACAUUAUAUUUCUUUUCUUUUCCUUUUUAAACUACGUUGCUAAAAGAUUUUCCCACUCUCGUGAUUGAUUGAUAUAUAUAUAUACUUGUCGCAAAUUUAAGUAUUAAAUUUGCAUCGUAUAGGUAAAUAAAUAAAAUCUGUUUUUUUUUAUCAAAUUAUUGUUUUGGUUAUUACAUUCAAAUUUGAAGUUUAAUUUUUUUAAUUUGACAUAAAUUAACAUUUUUUUAUGUUGAAAUGAAAACUUCUUAAAGUAGUAUCUUCGACUCAUUAUGUUGGAAUGGUUUUGUUUUAUUUUAAAUGAGAAAUUAAUAUAAAAUAGACUUGUUUAUUGGCUGGGCAUUCGAUCCACCCAAAAAGUGGAAGGAUUUGGAAAAAAUUUAAGCCUAAAAAAUGAGCUGAGGCAAAAAAAAAAAAAGGCUCAUUUUAAUAACAGGUUGGGCAUUAGGUAAUGUUUUUUUGGACCGAACCCAACUUGACUCAAAUUAGCAAAAAGACAGAAAAAAUUGCUAUUUUCUUGUUGUUUUAUCACUAUUUUACUAUCAUUUCACUAUUAUGUUAUUAUUAUUAUUUUGUUAUUGUUUAGAUAUUGUAUAACUCUUGUUUUAUAUUUAAUUUUGUUAUUAUUUUAGAGACAUUUGCUUGUUAAGUUGCACUUAUCUUAAUGCUAUUUAAGUAUAAAGAUUUUAAAAAAAUCAUUUUUAAUUUGUUAGGAAACAUUUAUUUUAAUAUUUUUAGUGUAUUUGGUGUAUUAUAUUUUUAAAGUUUUAUAUAAGAAAAUUUUUAAAAAUAAAAAGGGCCGAUCUAGACCGGACCUAAAUUGUAGCAUUUUUAUCUAGGUCGAACUUAGGUAAAAAUUUAAACCCAUUUUUCGGGUCAGACUAAACUCAAACAUAUCAACCGAACCUAAAAUUUUAUUAGUGAAUACCCAGCCAAUCAACAAAUCUAGUGUAAUCCCAUUUAAUUGAAAAUUUGAGGUUGAUAAAUCAUUAUUUAAUGUCUGAAUUUGAUAAUAUUUUUUUGUGUUGUACAACUUUGACCUUUACCUUCCUUAUUACUACCUCUGUUUACCACCAAUUUUUGGUCGCAACAUUAAGAAAAAACUCUAUUCAAAUAAUGAGCACCAAAUGGACCGUUUUCUAGUACUACUAUUUUUCACACCAAAUACUUUGGAAUUAUUCUCCUUCUCUUGUGUCCUUCUCAAUUCUCAUUUUCAAAUUUACUUUAGCGUACAAUAUACGUGAAUAAUAAUAAUAAUAAUGUAGAUUAUAUAGAUCAAUUUUUAAUAAUAAUAAUAGAUGGAUUUUUUUAACAAAAGAAUUAAUUUAUUCUUUGAUCUUAUCUAUAAUGAUUAAUUAAUUUAUUUUUUUAAGUAAAAAGAAAAAUAAAAUCUAACUUAUAAUAUAAAAAUCUUCAUGAUAAUUGCUGAUAUUAGGUUGAAGAUGAUCUUUACGUGUUGUUUAUAGUGUUGUUUAUAUUACGUGUUGUGUUGACUAUAACGAUGAAGUUAAUUAAUACAUUGUAUUUUCAAGCAAAAUUAAUAAUAUAAAAUAAGUAUCCCAAGUUGGUAGAUUUGAAAAAAAGGAACAUGGUCGACAUGAAUUUCUUCGGUGGAAGGAUUGACCCACCAUAGAUUGGGAACUGCCACUUGACUGCUACUAAUAUCUGCUUUUUCAUCCAUAUAUGUGUAUAUAUAUAUAUAUGCUGGAACCUUGUUAUUACAUAAAAAUUCAGGACGACUUCAUUUUCUUCUUCAAUGGCAGUGUCAGAAAUCUCGCGAUGUAGUUAUCAUGUAUUCUUGAGUUUUAGAGGUGAAGAUACGCGCAGAAGUUUCACGGAUCAUCUUUACACAGCUUUGGUGCACUUGGGAAUUCAAACAUUUAGAGAUGAUGAGGAAAUCGAGAGAGGGAAUAACAUAAAAGAUGAAAUUGAAAAAGCAAUACUACACCACUCCAAAAUUUCUAUCGUUGUUUUCUCAAAGAAUUAUGCUGCAUCCACAUGGUGUCUUAACGAACUUGUAAUGAUAUUGGAGCACAAGAAAUCCUCUAAACAUAUUGUGUUGCCAGUUUUCUAUGAUGUGGAUCCGAGUCAAGUCAAGAACCAGACGGGAAGUUAUGCAGAAGCAUUUACCCAACACGAACAAAACUUCGAGUCCAUGGUACAAACAUGGAGGAAUGCUUUGAAAGAAGUUGCGGAUAUAGGAGGCAUGGUUCUACAAGACAGGUACGUUAUACACAUAAUCAAGUUCCAUAUAUAUGGUUACUUCAAUCCUUUUCAUUAAGACUUGAUACAGUAGAAAUAAAAUUAAUAGAAAAUAUUGUUAGGUAGCGUUUGGAAAUUUAAAUGGUUACUUCAAUCCAUUUUAAAGGGUUAAUUAUAACUCAGGUUUUAAAUUAUUUCUCAAAAAUUAACAUGUUUUAAUUGGGUCGUUAAAGUAUUAGUAUUGUAUCAAUAAGGUCUUUCUAUCAAACAAGUCAUCAGUUUAAGCAUUAAAUGUUAGCUCGAAUCUGAUGUGGAGUGGAAUGUUUUUAAAACACAUAAAUUAAAUUUUAAAUACGUAUGCACCUAUCACAUGAGCAACUUAGAUUUGACGAGUUGAAAAUAAAAAGAAGUAGCCUCUUGAAAUUAAUGACACUAUUUGUGGUUAAGAUGUCAUUGUUGGUAAUGCAAAAGAAUAUUUUCAAUUGUGGAAAAUACUCUCACUGUUGCAGAAAAUAUAUUUUCAGAAUAUUUUCAGUUAGGGAAAUCCUCUACUAUUUUUGGAAACUAAAACGAUUAUUUUACCAUUUUGCCCUUCAAAAAACUGUAUAAAUAGGAGGUCAUUCUCCUCAUUUUUCACAGAACACAACAAGAGAAAAGCAACUUCUCUAUGUUCUCUAAAUUCUAGUGUUCUGCAAAAUUAUACGAGAGGGAAAUUCUGUCUAAGAGAUUAGGUUUUAAGCGAGAUUACACCGAUCAGGGCCAUUUUGCCUCUAAUGCAAUGGUUCUUCUACGACAGAGUGAUUCUUAUUUUAUUUGCAUUCAGUUUGGUCUCCUGUAACAAUUCUAUUUUGCAGUAGUAUAUUUCCAAUAAUCAUAUCCAAAUUAUUCGUGUAAUAGGUCUACACAUAUUCAAAAUAUUAAAAUGAAUAAAAAAUAAAUAUAUAAAUUCAUGUAAAUAACAUGAAUUUAUUAAACUUUCACAAAGAGAAAGUUGAAAUUUUGAGUAUAGGUUGUUUCAAAUGAAUUUCAUUAAUUUUUAUGUUCUUUAUUUGAUUUGAUUUGAUUUUGAAUGUAAUAAUUCUAUCAUAUAUGUUAAAAUGUUGCAUUAGUUUCUUAUUUUUAUUUGAACAUAUAAUCUCAUAAAAACAAUCAAAAUAUAUGCAAAAAAAGAGAAAAUACAUUAAUAACUUUUACUCACUUUCCAAGAUUUUACCAUCUAGUUGUAUUUUUUAAAUUUGCAGGCAUGAAUCACAAUUCAUUCAAGAUAUUGUUAAAGAAGUUCAAAAUAAGCUUCAUCUUAUUUCUUUAUAUGUCCCUCCUUAUUUAGUUGGAAUAGAUUCUCUCGUGACACAAAUUAAUCAAUGGUUAGAACAAGAUGGAGCAAAUAAAGUUGGCAUUGCAACUAUUUGUGGCAUUGGAGGCAUUGGGAAGACAACCAUUGCCAAAGUUGUUUACAAUCAAAACAUCCCGAGGUUUGAAAGUUAUAGUUUCCUUGCUGAUGUUAGAGAAACAAGUCAAGAUUGCAAUGGUUUAGUCCGUUUGCAAAGGCAACUUAUUUCAGAUAUCCUUAAAGGAAAAUCACAUAAAUUAUACAAUAUAGAUAAUGAAAUUAACAAGAUCAAAGAAAUUGUAUGUUGUAGAAGAGUUCUUCUUGUUCUUGAUGAUGUUGAUGAAUUGGAAAAAAAAUAAGAAAAUUAAUGGGAACUCAAAUUCCUUUUCAUCCGGGAAGUAAAAUCAUCAUAACUAGUAGAAACCGAUGCCUAUUGAAUGCACAUUUUAUAAGCCAAAUGUUUGAUUUGGAAGCAUCAACUAGUACUUGUGGAGGCUUAAGCAAGCUAUUUGAAGUAAAAGAGUUAGCUUCAAGUGAAUCGCUACAACUUUUUAAUUGGUAUACUUUUGGUCAUAACUCUGUGCGUGAAAGUUCAAUGGCAUAUGCAAGAAGUUUAGUGAAACAUUGUGGUGGGCUUCCAUUAGCUCUUCAAGUUUUCGGCUCUUCACUAUCUAGCAAAAGUGUGAGUUCUUGGAAAACUGCAUUGGAGAAAUUAGAAGAAAUCCCUGACAGCAAAAUUCAAAAGAUUCUAAGAAUAAGCUAUGAUUCUUUGGAAGACGAUCAAGACAAAAAUUUAUUCCUUGACAUAGUUUGUUUAUUCAUUGGGAAGGAUAGAGAUUACACGACUACAAUUCUAGAUAGUUGUGAUUUCUAUACAACAAUUGGAAUUGAAAAUCUAGUAGGCAGAUCUCUUUUAAUCAUUAAUGAAAAAAACAAGCUAAUGAUGCACCAAAUGAUUAGAGAUAUGGGACGAGAAAUUAUUCGUCAAGAAUCUUCUAAUAUUGAGAAACGAAGCAGAAUGUGGCAUAAGAACGCAUUUGAUGUAAUAAGAGAAAAAAUUGUUUUACUCAACUUUUUUCUUGUAUGCAUGUAAACUACUUUUUUUUUAUCAAAUUUCUUUUUAUUUUUUAAAAAAGGUUUUCUGAUGCAGGGUUCCAAAACAGUUAAGUGCCUCACACUUGACCUAAAAGGAUUGCUAGAAGACAAGGCUAAAAGGACAAAUACAACUCUACACUUUCCAAAGCAUUCCAAAAGUCAGUUUCUCAUGGCAAAUGAUGUUGAUAUGGAAACUCAAGCAUUUGCAAAGAUGAAGAGACUUAAACUGCUUCAACUGGAUUAUGUAAAACUUAAAGGAGACUUCAAAGACUUUCCCAAAAGAUUAAGAUGGUUACGUUGGCAUGGGUUUUGUAUGCAAUCUUUUCCGGUGGAUUUCGAUAUCAAUGAACUAGUUGUUCUCGACAUGCGCAACAGUAAACUUAAACAAGUUUGGAAGGAUACAGAGGUAUGAUAUAUACUAAUUUUCCUUCUUUUUGUGUGUAUGUGUGUAACAAUAAUAUAUAAAUGAAGGGUUUUCUUUUUUUGCAGUGCCUCCCAAAUUUAAAGAUCCUUAAUCUCAACCAUUCACAUAGCCUUCUUAAAACCCCAAGCUUUUCAGGACUCCCUAGCCUUGAGAAGUUGAUGCUCAAAGAUUGCAUAAAUUUGGUAGAAGUUGAUCAAUCCAUUGGUGAGCUAAAUAUGCUUACUUUCUUGAACCUUAAAGAUUGCACAAGUCUUAGGAAACUUCCAAGGACAAUUGGUUCAUUAAUAUCACUUGCAGAGCUUAUUUUAUCUGGUUGUUCAAGACUUGAUGAUGUCCCCAGGGAGUUGCAUAAUAUGAAAUCAUUGAAGGUGCUUAAUUUAGAUGAAACUUCCAUAUGUCAAACAAGAUUGGGAUUACAUUGGCUCUUACCGAAAAGAAGUAAAGAAUUGGGUUUCUCUUGGGCAUCUCUACCGUGCUCUUUGGUAAAAUUAAGCCUUGAAAGUUGCAAAUUAUCUGAUGAUGUCAUGCCCAAUGAUCUUUAUAACUUAGCUUCAUUGAAAUCCUUAAAUUUAAGUAGAAACCCAAUUCAUUGCCUUCCCGAAAGCAUAAAAAAACUUACAAAACUUGACUAUUGACUUCUUGCACUGAACUCCAAAUAAUUCCAAAGCUUCCAGUCUUGCCCAAUGUUUUUGAGUUCUUGACAAUAUCUCCAUUUAAAGGAUAUUGGGCAAUUCUUCCAUGCUUCUUUUCUGCCACACGAUGUGUUAUUUUUGGAUGUGAAAAAUUGACUGAAGUUGAAGAUCUAUUCAAGUUGGGACCAAUUGAAAACUUUGAAGAAGAAGAGAUUAGAAGAUUAUUCAACCUGGAUUCCAUUAGCAGAAAUCGACUGCAACUUUAUAGCUACCUAGCAGACAGCAUAAUGCUUGCUACCCCACAGGUUCUCCAACUUAAAUUUUAACUUUAUUUUGUUCUCUUACAUUACUUAAUGAACACAUUCGUAAUCAUCUAACAUGUUUUUUUUGGAUCAGGUCUUGCAGGAAUGUGGUAUAACAAGCACUCUUGUUGUGGGAAGUGAAGUUCCUAUUGUGUUUAAGCAUCGCACUAACGAGCACCGAAUCUCUUUUUCUUUGCCAACACCAUCUCAUCCAGAUGAAAAGAUCCAUCGGUUCAGCUUAUGCAUUGUUUUCUCUUUAGCUAGUGAUCAAAUAUUGGAGUUUCUACCAAGUGUCCACAUUUUCAAUGAGACCAAAAGGAUCAUGCAGAGAUAUCGCUCAAGUUUCAUCGGAAUUCCUGAGACUAACGAUAACACAAUGUUGUGGUUGAUCCAUUGGCCAGUAACGGAUUGUGAGUUUGAAGGUGGUGACCUUGUGAGUUGCAUGAUAGUGCCUGUUCAUCUCAGCAUAAGAAAAUUUGACGUUACUUAUGAAUCACAACACAAAGUUAGAUAUAAAUAUGGCUUUUCCCACGUAUCUACAGGUAUGACUAUGACUUCAAAUGAUUAUGUUUAUGGAAUAUUAACCCAUGCACUAUUAACACUUACUAAACUAAAGAUAUAUCCUUAUUGAAAUAAUAAUUUUUUUGACAAAGGAAAUAAUAAAUUAUAUGAAUAUUUAAUGUGUUUUCAGUGACAAGAUUAUAUAUUAGUGAAUACAUCCUAUUAUUUUUUUAAUGUUUCCUUUUAGAUGUCAAUAACAAAUGUUUAAGAAAUGAUAAAUGUUGCAAUUGGGAUCUAAUUAAAAUAAUUUAAUUGUUUGAUAAAUGAUUAAUUUACAAGUCUUAUAACACAUUUUAACAUUUUAGUGAUAAUAAUAUUAGUUUUUGAUUUUUUUUCAUAUAAUAUUAAGAGGAAGGAAUGGGGUCACACGGUUUGAAUCUGUGUCAAAUAGAUGUCUGACAAAAGAUUUAACCAUCAGUGUAUUCAAGUUAAGACUACUAUUUUAAUAUUCUAAUAGGCAUACUAGAAUUGAUAAAUAACACAUUAUUGUACAUAUUUUAGGAAAUGAAGUUACCACAAGAAAUAUGAUGAUGGACCUGACUAAAGACUUACCCAGUUUGGAAUCUUAUGGAAAUGUUAAAGUGCAACUUUGCAAUUUUAUAGAAGAAUCAAAAGUGGUUGCUUCCCCACAGGUUCCUUUACAAGUUUCAACUUUUAAAAAAUAUUUAUAUAAUAUUUUUUAAAAUCUUAUUCUAUAACCCAAUGCUACAGGUAUUAUACGAUUACGGCAUAAUUACAACAUUUGAUCCAUUUCCAUUUGAUUACAUUGGCCACUACCAUGGCCAUCAAGCUGGCAAGACUGAGGUUUCAAUAUCAGUGCCCCCAAACUCUAGUCGAAAGAUAAGUUGCUUCUUAAAUUUGAUUAUCAUUUUUUCUGCCAAGAAUGAUAAAACAUAUGGAUUUUUACCAUGCCUUGAAAUUGUGAACGAGACCAAAGGUACAAAGUGGACCUACUCCAAACAUUUCAUGGGAAUUCCUGAAACCAAGAAUACCUUAUACUGGACGACUUGUUGGAACUUUAGGGGUGAUGAACUAGAAGCUGGUGAUCAUAUUAGUCUUCGGGUUCUUUCAAAUUUAUCUGUACUAGAAUUUGGGAUUGACCUUGUAUAUGAUUAUGAGCUAGAUGACAACCCAAAUUUUUUCAGUCAGUUGCCAUGGAUGAGUAAAUGUUUUAAGUAUCUUUUCGGGACUUUUGUUCUUAUUUCGUCAAAAGCCCAAAAAAACUUGUAUAGGUUGCAAAGUUUAGUCAAAUGCUGAUUAUCGUAGGAUUGAAAUGGAGGAAAUGAAUAUUUUGGUUUAGUCAUUGCCGCCUUGGCUUGGCUGAUUUCAUCUUAUAUUUAAUCUCUUAUUCUUUUAUGUAUGCUAUCGAUAUUGAUUUUUGCUCAAGUUCUUCAAUGAAGCACCUUGUUCUUGGUAAUUCAAUUAACGUGUGCUUUUAAUCAGAUGUCGGAGUUAUUUUAGUAGACUUAAUUGAUUUUGUAUAUAUGGAAGUAAAGUAAAUGUGAGCUUAGCUCGCUUUCAGGGAAGAGUAGUGUACCAAAAGAAAGUUGAAAAUGGUAAGCUAGGAGGUGAUGAUCGUAGAGAUGAAAUAUUAGAAGGAGAAAACGAGAAAAAGCAUUCUUGGGAGAUGAUUUAAUUACCAUUUGUGGAACACUAAUUCCUAUAACUACGUGGGCUUGUUCAUAAGACUUCUCUUAGAAUCUCGAACAAAUAUCAGUUGAUUGUUCUGGUUUAAAUAUUUAAUUUUUAAGAGAAUAUAUUAUUACUUUAUUCUACCCUCUCGAAGAUUUAUAUCAAGUCCAAACUGUUGCGAGUUGAUAGCCAUGAUGGAAAUCAAUUUUGAACCAUUUUUUGAAGGAGCUGAAAUAAAAUUAUAUAUUUUUAUAAUAGUAAAAGUAAAAUUUCACUAUUUUAAUAGUAUAUAUAUUUAUAAUUUUUAAAAAAUUAAAUCAAAAUUUUCUCAUUCUUUUGCUUGAACUGUUUCACUCAACAUAAUAAAUUCGUGCGCUAAUCGAUUUCACGGCAUUUAAAGUAGUGAAGACGAUGGGAUAAGGCUAAUGUUGAUAUGGGAUCUGAAAAAGCAGGUAAGAGUAGUAGACUAUGAAAAGUCAUAAUAUAUUAUAAACAUUUCUUACGUUACAUUUCAACCACCUCUUUAAUUCCACCAGAAUCCGGUACUACUCGCUCUUGAGUGCUAACACUCUCCUCGUUACGGCCCUCCAACUUUUUCCUCCACAAUAUUUUAAGAAAAACUCAAUUCAAAUAAUAUUUUUAUAUUUGAGGUUUAUGAUUAUUUCUCUUAAUAAUGUUGUCUUUAAAAUUCAGAUAUCUAUUUCUCUUGAAAAUACAAUACCUUAAUUAUUCAAAUAAUAGUCUUAACAGAAAGAUUAAGCACCAAAUAUUCUAUAAAUACUAACAAGCUAAUGGUCUAAAGUCUAGAUUGAGUAGCACUAUUAUCCAAAACAUAGUGCAACAAAUCAAUUCUUUCUCGGCGACCAAAUGACGUUUGUUAUAUAGAACUCUACAACCUAGUGCUGCUAAUUAUCAAUUUUAUGGUUGUGACUCCAUAACUAAAAUUUAGUUGAUCCCCUGACUCAAGAGUGUAAUUAUUCGAAUAGGGAUUAUAUCUCUUUUAAAGUGGUACACUAAUUUGUCUUAUUAUAUGGGUUUAUUUAUAAGAGUUCUCUUAAAUAUUUAUGUCAAAUCCAAAUUGUUGUGAAUUGGUAGCCAGUAUGGAAAUCAAUUCUUUUAACAUUUCAAGGAGUUUUGUCCAUAAGUAAAAGUCUUUGGUAAAAGUAUUAGAUAAUAAGUAAUUGAUAAAAAAUUUCAUUCUAAAGGCGACUAGCAAAGAGCUGUUUAAUAUUUUUCAACAUUCAUGAAGGGUUUUUAUGUACUUUUAUUGAAUGGAAUAGAUUUUUUUUCCUAAUAAAUGAACCACGAGAAGCAAAAUGUUUUCCAAGGAAUAUUCUUACCAUAUCUAUUUAAUAUGUAAUUCGCAAUUUGUUCUUGAAAGGAAAACCAUAAUAAUUUUCCUAGAAUCUCUAUUUGGAAACUUGGAAGUCUUUUAAAUCAACCGAAUCAUCUCACUCGAAUACUUUAUCAGCUUUAUACAAAUUAUUCUUUGCAUCAAUAAAUAUUGUUCAUGACAUUGCACCCAUGCAGAAUUAUUUCUCCCAAGCAGGGAAUGGUCUCCAUGAAUUAUUGCCAUAUUUCCAUUUAGGAUUAGUAAAUUUCAAUAACUUUUUUAGUGGACGUGAUAUAUAUUUUGAUGAUAUGACAUGGUUUGUUUUGAUCCAAAAAAGACGAUGAAUGACAUGAAAUUGAACUAUGAUUUUAAAGAAGGGACUUGAGUUUAUAUAUGAUUAUAUAGGCGGUAAUUCAAUUUUCCUUUCCUUGUUGGAAAAAGAAUUCCAUUUUGACUUUAAUUGUAAUUUUUAAGUUGUUGUUUUCUUAUUGUUAAUUAUUUAAAAAAUAAUCGUAUUUUAACUUGCAAACUUAAAUCUUAAACUAUUAUCUUUAUGUUUACUUUUUAAUGAUAAUUAACAAAAAUAUUUGGUUUUAAAAUUUUAAUACAAUCAAUGAAACACAAUUCACACACAUGAAUAAUAAAAUUUGACGUGAUUAAAUAAAUAUUGAAUUUUGUUAUAUUUUUAAUAAUAAAUAUAGGUAAAAUGGUAAUAAAUUGGGAUUUUAAUGUCAUUUAAAACGUGUCAAAUAAAUAUUAGAUUAGAUAUUCAAUAUUAAAAAUUAAUAUAUAUUAAUUGAAUUAUAAACGAGUUUAGAAAUUCAAAAUUGUAAAAAUUAAUAUAUAUUGAAUUAAAUGACUACCAUACAUAAUCUUAUUCGAAUAAUAAUAAUGAAAAAUAAAACUGAGUGUUUAAGACAAUUUCGUUGUAUUUGUUUGUUCUAUGAUCCAACUAUGGUAGGUAAGCGUGAUGUAGGUUCAUCGUACUCCCAUCCAGUGGCUUUAAUUUGCUCUAAUGGAAUCGAAAACGAAUCAAUCCUUUUAACUUCUUCUUUUUCUUCCUCUUCAUCAUCGGAAACCGACUUUAUUUCCAAAAAAAGUUUUGGGUCGAUUUUGGAGUUCCAAUCAAUAUCAUCGAUAUACAUAUCUGCUGCAUUACUUGGCAACUUAUUUGUGCAAGGAAAACGAUGAUAAUAUUCCCAGAAUCUCUAUUUGGCUUUCUGGAAAGCUUUUAAACCAGUUGAAUCAUCCCAUUCGAAUACUUUAUCGGUUUUGAACAAAUUAUUCUUUGAUUCAACAAAUUUUUUCCAUGGCAUUGCACCCACUUUUAUGCAGAAUUUUUUCUCCCAUGCAAGUAAUGGUUCACAUGAAUUACCGUUAUCAUUCAGUUUGGGUCGAGUAAAUUUCAGACUGUAGUACCUUUCUCGAUGAUUAUGAUAUCUUCUUUGAUAAUAUGACAUGAUUUCUUGUAAUCCAAACAAAUAAAUGAAUUGAAAUCGCUAAUGAUAUCAAUUUACAGUGAGGAGACUCGUUGGGUUUAUAUAAUAUUAUUAGAGUCAGUGGUGACUCAAUCCUUUUCCUUGUUGGAAAAGGAAUUCCAAUUUCAGUUUGAUUAUGAUUUCUAUUUUCUAAAUAUUUGUAUAAUAAAAUUAUUAAAAAAAAUAACUAUAUCUGUAUUGAUAAUAUUUUCUUAUUAAAUGGGUUUUAUGAGUUAAAUAACAAUCAAACCAAGACUGGGAGACUGAACUGCAUCAGGUCUUAGGGGUGAUCCAUCGCUUCAACCUCUAUCCACCAUCUACGUCCUUCCCCUGUAUAAACUCUGUUAAAUAUAUACAUAGAGAGAGAGAGAGAGACAAACAAAUUAUAACGAUAGUAAAAAAAAUAAAAUCUAAAAUAUAACCAUUUUUCUUAUAAGGUGAAAAGAAAUAAUGGACUUGAGUACUUGAAAGAACUAACCGACUUAAGUUUAUAAAUUAUUAUUUAGUACAAUGAUUCGAACUCGAUUGCUUUUAAGAAAAAUGAACACUCGACCAAUAUAUUACAAUAUGAGUUGUUAUUAUGAUUUAAUGUAACAUUCAAUCAAUAAAAUAUAACCAAUUCCUGAACGCUACCUAACAAUAUUUUCUUUGCCAAAUACUUUAUCAGUCUUAAACAAAUUAUUCUUUGCAUCAACAAACCUUUUCCAUUUAUUAGUCUUAAACAAAUUAUUCUUCGCAUCAACAAAUUUUUUCCAUGACAUUCCACCCACUUUCAUGCAUAUUUUUUUCUCCUUACGGGUAAUAAUUUCCAUAAAUUACUGUCUUUAGGUUUGAGAUGAAUAAACUUCUGUAUGCAGUAAUUUUCUUGACGAUUAUAAUACGAGAAAUAUGAAUUUAAAGGGAAGGGACUUUCCUUGUUGUGAAAGGAAUUUCAGUAACUAUUUGUAUAAUAAAAUUAUUAAAAAAUAAUUAUAUCUAUAUUGAUAAUAUUUUUUUAUUAAAUGGGUUUUAUUAGUUAAAUAACUUUAUUAGUUGAAUAGCAAUCAAACUCAACGUUAAAAUUUUAAAAGUAAUGAUUACUGAAUAAAGAAUUAUAACUUGGUAACAACAUUCUAUUUGAACAUUGCAACAGUAAUUCAGUUUGAAAAUUGCAACAGUAAUUUAGCGAAAUUGACUAAAAAGAUUACUCUAUCUUCUUCCAAGUUGCAUCUUUCAAUCCAACCAAUUGCAAGCAUCGACACCAUAGAAUCAUAUAAGAAAAUCUACAAACUACGAUGCGACACCAUAGAAUCAUAUAAGAACAUCUAUAAACUACGUAGACGACUUGUUCACACAUUAGAUUUACCCUUAUGAAAUAGAAUAGGAGAACCCUCUGACUUGGUCAAUCAUAGCCCCUGUAUUGUUCAACUUCCCAAAUCUAAGAAAAGUACCAUAUUAUUUAACAGAACACACUCUUAGCAAUACUUCAGAUUGACAUUAAUGAAAAUAUUAGCAUGUCCAACAUGUUCGUAACCAGUUUCCAGACUAUAGGCAUUAGGUUGAGAGGCCUGUAACCUUCUUUCAAUGUGAAAAGUGACUUUUAUUAUACAAGAUGCAUCUUCUUCAAAAGAGAGAGCUGCUACUUCUAGGUCUUAAAUGCAAACCAAAAUACCGCAUCAUAAGUUAUUCUUCAUUUUCAGUUGACUCUGCAUUCAUCUCAUCAAUCGAAAAAAGCGAUCUAAAGUUAUUCUUCAUGAUAAACAUACUUGAGUGGAAAGCACAAGCCCAUGCUUUAUUAAAUUUGUUUUCACAAGGAAAAUCAUGAUAAAUUUUUUAGAAUCUCUGUUUGAUUUCUUGAAAAGCUGUUAAACCGGCUAAAUCAUCUCACUUGAACACUUUGUCAUUUUCAUACAAAUUUUUAUUUGCUUCAACAAAUCUUUCCCAUGGCAUUGCACUCCUUUCUAUGUACAAGUUUUUCUCCCAUGCAAGCAAUGGUUUGGGUUUGGGAUGAGUGGUCUUUUGUUGUGAAAAUAACGAAUAGAAAUAUCCUUUAUAGAAAUGCCAAAUAGAUAUAUCUUUCUAUAAAAUAUAAUGCAUCUUGUAAUAAAAUAUCCUUUCAUAAGGUUAUAUUAUUUUAUAAAAUAAUUUUAUAUAAAAUUAUGUAUUUAUAUAAAAAUUUUAUGUACAUCUACACAACAUUAUUAUUCAUUAAUCAAUAAGUAUAAUAUACUUGAUUUUUUCUAGAUAAUAAAAAGCGACUGCCAAAUGAUUUUAUUUUUUCAAUCAAAUUUUUGUUUUAGUCAUUUUAUUCAAAUUUGAAGUUUAUUUUUUUUAAUUUGAUAUAAAUUAACAUAGUUAAAUAUUCUUGUGCUAAUGUGAAAACUCUUUAAACUAUUAUUUUCGAUUCAUUAUGCUACUAUGGUUUUUUUUUUAAAUGAGAAAUUGAUAUAAAAUCCCAUUAAACCUUAAAAUUGGGCUGAUUUUUUUUAAAGUUAAAUUAUAUGUUUAACUGUGAACAAAAUAUGUUUAACAAAAUAUGUUUAACAUGCAUUAAAAGGCAUCGUGGUUCAUUAUUUUCUAGAUGCGAACAAAUUAUGUGGCUUUAUAACUUCUGAGAAAAGUUUUGAGUCGAUUUCAAGAUUCCUAUCAAUAUCAUUGAUAUAUAAAUCAACUGCAUUACUUCUUACAAGAAAAGCCAUGAUAAUUUUUCGAGAAUCUUUGUUUGACUGAUUGCCACUGAAUACUUUAUCAGUUUUAAAUAAAUUAUUUUUUGCAUCAACAAACUUUUUUCAAUAUAAAGUAAUUUUAAAAAUAAUGAUUAUAGAGUAAAGAAUUAUUUUUUUUAAUAAAUUUUUAGAAAUAAUUAGAUAAACAUAAACAUGCAUUAUAUAUAUAUAAUAAAGAUAAAGAUAAAGAUAAACAUGAUUAAUUUUACCUUUAUUUUAAAGUAUAGCUUUUAUUAUCCAUUAAAUUAAAUAUAAAAUUAAUUUUACCUUUACCUUAAAUAUUUAAUUAGAUAAACAGAAAUUAUAGAAGUCAUUUUUGUCAUAGACCUUCAACUUGAUAACAUAUAAUUGUAACAACAAUUCAGUGAAAUUUGACUAAAAAUUGCGAAAUUGACUAAAAAAUGCAUCUAUAGAUACAAAUAAUCUCCAAUUCAACAUUUAUCAUUCAUUAAUUAAUAAGUAUAAUGUAGUUGAUUUUUUGUAGAUAAUAAAAAACGUUUGAAAUUAUUUCACAAUAUAAUUUUUGUUUAUUAAGAUUUUAUUUUUUUUUCAUCUUUUCAGAUGUCAUAUGAUAUAAUCAUUUUAGCCAUAGCAUAGGUAAAUAAAUAAAAUUUAUUUUUUAUCAAAUUAUUGUUUUAAUCGUUAUAUUUAAAUUUGAAGUUUAACUUUUUUAAAUUUGACAUAAAUUAACAUAGUUAACUAUUUUUGUGUUGAAAUGAAAACUCUUUAAAGUAGUAUUUUCGAUUCAUUAUGGUUUUUUUUUAAAUGAGAAAUGAAUAUAAAAUAUACCUAUUCAUUGGUUGGGCCACCUGACCCACCCAAAAAGCACGAGAGUUUGGGCAAAAACAUAAGUCCGAAAAAUGGGCUUAGGCAAAAAAACUAAAAGGGUCUAUUUUAAUAACGGGCUGGGCAUCGAGGAAGGUUUUUUUAGCCCAGACCCAACCCGACCCAAAUUAGCAAAAAGACAAAUAAAAAUUGCUUCUCUUGUGUUUUCUCACUAUUUUGCUAUCAUUUUACUAUUAUGUUAUUACUACUUUUUUUGUUAUUGUUUAGAUAUUGCAUAACUCUUGUUUUAUAUUUAAUUUUGUUAUUAUUUUAGAGAAAUUUGCUUGUUAAGUUGCAGUUAUCUUAAUGCUAUUUAAGUAUAAAGACUUUUUUUUAACUUAUUUUCAAUAUAUUAAGAAAUAUUUAUUUUAAUAUUUUUAGUGUAUUUGGUGUAUUAUAUUUUUUAAUUUUUUUAUAAAAAAUAAAAUUUAAAAAAGUCAGACCUAUGUUAUAGCAUUUUUAUCUGUGUUGAACUUAAGUAAAAAUUUAAACCUUUUUUUAGAUCAAACCAAACUUGAACAUAUCAAUCGAACAUAAAAUUUUGUUAGGAAUUGACCCGACAAACCAAAUAUUCCUAUCCCAUCGUCUUCAUUACUUUCACACCAACUACUUUGGAAUGAGUCUCCUUCUCUUGCGUCCCUCUCAAUUCUCAUUUUCAAAUUUACUUUAGUGUAUUUUUUUUAAUUUAAAAAAAAUUAUUUACUUUAAAUAAGACAAACAAAUCAAAUAAAAAAUUGACGAUUUGAUCAAUUUAAUCGCUAACUUUUUUUGAAAAACAAUUGGUUAAUAAUACUUUAUUCAUGCAGAGGUACUAAAAUUGUCUUUUUAUUAUACUGAAUUGAGAUGUGUUGUGGUCAUAGUUUAAUUAUUGAGUGUUAUCCAUCAAGGUAUUAGCUGAUAAAAGUAUCAUGGAGGCUCUAAUAUUGAGAGUCAAAUUGUAUUUAACUCCUUUUAUUAAAAGAGUAAGUUAAUCCAUGUACAUUAGAUAGAAGAGUAAAUUGAUCAUUUUUAUUAAAAUGAUUCAUCUUUUUUUGUUGUUAAAAACUAACGUAGUUGACAAAAUAAUCAGGCAAUACCUUAUGUUGAUUACAUGGAUCAAUUUUUAAUAAUAAUGGAUGAAUUUUUUUAAUAAAAGAACUAAUUUACUCUUUAAUCGGACCUACAAAGACUAAUUUAUUUAUUUUUUAAGUAGAAAAUAUAAAAUACAAUCUGACAUAGAAUACAAGAAGAUACUUUUACUGAUAUUUUUAGGUUGAAGAUGAUGCUUCCGUGUUGUAUUGACGAUAACGAUGAAGUUGUUAAGAAAUGGCUUAAAAUUGGUAGUGGAUUGUUGUUGUUGGUAGUGGGUUGUUGGUGGUAGUGGAUUAGUGGAUGGUUGUUGGUGUCCAUUUUCAACCACAAAUCUUUGCCAAAGUUUUGGACAAUUAUGUCCUUGAACUCUCUUAUAAAUAGAGAGGUUCAUUAGCCAUAUUGAUCAUCCCAAACCAAGAGAGAGCAAAGCUUGUUCUUUGAAAGCUAGGAUUUUAGCUUUCGGGUUUUCUAUAGGGGUUGAGAGUUGUGAGGUUCUCGGGUUGUGUCUUGAGUGUAAAACACUUGUAAUCUUCAUCUUGUUAUAGUGAAAUUUCUUUUCGCCUCUGCCCGUGGACGUAGGCAUUAAAGCCGAACCACGUAAAUCCUUGUGUUCACUUUAUUUUUUCGUUCCGGUCAAUUUACUUGUAGUCAUAUCGGAGUUCUCGAAUCGAUCCUUUCCGCAACAAAUUGGUAUCAGAGCGUAGUUGAAGGAGUGAUAAUAUUUUCUGAAUUGCCCUGUGACUGCAGCUUUGUCUGAUCUUUCACAUCAGGAAGAAAAUAUUAUCAUUCAUUCAAAGGUUCCAAAUUAUGGCUACAAGUGUUUCAUCGACUAAGUAUGAUGUCGAGAAAUUUACCGGGAAAAAUAGUUUCAGUUUAUGGCGCAUCAAGAUGCGGGCAGUGCUGGUUCAACAAGGAUUGCUAAAAGCAUUGUCUGGUAAAGAUAAAUUACCAAGCACGCUUUCGGAAGAGCAAAAGGAUGACAUGCUAGAAAGAGCACAUAGUGCUAUUCUGCUAUGUCUAGGAGAUGAAGUGCUACGAGAAGUAGCGGAUGAGAAAACCGCGUCCGGUUUGUGGCUCCGGUUAGAGAGCAAGUACAUGACGAAGUCAUUGACGAACCGGCUCUACCUCAAGCAAAGACUCUAUGCCCUGAAGAUGGAGGAAGGUACACCUGUUUCCCAGCACCUGGAUAAAUUCAAUUCCAUUAUCAUGGAUUUGAAUAAUAUCGAUAACAAAAUCGAUGAUGAGGACCAAGCAAUAAUUGUUUUGUGUUCUUUGCCUCCCUCGUAUGAGAAUUUUGUUGAUACAAUGAUGUACGGUCGUGAUGACCUGACUCUAGAGGAGGUGAAAAAUGCCUUAAGUUCCAGUGAGUUGAGGAAGAAAAUCACUGGUAAGGUGGUCGAAAACAAUGAAGGCGAAGGCUUGGUUGCUCGAGGAAGAUCCAAGGCAAAGGGUGGAAGUUCAAGUAAAAGUCAUCCUAGAUCGCAGUCCAAGAAGAGAAUACAGUGCUACUACUGUAAGAAGUACGGGCACAUGAAGGUAGAUUGUCCGAAAAGGAAGGAGAAAUCAGAAUCACAGGAGCAACAAAAUGAUCGUGCGAAUGUAGCUGAUGCAGAUUCUUCAAGUGAUGCCGAGAUCGUUCUUGCAGUAUCCGACUCUUACGCUGGUGGGAGAUGGAUUCUUGAUACGGGAGCUACAUUUCAUAUAAGUACUUCGAAAGAUGCAUUCUCAACAUACGAGAAGCAUUCUGGUUCAGUACUAAUGGGAAAUGACCACGCAUGUCAAGUCAUGGGGAUUGGCACAGUUCGUAUAAAGAUGUUUGACGGUAUUGUUAGAACUCUAACUGAUGUUCGGCACAUUCCAGAAAUGAAGAAAAAUUUGAUCUCUUUGAGUACGUUGGACAAGAAAGGCUUUCGGUACUCUGCUGAAGGUGGAGUUCUCAAGGUAUUCUCGGGUGCUUUGACUGUGAUACGUGGUAAUUUGGAGCGGGGCCUUUACUUCCUCGAUGGUUCCUCGGUUACAGGUGUUGCGGGAGUGUCAUCAUCAGAUGAUCUAGAUUCUGACACCACGAAGUUAUGGCAUAUGCGGCUCGGGCAUAUGAGCGAGAGAGGCUUAUCGGUGCUAAGCAAACGAGGAUUAUUGUCUGGGCAGUGUACAGGAAAGUUGAAUUUCUGUGAGCACUGCGUCUUCGGUAAGCAGACUCGGGUAAAGUUCAGCACUGGGAUUCACAAGACAAAAGGCACAGUGGAUUACUUCCAUUCUGACCUUUGGGGGCCUUCUCCGACAAUUUCUAAAGGUGGUUACAGAUAUCUGCUUACCUUUAUCGAUGAUUACUCGAGAAAGGUUUGGGUGUAUUUUCUGAAGAGCAAGUAUGAGGUUCUCAUCAACUUCAAGCAAUUUAAAGCUUUGAUCGAAAAUCAAACAGGAAAGAAGAUCAAGCGAUUCCGGACGGAUAAUGGCUUGGAGUUUUGCUCAGGUGAAUUCAAUGAGUUCUGCAAGAAUGAAGGAAUAGUGAGACACCGCACUGUUCGUCGAACACCACAACAAAAUGGAGUUGCAGAACGCAUGAAUAGAACUCUCUUGGAGCGAGCUCGUUGCAUGCGAUCAAAUGCUGGGCUCGGUGAAGAAUUUUGGGCUGAAGCUGUUAAUACUGCUUGUUAUUUGGUUAACAGAUCUCCGUCAACAGCUAUUGAGCUGAAGACUCCUGAGGAAGUAUGGUCUGGUUCUCCUGCUGAUUACUCUGGUUUAAGAGUGUUUGGCUGCCCUGCGUAUGCUCAUGUAAAUGAGGGAAAACUCAAACCGAGGGCGAAGAAAUGCAUAUUUCUUGGAUACGGCCAAGGGGUGAAAGGAUACAGGUUGUGGUGUCCUGAUCCGGUUUCGUCCAAGUUCAUCAUCAGCAGAGAUGUGACUUUUGAUGAGUCAUCCAUGCUUCGAUCCACCACAAAUUCCCGGGAAAAGGAGGAGUCAGAUAGAAUGGGAGAUCACGGUGUUGAGAAGCAGGUGGAGUGUCAGGUGGACGCUCCAAUUCCUACGGAAGGUACUUCAGUCCAGGAUGAUCAAGUUGAGGUGCAAGAUUCCGAUGAAGAUGAGUCACCUCAAGAAAAACCAUAUAGCAUUGCCACUGGAAGAACGAAGAGACAAAUCAAACCAAAUCCGCGUUACGCUAAUCUGGUGUCUUUCGCGCUCAGUGUGGCGGAGUCCAUUGGUAUAGAACCUUCCAGUUAUAAUGAGGCUGUCACGUGUGAUGAGUCGGCACAGUGGGCAAUUGCUAUGAGUGAGGAGAUAGAAUCUCUUCACAAGAACCAUACUUGGGAGUUGGUUAAGCCGCCAAGUAACCAGAAGAUAGUUGGUUGCAAAUGGGUCUUCAAGAAAAAGGAAGGCAUCCUAGGGGUUGAAGCAACUAGAUUCAAGGCACGAUUGGUUGCUAAAGGCUUCACUCAGAAAGAGGGGAUUGACUACAAUGAAGUUUUCUCCCCAGUCGUAAAGCAUUCUUCCAUUCGUAUAUUACUUGCCAUGGUGGCCAAGCCUGAUCUAGAACUUGAGCAGCUUGACGUAAAAACGGCGUUCUUGCAUGGUGAGCUCGAGGAAACAAUCUACAUGCGUCAACCAGAGGGUUUUACAGUUCCUGGUAAAGAAGACCAUGUCUGUCUAUUAAAGAAGUCUUUAUAUGGAUUGAAACAAUCCCCAAGGCAGUGGUACAAGCGGUUUGAUAGCUUCAUGAUUCAGCAUGGUUACACAAGAUGUGACUAUGAUGCUUGUGUCUAUCAUCGGAAGCUCUCAGAUGGUUCGCACAUUUAUUUGUUGCUGUAUGUUGAUGACAUGUUAAUUGCUUCCAAAAACAUGUCGGAAAUCAACAAGUUAAAGUCGCAGUUGAGUGGUGAGUUCGAGAUGAAGGAUCUGGGUGCUGCCAAGAAAAUUUUGGGCAUGGAUAUUCACAGAGAUCGCAAGGCGGGCAAGCUUCGUGUGUCGCAGAAGAACUACAUUGAAAAGGUUCUUCAACGCUUCGGCAUGGAUAAAGCGAAAACUGUGAGUACUCCGUUGGCACCACAUUUCAAACUCUCUACAGAGUUGUCACCACAAUCUGAUGAAGAAAAGCAGCAAAUGUCUCACAUUCCAUACUCGAGUGCAGUUGGAAGCGUGAUGUAUGCAAUGGUUUGCACUCGUCCAGACAUUUCACAUGCAGUUAGUGUGGUCAGCAGAUACAUGAGUUGUCCUGGCAAGGAACACUGGCAGGCCGUGAAAUGGAUUCUCAGGUACUUGAGAGGUUCUGCAGAUUUAUGCUUGGUAUAUGAUCAGAGUGACUGCACUAGCAGUGUCACGGGCUAUGCGGACUCUGAUUAUGCUGGAGAUCUGGACAAAAGAAGAUCUCUGACGGGUUAUGUUUUCACUUAUUCUGGAGGAGCCAUUAGUUGGAAAGCUGUGUUACAGUCUACCGUAGCCUUAUCUACGACUGAGGCGGAAUAUAUGGCGUUAGCAGAAGCAGUGAAAGAAGCAUUGUGGAUGAAAGGUCUAGUAAGCAGUUUGGGUUUACAACAGGAUUUCACUGUUGUAUUUUGCGAUAGCCAGAGUGCCAUACAUCUGACUAAAAUUCAGAUGUUUCAUGAACGGACCAAACACAUUGAUGUCAGAUAUCAUUUUGUUCGGGAACAUGUUACGCAAGGUGACAUUGUUAUCAGCAAGGUUGCUACCGAGAAGAAUCCUGCAGAUAUGUUAACUAAGGUGAUCCCUGCAUAUAAGUUCAAGCAUUGCUUGGACUUGAUAGGUAUUCGGGAUUGAUUAGCGCCAGAGAGGCGUUUGGAAGAGGUGAUCCAGUUCACUAUGAUGUUCAGCUUGGUAAAUUUCAAGCCAAGGUGGAGAUUUGUUAAGAAAUGGCUUAAAAUUGGUAGUGGAUUGUUGUUGUUGGUAGUGGGUUGUUGGUGGUAGUGGAUUAGUGGAUGGUUGUUGGUGUCCAUUUUCAACCACAAAUCUUUGCCAAAGUUUUGGACAAUUAUGUCCUUGAACUCUCUUAUAAAUAGAGAGGUUCAUUAGCCAUAUUGAUCAUCCCAAACCAAGAGAGAGCAAAGCUUGUUCUUUGAAAGCUAGGAUUUUAGCUUUCGGGUUUUCUAUAGGGGUUGAGAGUUGUGAGGUUCUCGGGUUGUGUCUUGAGUGUAAAACACUUGUAAUCUUCAUCUUGUUAUAGUGAAAUUUCUUUUCGCCUCUGCCCGUGGACGUAGGCAUUAAAGCCGAACCACGUAAAUCCUUGUGUUCACUUUAUUUUUUCGUUCCGGUCAAUUUACUUGUAGUCAUAUCGGAGUUCUCGAAUCGAUCCUUUCCGCAACAGAAGUUAAUCAAUACAUUGUAUUUUCAAGCAAAAUUAAUAAUAUAAGAAAAGUAUUCCAAUUUGGUAGAUUUGAAAAAAAGGAACAUGGUCGACAUGAAUUUCUUCGGUGGAAGGAUUGACCCACCAUAGAUUGGGAACUGCCACUUGACUGCUACUAAUAUCUGCAUUUCCAUCUAUAUAUGUAUGUAUAUAUAUAUAUAUAUGCUGGAACCUUGUUAUUACAUAAAAAUACAGGACGACUUCAUUUUCUUCUUCAAUGGCAGUGUCAGAAAUCUCGCGAUGUACUUAUCAUGUAUUCUUGAGUUUUAGAGGUGAAGAUACGCGGAAAAGUUUCACGGAUCAUCUUUACACAGCUUUGGUGCACUUAGGAAUUCGAACAUUUAGAGAUGAUGAGGAAAUCGAGAGAGGGAAUAACAUAAAAGAUGAAAUUGAAAAAGCAAUACUACACCACUCCAAAAUUUCUAUCGUUGUUUUCUCAAAGAAUUAUGCUGCAUCCACAUGGUGUCUUAACGAACUUGUAAUGAUAUUGGAGCACAAGAAAUCCUCUAAACAUAUUGUGUUGCCAGUUUUCUAUGAUGUGGAUCCCAGUCAAGUCAAGAACCAGACGGGAAGUUAUGCAGAAGCAUUUACCCAACAUGAACAAAACUUCGAGUCCAUGGUACAAAGAUGGAGGAAUGCUUUAAAAGAAGUUGCGGAUAUAGGAGGCAUGGUUCUACAAGACAGGUACGUUAUACCCAUAAUCAAGUUCCAUAUGGUUACUUCAAUCCUUUUCAUUAAGACUUGAUAGAGUAGAAAUAAAAUUAAUAGAAAAUAUUGUUAGGUAGCGUUUGGAAAUUAAGAUGGUUACUUCAAUCCAUUUUAAAGGGUUAAUUAUAAUUCAGAUUUUAAAUUAUUUCUCAAGCAUUAAAAUGUUUUAAUUGAUUUAUUAAAGUAUUAGUAUUGUAUCAACAAGGUCUUUCUAUCAAACAAAUCAUCACCUUAAGCAUUAAAUGUUAGCUCGAAUCUAAUGUGGGAUGUUUUUAGAACACAUAGAUCAAGUUUUAAAUACGUUUGCACCUAUCACAUGAACAACUUGGAUUUGACGAGUUGAAAAAAAAAAAAAGAAACUCUUGAAUUUAAUGACACUAUUUUUGGUUUUCUAAGACGUCAUUGUUGGUAAUCAAAAGAAUAUUUUGAAUUGUGGAAAAUCCUCUAACCGUUGCAGAAAACAUUUUUAGAAUAUUUUCAGUUAGGAAAAUCCUUUGCUAUUUUUGGAAACUAAAACUAUUAUUUUACCAUUUUGCCCAUCAAAAAAUAGUAUAAAUAGGAGGCGGUUCUCCCACCUAACACAACAAGAGAAAAACAACUUCGCUAUGUUCUCUAAAUUCUAGUGUUCUGCAAAAUUACACGAGAAGGAAAUUUUGUCUAAGAGAUUAGGUUUUAAGUGGGACUGUUUGUGACCCCUUUAAUCUUUCUUGGGAAUUGAAAUUUUUUUCCGGGAAGAGUAAUGUCAAUCCUGUUCCACCUUCUUUAUUCGGGUGUAUGAAUAUUGGAGUAUUGUGUUGGGGGGUAACGUCCACUACACGAUUACAUCAGUCAAGGCGAAUUUAUCUCUACUGCAGUGGUUCUUCCACGACACAAUGAUUCUUAUUUUAUUUACAUUCAGUUUGGUCUCCUGUAACAAUUCUAUUUUGCAGUACUAUAUUUCCAACAAUCAUAUCCAAGUUAUUCGUGUAAUAAAUCUACACAUAUUCAAAAUAUUACAAUGAAUAAAAAAUAAAUAUAUAAAUUCAUGUAAAUAACAUGAAUUUAUUAAACUUUCACAAAGAGAAAGUUGCAUAAAAAAUAAAUAUAUAAAUUCAUGUAAAUAACAUUAAAUUUUAUUUUGCUUUAUUUGAUUUGAUUUGAUUUUGAAUGUAAUAAUUCUAUCUUAUAUGUUGAAAUGUUGAAAUGUUGCAUUAGUUUCUUAUUUUUUCUUGAACAUAUAAUCUCAUAAAAACAAUCAAAAUAUAUGCAAGAACAGAGAAAAAACAUUAGUAACAUUUACAUAAUUUCCAAGAUUUUACCAUUGAUCAGUUGUAUUUUUUAAAUUUGCAGGCAUGAAUCACAAUUCAUUCAAGAUAUUGUUAAAGAAGUUCAAAAUAAACUUCAUCUUAUUUCUUUGUAUUUCCCUCCUUAUUUAGUUGGAAUAGAUCCUCUCGUGACACAAAUUAAUCAAUGGUUAGAACAAGAUGGAGCAAAUAAAGUUGGCAUUGCAAAUAUUUGUGGCAUCGGAGGCAUUGGGAAGACAACCAUUGCCAAAGUUGUUUACAAUCAAAACAUCCCGAGGUUUGAAAGUUUUAGUUUCCUUGCUCAUGUUAGAGAAACAAGUCAAGAUUGCAAUGGCUUAGUUCGUUUGCAAAGACAACUUAUUUCAGAUAUCCUUAAAGGAAAAUCAUAUAAAAUAUACAAUAUAGAUAAUGGAAUUAAUAAGAUCAAAGAAAUUGUACGUUGUAGAAGAGUUCUUCUUGUUCUUGAUGAUGUUGAUGAAUUGGAAAAAAUAAGAAAAUUAAUGGGAACUCAAAUUCCUUUUCAUCCGGGAAGUAAAAUCAUCAUAACUAGUAGAAAUCGAUGCCUAUUGAAUGCACAUUUUAUAAGCAUUAUGUUUGAUUUGGAGGCAUCAACUAGUUGUGGAGGCUUAAGCAAGCUAUUUGAAGUAAAAGAGUUAGCUUCAAGUGAAUUGCUACAACUUUUUAAUUGGUAUGCUUUUGGUCAUAACUCUGUGCUUGAAAGUUCAAUGGCAUAUGCAAGAAGUUUAGUGAAACACUGUGGUGGGCUUCCGUUAGCUCUUCAAGUUUUGGGCUCUUCAUUAUCUAGCAAAAGUGUGAGUUCUUGGAAAAAUGCAUUGGAGAAAUUGGAAGAAAUCCCUGACAGCAAAAUUCAAGAGAUUCUAAGAAUAAGCUAUGAUUCUUUGGAAGACGAUCAUGACAAAAAUUUAUUGCUUGACGUAGUUUGUUUAUUCAUUGGGAAGGAUAGAGAUUACACGACUACAAUUCUAGAUGGUUGUGAUUACUGUUGACACCAUUUUUUUGAUGGAAGACGGGGUCGACUUGGGUUUUGAAAAAUGAAAACGAAAACGGGAGUCGCCACCAUUCUUUUUUGAUAAGGUGUGCUUGGAUCACCCGAAAAGUGGUUGUUUUUAAUAAAAGGUUUGAUUUUAUUAAAACAACAAGUUUGGUCUACAAAAUCCAAAAAAACGGGUUCGGGAGUCGGUUAUGCACGAGGAAGGAUUAGCACCCUCGAUACGCCCAAAAUUGGUACCCAGAUGAUUACUUAAUGUCUUAGUGUCGAAGAUUGAAAAUUUUAAAGAAAUUUAAAAUACGAUCCUUAAAAAAACUCGUACGGUAUGGAUUUAAAUUCAAUAGGAUAUUUGGCAAUUUGGUUAAACGAGAAAUCGAAACCCAGCACCUUAGGGCACGUUCCUCGAAUUCCCAAACGUAAAACAUUGCCUUAUUUUGAAAUUUUUCAGAAGGAUAUUAAGCCAUUUGGUUGAACGAGAAAAAUCGACACCCAGCACCUUAGGGCAUGUUUUCUCGAAUUUCUAAACGGCAAAACAUUGCCUUAUUUUGAAAUUUUUGAAAGGAUAUUUAGCUAUUUGGUUGAACGAGAAAAAUCGAAACCCAGCACAUUAGGGCACGUUUCUCGAAUUUCCAAAAGCUAAACAUUGCCUUAUUUAGAAAAAUUUUCCUUUUUUGAAGUAUGGUGUUAAUAUACAUAAUGGAAUAAUAAAUAUGACAAUUUGAACAAAAAUAAUAUAAGCAAAAAUGAAUAAAUAAAUAAAUAAUCAAUCAUGUAUAUACCAUAACGAAUAAAUAAAUAAACAAACUAAAACAUAAAAAAUGGACAUAUAAAUAAGGACAUAAAUGAAAGAAAAAAUAAAGGAAAAUAUAUGAAAAUUAUAAAAUAUAAAAUAUAAAAAAGGUAAGUACAUAUAAGGGAAAUAUGUAUGUAUAUGCAUAAAAUUAUGGAAAUAUGAAAUAUAUAUAUAUAUAUGUAUUUUAAAAUUAUUAAAUAUAAAAUUUUAUGUAAGUGUGGAUAUACAUGUAUAUGUAUAUAAAGUAUAUAUAAUAAGGAAUAUGCAAGCAUGUAUAUAUAUAUGAAAAUUAAAAAUAUGAAUUUAAAGAUAUAUAUAUAUAUAAAAUAAGACAUAAAAUAUAUAUGCAAGUAAAAACGUAUAUAAAGAUAUAAAUAUAUAUAUGUAUAUAUAUAUAAUAAGAUAUGAAGUAUAUAUAUGAAAAUUAAAAUGUUUGUGAAUGUGUAGAUAUGUAUGUAAGUUAUGAAAUAAAGAGGUAAAUUUGUAUAUACAUAAAAAAAAAAGAGUAAGAAGAAUAUGUGUAUAUAUAUUUAAAAUUAUGAAAUAUAAAAUGUGCAAGUGUGUAUAUAAAGUAUAAAUAAUAUGUAAGUAUGUAAAUAAAUAAAUAUAAAUUAUAGGCGUAUGGAUCCUUUAUAAAAAUGUAUGGUGGAUAUAGACGUGUAUAUAUAUAUAUGUGCAAUUAUUAUAAUGAUAAUAAUAAUAACAGCAUCAUUAAAUUUGUCAAUUUUAAAAAUAAACUAACCAAAAUAACGAAAAAGGACUAAUUUGAACUUAAAACAGAAAUCUAGGGGAAAAUCGCAAAUAAAAUAAGAAAGGAGUGGCCAGCGACCGAAAUAAAACGCGCUUAAAGCGCAAGGGACCUGUUGAGAAAUAUUCCCUUUCACUGAAACGCUGCGUUUCGACCGAGGAGGGGCAUGGUCUAAGGACCAAAUCGAAAUACAAACUAAAUUCAUAGGCCGAAUAACAAAUAACAAAAAAGGAUCAGAUCGGCUACUGCACAAAAGCGGAGGGGCCUAUUGCGCAAAUAGCCCCUUUGACGAAAACACGUGGAUCCCCUGGGUCGGAUUGGGUCGACGCGCGGGUCAGGGCAUGUCAAAACGGCGCCGUUUUGUGUUUACUAUAAAUAUUAAAAAAAAACCCCAAAAACAAAUCAGUUUUAGCAUUUUUAAAAAAACAGAGAAAGAGCUCUCUCCCCUCUCUCUCAGGCCCCAAGUCAGGCCAAGGGUUCCGGCGAUCCUCCGCCAUUGACGGCGUCGCGCCGGCCACCGUACACGGUGGUCGGAAAAUUCAAAGGUAAAAUUUUUCUCUCCUUUUUCUCUCUUUUAUUUUAUAUUAUUGAUAUCUAAAAUAAAUGAAAAAAAUAAGAGAUAAAAAAAAUACGAAUCUAAGAAGAAAAAACCUUUAAACUUGCUUUUUUUUGUUUUUUUAUUUCAAACGUUCGUAGCAAAACGAAAGAAGAGAAAACUCUUCUUCUUUUACAGCAAACUCAGCUUUUUUGCCAAAAAGGAAAAAAAAGAAUCCAAUAAAAAUCCCCCUCUUUUUACAGUGAUCAAGCCCUUUUUUAUAUACCCAUUUGUGUACAUUUUUUUACACACUGUCAUUUCUCUUCUUUUCAUUGUUGUUGUUGCUGCUUUCUUUACUCGUUUGCAGGUGGGCAGUUGGGCAAUGGCAGAAAGUAGGUGAACGGCGGAGCAGAGGAGUUGGUGAGAAGGCCCUAGGUGCGGCGCACCUAGGGUUGCUGCUGCUUUUUUCUUUUUCUUUUCUGAACAUGGGUUAGGGUAGUUGGGUGUAUUGGGUUUGGGCUUUUAGAUUUUGGGUUUGGGUUAAUUAGGUUUGGUUGUAAUUUGGGCUCUGCUGGUUGUGGGUUAGUGUUUAGGUGGGUUGGUUUGUAAUGGUUUUUAUUUGGACCAUAUUGGGCCCCGGGUAAAUUUGGGCUUGUACAGCUGCCCCUCUUUGCUCGUUGUCGUGUAAUGAGAACAGGGCAAAGACCAAGAAAGACCAAAUUUGCCCGGUCUCGCUGAGUCUUUACUUUUUGGUGCCUUUCUUCUUCAGGUAGCUUCAUUUCAGUCCACUUUGUCUUGUUGCGUCGAUCCUCUCCACUGCAACUUCAAGAAGAGAUAUGACUUGUGGCUUCAAUCUAAUCUGCUGUAACUUCAAAGGGGGACGAGAUUUGUGGUUUUAGUUUGCUCCACUGCUACGUUAGGGAGAUAGGAUCGGUUUCUUUUGUCUGCUCCACUGUAACCUCAGGGAGAUAAGAUCUGAAAUUUUUAACUUGCUCCACUAAGACUUCAGGGAGAUAAGGUUUGAUCCAAUUCGACCUACUGCAACUUCAGAGGUAUAUGAUUCAUCAUUUUCAUCCACUCCACUGCAACUUCAGAGAAACACGAUUGGUAUUUUUCGUCUGCUCCACUACAACUUCAGGGAGAUAAGAUCUGAAAUUCUUCGGUCUACUCCACUGUAACCUCAGGGAGAUAAGACCUUAUGCGAUCUACUCUGCUGUAAUCUCAGAGAGAUAAGAUCUCUGGCUUCAAUCUGAUGUGAUCUACUCUACGAUCUAUUCCGCUGUAAUCUCAGAGAGAUAAGAUCUCUGGCUUCAAUCUGCUCCACUGUAACCUCAGGGAGGUAAGAUUUGUACCUUCAAUUUGCCACACUGCAUCUUUAGGGGGAUAAGACUUUGGUUCUUCGAUCCACUCCACUGUAAUAUCAGAGAGAUAGGAUUUGUAACUCGUAACUUCUGGAAAGUAAGAUUCGCCAUUGUGGCUUUAAUCUUUUUAACUGCAAUGUCGGAGAAACAAGAUUCACCAAUUUGGCUUUAAUCUAUUCCACUGCAUCGCUUGGGGCGUAAGAUUCGCUGUUGUAGCUUUAAUUAAGAUUCACCGGUGUGGCUUUAAUCUUUUUAACUGCAAUGUCGGAGAAACAAGAUUCACCAAUUUGGCUUUAAUCUAUUCCACUGCAUCGCUUGGGGCGUAAGAUUCGCUGUUGUAGCUUUAAUGAAGAUUCACCGAUGUGGCUUUAAUCUUUUUAACUGCAAUGUCGGAGAAACAAGAUUCACCAAUUUGGCUUUAAUCUAUUCCACUGCAUCGCUUGGGGCGUAAGAUUCGCUGUUGUAGCUUUAAUCAAGAUUCACCGAUGUGGCUUUAAUCUUUUUAACUGCAAUGUCGGAGAAACAAGAUUCACCAAUUUAGCUUUAAUCUAUUCCACUGCAUCGCUUGGGGCGUAAAAUUCGCUGUUGUAGCUUUAAUCAAGAUUCACCGAUGUGGCUUCAAUCUUUUAAAUUGCAAUGGGGAAGUGAGACUCGCCGUUGUAGCUUCAAUCUGUUCCGCUGCAUCGCCUGAAAGUAAGAUUCACCGUUGUAGCUUCGAUCUUUUAAAUUGCAAUCUAUGGUUACUUCGAUCUGCUUCUCUGUCAGUUCAGAAAAACAAGAUCUGCCAUCUUCAUUGAUCUGUUCUCUGGGGAACAUGACCUGUAUAAUCCAUUUGAUGGACCUAUUUAUGCCUAGUAUUUAGGAUGUCAUGAUUAAAAUGAAUCAAAAUUUCCUAACUAGAUGUGUCUGAAUGAUAUUUGCAUGAAUGCAUAAUGUCAUGAGAAUGAUCCAUUUUUAAUGUUUGAGUUGUUAUUGCCUAUUGCUCAAGAAGGCUUUAUUGCCAACACGUCCAAAUGCUAUCUUAUCCGGUUGGUAAUGCUCAUCUCUUACUUGGUCGGAUUGCCACCACUGUAAUUUUCAAAGUUCAAUCCGUUGGGACAUAAAAUUUGUACCAUGAAUCUCCCACUGUAACCCAAGGGUAGAAAGAUAUGGCUUUUCUCAAUCUUUUCCUAUCGCAAUUCCAGGAUACAGAAUGUGAAGCUCUUUGGUCCUUUACCUUAUUCCCAAGGUGUCAUACCAAACGCUCAUGCACAAUUGCAAAAUUUUCUUCUCCGAGAAACCCUUUUCUUAUCAUUUGGUGAUCAUUGCUCGUUUGUUUAUUGAAGCUUUGUCACCAACAAGGCAGCUUGUCAUUUUGUUCAAUCAAUGUUUGGACAACAAAAUCUGAAAGGAUAGUAUUUAACUUAGAUUCUUCUUUCUUAGAUAUUUCACCCUUUAAACUUGGUGUUUUCUAAACAAUAGUCCUGUUUCAGGUUCCUAUAUUAUUUAGAAACUUCUAGAGUAAUAUGCAAAACUUCCAUUGUGAAAGUAUUAUUAGUCCAUUAAUCAUUAUUCUAAUGCAACAUGCUUGCAAAAGAUCAUAACGAUAGAUAAAAUAGAAUUGAUUUGAGAGCAUAGCUCGAAAUGAAUGAAUUAUCAAGGGUAGCAAGAAUAAAAGAGGAAUUGAUUGGAACACGUAUCUUGAUGAAGCAUUCCAAGAACAACAACAAAUUCAAUAGUAUGAAGGUUAGGUGCCCCAGAUAUCGCAGCUUGAACUUCUCUGUACAAACUUUCUGAACACUUUCCUGAGUUUGACAUGUGUUUAGGAGAUCUACAGGACUCUGUCGAUGCCUCAAGAUGUCGCAUUACCCUUUCAGGUAAAGCAAGAUCACUACAUGCCCCAAUUUGAUCCAAAACUUGAGUCGCUCUGAUCACUUAAUGUCCUAUUAUGAUCAAAAGUUUGAGCCGCCCUUUUCGAGUUUUCAACUCAAAUCCCCUUUGGUCUCAAAGUGCCCUUUGCGGGUUUUCACCCUGGCCUCUCCCCUUUUUUUUUGAACUCAUUGGAUUAGACAUGUCCUCGUUAUCCUUUUCGAUCAAGAUUUACGCUUUUCCAGAUAAGGCCUUCCACAUAAGGUUCUUCCCAUCUUAGCAUGAAGUUCUUUUUGUGUGGGAAGGAUCUUCUUCGAUACUAGGUCCUCUCAUGGAAUUCUCUUCUUCUUCUCCCUUUUUUUUUGCUCACAUCAUUUGCUUUUGGCGCAUUUGACCAUGAUGGAUAACUUUGAACAUUCCUCCUUGAUCGGGAUUGGGUCCAAAAACUCAGAAAGAAUCUCGUCUUCAAUAGGAAAAAUCGCGAUAGGCUCAAGAGAACGGCAUUGCCCUAGCAAAGUUUUUUUUUCAAAAUGCCCUUUGCGGAUUUUCACCUUGGUCAUUUCUUCUUCUUUAAACGAAGUGUUUCUUGACUGGAUCCGAGUUUAUAGGAUUGGCAAUCUCACUCAAGAUCAGUGCUCCUCUGAAAAUGGUAUUCUUUACAAUAUAGAGACAUUCCUGGUUUGACAUUCAUUUCCCUUUAGAAUCCUUUUGUUAAGGAAGAAUCUUUUUCAACAUCCAGCCCUCUUGUGGAAUUCUCUGAGACGAGCAUGUUUAUUAUGGGCUCAUAUUAUUUUUUUAUGGUACAUCUGACCCUGAUGAAUAGCUUUUAACCCUUUUCCUAGGGCCAACUGAUCACAUUGCGAUUGGAUCCCUUCAACGAGCAAUGAGGGGAUUUUAAUAGGUAGAACUACCUCAAUCCUGUAAACCAAAAAGAGAGGUGUUGCCUCAGUACCGAUGUUCAACAAACAAUGAGGGCAAAUGGUAAUUUCUCACGUCAAUCCUUGUAAGUCUCAGUGAUUUUCCUUCAAUUUUUCGAUGUUCAACUCUAGGAACUUCAGUGACGAAUCGUGGUGUCCACUUCUGAGUUAAUUUGAGACCUCAACUAUCGUGCUAUUAUUUAAGCUCAAUGCAUUCUCCAAUACCCUCUUCUUUGAAAUUAUGUAUUGGUAUGCGAUGACUUUGGCUCAUGAAGUAUCCUCUCAAAAAAAUGAAGCAAUGCCCAUUAGAAGUCUUCGAUAAUGGUGAUGUCCAUGCCCCAUUUUGCUCAAAAUUUGAGUCGCCCUUUUUCGGGUUUUCAACUCAGAUCCACCUUUGGUCAAAGUGCCCUUUGCGGGUUUUCGCCUUAACCUCUCCUUUUUAUUUUUAUUUUUUCUUCUUUUUUCUCUUUUUUUGACUUCUAUUUUUUAUUUUUGAUUUUUGAUUUUUGUUUUUGUUUUUUUUUAUUUUUUCCCUUUUUUUUUGAGUCUGAACUCAUGGGAUCAGGCAAGUCCUGGUCAUGCUUUUCGACCAGAAUCAAUGUUAUUAUAAAGUCUUCCACAUAAGAUCUUCCACUUUCAUCUUGUAUAUGAGAAACCUUCUUUGGUACCAGAUUUCUUUCAUAGAGCCCUUUUGGGACGCAACUACGACAGAAAACUUUUGGAUCUUCCUCUUUAAUCCGGGCAAAAUCCAACAACAUCUUGAAGGGAUGGAAACUCAACUUCAAAUGGGCAAAGCUAUGCUGACUCAGCGAGAGAGGCAUUGCCCCGGUAAAGAAUUGCAUCGUUCGCACUACGAAUUUCUGACAUCAUGCUGUUGUGCAGAUUUAUUAUAAGAAUCGAGGCAUACCCUGGUAUAAUCAUACAAAGACAUCUUUGAACUCUAUAGGUAACUCAACAAGGUUUUGCUUCGUCUCUGUGGUUAGGUCAAUUCUAGUCUUCACCAAGUUCACAAAUUCUAAUGAUUCCUUGAGAGGUAGGACCUGUUUAUCCUCUUAUUCUACCAUCCUCAACAAGUCCAGAGAUAGGUUACAAUCUAUGUCAUCUUCAAAGGCGUGAGAUCCCUCUAAACACAUGUCUCACUUAAAAGGAGAUUCUAAGUCUGUAGUAGUGUCAUUCAUGUCGUUGAUAUCCAGGGCCCUACUGUAGGUACAAAAGAAUAUACAAAGAAUGUAUGAAUUUAAGAAUAAUUAUCUGCACAGUAUGAUUAUGAAUGAAAAAAAAUGAUUUGGAUGAAAGAAUAAAAGAAUAAUCAUUCAAGAAAUGAAAGAAUAUUGGUUCAAAAGAUCGCAAAGAUGCAUUCAAUUAAAAUAAUGACGUUCAGACAUGAGCCUAUUUCACAAAAGACUUCUUGUUGCUCUAGGCUGAAAGCAACAAGUGUGUUUUGAAUAUUACUCUGAGUAAGCUCUAAAUACUACAGGGGUUUCUUUAGAACACUCCCAAGUUUAUAAGGGCGAACAUCUAACAAGAUCUCUUCUCCGGUUGCUUCUUUGUAUUCGGCACUGAUGCGAACAUUUCCCAACAUCUCUUCAUUCAUCGCAUUCCUUUCAUUAUCCAUAUGAUUGAGUAGCGGGUUUUCUGUACUGAGUGAAUCCUCAAAUUUGACGAUGCCCAUAUUGAUAAAUCUUUCGACCAGCUUUUUAAAGGCAGUGCAGUUUUCUAUAGAAUGCCCUGUAAUUCUCGCAUGAUAGUUACAUUGCGCAUUUAUGUCAUACCAUUUGGGGUACGGAGGUUGUAAAGGCUUCAAGUAGAAAGGGGAGACAACAUGUGCGUCAAAUAAACUCUGAUAUAGCUCCUGGUACGACAUUGAGAUCGGUGUAAAUUGAGACUUCUUAAUGCUUUGCUUAGUGCCAGAUUCAUGUCUUGGGGAUAUCUGAUGGCCAGUAACAAUCGACCUUUGCUGACCUGAGGUAAUCGACUUUGAAUAACCCUCAUUAUGCCUACCCGCAUUGCUCACCUCAUUUUUCCUCUUCCUCGAGACCUUUGAAGUAUUGUUUUGGGAGUUCCAUUCUUGCCCUUUCUGUUUGUAAUGAUCUUCGAAUUGUUUUGAGAACUCUACCCUUGCCUGUUUUGUUCCCGCUAGAUCAUCAAGGACAGCAGAAUUUGUUAGAUUGCCCCUCAGAUUGGAACCUGAACCUAUCGCGAAAUUCACCGGUGUCGAGGUAUUGGUUUGGAUGUUGACAGUUACCCUUUGUGGAUAUGUGUUUGGUUGUGCUUGGAUGUCGGUUGGAGUAAAGUUUGGAAGAUAUGCAGGACCUUCAUUAUCAUUCCCAAAGUGGACCACGAGGUUUUUUCCUUUCUCCAACCUCAUAUCCAACAACUGUGUUAACAGGCUCAUCAGAUUUCUCUGGACUCCUAGCAUCUGAUCCUUCACAUCUUGUUGAAAUUUGGCCAAUUGCUCUAGCAUCUGUAUCUGCAUUCGCUCUAAACUCUCCAACCUUUGGUCCAUUCCUUUAGUUUUUAUUCGGGUAUCGCAAAAAUGUUGGUUUUCCAGACUUUCUGAAAUAAUUUUACCUAAUUAGGGUCACUUCGUGAAAAUCUAAUGCAUAUGAUGAAUGUAAUACAAAUGUAUGAAAUGAAUGCCUAAAGAGACGUUGAUUCUGAUUCAAUUACAUUUAGGAAACUUUUCUAGAAAGCAAAUUCCCUUACACAAAAUGGAUACAUGUACGACCUCACCCUCAUAUUCCAAGAAACAACAUUGGUCUUUUUCUUCAUCCGCAUGUUUGAGGUAAUCUCGCCAAUAGAUGCCAUUGCUAGCUCCUUCUCUUGAUCUUGGUCGCGAUCCAACAUCCGCCCAUCUUCAUAAGGCUCGUCAGCUUCUUUAAGGGAGUGGAAUGUUGAAGGCUCUUAGACAAUUGCCUUGAAUCCUCAGGCCACGAAGCAGGGUCACGAACUCUUCCAUCGCCAUUCUUGUGUUUCUCAGAAUAUAUUCGGGAAGUCAUAUUGUUUUCCAAUUUAUCAAGGAAUCCGUAUUCCAUGACAAGCUUUCUAAUUUAGUAAUCGAACUUGAAUCAAUAUCUCUUUCUUAAGAUGCAAAUGCAAUGCAAUGCAAUUAUAAUCAAAACACAACAAGAAGGGUUAGAACGAAACCUAAGCAAGCACGAAAAAUAAAAAGUACCUAAUCAGGUAAAUACUAGGGAUUUGGAGUGGCUCUACCUAGGUUAAGUUCCUAAGUCUACUAUAUGAGGGUUGGUUCUAAAGAUAAGGUACCCGAACCAGCAGAUUCCUCGAUCUUCACCCAUUAUAGGUUCAUACAGACCGUGUUCGGUUCAGGGGAAUACAUUUCCCUAUGGCUGAACGGAGAUGAAAAUCUCACGAAGACAUAGGUACGGAUGUAUCCCGGAAGUGAUCCACUAACCUGCACGGAGGUGAAAACCUCACGAAGGACUAGUUUCUCACUCACACUUAAAAGGGUGUGACCAACAAUCAUGCAAUGCAAUGUACAGAAAAAUACCAAAAUUUAAACAAACAGAGCAAUUAUAAACCACAAUAAUGAAAAUUAUAAUGAAUAAUGAAAUGCCAUGAAAGGAUCGUAAAUUUAAACCAAAUUUUCAAUUUUCGACAAAAAGACAAAAAGUAAUUAACUCGUGGCUCGACUCACUUAUUUUGAAAAAGUCCCCAGUGGAGUCGCCAAGCUGUUGACACCAUUUUUUUGAUGGAAGACGGGAUCGACUUGGGUUUUGAAAAAUGAAAACGAAAACGGGAGUCGCCACUAAUCUUUUUUGAUAAGGUGUGAUUGGAUCACCCGAAAAGUGGUUGUUUUUAAUAAAAGGUUUGAUUUUAUUAAAACAACAAGUUUGGUCUACAAAAUCCAAAAAAACGGGUUCGGGAGUCGGUUAUGCACGAGGAAGGAUUAGCACCCUCGAUAUGCCCAAAAUUGGUACCCAGAUGAUUACUUAAUGUCUUAGUGUCAAAGAUUGAAAAUUUUAAAGAAAUUUAAAAUACGAUCCUUAAAAAAACUCGUACGGUAUGGAUUUAAAUUCAAUAGGAUAUUUGGCAAUUUGGUUAAACGAGAAAUCGAAACCCAGCACCUUAGGGCACGUUCCUCGAAUUCCCAAACGCAAAACAUUGCCUUAUUUUGAAAUUUUUAAGAAGGAUAUUAAGCCAUUUGGUUGAACGAGAAAAAUCGACACCCAGCACCUUAGGGCAUGUUUUCUAGAAUUUCUAAACGGCAAAACAUUGCCUUAUUUUGAAAUUUUUGAAAGGAUAUUUAGCUAUUUGGUUGAACGAGAAAAAUCGAAACCCAGCACAUUAGGGCACGUUUUCUCGAAUUUCUAAAAGCUAAACAUUGCCUUAUUUAGAAAAAAUUUCCUUUUUUGAAGUAUGGUGUUAAUAUACAUAAUGGAAUAAUAAAUAUGACAAUUUGAACAAAAAUAAUAUAAGCAAAAAUGAAUAAAUAAAAAAAAAAUCAAUCAUGUAUAUACCAUAACGAAUAAAUAAAUAAACAAACUAAAACAUAAAAAAUGGACAUAUAAAUAAGGACAUAAAUGAAAGAAAAAAUAAAGGAAAAUAUAUGAAAAUUAUAAAAUAUAAAAUAUAAAAAAAGGUAAGUACAUAUAAGGGAAAUAUGUAUGUAUAUGCAUAAAAUUAUGGAAAUAUGAAAUAUAUAUAUAUUUAUUUUAAAAUUAUUAAAUAUAAAAUUUUAUGUAAGUGUGGAUAUACAUGUAUAUGUAUAUAAAGUAUAUAUAAUAAGGAAUAUGCAAGCAUGUAUAUAUAUAUGAAAAUUAAAAAUAUGAAUUUAAAGAUAUAUAUAUAUAAAAUAAGACAUAAAAUAUAUAUGCAAGUAAAAACGUAUAUAAAGAUAUAAAUAUAUAUAUGUAUAUAUAUAUAAUAAGAUAUGAAGUAUAUAUAUGAAAAUUAAAAUGUUUGUGAAUGUGUAGAUAUGUAUGUAAGUUAUGAAAUAAAGAGGUAAAUUUGUAUAUACAUAAAAAAAAAAGAGUAAGAAGAAUAUGUGUAUAUAUAUUUAAAAUUAUGAAAUAUAAAAUGUGCAAGUGUGUGUAUAUAAAGAAUAAAUAAUAUGUAAGUAUGUAAAUAAAUAAAUAUAAAUUAUAGGCGUAUGGAUCCUUUAUAAAAAUGUAUGGUGGAUAUAGACGUGUAUAUAUAUAUAUGUGCAAUUAUUAUAAUGAUAAUAAUAAUAACAGCAUCAUUAAAUUUGUCAAUUUUAAAAAUAAACUAACCAAAAUAACGAAAAAGGACUAAUAUGAACUUAAAACAGAAAUCUGAGGGAAUAUCGCAAAUAAAAUAAGAAAGGAGUGGCCAGCGACCGAAAUAAAACGCGCUUAAAGCGCAAGGGACCUGUUGAGAAAUAUUCCCUUUCACUGAAACGCUGCGUUUCGACCGAGGGGGGGCAUGGUCUAAGGACCAAAUCGAAAUACAAACUAAAUUCACAAGCCGAAUAACAAAUAAACAAAAAGGAUCAGAUCGGCUAUUAGACAAAAGCGGAGGGGCCUAUUGCGGAAAUAGCCCCUUUGACGAAAACACGCGGAUCCCCUGGGUCGGAUUGGGUCGACGCGCGGGUCAGGGCGUGUCAAAACGGCGCCGUUUUGUGUUUACUAUAAAUAUUAAAAAAAAACCUCAAAAACAAAUCAGUUUCAGCAUUUUAAAAAAAACAGAGAAAGAGCUCUCUCCCCUCUCUCUCAGGCCCCAAGUCAGGCCAAGGGUUCCGGCGAUUCUCCGCCAUUGACGGCGUCGCGCCGGCCACCGUACACGGUGGUCGGAAAAUUCAAAGGUAAAAUUUUUCUCUCCUUUUUCUCUCUUUUAUUUUAUAUUAUUGAUAUCUAAAAUAAAUGAAAAAAUAAGAGAUAAAAAAAUGCGAAUCUAAGAAGAAAAAACCUUUAAACUUGCUUUUUUUGUUUUUUUUUAUUUCAAACGUUCGUAGCAAAACGAAAGAAGAGAAAACUCUUCUUCUUUUACAGCAAACUCGACUUUUUUGCCGAAAAGGAAAAAAAAGAAUCCAAUAAAAAUCCCCCUCUUUUUACAGUGAUCAAGCCCUUUUUUAUAUACCCAUUUGUGUACAUUUUUUUUACACACUGUCAUUUCUCUUCUUUUCAUUGCUGUUGUUGCUGCUUUCUUUACUCGUUUGCAGGUGGGCAGUUGGGCAAUGGCAGAAAGCAGGUGAACGGCGGAGCAGAGGAGUUGGUGAGAAGGCCCUAGGUUUCUUUUUCUUUUCUGAACAUGGGUUAGGGUAGUUGGGUGUAUUGGGUUUGGGCUUUUAGAUUUUGGGUUUGGGUUAAUUAGGUUUGGUUGUAAUUUGGGCUCUGCUGGUUGUGGGUUAGUGUUUAGGUGGGUUGGUUUGUAAUGGUUUUUAUUUGGACCAUAUUGGGCCCCGGGUAAAUUUGGGCUUGUACAAUUACUAUACAACAAUUGGAAUUGAAAAUCUAGUAGGCAGGUCUCUCUUAAUCAUUAAUGAAAAAAACAAGCUAAUGAUGCACCAAAUGAUUAGAGAUAUGGGACGAGAAAUUAUUCGUCAAGAAUUUUCUGAUAUUGGGAAACGACGCAGAUUGUGGCAUAAGAAUGCGUUUGAUGUAAUAAGAGAAAAAACUGUAAGAACAUCAUUUUACUCAACUUCUUUCUUGUGUGCAUUUAAACUUUUUUUUUUAUCAAAUUUCCUUUUAUUUUUUAAAAAAGUUUUUCUGAUGCAGGAUUCCAGAACAGUUAAGUGCCUCACAAUUGACCUAAAAGGAUUGCUAGAAGACAAGGCUACAAGGACAAAUACAACUCUACAUUUUCCAAAGCAUUUCAUAAGUCAGUUUCUCAUGGCGAAUGAUGUUGAUAUGGAAACUCAAGCAUUUGCAAAGAUGAAGAGACUUAAACUGCUUCAACUGGAUUAUGUAAGACUUAAAGGAGACUUCAAAGACUUUCCCAAAAGAUUAAGAUGGUUACGUUGGCAUGGGUCUUGUAUGCAAUCUUUUCCGGUGGAUUUUGAUAUCAUUGAACUAGUUGUUCUCGACAUGCGCAACAGUAAACUUAAACAAGUUUGGAAGGAUACAGAGGUAUGAUAUAUACUAAUUUUCCUUCUUUUUGUGUUUGUGAGAAACAAUAAUGUAUAAAUGAAGGGUUUUCUUUUUUUGCAGUGCCUCCCAAAUUUAAAGAUCCUUAAUCUCAACCAUUCACAUAGCCUUCUUAAAACCCCAAGCUUUUCAGGACUCCCUAGCCUUGAGAAGUUGAUGCCCAAAGAUUGCAUAAAUUUGGUGGAAGUUGAUCAAUCCAUUGGUGAGCUAAAGAUGCUUACUUUCUUGAACCUUAAAGAUUGCACAAGUCUUAGGAAACUUCCAAGGACAAUUGGUUCAUUAAUAUCACUUGCAGAGCUUAUUUUAUCUGGUUGUUCAAGACUUGAUGAUGUCCCCAGGGAGUUGCAUAAUAUGAAAUCAUUGAAGGUGCUUAAUUUAGAUGACACUUCCAUAUGUCAAACAAGAUUGGGAUUGCAUUGGCUCUUACCGAAAAGAAGUAAAGAAUUGGGUUUCUCUUGGGCGUCUCUACCGUGCUCUUUGGUAUAGUUAAACCUUGAAAGUUGCAAAUUAUCUGAUGAUGUCAUGCCCAAUGAUCUUUAUAACUUAGCUUCAUUGAAAUCCUUAAAUUUAAGUAGAAACCCAAUUCGUUACCUUCCCGAAAGCAUAAAAAAACUUACAAAACUUGAUGAACUUCUACUGACUUCUUGCACUGAACUCCAAAAGAUUCCAAAGCUUCCAGUCUUGCCCAAUGUUUUUGAGUUCUUGACAGUAUCUCCAUUUAAAGGAUAUUGGGCAAUUCUUCCAUGCUUCUUUUCUUCCACACGAUGUGUGUUGGAGCAAGAGGCAGCAGCAGCAAGCUUCAGUAGAAUGCUUGUAUGGCAAGUCUCGUGACUUGUAGGAGAAACAAAGCAGAAAACUCAAAUGGAUUUUUAAGCAAAACUAAAAAUGGAGAGCAUAUGGAUGAUAACGUCUUGAAUUCAUUCAUCAAACUAAAAUAUGGCACAAAGCCAAUACAUAAAACAAGUUUACAAUCUUGACAAAACAGUAGGUUGACCUAAACUUCACCUACUACCACUAAUACACAUAGUAACUUGUGCUAAUUAGCUUGAAUGAACAAACAAAGCUGAUUUAUCAGCCCAAUCAACAUCAAAAUUACAUCAAACAUAAACCUAACAUAGUUAUAAAGCAACUAAGUUACAUUACUCUAACUUAAAAUUACAAAAUGAAACAUAAACAGCUUGCUGACUAGGUGAACCAGCAGCUUCUGCAUGUAAUGCCUUUGACAGUCUUGGUUGCUGCAUGCUGACCAUUACUUCAACACUCCUCCUUGGUUAGCAUGUUGCAAACUCCCAUAUUAGCUCUCAGGUGUUGAAACUUGGAAACACUUAGUGCUUUUGUUAAAAUAUCAGCAAUUUGCUCUUCAGAACUGCAAUGUAUCAGCUUAACAACAUGAGCUUGUUCCAUUUCCCGAACUGCAUGAAGUUUGAUGUUGAAGUGCUUGGUCCUUCCAUGAAAAACAGGAUUCUUUGCAAUAGCAACUGCUGAUUGGUUGUCACACAUUAUCUCAGUUGCUUCCUUUUGCUCAUGAUUGAUAUCUUUCAAAAUUUUUCUAAGCCAUAUGGCUUGAUUGACUGCUGCAGCAGCAGCCACAUAUUCUGCUUCUGCAGUCGACUGAGCCACUACUCCUUGCUUCUUUGAGCUCCAGCAUAUCAUAGCAGAGCCUAUGUUGAAUGCAUAACCUGUAGUACUCUUCAUGUCAUCCAAAGAACCAGCCCAAUCACUGUCACAAUAUCCAAUUAGCCUCAAGUUCUCAGCCUUGGUAAACUGCAUUCCAUAGGACAAAGUUCCUUUGAUGUAUCUUAGAACCCUUUUUGCAGCUCUAAAAUGACUUUCAUUUGAAGAAUGCAUAAACCUCGAGAGUAGACUCACAGCAUACAUUAUGUCAGGUCUAGUAGCAGUCAAAUACAACAAACAUCCAACUAGACUUCGAUAGGUUGUUUCACAAACCUUUUCAUGCUUGUCUUGGCUCGAGAGUUUUUCUCCAACAGCAACUGGUGUGCUGGUUGCUUUGCAAUUCUCCAUUGAGAAUUUGUUGAGAACCUUCAUAGCAAAGGUCUUUUGACUUAGCCAAAUCCCAUUCUUAGCUUGAGUUACUUCCAUGCCUAAGAAGUAAGACAUCAAUCCCAAGUCUGACAUUUCAAAGUGCUGUUGCAUUUUGACUUUAAAACUGCUUAGCAUCUCAUGAUCUCCUCCUGUCACCAGUAGGUCAUCGACAUAUAUUGAGACAAUGAGCUGAGUUUCAGCACUAGUUGAUUUAACAUACAGAGUUGGCUCGCUAAGACUUCUUUCAAAUCCUUGACUGGUCAGAUAGCCAUCUAUUCUGCUAUACCAGGCCCUUGGAGCCUGUUUCAAGCCAUACAAGGCUUUGUUGAGCUUGUACACCAUUUCUUCUUUGCCAGACACCUUGAAACCUUGAGGUUGCUCCACAUAAAUCUCCUCUUCAAGGAACCCAUUCAGAAAUGCUGAUUUUACAUCAAGUUGGUGUAUCAGCCACUGUUUUUGUGCUGCUAAGGCAACUAGCAGUCUAAUAGUGUCUAGCCUGGCCACUGGUGCAAAGGUUUCCAGGUAGUCUGAUCCAUACCUUUGACUGAAGCCUUUCACAACCAAUCUAGCCUUUAACUUGUUUAGGCUACCAUCAGUAUUGUUCUUUACUCGAUAAACCCAUUUGACACCAAUAAUUUUCCUGUUUGUUGGUUUAUCAACCAGACUCCAAGUCUGAUUCUUUUCAAUCAUUCUGAUUUCUUCAAUCAUUGCUUGCUUCCAGUCCUCCUGGUUUUCUGCUUCUUCAAAGCAACUUGGUUCAACAGUAGCCACUUGUGCUCUUUCAUAAACAUCAGCCAGUGAUCGAGUGCCUCUGAUUGGAACAUCAUCUACAUCCAUUUCAGGUGUGUUUUCAUCAUUUUCAACUUGGUCCACUGCCAGAUCUUCAGCCACUGCCUCUGGUUCAGCCUUCUCCCAAUUCCAGUGUCCUUUUUCAUUGAAAACAACAUCCCUGCUAACCAAUAUCUUGUUUGUAGCAGGUUCUAGAAUUCUGUAGCCCUUCUUAACCAAGCUGUAGCCGAUCAGGAUCCCUGCUUGAGCUCUUUUAUCUAGCUUGCUUCUCUUCUCAGCUGGAACUUGAGUAUAGCACAGACAACCAAAGGUUCUGAGAUGAGCCAGUGAUGGCUUAAACCCAAACCAGGCUUCAAAUGGAGUCUUCUCAGCCAGAGCCUUGGUUGGGAGCCUGUUUUGGAGAUAAACUGCUGUGUUAACAGCUUCAGCCCACAGACUUUUGGGCAAAUUCUUCUCAAACAUAAGACAUCUUGCCAUGUUCAUCAAGCUUCUGUUUUUCCUUUCACUGACCCCAUUCUGUUGGGGUGUAUACACAUUAGUCAACUGGUGUUUGAUACCUGCUUCUUCACAGUAGACUUGGAACUGAGCUGAGGUGUACUCAGUUCCAUUAUCUGACCUCAUUGCUCUAAGUUUGCAACCAGACUCAGUUUCAACAGCAGCCUUAUACUUCAGGAACAUAGAUGGUACUUCUGAUUUCUGUUUUAGAAAAUAAAUCCAGCAGUAUCUUGUUAAGUCAUCAAUAAAUAAAAUAAAGUACCUGCUUCCUUUGAGAGACUCAGUCUUCAUUGGUCCACACACAUCUGUAUGCACAAGCUGGAGCUUCUCUGAUGCUCUCCAUGUUGUGCUUGUUGGAAAUGGCAACCUUGCCAAUUUUCCUUGCUGACAUAUCUCACAAAGCUCAUCAUUCUUCACUGAAUCAAUGAAAUUUUCUGCCAGACCUUCAUUGACCAUGCGGGCUAUGGAUUUGUAGUUUGCAUGUCCAAGCCUCUGAUGCCAGAGUCUCGAGUCAUCAGUGGAGGCUAUGCAGGCUGAAUGUGAGUCAUUUGGCCAGUCUACUUCAAAACAUUUAUCAGUCAUGGUGACUGUUAUAAGAUUUGAUCCACUUGGAUCAAAAAUUUGACAUUCUUUCUCCUUGAAAACAACUGAGUAACCUUUCUCAAGUAGUUGAGUUAUACUGAGAAGGUUCCUAUCGAUUUCAGGUACCAAAAGUACAUUUGAAAUGAUUUUGCCACCUGUAGAAGUAUGAAUCAGCACAUCUCCUCUUCCUUCAGCAUUGAUUAACUGACCAUUUCCAAUUUUUACUUUGGUUUUGCAGGUUCUGUCCAGGGUUUUGAAGAUAGUUGCAUCUGGUGACAUGUGGUUUGUGCACCCACUGUCUAGAAGCCAGCCCUUUGAACCCUUCUUCUGAUUUGCUGCACAUGACACAGCAAAAACAUGUUCUUCUUGAUCACUGCUUUCUUCAGCUACUCGAGCUUCCACCUUUUGUUGCUGAAAUUGAUUCUGUCUUGGUUUGCUUCUAUUCUUGCAAACUUUUUCAACAUGGCCUUUUUUCUUGCAGUGUUGGCAUACUGCAUCUGGUCUAAACCAGCAUCUAUCUUCUGGAUGACCAGCUCUUUUACAAUGUCUGCAGAGUUGGUCACUGCUCCUAGCAGCAUCAGGCUUAGGCCUGUUUUUCCAGAACUUUUUGCCUUUAUGAGUUCUGAUGCUCGAGGCUUCUUUGGCUUGAAAAGCCCCUUCCUGGUGCUCCUCUUGUCUGCUAGCUCUUCUUUGCUCUUGUGCAUACAAGGCAUUGAUUAGCUCAGUUAAGGAGAUAGUUGUCAAGUCCCUUGAGUCUUCGAGGGAUGAAAUUUUAGCUUCAUACCUCUCUGGUAGAGUGGACAUGACUUUCUCAACCAUUCUAGCUUCACUGAAUUGCUCUCCUAGGAGCCUUAUGCUGUUUACAACAGCCAUAAUCCGGUCUGAGUACUGCUUAACUGUUUCUUCCUCUUUCAUUUUGAGAUUUUCAAAAUCUCUUCUCAAAUUGAGCAGCUGUUGUUGCCUUGUUUUCUCAGUCCCCUGAAAUUCUUCUUUCAGCUUGUCCCAAGCCUCCUUUGGUGUCUCACAGGCCAUGAUCCUCAUAAAGAUCACAUCUGUCACACAAUUCUGUAUGCAUGACAUGGCCUUGUGCCUUUUUGUCCUUUCAUCAGUGUGUUGCCUUAUUUGAGCAACUGUUGGAUUAGCUCGAAGAGGUGCUGGCUCAGCAUCUGAGUUAACAACUUCCCAUAGGUCGAAUGCCUGCAGGUAAGUCCUCAUCUUAACUGCCCAAAUGUUGAAGCCCUCUCCAUUGAAGACAGGUGGUGAAGCUGGUGAAAAACCUGAUGAUGCCAUCGUUUUGAUACUGAACUACAACAGGUCCUCUAAGAAUGUGGCUCUAGAUACCAAUUGUUGGAGCAAGAGGCAGCAGCAGCAAGCUUCAGUAGAAUGCUUGUAUGGCAAGUCUCGUGACUUGUAGGAGAAACAAAGCAGAAAACUCAAAUGGAUUUUUAAGCAAAACUAAAAAUGGAGAGCAUAUGGAUGAUAACGUCUUGAAUUCAUUCAUCAAACUAAAAUAUGGCACAAAGCCAAUACAUAAAACAAGUUUACAAUCUUGACAAAACAGUAGGUUGACCUAAACUUCACCUACUACCACUAAUACACAUAGUAACUUGUGCUAAUUAGCUUGAAUGAACAAACAAAGCUGAUUUAUCAGCUCAAUCAACAUCAAAAUUACAUCAAACAUAAACCUAACAUAGUUAUAAAGCAACUAAGUUACAUUACUCUAACUUAAAAUUACAAAAUGAAACAUAAACAGCUUGCUGACUAGGUGAACCAGCAGCUUCUGCAUGUAAUGCCUUUGACAGUCUUGGUUGCUGCAUGCUGACCAUUACUUCAACAAUGUGUUAUUUUUGGAUGUGAAAAAUUGACCGAGGUUCAAGAUAUAUUCAAAUUGAAACCAAUUGAAAACUUUGAAGAAGAAGAAAUUAGAAGAUUAUUCAACCUGGAUUCCAUUAGCAGAAAUCGACUGCAACUUUAUAGCUACCUAACAGACAGCAUAAUGCUUGCUACCCCACAGGUCCAACAGUUCUCCAACUUAAAUUUUAACUUUAUUUUUUUUUCUCUUAUAUUACUUAAUGAACACAUUUUUAAUCAUCUAACAUGUUUUUUUUUUGGAUCAGGUCUUGCAGGAAUGUGGUAUAACAAGCACAUUUGUUAUAGGAAGUGAAGUUCCGAUUGUGUUUAAGCAUCGCACUAAUGAGCACCGAAUCUCUUUUUCUUUGCCAACACCAUCUCAUCCAGAUGAAAAGAUCCAUCGGUUCAGCUUAUGCAUUGUUUUCUCUUUAGCUCGUGAUCAAAUAUUGGAGUUUCUACCAAGUGUCCACAUUUUCAAUGAGACCAAAAGGAUCAUGCAAAGAUAUCGCUCAAGUUUCAUCGGAAUUCCUGAGACUAACGAUAACACAAUGUUGUGGUUGAUUCAUUGGCCAGUAACGGAUUGUGAGUUUGAAGGUGGUGACCUUGUGAGUUGCAUGGUAGUGCCUAUUCAUCUCGGCAUAAGAAAAUUUGGCGUUACUUAUGAAUCACAACACAACGUUAGAAAUAAAUAUGGCUUUUCACACUUAUCUACAGGUAUGACUAUGACUCCAAGUGAUUAUGUUUAUGGAAUAUUACCCCAUGCACUAUUAACACUUAUCUAAACUAAAGAUAUAUCCUUACUGAAAUAAUUUUUUUUUGACAAAGAAAAUAAUAAAUUAUAUGAAUAUUUAAUGUGUUUUCAAUGACAAGAUUAUAUAUUAGUGAAUACAUCCUAUUAUUUUUUUAAUGUUUCCUUUUAGAUGUAAAUAACAAAUGAUUAAGAAAUGAUAAAUGUUGCAAUUGGGAUUUAAUUAAAAUAAUUUAAUUGUUUGAUAAAUGAUUAAUCCUAUUGUUAGUUUACAAGUCUUAUAAUACAUUUUAGUGAUAUAAUAUUCGUAUUUUGAUUUUUUUCAUAUAAUAUUAAGAGAAAGGGAUGGGGUCACACGGUUUGAAUCUGUAUCAAAUAGAUGUUGGACAAAAGCUUGAACCAGCAACCUAUUCAAGUCAAGACUACUAUUUUAAUAUUCUAAUAUGCAUAUCAUGUUGAUGAUCACUAGAAUUGAUAAAUAACACAUUAUUGUACAUAUUUUAGGAGAUGAAGUUGCCACAAGAAAUAUGAUGAUGGACCUAACUAAAGACUUACCCAGUUUGGAAUCUUAUGGAAAUGUUAAAGUGCAACUUUGCAGUUAUAUAGAAGAAUCAAAAGUGGUUGCUUCCCCACAGGUUCCCUUUACAAGUUUCAACUUUUAAAAAAUAUUUAUAUACUAUUUUUUAAAAUCUUAUUCUAUAACCCAAUGUUACAGCUAUUAUACGAUUACGGCAUAAUUACAACAUUUGAUCCAUUGCCAUUUGAUUACAAUGGCCACUAUUUUGGCCAUCAAGCUGGCAAGACUGAGGUUUCAAUAUCAGUGCCCCCAAACUCUAGUCGAAAGAUAAGUUGCUUCUUAAAUUCGAUUAUCAUUUUUUCUGCCAAGAAUGAUAAAACAUAUAGAUUUUUACCAUGCCUUGAAAUUGUGAACGAGACCAAAGGUACAAAAUGGACCUACUCCAAACAUUUCAUGGGAAUUCCUGAAAUUAAGAAUACCUUAUACUGGACGACUUGUUGGAACUUUAGGGGUGAUGAACUAGAAGCUGGUGAUUGUAUUAGUCUGCGGGUUCUUUCAAAUUUAUCUGUACUAAAAUUUGGGAUUGACCUUGUAUAUGAUUAUGAGCUAGAUGGUAACCCAAAUUUUUUCAGUCAGUUACCAUGGAUGAGUAAAUGUUUUACGUAUCUUUUCGGGACUUUUGUUUUUCUGUCGUCACAAUCCCAAAAAAACUUGUAUAGGUUGCAAAGUUUAGUCAAAUGCUGAUUAUUGUAGGAAUUGAAAUGGAGCAAAUGAAUAUUUUGGUUUAGUCAUUGCCGCCUUGGCUUGGCUGAUUUCAUCUUAUAUUUAAUCUCUAAUUCUUUUAUGUAUGCUAUCGAUAUUGAUUUUUGCUCAAGUUCUUCAAUGAAGCACCUUGUUCUUGGUAAUUCAAUUAACUUGUGCUUUUAACCAGAUCUCGUGGAGUUAUUUUUAACUAUUAUUAGGCUAAAUCUUUAGAGAAAAUGGUGAUUUCUAUUUAUGUUUCUAAUAUUCACGCUUGUUUUCAUUGGAAGGGACUCUGGAAAAUCUCUAAGUACCAUGGCAAAGUGUUGGGUGUUUAUUCCUAACAAUAGGAAUUGAAAAGAUCUAUCUUUUGGUUUUGUAAGAUUUGCAAGAAUUAUGGAUGCUAAGAGGGCGAUUAGUAGACUUAAUUGAUUUUGUAUAUAUGGAAGUAAAGUGAAUGUGAACUUAGCUCGCUUUGAGGGAAGAGUGGUGUACUAAAAGAAAGUUGAAAAUGGUAAGCUAGGAGGUGAUGAUCGUAGAGAUGAAUUAGGAGUAGAAAACGAGGAAAAGCAUUCUUGGGAGAUGAUUUGAUUACUAUUUGUGGAACACUAGUUCCUAUAACUACAUAUGCUUGUUCAUUAUAGUUAUCUUAAAAUAUCGAACAAAUAUCAAUUGGAUGUUCUGGUUUAAAUAUAUAAUUUCAAGAGAAUGUAUUCGUACCUCAUUCUACCCAAGAUUUAUGUCAAAUUCAAACUGUUGUGAGUUGUUAGCCAUGAUGAAAAUCAAUUUUGUAACAGUUUAAUAGGGUGGAGCUAGAAAAUUUUUUGAAGGGAGGCCGAAAUAAAAUUAUACAUUUUUAUAACAAUAAAAGUAAAAUUUUACUAUUUUAAUAGUCUACAUCUUUAUAAUUUUUAAAAAAUUAAAUUAAAAAUUUUUCGUUUUCACUCCAACUGUUUCACUCAACAUAAUAAAUUCAUUUAAAGUAGUGAAGACGAUGGGAUAAGGCUAAUGUUGAUCGUAUGGGAUAAGGCUAAUAUUUAUAAACAUUUCUUACGUUACAUUUCAACCACCUCUUUAAUUCCACCAGAAUCCGGCACUACUCGCUCUUGAGUGUAAUUAUUCGAAUAGGGAUCAUAUCUCUUUUAUAGUGGAAUACUAAUUUGUCUUAUUACAUGGGCUUGUUCAUAAGAGUUCUCUUAGAAUAUCGAACAAAUAUCAGUUGGGUAUUCUGGUUUAAAUAUUUAAUUUUCAAGAGAAUAUAUUCUUACUUCACUCUGUCCUCUCGAAGAUUUAUGUCAAAUCCAAACUGACGUGACGUGAGUUGAUAGUCAUGAUAGAAAUCAAUUCUCUAGCAUUUCAACGAGUUUUGCUUGUAAGUAAAAGUCUUUCGUAAAAAUAUUAGAUAAGUAAUUGGUAAAAAAUUUAAUUCAAAAGGCAACUAGCAAAGAGCUCUUUAAUAUUUUUCAACAUUCAUAAAGGGUUUUUAUGUACUUUUAUUGAAUGGAAUAGAUUUUUUUUUCCUAAUAGAGGAACCACGAGAAGCAAAAUCUUUUCCAAAGAAUAUUCUUAGUUGAUCUAUUCAAAAUGUACUUGGCAACCAGUUCUUGCAAAGAAAAUCAUAAUAAUUUUUCCUGUUUGAAAUCCUAAAAAUCUUUUAAAUCAACCCAAUCAUCUCAUUCGAAUACUUUAUUAAUUUUACACAAAUUAUUCUUCUCAUCAACAAAUAUUAUUUAUCACCCACUUUCAUGCAAAAUUAUUUUUACUAUGCAAGGAAUUGUCUCCAUGAAUUACUGUCAUCUUUUAGUUUAAGAUGAGUAAAUUUCAACCAGUAAUAACUUUCUUGAUGAACAUCAUAUCUAUUUUGAUGAUAUGACAUGCUUUCUUUUGAUUCAAGAAAGGCAAUCAAUGACUUGAAAUUGAACCAUGAUUUUAAAGGACUUGGGUUUAUAUAAGUGGUAAUUCAAUUUCCUUUUCCUUGUUGGAAAAGGAAUUCCAUUUUGACUUUAACUGUGAUUUUUAAGUUGUUGUUUUCUUAUUGUUAAUUAUUUAAAAAAUAAUCGCAUUUUAACUUAUAAACUUAAAUCUUAAACUAUUAUCAUUAUGUUCACUUUCUGAUGAUAAUUAACAAAAAUAUUUGGUUUUAAAAUUUUAAUACAAUCAAUGAAACGCAAUUCACAUAUAUGAAUAAUGAUGAAAUUUGACGUGAUUAAAUAAAUAUUAAAUUUUGUUAUAUUUUUAAUAAUGAAUAUAGGUAAAAUGGUAAUAAACCGACAUUUUAAUGUCAUUUAAAAUGUGUCAAAUAAAUAUUAGAUUAGAUAUUCAAUAUUAAUAAUCAAUAUAUAUUAAUUGAAUUAGAGAUUAUAAUUAGUCAUGACUGUCGAAAUUCAAAAUUGUAAAAAUUAAUAUAUAUUGAAUUAAAUGACUACUAUACAUAAUCUUUUUCAAAUAAUAAUAAUGAAAAAAAGAGUGUUUAAGACAAUUUCGUUGUAUUUGUUUGUUCUAUGAUCCAACUAUGGUAGGUAAGCGUGAUGUAGGCUCAUCGUACUCCCAUCCAGUGGCUUUAAUUUGCUCUAAUGGAAUCGAAAAUGAAUCAAUCCUUUUAACUUCUUCUUCUUCCUCUUCAUCAUCGGAAAUCGACUUUAUUUCUAAAAAAAGUUUUGGGUCGAUUUUGGAGUACCAAUCAAUAUCAUCGAUAUACAUAUCAGCUGCAUUACUUGGCAACUUAUUUGUGAAAGGAAAACGAUGAUAAUACUCCCAGAAUCUCUGUUUUGCUUCUUGGAAAGCUUUUAAACCAGCUGAAUCAUCCCAUUCGAAUACUUUAUCUAUUUUGAACAAAUUAUUCUUUGAUUCAACAAAUCUUUUCCAUGGCAUUGCACCCACUUUUAUGCAGAUUUUUUUCUCCCAUGAGGUAAUGGUUCCCAUGAAUUACAGUUAUCAUUCAGUUUGGGACAAGUAAAUUUCGGACUGUAGUACCUUUCUGGGCGAUUAUGAUAUCUUCUUUGAUAGUAUGGCAUGAUUUCUUCUAAUCCAAACAAAUAAAUGAAUUGAAAUCGCUAAUGAUUUGAAUUUACAGUGAGGAGACUUGUUGGGUUUAUAUAAUCUUAUUAGAGUCGGUGGUGACUCAAUCCAUUUCCUUGUUGGAAAAGGAAUUCUAAUUUCAGUUUGACUAUGAUUUCUAUUUUCUAAAUUUUUGUAUAAUAAAAUUUUUAAAAAAUAACUAUAUCUGUAUUGAUUCGUUUCCCUCUGAUUGAUACAUUACAUCCCUAGCUUCUCUAGAAUCCUCAUUAACUAUCUGAUCUCUUCACCCAUUGGUGUUCCCCCAAGAAUGUUUUUUCUCGUUUUCUCCUCCUAAUUCAUCUCCACGAUCAUCACCUCCUAGCUUACCGUUUUCAACUUUCUUCCAGUACACCACUUUUCCCUUAAAGCGAGCUAAGUUCACAUUUACUUUACUUCCAUCUAUACAGUAUCCAUUAAGUUUGCUAAUUGCCCUCUUAUCAUCCACAAUGCUUGCAAAUCUUACUAAACCAAAACCUAGACCUUUUCGAUGCCUCUUGUUAGGAAUAAACGCGUCCAACACUUUGCCAUGGAACUCAGAGAUUUUCCAUGGUCCCUUCCAAUGGAAACAAGGAAGAUUAGAAACAUAAACUGAAAUCACCAUUUUCUCUAAGGAUUUAGCCUAGUAAUAGUUAACAAUAACUCCACGGCAUCUGAUUAAAAGCACAAGUUAAUUGAAUUACCAAGAACAAUGUUCUUCAAUACUAUUCCAAAUUCAAUUUUGGAACUUCUGUUAUCAUAGCUUUCAACUAUUUGAAACUCUGUUGGCAUUAUUCAAUCACACAUAACUAACAUUUUCUGUAGCAACUUUCGUCAUGGUAGAGCUAUCAUCGACAAGCCUGAACAAAUCACCUGUAGUAUACAAGAAAUCCUAGAGAACUACACACUUCUAUAUUAUUUUUCAGAGAUUCCCUAAUUCACAAUUAUGAGGAGUUUAUUCGAAAUAACUCAAAUAUCUUCUGCUGUUAAUAAAAGGUUUAGAAAACUUAUUUCUUGAAAUUAAAAUUCACAUUUAUUGAUUUUCACAAAUAAUUAUUUCUCUCGUAAUAUCUGUACGUAACACUGUUUUUCCAAUACUAAUCGUGUUCAAAUUUUUUCUUCACAUGAAUUGAGUAUCUUUAAUUAUAUAGCAACAACUCUGAUAAGAUACAGCUAGAAACUUUUGUCUAUUAAAUAUAUAAAGUGACUAUGCAAUUGAUAAUCAUAUACAAUAAUCAACAUUUGUCUAAACUUUGCAACCUAUACAAGUCUUUUUGGGAUUUCGACGAAACAUAAACAAAAAUCCCGAGAAGAUACUUAAAACAUUUACUCAUCCAUGGCAACUGACUGAAAAAAUUUGGGUUGUCUUCUAGCUCAUAAUCAUAUACAAGGUCAAUACCAAAUUCUAGCACAGAUAAAUCUGAAAGAACCCGAAGACUAAUAUGAUCACCAGCUUCUAAUUCAUCACUUCUAAAGUUCCAACAAGUCGUCCAGUAUAAGGUAUUCUUAGUUUCAGGAAUUCCCAUGAAAUGUUUGGAGUAGGUCCACUUUGUACCUUUGGUCUCGUUCACAAUUUCAAGGCAUGGUAAAAAUCCAUAUGUUUUAUCAUUCUUGGCAGAAAAAAUGAUAAUCGAAUUUAAGAAGCAACUUAUCUUUCGACUAGAGUUUGGGGGCACUGAUAUUGAAACCUCAGUCUUGCCAGCUUGAUGGCCACAGUAAUGACCAUGGUAAUCAAAUAGCAAUGGAUCAAAUGUUGUAAUUAUACUGUAAUCAUAUAAUACCUGUAGCAUUGGGUUAGAGAAUGAGUUAUUAAAAAGUAUAUAGUAUAUAAAUAAUUUUAAAAACUUGGAACUUGUAAAGGGAACCUGCGGGGAAGCAAUCACUUUGGAUUCUUCUAUAUAACUGCAAAGUUGCACUUUAACAUUUCCAUAAGAUUCCAAACUGGGCAAGUGUCUAGUUAGGUCCAUCUUGAUAGUUCUUGUGGAAACUUCAUCUCCUAAAAUAUGUACAAACAAUAAUGUGUUAUUUAUCAAUUUUAGUGAUCAUCAACAUAAUUUUCUUAUUAAAAAAAUAAUAGUAUUGACUUGAAUGGAGUGAUAAUUAUCAAACACCCAUUUGACAAGAAUUCAAAUCGUGACCCAUCCCCAAUACUCAAUAUUGUAUGAAAAAAAGAUAUCAAAGUAGUAAUGUUAUUAUCACUAAAAUGUAUUAUAAGACUUGUAAGAAAUAAUCAAUUAUACACAUUAAAUAACUUUAAAACUAUUAAAUAAGUUAAUCAAAACACCACUUUUAUAAUUUUAUCCAUUAUUUUAGUUUCCACUUCUAUUAGCUAUUGGAUUAAUCAUUUAUCAAACAAUUAAAUUUUUUCAUUAGACCCCAAUUGCAGCAUAACUUUAUAAUUAUCAUUUUAUUAUUAAGCUAAAUUUCUCUCAUAAUCUAUUAAAUUGUCACAUUUCUUGAUAAUAUUUUUAUUGUAUUAGAAAGUCUUUUAGAGAAACAUUCAUCAUUUCUUGAACAUUUGUUAGUCACAUAUAAAAUAAAUAUAAUAGGACGUAUUUACUAAAAUAUAAUUAUUUGAAGUCUACUCAUACCUGUAGAUAAGUGCAAAAAGCCAUAUUCAUAUCUAAUGUUGUGUUCUGAUUCAUAAGUAACGCCAAAUUUUCUUAUGCUGAGAUGAAUAGGCACUACCGUGCAACUCACAAGGUCACCAGCUUCAAACUGACAGUCCGUUACUGGCCAAUGAAUCAACCACAACAUUGUGUUAUCGUUAGUCUCAGGAAUUCCAAUGAAACUUGAGCGAUAUCUCUGCAUGAUCCUUUUGGUCUCAUUGAAAAUGUGGACACUUGGUAUAAGCUCCAACAUUUGAUCACUAGCUAAAGAGAAAACAAUGCAUAAGCUGAACCGAUGGAUCUUUUCAUCUGGAUGAGAUGGUGUUGGCAAAAAAAAAGAGAGUAGCUAGCAUUCUUGCAAGACCUGAUCCAAUCGGAACUUCACUUCCUACAACAAAUGUGCUUGUUAUACCACAUUCUUGCAAGACCUGAUCCAAAAAGAACUAGUUAGAUGAUUAAGUAGUAUAAGAGAAAAAAUAUAUUUAAAAUUUAACUUGGAGAACUAUUGGACCUGUGGGGUAGCUAGCAUUAUGCUGUCUGUUAGGUAGCUAUAAAGUUGCAGUCGAUUUCUGUUAAUGGAAUCCACUUUGAAUAAUCUUCUAAUCUCUUCUGCUUCAAAGUUUUCAAUUGGUUCCAACUUGAAUAGAUCUUCAACCUCAGUCAACUUUUCACAUCCAAAAAUAAUACAUCGUGUGGAAGAAAAGAAGCAUGGAAUAAUUACCGUAUAUUCAUGAAAUGAAGAAUUGUCUCCAAAAAUAAACUUGCACUCAAAAACAUUGAGCAAGACCGGAAGCUUUGGAAUCAUUUGGAGUUCAGUGCAAGAAGUCAAUAGAAGUUCUUCAAGUUUUGUAAGGUUUUUUAAGCUCUCGGGUAGGUAAUGAAUUGGGUUUCUACUUAAAUUUAAGGAUUUCAAGGAAGCCAAGUUACAAAGAUCAUUGGGCAUGACAUCAUUAGAUAAUUUGCAACUUUCAAGGCUUAACUUUACCAAAGAGUCCGGUAGAGAUGCCCAAGAGAAACCCAAUCCUUUGCUUCUUUUCAGUAAGAGCCAAUGCAACCCCAAUCUUGAUUGAUAUAUGGCAGUUUCAUCUAAAUUAAGCACCUUCAAUGAUUCCAUAUUAUGCAACUCCCUAGGAACAUCAUCAAGUCUUGAACAACCAGAUAAGAUAAGCUCUUCAAGUGAUAUUAAUGAACCAAUUGUCCUUGGAAGUUUCCUAAGACUUGUGCAAUCUUUAAGGUUCAAGAAAGUAAGCAUCUUUAGCUCACCAAUGGAUUGAUCAAUUUCCACCAAAUUUAUGCAAUAUUUGAGCAUCAACUUCUCAAGGCUAGGGAGUCCUGAAAAGGUUGGGGUUUUAAGAAGGCUAUGUGAAUGGUUGAGAUUAAGGAUCUUUAAAUUUGGGAGACACUGCAAAAAAAGAAAACCCUUCUGUUAUAAAUGUAUUAUUGUUUCACACACACACAAAGAAGAAGGAAAAGUAGUAUACAUCAUACCUCUGUAUCCUUCCAAACUUGUUUAAGCUUACUGUUGCGCAUGUCGAGAACAACUAGUUCAUUGAUAUCGAAAUCCACCGGAAAAGAUUGCAUACAAAACCCAUGCCAACGUAACCAUCUUAAUCUUUUGGGAAAGUCUUUGAAGUCUCCUUUAAGUCUUACAUAAUCCAGUUGAAGCAGUUUAAGUCUCUUCAUCUUUGCAAAUGCUUGAGUUUCCAUAUCAACAUCAUUUGCCAUCAGAAACUGACUUUUGGAAUGCUUUGGAAAAUGUAGAGUUGUAUUUGUCCUUUUAGCCUUGUCUUCUAGCAAUCCUUUUAGGUCAAUUGUGAGGCACUUAACUGUUCUGGAACCCUGCAUCAGAAAAACUUUUUUAAAAAAUAAAAAAAAAAUUGAUAAAAAAAGUAGUUUACAUGCACACAAGAAAAAAGUUGAGUAAAAUGAUGUUUCUUACAAUUUUUUCUCUUAUUACAUCAAAAGCGUUCUUAUGCCACAAUCUGCUUCGUUUCCCAAUAUUAGAAGAUUCUUGACGAAUAAUUUCUCGUCCCAUAUCUCUAAUCAUUUGGUGCAUCAUUAGCUUAUUUUUUCAUUAAUGAUUAAGAGAGACCUGCCUACUAGAUUUUCAAUUCCAAUUGUUGUAUAGAAAUCACAACCAUCUAGAAUUGUAUUCGUGUAAUCUCUAUCCUUCCCAAUGAAUAAACAAACUAUGUCGAGGAAUAAAUUUUUAUCAUGAUCGUCUUCCAAAGAAUCAUAGCUUAUUCUUAGAAUCUCUUGAAUUUUGCUGUCAGGGAUUUCUUCCAAUUUCUCCAAUGCACUUUUCCAAGAACUCACACUUUUGCUAGAUAAUGAAGAGCCCAAAACUUGAAGAGCUAACGGAAGCCCACCACAGUGUUUCACUAAACUUCUUGCAUAUGCCAUUAAACUUUCAGGCACAGAGUUAUGACCAAAAGCAUACCAAUUAAAAAGUUGCAGCGAUUCACUUGAAGCUAAUUCUUUUACUUCAAAUAGCUUGCUUAAGCCUCCACAACUAGUUGAUGCUUCCAACUCAAACAUUUGGCUUAUAAAAUGUGCAUUCAAUAGGCAUCGGUUUCUACUAGUUAUGAUGAUUUUACUUCCCAGAUGAAAAGGUAUUUGAGUUCCCAUUAAUUUUCUUAUUUUUUCCAAUUCAUCAACAUCAUCAAGAACAAGAAGAACUCUUCUACAACAUACAAUUUCUUUGAUCUUGUUAAUUCCAUUAUCUAUAUUGUAUAUUUUAUGUGAUUUUCCUUUAAGGAUAUCUGAAAUAAGUUGCCUUUGCAAACGGACUAAACCAUUGCAAUCUGGACUUGUUUCUCUAACAUCAGCAAGGAAACUAUAACCUUCAAACCUCGGGAUGUUUUGAUUGUAAACAACUUUUGCAAUGGUUGUCUUCCCAAUGCCGCCAAUGCCACAAAUAGUUGCAAUGCCAACUUUAUUUGCUCCAUCUUGUUCUAACCAUUGAUUAAUUUGUGUCACGAGAGAAUCUAUUCCAACUAAAUAAGGAGGGACAUACAAAGAAAUAAGAUGAAGUUUAUUUUGAACUUCUUUAACAAUAUCUUGAAUGAAUUGUGAUUCAUGCCUAAUAAUUUAAAAAAUACAACUCAAUGGUAAAAUUUUAGAAAUUAAGUAAAAGUUACUAAUGCAUUUUCUCUUUUUUUGAUUGUUUUUAUGAGAUUAUAUGUUCAAAUAAAAAUAAGAAACUAAUGCAACAUUUUAACAUAUAUGAUAGAAUUAUUACAUUCAAAAUCAAAUCAAAUCAAAUAAAGCAACAUAAAAAUUAAUGAAAUUCAUUUGAGAAACAACCUAUACUCUAAAUUUCAACUUUCUCUUUGUGAAAGUUUAAUAACAUGAAUUUAUAUAUUUAUUUUUUAUUCAUUGUAAUAUUUUGAAUAUGUGUAGACCUAUUACACGAAUAACUUAGAUAUAAUUGUUGCAAAUAUACUACUGCAAAAUAGAAUUGUUACAAGAGACCAAACUGAAUGUCAAUAAAAUAAGAAUCAUUGUGUCGUGAAAGAAUCACUGCAUUAGAGGCAAAUUCGCCUUGAUCGAUGUAAUCGUAUAGUGGACGUUACCCCCCCAACAAAAUACUCCAAUAGUCGUACACCCGAAGGUGGAACAUGAUUAACAUUACUCUUCCCAGAAAAAAAGUUCAAUUCCCAAGAAAGAUUAAGGAGGUCACAAACAGUCCCGCUUAAAACCUAAUCUCUUAGACAAAAUCUCCCUCUCGUGUAAUUUUGCAGAACACUAGAAUUUAGAGAACAUAGAGAAGUUGUUUUUCUCUUGUUGUGUUAGGUGGGAGAAUGACCUCCUAUUUAUACUGUUUUUUGAUGGGCAAAAUAAAAAAAUAAUAGUUUUAAUUUCCAAAAAUAGUAAAUGAUUUUCCUAACUGAAAAUAUUCUAAAAAUAUUUUCUGCAACGAUUUUCCGCAAUUCAAAAUAUUCUUUUGCAUUAUCAACAAUGACAUCUUAGAAAACCACAAAUAGUGUCAUUAAAUUCAAGAGGCUAUUUCUUUUUGUUUUCAACUCAUCAAAUCCAAGUUAUUCAUGUGAUUUAAAAACAUCCCACAUUAGAUUCGAGCUAAUAUUUAAUACUUAAGCUGAUGACUUGUUUGAUAGAAAGACCAUAUUCAUACAAUACUAAUAUUUUAAUGACUCAAUUAAAACAUGUUAAUGUUUCUGAGUUAUAAUUAACCCUUUAAAAUGGAUUGAUGUAACCAUUUUAAUUUCCAAACGCUACGUAACAAUAUUUUCUAUUAAUUUUAUUUCUACUUUAUCAAGUUUUAAUGAAAAGGAUUGAAGUAACCAUAUGGAAUUGGAUUAUGUGUAUAACGUACCUGUCUUGCAGAACCAUGCCUCCUAUAUCCGCAACUUCUUUUAAAGCAUUUCUCCAUCUUUGUACCAUGUUGGUUUCGGACUCGAAGUUUUGUUCAUGUUGGGUAAAUGCUUCUGCAUAACUUCCCGUCUGGUUCUUGACUUGACUCGGAUCCACAUCAUAGAAAACUGGCAACACACUAUGUUUAGAGGAUUUCUUGUGCUCCAAUAUCAUUACAAGUUCGUUAAGACACCAUGUGGAUGCAGCAUAAUUCUUUGAGAAAACAACGAUAGAAAUUUUGGAGUGGUGUAGUAUUGCUUUUUCAAUUUCAUCUUUUAUGUUAUUCCCUCUCUCGAUUUCCUCAUCAUCUCUAAAUGUUUGAAUUCCUAAGUGCACCAAAGCUGUGUAAAGAUGAUCCGUGAAACUUUUGCGCGUAUCUUCACCUCUAAAACUCAAGAAUACAUGAUAACUACAUCGCGAGAUUUCUGACAUUGCCAUUGACGAAGAAAAUGAAGUCGUCCUGUAUUUUUUAUGUAAUAACAAGGUUCCAGCAUAUAUAUAUAUAUAUGAAUGGCAAAGCAGAUAUUAUUAGCAGUCAAGUGGCAGUUCCCAAUCCAUGGUGGGUCAAUCCUUCCACCAGUUCAUACAACUGCCCGAAGAAAUUCAUGUCGGCCAUGUUGUUUUUUUCCAAAUCUACCAACUUGGGUUACGUAUUCUAUAUUAUUAAUUUUGCUUGGCAAAUACAAUCUAUUGAUUAACUUGAUGGUUAUAGCUAACACAACACGUAAUAUAGACAUCAUCUUCAGGCUAAUAUUAGUAAAAAUACUAUGAAGGUUGUUGUAUUUUAAUUCAUACUAUAUUUUGUUUUCUCUACUUAAAAAAUAAUAAAUUAGUCAUUGUAUAUUAGAUUAGAAAGUAAACUAGUUCUUUUGUUAAAAAAAAUUAUCCAUUGUUAUUGUUAAAAAUUAGUCCAUGUAAUAAACAUGAGGUACAUGUGACACGUCACAUGCAACUACCUAAUUAUUUCGUCAUUCAUGUUAGUUUUUAACAACAAAAAUGGAUGAAACUUUUAAUAAAAAUGAUAAAUUUAUUCUUUUAUCUAUGUAUAUGGACUAAUUUGCUUGUUUUUAAAUAAAAUGGGUUAAAUACAAUUUGACUCUCAAUAGAAUGAUCUCCAUGAUACUUUUACCGGCUAAUACCUUGGUGGAUACACUCAAUAAUUAAACCAGAACCACAAUAUAUCACAUAGACAUCACUUAAACAUUCAAGUUCAGUAUAGUAAAGAAACAAUUUUAGUAUCUAUGCAUGAAUGAAGAAUUAAUUGUUUUAGAAAAAGAAUUGGUGAUUAAAUUGAUCAGGUCGUCAUAUUUUAAUUUGAUUUAUUCGUGUUAUCUAAAGUAAAUAAAUUUUUAAAAAUUAAAAAAUAAUAAAAAUUCACUGCACGUUAUAGUAAAUUGAAAAUGAGAAUUGAGAGGGACAUAAGAGAAGGAGAAUAAUUCCGAAGUCAUGCUUAAGGAAAUUAGUGGCACUAGAAAACGCGUUUCAAUCGCUUUUCAUUUCGGAGUCAUGCUUACGGUCCAUUUGGUGCUCACCAUUUUUAUUAAAAAUAUUAUCUGAAUAGAGUUUUUCAACAGAGGUAGUAGAAAGGAAGGAAAACGUCAAAGUUGUACACUUUAAAAAAAUUAUAUUAUCAGACCUUAAACAAUGAUUUGUCGGCCUUAAAUUAGCAAUUAAAGAGGAUGGGAUAAGGGUAAGGUUGAGUAAUUGAUUCAAAAUUUCAUGCUGAGGGCAACUAGCACAAAAUUGUUUAAAUAUUUUCCAGUACUCAUUAAGGAUCUUCAUAUCCUUUUUGUGGUAUGGCAUAGAUUUCUUUCCUAAUUGAAGCACAAAGUGAAGAAAAAGAAAAUUCAACGAAUAUUCUUACCAUAUCUAUUUUAAAAUAAUUCAAUUGGUAUUUUAAUGCCAUUAAAAACGUGUCAGAUAAAUAUUAGACACUACACCAAAACAGGUUUUUAGCGGCGUUUUUUUAGGCCUUUAGCGGCGCUUUUUAACGCCACUAAAGAUAUUUGCGGCGCUUCUUCAAGCGCCGGAAAAAAUGCCGCUAAUGAAAACGUCGCAAAUGUUUGCAGCGUUUACAAACAAAAACGCCGUUAAAGACCAUGUUCUUUAGCGGCGCUUAGAAAAAAACGCCGCUAAAGAUCAUGUUCUUUAGCGGCGUUUGUAAAAAAAUGCCACUAAAGACCAUGUUCUUUAGCGGCGCUUUGGAAAAAACGCCGCUAAAGAACAUGUUCUUUAGCGGCGCUUAAUGGAAAACGCCGCUAAAGAUCAUGUUCUUUAGCGGCGUUUUUUUUCUAAUCGCCGCUAAAGAACAUGUUCUUUAGUGGCAUUUUUUACAAACGCCGCAAAAGAACAUGUUCUUUAGUGGCGCUUUUAUACAAAAACGCCACUAUUUUUGGGAUUUUUUUUUAUUAAAUUUUUCAUUUUUUCUGCCCUCCUGUAGCAAAAUUUCAAAAGCAACAUUUCAAAAGCAACCAAUAGCAAUAAAUUUAUAUAAUAUUUCAACAUAAGGGAAUAAAAUAAUAUUAAUAUCAAUAAAUAAAAGUGAAUUCAUAUUGUUUUUGCAAAAAAUGUUAAAUGUUAAAUGUUAAAAUGAUAAAAAUAUUUAUGUCAUACACUAUGAAGGUGGAAGUUGCGACUUAAACAUCUUCAUCAUAAUCUGAAGCUGCUGCUGAAGUUCGUCGUACUUUUUGCUCUGCUCUGCUUCUCUUGCUGCAGCCUCCGCUUCCCUCGCUGCAGUCGCUGCUUCCCUCGCUUCCGCCUCUGCUUUAAGUUGUAGCUGGAGUUCUUCAUAUUUCCUUUGAACCUCAAUUGUAGUCGCUUGCAUCUGAGCCAUUUGGUCUUUUAACCUCUGAACUUCAGCUUGAGCCUGACUCCCCGAAGCCAUGUAUUGGUGGGAGCUGGAUCCAAAAUAUUGGGUUGGGCUAACAAAAGAUCCUUGAAAUCGAACCCGACCAUACCUUUCAGGACCCAAAACUUCAGUAAUAAUCCGAUUAUCAAUAUCUUCAAGAUGAACCGAACUAUCACUAGAAGCAAUUGCUUCGUACUCCGCCUUUUUAUCAUUUAGUUUUUCCUAAUAAAUAUAUCACAUAGUUAGGAACACAAUAUUAUAUAUUGAAAAACAUAUGCAACAUAACAAUAGUCGCAUUAACUGCAAUGAAUUAAACCAUUAGAAAAUAAACACUAUAAAUAACUAAAAUAAGUCAAAUCGUAUUAAGUAAACGUACCAUUAUUUCAGCAGCUUCAGGAGUCAUGGGAGAUCCAUCUUUCUUCCUAUGUGUAAUUUCAAAAAGUUGAAGGCGUCCAACUUUUUGACCGGACGACCGUUCCUACAAUAUAGUAGUAUAAAUAUUAUUUAAUAGAAAGUUAUACAUAUUCGACAAUAUUAAAAAAUUUAAAAAUACCUCCGCCUCAGCUACACAUGCGAAACUUCUCGACCCGGCUGUGUGGGUGAAUUUUUGUUUCUGCCUGCUGCUUAUUCCAACUUGUUCACGAUCCUACGUUAUGAAAUUUUUUAGUACGUAAAUAGAAAAUACUAUAAACCAAAAUAAUUACAAUAGUUUAGAAGGACGUCAGACCUCGCCUUUAUUCGAAUGCCAAAAUCUAACCGCAUCUUCCCAUUGGUACCUCAACAUACCCGGUGGGACAUUUUGCAAUUUCUCAUCGAGGGUUGUUUUUGUCUUAUAAUAAUUUUUCUUCAAAGUACUUUUGUUGUCUCUCCAUCUUUUUCCCAAUGCCUUCUUUACAUAAGCAUCCGAGACCUCUAAAGCAAACCUCGCCUGCAAAAAACAAAAAACACAAGUUAAUAAAGUAAAUAUAAAUGAAACUAUUUCCCAAGCAUUAUAGAUGACAUUAACAUUUUGUUACCUUAAUAUUAUCGAGGGCUUGGUUUUUGUUGCUAUCGGGCAUUUGAUGCCAUGACUCGUAGUUUAUAGGUAACAUAUUCGGAUUUCGUGCUAAAAUGCCCAUGUAUCCAGCUAAAAGUCGAGCUUCUGAUCCAACAGGCUGACCAAAACUGUUUCGUCCAACUUUGACACGCUCGACUGAAUCUAACUCGUACAACUCUCUAAGUAGCGUACGUCCUCGACCUCUGCGCGUCCCACCAUUUUCAGCUACAAAUGGUAUAUUAUAAUAUAAGAAUUUGAAAAAUAAAUCAACUAUAACAGAAACACGCAUGUAAAUUAAAUGAAAAAUUACUUUGAACUUCUGUAGGAUCCUCAGCUAUAAUCGGAACAUUUGAAGAUCCAACUGCUGUCUGUUGUUCAGUACUAUUAGUUUCUGUCGAGUUUGGAUUAUUUUGAACAAUGCUUCCCCUUAGAAUUUUUCUUCUAGGCAUUUUAUCUACAAUACACAUAAAAUAGUUAAUAACUUAAUAGCUAAUUACAACAAUAACAGCACAUAUAAAACAGUUGAAACAUAUAAUAAGACGAAGAUUUAAAUUAUGAUAUUAUAUAUAAUUAAACAAUCGUAAAAUCUUACUACAUCAUUAUUCGUAAAUAUCUUCAUCGGUAUCCUGACGAACCCAUCCAAAUUGUGCACUAGUACUAGGGAUAUUAUCGUUUAAGUUUAGUUCUGGAAAGGGUAAAGUUACUGAUCUAUCUUCGAUGUUAUCUCUACUUCCACUGCCCAUAUCAAACAAGUCUCUAGGGAUGUUACGGAGUACAACGUACCAACCCUCAUCAGUUGGAUCUUUUGAGUAAAAAACUUGUUUGACUUGAGAUGAGAAUACAUACGGCUCAUCUAUCAGUUGUUGUCCUGUGUGAAUCAAUCGGUCAAAGUUCACCAUUGUAAAACCAAAUUGAUCUUGCUUAAUUCCACGAGCUGUAUUAACAUCGGCCCAAUCACCACGAAAUAAGACAACUUUCCAUUUGCCGUAGUAAUCCAACUCAAUUAUGUCAGUAAGUUGUCCGAAAUAUUCCACAUUUCCCUCGACAGGAUUAUUGUCCCUAGCACUAGCAUAACUCGUAAUUGCAGAAUUGACAACAAUUCCACAAUUUUGCGUUCUCCUCAACCUCUCGCGAUAUUUUGUAUGAAAUCUGAAUCCGUUGAUGAGGAACGCACUAUAUCUUUUAACCACUCGAUUUGGACCUUGGGAGAGCCAUUUAACAUCGUCGUUUACGUUCUUCCCGCUCCAAACCUAUUGAAUGGAAAGUAAACUGAGUAAUUCAUUUGUUAUGAGAAAACAUUAUUAUUUGUAAGCGGAAGCUCGAACUGCAUACCGUUUGGCUUAACCAUUCAUAAAAUGAUUCUGUAAACAACUUAUUGAUAUCUCGAUGUUGUGUUCUUCGGGAGCGCAAACGAGAUCUCAAUAUUUGUUUGUACUCACUGUGUUAAAAAAAUGUGAUCUUUGUUAGAAGAUAAACAAUUAUUAGUUUGAUAAAUAUUUAUCAAAUUUGUAGAACUUACUUCCGUAAAGGUUCCAAUAAAUCAUGGUGAAACAGAACAUAUCGAUGUGCUUGUACCCACGAUAAAUGAUCUAAUUCUGUAAUUUCAACUUUUCUGAUUGGUUCUCCAAAACUUUGGAACAAAUAAGUAUCGGCUAAGUUAUGGUCCGUGAGUCCAGCAUUCCUAUUUGGUCUGUUUAACCUUAUUUCAACAUCUUCCAAAUAUCUUGAGCAGAAGGUCAUACAUUCUUCUGCCAAGUAGCCUUCAGCAAUCGAUCCUUCUGGAUAUCGCUUGUUGCGGCAGUAAGACUUUAAUUUGGAUAGAAACCUAAACAUAAUAUACAACAUUUCUUAAUUAUUGAAACUAAAGGCAUAAAGGUGAAUGAAGGAAAACUUUAAAACUUUUAAUUAACACCUUUCUAUGGGAUACAUCCAUCGAUAGAAAACGGGUCCGCCAAGAAUUACUUCGUGCGGGAGAUGGAUUAUCAAGUGAACCAUAAUGGUGAAGAAGGAAGGUGGGAAGAUUUUCUCCAUGUUGCAUAAAAUUAAAGCGGUUCGAUCCUGUACCUUCUGAAGUUCUUGAACGUCCAAAACUUUGCCACAAAUGGCUUUCAUUAUGUUGGAUAGUUCAAUUAUACAAGACGUCACCUUCUUGGACAUACAACAUCGUAGAGCCACUGGCAGUAAAUCUUGCAUCAAGAUGUGAUAGUCAUGUGAUUUUAGCGAAUAUAAUCUUCUAUCUUUAACACUAACACAUCGAGAUAUAUUUGAUGCAUACGCAUCUGGAACCUUUAUAUCCUUCAACACCGUGCAGAACAAUUCUUUUUCCGUCUUUGACAUUGAAAAAAUAGAAGGCGGCAACCGAUAUUUCCCAUUCGGAAGUGGAUUGGGAUGAAGAUCAGGUCGGAUUCCCAUUUGGACUAAAUCAAGUCGACUCUGAAGAUUGUCUUUUGAUUUUCCGUCGACAUUCAAAACUGUACCCACAAUGUUCUCGCAGACAUUUUUCUCAAUGUGCAUAACAUCAAGAUUGUGUCGUAGAAGGUGAUGCUCCCAAUAAGGUAACUGAAAAAAAAUACUUCUUUUUUUCCACAACUCCGCCUCAUUAGGAUCGUCCUCUUCAUCAGAGUCAUCAUCAGCUUCAUCAUUGGAUCUUCUAUUUCUUUGCAUGUUUGGCGGUUGGUUCAUCUUCCCAUAAAUAAAAUUCAUAUCUUCCAACAUGAACAAGAUUUCAGAGCCACUGGUCUGUGAAGGAGCUUCUCUGAACUCUUCAGUACCGUCAAAUACAGAACUCUGAAAUCUAAAUCUAUGAUUUUCCGGUAACCACCGACGAUGCCCCAUGUAAGAGAACUUCUUCCCAUUGUAUAACCAUUGCGAACAUGUUUGUGCAGCACAACAAGGACACGCAUAACGACCCUUGGUACUCCAACCGGAUAAAUUGGCAUAAGCGGGAAAGUCAUUAAUGGUCCACAUUAAAGCUGCACGUAAAUUAAAGUUCUCCUUUCUCAGCACAUCGUAUGUCUCAACACCAACCCACAAUUGUUUUAACUCUUCAAUAAGUGGCUGCAAAUAAAUGUCGAUAUCAUUCCCGGGCCCUUUCUCUCCAGGGAUAAUCAUAGAUAAGAUUAGGGAAGAUUGCUUCAUGCAAAUCCAUGGAGGCAGAUUGUAAGGAACAAGCACUACUGGCCAAGUACUGUAGGCAGUGCUCAUGAUCUUGAAAGGAUUAAAUCCAUCAGAUGCUAGCCCAAGCCUCACACUCCUAGGAUCGCUUGCGAAGCUUGUAAAUUUAUUGUCAAAUGAUUUCCAAGCUAAAGAAUCUGCCGGAUGCCUUAGUAAUCCAUCAACGGUUCGUCCAUCAUGGUGCCAUGUCAUUGACUCCGCUGUCUUCGACGAUAAAAAAAGCCUUUGAAGCCUUGGUAUCAACGGAAAAUACCGUAAAAUCUUGGCUGGCUUCUUCCGUGACUGUGCAUCAUUUUCAUCGUCGUUCCCAUCUUCUGUGUUUCUACUUGUCCAACGAGAGUGGCCGCAUACAUGACAGCACUGUUGGUUUCUCCGAUCGCCCCAAUACAACAUGCAGUCAUUUGGGCAACUAUGGAUUUUGUUAUACCCAAGGCCUAAAUAUUUUAUCAUCUUCUUCAUAUCUUUGCAGGACCGAGGGAUUUUUGCAAACGGGAACAUUUCUCUCAAAAACUCUAACAGCAUUGUCAACGAGUUUCCCGUCCACCCUCCCAAACACUUUAAUUGAAAAAGACGAACACAGAAGGACAUCUUUGAAAAUUUUGAUCCCUCAUACAGUUCUUCGUUCAUGUCAUUAAGUAGCGCGUAGAACUUCGCCGCUUCUCCAUUCGGCUCUUCAUGACGUACACUACUUCCCGGGUCGGUAAAAGUAUUUCCACCAAUAUUACAAUCAUCAGAGGCCAUAAAGUCCGCUGGGAAUGAUUCGACACCAUGAUUGUGCAUAUUAAAUGCAUCCCGCAACAUACCUUCCAUGUCAUCCCCUCUACCAGACUGAUGGUAAGCAGUAUCAGGAUAAGUUACAUCCAUACUUGAAGAGGAAGUACUAGGCGGGCAUUCUCCAUGAAAUAACCAUUGUUUAUAACCCCGAACAAACCCAUCAACAAUUAGAUGCUCGUAUACAACUUCACGAUAAUGCCAGUUUAUGUUGACACACUUCUUACACGGGCAAAGAAUCAUGUUCUCUUGGCUUGCAUAUUGAAAUGCAAAAUUUAGAAAAGUCUGUACUCCAUUUCGAUAACCGUCGCUUACCCUUAACAAAUUCAUCCAAGACCGGUCCAUUUCUUAGAUCUUGAAGUCUGAUUUUCACCAGAAAUUGCAAUGGUAAGUUAUGUAAGUUAUGUAAGUUAAAUGUAUUAUGUAAGUUAAAUGUAAGUUGUAAGUUAUUAUGUAUUAUGUAAGUUGUAAGUUAAAUGUAUUGUGUAAGUUGUAAGUUAAAUGUAUUAUGUAAGUUGUAAGUUAUUAUGUAUUGUGUAAGUUAUUAUGUAUUGUGUAAGUUGCAAGUUAAAUGUAUUAUGUAAGUUGUAAGUUAUUAUGUAUUAUGUAAGUUGUAAGUUAUUAUGUAUUGUGUAAGUUGUAAGUUAUUAUGUAUUAUGUAAGUUGUAAGUUAUUAUGUAUUGUGUAAGUUGUAAGUUAAAUGUAUUAUGUCAGUCAAAUGUAUUAUGUAAGUUGUAAGUUAAAUGUAUUAUGUAAGUUGUAAGUUAUUAUGUAUUAUGUAAGUAAUGUAAGUUAAAUGUAUUAUGUAAGUUGUAAGUUAUUAUGUAUUAUUUAAUAAAAUAAUAUAUAAUUUAAUAACAUUACUAAUAUAAUUAUUAAUAAUAUUUAAUAAAAUAACAUUUUAUUUUAAUAGUCAAUUUUAAUAUUCCACAUAUUUUUUUAUAAUUAUUAAUAAUAUUUAAUAAAAUAACAUUUUAUUUUAAUAGUCAAUUUUAAUAUUCCACAUAUUUUUUUAUAUUUUAUUUUAUCUUUUAUGAUAACAUGAUAACAAAAAUUAAUUAUAAGGUAUACUCUUUAAUAAAUGGUUUAUUUAUAGCAAUCUUUUGGUUACGUAAGAUAUGUAUGAUGUAAGUAUAGCACUUUUAUGCAUCUUAUUUAUAAUUAUUUAAGUAAUAAAUUUAAGUAACAUAUUUAAGUAAUAAAUUUAAGUAACAUAUUUAAGUAAUAAAUUUAAACAAAUUUUAGUAAGUAAUGUAUUUUAGUAAGUAAUGUAUUUUAGUAAUAAAUUUAAACAAAUUUUAGUAAGUAAUGUAUUUAAGUAAUUAAUAAAUUUAAACAAAUUUUAGUAAGUAAUGUAUUUUAGUAAGUAAUGUAUUUUAGUAAUAAAUUUAAACAAAUUUUAGUAAGUAAUGUAUUUUAGAAAUAAAUUUAAACAAAUUUAUGUAAGUAAUGUAUUUUAGUAAGUAAUGUAUUUUAGUAAUAAAUUUAAACAAAUUUUAGUAAGUAAUUUAUUUUAGUAAGUAAUGUAUUUUAGUAAUAAAUUUAACAUUCAAUCGCAUAAAUGAGAACUAACGUCGAUAAUUUAUUAAUUGACAAGAUCCUUGAAAAUCGAUAAUUUGUUCACUUUAAAACGAAUCCACUAUUUGCCCAUAAUUUAUUCACUUACUCAAAUAUAUAAACUGAUUUAAGAAUUUUAAUCAUUUGCGUAAUUAUUUUUGUUUGGGUAAAAAAUACGUACAAGAAUUACAAUCAUAGUUUAUACCUUGCAGUUAUGGAAAAAUUUGGCAAAGUAACAUGCAAAUUGAGCCAGCAACAUAUAAAUAAAAAAUGAUAAAUAAACCAAUACCGACAGCGUAAAAAAUUUUUUUUAAUUAAAACUCCCUUUUAAAACUCAAAAAUAAUAAUUAAAGUAACAAAAUCCAAAAUUUAAACAUUUGGAGGUGUUUUUUUAAGAAAACCGAGGUGGGAAACAUAGGAAUAAAUACCUCAAUUUCCUGGACUUCGAAGCAAACUACUGCAAAAAAUAAAAAUAAAAAGGAAAACAUAAGUAAGUUAGUUCCAAAUAAACAGGAAAGAAUUAGUAUAAAACUUAAAUAUAACAAAAUCCAAAAUCCAUCAUGUACAACGCUAUUAAACUUUAAGUUAUUUUAUGAGUUUUCUUCCAAAAAAAAAUCUAAACAAAAUAAUCACAAUAUGUCAUGCGUUGAUAAAUUAUAAUGUAGAAUUAAACCAAUCAUGAUUGGACAUAUGUCAUGUGUUGAUAAAAAUAAUUAAUGUUAUCUUCAAUACUCAAUUUUGAAUCAUAUAUGAAGUUUUAAAAUUAACUAUAAAGAUUCAUAAAACAAUUAUAUGGGGCGGGUGACAGUUUAUGAACAAUCUUUCAAGUGAGAUUAUUCAGCCGUCCAUAGUUUAACUUAGUCACUCCCUUUAUCCAACUUUUAACCAAAGGAACAUGUACAUGUUAAACUUCUUUAAUUGUGGGCUUCUUUUAGUUAUAAUCGACAUCAGAUUCAGUCGUUUUGAGGCUCUUCCAAGUUGGUUCAUUCCUAGGCUUUUAACAAAAUCUAACUUUUUGAAACCCCAUAUUGUACAUGAUUCAUCAUUUUCUUCAUCCCUUGCCAACAUUGUUUCCAAAAGAAAACAAACCAGAAAAAGCAAAAUCUGCUAAAGAACAGAACAAUAUCAGGUUGUUUAAUGUAUUAAAGGCAAACUAGAUUCCCCAAUUUGGUAAGAAAGGCAUAUAUUCUCGAUAACACAAUAACCAAGACUACAUAUAUACUGACAUAUAAAACAGUUUUGCUUAUUGUCCUAGUUGCCACAUAUGUUUAAAAGGAACCCAGAUUAAACUCUAGAAUCCACAGCCAUAAAGAUGAUAAUACAUUAGUUACCCAUUAGUUACCCACUAGUUACCCAUAGUUUGAGAUAUUCAAAUUUAGUUACCCAUUAGUUACCCAAAUACUACCAUUAGUUACCCUUUUAUGCUUCUCCAAAAAUCGCUGUAAUGGAGAAACAGCAGGCUAAGAUGAAUACUUUUGAACAAUAUAGUUGGAAUCCCCCCUCAUCUCCAAUCAUGGAAAUUGAAAGAGAGAAAACCCCAAAACCACUUGAAAUAAAAUAACAUCUGAACCAUUGCCUUCACAAUUACAAAUCAGAUUCUAAAAGAAGCUAAAAUACCUUGAUAAAAGUAAGGAAAUUAUUCUACACAUAUCCAACUCUUCAUAUUUUACAAAUGCAAUCUAAUUUGGCAAAAUACCUCACCAUCAAAAUCUGAAUAUAGAAUUAACUAAUAUAUGAGAUGAUAAUGCAUUUGUAGGAUUUCCCUAUUUUGGAGAAACUAAUAUGAUAAUGGAUUAGUUGGCUAAAUGAUUCUCAAGUAAAUUAAGAAAAUAGAAAAGAGCAGUGUACUAAAUAAAGAAAAUAGAAAGAAUAGCAAACCAGAAAAUAGUAAUGUACCGGUUUGAAAGGGUUACUGAUGCUGCAAACUAACAACACCCAAUUACUUCUGCAUUGUUUGGGGACGGUCGCAAAAGAAGACAACAUCAAUGUUUUGUAUUACAACCAAGCAGACGAGGCAGAAAGAAAAAAAAUUAUAAUUUUUUCCCACACUAAAAAUAUAACUUACCGGUGGUUGCGGGAGCAGAGAGAGACGGUGAUGGUGACGGUGAUGCAGUAGAUGAGACGGCGAUGGUGAUGAAGCAGGCGACGGUCACGGUCACGGCGAAGCUGGUCGGGUUUGGGGAGAUUAGGGACUAAGGAAGCUAGGGAUUUCGGCUAAACAAUUGGGGGAAACUGAUGAAGAAGAAUCGGGUUUUGCCUGGUUAAAAGGGCUGGAAAGAAAACGACGUCGUUUCGGUAGAUAAAUGAACCCACUGAUAGCGGCGUUUGUAAAUAAGCGCCACAAAAUGUCCACAUAAACGAAGUCGUUUCAGGAACAGACAGUCAAAUUUCUGGCGUUUUGGCAUAAAACGCCACUCACAACAUUAAAAAACGACGACGUUUUCAAUGACUAAACUAACAAAUUUGCGGCGUUUCUAAAUAAGCGCCACUAAACAAACCCAAAAACGAUGACGUUUCCCAAACAGUUAUGACAAAAUUAACCCAUUUGCGGCGUUUAUUACAAAGCGCCACAAAAUAAAAUUACAAACGAUGUCGUUCCUCAGCCAGUUAGUCAAAUUUGUGGCGUUUAGGCAUAAGCGCCACUCAAUUAACAGUGACUAAACGACUAACGUUGCGGCGUUUACACAAAAGCGCCACUAAAUUAACCGUCCAAACGGUGUCAUUUUUAAAAAAGUAGGACAAGUGUUAACAUUUUACAAACCUCUGUAUCAAAUUAAACUUCAUGUAAACAAUUGAACAUUUAAUCAUUAUUCAUGUACGGUUUUGGGAUUUAACCCAUUUUGGUAUAUAUUUAUAUUUUUUAAAUUGAUAAUUUAUAUAUAUCUUUUUUAGAUUCAGAAAAUAUAAAAAACUUAAAUUAAACCCUAAACCCUAAAUUAACCAUAAUUAAUCCUAAACCAUAUUUUCAAGAAUUCGUGUUGCUAAUGUUAGUGUGUAGUACAAAACAUAUAUUUUAACCUUAAAUUAUAAAAUGCAAACCGUUAACCACAAGCAUCAAGCCCUAAAACACUAAUUAACCUCUUAACAUGACUAAAGCGGCCUAAACCUCAAACCGUAAACUCUAAACUUCUAAACCCUAAACACCAAAACCUACUUCAUAAAUCCUAAACUCAAAACUCUAAUAUUCACAAAAUAAUAAACAUUAUAUAAUGAUUAAACCUAAAACCCUAAACUAUAUACAAUAUUAAACUUUUUAACUUAUAAUAAUCACUGAACCUUAAUCACUAAACUCUCAAACCCUAAACCAAAAACACUAAACCUACAUCGUAAACCUUAAACCCUAAACUCUAAACCCUAAACCAGAAUUCAAAAAUAAUAAACAUUAUAUAAUAUCCUAUUUCCUACAUUAUAUAAUAACCUACAUUAUAUAAUAAACUACAUAUAUAAUAAUCUAGCGGCGCUUCCCACAACGCGCCGCUAAUAAUAUGUUUUACCGGCGUUUUACCAUAAGCGCCACAACUGGUAGUAUACAUCAAGACCAAAGCGCUGCGUUUUGGUUAAUGUUUUGCGGCGCUUUACAAUAAGCGCCGCUAAUACUAUGAUUUAGCGGCGUUUUCAAAUAAGCGCCACUAAUCGUAAUGUACCUCAAGACCAAACUCUGCGUUUUGGUUAAGAAAUAUUGCGGCGCUUUUCACUACUCGCCGCUAAUACUAUUCUUUAGCAGCGUUUUAAUAUAAGUGCCACUACUGCUAGUAUACAUCAAGACCAAAGCGCUGCGUUUUGGUUAAUAUUUUGCGGCGUUUUCCAAUAAGCGCCACUAAUCCUAAUAUACCGCAAGACCAAACUCUGCGUUUUGGUUAAGAAAUCUUGCGGCGCUUUUCACUACUCGCUGCUAAUACUAUUCUUUAGUAGCGUUUUAAUAUAAGUGCCACUACUGGUAGUAUACAUCAAGACCAAAGCGCUGCGUUUUGGUUAAUAUUUUGCGACGCUUUACAAUAAGCGCCGCUACUACUAUGCGUUAGCGGCGUUUUUAAAUAAGCGCCACUAAUCCUAAUGUACCUCAAGACCAAACUCUGCGUUUUGGUUAAGAAAUAUUGCGGCGCUUUUCAGUACUCGCCGCUAAUACUAUACUUUAGCGACGUUUGAAUAUAAGCGCCACUAAGGCUACUAUACAUCAAGACCAAAGCGCUGCGUUUUGGAUAAGAGCUUUUGCGGCGCUUGGUAGUAAACGUCGCUAAAGAUGUUCUUUUACGGCGUUUAUUUAAAAAACGACACUGUAUGUCUGACUUUUACCGGCGUUUUAUUAGAAUCGCCGCUAUUGAUACAUCUUCAGCGGCGUUUUAUGAUUUGCGCCGCUAAUUCUCGAUUUUUAGGGCGUUUUUAAUCCAAACGCCACAAAAGGUGCCGCUAAAGGUCUGUUUUGGUGUAGUGAGAUUAGAUAUUCAAUAUUAAUAAUCAAUAUAUAUUAAUUGAAUUAUACAUUAUAAUUAAGGAUGAGUGUCGAAAAUCAAAAUUGUAAAUAUUAAUAUAUAUUGAAUUAAAUUACUACCAUACAUAAUCUUAUUCAAAUAAUAAUAAUGAAAAAAAUGAGUGUUUAAGACAAUUUCGUUGUAUUUGUUUGUUCUAUGAUCCAACUAUAGUAGGUAAGCGUGGUGUAGGUUCAUCGUACUCCCAUCCAAUGGCUUUAAUUUGCUCUAAUGGAAUCGAAAAUGAAUCAAUCCUUUUAACUUCUUCUUCCUCUUCAUCAUCAAAAAUUGACUUUAUUUCCAAAAAAAGGUUUUGGAUCAAUUUUGGAGUUCCAAUCAAUAUCAUCUAUAUACAUAUCUGUUGCAUUACUUGGCAACUUAUUUGUGCAACGAAAACGAUGAUAACAUUCCCAGAAUCUAUGUUUGGCUUUCUAAAAAGCUUUUAAACCAGCUGAAUCAUCCCAUCAGAAUACUUUAUCGGUUUUCAACAAAUUAUUCUUUGAUUCAACAAAUCUUUUCCAUGGUAUUGCACCCACUUUUAUGCAGAAUUUUUUCUCUCAUGCUGGUAAUGGUUCCCAUGAAUUAUUGUUAUCAUUCGGUUUGGGACGAGUAAAUUUCUUUUUUGUAGUAACUUUGUUGGCGAUUAUGAUAUCUUCUUUGAUAGUAUGACACGAUUUCUUGUAAUCCAAACAAAUAAAGGAAUUGAAAUCGCUAAUGAUAUGGAUUUACAGCGAGGGGACUUGUUGGGUUUAUAUAUAAGAUUAUUAGAGUUGGUGGUGACUCAAUCCUUUUCCAACAAUUCUAAUUUCAGUUUGAUUAUUGAUGGGUGUCGAAUCCACCAAUAUAAACCUACACCUAAUUUUGCAAAUUUAAACAGUAUAAAGAGUAGGGUCGAUCCCUCAGAGACUGGGUUUACUGCAAAUUGUUGCUCUCUUGACCAGAUUUAUGUCGGGGCAGUUGUCAUGCCCAAGAAAUUUGGGGGAAGGAUAAAAUCGAAAACCUGGAACCUGAAAUAAAUAAAUAAAUAAAAUGCGUAAAAAGUAAAAGCUGCAAAUAAAUAAUAAAAGGCAGUUAAAUAAAUCUGAAGAAAAAUUAAUUAAAAUAAGCUCAGCUUUAGGCACGGAUUUUUCCUCGUCUUUGAACCAAUCCUCGAAAUUAGAUGAACUCCUCUUUUCCAAUAAGCUAGUUAUAGCUACCAAGGACGCCUCGGACACCAACUCUUCCUUGUGUAAAUUAGUUAUGGAACGUCCAAUAACUAACCCUUACCAAUCGAACAACCACGAAACGUUCGUGAUUUAGAACUUCUGCAGCUUUGCGUUCUAGAAGAGCCUAGCUCGAACCAAUGCCCUCAACCGCGUGGGACAUUUAAAUCCGGUUACUACUUCCCUUGACGGAACCAAACAACAAUCUCCACUUGGCAUGCCAAUAUGUUUACAGAAAACCGAUUAGAAACGUUCCUUUCGGAAUUCCAACUGUACGUCUAACCACACUAAAUCAAACGACGUCUUUUUUGACUUAAUGUUGAUCUGACUUUGUGAGUUGACAAAAUCAUACUCUUAAUCCGAAGAAAUAAUAAGUACUAGAAUUUAGAAGUUAAUUUGCUCGGGUGCGUAACUCACGAGUUUUGGCGAGGCUAAUUCCGGCCUAAAACUGAAAUGGAUACUUAAUAAAAAAAACUUGGUAAUAAAAAACUUGAUUAAUGACUUGAUUCAAGACUUGAUGAUAAAAUGAACAAAGUAGUCCACUAUUUAUACUAGUGGCUUUGCUAAAUUAAGAGCCAACUAGUAUAGAAAAUCAAUGAAUAAAAUAUUAAAAAUCCCUACAUAAUCUCCCACUAAGUUAACAAAAAUUUCAGCUAAUUAAUCUUGGAAAAAUUCUGCUUUGGUCCUCCUUCUUUGCUUCUUUCUUCAAUCUAGCCCAAUUGUCUCAUUUUUCUUCUUUUUAGCCCCAAAUUGCACUCCUACACAAAAUUCAACAAAAACAUGGAAAAAUUAGUGUUGCACUCUCAUAAAUUAACCAAUUUAAUUACAUAAAAUAUGUAACUUUAGCAUUUAAACAAAUCCCCCUACUUAGCUUAUGCUAGUCCUCGAGCAUUUUGUAUGUAUCUACAAAAAGAAAAAAAAUUUCUCCAAAAUAGGGCUUGACCACCAUGGUUUGCACAAUUCAACAAUUUAAUCCUAGCACAUUAACAUCUCAAAUAACCUAGCCUAUGAAGUAAGUAAAUAUAUUUCAGAAUUUAUUAGAGCUUGAUAGACCUACCCCUAAUUUAUUUUUAUUUAUAAUAAUAAUAAUAAUAAUUUUUUGUGUACUUAGGACAUUUUCGAAUUUUUUUUACGCGAGACAAGAUGACAACCCAAGCACCAUGUUCUGGUUACUCGAUUCGGAUGUCUCUAAGCGGGUUAUUUCGCCCUACUCGUGAUAGCUUGUUAGCGGAGUGAGUGCAAAGAAAUUAUAUAGUCACACUUUGCGCGAGAUGUGAUGACAACCCAAGCACCACAUUCCGGUUACUCAGCCUGAUGUACAACCCCAAUUUUCACUUUUAACAUUCGUAUCAGAGGAGUAUUUAUUCAUUUCUUCUUUUUUUCUCUUUUUUUUUUUCUCUCUUUGUUUUUUUUAAGAAGAGAAGGAAAAAAAUUGAGAUGUGAUAUGAGGUAGGCAGUCAAGCAAACUCAUAAUUCCUAAAAAAAAAUUCUUUCCCACUACGUCUAGCCUAUUGAAAAGUUUGUGUAAAGAACUAAAUAGCUAAAUAGGUCAAACCAUAAGUGUAUCAUCCUAAUUUAUCAAAAGAAAAAUUUUACCUUUCACGGAAAAUAUGCAAAAACAGCGACAACGAAUAAGCAAAAUAGAACCAAUAUAUGUUCCCUUCCCCCUACUUAUUUUACAUUGUCCCUAAUGUAAUUUGAAUUGAAUUAAAUGAUAAAAAGUAAAGGUAAGUAGGGAAAGGAAAAAGAAACUCCCGAUGUAUUUCAACGUCGUGGAGGGUUGCCUAGUAGGUGUGUCCACGGUGUUAAAUGGUGGGUAGGUGGAUUGGGCCUUUGCUGAAAUUAAAAGAAUUUUGUGGGCUGACAUGGGGGAUUUAAUUUUGUCUUGGAAUGUCUCCCUGUUAUUCAAAUUCUGGGCUCCUCGAGAACAAUUGUAAGUGUUGUUAGUCCCCGGCAACGUCGCCAAAACUGAUGGGUGUCGACUCCACCAAUAUAAAACUACACCUAAUUUUGAAAAUUCAAGCAGUAUAGGGAGUAGGGUCGAUCCCUCAGAGACUGGGUUUACUGCAAAUUGUUGCUCUCUUGACCAGAUUUAUGUCGGGGCAGUUGUCGUGCCCAAGAAAUUUGGGGGAAGGAUAAAAUCGAAAACUUGGAACCUGAAAUAAAUAAAUAAAAUGCGUAAAAAGUAAAAGCUACAAAUAAAUAAUAAAAGGCAAUUAAAUAAAUCUGAAGAAAAAUUAAUUAAAAUAAGCUCAGCUUUAGGUACGGAUUUUUCCUCGUCUUUGAACCGAUCCUCAAAAUUAGAUGAACUCCUCUUUUCCAAUAAGCUAGUUAUAGCUACGAAGGAUGCCUUGGACACCAACUCUUCCUUGUGUAAAUUAGUUAUGGAGCAUCCAAUAACUAACCCUUACCGAUCGAACAACCACGAAAUGUUUCGUGAUUUAGAACUCCUGCAGCUUUGCGUUCUAGAAGAGCCUAGCUCGAACCAAUGCCCUCAACCGCGUGGGACAUUUAAAUCCAGUUACUACUUCCCUUGACGGAACCAAACAGCAAUCUCCACUUGGCACGCCAAUGUGUUCACAGAAAACCGAUUAGAAACGUUCCUUUCGGAAUUCCAACUGUACGUCUAACCACACUAAAUCAAACGACGUCUUUUUUGACUUAAUGUUGAUCUGACUUUGUGAGUUGACAAAAUCAUACUCUUAAUCCGAAGAAAUAUUAAGUACUGGAAUUUAGGAGUUAAUUUGCUCGAGUGUGUAACUCACGGGUUUUGACGAGGCUAAUUCCGGCCUAAAGCUGAAAUGGAUACUUAAUAAAAAAAACUUGGUAAUAAAAAACUUGAUUAAUAACUUGAUUCAAGACUUGAUGAUAAAAUGAACAAAGUAGUCCACUAUUUAUACUAGUGGCUUUGCUAAAUUAAGAGCCAACUAGUAUAGAAAAUCAAUGAAUAAAAUAUUAAAAAUCCCUACAUAAUCUCCCACUAAGUCAACAAAAAUUUCAGCUAAUUAAUCUUGGAAAAAUUCUGCUUUGGUCCUCCUUCUUUGCUUCUUUCUUCAAUCUAGCCCAAUUGUCUCAUUUUUCUUCUAUUUAGCCCCAAAUUGCACUCCUACACAAAAUUCAACAAAAACAUGGAAAAAUUAGUGGUGCACUCUCAUAAAUUAACCAAUUUAAUUACAUAAAAUAUGUAACUUUAACAUUUAAUGAAUUAUGAUUUCUAUUUUCUAAAUAUUUGUAUAAUAAAAUUAUUAAAAAAUAAUUAUAUUUGUAUUGAUAAUAUUUUCUUAUUAAAUGAGUUUUAUAAGUUAAAUAGCAAUCAAACCAAGACUGGGAGACUGAACUGCAUUAGGUCUUGGGGGUGAUCCAUCGCUUCAACCACUAUCCACUAUCCACCAUCCACCAUCUACAUCCUUCCCCUAUAUAAACUCUGCAAAAAAAAAAUAUAUAUAUAUAUAUAUAGAGAGAGAGAGAGAGACACACACACACACACACAAAUUAUGGAAGGCAGGAAAGUUAGAUAUCAAAUACGGUUGCAUGGUGGUUUCACAACCGCUAUUUCAAAAUAGCUAAAGAUCUCAUUAGUUGUGUGAACAAAUUUCAUAUGUUCUUCGAAAUCCAAAGCAGAAAAAUCACAUACAGAGGCUGGGAUUAGAUAACUGAUACUCAAGUACAAAUUUAAGGGCUUCGAAUUUACCUCAUUUGAUCAGAGUCGUGGUGAGAUGCUCGCUUGGGACAAAGAUCCGUACGAAGAGAGAUGAGGGUAAGAAGGAGUUCUUAAAAAACACAAAGGGUUAAAAUCUUCUAUUAGUCCCUGUACUUUGUAAAAGUUGUGAAUUCAGUUCCUAUCUUUUAAUUUGAAUAAUUUCAGUCCCUUUACUUUUUGAAGUAGUAGUUACAUCCAUUAAGUUCAAUUACUAGUAUUGCACUACACGUAUGGUUGUAGGCUUAGUCUAUAUGCCCUAAUUGGAUCAUUCUAAGUCUCUAUACUUUUUAAAUUUUGAAAUUUUAAUCUCGAUGUAAAUGAUAGUUAUUAAUCAAUUAAUUAGAUUUUUAGUGAGUAAUAUGCGAAAAUAAAAAAAGCUAACAUGACAUUAUACAUAGGAUAAUAUGUAGAUUUGGAUUUGGAUCUUUGGGAACAUGUAGAAGAGGAUUACGAGGUCCCACCACUUCCAGCAAAUCCUACUGUGGCACAGAUUAAAGCACAAAAGGAAAAGAAGAAAGGAAAUCAAAGGCAAAAUCUUGCUUAUUUGCAGCUGUGUCUCAAAUGAUUUUUACACGAAUAAUGUCUCUGAAAUCAGCAAAGGAAAUUUAGGAUUACCUCAAGGCUGAGUAUGAAGGAGAUGAGAGGAUUCGUAUAAUGAAAGUCCAGAAUCUAAUCAGGGAUUUCGAGUUGCAGAAGAUAAAGGAGUCUGAGUCAGUGAAAGAAUAUUCUGACAGACUUCUCAGUAUUGCCAACAAGGUAAUAAUGCUUAGUUCUGAGUUGAACGACUCUAGAAUUGUAGAAAAGCUGCUGGUCACUGUUCCAAAGAAGUUUGAAGCCACCAUUACUACUCUGGAGAACACCAAGGACAUGUGUCAAAGAUCUCUCUUGCAGAGCUCUUGAAUGCUUUACAAGCACAAGAGCAAAGAAGAUCCAUGAGGCAAGAGGGAGUGAUAGAAGGGGCCUUACCUGUCAAGCAUCAAGACAAUAAUAGGUAUAAAAAGAAGAAAAAUUUUAAGAACCAGUCGACGAGCGGAGAAAAUUCAUCAGGCAAUUAUCAGAAGAGCAAAAGAGGAGGUGUUAAGAAAUCCUACCCACCUUGUCACCAUUGUGAGAAGAAAAGUCAUCCACCAUUCAAAUGUUGGAAAAGACCUGACGCCAAAUGCUCCAAAUGCAAUCAACUUGGACAUGAAGCAGUGAUUUGCAAGGUCAAAGGCCAGGUGCAAGAACUAGAUGCACAGGUAGCUGAUCAAUAAGAAGAAGAUCAAUUGUUCGUGGUUACUUGUUUCUCAGGCAGAGAAUCAAGUGAGAGCUGGUUGAUUGAUAGUGGGUGCACAAAUCACAUGACGUAUGACAAUGAGCUCUUCGAGGAAUUGAGAACACUGAAGUCAAAAGAGUGAGGAUUAGAAAUGGUGAGUACUUGGAAGUCAAGGGAAAAGGCAUAGUAGCUAUUACAAGCUAUGAAGGUACAAAAUUCUUUUCAGAUGUUUUGUUUUUACCUAAAAUUGAUCAAAAUCUCUUAAGUGUUGGUCAGUUGCUACUGGAUAAAGGCUAUAAAGUGCUAUUUGAAAAUAAGCAGUGCUUGAUCAGAGAUGCUAAUGGCAAAGACUUGUUCAAUGUCAAAAUGAAAUGAAAAGUUUUGCUCUUAAUCCAAUGGAAAAUGAGCAAAUGGCUUUUAAAUCCAGAGUUAGUGCUACUGAGACUUGGCACAAGAGACUUGGGCACUUUCACCAUCAAGGAUUGCUUUAAAUGUAGUCAAAGAAGCUGGUGGAAGGACUUACAGACAUUGAUGAUGAUCUACCUCAUUGUCGAGCUUGCAAAUUUGGGAAACAACAUAGACAACCCUUUCCUAAACAAGCCUGGAGAGCCUCGAAGAAGUUACAACUUGUUCAUACUAAUCUUUGUGGUCCUUAGAGAACACCUUCAUUAAAUGGUAGCCUCUAUUACAUAGAAUUUAUUGAUGGUAUAACAAGAAUGUGUUGGAUUUUUUUGUUGAAGCAAAAAUUAGAAGUUGCUGGUGUGUUCUAGAAAUUCAAAGCUAGAGUUGAGAAUGAAAGUGGAUGCAUGAUUCAGAUUUUAAGAUCUGAUAAUGGCAAGGAGUACACUUCAGAAACUUUUAAUAGUUUUUGUGAAGAGGCUGGAAUUGAGCAUCAGUUGACGGCGCCAUACACUCUACAACAAAAUGAAGUCAGUGAAAGGAGGAACAGAUUCAUAAUGGAGAUGACUCGAUGUAUGCUUCAUGAGAAGAAUCUUCCAAAAGGAUUUUGGGGAGAAGCUGCAAACGCUGCUGUGUUCUUGGAAAAUCAGAUUUCAACAAAAGCUGUGAAGGAUUAGACGCCAUUUGAAGCUUGGUAUGGUUACAAACCCUCUUUAAAGUUUCUUAGAGUGUUUGGUUGCCUGUGUUUCACUUACAUUCCACAGGUCAAGCAUGAUAAGCUUGACAAAAAGGCAGAAGCUGGCAUUUUUGUUGGGUAUAGCAUUGUAUCUAAAGCUUACAGAGUCUUUCAACCACACACUGGACGUGUUACUGUGAGCAGAGAUGUUUAUUUUGUUGAAAAUAAGCAAUGGAAUUGGGAAGACUCGACCAAGGCGAACCAAACUUAUAGUGUACCAAAUCGUUUUACCAUUGGCAGCAUGUUAGAAGAGCUUGAAGAUGAAGGGCAAGAUGUUUUGCCUGAUGAUGCACCUGUCAGAGGUACAAGGCUGCUCUCAGACAUUUACCAAAGAUGUAAUAUGGCUAUUUGUGAGCCUGCAGGGUAUGAUGAUGCAAAAAAACAGUCAACAUUGGAUGGCUGCAAUGAAGGAGGAGCUUGCGAUGAUCGAAAAAAAUAAAACUUGGAAGUUGGUUGAUCGACCUCUGGACAAAAAGAUAAUUGGAGUUUGCAACAUCUAAACAAGGAGUGUUAAGAUCAUGUGUUUAAGAUUGCUGCCAUUUAAUUUUUUCUGUUACUAAAUUUGAAUAAUUCUCCUUGACUUUAGGAGAUUAGAUUUUUGAUUUGUUUGCUAUUUUGUUACCAGAUUUUUAGCAGUUUUUUAGAACCUUUUUUUCUAUUUUUAGCUUGAACUUUUGUAUUUAAAUAGCUGAGGUGAAAAUCAAUUAUUUAUUCAAGUCUUCAAUUAUUUUUCUAUUUAAAAACUUCCCGUCUCUUCUUUCUACUUCAAAUCUCUCGAUCAACCAUCAAAGUUCGAGUUCUAAACAUCAACAGUAUCUUUAAUUAUAUAGCAACAACUCUGAUAAGAUACAGCUAGAAACUUUUGUCUAUUAAAUAUAUAAAGUGACUAUGCAAUUGAUAAUCAUAUACAAUAAUCAACAUUUGACUAAACUUUGCAACCUAUACAAGUUUUUUUGGGAUUUCGACAAAAUAUAAACAUAAACCCCGAGAAGAUACGUAAAACAUUUACUCAUCCAUGGCAACUGACUGAAAAAAUUUGGGUUGUCAUCUUGCUCAUAAUCAUAUACAAGGUCAAUACCAAAUUCUAGCACAGAUAAAUCUGAAAGAACCCGAAGACUAAUAUGAUCACCAGCUUCUAAUUCAUCACCCCUAAAGUUCCAACAAGUCGUCCAGUAUAAGGUAUUCUUAGUUUCAGGAAUUCCCAUAAAAUGUUUGGAGUAGGUCCACUUUGUACCUUUGGUCUCGUUCACAAUUUCAAGGCAUGGUAAAAAUCCAUAUGUUUUAUCAUUCUUGGCAGAAAAAAUGAUAAUCGAAUUUAAGAAGCAACUUAUCUUUCGACUAGAUUUUGGGGGCACUGAUAUUGAAACCUCAGUCUUGCCAGCUUGAUGGCCAAAGUAAUGACCAUGGUAAUCAAAUGGCAACGGAUCAAAUGUUGUAAUUAUACCGUAAUCAUAUAAUACCUGUAGCAUUGGGUUAGAGAAUGAGUUAUUAAAAAGUAUAUAGUAUAUAAAUAAUUUAAAAAACAUGAAACUUGUAAAGGGAACCUGUGGGGAAGCUACCACUUUUGAUUCUUCUAUAUAACUGCAAAGUUGCACUUUAACAUUUCCAUAAGAUUCCAAACUGGGCAAGUGUUUAGUUAGGUCCAUCUUGAUAUUUCUUGUGGAAACUUCAUCUCCUAAAAUAUGUACAAUAAUGUGUUAUUUAUCAAUUUUAGUGAUCAUCAACAUAAUAUACUUAUUAGAAAGUAAUAGUACUGACUUGAAUGGAGUGAUAAUUAAAGCUUUUAUCAGACACCUAUUUGACACGAAUUCAAAUAGUGACCCAUAUAUUGUAUGAAAAAAAGAUAUCAAAGUAGUAAUGUUAUUAUCACUAAAAUGUAUUCUAAGACUUAUCAGAAAUAAUCAGUUAUACACAUUAUAUCUUUAUUUUUCAUUUUUAUACAAAAUAUAAACUUUAAAACUAUUAAAUAUUUUAAUCAAAACACCACUUUUAUAAUUUUAUCCAUUAUUUUAGUUUCCACUUCUAUUAGAACUAUUGGAUUAAUCAUUUAUCAAACAAUUAACUUAUUUUCAUUAGACCCCAAUUGCAGUAUAACUUUAUAAUUAUCAUUUUAUUAUUAAGCUAAAUUUCUCUCAUAAUCUAUUAAAUUGUCACAUUUCUUGAUAAUUUUUUUUAUUGUAUUAGAAAGUCUUUUAGAGAAACAUUCAUCAUUUCUUGAACAUUUGUUAUUCACAUAGAAAAUGAAAAAUAAAAUAAAUAUAAUAGGAUGUAUUCACUAAAAUAUAAUUAUUUGAAGUCCACUCAUACCUGUAGAUAAGUGCGAAAAGCCAUAUUCAUAUCUAAUGUUGUGUUCUGAUUCAUAAGUAACGCCAAAUUUUCUUAUGCUGAGAUGAAUAGGCACUACCAUGCAACUCACAAGGUCACCACCUUCAAACUGACAGUCCGUUACUGGCCAAUGAAUCAACCACAACAUUGUGUUAUCGUUAGUCUCAGGAAUUCCAAUGAAACUUGAGCGAUAUCUCUGCAUGAUCAUUUUGGUCUCAUUGAAAAUGUGGACACUUGGUAGAAGCUCCAACAUUUGGUCACUAGCUACAGAGAAAACAAUGCAUAAGCUGAACUGAUGGAUCUUUUCAUCUGGAUGAGAUGGUGUUGGCAAAAAAAAAGAGAUUUGAUGCUCGUUAGUGCCAUGCUUAAACCCACUCGGAACUUCACUUCCUAUAAAAAAUGUGCUUGUUAUACCACAUUCUUGCAAGACCUGAUCCAAAAAAACAAGUUAGAUGAUUAAGUAGUGUAAGAGAAAAAAUAGAUUUAAAAUUUAAGUUGGAGAACUAUUGGACCUGUGGGGUAGCUAGCAUUAUGCUGUCUGUUAGGUAGCUAUAAAGUGGCAGUCGAUUUCUGUUAAUGGAAUCUACGUUGAAUAAUCUUCUAAUCUCUUCUGCUUCAAAGUUUUCAAUUGGUUCCAACUUGAAUAGAUCUUCAACCUCCGUCAAUUUUUCACAUCCAAAAAUAUCACAUCGUGUGGAAGAAAAGAAGCAUGGAAGAAUUGCCCCAUAUCCUUUAAAUGGAGAUACUGUCAAGAACUCAAAAACAUUGGGCAAGACUGGAAGCUUUGGAAUCUUUUGGAGUUCAGUGCAAGAAGUCAGUAGAAGCUCAUCAAGUUUUGUAAGGUUUUUUAAGCUUUCGGGUAGGUAAUGAAUUGGGUUUCUACUUAAAUUUAAGGAUUUCAAGGAAGCCAAGUUACAAAGAGCAUUGGGCAUGACAUCAUUAGAUAAUUUGCAACUUCCAAGGCUUAACUUUACCAAAGAGCCCGGUAGAGAUGCCCAAGAGAAACCCAAUCCUUUGCUUCUUUUCUGUAAAAGCCACUGCAAACCCAAUCUUGAUUGAUAUAUGGCAGUUUCAUCUAAAUUAAGCACCUUCAAUGAUUCCAUAUUAUGCAACUCCCUAGGAACAUCAUCAAGUCUUGAACAACCAGAUAAGAUAAGCUCUUCAAGUGAUAUUAAUGAACCAAUUGUCCUUGGAAGUUUCCUAAGACUUGUGCAAUCUUUAAGGUUCAAGAAAGUAAGCAUCUUUAGCUCACCAAUGGAUUGAUCAACUUCCACCAAAUUUAUGCAAUCUUUGAGCAUCAACUUCUCAAGGCUAGGGAGUCCUGAAAAGGUUGGGGUUUUAAGAAGGCUAUGUGAAUGGUUGAGAUUAAGGAUCUUUAAAUUUGGGAGACACUGCAAAAAAAGAAAACCCUUCUGUUAUAAAUGUAUUAUUGUUUCACACACACACAAAGAAGAAGGAAAAGUAGUAUACAUCAUACCUCUGUAUCCUUCCAAACUUGUUUAAGCUUACUGUUGCGCAUGUCGAGAACAACUAGUUCAUUGAUAUCGAAAUCCACCGGAAAAGAUUGCAUACAAAACCCAUGCCAACGUAACCAUCUUAAUCUUUUGGGAAAGUCUUUGAAGUCUCCUUUAAGUCUUACAUAAUCCAGUUGAAGCAGUUUAAGUCUCUUCAUCUUUGCAAAUGCUUGAGUUUCCAUAUCAACAUCAUUUGCCAUCAGAAACUGACUUUUGAAAUGCUUUGGAAAAUGUAGAGUUGUAUUUGUCCUUUUAGCCUUGUCUUCUAGCAAUCCUUUUAGGUCAAUUGUGAGGCACUUAACUGUUCUGGAACCCUGCAUCAGAAAAACUUUUUUAAAAAAUAAAAAAAAAUUUGAUAAAAAAAGUAGUUUACAUGUACACAAGAAAAAAGUUGAGUAAAAUGAUGUUUCUUACAAUUUUUUCUCUUAUUACAUCAAACGCGUUCUUAUGCCACAAUCUGCUUCGUUUCCCAAUAUCAGAAGAUUCUUGACGAAUAAUUUCUCGUCCCAUAUCUCUAAUCAUUUGGUGCAUCAUUAGCUUAUUUUUUUCAUUAAUGAUUAAGAGAGACCUACCUACUAGAUUUUCAAUUCCAAUUGUUGUAUAAUAAUCACAACCAUCUAAAAUUGUAGUCAUGUAAUCUCUAUCCUUCCCAAUGAAUAAACAAACUAUGUCAAGGAAAAAAUUUUUGUCAUGAUCGUCUUCCAAAGAAUCAUAGCUUAUUCUUAGAAUCUCUUGAAUUUUGCUGUCAGGGAUUUCUUCCAAUUUCUCCAAUGCACUUUUCCAAGAACUCACACUUUUGCUAGAUAAUGAAGAGCCCAAAACUUGAAGAGCUAACGGAAGCCCACCACAGUGUUUCACUAAACUUCUUGCAUAUGCCAUCGAACUUUCAGGCACAGAGUUAUGACCAAAAGCAUACCAAUUAAAAAGUUGUAGCGAUUCACUAGAAGCUAAUUCUUUUACUUCAAAUAGCUUGCUUAAGCCUCCACAGCUAGUUGAUGCUUCCAAAUCAAACAUUUGGCUUAUAAAAUGUGCAUUCAAUAGGCAUCGGUUUCUACUAGUUAUGAUGAUUUUACUUCCCGGAUGAAAAGGAAUUUGAGUUCCCAUUAAUUUUCUUAUUUUUUCCAAUUCAUCAACAUCAUCAAGAACAAGAAGAACUCUUCUACAACAUACAAUUUCUUUGAUCUUGUUAAUUCCAUUAUCUAUAUUGUAUAUUUUAUGCGAUUUUCCUUUAAGGAGAUCUGAAAUAAGUUGUCUUUGCAAACGAACUAAGCCAUUACAAUCUUGACUUGUUUCUCUAACUUGAGCAAGGAAGCUAAAACUUUCAAACCUCGAGAUGUUUUGAUUGUAAACAACUUUGGCAAUGGUUGUCUUCCCAAUGCCUCCAAUGCCACAAAUAGUUGCAAUGCCAACUUUAUUUGCUUCAUCUUGUUCUAACCAUUGAUUAAUUUGUGUCACGAUAGAAUCUAUUCCAACUAAAUAAGGAGGGACAUACAAAGAAAUAGGAUGAAGUUUAUUUUGAACUUCUUUAACAAUAUCUUGAAUAAAUUGUGAUUCAUGCCUGCAAAUUUAAAAAAUACAACUCAAUGCUAAAAUCUUGAAAAUUAAGUAAAAGUUAUUAAUGUAUUUUCUCUUUUCUUGCAUAUAUUUUAAUUGUCUUUAUGAGAUUAUAUGUUCUAAUAAAAAUAAGCAACUAAUGUAACAUUUCAACAUAUAUGAUAGAAUUAUUACAUUCAAAAUCAAAUCAAAUCAAAUAAAGCAACAUAAAAAUUAAUGAAAUUCAUUUAAGAAACAACCUAUACUCAAAUUUCAACUUUCUCUUUGUGAAAGUUUAAUAAAUUCAUGUUAUUUACAUUUAAUGCUUAAACUGAUUACUUGUUUGAUAAAAAGACCUUAUUGAUACAAUACUAAUAUUUUAAUGACUCAAUUAAAACAUGUUAGUGUUUGAGAAAUAAUUUAAAAUCUGAGUUAUAUUUAACCCUUUAAAAUGGAUUGAAGUAGCCAUUUUAAUUUCCAAACGUUACCUAACAAUAUUUUCUAUUAAUUUUCUUUCUACUCUAUCUAUCAAGUCUUAAUGAAAAGGAUUGAAGUAACCAUAUGGAACUUGAUUAUGUGUAUAACAUACCUGUCUUGUAGAACCAUGCCUCCUAUAUCUGCAACUUCUUUUAAAGCAUUCCUCCAUCUUUGUACCAUGGACUUGAAGUUUUGUUCAUGUUGGGUAAAUGCUUCUGCAUAACUUCCCGUCUGGUUCUUGACUUGACUCGGAUCCACAUCAUAGAAAACUGGCAACACAAUGUGUUUAGAGGAUUUCUUGUGCUCCAAUAUCAUUACAAGUUCGUUAAGACACCAUGUGGAUACAGCAUAAUUCUUUGAGAAAACAACGAUAGAAAUUUUGGAGUGGUGUAGUAUUGCUUUUUCAAUUUCAUCUUUUAUGUUAUUCCCUCUCUCGAUUUCCUCAUCAUCUCUAAAUGUUUGAAUUCCUAAGUGCAUCAAAGCUGUGUGAAGAUGAUCCGUGAAACUUUUGCGCGUAUCUUCACCUCUAAAACUCAAGAAUACAUGAUAACUACAUCGCGAGAUUUCUGACAUUGCCAUUGAAGAAGAAAAUGAAGUCGUCCUGUGUUUUUUUUAUGUAAUAACAAGGUUCCAGCAUAUAUAUAUAUAUGAAUGGCAAAGCAGAUAUUAUUAGCAGUCAAGUGGCAGUUCCCAAUCCGUGGUGGGUCAAUCCUUCCACCAGUUCAUACAACUGCCCGAAGAAAUUCAUGUCGGCCACGUUUUUUUUUCCAAAUCUACCAACUUGGGUUACGUAUUCUAUAUUAUUAAUUUUGCUUGACAAAUACAUUGUAUUGAUUAAAUUGAUGGUUAUAGCUAACACAACAGUAAUAUAGAAAUCAUCUUCAGGCUAAUAUUAGUAAAAAUACUAUGAAGGUUCUUGUAUUUUAAGUCAUAUUAUAUUUUGUUUUCUCUACUUAAAGUAUAGUAAAUUAGUCUUUGUAUAUUAAAUUAGAAAGUAAAUUAGUUCUUUUGUUAAAAAAAUUAUCCAUUGUUAUUGUUAAAAAUUAGUCCAUGUAAUCAACAUAAGGUACAUGUGACACGCCACAUGCAACUAUCUGGCUAUUUCGUCAUUCACGUUAGUUUUUAACAACAAAAAUGGAUGAAAUUUUUAAUAGAAAUGAUAAAUUUGUUCUUUUAUCUAAUGUAUAUGGGCUAAUUUACUUUUUUUUUUAAAUAAAAUGGGUUAAAUAUAAUUUGACUCUCAAUAGAACGAUCUCCAUGAUACUUUUACAGACUAAUACCUUGGUGGAUACACUCAAUAAUUAAACUACAAUCACAAUAUACCCAUAGACAUCCCAUUAAACAUUCAAGUUCAGUAUAGUAAAGAAACAAAUUUAUUAUCUAUGCAUGAAUGAAAAAUUAAUUGUUUUUGAAAAAGAAUUGGUGAUUAAAUUGAUCAGAUCGUCAAAUUUUUAUUUGAUUUGUUUGUGUUAUCUAAAGUAAAUAAAUUUUUAAAAAUUAAAAAAUAAUAAAAAUUCACGUAUAUUGCACGUUAAAGUAAAUUGAAAAUGAGAUUUGAGAGGGACAUAAGAGAAGAGAGAAGGAGAAUAAUUCCGAAGUAGUUGGUGUGGAAAUUAGUGGUACUAGAAAACGCGUUUCAAUUACUUUUCAUUUUGGAGUCGUUCUUACGUUCCAAGACUUUAGACCAUUAGCAAUUAAAGAGGGGCUUCAACAAAAUUAUGGCCCCAACUGUUUCACCUAACAUAAUAAAUUCGUGGACUAACCAAUUUCAGUGCAAUAAAAGUAGUGAAGAGGAUGGGAUAAGGUUAAGGUUUACAUUGUUGGUAAUGCAAAGUAGAAUCCCUCGUUACAGCCUUCAAAUUUUUUGGUUCACAAUAUUUUAGGAAGAACUAGAUUCAAAUAAUAUUUUUCCGUGAUUAUUUUUCAAUAAUAUCAUCUUUAAAGUUUAGAUCUAUACUUUUUAAAAAAGUAUAAUAUGUCUUACCAUUAUGUCUAACACUCAAAUAAUAAUGUUAACAAAAAGGUUGAGCACCAAAUGGUUGAUAAGUACUAACAAGCUCAUGGUCUAAAGUAGAGGUGUCCAUGGGCCGGGCGGCCCGACCUUGCCCGACGGCCCGCCCAAAAUAUGGGAGGGUUCGGGUAAAAAUAUAGGCCCCAAAUAUGGGUUUGGGCAAACGAGGCCCGUUUAGAAAAUGGGCCGGGCCACGGGCAUCACUUUUUGGCCUAGACCCGUCCCGGCCCGAAUAUAAUAAAUAUAUUUUUUAUUUUUUUAUUUUAAAAUAUUUUUAAAAUACUUUUUUUAUUUUUUAUUUUUAAAAUAAAUUUUUUGUGUUUAUUAAAAAAGGGCCAGGGCGGGCUCGGGCUUAGAAUUUUUUUUCCCAGCCCGGGCCUGGACAAAUUUUCAUGCCCAUAUUUUGGGUCGGGCCUGGCCCGGGCCUAGGAUGCAGCCCGAAUUUUUUUCUGGACUCGGCCUGAACCCGGCCCGGUCCAUGGACACCUCUAGUCUAAAGUCUAGAUCGAUAUCCAAAACAUAGUGAAACAGAUUAAUUCUUUCUUCGACGUUUGUUAUAUAGAACUCUACAACCUAGUGCUCCUAAUUAUCAAUUUUAUUCUUGUGACUCCAUAAUUAAAAUUUAGCUGAUCCCUUCAUUCAAGAGUGUAAUUAUUCGAAUAGGAUCAUGUCUCUUUUAUGGUGGAACACUAAUUCAUUUUAUUACUUGGACUUGUUCAUAAAAAUUCUCUUAAAAUAUCGAAUAAAUAUCAGUUAGGUGUUCUGAUGAUUUAAAUAUUUAGUUUUUAAGAGAAUAUAUUCUUACCUCGUUAUGCCUUCUCGAAGAUUUAUGUCAAAUUCAAACUGAUGUGAGUUGGUAGCUAUAUAUUUUUAUUUUUAAGGAUUUUAGUCCCUCUAUUUUUUGAGAUUUCUAAACUCAAAUCCAAUUGUUAACACUGUUAAUUUUUUUUGUUAAAUUCGAGUUAAUUACAAUAUCAUUUUUGUAAUUACAUGGUUAUCAAAUAGGUUUUUUUUUUAUUUCAAAAUGCCACCCUAACACAUUUAACAAAAAAAUUUAAAAUGUUAACCAUCAGAAAGUAAAGAGACUAAAUUUCUGGAAAUAAAAGUACGUGUUCUAAACUCCAAAAUUUUUAAAAGUACAAGAACUUAUGGCAUAUUUUAACCUUUUAACUUCUAGGUCGAGCUACUCAUCCAAUCCCCGCUUGAGAUUUGGGAAGAUUUAGACAAAAUUAUCAAGCUCAAAAAAUGGACUUGGACAAAAAGUUAGUCCGAUUUAAAAUACGAGUGGGGCUCGGGCAUAAAAAUUCAAGGCCCGAGCCAUUUACUAAUUUUCUAAUAUAUUAUAUUAUGUUAUUUUUAUAAAUUAUAUAAUUUAUUUCAAAAAAUAAAUCUAUAGUAAUACAUAUGAUAGUACUAUAAUGUAAACACUAAAAAAUGUUAAGAUGUCUAUAUAAAAUGUUAAGAUAUUUGGGAAAAAAUUCAAUUCAAUCAGGCUCAAAACAAUUUGUGGGUCAAUUAAUUUAACAUCUCUAUUCAAAUCAACAAUGGCAAAACCUAAUAGAGGCCCAGGGGGCCAUGGCACCCCCAAGGAUUAAAAUUUUUGCAAUUUAGCCCUUUGUAGAUAUACUAUGGCCCUCCCAAACAUAUAAGUAUCCCCCCCCCAAGGUUUAAGAUUUUUGCAAUUUAAUUUCCAAAUAUACUGCUUCUUUUGGAUUGAUUAUCAUGUUGGAAUAGUGCUUCUUUUGAGUCGAUUCUUUGUAUGUUUAAAUCGAUUGUCAAAUUAGAACACUACUUCUUUUGAAUCGAUUGUGUAUAUGAUUAAAUUGAUUGUUAUGUUGGAAUACUGCUUCUUUUUAAUUGAUUGUGUAUAUGAUUAAAUUGAUUGUUAUGUUGGAAUACUACUUCUCUUGAAUCGAUUGUUUAUAUGUUUAAAUCGAUUGUUACAUAACACAUCUAAUUAAUUUGUUCUUUGCUUCUUUGAUUGUUGCGUAGCAUUUCCUUUUAUUCUCUACUUCUUUGAUUGUUGGUUGUUUUAAAUAGCUUCUUUUCCUAAAAUGAUAAGGGACCAAAUGAAUAUUAGCAAAGAAUUUAUGUUGGAGUUUGAAUCGAUUCUUCGCUUAUUUCAAUUGAUUGUUUGUUGUUUUGAAUUAAUUCAUUAUUGUUUGAAUUGAUUCAAACUCCUACAUAAAUUCACUAUUGAUAUUCAUUUGGUCCCUUAUCAAUAUUAACUUACACAGAUGUGUGUAAGUUCUUUUUCCCUCAAACCUCCUGUUGAACGUGUGAAGCAAGCAAAGGUAUAUUUAUGGUUAUUCUUACUCUAGAAGAGAAAUGAUUCCUCAUACUUUAUACAGUGUAUUUACAUAUUUGCCCUCAACCGAAUAUUGAGGGAAUCUCCCUUCACUUUUGACACGUUCAAUAGAAAGUUUAAGGGAAAACAACUAAUUUACACCGGUGUAUAUAAGUAUUGAUAACUCUUUGAUACAAAAUGUUUAGAUUAAAUCAAAAAAUCAUUAUAUAGUAUUUUCCUAUACUAUGUGUUAUGUUUAUUAAUAAAACAUAUUUUUAAUUUAAAUGAUAUACUAAAAAUUGCUCAUCCACACAAUCAUUGAUAUGUUGAUUUAGGAUCCAAACUUGAAUCAUAUAUUCUUACGUAGUGAAACUAAAAAGGGCCUCGUCGCCAUUCUCCAUCUAUUCCUAUAUAUUCAUCUGUUCGGAAGAAACUGAACUUAACAAAACACCAUGAAAGCAUAAUCGAUAUUUUUCACUUUUAAGAAAUAUAAGUUGUUAAUAAUAUCAAACCCAAUAAUACAAUAUAUCAACAAUCAAACCAAAUCAACGACCAUACCACAAGCAAAAACAUAAAAUCAAUUCAUUUGGAAGGGUCUUCCACCUCAUUAUGUGCAUGAUUUUCAUACGAAUCCAGUUGCAAAGUAACGGUGUUUAACACUUUGAAUCGAUUCAAACUCCAACAUAAAUUUACUAUUGAUAUUCAUUUGGUCAUUUAUCAAUACUUGCACAACAUUUGUCCCUUAUCAAUACUUGCUCAAAAAUAACUUGUGAGUACUGCUUUUUUCGAAUAGAUUGUUUAUAUGUUUAAAUUAAUUGUCAUGUUGAAAAAUUGUUUCUUUUGAAUCGAUUAUUAUGGUGGAAUACUACUUUUUCUUCUUUUGAAUCGAUUGUUUAUAUGUUUAAAUCGGUUGUUGUGUUGGAAUACUGUUGCUUUUGAAUCCAUUGUUUAUAUGUUCAAAUUGAUUGUUAUGUUGGAAUACUACUUCUUUUGAAUCGAUUGUUUAUAUGUUUAGAUCAUUUGUUAAGUAGCACGUCUAAUUUUAGCUUGGCCCCCAAGAUUAACAUCCUGGCUCCGCCACUACGGAUCGAUAUAUUGGUCAAUUCUUGAUUCAACUAAUCGACUAAUCCUAUUUAAUCCGAUUUAAAUAACUACGUCAAAUUUAUACAUAUUUCUAAAAUAAUAUGAUAGUGUAAAAAUAUUUAAUCAAAUUGAGUUAUGAAAUUGUCGUCUAACAAUAGUUUUGGGUAUCUUAUAAACUCAAAAUUUUCAAAUUAUGUUGGUGUCCAUUUGUGCUUUAUUUUUGGUACAAGCUCUUUUUGGAGUUAUACCAUAUAUUAUAUAAUUUAAAAUAUUCUUAAAAAAUAGAUUGAAGUAAAUUAAGCCUAAAAUUUAAAUGUUUAAGUCAAAGCUUAAUUGAUAGUUUAAAUGAGAUUAUUCUUUUUUUUAAAUCUCAUUUUUUUAAUUUUAUCAAACCACCUCUAAAAAAUAAAUAAAAGAUGGUUGUUAGCCUUUUCCUAUAUAUAAGCAACAAUCUUUGGGCAGAGUAUAAAAGAUAGUUUAAGGUAUCUGAUUUUGUAGUAGUGACUAAUCUUUUCAUUGUUACUGCUUUUCGAAAGGUAAUAUGUAAAAAAUGGUAAUAUAUAAUUUACUUAUAAUUAUGGUACGUUUAGUUCGUUAGAGUGAAAUAAAAUUAUAAUAGAAUAAUAACUUUUAGGAAUGAAAUAGAAUUGUAAUUGAAUGGAAUAAAUAUGAUAAUUUGGUUGGGUAGAAUGAAUGAGCUGGUAAUAAUAUUUUUGUAUCUUGAUUUAAAAAAAUGAUAGUAAAAAUCGGCCAUUUUACCAAAAGAGCCCUUUUUUUAAAAAUUACCGAAAUGGGCCCAUUAUUUAAUUAUUACCGGAAUGGUCCAUUUUUCAGCAAAUUGCGUCCACGUCAGCGCGAUGUCAAGGGACGCGUGCUGACGUGGCCGCGAUUUCCUUCGCCACGUAGCGCAUUUCUGGGGACGCGUUUCGGCUUUUAGGGCUUAGGGUUCAGGCUUUUAGGGUUUUUAGGUCUUGGAAGAAAUAAUUUCGAGUUGACGUUUCUAAUCAAAUAGUAUAAAAUCGCUUCUAACAGGAUGCUAUUUGAGAAGAAUUUGUGAAAUCGCGCCCUCGUGGACGCGCUUUUGCUACAGUAGGUCAUGGAAGAAAUAAUUUUUUUGACGUUUCUAAGCAAAUAAUAUAAAAUCGCUUAUAGCAGGAUGCUAUUUGAGAAGAAUUUGUAAAAUCGCACCCUCGUGGACGCGCUUUUGCUACAGUUGGUCAUGGAAGAAAUAAUUUUUUUGAUGUUUCUGAGCAAAUAGUAUAAAAUCGCUUCUAGCAGGAUGCUAUUUGAGAAGGAUUUGUGAAAAUCGCACCCUCGUGGACGCGCUUUUUCUAUAGUAGUAUGUUUAGGCUGAGGCUAUAAAUUAGGCAGAAAAUGUUCUCAGAAUGCAUAAGUCACAGCAGAAAUAAUUUAGAGAGGUUAAAAAGGUUAGAGUUUCAAAUAUGAGUGAACGUAUUAGUGCUGUUAUUUACUACGAUGGUGAGGUUUGCCACACCGAGAAUGGUGUUAUUUUUUUGUCGGAGAAUACGGUGUGACUGGUUUUUAACCAGAACAUAGAUUUGACAAAACUUCGUAAAAGAAUUAGGCGUAAAAUUUUCAGAACGACGCCAAUGAAAGUUUUGUCUAUCACAUAUCGAUUUUGUUCUUCUGUUGAUCCGGUGACAUAUGACUCGUUCGACAUAAAAGGUGCUCAUAGCCUAGAGGCAAUGGUGCAGACUCAUCUUGCUAGUGGAGCACCUUAUAUUGAGUUAUAUGUACAAUUUACAUCGCCAACUAAUGUACUUUCGACCGGUGUUCAAGAUGUAUACACGACCCCUGGCUGACACUCGGUUAGCAGGUUACAAAAUACGGAACAGCCCAUGUUCGGUAGCGGUGUCGAAUGCACAUCCCCGCGAGACACUCUGUCGGUGGAUGAGACAUCUACGUCAGUGGCUCGAUGUUUGAUGCUGGAAAUACGUACUGGGAACGGCAUCAAGUUCUAGUGGGCGGCAAUCUACAUCCAAUUGGGGACGUUAUCAAAUGCCCAGAAGAAGGAAUGACGUACUCCCUACGACGUCAACCGGUGAGGGGACCUCGUACGCUGCAGAUGAUUGUGGGUUAGAAGAUGACUCCGAUGUGGAUCCACCUCGAGAGCCCGGGCCGGAUUGUAACACCCCGUACCCGAAACUGUUGCCGGAGUCAAGCACGAGGCAUUACUUAACUUAUCUUACUAAUUCGGAGCAUAAAAACUUGGUUUGAAAUUUUAUUUCACUAUUUACAGCAAUCUGUCCAAUCGCUCAGCAGUUACUAAAUUAAUUAUAACUUAAGCUACGGAACUCGAAAUUUAACUCCGUAAAUUUUUCCUGUAACUAGACUCAUAUAUCUACUUACCAUAAAAUUUUCAGAAUUUUUGGUUGGGCCAAUUAGUACAGUUUAUUAGUUAAAGUCUCCCCUGUUUCACCACCUGACUGUCCUGACCUCUUGUCACUAAAAAUAGGUUUUCUCACUGUAGGAUUUUCAUAUGAAGUUCUUACUUGUUUCUACAGAAAAUAGACUCAAUAAGGAAUCUAUACAUAUAAAUUAUAACUCAUAAAUUUAUUUGUACAAUUUUUAAUGAAUUUCUAAAGUCAGAACAGGGGACUUCACAAACGUUCUUGCCCUGUUUUACUAAAAUUCAAAUAUCUAAAAAUAUAUAACUCUUUUGCUUACUCUUUUUCUUUCAUGUGAACAUAGACUCAUUCAUCUUUAAUUUCAUAUCUUAUUCAGCUUCUAAUUCAAUUUACACUAUUUUUGGUGAUUUUUCAAAGUUACCUCAAUGCUGCUGUCCAAGAACUGCUCCAUAAAAUAAAAAAAAAAUUCAAUAUAACCCCUUUAUAAUUAUCUAACAUUCCCUGCAAAUUUAAAUCACAACCCAUUCCAGUAUUUCAACUACUUCAUUUAAGUACUAAUGAAGUUCAACCAAUCAACCAUUUCAAAUUAAAAACAUGUAUAUAUUUCGAUAUCUAACACAAUCAUAACAUUCAAAUUUAUUUUGCAUACUUAGUCAUUCAUACUAAUACUUUUUAUUUCAAUUCCCUAUACAUGCCAUAUAAAUCCAAAAAGUUGUUUAACAAAAUCUACCAGAGUAAAUCUGGAUAGUGUGAUCGUUGAUGUAGAUCCGAUCCUUCGAACGUAUAUAUAUAUAUCAAUCUACAAGAAACAUUAAACACACACAAGUAAGCUUAUGGAAGCUUAGUAAGUUCAUAGGCUCAUAAUAAAAUCUUACCACAAUUUCACUAACAAUAUUAAUAGACAAAUAAAAAUUCAACACUUCCUGCCAACCACAAUUUCAUACCAUGACUAUCCAAUCGAGCUCGAUGUCAGAUGUCAACUUAUUUUUCGACAUUUAGCUUCAAUUGCACUUACAAAUAAACACUUGUCAAAUUAAGGAUCGUCUUACGGAUUUGAGUACAUCGUUUUCCCGGAGCCACGGUUUGCUUGGAUGUUUCACAUUGCUAUAACUCAGUAUGGUUUUCUUCAUUGAAACACCAUACCUACUUUUCGCAACUCAGUAUGGUUUUCUUCACUGAAACACCAUACCUACUUUUCACAACUCAGUAUGGUUUUCUUCACUGAAACACCAUACCUACUUUUCACAUUUUGCCAUGGAGCCACAAUGAACUUAUCCGUCAAUUCAUCACUGGUUGUCGAACGUAUGUACUCAAUCCUGUGGAUCCCUUAAUUUGAACUAACAAUCUCAUUUUAUUCUCAUUUUUACCAUACUCAUAAUUCAACAACAAUAUACAAAUUGAUACAUUAUAUCAUUUCCACAUUAACAAUUAAUCAUAAAAAUUCAGCCAUAUGAACUUACCUGGGUCAAUUUGCUGAAUUCGUAAAAGUUCAGGGACUAAUCAGCUACUUUUUCUUUUCCUCGACUUGUUUCAGGUUCUCGAUCUAAAAUGAAAAUUUAUUCAUUCAUCAGCAUUUAAUUCUAUUCUAAUUCAUUUCGCAGUUUCUGCCCUUAAAUUUUCGAAAUUACACUUUUACCCCAAAUUUUACAGUUUUUACACUUUGAUCCUUACUCAAUUAACCCCUCAAUUGAUCUAGUUUUUCUCAAUUAACACCUUGUCCAACUAUUUUAGACUACUAAAUAUCCUUUCAUAUUCAAAACCGCAACACCAAACCCUAAUUCCAGACUUUCUCACAAUUAAGUCCCUAUAAUCAAUUUCUACCAAAAUUACUUAAUAAAAUCAUCAUAUAAUAAAAUUAAAGCUUUAAUUCUAUGAUAAUUCAUCAUAAAAUUCCAGAACUCACUCAUGGUAACUUUCAAAAUCAUUCAUAGAAUCAAAACUAAUGAAUUCAAUAGUUGGACCUAGUUGUAAAAGUCACAAAACAUGAAAAAUUACAAAGAAAAAGCAAGAAUUGAGCUUACAUGGUGUAAAAAUAUGAAAACUCAGCUUUCUUCAGACCUUCUAUGGCGUUUUUGCUGAUAAAAUAUGAAGAGAUCUCUAGAUUUUUCACUUUUAUCUUUAUUUUAUAUAUUUAAUUUGUGAAAUUUCCAAUUUUGCCCUUAUUUCUCCUUACUUUCUGCUGAUUUUUCUUGCCCAACCGUCCAGCCAUAUAAUUUGGGCCUAAUUACCUUUUAAAUCCCUCCUUAUUAGUCACUUAAGCUAUUUGACCACAAUUUAACAAAUUUUGCACUAUUUCCAAUUUAGUCCUUUUUAAUUAAUUGACUAUCCAAACGUUAAAAUUUUCUAACGAAACUUUUAUACUAACUCAAUGACACACCAUAAAUAUUCAUAAAAAUAUUUAUGGUUCGGCUUAUGAACUCGAGGUCUCGAUACAUCGUUUUAGACCCAAUUUACCUAUUAAAUUCUUUUUAAAACACAAAAUUCACUAAUUCAAAAAUUCUUAUAAAUUCACACUUGACCCAUAAUUAUUAAUUUAUUAAAUUUUAAGACUCACUUGUCAGAUUUAGAGAUCUCGAAUCACUAUUUCUGACACCACUGAAAAUUAGGCUGUUACAACUCUCCUCCCCUUAGAAAAUUUCGUCCUCGAAAUUUGUUACCUGAAAAUAGAUUCGGAUACUGUGAUUUCAUUGAUUCUUCUGUUUUCCAGGUUGCCUCCUCCAUACCAUGUCGAUGCCAUAGCACCUUUACCAACGGUACCCGUUUGUUCCGCAAUUCUUUAACUUCUCGAGCCAAAAUUUUAACCGGUUCCUCCGAAUAGGUCAUGUCUGUUUCUAUUUCUAUUUCAGUAUGAGGAAUCACAUGCGAAGGGUCUGAUCGAUACCUUCUCAACAUAGAUACAUGAAACACAUUAUGGAUCUUCUCAAGUUCAGGAGGCAAAGCCAAUCUAUAAGCUACCGGACCAAUUCUUUCUAUGAUUUCAUACGGCCCAAUAAAUCGUGGACUAAGUUUUCCCUUUCUGCCAAAUCGUAAAACUUUCUUCCAUGGAGAAACUUUCAAGAACACACGAUCACCCACAUUGAACUCUAUAUCUCUUCUCUUCAAAUCUGUGUACGACUUCUGACGAUCGGAAGCAGCUUUCAAACUAUCUCGAAUAAUCUUGACUUUCUCUUCAGUUUCCCGAAUCAAAUCCAGUCCCACUAACUUCGAUUCACUUAAUUCAGACCAAUACAAUGGGGUUUUACAUUUCCUUCCAUACAGAGCUUCAAACGGUGCCAUUUUGAUACUAGUUUGGUAGCUAUUAUUAUAAGCAAAUUCAGCUAAAGGUAAAUACCUUUCCCAGCUACCAUCGAACUCAAGUAUACAACACCUUAACAUAUCUUCUAAAAUCUGAAUCACUCGCUCUGACUGCCCAUCUGUCUGGGGAUGAAAAGCUGUGCUAAAAUUUAAUUUGGUGCCCAAAGCUUCCUGUAAUUUACUCCAAAAUCUCGAGGUAAAUCUCGGAUCUCGAUCUGAAAUAAUAGAUAUCGGCACCCCAUGUAACCUCACUAUCUCUGACACAUAUAACUCCGCUAACUUUUCAAGUGGAUAAUUUGUUCUGACUGAAAUAAAAUGUGCUGACUUAGUUAACCGAUCAACAAUCACCCAUAUCGAAUCUUUCUUCUUCGGAGUUACUGGUAAUCCGGAUACAAAAUCCAUCGUGACAUGUUCCCAUUUCCACUCUGGAAUCAUCACGGGUUGUAACAAACCUGUGGGCACUUGGUGUUCUGCUUUUACCUGCUGACAAAUCAAACACUUUGCAACGAAUUCACAUAUUUCUCGUUUCAUACCAGGCCACCAAUAAGUUCCUCUCAAAUCACAAUACAUUUUCGUACUGCCCGGGUGAAUAGAAUACAUGCUAUUAUGGGCUUCAGAAAGAAUAUCAUUCUUCAAGUCUGAAUUAUUCGGAACACAAAUUCUAUUGUGUAAAUACAACAUACCUCCAUCAUCAAUACUAAAAUCUGAACUCAAUUUGUCCCGAACCAUCUGUUUCUUCAGUACUAAUUUUGGAUCAUCUUUUUGCAACUCUUGAAUCCGCUGAAAGAAUAUAGGUUUCACUUUCAACUCUGCUAACACAGAACCAUCUUCGUUAAUAGAUAAAUGAGUAUUCAUAGCUCGAAGUGCAAACAAAGACGACUUUCGACUGAGUGCAUCUGCCACUACAUUUGAUUUCCCUGGGUGAUAGUCAAUGACAAGAUCAUAAUCUUUUAACAACUCCAACCAUCGUCUCUAUAUCAGAUUUAACUCUUUUUGAGUCAUUAAAUACUUCAAGCUUUUAUGAUCAGUAUACACAUAACAUUUCUCACCAUAUAAGUAGUGUCUCCAUAUCUUCAAAGCAAACACGAUUGCUGCCAGUUCCAAAUCAUGUGUAGGAUAAUUUUUCUCGUGCGAUUUCAAUUGUCGAGAAGCAUAUGCCACCACCUUGCCUGACUGCAUAAGUACACAGCCCAAACCAUUCAGAGAUGCAUCACUAUAUAAUAUAAACGGUACACUCGACUCCGGUUGAGUCAACACUGGAGCCUCUGUCAACAUCUUUUUCAACUGAUCGAAACUCUGCUGACAUUCAUCUGACCAUGUAAAUUCAACAUUCUUUUGUAGUAAUCGAGUCAACGGUAAGGCAAUCAUUGAAAAAUAUUUGACAAAUCGGCGAUAAUAACCAGCCAAUCCCAGAAAACUUCGCACUUCAGUAACAUUCUUCGGAACUUUCCAAUUUAUCACUGCUGCUACCUUACUUGGAUCCACUCUGAUUCCAUCAGCUGAUACAAUAUGACCCAAAAAUGAAACUUCAUGAAGCCAAAAUUCACAUUUGCUAAAUUUCGCAUACAACUGUUUCUCCCGCAAAGUCUGUAAUACAAUCCUUAGAUGUUGUGCAUGUUCGGACUCUGUCUUUGAAUAAAUCAAUAUAUCAUCAAUGAACACAACCACGAAUCUAUCCAAAUAUGACUGAAAAAUUCGAUUCAUCAAAUCCAUAAAAGCAGCCGGAGCAUUGGUUAAACCAAAUGGCAUUACCAAAAAUUCAUAGUGACCAUAUCGGGUUCGGAAGGCAGUUUUCGGCACAUCACACUCUUUAACUUUUAACUGAUAAUACCCGGAUCGAAGAUCUAUUUUGGAAAAUACUGCAGCACCUUUCAACUGAUCAAACAGAUCAUCAAUACGAGGCAAAGGAUAUUUAUUCUUUACUGUUACCUUAUUCAACUGCCUGUAGUCUAUACACAGUCUUAAAGAACCGUCUUUCUUUUUCACAAACAAGACAGGUGCACCCCAGGGCGACAUACUCGGUCUGAUAAACCCUUUGUCUAAUAACUCCCGCAACUGAGUUUUCAACUCUUUUAAUUCUGCUGGUGCCAUUCUAUACGGCGUUAUGGAUAUCGGGGCUGUUUCUAGGAUCACGUCAAUCACAAACUCAACUUCACGAUCUGGCGGUAAACCUGGCAAUUCCUCAGGAAACACAUCAGCAAAUUCACUGACAACUGAUAACUGUUCUAACUUUGAUCCAGAAUCCCGGGUAUCAAGAAUAUAAGCUAAAUACGCUUCAUUACCUUUCCGUAACAUUUUCUGAGCUGAAAAGGCGGAAAUAAUUCUAACAUCAUCUUUUAUAUUUCCAAACUCGGUUGAAAUUACAUCUCCUGCCUGGUUUUUCAAAUCAAUCCGUUUCUCGCAACAGUUCACUACAGCAUCAUGUUUUGUUAACCAAUCCAUUCCCAAAAUAACAUCAAAUUCCCGAAAAGGUAACAACAUCAAAUCAGCAGGGAACUCACAGCCUUGUAUUUUCAGUGGACAAUUUCGACAUAUUAAAUUAACUAGUACACUUUGUCCUAAUGGAUUUGUAACUUGCACAUCAUAAUCAGUAGAUUCAACUGAUAAUUUCUUUUUUGAUGCUAAUGCAGUGCAAACAUAAGAAUGUGUAGAUCCAGGAUCAAUUAAUGCAUACACGGAAUCAUCAAAAAGAUAGAAAAUACCAGCUAUCGCAUUUGGAGCUGCAGCCUCUUCCCUUGCUCGAAUGGCAUAUGUAUGUACAGGUGCUCGAGGUUCUGAUCGAACAGUAGAAUCUCUUAUUCUCGAGUGACUAGCUCCCGCUGCACUACUUUGACCCGAACGUUUGCCUUUCUGAGAGGUAACUGUUUGUUUUUCUUUUUGUUCUUCUUCUUCCUUCGACAGUUUGGGGCAGUUUCGAAUAAAAUGAUCGGUACCCCCACACCUAUAACAAGCUCCUAUUCUGCCCCAACAUUCACCAAUAUGAAACCUCCCACAAUUUUUACAUCUAGGCUUGGGAAAAUUUUGUACACUGCUAACACUAGCUGCAGGUUUAAUAGUCACUCCAACAUUCCCCUGAAUUUCUUACUUUUAUUCAAUCUUUCUGAAGUUGAAGUAGGUCGGCUUGAAUCAUCUCUGAACUUUUUAGCUGGAACUGUCGAUAUUGAUCUAGAAUAACCCCUCUUGAAAGAUUCUUUGUUCCGACUCUCUCUUUGCUUCUUUCUGUUGUAUACUUCUUCCAUCUUCUAGGCUCGAUCUGACAGAGUAACAAAUUCUCGAAUUUCUGUGCCUCCAAUCAUCAUUCUAAUUUCAUCAUUUAACCCUUCCUCAAAUCUAAUACACAUUUCUUCUUCAGUCGGCACAAUAUCUCGAGCAUAUUUACUGAAGUAUACAAAUUCUCUUUCAUAUUCAGCCACCGUUCGAUUUCCCUGUCGCAAGUCAAGAAAUUCCCUCUUCCUCUUGUCCUGAUAUCUCUUACCGACAUAUUUCUUCUUAAACUCACUCUGGAAAAAUUCCCAAGUAAGCCUCUCUUCAGAUACUAUUGCUUCCACAGUUUCCAACCAAUUAUAUGCUUCUUCUUUUAACAAAGACACAGCACAUCUCAGAUAAACAUCUGGAGAACAAGCCAUUUGUUUAAAAAUUCUUACCAGACUUUGUAGCCAAUACUCAGCUUUUACUGGGUCAUCAUCCGAUCUACCUCGAAACUCUUCAGCUCCAAACUUCCUAAGCUUUUCAAUCGGAGAAUGUUUACUAGAUUCAGUUGUCGAAGGAGGUGGAGGAGCAACCGGGGGUGCCACAGGUGGUGCAGUAGGGGGAGAAGGUUGUUGAGUUUGAGUUCUUCCUUGCAUUAGAUCAGUAAACCACUGAUUCAUCACUCCAUAUAUCAUAUUUUUAAGAUCUUGUUCUGGAGCCAGAGAAAUUGGAACAUUACUGCUUGUUCCUUGUUCCUUGUUCAGAGGUCUGUACUCUACUAUUAGCUUCUUCCUGUUCAUCAUGUUCAGGUCUAUCUGACAUCUUUAAAAUCUAUAAAAGAAAACAAGAAUCAGAUCAGAUCAUACACAUCACACUAUCAUAGAUUUAUAUGGCAUGUAUUUCUCAACACUUUACUCAUUACAUUCAUUCCGAGAAUCGACUAAACCGAAGCUCUGAUACCAAUAAAAUGUAACACCCCGUACCCGAAACUGUUGCUGAAGUCAAGCACGAGGCAUUACUUAACUUAUCUUACUAAUUCGGAGCAUAAAAACUUGGUUUGAAAAUUUAUUUCACUAUUUACAGCAAUCUAUCCAAUCGCGCAGCAGUUACUAAAUUAAUUAUAACUUGAGCUACGGAACUAAAAAUUUAACUCCAUAAAUUUUUCCGGAAACUAGACUCAUAUAUCUACUUACCAUAAAAUUUUCAGAAUUUUUGAUCAGGCCAAUUAGUACAGUUUAUUAUUUAAAUUCUCCCCUGUUUCACCACCUGACUGUCCUGACCUCUUGUCACUAAAAAUAAGUUUUCUCACUGUAGGAUUUUCAUAUGAAGUUCUUACUUGUUUCUACAGAAAAUAGACUCAAUAAGGAAUCUAUACAUAUAAAUUAUAACUCAUAAAUUUAUUUGUACAAUUUUUAAUGAAUUUCUAAAGUCAGAACAGGGGACUUCACAAACGUUCUUGCCCUGUUUUACUAAAAUUCAAAUAUCUAAAAAUAUAUAACUCUUUUGCUUACUCUUUUUCUUUCAUGUGAACAUAGACUCAUUCAUCUUUAAUUUCAUAUCUUAUUCAGCUUCUAAUUCAAUUUACACUAUUUUUGGUGAUUUUUCAAAGUUACCUCAAUGCUGCUGUCCAAGAACUGCUCCAUAAAAUAAAAAAAAUUCAAUAUAACCCCUUUAUAAUUAUCUAACCUUCCCUGCAAAUUUAAAUCACAACCCAUUCCAGUAUUUCAACUACUUCAUUUAAAUACUAAUGAAGUUCAACCAAUCAACCAUUUCAAAUUAAAAACAUGUAUAUAUUUCGAUAUCUAACACAACCAUAACAUUCAAAUUUAUUAUGCAUACUUAGUCAUUCAUACUAAUACUUUUUAUUUCAAUUCCCUAUACAUGCCAUAUAAAUCCAAAAAGUUGUUUAACAAAAUCUACCGGAGUAAAUCUGGAUAGUGUGAUCGUUGAUGUAGAUCCGAUCCUCCGAACGUAUAUAUAUAUCAAUCUACAAGAAACAUUAAACACACACAAGUAAGCUUAUGGAAGCUUAGUAAGUUCAUAGGCUCAUAAUAAAAUCUUACCACAAUUUCACUAACAAUAUUAAUAGACAAAUAAAAAUUCAACACUUCCUGCCAACCACAAUUUCAUACCAUGACUCUAUCCAAUCGAGCUCGAUAUCAGAUGUCAACUUAUUUUUCGACAUUUAGCUUCAAUUGCACUUACAAAUAAACACUUGUCAAAUUAAGGAUCGUCUUACGGAUUUGAGUACAUCAUUUUCCCGGAGCCACGGUUUGCUUGGAUGUUUCACAUUGCUAUAACUCAGUAUGGUUUUCUUCAUUGAAACACCAUACCUACUUUUCGCAACUCAGUAUGGUUUUCUUCACUGAAACACCAUACCUACUUUUCGCAACUCAGUAUGGUUUUCUUCACUGAAACACCAUACCUACUUUUCACAACUCAGUAUGGUUUUCUUCACUGAAACACCAUACCUACUUUUCACAUUUUGCCAUGGAGCCACAAUGAACUUAUCUGUCAAUUCAUCACUGGUUGUCGAACGUAUGUACUCAAUCCUGUGGAUCCCUUAAUUUGAACUAACAAUCUCAUUUUAUUCUCAUUUUUACCAUACUCAUAAUUCAACAACAAUAUACAAAUUGAUACAUUAUAUCAUUUCCACAUUAACAAUUAAUCAUAAAAAUUCAGCCAUAUAAACUUACCUGGGUCAAUUUGCUGAAUUCGUAAAAGUUCAGGGACUAAUCAGCUACUUUUUCUUUUCCUCGACUUGUUUCAGGUUCUCGAUCUAAAAUGCAAAUUUAUUCAUUCAUCAGCAUUUAAUUCUAUUCUAAUUCAUUUCGCAGUUUCUGCCCUUAAAUUUUCGAAAUUACACUUUUACUCCAAAUUUUACAGUUUUUACACUCUGAUCCUUACUCAAUUAACCCCUCAAUUGAUCUAGUUUUUCUCAAUUAACACCUUGUCCAACUAUUUUAGACUACUAAAUAUCCUUUCAUAUUCAAAACCGCAACACCAAACCCUAAUUCCAGACUUUCUCACAAUUAAGUCCCUAAAAUCAAUUUCUACCAAAAUUACUUAAUAAAAUCAUCAUAUAAUAAAAUUAAAGCUUUAAUUCUAUGAUAAUUCAUCAUAAAAUUCCAGAACUCACUCAUGGUAACUUUCAAAAUCAUUCAUAGAAUCAAAACUAAUGAAUUUAAUAGUUGGACCUAGUUGUAAAAGUCACAAAACAUGAAAAAUUACAAAGAAAAAGCAAGAAUUGAGCUUACAUGGUGUACAAAUAUGAAAACCCAGCUUUCUUCAGACCUUCUAUGGCAUUUUUGCUGAUAAAAUAUGAAGAGAUCUCUAGAUUUUUCACUUUUAUCUUUAUUUUAUAUAUUUAAUUUGUGAAAUUUCCAAUUUUGCCCUUAUUUCUCCUUACUUUCUGCUGAUUUUUCUUGCCCAACCGUCCAGCCAUAUAAUUUGGGCCUAAUUACCUUUUAAAUCCCUCCUUAAUAGUCACUUAAGCUAUUUGACCACAAUUUAACAAAUUUUGCACUAUUUCCAAUUUAGUCCUUUUUAAUUAAUUGACUAUCCAAACGUUAAAAUUUUCUAACGAAACUUUUAUACUAACUCAAUGACACACCAUAAAUAUUCAUAAAAAUAUUUAUGGUUCGGCUUAUGAACUCGAGGUCUCGAUACAUCGUUUUAGACCCAAUUUACCUAUUAAAUUCUUUUUAAAACACAAAAUUCACUAAUUCAAAAAUUCUUCUAAAUUCACACUUGACCCAUAAUUAUUAAUUUAUUAAAUUUUAAGACUCACUUGUCAGAUUUAGUGAUCUCGAAUCACUAUUUCUGACACCACUGAAAAUUAGGCUGCUACACGGAUGGUGCAGAAGUUGGCUAAUUUUCUGAACCGGAGCCUAUUCCAACAGAACCUGAAGAUGCUGAAAGGAGUUCAGAUGAAGAGGAAAACCCAUGAUUCAGAGCAUACUCACCUCCAGCCCACAUGCAUAAUGUCGAUCUGUCUGCUGAUGAUGCGUUAGAGUUUCCAGAUCUACCACACUGGUUGCGUGAUUGUACAAUUUCGGGGGCAGAUUUCAGUGAAUUUGAAGUUGGUAAUCAGUUUACCGACAAGGAUAGUUUUAUUGGUGUUUUGAAACAACAUAGCAUCAAAAACGUCAUUAACUACAACGUCGUUAAAUCCAAAUCUGAUAAGUUUGAGGCGAAGUGUGCGGUCCAAGACGGCACAUGUUCAUGGAAAAUCUACGCCUCGUUAAGGAAAAGGACAGGGUUGUGGGAGGUUAAAAAGUACAAAGGUCCACAUACAUGUGCUGCAGGUAUAGUAUUGACGGUUUCUGAAUAAUACUUUUAUUAUGCAAUGUUGCAUUAUUUAAUUUACUCGAUUUAUAGGUGUUUUACAAAAUCAUCCCAAGAUGGAUUCAGCUAUGUUAGCUAGCUUGAUACUGCCUACGGUAAAAGCAGAUCCCACGACUUCAGUGCCGGUGUUAAUUGCCAAUAUCCGUAGCCAAAUGGGGUACACGCCCUCUUACUGCAAGGCUUGGAUAGCUAAGCAAAAGGCGUUGGAGAAGAUGCAUAGUGGGUGGGACGCCUCAUAUAAUGAAAUAUGGCAAUGGUGUCAGGUGCUAGAGAGAUACGUCCCAGGUGCCAUCACAGACCUUGAAACGGAACAUGCGUACUACAACGGUCGAUUUCUACGUGGAUGCUAAGUGUUCAAAUGCCUGUUUUGGACCUUUAAGCAAUGCCGAGACGUAUUUCCAUACUGCAAGCCGUUGGUACAAAUUGACGGUACCUUCAUGUUCGGUAGGUAUACUCAUCGGCUAUUGCUUGGAGUGGCACAGGAUAGUGAUGGGAGAAUUCUUCCAAUUACAUUUGCAAUAACACCGGGGGAGUCGUCUGAUGACUGGGAUUUCUUUCUCUCUAGGUUAAGGAGGCAUGUGUGCCUCCAACCUGAUAUCUGUGUUAUUUCAGAUUGGGGCACCGGUAUACUAGCUGCAUUUGAUCGACAGUGAAGCUUAUGGCAGCGCACACACCAUAUAUAUUGCCUAAGACACAUUGCUUCGAACUACUACAGGCAAUAUCCAUCUAAGAGCGAACGACGACAAGUGACCAACAUUGGUAUUUAGUCUAUAUCUGUGUUAUUUUGUUUGUCAAUUUGAAUUAGUUUUAUUGGUAGAAGUGGUAUAAAUUAUCGCUAUGAUCUUAUAUUGGCAGGGUAUGAAAUAAAUAAAGAUCGUUUUCACGAGAUGUUGGCAAUUUUACGUUCAAUUAACGGAGAAGGGGCGGACUACCUUUGUAACAUACGUUUCAAAAAGUGGGCACAAGCAUACGACGGCGGCCUACGAUAUGGCCGUAUGACGUCAAACCUGACUGAAUGCAUAAAUUUUGUUCUUAAAGGAACGCGCCAUCUACCGAUAACAUCGGUUGUGUGAGAGACAUAUUUUUGAUUGGCGGCGCUAUUUCCAAAGCGAGCAGCAAGUUAUGCAGGUCAGAUACAGGGAGGCCAUGUAUGGUGCAGUAAGGUAGUUCAAGAAAUUAACAAGGUCAAGGCGAGGGCAAACACCAUGCACAUAGUGUGUCACGAACGAGACAAUUUAUGGUUUCGCGUGACAGAGUUUGACAGACCGCACCAAGGUGUUGUUGGCGGGCAAUAUCGUGUACACUUGCGAAAUAGGACUUGUGACUGUGGGAUGUUUGAUGCACUUCGUUAUCCAUGCGUGCAUGUUAUUGCAGCUUGUCUGAAUCUCCGUCUGGAUUCGAUGAGUUAUGUGGACGAAGUGUACAAAUUAGAAAACAUGUACCACGUCUGGAGACACGUUUUCCCACCUGUCCCAGAUGAACGUAAGUGGCUGCCCGUAUCUCUUGCUCCUUUUAAGCUGUUUCCUGAUAGAGAAUUACGUCGCAAACCAAAAGGUCGACCUUGCUUGACUAGAAUACGUAACAAUAUGCAUAUCCGAGAAACAGCUAGUCAAACAAAGUUGUGCGGAUGGUGUAGGAAUCCAGGCCAUACAAGUCGAUCAUGCCCUAAUCGUAAUAGUUGAAUGUAAUUGUAAAAAAAUUAAGUUUGUCAAAUUAUUAAUUGAUAAAUUGUAUUAAUGGUUAGUAAAAAUUUCAAAUUAUAUAAAAUUAUUAAUUGUUAGUGUUGACACCAUUUUUUGGAUAAAAUGGGGUCGACUUGGGUUUUAAAAAUGAAAACGUAAAUUGGAGUCGCCACCGUUUGAUGAGGUGUGAUCGGAUCACCUCGAAAAGUGGUUGUUUUUAAUAAACGGUUUGAUUUUAUUAAAACAACAAGUUUGGUCCACGAAAUUCAGAAAAACAGGUUCGAGAGUCGGUUACACACGAGGAAGGAAUAGCACCCUCGAUACGCCUAAAAUUGGUACCUAGUUGAUUACUUAAUGUCUUAAUGUCAAAAAUUGAAACUUUGAAGAAUUUUAAAAAUACGAUCCUUAAUUUUCUUUGAAAGAAAACUUAUAAAAGUUGAGCUACUCGUUAAGACUUUUUCAUUUCAGAAAAAGAAAAUGUCACACCCAAUGCGUUAGAGUACGAUAUUUUACCUUUUCAGAAAUGAGAUAGUCUAAAACUCGCAUAGUAAAGUUUAAAAGGGUGUUCGAUUGUUUAAAUCAUAUGAAAAAAAAAUUGCAACCCAAUACGUUAGGGUACAAUUUCUUCAAAUGUUAAACAUUGAAUAUUGCAUUUAUUUAAAAAAAAUCUUCGUUUCGAGAAAUCAACGUGUCAUGUCCAAUGCAUUAGGACACGACGUAUUGAAUUUUCGAUAAUGAGUUUUUAUAUAUGUCUUUUUAUAAAAAAGAGUAACUUCGAUUAUUUAAAUUCAACAAAGAAAAUCGAAACCCAAUACGUUAGGGCUCGAUUUUCUCGAAGAUCUCAAAUACCGAGUGUUACUUUUAUUUUGAAAUUUUUCAUUUUUGAUAAAUCCGGGUAAAAAUGGAUGCAAAAUAAUGAUAACGAUGAUAAUGUAAGUAAAAUAAUGCGAGCAAAAUAAAAGAUAAAUAAAUAAUAAGACUAAUGUAAAAAUAAUAAUCAUGCAAGCACAAUAACAAAUAAUAAAUAAAAAUUCUAAAGCAUAACAAAUAAUAAAAAUGAACAUGUAAAUAAAUAAAGAAAAUAAAAGAUAUUUAUGAAUUUUAAAAUAUAAAAAUAUAAGUAUUUACAUAUAUGUGCAUAUGUACAUAAAGAUAAGUUAUAUAAAAAUAUGUAAGUGUAUAAUGCAUAUAUGUAUAUAUAUAUGAAAUAAAAAUAAAGCUAAAAUAAAAUAAAACUAAUUAAUAUAUUAACACAAUAGUCAAAAAUAAAUAAAAGGAAAAUAAAACUAAUAAUAAUUAAUAAUAAUAAUGAUAAUAAUAAUAAUGAAAACAAUAAUAAAAUAAUUAACUAAAUAAUAAAAUUGCUAAAAAAAGGCUAAAUCAAAAUAGAAACGAAAAUACUGGGCGAAUUUGAAAUAAAAAACCGAAAAGGAUUAAAUUGCUACACGCGCUGAAAGAGGAGGGACCAAAACGGUAAAUCAACCAAAGCCUCAAAACGUAGCGCUGCAACGGACUAAAAUGAAACAAAAAUAAAACUAUGUGGCUAAAUUAAAAUAAAAGAAAAUAACGAAAAAGGGCCAAAUUGCAACGCGCUGCAAAGUCAGAGGGACUGCGCGCAAAUAUCCCCUUUUGAAAAAACACGCUGAUCCUCCCCCCAGGGUCUGGUCAUCGCGCGGGUCGUGCCAAAACGACACCAUUUUGGUGCCUGGAAGGCCUGCCCAAAACGGAGUCGUUUCAGGGGCCUAUAUAAGUAAAAAUAAACAAAAAAAAAAUCAUUUUAAAACCAUUUCAGAAAAAAAAAACUUUAGCCCCCUUUUUAUUUUUCUCUAGCCCCUCUCCCUCCGGCCACGUUCCGGCCACUGACCACCGUGCCGGACUCCGGUCGCCGACGUCGGCACCGCCGUGCGCAGUGACUGGCGGGGGUAAAAAAUUCCUUUUUUAGAUCUCGGCCCACUAAACUCAAAUCCGGCCUCAAAACACCCAAAAAAACAAAAGGCACAUAACAACUAUGGUGAGUUCCUCUUUUCCUUUUUUGUGUUUAUUCAUAUGUAAAAAAAACGAAAGAAAGAAUAAAAAUGAAAUAAAAAUAAAAAAACAAAAACAGUAAUGAACCUGUUCAAAGUUCUUUCUUUUAUUUUUUAUUCUAGUAAAAAAAAGAGAGCUUUACAAUCAGUUUUUGCUUGGCUUUUAUAGCCAUUUUACAAGUUUUUUUUUAUUUGCUUGCUUGUUGCUGUUUCUUUGUGUGCUUUCUUCUCAUUGUAGGUGGAGCAGGUGGCGUUGCAGGUGGUGGUGGCAGAGUUGGUGAUGGCAGAGGGUAAGUGGUGCGGCGCCUAGGGUUAGGGGGAUUAGGGUUUUCUAAAAUUUUUUAGUUUUUGGGCUGGGUUUUUAAUUUUUUUGGGGCUGUUUUGAUUUGUUUUAUUUUCUCUGGUGGGCCGGGAAAAUUUGGGCUUCUAUAGUUAGUACCUGUCAAAACAUUUUUCCAAAUCUAACAUUAUGUGAAAGUAAAAUUAUUAAUUGAUAAAUUGUAUUAAUGGUUAGAAAAAUUAUCAAAUUAUAUAAAAUUAUUAAUUGUUAGUACUAGGAAAAAACAUUUUUCCAAAUCUAACAUUAUGUGAAAGUAAAAUUAUUAACUUAGUUUAGGGUUUUUAAUUAACUUAGUUUAGGGUUUUUAAGUUAAGGGUUAGGGUUUUUAAGUUAAGGGUUUAGGGUUUUUAAUUUAAUUAGGUUAGGGUUUUUAAUUUAAUUGUUAGGGUUUUUAAUUUAAUUGUUAGGGUUUUUAAUUUAAUUAGGUUAGGGGUUUUAAUUUAAUUAGGUUAGGGUUUUUAAGUUAAGGGUUAGGGUUUUUAAUUUAAUUAGGUUAGGGUUUUUAAUUUCAUUAGGUUAGGGUUUUUAAGUUAAGGGUUAGGGUUUUUAAUUUAAUUGUUAAGGUUUUUAAUUUAAUUAGGUUAGGGUUUUUAAGUUAAGGGUUAGGGUUUUAAAUUUAAUUAGGUUAGGGUUUUUAAUUUAAUUGUUAGGGUUUUUAAGCUAAGGGUUAGGAUUUUUAAUUUAAUUAGGUUAGAGUUUUUAAUUUAAUUAUGUUAGGGUUUUUAAUUUAAUUGUUAGGGUUUUUAAUUUAAUUAGGUUAGGGUUCUUAAUUUAAUUAGGUUAGGGUUUUUACGUUAAGGGUUAGGGUUUUUAAGCUAAGGGUUAGAGUUUUUAAGUAACGGGUUAGGAUUUUUAAUUUAAUUAAGUUAGGGUUCUUAAUUUAAUUAGGUUAGGGUUUUUAAGUUAAGGGUUAGGGUUUUGAAUUUAAUUAGGUUAGGGUUUUUAAUUUAAUUGUUAGUGUUUUUAAUUUAAUUAGGUUAGGGUUUUUAAUUUAAUUAGGUUAGGGUUUUUAAGUUAAGGGUAUUAAUGGUUAGUAGAAUUCUCAAAUAAUAUCAAAAUAUUCAAAAAUUUCUAUUUUAUUACAUCAAAUAAACUUCUAUUUUAUUACAUCAAAUAAUAUCAAAAUAUUCAAAAUAUUUGUACAAAUAAAUUUAAAUACGGCAAUCAAUGUCUAUGCCCGGGGGAUUCAGUGCCACAUGGUGGCCGUCGACAGUUAUGCGCUAGAUUCCUUCUUUCUCUAGCUUCCGGCGACGGUUGUUGCUCCUCCAGCAGGGAUUCUGGUCCUUCCGGUACGACAUCUAUUGUCGGACUUGGGAUGAUGAUCCACCUUCAAAGAAUAGUGUAUGUGGAGGUGUUUGCAUCACGAACGGCGACGGUGUUUGAAACUCAUACGUUGGUGGGGAUUGGUAAAAAGGAGAGCUCCCCGACGGCCCCUCUUGCGAUCCCUAGUGUGCCACUGGCCUAUACAUCGGCGGUCCACUCAGCAUAACAAGAAAUGGAGCUGAACCGGGAAUUUGGCUCCAACCUGCCAUAGGACUCGGAAAAGGAUACAUAUAAGGGUAAGGGUACAUAUAAGGGCUAGGAAACGCACCUGACAUCAUUUGAAAAGACGAUUGCGUGGGUAUCAUCGGCUGAACUGCUGCAUCGGGUGACUGUGUCGGUGCUCUCGCUGGGCCUAGUGAUUGCAUGGCCACUGAUGAUGAGCCGGGUGAAUGUCUAGGCCUCGUUGAGGGGCUACCUUCGUCGUCUUGUCGUCUUGUCAUCUUGGAUUUAGAGGCUCGCGCCUUUCCCUUUCGACACGUAUUUGUCGCUGCCUCUCCUCUGGCGUCAGUAAAUACAGCUUGCCAUGGAUCCUAAACCAUGGCAUGUAUUCUGGAACGCACGCUAACUCCGGAACGAUGAUUGGUUCCCGAGUAGGUAUAUAUUCAUACCGAUCUUCCCACAUUUCCAUGUACUCGGACCGAUAACUCAGCCAAUCCGUAUUCAAUUGCCAAAGGUCGACCUUGUGUUGAUUGUCAAACACCUCAGGAUCCACGGGAACGGUUGUCUACAUCUAAACAGUCGUAGCACUCUGUCUGACUGGUGCGGCUCCAUGGUUGCGUAGUUGAUAAACACGACUUUCACCUGCCAAGCUUGUGGAUUUUGUAAGAACUCUUCCGGGAACUGCCCGAAUUGCCAGAUCCUCAUAUGGUGUCCAUUGAAACUAUAUGAACAUGAUAGAAAUAUUAGUUAUAUACAUAAUACUAAAUACCAAUCGACUAGCGAAUGAUGGAAAUAUCAAUUUUAUUUAAUACUUACAUGUGCUUCCGACUGUUGGUCUAAUAGAAGCCGUAUAUCUUCAAGAGAGGUAGGUAAUCGAGCAUGACUUGCCGGAUGGUUCCACCUAAUUAAAUAAAAUUUUAGCAUACUUUUAUUUUUAAAAAUCUACAUAAUAAUUUUAAAAUCUAAUAUAAAAUUUACCUCGUUAUGAGUGGGAAUGUAUAUGGGUGGUCCACUCGAGGACGUAGAUAUGGAAAGAGAAAUCGUGCCCACGACUGUAGUAGUGAUAGGCAACCUCCAAUUUUUGCUCUCCUCGGUCGCGUCGCCCUGCACAUCUCCCGAUAUAACGUUGCCAAGACGGCAGACCCCCAACUCAAUUCACUGGCUACUCUAAAAUCGACGAGUUUCAGCAGUCAUCUUAGAUGUACGCAGCUCUGUGACGUGUCGGGCAUCAGAUAACCACCAAUUAUUUGAAGAAUGUAGGCCCGAGCAUAUUGGAUUCUUUCAAUUUCGGUUGAAUCUUCAUCCGGAUCAGGGAAUGUGUCACGUAACUAGCCCAUCUCAAUCUUACCUCCCUCCAUUUUCUCCGGAAUAGCGCCCAAAAGCUCGUAGCACACCGCCCCCCAAUCGCUAGAUUGGGCAGACCCGAUGACUGGGUACCCGUCCACCGGUAAUCCUAAUUGCAAACUGACAUCUUCUAGAGUGAUAGUGCACUCUCCACUUGGAAGAUGGAAUGUGUGCGUCUCGGGUCUCCACCUCUCGAUCAACGCACUGAUUAGUUUCGGGUACAACUUGCAUCCGCAGGUAGUUCUCUACUAACGGUGAUGGAGGAGCAUGCAUAUUCUAGAUCUUGCAUUCCAAUACCCGAUCUACAGACUUUUAUAACAAAUAAUAAAUUAAUAAUUAUCUAAAAAUGCAUAAAUAAAAAAUUCUUAAAUUAUAUUUAAAAAUUAAAUUUCACACUUACCAUUUUUAUUUGUUCCACCGAUAUGUGAUGCUUAUCAAGACAAGUCAAUGAUCCAGCCAUUGAUGAAAUCGUACAAAUUUUUACGAAUUAUAAAAAAUAUAAAAUUAUUUUAAAAUUAUUUUUAAAAAGGAAAUUGAGAGCAAAUUGAAAUUAAAUAUGGAUUUGAGAGAAUUUUGGAAGGAAAUUAAGAGAAAAUUGAAAUUAAAUAUGGAUUUGAGAGAAUUUUGGAAGGAAAUUGAGAGGAAAUACGAGAGAGCAUUAGUUUGUGAAAAAAUAAAAAGGGGUGGGGGUAUUUAUAGCUUUUUUUACCGUUGGGGGGGCAACGGUCAAAUUUUUGACCGUUGGAGCAUUGUUCAUGCGCGGAGGAAAUCGCGGCCACGUCAGCGCGAUUUGCUGACGUGGCAUCAAAUCGUGUUCUAGAGGGCACGAUUUGUUGCCAUGUCAGCAAAUCGCGCUGACGUGGCCGCAAUUUCCUGGCGCGUCCCCUGACAUCGCGCUGACGUGGACGCGAUUUGCCAAAAAAUGGACCAUUCUGGUAAAUAAUUAAAUAAUGGGCCCAUUUCGGUAAUUUUUGAAAAAAAAGGGCUUAUAUUGGUAAUUUGCCCGUAAAAAUCAUCUGAAAAUAAGACGAAAUUCAAAGUACAACACCAAGUCUUCAUCAAGCAGUGUACAUGUCCAAAUUACUAUAUUGAUUAAUAAUAACAUUGAAUAAAUAACCUUCAAGAUUCAAUCCUUUAAGUUUUCUUUCUCCUUUAUUUACUUCCAUUUUAUAUAUGAUAUUUAGACUUAUUAAUGGGUUGAGUUAUUGAUCUAAACUUAAAAGAUUGUUUAAAUUUUGAAGGAGUUUUGGUAAAAAUAUUAAACCCUAAAAAUAGGACUAGACAAAAAAAAUUAAGUUUAUUUAAAAUAUGAGUUAAACUCAUAUAUGAACAUUCAAGGAUUGAACUAGGCUCGGCCCAUUUUUAAAAUUUGUAAUUUUUAUAUUAUAUUAUUUUUAUAUAUUAUGUAAUAUAUAAUACAAAAAUUAAAUUUAUAGUAAUAUAUAAUAUCGUAAAAAUUUAAAAAAAAAACAUUAAGAUGAAUAUAUAUAUAAAAGUUUAAUAAAUAAAAUAUAUAAAUUAUUAAAUAGUAUUAAAAAUAAUAUAAAUAAUUUUAAAAAAAUAAUUAUAUGGGUGGAUUUAAAAUGAAUUUGGGUUAACUAUUUAUAAGUAUGGAUGGGCUUAAACAAAUUUUAGGUACAUAUUUCAGACUGGGUUUGGAUUCUUGACAACCAGAAAAUGUGUUAACAACAUACUUAAAUCUAACCGAAACUCAACCCGACGCAUAGGGGAUUAUGUUUAAACUUCAAAUAAUAUUUGUGAAAUAUGAUUAAUUUUUAGAUAUUGCCUUAUGAGUAAAACUUUUUUAUUAGUUUGAAGAGUUGUGAGUUUAAUACUCUCUCAAAAUCGAUUCUUUAAUCAAUUUCCAAUUCAACCAAUUUAUCAGUCGAUCUAAUUCGGUUCAAAUAACCCUAAUUAUAUGAAUUUCAAGCUGUUGAAGUUACAACUGAUAUUAAAAUAAAUCGGAACCUUCUCUGUCUCACCAAACUUACUCUAAACCAAGAGCAUAAAAAAUAAAAAAAUAAAAAUCCUCCUCUAAACCAUGCAGUGUUAGCAAUCGUAAGAUCUGUUAGUGAAACAUUGAGUAGAAACUAUAGAUGACAACAAGUGGGAACCCUCACCUUGUCAGAGAUCAUGGGAAGUAUUGAACUCUUAUAAUUAGAAUAAUCAAGUUCCACUACAAAUAACGAUCAAAACCCACAAAAAUAAAAACGCAUACCAUGAACAUGCAGCAGUUCAUAAUAUUCUUUGAAGUUUUAGACUCUUGACAAUAACCAGAAAAUUCAAACACAAACACAGUCUGUAUCUUCAGUUCAUAAACAUCCCAAUAAACCAUUGGGAUUCAAACACAAAACCAUCACACAAACACAUAUUGUCAGUAUCUUCAGUUCAUAAACAUCCCAAUAAACCAUUGACAUUCAAACACAACCAUCACACAAAUGCAUACUGGCAGUAUCUUCAGUUCAUAAACAUCCCAAUAAACCAUUGAGAUUGUAUUUCAAAGAAGCAAAUUACUCAACCCGCGGCUUUUUCGGCAAACUGGCUAGAUUCAGUUGGUUUUCUUUUAACCCAGCUUCGUCCUGAUCCAGCUUCAGUUUCUUUUCUUUUAAGUCAGCUUCGUCCUGAUCCAGCUUCAGUUUCUUCUCUUUUAAGUCAGCUCCAUCCUUCUCCAGCUUCAGUCUGUCUUUUCUAAUAUUAGCUUUCUUCUUCCACUACACCAAAACAGGGUUUUAGCGGCACUUUCUUAGGUCUAUAGUGGCGUUUUUUAGCGUCGCAAAUACUUUUAGCGGCGCUUCGCAAAGCGCCGCAAAGGUUGCUGUUAAUGACAGCGUCGGUAACUUUCGCGGCGCUUUCUAUGAUAAACGCCGCUAAAGAUCAGGAACUUUAGCGGUGUUUUUUUUACAACGCCGCUAUAGACCAUGUUCUUUAGCGGCGCUUAAAUAAAAACACCACUAUAGACCGUGAUCUUUAGCGGCGCUUAAAAAAAACGCCACUAUAGAUCGUGGUCUUUAGCGACGCUUACCAAAAAAUGCCACUAUAGACCAUGGUCUUUAGCGGUGCUUAACCAACAAACGCCACUACAGACCAUGGUCUUUAGCGGCGCUUAACCAACAAACGCCACUACAGACCAUGGUCUUUAGCGGCGCUUAACCAACAAACGCCACUAUAGACCAUGGUCUUUAGUGGCGCUUAGGCGAAAAACGCCACUAUAGACCAUGGUCUUUCGCGGCGCUUAGGCGAAAAACGCCAAUAUAAACCAUGGUUUUUCGCGGCGCUUAGGAAAAAAACGCCACUAUAGACUGUGGUCUUUAGCGGCACUGACCAAAAACGCCACUAUAGACCAUGGUCUUUAGCGGCGCUUAGGCGAAAAACGUCACUAUAGACCAUGGUCUUUCGCGGCGCUUAGGCGAAAAACGCCACUAUAGACCAUUGUCUUUCGCGGCGCUUAGGAAAAAAAUGCCACUAUAGACCAUGGUCUUUAGUGGCGCUUAUGCAAAAAACGCCGCUAAUUUUGGCAGAUUUGGAAAGUUUUUUUUAUUUGCAGCCCUCCCGUAAAAACAAAUCAGAAGAAACCAAAUCUAAACCAACCAAAAGUAAUAAAUCUAUAUAAUAUUUAAAAUAAAUGUCAAUAAAUAAAAUAAAAUUCGUAUUAUUCUUACAAAAAUUGUAAAAGUUUAAAUGAUAAUACCAAAGUCAAAAUUGAAGUAUAUUUACACGAUAGUCUAAGACGACGGCGGUUGCGAUUGCUGAAACAACUUCAUCAUAUUCUGAAGCUGCUGCUGGAUUUUAUCGAACUUUUUAAGCUGUUCUGCUUCCCUCGCCGCAGCCUCUACUUUACUCGCUUUAGCCUCUGCUUCUCUCGCUGCCGCAUCUGCUUUAAGCUGCUACUGGAGUUCUUCAUGCUUUCGUUAAACCUCAGCUUCUCUACUGCUGCCUCUGCUUCUCUCGCUGCCGCAUCUGCUUUAAGUUGUAGCUGGAGUUCUUCAUAUCUUUUUUGAACCUCAGCUUCUCUCGAUGUUGCCUCCGCUUUAAGUUGUGUAAUUUGCUCAGUUGUUGUCGCUUGCAUCUGAGAUAUCUGGUCUCUUAACCUCUAAACUUCAGCUUGGGCCUGACUCACCGAACGCAUGUAUUGUUGCGAGCUGGAUCCAAAAUAUUGGGAUGGGUUAACAAAAGAUCCUUGAAAUCGAACCCGACCAUACCUUUCAGGACCCAAAACUUCAGUGAUAAUCCGGUUAUCAAUGUCGUCAAUAUGAACAGAACUAUCACUGGAAGUAAUCGCUUCGUACUCCACUUUUUUAUCCUUCAGUUUUUCCUAAAAAAUAAAUCACAUAGUUAAGAACGCAAUAUAUAUUAAAAAAACAAAUGCAACAUAACUUAACAAAUUUGCAUUACAAGAAAUGAAAUAAACCAUUAGAAAAUAAACAGUAUAAAUAAUUAAAAUAAGUCAAACUGUAUUAAGCAAACGUACCAUAAUUUCUGCAGCUUCAGGAGUCAUAGGGUUUCCAUCUUUCUUCCUAUGUGUAAUGUUAAAAAGUUGAAGGCGUCCAACUUUUUGACCUGACAACACUUCCUACAAUACUAUAGUAAAAAUAUUAUUUGAUAGAAAGAAAUAAAUAUCUGCCAGUAUUACAAAAUUCAAAAUACAUCGGCCUGAGCUACACACGCAAAACUUCUCGACCCAGCUGUGUGCGUGAAUUUUUGUUUCUGCCUACUACUUGUUCCAACUCGUUCACGAUUCUACAUUAUGAAAUUAUUAGUACGUUAAUUAUUAAAUACUAUAAACCAAAAUAAUUACAAGAUUUUUGUAGUAAUUCAUACCUCUCCUUUCUUCGAAGUCCAAAAUCUAACGACCUCUUCCCACUGGUACCUUAGCAUUCCCGGCGGGACAUUUUGUAAUUUCUCGUCGAGUGUUGUUUUUGUCUUAAAAUAGUCUUUCUUUAAAGUGCUCUUAUGGUCUCUCCAUCUUUUUCCCAAUGCCUUCUUUACAUAAGCAUCGGAGACCUCUAGAGCAAAUCUCGCCUAAAAAAAACACAACUUAAGAAAGUAAAUGUAAACGAAACUUAAACCCAAGUAUUAUAAAUGACAUACACGUUUUGUUACCUUAAUGUUAUCGAGAGCUUGGUUCUUGUUACUCUCGGGCACUUUAUGCCAUGACUCGAAGUUAAUUGGCAACAUAUUUGCAUUCUGUGCUAGAAUGCCCAUGUAUCCUGCUAAAAGGCGAGCUUCUGAUCCAACAGGCUGACCAAAGCUAUUACUGGAUACUUGGACACGCUCGACUGGAUCUAGAUCGUAUAAAUCCCUCAGUAGCGUACAUCCGUGAACUCCUCGCGUCCCAGCAGUUUCAGCUAGAAAAUAAAAGUAUUGUAAUAUAAGAAAUUUAAAAAAUAAAAUAAAUAAUAUGUCAACACACAUGUAAGUUAAAUGUUAAAUUACUUUUAGCUUCUAUAGGUUCAAGUGUAACCGGAACGUUCGAAGAUCCAAUAGCAGUUUUUGUUUAGUGCUGUUUGUUUCGGUCGAGUUUGGAGUACCUUGAACAAUAUGGUGCGCUCGUACGGGUCUUCUAGGCAUUUUAUCUGCAAUAUAAAUAAAUUAGUGGAAAGCUUAAUAUACAAUUACAACAAUAAUAAUAUGUUUAAAAUAGUUGAAAUAUAUAAUAAGACCAAUAUUAUGAUAUGAUAUUACAUAUAAUUAAAUAAUCGUAAAAGCUUACUAUAUUAUAAUCCAUAAAUAUCUUCAUCCGUAUCCUGGCGGACCCAUUGACUGUGUGUACUAGUACUAGGGAUGUUUUCGUUUAAGUUUUGUUCUGGAAAUGGAAAAGUUUGUGUUCUGUCGUCAACGCCAUCUCUGCUUCCACUACCCAUGUCAAACAAGUCCCUAGGGAUGUUACGGAGCACAACGUACCAACCCUCAUCAAUUGGAUCUUUUGAGUAAAAAACUUGUUUGACUUGAGAAGGAAAUACGUACAGCUCAUCAAUCAAUUGUUGUCCGGUAUGAAUCAAUCGAGUGAAGUUCACCAUUGUGAAACCAAAUUGAUCUUGCUUAUUCCACAACCAGUAUUAACAUCGGCCCAAUCACCUCGAAAUAAGACAACUUUCCAUUUUUCGUAGUAAUCCAACUCAAUUAUAUCAGUAAGAAGUCUGAAAUAUUCUACAUCUCCCUCGACAGGAUUGUUGUCCCUAGCACUAGCAUAACUAGUAACUGAGGAAUUAACAACUAUUCCACAAUUUUGCGUUCUCCUCAAUCUCUCGCGAUAUUUUGUAUGAAAUCUAAAUCCGUUUAUGAGGAACGCACUAUAUCUUUUAACCACCCGAUUUGGACCUUGAGAAAGCCAUUUGACUUCGUCGGUCACGUUCUUCCCACUCCAAACCUAUUGUAUGAUAAGUCAACUGAGUAAUUUCAAAUGUUAUGAGACAAGAUUAUAAUUAUAUGUCGAUGAAAGCUACAAUUGCAUACCGUUUCAGUUAACCAUUCAUGGAAAGAUUCUAUGAACAACUUAUUGAUGUCUCGAAGUUGUGUUCUUCGGGAGCGCGAACGAGAUCUCAGUAUUUGUUUGUACUCACUAUGUAAAAAAUAUGUUCAGCUUGUUAGAAGAUAAACAACUGAGGACUAAUUGAUGAAUAUCAAUCAAAUGGUUAAAAGAUAAAUAAUCUUACUUGCGUAAAGGUUCCAUUGAUUCGUGGUGAAACAGAACAUACCGAUGUGCUUGUACCCACGAAAAACCAUCUAAUUCUGCAAUUUCCACUUUGCCGAUUAGUUCUCCAAAACUUUGGAACAAAUAAGUAUCGGCCAAGUUAUGAUCUGUGAGUCCAGCAUUUCUAUUUGGUCUGCUCAACCUUGUUUCAACAUCAUCCAAAUAUCGCGAACAGAAGGUCAUACAUUCCUCUGCUAAGUAGGCUUCAGCAAUCGAUCCUUUUGGAUAACGCUUGUUGCGGCAGUAAGACUUUAAUUUGGAUAGGAACCUAAACACGACAAAUAAUGUUAUGAAAAUUUGUACUUAAAGGCAUAUAGGGUUUACGGAAGGAGAGUUUUUAAAAUAAAUUAACACCUUUCUAUGGGAUACAUCCAUCGGUAAAAAACGGGUCCGUCAAGAAUUGCUUCUCCCGGAAGGUGGUUUAUCAAGUGAACCAUAAUAGUGAAGAAGGAUGGUGGAAAGAUUUUCUCCAUGUUGCAUAAAGUCAAUGCGACUCUAUCCUGUACCUUCUGAAGUUCUUGAACAUCCAAAAUGGCUUUCAUUAUAUUGGAUAGUUCAAUUAUACAGGACGUCACCUUCUUCGACAUACAACAUCGUAGAGCAACUGGCAGUAAACCUUGCAUCAAGAUGUGAUAGUCAUGUGAUUUUAGCGAAUACAUUCUUCGAUCUUUAACACUAACACAUCGAGAUAUAUUUGAUGCAUACGCAUCUGGAACCUUUAUAUCCUUCAACACCGUACAGAACACUUCUUUCUCUGUCCUCGACAUCGAAAAAAUUGAAGGCGGCAACCGAUAUUCCCAUUAGGAAGUGGACUCGGAUGAAGAUCAGGUCGAAUUCCCAUUUGGACUAAAUCAAGUCGACUCUGAAGAUUGUCUUUUGAUUUUCUAUCUACAUUCAAAAUUGUACCCACAAUGUUCUCGCAGACAUUUUUCUCAAUGUGCAUAACAUCAAGAUUGUGUCGUAAAAGCUGAUGCUCCCAAUAAGACAACUCAAAAAAAAAUACUUCUUUUUUUCCACAAGUCCGCCUCAUUGGGAUCAUCCUCUUCAUCGGAGUCAUCAUCAGCUUCAUCAUUUGAUCUUCUAUUUAUUUGCAUGUUUGUCGGGUGGUUUAUCUUUCCAUAACCGAAAUUUAUAUCUUUCAACAUGAACAAGAUAUCAGAUCCACUUGUCUGCGAAGGAGCUUCUCUGAACUCUUCGGUACCGUCAAAUACUGAACUCUGAAAUCUAAAUCUAUGAUUUUUCGGUAACCACCGACGAUGCCCCAUGUAAGAGAACUUUUUCCCAUUGUAUAACCAUUGCGAACAUGUUUGUACAGCACAACAAGGACACGCAUAACGACCCUUUGUACUCCAACCGGAUAAAUUGGCAUAAGCGGGGAAGUCAUUAAUGGUCCACAUCAAAGCUGCACGUAAAUUAAAGUUAUCCUUUCUCAGCACAUCGUAUGUCUCGACACCAGCCCGUAAUUGUUUUAACUCUUCAAUAAGUGGUUGUAAAUAAACGUCGAUAUCAUUCCCGGGCCCUUUCUCUCCAGGGAUAAUCAUAGAUAAGAUAAGGGAAGAUUGCUUCAUGCAAAUCCACGGAGGCAGGUUGUAAGGAACAAGCACUACUGGCCAAGUAUUGUACGCAGUGCUCAUGAUCUUGUAAGGAUUAAAUCCAUCGGAUGCUAGGCCAAGCCUCACACUCCUAGGAUCGCUUGCAAAGGUUGGAAAUUUAUUGUCGAAUGAUUUCCAAGCUAAAGAAUCUGCUGGAUGCCUUAAUAAUCCAUCAUCGAUUCAUCCAUCAUGGUGCCACGUCAUUGACUCCGCUGUCUUCGACGACAUGAAAAGCCUUUGAAGCCUUGGUAUCAGCGGAAAAUACCGCAAAAUCUUGACCGGCUUCUUUCUUGGUUAUGCAUCAUUUUCAUCGUUGUUUCCGUCUUCUGUGUUUCUAUUUAUCCAACGGGAUUCGCCGCAUACAUGACAGCAUUGUUGGUUUCUCCGAUCGCCCCAAUACAACAUGCAGUCGUUCGGGCAACUAUGGAUUUUGUUGUACCCAAGACCUAAGUCUUUUAUCAUUUUCUUCAUAUCUUUGCAUGACUGAGGGAUUUUUGCAAAUAGAAACAUUUCUCUCAAAAACUCUAGCAGCAUUGUUAAAGAGCACAACGUACCAACCCUCCCAAACAUUUUAACUGGAAAAGACGAAUGCAGAAAGCCAUUUUGGAGAAUUUUGAUCCCUCAUAUAGUUCUUCGUUCAUCUCAUUAAGAAGCGCAUAGAACUUCACCACUUCUCCAUUCGGCUCUUCAUGAGGUACACUUGUUCCCCGUUCAGUAAAAGCAUUUGCACCAGCAUUACAAUUAUCAGAUGCCACAAAGUCGGCCGGGAACGACUGAAAACCAUGACUGUGCAUAUUAAAUGCAUCCCGCAACAUACCUUCCAUGUCAUCCCCUCUAUCAGACUGAUGGUAAGCAGUACCAGGAUAAGACACAUCUAUCCUUGAAGAGGAAGUACUAGGCGGGCAUUCUCCAUGGAAAAACCAUUUUUUAUAACCUCGAACAAACCCAUCAACAACUAGAUGCUCGUAUACAACUUCACGAUAAUGCCAGUUUAUGUUGACACACUUGUUACAAGGGCAAAGAAUCAUGUUCUCUUGGCUUGCAUAUUGAAAUGCAAAAUUCAGAAAAUUUUGUACUCCAUUUCUAUAUUCGUUGCCUACCCUUGACAAAUACAUCCAAGACCGGUCCAUUGCUUAAUUAUUGCAAGUCUGAUUUUCAGCAGAAAUUACAAGGGUAAGUUGUUAACUUCAUUGGUAUUGUUUCACUAUCUAAGUUAUCAUAUGAUAUAUAUUAAUAAGUUAUGUCGUAUUAUAUAAGUUAUGUAUUAAAAAUGUAAAAGUAUUAAUAAGUUAUGUAAGUUAUGUAUCAUUUAUCCAUAAAUAUAUUAAUAAGUUAUGUCGUAUUAAUGUAAGUUAUGUAAUUUAUGUAUAAUAUUAAUGUAAUUUAUGUAUAAUAUUAAUGUAAGUUAUGUAAGUUGUAAGUUAUGUAUAAUAUAAAUUAAUUAAGUUAUGUAAUCUAUGUAUAAUAUUAAUGUAAGUUAUGUAAUUUAUGUGUAAUAUUAAUGUAAGUUAUGUAAGUUGUAAGUUAUGUAUAAUAUUAAUUAAUUAAGUUAGGUAAGUUAUGUAUAAUAUUAAUGUAAGUUAUGUAAUUUAUGUGUAAUAUCAAUGUAAGUUAUGUAAGUUGUAAGUUAUGUAUAAUAUUAAUUAAUUAAGUUAGGUAAGUUAUGUAUAAUAUUAAUUAAUUAAGUUAUGUAAUUUAUGUAUAAUGUUAAUGUAAGUUAUGUAAUUUAUGUAUAAUAUUAAUGUAAGUUAUGUAAGUUGUAAGUUAUGUAUAAUAUUAAUUAAUUAAGUUAUGUAAUUUAUGUAUAAUAUUAAUGUGGCUUCUACGUCUCUCAAGUCUUGAUUGAAAACGUGGCUUCUACGUCUCUCAAGUCAAAUUUAACAACAUCAUAAAUGAUAGGCAGUAACAUUAAUUUCAGUUAAUUUCAGUUAGGUCAUUUGGCAUGAAAAUUUUAAAUCUAAAGUUUGAUAUAUUUAAUUCAAUUGGUGCUCUAAGAAUUUAAAAACUGUAAUUUCAAACAUUAUCUACUAUUUCAAUUUUGUGUCCAUUUUAUUAGUACCAUAUGAUGGUUUCAUAUUAAAUUUUUAUUUCAUGGUAUAAGCUACAGAAAAGCUUAUAUUAAACGCAAAUUGAAGGUGUAUAUAAUGCUCAAAUUCUUCACUAAUAGUGCCAUCAAAGGAUAAUGACAAGACAUUUUUCUCAAUUUCCAUAAUUUAGUCAAAUGAUCCUCUUUCGAUUCCAAUUCCAACCAUUGUUGCUUAUAACCAUUGAGAUUGUAAACUUACCAACGCUAGACCACCUCCACAUGCAUUAAUCAAAUCCUAAAUUAUAUUUUAGAAGGGGCACCUCCAUAUGCAUUAAUCAAGCCCUAAAUUAUCUUUUGGAAGGGGAAUCGAAGCAAUCUACAAAAGGAUCGACUAUUCUAAAAGAUAAGCAAAGGAAUCCCAUUUCCAAUUGUCAUGAUUAUCUACCAUAUCGGAGACCCGAACAUUCUCCAAACCGCUAGCUUCCAUAGUGCUUUUGCUAAUCAAAGGUCUUACAUUAAGCAGCUACCUUUCUAUUAACAUCGUCACACUUCUUCCAUUGUCUACUGACCAACUUAUAUUAGUUCGAAGCAUCUCUUGUACUUUCAUGAAUGAACCUCAAACUUAUAUUACAUUUUACCAUGUACUAAAAUGAGAAUGAGAUAUUAAACCAUAAUAUGUUGAUCGGAAAGGCAAAUGGGAGCACAUGGGAUAAGAAUUAGAGGACCCACAUGCAAAUAUGUCCUUAAAUUUGAAAGCUUUUCAUGGGAACUUGAAGAAUAUGCAAAUUAUUAACAAAUUUUUCACUACAAGCCUGCAAAUCUAUUUCAGUGAAGGAGAGAAGGAGGAAAACCUGUCGACUGUUGUACCCUAGCGACAGCAGAGAACUGCGGUGGUACAGCACUGUGACGGUCGACGGUUGACGAGCGAGAACAGAAGCGUCGACGAGCAAUGUAGCAGAGAUGGUUGGGGCGCAGCAGCCUAGGGUUCUAGAAUUGGGGGAUUUUGGGGGGAAAAAUCGGGAGCAAUUUUGGGGAGAAAUUUGGGGGGAAUUUCGGCUAAGUGUUGGGAGUAAUUGGGAUGUAAGAGACAAUCUUUUGCGGCGUUUUUAACCUAUCGCCACUAAUGCUGUUAAUGUGGCAGAUAAAAUGACACCGUUUAUUUAAAACCGGAAAGAAAUUUUGCGGCGUUUUCCACAUAGCACCGCUAAAUCCAACCUUUAGUGGCGUUUCGACACUUGCGCCGCAAAAGCCAUUCAAUUCUCAAACAAAACUACAUCGUUUUCACCAAAUCUUUAAUAACUUGUUGCGGCAGUUUUGCUAAGAACGCCGCGAAAACUCACAUCUUUUAUUUAUUUAUUUAUUUUUUACCUGUAUCUUUUAUUAACUGUAUCUUUUAAUUACUAAGUAUAAUUAAAGUUUAGCAAUCCUUUUGACAAUGAUAAUACAAUAAUAAUAAAAAUUUAUUAAUUAUUAAAACAAUUGUACACUACUAAAAGUUUACUUUUAUAUUCGUAAUUAACUUUUAAUAUUUUAGACUAAAUUGUUAUAAUUUUUUCUUUUGCUUUCUAGUUCUUAUUUAUUAUUAUACAAAUACAUAACGAAUUAAUCAAGUAUUAUAUUUCAUUACCAAGGAAUAUAUCAAUGAAUUCAAAAUUCCUACAUUUUUCCUAGAUAACACAUUUUAAUAAUAUAAAAGUAUUAAUUAAUUAAUUGUAUCAUUUAACAAGUCUCAAUUAAACCUUAAACCCUAAUUUAACCAUUCAAUAUACAUGCAUAUAUAAAGUUAUCUAUACAGUAUUACGACGCCGUUUUUUUCCUAUCUAACCCAGUUGCGGAGUUUAUACAUAAGCGCCACAAAAUAUACAGUCAAAUGCGGUCGUUUCGACAUCAGUUAAAUUAAACUCCUGGCGUUUUCAACCCUAAACGCUACAACUAAAAUACGUAAAACGGCACCGUUUAUAUAUAAAACUUAAACUAUUUGCGGCGUUUUAGGGAAAGCGCCACUAAAGACAAUGCCAAACGACGCAGUUUCUUAACUCAUAAUACACUAUUGCGGCAUUUACAAAAAGCGCCACUAAAUGGAAACAACAAAACGACGAUGUUUUGCUAACAUUUCAAUAAAAUUAACUGAUAUUUCAAUGAUUUCAUUUAAAUUAGAGAGAAAAUUUUAACUAAUAAUUACACAUUUUAAAAAGAAAAUACAUCAGUAUAUUUUUAUAUUGAAUAAAUAUAACUAUUUAUGUAUGCAAUAUGAAUAAAAUUUUAUUUUAAUUAUAUCAAUAAUUAUGUUACUAUUUUACAAGAUUAUCUGGAUCACACACGAUAAAAGUUAAUGUAUAAAAUAGUUGAGCAAUAAAACAUUGUUCGUGUCUGCUUUUGGGAUUUAACCCAUUUUGAUAUAUUUUUUAAAAUAUUAAUUUAUAUUUACAUUAUUUUCAUUUAUAUUAAUCUAGAAUAUCUAUAAUUAAACACAAAAGCCCCAAUCUAAAACCCUAAAAUCAUCAACCAUGUUAUUUAUCCGUAACCAUCAAACCCCAAACUAUAAACCACUAUACUGUAAGCCUUAAUUAAUUAAUCGUAAACCCUAAACCCCAAACUAUAUAAACCCUUACCCUAAACCACAAACCCCAAAUCAUAAAACUUAAACCCUAAACCCAUCAAUUAACCAUAAACCACCAAACCACAAAAUCCAAUCCACAAUAUAUCGUACGCAUGAACCGUAAAUCUUAAACCCUAAAUUAACCAUAAAAAUUAAACCCGUAAACCACAAACAACAACCACCAAAUCAUAAACUCUAAACCCUAAACUUGGCCACCCCUAAAGUCUAAACCGUAAGUCAUAAACCAUAAUCCUAAACCAUAUCUUUGAAAAUUCGGGUGCCCAAUGUGUUAGUUUAGUACAGAACAUAUAUUUUAUAUUAUUUAAUCAUUUAAUAUAGGUGUGCUACAACGUGGCAUGGAUCCCAGUAAAAUUAAAAUGUUAUUCUUUAACUAGUUUUCAAAUAGUAGUAGAUAUAUAUCUUUAAACCUUAAACAUCAAACCUUCAAUCCCUACCCCAAAAUAGAAAAUAGUAUAUAUACCAAAAACCCUAAAACUCUGUAGCAAAAAUAAUGGAAAAAUAAAUCCUAAAAUAAUGGAAAAAUAAAUUAAGUUUCUUGUGGCGUUUUUAAUCUAAAGCGCCACUAAAAAUUACUCUAUAACGGAGUUUCCAAAUAAGCGCCGCUAAUUAAUCUAUACGUGAAGCCGUAACGAUGCGUUUUGGACAAAUUUUUUGCGGUGCUUAAGCAAAAGCGCCACUAAAAGCUGAUAUCUAGCGGCGUUUAUGGGUAAGCGCCACUAAAGGCACUAUAGCUCAAGACGAAACGUUGUGUUUCGCUUUCAAACUUUCCGGCGUUUUUCAGUUACACGCCGCUAAUAUCAGGCUAUAGCGGCGUUUAUCACAAGCGCCACAAUUGGCUCUAUGCCUCAUUGCCAGACGCUGCGUUUUGGUUCAAAUAUUUUGUGGCGCUUGUUCUAUAGCGCCGCUAAUGAUGUGCUUCAGCGGCGUUUAUACAGAAGCGCCACUAAUUCUACCAUAACUCAAUAUUGUACGUUGCGUUUUGUUUAACAUUUUUUGCGGCACAUACAAAAAAACGCCGCUAAUUGCACUCUAUAAUGGCGUUUUCAUAAUGCGCCGCUACUGCCACUAUUCCUGAAUAUUGAACGAUGCGUUUUGUCAGCUUUCUUACGGCGUUUUUGUUUAAAAACGCCACUGAUGGUGCUCUUUUUGCGGCGUUUUGAUAGAAUCGCCGCUAUUGAUGGAUCUUUACCUGCGUUUUGUGAUUAACGCCGCGAAUGCCUGAUUUUUAGCGGCGUUUAAUCUACAAACGCCACAAAAAGCCGCUAAAUCCUGCUUUUGGUAUAGUGUUCUCAAAUCUCUUCUCCUCUGCUUGAUACUCCAUUUCAUGAGCACGAGCCUUCAUCAACUUAUUCAUGAUGUUUUGCACCAUUGCCUCCAUAGUUGUGAUGACUUUUAGCUCAAGUAUCUCUGGGUUACUUACUAUUUUAUGGUAAACUUCAUCUAGUGAGUUCAUAAUGAUCCUUUGAACAUCUGCAUGACUACAUAAAAAAAAUUGUUAUCAGUAUAAGGGUGCUUUUGAAAUGUCAGUGAGCACUUGAGUUCAUAAAUAUUGUAUACCCCUGGACAGUUGACAGCUUCAUAUCGUCUUGAUUUGCUCUGACAUCACCGCUGCCUUCAGUCAGAUCAUUGUAUAUCUUGUCGUCUAGAAAACAAAGUUAUUAAGGUAGGAAACAUAAAGGAUAUUAAUAUUUACAAUUAACAAGUAAAAAGCUGAGGAUUUUAUAAGAUCAUUUAUCAACUUGCAGCAAUUACCUGACAGAAGAAAGUUUUCAAUAUCAAACAACGGCAGUGACAGAAGCUCCUGUAGAGAAAGAGAAUCAGAUCUGAUCCAAAAAUAAGCAAUUUGAAUUUAAAAAAUAUAUACAGGCCAAUACUUACUGGAUCAACAUUAAGCCCCUUUUCUAGUGAGUCUACUUCAUGAUAACCCUGCAAAUAAGGAGAGAAGUACACAACAUUAAGCCCCUUUUCCUACUCAGGACUUUGGUGUGUGUUUGACUAAUAUUUCUAUGAUUGCGUUUAUCUGUAUUUGAUUCCAAUUCAUUGAAAUCAUCCAUGUAUUCCUUGAAUGAACGUACAAUCUAAGACCCAUAAGAAAAAGGACAUAAAAGGAUCAUAAGACAUAAAAAUCCGAAUAUUUAAACUACAAAUAUUUCUGUCUGCUAACUAAUGUUCAGGUAGAAUAAUCUGAGUUCAACAAUUGCUUACAAAGAAAGUAACAAACAUUUCUGGCCAAUAUAUAUAUAUAUGUAACCCAGAGAAUUAAUAAAAAGAAGUGAUAUUUUUGGUUGUAUCACUUUAUAGUUUGCAAAAUAUGAAAUAAACUGCCCGUCAAAGAAAUUAAAGGGAUGACAAGUUGUACUUAUAUGACAGUAGGAAUAGCUGAGAAGGGUUAAAAUUUUCAUUGGUUAAAAGAGAAUCUAUUAUUAUAACAGAGAAUUAAACUUGAUUUUUGCAUCAUUUAUUGAAAGGAUUGAAUAGAAAACUAGUCGACAAUACAUGAUUGCCUAUUCAAGUCAUAAUUUGCUCAACAAAAAUCAAAAUUCGGUUCUAAGUGAAAAAAAAGAACAGAACAGAACAUGAGAGCCAAAAGACAAGUUAUUCUGUGUACACCUCCAGAAGACUGUGAUAUGUACGCUUUUAUUGCAAUAGGAGUUUUAGUUUUAUUUAUUUAUUAUAUCAGGUUUUAUUAAGAGUUUUAAUUUUACUUAUUUUUUCUAUUAUAUUAGGUUUUUAUUUUCAAGUUAAGAAUUCUACUAGGAUUCUUUCCUUCGUUAUUAACAGACUAUAAAAUGCUGCCAAUAUGAAAUAAAGAGAUAAGCAAUUAUUCUAUCAAAAAGAAACGAUAUUAUAAGAGGGAGUUCAGUUAAGGAUGAAUCUGUCUUUUGAGUAAUCAUAGGUCGAUGUAAGAAUUCUUUCUCGUCUAGACCUGUGACUAGAUUGCAAAGGGAGGGGGACAAACAACAAAACCAACGGGGAACAACGGCAAAAUAGGUUCUUCUGCACCAUUUAUUAAGAGACUGACACAGACAGAAAUGGCGGAAAGAAUGGCUAAGGGGUUGUGUUAUAAUUGUGAGGAGUCCUAUUCCAUGGGACACAAAUGUAAAAGGUUAUUUUGGAUAGAAGUACCAAAUGUUGAAGGCAAGCAAGAUGAUGAUGAGGUAGAUGAUUUUGGAUAAGUUCUGAAGUUUAUUCUGAAUUUGAGCUUGAGGACAAGCUCAACUCCAAGGAGGGGAGUAAUGAUAUGGACGCUUUUAUUACAAUAGGAGUUUUAGUUUUAUUUAUUUAUUAUAUCAGGUUUUACUAAGAGUUUUAGUUUUACUUAUUUUUUCUAUUAUAUUAGAUUUUUAUUUUCUUCAUACACUCUAAUUUAGGAUUUCUAUUUGGACUCUUUCCUUUGUUAUUAACAGUCAAUAAAAGGUUGCCAAUUGAAAUAAAGAGAUAAGCAGUUAUUCUAUAAAAAAGAAACGUUAUUUUUGAGUAACUAUUGGUCGAGGCAAGAAUUCUUUCUCAACUAGACCUGUGACUAGAUCCUACGCCAAGGCGCAUAAGAGACAGUUUCUAAAUAAACUUACCACAUCAACCCUAAAAAUUUAAUAAUGCAAGAACAAAUUACCAAGAAAGAAAAGUCAUGCCGCUACUACUAAGUUACAGAGUCAUGUUUUCUACAAUAAUUUUCAUGAUAAAAGUAAAAUCUAAAGCUCCAUUGAUUAAAAUACUAAUGACAAAUUGGGUGCUUCUACUCAAAAUGUUUACCUGUAGAUUGAUGUGAAUCUUCGCACCUCUGGUACAAUCAGGGGUUAGAGGAAAAUGGAACAUAAACUGUUCAUCUUCCAUUUGCACAAGAUCUUGAAUACUAACAGGAUUUGUAAGCUUUUGGUUCUUAAUAUCUUGUAGCAUUACUAAAACAGAAGCCAAAACUUUGUUUACUAUUUUUUCCACUAUGCUAAAGAACUUAGCCUCUGAGAUUAAUUCCUCUGUUUGGUCCACAAUAGCCUCUCCCUGCAAUGCUUUUACUGAAAUAUAAAGAAAGCAGAUAACAAAUUUUAAUUUAAAUGAUUAAAACAAAUCAAGAUUAAUAUAUUUAUAUAUGUAAAAAAGAGUUAUUAAAACAUGCCUAGGAUGUCUGUCUCUGGUAUUCCUUAAGCAGUCUCCAGAACAUCAACAACAAAUGGCAUUAAUCAACAUAAAAAUCGUACCUAUGAGUGAGAUUACGUGAGGAAGGUCCUUGCAAAUCUCAUCAGCACACUCUAUGUUCCGGACUGGAUUUGUUGACUGGUUCAAAAAUGAAUCAAGCUCUUGAAAUGCAUUUUCGAUGCUAAGACUGGAACUGGCAUUAUCGACAAUCCUGGGCUGCAUCAAAUUUUUCAAUCGUUGCAGUAAGAGUUGAGGGUCACGAAGCCGAUUCAUCCCUUCCACUACUAUCUCUUUCUUUUCUUCCCAUUUCCUCUACAUUCAAAAAAGUUACUAAAAGCAAUUAGAAACAUAAAUGAACUUGCACCCUCAGUUUUUUAGCUCAAUAUUCUUGAGUAAAAACAAAAGCACGAUAAUCUGAUACUUGUAGCAAAAAGUUGAACACACUCCUGGUAUUUGGAAAAAAAGAGUCAGAAAUUGCAGGAUUGACAUGUUACGUUGUAGUGGGAGUCGGAUUGGCAUGGAUUAGUUUGCUCUUUUUUCUUUCUUUUUUUUUCAAAAUACAAAUUAUAAAAAGAGAGGAAAAGUCUCACAGCAGCUUGAUAUCUGUCAUCACCAUCCAAUAGCAUACGCAUCAAUUCUCCCACCAGCUCGUUACAGUCCUGCAUAUAUAUGGAGAGUAACUAUUAUUAAACAAACCCUAAACGAUAAAGAAAAUAGCUUAAUUGCAAGAAAGGAAAGAAAAUGAAUAGGUACCUUGAUUCUUUUACGACUGCGCUUAUCUUUAUCUGAUUCCAAUUCUAUGAAAUUCCCCAUAUAUUCCUUGAACGACGUACAAUCUGAGAAUCAAGCAAAAUGAUAUAAAAAUAUCUUACAAUAUUCUGUAAGUUCAAAUUUUCCUUUAAAAGCAAAAUAUAUUUCUAAAAAAAGCAAAGUCAAACUCGAUUCUAUCCAGUAGACCAGAGAAAAAUAUAAACCAAACCAGCAAAGAGCGAAGAGAAAUGGAGCUUAACAUUGCUUACGAUUGCAGAGUAGAGACUUCUUAUGCCGUCGCAGAAAUCUUUUAUCAUUUUUUCCUCAAGACUUUUAUUUCUGAUGCAUUCGCACGAUCGUGCGAAUUUCGCUUUUCUGAAUUAUUCGAAAAAAUAUUAAAAAGAAAUUGAUUAAAUCCCAAAUUUUGAAAAAGUAGUCUAUUUUCCAUUUGUGUGUUCACAAUAAUCUACAUUUACUGUUGAAGUUAUCAAUAAUUCUCGUUUCUCCCGUUUGAGAAAAAUUAAGUUGAUACGUUUGCAGGGGUAUUGCCAAGGGUGUGUUAGCAAAUGUCAGUUCCUUUAAAGAAAAAAAAUUAAAUUACUCAACUCUCGAUAAUAAUAAAAAAUUCACUAAACUAUAAAAAGUUACAUUUUAAUCAUUAAUAUUUUUUUAAUGAAAAAAUAAUAAAUAGAAAUUCAAGUAUCAACUAUUGAAAGACUCUAAAGGUUUUUGUCUCGUUAGAUAGCCGUAACCACCGAAUUAAGAGGUGCUUCAAAUAUCUGAAGGGAGGUCUGCCAAGAGAGACUAAUCUUUGCCAAUUGAUUUGCAAUUAAAUUACACUCCCUAGGAACAUACUUAAUUUUCCAUUGACCUUCAAAACGUAAAAUACAUUUAACUCUUCUGAGCAAGGUAAUACCGGAGUCCACCGACUCCUCCAUAGACAAGGCACUAACCACCUCAAGGUUAUCUGUCUAAAUCCUGACUUUCUUGUAGCCCUUAUUUAAUAAAAUGAGAAUUCUGUAAAGAAUACCCCAAAGUUCUACCUCCAAAGGUGAACAUCUACCCAAAUAAUGAUUAAAGCCCAAAAUCCAAUUGUCAGCCUAAUCACGAACCACCCACCCACGGAUGCAUUUUCGAAAGCUCUAGCCACUCCUCCAUCAAAAAAUAAAUAAACCCAAUUGCCUUUAUAAUGGGAAUGAAUUUCCGAAUUUGGUGAAUUAGGCUUGGCCUCAUUUAGAAAAGGUUCAAAUUGUUUGGCCCAAUUGAGAGAGACUUUUACAAUUUCAUAAGUCGUCCAGUUAAUGUUUUGGAAGAUGAAAAGAUUCAUGUUCUUCCAAAUUCUCCAAGCAAUUAAUCCAAAUAAGCUUGACCAAGUAAUUUCCUUAUCCUGCAUCUUAAAAUGGCAACAAAGGUUAGUGGAAAACCAAUUUUGAAGGGAAUCAAAAAAAAAAAAACCUGGAUUGCAUCUUAGGAAGGACUACAAGCUUCCAUGCUUCCUUAGCUGUCAAACAGUCUUGGAGUACAUGCAUAAUGUCCUUAGUAUUAUGACCACAUAAAGAGCACGCAGUGUUUUGCUCAAUUCCUCUCUUAACGCUCUCUAAAUUAGUAAGAAGUCUAUGUUUGAACACAAACCAAAGAAAAAGAUGAACUCUCUGUGGGCUUUGAUAUUUCCAAAUAGACUUUCAACUAUCAUCUUUAGGACUCCAAGAAUCUUCUUUUAAAGCCCAGUAAGCAUUACGAACAGAAAAAGACUCUCAAUCAGAUCGAGCCAAAUGAUCCCAUCCUCUCCACCAAUACAGUGAGAAGGGGGGAUACUUACUAUACACCUUAUCACGUCAUUAGGUAGCCAAAUACGAAGCAAAUUAACUUUCCAAGAAGCAUCAAGAAGAACCCAAUCCCUCAAAGUGCUCUCCAAACCUAUGCUUGCAUGAGCUAGAACAUAAGAAAAAAAGAGGACCAACUUCUAGUAUCCAAGAAUCUUUCCAACAACGAAUUAGAGCCAUCACCUACAGACCACAUAAGAUUCUCACAAAAAAAUGGGUCACACCUUAGAAAGGGAACUCCAAAGAUGAGAGCAUUGAUUUUUGUGGAUAGAAUUUGGAAGCUAAUUCUUCCACCCAUAUUUCGAACAAAGGACACGAACUCAUAAAGCACCCUUUAUAAAGACUAGAUUGAACCCAAUCUUCAUAAGUAAGGAAUUAUUUUGGUCUUGGAGGUGCCGAAACCCGAGGCCCCCUCAAGACUUAGGUUGACAAAUGGACUCCCAACCUUCUAAAGUUGUUUUUGGAUGCCCAGCAGAACCACCCCAAAUGAACUAUCUUUCUAUCCUCUCUAUCUCAUCACACACCUUUCGAGAUUAACAAGGACUGCAUAAAGUAGUUUGAAAUAGCUAAGAGAACUGAUUGGGCAAGAAUGAUAACUGAUUGGGCAAGAGUGACAUGUCCCGCAAAGGAGAGUUUCCUAACAUCCCAAUUUUGAGUUAUAGUGACUUGGUACAUUAACCCAAAAGAUAUUAUCUAAUUUGACCUUGACCUCUAGUUAAAAUAUUCAAUUUCAUCCUUUCGCAACCUUUUUUAACGAUAAUUCUAAAAAAAUUAUUUAAAUUUUCAAAAAAAUUAUUUAUUUUCUAAAUAUAAAUAUUCACUAAAUUAUAUUUAUCUUUUACGGGUUUUUUAUGCAAAGGUUAAUGUUGUAGUAGCUAGGGAUGUUCAUAGUUCAGUUAAAACCGAAUCAAUCGUUUUAACCAGUCUAAUUCGAUUAAUCAACCAAUGGUUGAAUUUAGUUCAAUCGAAAGUCAGUUAAUGAUUUUUUAAAAUUUCAGUUAUCAGUUAAUUCGAUUCAAAAUCAAAUAAUUAAUCAAAAUAAAUAAUAUAUAUUAUAUAUAAUUAUUAACUUUAAAGAUUUAUGUAAUGUUUUUACAGUUUUAUUUAUUACUUUCAACCCCAUUUAAAAGCUUUUGAACUAUUAAAAGAAAUGACCAUUAGCACUAUAUUCUUAUUAUUUUUUAUACUUAUUUUAAUCAAAAGAUAAAAAAUAUAUAUUUCAAUUAACCGACCAAAUUAACCAAAAUUUUUCAAUUCGAUUAAUGUACUUGAAAAAACUUCAAUUCAGUUCAUGGUUAAAACUUUUUACAUUUCAAGUAAUUCGGUUCAAAUAUUAAUCGAACCAACCGUUUGAACAAUGCAAUCCAUACACUUAUUGAAUGCUUUUAACGGCACCGAUUAAAUUAUCCAACGAAUUCUACAAGAAUAAAUUUAGAAUUGAAUUGGAGUUUGUUCGUAUAUGAAAUACGCACAAAGUCCAUGUAAACCAUUCUUGGCAAAGCCAAUCCUUGAAUAUCCUCUUGUAGCAGUUGAGCAGGUCCUGCUGGCGGCACACUAAAAAUUUGCAUGCCAACAUUCUGGUUUGAAGAAAGACAGAGCAUCAGCUAGCCGAUUCGCUUCCCUAUGCACAUUCUGAAUUGAAGUCAGCAAAGCCAAACCAUUCUUCCAAGUUGUAAAAACUCCUGAUUCAAACACAAAAGCAUCCCACUAAACCAUUAAAAAAUUCUAUUCCAACGUCAAAUAGAUUUCGACUUACUUGACCGCAAUAACAAGUAGCAAUUAGUCAACCCGUGGUUUCUUGGACAGCUUCAGUCUGCCUUCUCUUUUUCUUAGAGAAGCAAAAGCAAUUACUGAGAUUUAUAAAUAUAGACACGAACCAUAAAUGAAAAUUUGGGGUUGGAGUAUUAACAGUUCAUCCACUAUUUGCACAAUGUCCUUGAAAAGGAUUUGCCAAGUUCAAAAUGUCGUAGAUCUUAACAUAAGUCGUUGCUUGUUUCUUCCUGCCUUCUUGUGGUCACAAAAGACAUGUUCCUGGAUAUGCAAAGUAGACAAUUAAUAAUCAUUUAUCCGAAGAAAAGAAAUGAGAGAAAGGAGACCCAAAGACGAGAUGAUUGGUACCUGUCUGCAUAAAUUACGGCUAAUACACUGAUGUAAAUCAUAAAUGAAGCACUUUACCGUCCAUCAGUCCGGCUUCUAAGUUAAUAAUUUUGAUCUAAAUCCAACAUCUACUAUUGCCAUAGAUAUCGCACUUAAUACUAUCGGUAUAGUCUUCAGAACUGGAUUCUUCGAGGGAAAAAGAAAACUUGAUUCGCUUUGCUAAGAAAGCUUAUUUGGUCCCUAUCUGUUGAAAUCAGCCAAGAAAUUUGGGCAUGCACUUUGCAGCUUAAAAGACCAUACACUCUGAGCAUCAAUUAGGAAAAACAUUACGGUAUGUUUAUUGAUGAUAAAAAAAUGUCGAAGAGAGGGAAGAAACGACUGCAAACUAAACAUUACCUAGUAAAAUUUAAAGGUAAAUUUCAAAAGAAAAGAACUUUCCCUGAAUCAGACUGUUGAAUUGAGUGAGGAAGGGAUUUGUGAAUCUCAGCCCAAUCUCAGCUCAAACUGGUAUUUGUUGACUGGAAAAGCAUUUUUAGAUUUGUUAUCUGCUUCAAAAAUGCAUUUGUCAACAAAUCCAGUCCGAUCCAAGACACCGGAAUACUGAACUGCAUCUUGAAUUAAGGGUCUUGGGGGUGACUCAUCGCUUCAAGCACUAUCCACUAUCAACAUCCUUCCCCUAUAUAAUAUAAACUUCGCAAAAUAAAAUACUGAAACAAAUUAAAACAGAUUAUAAAAGAGAUUGUGGAUCUUGGUUCAUCGCUCCUUAUACUAUCUACUAUCUACAUCUCUGCAAAAAUAUAUUAAAACAAAAUAUAAAAGACAGUGGUUGGUUCAUUGCUUCUUUUACCAUCUACUAUCUAUUUCCUAAAAGUUACUAAAAAGAAUUAGUAACAGAAACAUCAGCAGAUAAGGAAAAACAACUACAAAAUUUGCAUCUGUAAAAGGAAACACCAAAAUGGUGAGAAUGAGACUCAAGACUAGAGUGAUUUUGCUUACGGACGGGCAAAAACGGAAAAGAACAAAAAUGACCUAAAGUGAAAAGAACUCCUCCACACAACUGAAUAGCAUUUAUGUUCUCCAAUAACAAAAUUUACACUUAUAUAAGGCAAAUGGCCGAAUGGCCUCAGGGUUUCAAAUAGGGUAGGCAUAGUGGUUUCACAGCCGCUAAUUCAAAAUAGCAGCAGCAUCCGCUACCACUAAAGAUCUCAAUAGCUGCGUCAACAUAUUUUCAGAUGUUCUUCGAACUAAGUAAAUAGAGAAAGAGUACAAGAUAAGGCGGAAUCCAAAGUAGAAAAUAAAAUGUAGAGGAGUAACGUAGAGGCUGAGAUAAGGUAAUUGAUACUGUAAGUAGAUAUAUUUUAGGGUUUCGAAAUUUACCUUGCAAAAGAGGAUUUGGAUCUGAGUAAUGGUGAGAUCCCUGCUUGGCGGCCAACGCUGAGAGAUGAGGGUAGGAAGGAGUUUCUUUUUAAAGAAAAUUUUACUAUUUUAGCCCCACAAAAAAAUUAUUGGGCUCUACUUGGGUUUUAGUUUUUGUUCCCUCUACUUUUGUUUUGUUGUCAUUCUUUUUUCCUUUUUUUUUUAUGAUAAUUUUUAUAUAAUAGUGUUAAGGUGUUCAUCACCCCAAGUGUUAUAUAGGUUUAAGUUGCAUUAGUCGUAUUACUGUUAUUAACACAAUUAUAUUUUAAUUUAAUAUUCAAGUUUCAUUUAAUUCUUUCUCCUAAUCUCACAUCUUGGUUCUUACAUUUUUUUUAUUAACACGAUUCAAGCAAUUAUAAUUCAAAUGAAUCCAAUUUAAAAUACAAUUGAAUUUAAAAUCAAAAUAUAUUCAAACUUAGACUAAAUAAAUCUAAAAAGAACCUAAACUAAAAUUAAUGGACAUGAACCUAAACAGCAUUUUGCAAUAUGGUCCUUAUAUUCCAUUAAAAUGUAAUAAUGAGACAUGACAAUAUUGUAUCACAUCACCACUUGGGCUUAUUUAAUUUUUAAAAUUUUCAAAUGAUGAAUUGACAUAAUCUCUUAUUAUCACAUCAUCACACAUUAACAGAAUUUAAGUUCAUGGACCAAAUUAGAAAGAAUUCAAUGACCAAGAUGAGACAUGAGUGCUUGAUAUAAUUUUUCUUUCAUAGGGCUCAAGCUUGAAGGACAAAAUAUGGGUACUUAACAUUAUCAAUUCGUAACAUUUUAAUCAUUGUGUCCAACCCAACUAAGUCUGGCAUGGCAGAAGUUAUAUUUUAAUUAUUUACACAUAAUCGUUUAUUAUUAUAUUGUGAAAUAUUAUAUUAAUGGUCAUAAAGUACCAAAGUAAUGGUUCUUUGUAAGUUAACUAAAGUUAACUUUAUUGACAUGACAUGUGAUUGUCUAGGUAUAUGCUUCAUUAGUAAUUAUUUAACUUUAUAAAGUAAAAAGAAAAUUAUUAAAAUUAUAAAAAAUUAUAAAUAAAAUUAUAAAAAUGAUUUAAGCCCAAUAAACCAUUAAACUUACCACCAAACCAUUAAACUUACCACUAAAGAUAAGUUAAUUUACACUUUACCACCAAACCAUUAAACUUACUUUAAUAUAAAUUGAACAAAAAUAAUAUUUAAGCCCAAUGAACAAAGAUAGGCCUAGGAACAAAAAUAAAUGAUUUUCCCUAUAGAAGGAUUUGAACCUAAAACUUCCAACAAACAACUAAAAUACUUAACCACUAAAACAUAUAUUACUUUAUAAUAAAUUUUAACAAAUCACAAUAAAACUUAGAGCAUUAUAUGGGAAAUUCACCGCUAUGUAUGUACUAUAUUGUGAUAAUUCUUUAAUACCUUAAGGGUCAAGAUCGUAUCACCAGCUCAAAUACCCUAGGGUACAAGCAUAUUCUGGUGUGGUUGGUGAGGUCGAUGCAUUUAUGCUCGAUUAGCACUUUAGUACAUCUACUUCUUUUUCCUCCUCUUCUCCAUCAUGAAAUCAAUUUAAUUUCUUAGAAAAGUUUUGGAUCAAUUUUCGGAUUCCAAUCGAUAUCAUCAAUAUACAUAUCAGUUGCAUAACUUGACAACUUAUCCUUGUAAGGAAAAUCAUGAUAAUUUUCCCAGAACCUCUGUUUAGCUUCCUGAAAAGCUUUUAAAUUAGUCGAAUCAUCUCAUUCGAAUACUUUAUAAGCUUUAUACAAAGUAUUCUUCGCAUCAAUAAAUAUUUUCCAUGACAUUGCACCCACUUUCAUGCAAAAUUUUUAAAACGAAUAAAUCGAUUAAGAUUUUAAUUAUUAAACCCAUAAGACCAUAACCUGUUUACAAACUCAAACCCAAACCCAAACCCAAAGUAAACAUUAAAUCCAAAUUCUCAUUAAAACUCGUUAUUCUUACAAAAUUAUAGCCUAUUAAAACUUUAAAAUCCAAUACCUUUUCUGAGUCAUGCUAUUCCAUAAGUGCAGAGGUAACCCAUGAACUUCAAGCCAAGUUGCCCUCCGCUCAGGAAGGAAAUCAACUAACCUACAUCAUCUGAUUAAAAGCACAAUAACUCCACAACAUCUGAUUGACAGCACAAGUUAAUUGAAUUACCAAGAAUCAAUAUCAAUAACUUACAUAAAAGAAUAGAGAUUAAAUAUAAGAUGAAAUCAACCAAGCCAAGCUGGCAAUGUCUAAGCCAAAAUAUUCAUUUACCCCAUUUCAAUCCUACAAUAGUCAAGAUUUGACUAAACUUUGCAACCUAUACAAGUCUUUUUGGGAUUUUGACAAAAUAUAAAUAAAAGCCCCGAGAAGAUACUUAAAACAUUCACUCAUCCAUGGCAACUGCUUGAAAGAAUUUGGGUUGUCAUCUAGCUCAUAAUCAAAUACAAGAUCAAUACCGAAUUCUAGCACAGAUAAAUCUGAAAGAACCCGAAGAGUAAUAUGAUCACCGGCUUCUAGUUCACCACCCCUAAAGUCCCAACAAGUAAACCAGUAUAAGGUAUUCUUGGUUCCAAGAAUUCCUGUGAAAUGUUUGGAGUAGGUCCACUUUGUACCUUUAGUCUCGUUCACAAUUUCAAGGAAUGGUAAAAAUUCAUUUGUAUUAUCAUUCUUGGCAGAAAAAAUGAUAAUCGAAUUUAAGAAGCAACUAAUCUUUCGACUAGAGUUUGGGGGCAGUGACAAUGAAACCUCAGUCUUGCCAGCUUGAUUGCCAAAGUAGUGGCCAUAGUAAUCAAAUGGCAUUGGAUCAAAUGCUGUAAUUAUGCCAUAAUCGUAUAGUACCUGUAGCAUUGGGUUAAGGAAUUAGUUAUUAAAAAUAUAUAGUAUAUAAAUAAAUUUUGAAACUUGGAACUCGUAAGGAACCUGUGGGGAAGAAACCACUUUUGAUUCUUCUAUAUAACUGCAAAGUUGCACUUUAACAUUUCCAUAAGAUUCCAAAUUGAGUAAGUUUUUAGUUAGGUCCAUCUUGAUAUUUCUUGGGGAAACUUCAUCUCUUAAAAUGUGUACAAUAAUGUGUUAUUUAUCAAUUUUAAUGAUCAUCAACAUAAUAUGCCUAUUAUAAUACCAAAGUAUUAAUUUUGACAUGAAAAAAAACGUUGAUUAAAGUUUUUAUCAGACACCCAUAUAAUAUGGGUUUAAACUGUGUAUGAAAAAAAAUAUCAAACAACUAAUUUUAUGUAUUAUGACUAAAAUAUGUUAUAAGACUUGUUAGAAAUAACCAAUUAUACACUUUUUUGAAAAAAAAAAACAAUUAUAUCUGUAUCUUUUAUUUUUAUAUAAAAUAUCAACUUUAAAAAUACCACUUUUAACUUCAUCCAUUAUUUUAGUUUCCACUUAGGUGAUAGAUUAAUCAUCUAUCAAACAAUUAACUUAUUUUGAUUAGACCUCAAUUGCAACAUAAUUUUAUAAUUAUUAUUUUAUUAUUAAGCUAAAUUUCUCUCAGAAUCUAUUAAACUUAAGUUAUAUUUUUAUUGUAUUGGAAAGCCUUUUAGAGAAACAUAUAUCAAUUUUUGAAUUUUUUUUAUUGACAUCUAAAAGGAAACAUAUGUUCAAACAAUCUAAAGGGGGCAUUAAAAUAAAUAUAAUAGGAUGUAUUAACUAAAAUACAAUCUUACCGUCGAAAACACAAUUAGAUAUUCAUAUAAUUCAUUAUUUCAAUAAGGAUAUAUCUUUUUAGCCAUGUGUUUUACUCAUUAAUGUUAAUAGUGCAUUGGGUAAUAUGCCAUAAACAUAAUUAUUUGAAAUCUACUCAUACCUGUAGAUAAAUAUGAAAAACCAUAUUUAUAUCUAAUGUUGUGUUCGGAUUCAUAAGUAACGCCAAAUUUUCUUACGCUGAGAUGAAUAGGCAUUAUCAUGCAACUCACAAGGUCACCACCUUCAAACUGACAAUCCGUUACUGGCCAAUGGAUCAACCACAACAUUGUGUUAUCGUUAGUCUUAGGAAUUCCGAUGAAACUUGAGCGAUAUCUCUGCAUGAUCCUUUUGGUCUCAUUGAAAAUGUAGACACUUGGUAGAAGGUCCAAUAUUUGAUCACUAGCUAAGGAGAAAACAAUGCAUAAGCUGAACCGAUGGAUCUUUUCAUCUGGAUGAGAUGGUGUUGGCAAAGAAAAAGAGAUUCGGUGCUCGUUAGUGCGAUGCUUAAACACAAUAGGAACUUCACUUCCUAUAACAAAUGUGCUUGUUAUACCACAUUCCUGCAAGACCUGAUCCAAAAAAAACAUGUUAGAUGAUUACGAAUGUGUUGAUUAAGUAAUAUAAGACAAAAAGAAAAAGAUUUAAAAUUUAAGUUGGAGAACUAUUGGACCUGUGGGGUAGCAAGCAUUAUGUUGUCCGUUAGGCAAUUAUAAAGUCGCACUCGAUUUUUGUUGACGGAAUUCACGUUGAAUAAUCUUCUAAUCUCUUCCGCAUCAAAGUUUUCAAUUGGCUCCAACUUGAAUAUAUCUUGAACCUCGGUCAAUUUUUCACAUCCAAAAAUAACACAACGUUUGGAAGAAAAGAAGCAUGGAAGAAUUGACCUAGAGUUUUUUACUGCAAAUACUGUCGAGAACCCAGAAACAUUGGGCAAGACCGGAAGCUUUGGAAUCAUUUGGAGUUCAGUGCAAGAAGUCAAUAGAAGUUCAUCAAGUUUUGUAAGUUCUUUUAAGCUUUCGGGUAGGUAAUGAAUUGGGUUUCUACUUAAAUUUAAGGAUUUCAAGGAAGCCAAGUUACAAAGAUCAUUGGGCAUGACAUCAUCAGAUAAUUUGCAACUUUCAAGGCUUAACUUUACCAAAGAGCCCGGUAGAGAUGCCCAAGAGAAACCCAAUCCUUUGCUUCUUUUCAGUAAGAGCCACUGCAACCCCAAUCUUGAUUGAUAUAUGGCAGUUUCAUCUAAAUUAAGCACCUUCAAUGAUUCCAUAUUAUGCAACUCCCUAGGAACAUCAUCAAGUCUUGAACUACCAGAUAAGAUAAGCUCUUCAAGUGAUAUUAAUGAACCAAUUGUCCUUGGAAGUUUCCUAAGACUUGUGCAAUCUUUAAGGUUCAAGAAGUAGGCAUCUUUAGCUCACCAAUGGAUUGAUCAACUUCCACCAAAUUUAUGCAAUCUUUGAGCAUCAACUUCUCAAGGCUAGGGAGUCCUGAAAAGGUUGGGGUUUUAAGAAGGCUAUGUGAAUGGUUGAGAUUAAGGAUCUUUAAAUUGGGGAGGCACUGCACAAAAAGAAAACCCUUCAUUUAUAUAUUAUUGUUUCACACACACACAAAAAGAAGGAAAAUUAGUAUAUAUCAUACCUCUGUAUCCUUCCAAACUUGUUUAAGUUUACUGUUGCGCAUGUCGAGAACAACUAGUUCAUUGAUAUCAAAAUCCACCGGAAAAGAUUGCAUCCAAAACCCAUGCCAACGUAACCAUCUUAAUCUUUUGGGAAAGUCUUUGAAGUCUCCUUUAAGUCUUACAUAAUCCAGUUGAAGCAGUUUAAGUCUCUUUAUCUUUGCAAAUGCUUGAGUUUCCAUAUCAACAUCAUUUGCCAUGAGAAACUGACUUUUGGAAUGCUUUGGAAAAUGUAGAGUUGCAUUUGUCCUUUUAGCCUUGUCUUCUAGCAAUCCUUUUAGGUCAAGUGUGAGGCACUUAACUGUUCUGGAACCCUGCAUCAGAAAAACUUUUUUAAAAAAUAAAAAGAAAUUUGAUAAUAAAAAAAAAGGUAGUGAAGACGAUGGGAUAAGGCUAAUGUUGAUAUGGGAUGUGAAAAGGCAGGUAAGAGCAGUAGACUAUGAAAAGUCAUAAUAUAUAUUAUAAACAUUUCUUACGUUACAUUUCAACCACCUCUUUAAUUCCACCAGAAUCCGGUACUACUCGCUCUUGAGUGCUAACACUCUCCUCGUUACUGCCCUCCAACUUUUUCCUCCACAAUAUUUUAAGAAAAACUCAAUUCAAAUAAUAUUUUUAUAUUUAAAGUUUAUGAUUAUUUCUCUUAAUAAUGUUGUCUUUAAAAUUCAGAUAUCUAUUUCUCUUGAAAAUACAAUACCUUAAUUAUUCAAAUAAUAGUCUUAACAGAAAGAUUAAGCACCAAAUAUUCUAUAAAUACUAACAAGCUAAUGGUCUAAAGUCUAGAUUGAGUAGCACUAUUAUCCAAAUUCCAAAACAUAGUGCAACAAAUCAAUUCUUUCCCGGCGACCAAAUGACGUUUAUUAUAUAUAUAGAACUCUACAACCUAGUGCUACUAAUUAUCAAUUUUAUUGUUGUGACUCCAUAACUAAAAUUUAGUUGAUCCCUUGACUCAAGAGUGUAAUUAUUCGAAUAGGGAUUAUAUCUCUUUUACAGUGGUACACUAAUUCGUCUUAUUAUAUGGGUUCACUACACCAAAAUAGGCUUUUAGCGGCGCUUUUUUAGGCCUUUAGCGGCGCUUUUUAGCGCCGCAAAUACUUUUAGCGGCGCUUUGAUAAGCGCCGCAAAAGAUGCCGCUAAAGGUGUUGGUCUAUAGCGGCGCUUCUAUCACAAACGCCGUUGAAGACUAAGAGCUUUAGCAGCGUUUUUAAUAUAACCGCCGCUAUAGAUUGGUGUAUUUAGCGGCGUUUUUGUUGAAAGCGCCGCUAUAGAUUAGGGUCUUUAGCGGCGUUUUUUAUAUAAGAGCCGCUAUAGAUCAUGGCCUUUAGCGGCGCUUUUCCCCAAAACGCCGCAAUAGACCCUGAUCUAUAGCGGCGCUUAUCCAGAAAACGCCGCAAUAGACCCUAAUCUAUAGCGGCGCUUAUCCAAAAAAUGCCGCUAAAUACCCUUUGUCUAUAUAGCGGCACUUCGCGCAAAAACGCCGCUAAAGACCCUAAUCUAUAGCGGCGCUUUUACCAAAAACGCCGCUAAAUUUGGCAGAUUUGUAAAUUUUUUUUAUAUUUUCUGCCCUCCUGUAAAAAACAAAUCAAAAGAAAUCAUAUCUAAACCAGCCAAAAGUAACAAAUCUAUGGAUUAAAAAAAAUAAUAUAAUAAAUAUCAAUAAAUAUAAACAAAUUCGUAUUAUUCUUACAAAAAUGUUAAAAGUUAAAAUGAUAAUUGAAAGUCAAAAUUGAAGUAUAUUUACACGAUAGUCUAAGACGACGGCUGUUGCGACUGCUGAAACAUCUUCAUCAUACUCUGGAGCUGCUGCUGGAGUUCAUCGAACUUUUGACGCUGCUCUGCUUCCCUCGCUGCAGCCUCUGCUUCCCUCGCUUUAGCCUCUGCUUCCCUUGCUGUAGCUUGUUCUUCUCUCGCUGCCGCCUCUGCUUCUCUUGCUGCCGCAUCUGCUCUAAGCUGCUGCUGGAGUUCUUCAUACUUUCGUUGAACCUCAGCUUCUCUCGCUGCUGCAUCUGCUUUAAGUUGUAGCUGGAGUUCUUCAUAUCUUUUUUGAACAUCAGCUUCUCUCGAUGUUGCCUCCGCUUUAAGUUGUGUAAUUUGCUCAGUUGUUGUCGCUUGCAUCAGAGCAAUCUGGUCUCUUAACCUCUGAACUUCAGCUUCAGCUCGACUCCCCGAAGGCAUAUACUGUUGCGAGCUAGAUCCAAAAUAUUGGGACGGGUUAACAAAAGAUCCUUGGAAUCGAACCCGACCAUACCUUUCAGGACCCAAAACUUCAGUGAUAAUCCAGUUAUCAAUGUCGUCAAUAUGAACAGAACUAUCACUGGAUGCAAUCGCGUCGUACUCUGCCUUUUUAUUCUUUAAUUUUUCCUAAAAAAUAAAUCACACAUAGAUAGGAACGCAAUAUAUAUUAAAAAUAAGAAUGCAACAUAACUUAACAAUAUUUGCAUUAUAAUAAAUGAAAUAAAUCAUUAGAAAGUAAACACUAUAUAAAUAAUUAAAACAAGUGAAAUUGUAUUAAGCAAACGUACCAUAAUUUCUGCAGCUUCAGGAGUCAUAGGGUUUCCAUCUUUCUUCCUAUGUGUAAUGUCAAAAAGUUGAAGUCGUCCAACUUUUUGACCGGACGACAGUUCCUACAAUACAAUAGUAAAAAUAUUAAUUAAUAGAAAGUAAUAAAUAUCUGCCAAUAUUAAAAGCAUUUCAAAAUACCUCUGCAUGAGCUACACACGCAAAACUUUUUGACCCAGCUGUGUGAGUGAAUUUUUAUUGCUGCCUACUCUGUUUUCCAACUUGUUCACGAUCCUACAUUAUGAAAUUAUUAGUACGUUAAUUAGGAAAUACUAUACACCAAAAUAAUUACAAAAUUUUAUAAGUUACACAUACCUCUCCUUUCUUCGAAGUCCAAAAUCUAACGACCUCUUCCCAGUGGCACCUCAGCAUUCCCGGCGGGACAUUUUGUAAUCUCUCGUCGAGUGUUGUUUUUGUUUUAAAAUAUUCUUUCUUUAAAGUGCUCUUAUGGUCUCUCCAUCUUUUUCCCAAUGCCUUCUUUACAUAAGCAUCGGAGACUUCUAGAGCAAAUCUCGCCUACAAAAAAGACAACUUAAGAAAGUAAAUGUAAACGAAACUUAAACCCAAGUAUUAUAAAUGACAUACACGUUUUGUUACCUUAAUGUUAUCGAGACCUUGGUUCUUGUUACUCUCGGGCACUUUAUGCCAUGACUCGAAGUUAAUUGGCAACAUAUUUGCAUUCCGUGCUAGAAUGCCCAUGUAUCCUGCUAAAAGGCGGGCUUCUGAUCCAACAGGCUGACCAAAGCUAUUACUGGAUACUUGGACACGCUCGACUGGAUCUAGGUCAUAUAAAUUGCUCAGUACUGUACGUCCGCGAACUCUCCGCGUCUCACCAGUUUCAUCUGAAAAAUAAAAGUAUUGUAAUAUACGAAAUUUAAAAAAAAAUAAACAAGAAGUCAGCACACAUGAAAAUUAAAUGUUAAAUUACUUUGAACUUCUAUAUGUUCCUCAGGUGUAACCGGAACAUUCGAAGAUCCAAUUGCAGUCUGUUGUUCAGUGCUGUUUGUUUCCGCCGAGUUUGGAGUACCUUGAACAAUGCGGUGCGAUCGCACUUUUCUUCUAGGCAUUUUAUCUGCAAUACAAAUAAAUUAGUUGAAAACUUAGUAUACAAUUACAACAAUAACAUCAUUCGUAAAUAUAAUUAGAUAAUUGUAAAAGCUGACUACAUUAUAAUUCGUAAAUAUCUUCAUCCGUAUCCUGGCGGACCCAUUGAAAUUGUGUACUAGUACUAGGGAUGUUUUCGUUUAAGUUCUGUUCUGAAAAUGGUAAAGUUUGUGUUCUGUUGUCAAUGUCAUCUCUACUUCCACUGCCCAUGUCAAACAAGUCUCUAGGGAUGUUACGGAGUACAACGUACCAACCCUCAUCAGUUGGAUCUUUUGAGUAAAAAACUUGUUUGACUUGAGAAGGAAAUACAUACGGCUCAUCAAUCAAUUGUUGUCCUGUGUGAAUCAAUCGAGCGAAGUUUACCAUUGUGAAACUAAAUUGAUCUUGCUUGAUUCCACGUGCAGUAUUAACAUCGGCCCAAUCACCUCGAAAUAAGACAACUUUCCAUUUGCCGUAGUAAUCCAACUCAAUUAUGUCAGUAAGAAGUCCAAAAUAUUCCACAUUUCCCUCCACAGGAUUAUUGUCCCUAGCACUAGCAUAACUUGUAAUUGAGGAAUUAACAACUAUUCCAUAAUUUUGCGUUCUCCUCAAUCUCUCGCGAUAUUUUGUAUGAAAUCUGAAUCCAUUUAUGAGGAAUGCACUAUAUCUUUUAACCACCCGAUUUGGACCUUGGGAAAGCCAUUUAACUUCGUCGGUGACGUUCUUCCCACUCCAAACCUAUUGAAUGGAAAGUAAACUGAGUAAUUAAAAAUGUUUUGAACAAAUAUUAUUAUUUGUCGGUGAAAGCUCCAAUUACAUACUGUUUGACUUAACCAUUCAUGAAAAGAUUCUGUAAACAACUUAUUGAUAUCUCGAUGUUGUGUUCUUCGGGAGCGCGAACGAGAUCUCAAUAUUUGUUUGUACUCACUAUGUUACAAAUAUGUUAAGUUUGUUAGACUAUAAACAAUUUUGAAAUGAUAAAUAUUUAUCAAAUUUCUAGAACUUACUUGCGUAAAGGUUCCAUUGAUUCGUGGUGAAACAGAACAUAUCGAUGUGCUUGUACCCACGAUAAAUCAUCUAGUUCUGCAAUUUCAACUUUACCGAUUAGUUCUCCAAAACUUUGGAACAAAUAACUGUCGGUAAAGUUACGAUCCGUGAGUCCAGCAUAUCUAUUUGGUCUGUUCAACCUUGUUUCAACAUCUUCCAAAUAUCUUGAACAGAAGGUCAUACAUUCCUCUGCCAAGUAGCCUUCAGCAAUCGAUCCUUCUGGAUAACGCUUGUUGCGGCAAUAAGACUUUAAUUUUGAUAGGAACCUAAACACAAUAUACAACAUUGUCAAAAGUUGUAACUAAAGGCACAUGGGUGAAUGAAGGAAAAUUUACAAAAUUGUAAUUAACACCUUUCUAUGGGAUACAUCCAUCGAUAGAAAACGGGUCCGCCAAGAAUUGCUUCAUGCGGGAGAUGGAUUAUCAAGUGAACCAUAAUAGUGAAGAAGGAAGGUGGGAAGAUUUUCUCCAUGUUGCAUAGAGUUAAAGCGGCUCGAUCCUGUACCUUCUGAAGUUCUUGAACAUCCAAAACUUUGCCACAAAUGGCUUUCAUUAUAUUGGAUAGUUCAAUUAUACAAGACGUCACCUUCUUCGAAAUACAACAUCGUAGAGCAACUGGCAGUAAAUCUUGCAUCAAGAUGUGAUAGUCAUGUGACUUUAGCGAAUAUAGUCUUCGAUCUUUAACACUAACACAUCGAGAUAUAUUUGAUGCAUACGCAUCUGAAACCUUUAUAUCCUUCAACACCAUGCAGAACACUUCUUUCUCUGUCUUCGACAUUGAGAAAAUUGAAGGCGGAAACCGAUAUUUACCAUUCGGAAGUGGAUUCGAAUGAAGAUCAAGUCGAAUUCCCAUCUGAACUAAAUCAAGUCGACUCUGAAGAUUGUCUUUUGAUUUUCCGUCUACAUUCAAAAUUGUACAGACAAUGUUCUCGCAGACAUUUAUCUCAAUAUGCAUAACAUCAAGAUUGUGUCGUAAAAGGUGGUGCUCCCAAUAAGGUAACUAAAAAAAAUACUUCUUUUUUUCCACAAGUCCGCCUCAUUAGGAUCAUCCUCUUCAUCAGAGUUAUCAUCAGCUUCAUCAUUUGAUUUUCUAUUCCUUUGCGUGUUUGCCGGUUGAUUCAUCUUCCCAUAACUGAAAUUCAUAUCUUCCAAUAUUAACAAGAUUUCAGAUCCACUUGUCUGCGAAGGAGCUUCUCUAAACUCUUUAGUACCGUCAAAUGCCGAACUCUGAAAUCUAAAUCUAUGAUUUUCCGGUAACCACCGACGAUGCCCCAUGUAAGAGAACUUCUUCACAUUGUAUAACCAUUGCGAACAUGUUUGUGCAGCACAACAGGGGCACGCAUAACGACCCUUGGUACUCCAACCGGAUAAAUUGGCAUAAGUGGGGAAGUCAUUAAUGGUCCACAUCAAAGCUGCACGUAAAUUAAAGUUCUCCUUUCUGAGCACAUCAUAUGUCUCGACACCAGCCCAUAAUUGUUUUAACUCUUCAAUAAGUGGCUGUAAAUAAAUGUCGAUAUCAUUCCCGGGCCCUUUCUCUCCAGGGAUAAUCAUAGAUAAGAUAAGGGAAGAUUGCUUCAUGCAAAUCCACGGAGGCAGAUUGUAAGGAACAAGCACCACUGGCCAUGUACUGUAUGCAGUACUCAUGAUCUUGUAAGGAUUAAAUCCAUCAGAUGCUAGGCCAAGCCUGACACUCCUCGGAUCGCUUGAAAAGCUUGGAAAUUUAUUGUCAAAUGAUUUCCAAGCUAAAGAAUCUGCUGGAUGCCUUAAUAGUCCAUCAUCGGUUCGUCCUUCAUGGUGCCACGUCAUUGACUCCGCUAUCUUCGACGACAUGAAAAGCCUUUGAAGCCUUGGUAUCAGUGGAAAAUACCGCAAAAUCUUGACCGGCUUCUUUCUUGGCUGUGCAUCAUUUUCAUCGUCGUUCCCAUCUUCUGUGUUUCUAUUCAUCCAAUGGGAUUCGCCGCAUACAUGACAGCACUGUUGGUUUCUCCGAUCGCCCCAGUACAACAUGCAAUCAUUCGGGCAACUAUGGAUUUUGUUGUACCCAAGACCUAAGUCUUUUAUUAUUUUCUUCAUAUCUUUGCAUGACUGAGGGAUUUUUGCAAACGGAAACAUUUCUCUCAAAAACUCUAACAGCAUUGUCAAUGAGUUCCCGGUCCACCCUCCCAAACAUUUUAACUGGAAAAGACGAAUGCAGAACGACAUUUUUGAAAAUUUUGAUCCCUCAUAUAGUUCUUCGUUCAUCUCAUUAAGUAGCGCGUAGAACUUUGCCGCUUCUCCAUUCGGCUCUUCAUGAUGUUGGUUUCUUCCGGGUUCAGUAAAAGCAUUUCCACCGAGAUUACAAUCAUCAGAUGGCACAAAGUCGGGUGGGAACGACUGUAAACCAUGACUGUGAAUAUUAAAUGCUUCCCGCAACAUCCCUUCCAUGUCAUCCCCUCUAACAGACUGAUGGUAGGCAGUACUAUCAUAAGAUACAUCCAUCCUUGAAGAGGAAGUACUAGGCGGGCAUUCUCCAUGAAAAAACCAUUGUUUAUAACCACGAACAAACCCAUCAACAAUUAGAUGCUCGUAUACAACUUCACGAUAAUGCCAGUUUAUGUUGACACACUUCUUACACGGGCAAAGAAUCAUGUUCUCUUGGCUUGCAUAUUGAAAUGCAAAAUUUAGAAAAGUUUGUACUCCAUUUCGAUAACCGUCGCUUACCCUUGACAAAUUCAUCCAAGACCGGUCCAUUUUUUAUUUCUUGAAGCCUAAUCUUGACAAUAAAUUGCACGGGUUUAGGAUUUAGGAAUAAGUAUAGUUAAGCUAUGUAAGUUAUGUAUUAUGUAAGUUAGUUAUUACCCAAAUUAUGUAAGUUGUGUAUUAUGAAAAUUAUGCUAUGUAAGUUAUGUAAGUCACAUAAGUUAUGUAAGAAGUUAUUUAUGUAAGUUAUUUAUUAUGAAAAUUAAGUAAGUUAUGUAAUUUACGAAUAAUUAAAAAUAUGUAAGUUAUGUAAGUUGUAAGUUAUGUAUAAUAUUAAUUAACUAAGUUAUGUCAUUUAUGUAUCAUAUUAAUGUAAGUUAUGUAAUUUAUGUAUAUUAACUAAUUAAUUUAUGUAAGUUAUGUAUAAUAUUAAUGUAAGUUAUGUAUAAUAUUAAUUAAUUUAGUUAUGUCAUCUAUGUAUAAUAUUAAUGUAAGUUAUGUAUAAUAUUAAUUAAUUAAGUUAUGUCCCUUACAAUAAGAGACAAAUAUUGAUUUUAUAAUAUAAACAUUGGAUAAACAAUUUUGUUUAAAAAAAAGAUUGGAUAAACAGUAUUUUAUAAUAUAAUAUUAAUUUUAGAUACAAAUAUAAUAUUAAUUUUAGUUACAAAUAUUAUACAAAUAGUAUUUUAUAAGGUAAAUAAGCAUUUUGCAUGCAACUUGACUAAGAAAUUAGUAGCAAAUAGGGAAUUGAGUUUGUAUAAAAAACGUGGACCGUCUCUCUAUUAGGUAGCUGUCAAUGGCAUUUUAACUCCAACCAUCUCACAUUCUUACCGAAUUGAAUGUGUGUUUUAAAUUCUCAACCCAUCAAAAUAAAAAAUUAAAGAGAAAUUUUGAAUUGAACUUUAUAUACAAAAUAGAAUACAAUAUAUUACCUCAUUUUCUUUCUACCAUUUAAUCAAAUGAAAGUUAUUGUUAAUCUCUUCUUUUCCUUAUCUUUCCUCAUUUUAGAUAAUCUAAUAAAAGAAUAUAGUUUAAUCCAAACGUAAAAUUAAAAAUUAAACAUUAUUGGGAGGAACAGUAACAAACCUUAAAAUAAUUAAUUUUCAUGGAUAAUCAAAUAGACAUAAAAGCAUAAAUUGAUUUCAAAGAAGACGAAAUGUAAAUAUCCAACAGUAAAAAAUAACUUCAUAAUUAUUAAAUGUCAAUAUAGUCUACUUACAAAGAAAAAUAACUCAAGAUAAUUUAAGAUAUAACAUUAUUUCUUAAAAUUGAUCAUCCUAAUUGAGUUAUACUCUUCAAUUUUUUAUUAAACCGAAGCCAUCAAUAAGAGAAUUGGUUGAAAAUUGUUGAGCUGUAUCCUUAUCAAUUUUUUAUACUGGCUUUGGUAGUUUCGAUUAAGGGUUGUAUUUGCUCUCCCUCCUCCUUUUUACUUGCGAUCUAGUGUGUUUUUUUUACUGAGGUUGCUGGUAGUGGAUUUGGUUAUGAUGAUGUUCGGGUUGACUGGGGUUUUGGGUGUGAGGUUGACGGUAGGUGCAAGCUGAAGUAGUGAUCUGGACUCUUAUUUAGUGAAUAGUGUGAUGGUAGGGCUGGAGUAGAGGUUGGAGCAGUUGGCGCUGGUGAAGAUGGGAGAGGGAGUUGUCCUUGGCAGUGGUGGUUGGCAACUUUGACUUCAUCAACAGGCUCAAGGUCAUAUGGACCAAAUAUUGUAAAAUAUAUUUUCAGAAUUAUAUAAAUCUAACAUUAAUGGUCAAAGCCAAAAAAAUAUAUAUGUAUUUAGCAUAAAAAAUAAAAGGAUCAUACAUUACCCAAAUAGUGAAAAUGGAUCCAAAUUCAAUCAAAGUCCUCUAAUUAAUUUGUCCAAAUCAACAUUGAUUCAGAAUUUAGAAUUUUCUUUUCAUUUGAAAAAUUAAACUCAAUAAUUGGUAGACUUAAAUAAAAUUCGGUGUCUACACUACUCAAUAAUUAUCAGCUAACAAAGUGAUGAAUUCAACUAUAGUAAAUUUGGUUAACAUCAGUUUUGGAUUUCAUUCAUGGACUCAUUAAGUUAAUAAUAAUCAUAAUAAUUAAAGUAAGAAAGUGAUGAACAUUUGCUUUAACUAAUAAAUUUAGCAAAUUAAAUAUACAUACCUCUUAAAGUUCACAAGGAAGUAAAGGCUGCAAGGAAGUAGAGGCUGCAAGUUCCUGGGAUUGCUUCACGAUUGAAUUUCCAGCAGUUUAUCAAUUGAUCAAAAAGUCUACUUUCUGCUGCAGUUGACUAAGAAAACAUUAUACAGGGUCAUCUAUACAGAGAUGAGCCAAGCAACAAUAAGGUAAAUAACAUAUAUAAAGAGAAAGCAGCAGUUUAAAAUAUACAAUAUGCAUAUAAUUUUUUACGACAAAACAUGCAGACAUAAAUUUUAAAUUUCAAAAUAUAUAUAUUCAUACCUAACACUAAUCUCAUUUAACUCGAAUUCAUACCCAACACUCAUCUCAUUUAACUCGAAUAACAUAGAUGGCAAAUACGUCAGUAAGACUAACCAAAACCAAAACAUGUAAAUGGAUAGUGAAAGUGAAUCUAUUGAGCUCUCCCCUAAGCCAAUGUUACAAAAAUGAAUUGCCAUUGGUCCAAACCCAAAAUGCACAAAAAAAUACGGGAAAGGGGAAGUCCAUCGAUACCAGAAAAUAAUGUUGUUCGGCUAUCAGAAAGGGAUUGAGCAAUUGGGAAAUUGGGGAAAAUACUUUGGGGAAGAAUAACUUGGGGGAAAUUGGGGGAAAAGAAGUUGGGAAAUUGGGGAAAUGAAAUCGUGGAAAUUUGACUUGGGGGAACACUAAAGGAAAUUCCCAAAUUCCCAAACCCUUGACACGCAAAAACGCCGAAAUUCCCCGAAUUCCCAAACAAACAGACCAAAGGUUGGUGAUUGAAUUUAUUAUUUAAACCCCAGUUUCCCAAAUUACACUUAACCCAAACCCUAAAUCAAGAUACAGCGAUUUAAAAGACAAAAAACUUACCUUUUUCACCACAAAUUCUGCAACUUUGAUGGCAUCCUGUCAAGAUUGGCUCAACUGUUGCUUCGUUUCACCCGAUUUAUGAGUUCUCCUCUCCCUUUUUUCCUUUGUAUUUUCUCUUUCGAUAUUAUAGCUUUCGUUUUCUCCUCUCUGAUUCUGUUUCUGUUUGUGUUCUGCCUUACAGAAAAUGAUAAGUAAAAACACGCGGAACAGAAACGGCAUCGUUUUCCCAAAAUUUUAAAACACCAUUCUGGCGUUUGUUAGGAAAACGCCACUAUUUCUUGUAUAUUUCCGGCGUUUCCAAAAAAUGCCACUACAAAUUGAAGUUAUAAUCUGAAACGGCGCCGUUUAAUAAAGCUUUAAUGCAUAUUUCAAACUAUUUUUUAACUUAUUAAACUUAAUUCUAUUUAAAAUAAUAUUUAAAUGACAAAAACAUUAAUAUAAUUGAUAUCAAUUGGUACUUUAAUUUGAUUUUUUAAAACAUUAUUUAAAGAAAUUAAUCUAAACUAACCUAAUUAAAAUCCUUAUCCGACCCCUGAAACCCUAAAUCAUAAAUUCUAAACCACUAACCCUUAGCCCGUAACUCGUAAAACUUAAACCCCUAACCCUAUAUCCCAAACCUUAAAUCCAUAUAUACCCCCUAAUCCUUAAAAUAGCACGGCCAUCAGAAAUAAUCCCUAAAUCUUUAAUAAUCAUAUAUAAAAUAGUUAUAAUUGAUUAAACAAUAAUUAAUAGUAAUAAAAACUUUUAAUAAUUUGUAAUAUUACCUUUAUAAUAUUUAUUUUUUUGUAUAAAGUUUGAAAUUUAUAAUAUUUAAUUUUAUUGAUAAAUAAAUAAAUUUAAACUAUAUACUCAUAAUUUCAAUAUAUUAAAUUUAUUAAAUAUUAUAUAUUUUAUAAAUAUAUAUAUAAGAACAUAUUUGAUAAAACUAAAUUAAUCUAAUAACUUAAACUCUAACAUAACCGUUGAAACCCUAAACCCGGCCCAAAUCCAUAACCCCCUAGCCCCUUACCCCUAAAUCCCCUAACCCCUAAAGCAUAACCCUUAAACCCUAAAUCCCCCUAACACCUAAACCUUAAAUUUUUCAAUUCCACAAACAAACGGUGACGUUUUCACAAAAUUGUAGACAUAUUGAUAAUUAUCGAUUAAUCGACAUGCAUAAAGUGAUCAUGAUCUACCUAUUAUAAUAUUCAAUAUAUUAAAUUUAUUCUUGAAUAUCUAUUUUACAAAUAUAUAAGAACGUAUAUAUUGAUCACCAUAAAAAAUAAUAAAAAACAAAUCUAAUUAAUUAAACCCUAACACAUGACCGUUGAAAUUAACCCUAAAUCUCAAACCCCAAAACCUCUAACCCUUAAAUUAACCUUAAAUCCCCAAUUACCUUAAAUCUAUACCCCGUACUCAUUAAAAUACCGUCCAUAAAAAAAUUCCCUAAAUCUUUAAUAUAUAUAUAUAUAAUCAUAAUUAAAUUAAAUAUAGUCAAUAAUUAUUGUUAAAAUAUAUAUAAAUUAGUCGAACAAUAUAUACGUACUACCAAAAUUAAUUUAUUACUCUUAUAAAAAGUUAAUUCUAUUUUUAAUUUACUCUUUACAUUAAUACAACAAUUUAAGUUUUACUAUAUUUUAUUUUAUUCAUAAUUUAAUAUAUUUUCUCUCGUAAAGUAGUUUAAAUCAACUGUUAUAAAUAGUUAGCUGUUACAUAUAUACGACUUCUCUUUAAUAAAAACUUUUUUUAUUAAUCAAUAUUAUUUGUUAAUUAUAAUUUAAAUGUAAAUUGUCCCACUAUAUAUAUAUAAUAAAUAGAACAAAAUAUUAAUUAUUUCAACUUAUAAGAUUUUUGUUACUAUUAGCGGCGCUUCGGCAAAAACGCCGCUAAAGGUUAAUACAUUCGCGGCGCUUAGAUACAAACGCCACUGAAUACAGGAGAAUUAGCGGCGCAUAUAUAAAAACACCGCUAAAAACCCGAGCAUUAGCGGCGCAUAGGCGAAAACGCCGCUAUAGACCCAGAGCAUUAGCGGCGCUUAGACGAAAACGCCGCUAAAGACUCGGAGCAUUACCGGCGCUUAGAUGAAAACGCCGCUAAAGACUCGGAGCAUUAGCGGUGCUUAGACGAAAGCGCCGCUAAAGACUCGGAGCAUUAGCGGCGCUUAGACGAAAACGCCGCUAUAGACCCGAGCAUUAGCGGCGCUUAGACAAAGACGCCGCUAUAGACCCGAGCAUUAGCGGCGCUUAGACAAAAACGCCGCUAUAGACCUGAGCAUUAGCGGCGCUUAGACAAAAACGCCGCUAAAUGUUUAAAAAAUUGCAAAAAACGACGCCGCUCGUCUUAGGUUUUUUGUGGCGCUUUAUAUAAAACGCCGUUAAUUCCUAUUUUUAGCGGCGCUUCCGUAUAAACGCCGCUGAUGCUCUACCUUUAGCGGCGCUUUGGCUAAAUCGCCGCUAAUGCUCUAUUUUUUGUGGCGCUUUUGUUCCAAACGCCGCAAAAAGUGCCUCUAAAAGCCUAUUCUGGUGUAGUGGUUUAUUUAUAAGAGUUCUCUUAAAUAUUUAUGUCAAAUCCAAAUUGUUGUGAAUUGGUAGCCAGGAUGGAAAUCAAUUCUUUUAACAUUUCAAGGAGUUUUGUCCAUAAGUGAAAGUCUUUGGUAAAAGUAUUAGAUAAUAAGUAAUUGAUAAAAAUUUUCAUUCUAAAGGCAACUAGCAAAGAGCUGUUUAAUAUUUUUCAACAUUCAUGAAGGGUUUUUAUUUACUUUUAUUGAACGAAAUAGAUUUUUUUUUCCUAAUAAAUGAACCACGAGAAGAAAAAUGUUUUCCAAGGAAUAUUCUUACCAUAUCUAUUUAAUAUGUAAUUCGCAACUUGUUCUUCAAAUGAAAACCAUAAUAAUUUCCCCAGAAUUUCUAUUUGAAAAUUUGGAAAUCUUUUAAAUCAACCGAAUUUUCUCACUCGAAUACUUUAUCAGCUUUAUAUAAAUUAUUCUUUGCAUCAAUAAAUAUUGUUCAUGACCUUGCACCCAUUUUCAUGCAGAAUUAUUUCUCCCAUGCAGGAAAUGGUCUCCAUGAAUUAUUGCCGUGAUAUCUAUUUUGAUGAUAUGACAUGGUUUCUUUUGAUCCAAAAAAGAUGAUGAAUGACAUGAAAUUGAACUAUGAUUUUAAAGAAGGGUCUUGAGUUUAUAUAAGAUUAUAUAGGCGGUAAUUCAAUUUCCCUUUCCUUGUUGGAAAAGGAAUUCCAUUUUGACUUUAAUUGUAAUUUUUAAGUUGUUGUUUUUUUAUUGUUAAUUAUUUAAAAAAUAAUCGCAUUUUAACUUGCAAACUUAAAUCUUAAACUAUUAUCUUUAUGUUUACUUUUUAAUGAUAAUUAACAAAAAUAUUUGGUUUUAAAAUUUUAAUACAAUCGAAACACAAUUCACACACAUGAAUGAUAAAAUUUGACGUGAUUAAAUAAAUAUUGAAUUUUUUAUAUUUUUAAUAAUAAAUAUAGGUAAAAUGGUAAUAAAUUGGGAUUUUAAUGUCAUUUAAAACGGGUCAACUAAAUUUUAGAUUAGAUAUUCAAUAUUAAUAAUUAAUAUAUAUUAAUUGAAUUAUAAAUGAGUUUAGAAAUUCAAAAUUGUAAAAAUUAAUAUAUAUAUAUAUAUAUUGAAUUAAAUGACUACCAUACAUAAUCUUAUUCAAAUAAUAAUAAUGAAAAAUAAAACUGAGUGUUUAAGACAAUUUCGUUGUAUUUGUUUGUUCUAUGAUCCAACUAUGGUAGGUAAGCGUGAUGUAGGUUCAUCGUACUCCCAUCCAGUGGCUUUAAUUUGCUCUAAUGGAAUCGAAAACGAAUCAAUCCUUUUAACUUCUUCUUUUUCUUCUUCUUCAUCAUCGGAAAUCGACUUUAUUUCCAAAAAAAGUUUUGGGUCGAUUUUGGAGUUCCAAUCAAUAUCAUCGAUAUACAUAUCUGCUGCAUUACUUGGUAACUUAUUUGUGCAAGGAAAAUGAUGAUAAUAUUCCCAGAAUCUCUGUUUGGCUUCCUGGAAAGCUUUUAAACCAGCUGAAUCAUCCCAUUCGAAUACUUUAUCGGUUUUGAACAAAUUAUUCUUUGAUUCAACAAAUCUUUUCCAUGGCAUUGCACCCACUUUUAUGCAGAAUUUUUUCUCCCAUGCAGGUAAUGGUUCCCAUGAAUUACUGUUAUCAUUUUGUUUGGGACGAGUAAAUUUCGAACUGUAGUACCUUUCUCGGCAAUUAUGAUAUCUUCUUUGAUAGUAUGACAUGAUUUCUUGUAAUCCAAACAAAUAAAUGAAUUGAAAUUGCUAAUGACAUGAAUUUACAGUGAGGAGACUUGUUGGGUUUAUAUAAUAUUAUUAGAGUCGCUGGUGACUCAAUCCUUUUCCUUGUUAGAAAAGGAAUUCCAAUUUCAGUUUAAUUAUGAUUUCUAUUUUUAAAAUAUUUGUAUAAUAAAAUUAUUAAAAAAUAACUAUAUCUGUAUUGAUAAUAUUUUCUUAUUAAAUGGGUUUUAUGAGUUAAAUAACAAUCAAACCAAGAUUGGGAGAUUGAACUGCAUCAGGUCUUGGGGGUGAUCCAUCUCUUCAACCACUAUCCACCAUCUACAUCCUUCCCCUAUAUAAACUCUGCAAAAUAUAUACAUAUAUAGAGAGAGAGAGGAACAAACAAAUUAUAACCAUAGCAAAAAAAUCAAAACUAAAAUAUAACCAUUUUUCUUAUAAGGUGAAAAGAAAUAAUGGGCUGAGUACUUGAAAGAACUAACGACCUAAGUUUAUAAAUUAUUAUUUAGUACAAUGAUUCGAAUCCAAUUGCUUUUAAGAAAAAUGAAUACUCGACCAAUAUAUUACAAUAUGAGUUGUUAUUAUGAUUUAAUGUAACAUUCAAUCAAUAAAAUAUAACCAAUUUCUGAACGCUACCUAACAAUAUUUUUUUUGCCAAAGGGAAAGCAGAAAAAUUAUAUAUUUUUUAUAUUUUUAUUUUUUCACCCUUUUAAUUUUCUUUUCAUUCUACCAACUAAAGUUUUAAUGAAAAACAUGGAACUUGACUAUGCAUAUAACGUACCUAUCUUGUAGAACCAUACCUCCUAUAUCCGCAAUUUCUUUUAAAGCAUUAAUUCCUCCAUCUUUGUACCAUGUUGGUUUUGGACUAGAUGUUUUGUUCAUGUUGAGUAAAUGCAUCUGCAUAACUCCCCGUCUGGUUCUUGACUUGACUCAACUCGGAUCCACAUCAUAGAAAAUUGGUAAAACAAUGUGUUUAGAAGAUUUCUUGUGCUCCAAUAUCAUUACAAGUUCGUUAAGACACCAUGUGGAUGCAGCAUAAUUCUUCGAGAAAAAACGAUAGAAAUUUUGGAGUGGUGUAGUAUUGCUUUUUCAAUUUCAUCUUUUAUGUUAUUCCCUCUCUCGAUUUCCUCAUCAUCUCUAAAUGUUUGAAUUCCUAAGUGCACCAAAGCUGUGUAAAGAUGAUCCGUGAAACUUUUGCGCGUAUCUUCACCUCUAAAACUCAAGAAUACAUGAUAAGUACCUCGCGAGAUAUCUGAUACCGCCAUUGAAGAAGAAAAUGAAGUCGUCCUGUAUUGUUAUGUGAAGAAAUCUAGGUAAACUAGAGAAAAUCAAUGAAGAAAUAUGUUUUCAAUCUGAAUUUAGUCUAUUACUUAGUCCAAUACAAAGCUAGACGUGUAUAUUUAUAGGUACAAUUAACUGCCUUCCUUAACAAAUUAGCUAACAACUCAGCUAACUCUAACUGCCUCUCUAACAGUCUUAUUAUCUUUAACACCUAUGUAGGAAUGAAGCAUUAAUAACCGGUUGAUUUCAGAAACAGAAUUGGUGGUUAAAUGGACUAAAUCACCAGUUUUUAUUUGACUUCUUGUUAUUAUUUAAAGAAAAUAAAUCUAAAAAAAUUAAAAUUAAAUAAAAUAAUAAAUAUUGACGUAUAUUGCACAUUAAAGUAAAUUUGAAAAAGAGAAAUGAGAGGGACAUAAGAGGGGGAGAAUAAUUCCCAAGUACUUGGUGUGGAAAAUAGAGGUUCUAGAAAACGUUUCGAUUACUUUCCAUUUUGGAGUCAUGCUUACGGUCUUAGUCUUUAGACCAUUGAGGUUGUUAAUAUUAUCUGAAUAGAGUUUAUUUGAAUAAAUUAUCAAAUUCAGACUUUAAAUAAUGAUUUAUAUCAAAUCAAAGCUGGCCCUAAAUUAGCAAAUUACGAGGGGCUUCAACAUAAUAAAUUCAUGGGCUAACCAAUUUCAGGGCAAUAGAAGUAGUGAAGACGAUGGGAUAAGGCUAAGAUUGACAUGCGAUGUGAAAAAGCAGGUAAGAGCAGUAGACUAUGAAAAGUCAUUAUAUAUUUUUCAACCACCUCUAUAAUUCCACCAGUGUCUGGUACUACUCGCUCGAGUGCUAACACUCUCCUCGUUACGGCCCUCCAACUUUUUCGUCCACAAUAUUUUAAGAAAAACAUAAUUCAAAUAAUAUUUUUUGGUAUCAUUCAUAUUUGUUUUAUAGUUUAUACUCAAGGUUUGUAAUUAUUUUUAAAAUUCGGACCUACAUUUCUCUUAAAAGUACAAUACCUUAAUUAUUCAAAUAAUAAUUUUAACAGAAAGGAUGAGCACCAAAUGGUGGAUAAAUACUAACUAUUAUCUUUAUGUUUACUUUUUGAUGAUAAUUAACAAAAUUAUUUGGUUUUAAAAUUUUAAUACAAUCAAUGAAACACAAUUCACAUACAUGAAUGAUGAAAUUUGAUGUGAUUAAAUAAAUAUUAAAUUUUGUUAUAUUUUUAAUAAUGGAUAUAAGUAAAAUGGUAAUAAACCGGCAUUUUAAUGUCAUUUAAAACGUGUCAAAUAAUUAUUAAAUUAGAUAUUCAAUAUUAAUAAUCAAUAUAUAUUAAUUGAGUUAGACAUUAUAAUUAGUCACGACUGUCGAAAUUCCAAAUUGUAAAAAUUAAUAUAUAUUGAAUUAAAUGUCUACCAUACAUAAUCUUAUUCAAAUAAUAAUAAUGAAAAAAAAAGAGAGUAUUUAAGACAAUUUCGUUGUAUUUGUUUGUUCUAUGAUCCAACUAUGUUAGGUAAGCGUGAUGGAGGCUCAUCAUACUCCCAUCCAGUGGCUUUAAUUUGCUCUAAGGGAAUCGAAAACGAAUCAAUUCUUUUAACUUCUUCUUCUUCCUCUUCAUCAUCAGAAAUCGACUUUAUUUCCAAAAAAAGUUUUGGGUCGAUUUUGGAGUUCCAAUCAAUAUCAUCUAUAUACAUAUCUGCUGCAUUACUUGUCAACUUAUUUGUGCAAGGAAAACGAUGAUAAUAUUCCCAGAAUCUCUGUUUGGCUUCUUGGAAAGCUUUUAAACCAGCUGAGUCAUCCCAUUCGAAUACUUUAUCGGUUUUGAACAAAUUAUUGUUUGAUUCAACAAAUCUUUUCCAUGGCAUUGCACCCACUUUUAUGCAGAAUUUUUUCUCCCAUGCAAGUGUUGACACCAUUUUUUGGAUGAAAAACGGGGUCGACUUGGGUUUUGAAAACGAAAACGGGAGUCGCCACCAAUCUUUUUUGAUGAGGUGUGAUUGAGUCACAUCGUAAAAGUGGUUGUUUUUAAUAAACAAUUUAAUUUUAUUAAAACAACGAGUUUGGUCCACGAAAUUCAGAAGAAUGGGUUCGGGAGUCAGUUACGUACGAGGAAGGAUUAGCACCCUCGUAACACCCAAAAAUUGGUACCUAGUUGAUUAGUUAAUGUCUUAAUAUCAAAAAUUGAAAACUUUGAAGAAAUUUAAAAAUACGAUCCUUAUAUUAAAAUGUUGAAAAUUUUUGGAAAAUGGGGGCAUAUUUCACGUUAAUCGAGGAAGAGAAUCAUAUUCAGUAAGUUAGGACACAAUGUCUCGAAUUCCUGAUGCUCGAAUGAAUGCUGGAAAUUUAAAAGGUAUUUAGCUAUCUCGGAUUUAAAAAAGGGAUCACGACCAGUAAGUUAGGACACUAUCUUUUUUAUUCCCGAGAUCAUUUAAAACUUGAGUUUGAAAAUAUUCACGUAUUUAGAUUUAUUGUGAAAAUCGAAACCCAGUAAGUUAGGGUACAACUUUCUCAAAUCUAAACACGAAAUUUUGCUUAUUUUAAAAAUCAUAAUUAAUGCAUCUAAUAAAAUUAAUCUAACAUGAAAUAGUAGAAAUGAAACUCGAUAUUAAUACACGUGUUUAUAUAUAUGUUACAUAUAGACAAAAGAGAUAUGAAUGUGUAUAUUAUAAAACAAUGUAAGUAUGUAUAUACAUGUGUAUGUAUAGGAAGAAUAUAUAUGUGAAAUAUAUAAAAAAAAUAAAAUAAGAUGAAAAUAUAAAAAAUAUAUUUCAAUAUAUAUAUAUAUAUGAGUAUGAACAUACAUAUUUGUGAGAGAAAAAAAGUAUAUAGAUAUACCUAUAUAUAUAUAAAAGAGUAUUCAUGUAUAUAUUAAAUAAGUUUAAAAUAUAUAUAUAUGUAUACGUAUAUAUAUAUGUAAGUAAUUAUAUAUUUAUAAUAUAAUAUGUCACAUAUAUCCAAAAUUUAUAUAAGUAAAUAUGAGUGGAAAUAUAAUGAUAAUAAUAAUAACAUUAAUGAUAUGAUGAUAGUAGUAAUAAGAUUAAAAUAAUUAAUUUAAUAAUAAAAAAGCUAAGAAAAAACAAAAGCAGUUUCAAAUUGAAAAUAAACUAAAUCUCAGGGGCGAAAUCAAAACUGAAAAACAAAGAAAUGGAUUAAAAUGUGACGCGCGCGAAAAGAAAUAGGACCAAACGGGGAAAUAAACCAAUCCCUGGACACGUGUCCACUUUCCAGCGCGUCAGUGAGCCAGGGACCCGAUUGAAGACGAAAUAAAAUUUUGGGGCCAAAUUAAAAAAUAAAUAACCAAGCAAAAGGGCUAAAUUAGAAAAAAUCAAUAAUGAGGAGGGACUAAGAGCACAAAUAGCCCCUUGAUCAGAAACGCGCGGAUCCCCUAGGCGGGUCGGGUCUACGCGCGGAUCCCCACUAAAACGGCGCCGUUUUGGAAUUUUGAAGGGCUGGGCAAAACGGUGCGUUUUGCCAGCCUAUAUAAAUCAAAAUUUUUUUUAAAAAAAUAAUUUUUAAUCAUUCUAAAAAAAAACUCUCUCUCUCUCUCUCAAAAACCUCUCCCCAGAAACCGACGAAAGGCUCCGGCGCACCUCCGCCGUAGACGGCAGCCGGAGGUGCAAAACGGAACCUUUCUUAGCCCUACUUGAAGCCCGUUCCCCUUAGAACCUGGAUUCAAAGCCGAAUCCUUUAAAAGUCGAGUCAAAAUCGAAAAGAAGAGAAGGAAUCCUUUAAAAGCCGAACCUCGAUGCCUCUUCUUAGGAAUAAACGCGUCCAACACUUUGCCAUGGAACUCAAAGAUUUUCCAUGGUCCCUUCCAAUGAAAACAAGAAGGAAGAUUAGAAACAUAAACUGAAAUCACCAUUUUCUCCAAGGAUUUAGCCUAGUAAUAGUUAACAGUAACUCCACGGAUCUGACUAAAAGCACAAGUUAAGUGAAUUACCAAGAAUAAUGUUCUUCAAUACUAUUCCAAAUUCAAUUUUGGAACUUCUGUUAUCAUAGCUUUCAACUGUUUGAAACUCUGAUGGCAUUAUUCAAUCGCACAUAACUAACAUUUUCUGUAGCAACUUCGUCAUGGUAGAGCUAUCAUCGACAAGCCUGAACAAAUCAUCUAUAGUAUACAAUAAAUCCUAGAAAACUACACACUUCUAUAUUAUUUCCCAGAGAUUCCCUAAUUCACAUUUAUCAGGAGUUCAUUUGAAAUAACUCAAAUAUUUUCUGCUGUUAAUAAAAGGUUUAGAAAACUUAUUUCUUGAAAUUAAAAUUCACAUUUAUUGAUCUUCACAAAUAAUUAUUUCUUUCGUAAUGUCUGUAACACUGUUUCUCCAAAACUAAUUGUGUUCAAUUUUUUUUCUUCACAUGAAUUGAGUAUCUUUAAUUAUCUAACAACAACUCUGAUAUGAUACAGCUAGAAACUUUUGUCUAUUAAAUAUAGAGUAAACUACACCUAUGGUCACUUUUGUUUACUUUAGGUUACAUUUUGGUCACUUAUGUUUAAAAUAUUACGUUUUAGUCACUUGCGUUAUCGUGUUGUAACAUUUUAAUCAUUGAGCCAUUAAUUGCCGUUAACGGUGUAACAGUAAGCUAACGUGGCACGUUAAAUCAUCAUUUUAAACAAAAAUUUUAGGUUAAAUCAUACAACCGAUCCCCAUAUUUUUUUUAUUUUGGGCAAUUUAAUUUUUUUCUUUUAUAUUCUUUAAACUUUACUCUCUCUUUUUCUCUUUAUUUUCCAUUAUCUUCUGUUUCUCCUUCUAUUUUCCUACCUUCUCCAUGUCUUUUAACAUAUUAAGAAGUCGAAUUGACAGUGAAGAAAGAAGUAGAAAGUCGAAAGCCAUCACUGCCUAUAAUCAAAACCCAUAAACCCGUACCAUGACUCUUUUUUUACGACCAAUUCAACUUCCUGAUAUGUUAAAAGAAAUGGAGAAAGAAGGAAAAUAGAGGGGGAAGCAGAAGAAAAUGGAAAAUAAAGAAAAAAAGAAAGUUAAAAGAACAUAAAAGAAAAAAAAUUAAAUUGCUCAAAAUGAAAAAAAAAAUAUGCGGACCAAUUUUAUAAUUUAACCUAAAAUUUUGUUUGAAAUUAUAAUUUAACGUGCCACGUCAGCUUACUGUUACAUUGUUAACAGCAAUUAAUGGCUCAAUGACUAAAAUGUCACAGCAUGAAAACGUAAGUGACUAAAACGUAACAUUUCAAACAUAAGUGACUAAAAUGUAAACUGAAGUAAACAAAAGUGACCAUGGAUAUAGUUUUCCCUUAAAUAUAUAAAGUGACCAUGCAAUUGAUAAUCAUAUACAAUAAUCAACAUUUGACUAAACUUUGCAACCUAUACAAGUCUUUUUCGGAUUUCGACGAAAUAUAAACAAAAAUCCCGAGAAGAUACUUAAAACAUUUACUCAUCCGUGGCAACUGACUGAAAAAAUUUGGGUUGUCGUCUAGCUCAUAAUCGUAUACAAGGUCAAUACCAAUUUCUAGCACCGAUAAAUCUGAAAGAACCCGAAGACUAACAUGAUCACCAGCUUCUAAUUCAUCACCCCUAAAGUUCCAACAAGUCGUCCAGUAUAAGGUAUUCUUAGUUUCAGGAAUUCCCAUGAAAUGUUUGGAGUAGGUCCACUUUGUACCUUUGGUCUCGUUCACAAUUUCAAGGCAUGGUAAAAAUCCAUAUGUUUUAUCAUUCUUGGCAGAAAAAAUGAUAAUCGAAUUUAAGAAGCAACUUAUCUUUCGACUAGAGUUUGGGGGCACUGAUAUUGAAACCUCAGUCUUGCCUGCUUGAUGGCCAAAGUAAUGACCAUCGUAAUCAAAUGGCAAUGGAUCAAAUGUUGUAAUUAUACCGUAAUCAUAUAAUACCUGUAGCAUUGGGUUAGAGAAUGAGUUAUUAAAAAGUAUAUAGUAUAUAAAUAAUUUUAAAUACUUGGAACUUGCAAAGGGAACUUGUGGGGAAGCAACCACUUUUGAUUCUUCUAUAUAACUGCAAAGUUGCACUUUAACAUUUCCAUAAGAUUCCAAACUGAGCAAGAAUUUAGUUAGGUCAAUCUUGAUAUUUCUUGUGGAAACUUCAUCUCCUAAAAUAUGUACAAUAAUGUGUUAUUUAUCAAUUUUAGUGAUCAUCAACAUAAUAUGCUUAUUACAAAAUAAUAGUAUUGACUUGAAUGGAGUGAUAAUUAAAACUUUUAUCAAAUACUCAUUUGACACGAAUUAAAAUCGUGACCCAUCCCCUAUACUCAAUAUUGUAUGAAAAAAAGAUAUCAAAGUAUUAAUGUUAUUAUCACUAAAAUGUAUUAUAAGACUUGUAAGAAAUAAUCAAUUAUACACAUUAUAUCUUUAUUUUUUAUUUUAUUUUUAUAUAAAAUAUAAACUUUAAAACCAUUAAAUAUGUUAAUCAAAACUCCACUGUUAUAAUUUUAUCCAUUAUUUUAGUUUCCACUUCUAUUAGUAAUAUUGGAUUAAUCAUUUAUCAAGCAAUUAACUUAUUUUAGUUAGACCCCAAUUGCAGCAUAACUUUAUAAUUAUCAUUUUAUUAUUAACCUAAAUUUCUCUCAUAAUCUAUUAAAUUGUCACAUUUCUUGAUAAUAUUUUUAUUGUAUUAGAAAGUCUUUUAGAGAAACAUUCAUCAUUUCUUGAACAUUUGUUAUUCACAUAUAAAAUGAAACAAUAAAAUAAAUAUAUAAUAGAAUGUAUUUACUAAAAUAUAAUUAUUUGAAGUCUACUCAUACCUGUAGAUAAGUGCGAAAAGUCAUAUUCAUAUCCAAUGUUGUGUUCUGAUUCAUAAGUAACGCCAAAUUUUCUUAUGCUGAGAUGCAUAGGCACUACCAUGCAACUCACAAGGUCACCACCUUCAAACUGACAGUCCGUUACUGGCCAGUGAAUCAACCACAACAUUGUGUUAUCGUUAGUCUGAGGAAUUCCAAUGAAACUUGAGCGAUAUCUCUGCAUGAUCCUUUUGGUCUCAUUGAAAAUGUGGACACCUGGUAGAAGCUCCAACAUUUGAUCACUAGCUAAAGAGAAAACAAUGCAUAAGCUGAACCGAUGGAUCUUUUCAUCUGGAUGAGAUGGUGUUGGCAAAAAAAAAGAGAUUCGAUGCUCGUUAGUGCGAUGCUUAAACCCAAUCGGAACUUCACUUCCUACAACAAAUGUGCUUGUUAUACCACAUUCUUGCAAGACCUGAUCCAAAAAGAACAAGUUAGAUGAUUAAGUAGUAUAAAAGAAAAAUUAGAUUUAAAAUUUAAGUUGGAGAACUAUUGGACCUGUGGGGUAGCUAGCAUUAUGCUGUCUGUUAGGUAGCUAUAAAGUUGCAGUCGAUUUCUGUUAAUGGAAUCCACGUUGAAUAAUCUUCUAAUCUCUUCUGCUCCAAAGUUUUCAAUUGGUUCCACCUUGAAUAGAUCUUCAACCUCAGUCAAUUUUUCACAUCCAAAAAUAUUAACACAUCGUGUGGAAGAAAAGAAGCGUGGAAGAAGUGAAGAAUUGACUCCAAAAAUAAAGUUGCACUCAAAAACAUCAAGCAAGACCGGAAGCUUUGGAAUCAUUUGGAGUUCAGUGCAAGAAGUCAAUAGAAGUUGAUCAAGUUCUGUAAGGUAUUUUAAGCUCUCGGGUAGGUAACGAAUUGGGUUUCUACUUAAAUUUAAAGAUUUCAAGGAUGCCAAGUUACAAAGAUCAUUGGGCAUGACAUCAUUAGAUAAUUUGCAACUUUCAAGGCUUAACUUUACCAAAGAGCCCGGUAGAGAUGCCCAAGAGAAACCCAAUCCUUUGCUUCUUUUCAGUAAGAGCCAAUGCAACCCCAAUCUUGAUUGAUAUAUGGCAGUUUCAUCUAAAUUAAGCACCUUCAAUAAUUCCAUAUUAUGCAACUCCCUAGGAACAUCAUCAAGUCUUGAACAACCAGAUAAGAUAAGCUCUUCAAUUGAUAUUAAUGAACCAAUUGUCCUUGGAAGUUUCCUAAGACUUGUGCAAUCUUUAAGGUUCAAGAAAGUAAGCAUCUUUAGCUCACCAAUGGAUUGAUCAACUUCCACCAAAUUUAUGCAGUCUUUAAGCAUCAACUUCUCAAGGCUAGGGAGUCCUGAAAAGCUUGGGGUUUUAAGAAGGCUAUGUGAAUGGUUGAGAUUAAGGAUCUUUAAAUUUGGGAGGCACUGCAAAAAAGGAAAAACCCUUCAUUUAUAUAUCAUUGUUUCUCACACACAAAAAGAAGGAAUAUUAGUAUAUAUCAUACCUCUGUAUCCUUCCAAACUUGUUUAAGUUUACUGUUGCGCAUGUCGAGAACAACUAGUUCAUUGAUAUCAAAAUCCACCGGAAAAGAUUGCAUACAAAACCCAUGCCAACGUAACCAUCUUAAUCUUUUGGGAAAGUCUUUGAAGUCUCCUUUAAGUCUCACAUAAUCCAGUUGAAGCUGUUUAAGUCUCUUCAUCUUUGCAAAUGCUUGAGUUUCCAUAUCAACAUCAUUUGCCAUGAGAAACUGACUUUUGGAAUGCUUUGGAAAAUGUAGAGUUGUAUUUGUCCUUUUAGCCUUGUCUUCUAGCAAUCCUUUUAGGUCAAGUGUGAGGCACUUAACUGUUCUGGAACCCUGCAUCAGAAAAACUUUUUUAAAAAAUAAAAAGAAAUUUGAUAAAAAAGAAAAAAAGUAGUUUACAUGCACACAAGAAAAAAGUUGAGUAAAAUGAUGUUUCGUACAAUUUUUUCUCUUACUACAUCAAAAGCGUUCUUAUGCCACAAUCUGCUCGCUUCCCAAUAUCACAAGAUUCUUGACGAAUAAUUUCUCGUCCCAUAUCUCUAAUCAUUUGAUGCAUCAUUAGCUUAUUUUUUUCAUUAAUGAUUGAGAGAGACAUGCCUACUAGAUUUUCAAUUCCAAUUAUUGUAUAGAAUCCUAAAUUCCAACCCAUAUUGUUUGAAAAUUUUUAGGAUCGUAUUUUUCAAAAAUUCUUCGAAGUUUUCAAUCUUCAACACUAAAGACAUUAAAUAAUCGACUAGGUACCAAUUUUGGGCAUAAUGAGGGUGCUAAUCCUUCCUCGUACGUAACCGACUCUCGAACCCAUCUUUCUGAAUUUCGUAGACCAAAGUCGUUGUUCUAAUAAAAUUAAAUUGUUUAUUAAAAACAACCACUUUUCAAGGUGACCUGAUCACACCUUAUCAAAAAAGAUUGGUGGCGACUCCCAUUUUCGUUUUAGUUUUUUAAAUCCAAGUCGACCCCGUUUUUACCAAAAAAAUGGUGUCAACAAUAUCUAUUUUAAAAUUUUAAUAUAAUUAAUGAAAAACAAUUCACAUAUAUGAAUCAUCAAAUUUGACGUGCUUAGAGAACCCCAUGCGAUGGCCUGAUGAUUAAGGUUGUUCAAAAUACAUUAAUGAUAAAAUUUAACGUGAUUAAAUAAAUAUCGAAUUUUGUUAUAUUUUUAAUAAUAAAUAUAGGUAAAAUGGUAAUAAAUUGGUAUUUUAAUGCCAUUAAAAACGUGUCAGAUAAAUAUUAGAUUAGAUAUCCAAUAUUAAUAAUCAAUAUAUAUUAAUUGAAUUAUACAUUUUAAUUAAGGAUGAGUGUCGAAAUUCAAAAUUGUAAAUAUUAAUAUAUACUGAAUUAAAUUACUACCAUACAUAAUCUUAUUCAAAUAAUAAUAAUGAAAAAAAAUGAGUGUUUCAGACAAUUUCGUUGUAUUUGUUUGUUCUAUGAUCCAACUAUAGUAGGUAAGCGUGGUGUAGGUUCAUCGUACUCCCAUCCAGUAGCUUUAAUUUGCUCUAAUGGAAUCGAAAACGAAUCAAUCCUUUUAACUUCUUCUUCCUCUUCAUCAUUGGAAAGUGACUUUAUUUCCAAAAAAAAAAGGUUUUGGAUCAAUUUGGAGUUCCAAUCAAUAUCAUUGAUAUAAAUAUCGGUUGCAUUACUUGGCAACUUAUUUGUGCAAGGAAAACGAUGAUAAUAUUCUCAGAAUCUCUAUUUGGCUUCCUGAAAAGCUUUUAAACUAUCUGAAUCAUUCCAUUCGAAUACUUUAUCGGUUUUGAACAAAUUAUUCUUUGAUUCAACAAAUCUUUUCCAUGGCAUUGCACCCACUUUUAUGCAAAAAAAUUUCUCCCAUGCCGAUAAUGGUUCCCAUGAAUUACUGUUAUCAUUCGAUUUGGGACAAGUACAUUUCUUUUUUUAGUAACUUUGUUGGCGAUUAUGAUAUCUUCUUUGAUAGUAUGACAUGAGUUCUUGUAAUCCAAACAAAUAAAGGAAUUGAAAUCGCUAAUGAUAUGGAGGGGACUUGUUGGGUUUAUAUAAGAUUAUUAGAGUUGGUGGUUACUCAAUCCUUUUUCAACAAUUCUAAUUUCAGUUUGAUUAUGAUUUCUAUUUUCUAAAUAUUUGUAUAAUAAAAUUAUUAAAAAAUAAUUAUAUCUGUAUUGAUAAUAUUUUCUUAUUAAAUGAGUUUUAUAAGUUAAAUAGCAAUCAAACGAAGACUGAGAGACUGAAUUGCAUUUGGUCUUGGGGGUGAUCCAUCGCUUGUGAUCCACCUCUCUUUCCUGGGAAUUGAACUUAGUGUGAUUUUUCAGUACAAUAAUUUUACUCUUUCACACGCUUCCGCGCAACAAUUGGUACCAGAGCCAAGUUCGUACUUGGAGAAUAUGACCGUUUACGGUACUAUUCACGUAUACGGCACUAUUUACGUAUAUGGUACUAUUUACAUAUAUGGCACUAUUCACGUAUACGGUACUGUUCACGUAUACAGUAGUUGGGAUUGAGGAGAAAAAUGGCAGCAGCAUCGUCAUCAGCAAGGACUACUGUGACAAAUGCAAAAUUUGAAGUAGAGAAAUUUGACGGUACCAAUAAUUUUGGUAUGUGGCAAUGUGAGAUCCUGGAUGUCUUAUGUCAGCAAGAGCUAGAUAUAGCCCUUGAAGAAAAACCUGACAAGAUGGAUGACAAGGAGUGGGCCAAGAUCAAUAGACAGGCGUGUGGUACAAUCCGCCUAUGUUUGGCCAAAGAGCAGAAGUACUCUGUCAUGAGAGAGACAUCAGCGAAGAAGUUAUGGGAUACACAGGAAGAAAAGUUUCUAACGAAAAGUCUUGAAAAUAGGCUUUAUAUGAAAAAGAAACUUUAUCGAUUCACGUAUGCACCUGGUAUGUCGAUGAAUGACCAUGUGAACUCAUUCAAUAAAAUUUUAGCAGACUUGCUAAAUUUGGAUGAGAAAUUUGAAGAUGAAGACAAGCAUUAUUGUUGUUGAAUUCCCUUCCUGAUGAAUAUGAUCAUCUUACCACCACAUUGCUUCAUGGGAAGGACACGAUCACAUUUGAUGCAGUCUGUAGUGCGUUGUAUAGAUCUGAGACUAGAAAGAAAGAUAAAAGAGAUCACAGAGAUACAACCGCAGAAGUCUUAACAGUAACAGGUCGUUCACACAACAGCAAAUCUGGUAGAAGGGGAAAGUCCAAAGGGAGACCCGCCAAAGAUGAAUGUGCCUUUUACCGUGAAAAAGGGCAUUGGAAAAAGAAUUGUCCUAAGCUACAAAAGGGCAAGGCUAUUUCUAAUGCAUAUGUAGCGGAGCAUGAUGAGGAGUCAGACUUUAGCUUGGUUGGCAUGGCAAUGGCAUGUCAAACGGAUGAGUGGAUUUUGGAUUCAGGAUGUACUUACCAUAUGUGUCCUAAUAAGGACUGGUUUUCUAGUUUUAAAGAGCUAGAAGGUGGAAUUGUUCUUAUGGGCAAUGAUAGUGCUUGUAAGACUAUGGGAGUGGGUACAGUCCAAUUGAAGAAUCACGAUGGCUCAAUCCAAGUCUUGACAGAUGUUCGCUACGUACCUAGCCUGAAGAAAAAUCUCAUCUCAUUAGGUGCCCUAGAAUCUAAAGGGCUCACAAUCACUUUGAGAGAUGGAUUACUAAAAGUAGUAGCUGGGAAACUGACGGUGAUGAAAGGCAUAAGAAGAAAUAACUUGUAUUUUUUAAAUGGAAGUACAGUUAUUGGAUCAACAUCAACAGUUUCUACAAAAGAUGUAGAUUCAGAGGCUACCAGAUUAUGGCAUAUGCGAUUGGGACAUGCUGGUGAAAAAGCUUUGCAGACAUUGGUGAAGCAAGGCUUAUUGAAAGGUGCAAAUUCUUGCAAAAUGGAAUUCUGUGAACAUUGUGUUCUGGGCAAGCAGAAGAGGGUAAAAUUUGGUCCAGUAAUUCACAAUACGAAAGGAAUUCUGGACUACGUUCACAGUGAUGUGUGGGGACCCACCAAAGUAGCUUCUUUGGGAGGUAUGCACUAUUUUGUUACUUUUGUUGAUGAUUAUUCAAGAAAAGUAUGGGUGUAUCUAAUGAAAAGAAAAAGUGAAGUUUUGGAUGCAUUUCUGAAAUGGAAGAAGAUGGUGGAGACUCAGACUGGUCGAAAGGUCAAACAACUUUGAUCAGAUAAUGGUACUGAGUACAAAAACGAUCCAUUUCUACAAGUAUGCCAAGAUGAGGGCAUUGUGUGACACUUCACUGUUCGGGAUACACCACAGCAAAAUGGGGUGGCAGAACGAAUGAAUCGAACUAUACUGGAGAAAGUUCGAUGUAUGUUGUCCAAUGCUGGAUUGGGCAAAGAAUUUUGGGCUGAGGCAGUUACAUAUGCGUGCCAUCUAAUUAACCGUUUGCCAUCAGCUGCAAUAAAUGGAAAAACUCCUAUGGAGAUGUGGACUGGUAAAUCUGCUACUGAUUAUGAUUCUUUGCAUGUAUUUGGUUCCACUGCAUAUUAUCAUGUAAAAGAAUCUAAGUUAGACCCAAGAGCAAAGAAAGCAUUAUUCUUGGGUAUAACUGAUGGAGUAAAAGGAUAUCGUCUCUGGUGUCCUGAUACAAGGAAGAUUGUUUUCAGUAGAGAUGUGACUUUUGAUGAAUCAACCAUGUUGAAGUACAAGGAUUCACAAAAGGAUGACAAAACCAGUAGUACUUUGCAGCAGGUGGAGCUUGAAAAGGUUAACGAUGAUCCAGCUAAUAUUGAAGGGACAAAUGAUGAAGAGGUUCCUACCCAAGAACCUCUACAGCAACAAGAUUCAAUUGCAUAUAGAAGGCCAAGAAGAGAGAUUCGUAAGCCUGCUCGCUUUGAUGAUAUAGUGGCCUAUGCACUUCUAAUUACAGAUGAUGAUGUUCCUUCUACUUACACAGAAGUAAUAAGUAACCCUGAUGGUGUAAAGUGGAAGCAAGCAAUGAAUGAAGAAAUGCAGUCUCUUCAUAAAAAUAAGACCUGGGAGUUGGUGACACUACCCAAGGGAAAGAAGGAAAUUGGAUGCAAAUGGGUAUAUGCAAAGAAGGAAGGAUUUCCUGAUAAAAAUGAAAUUCGAUACAAGGCUAGAUUAGUAGCAAAGGGUUACGCUCAGAAAGAAAGAAUAGACUACAAUGAAGUGUUUUCUCCAGUUGUGAAGCAUUCGUCUAUUCGGAUUUUGCUAGCCUUGGUUGCGCAAUAUGAUCUUGAACUAGUUCAGCUUGAUGUGAAGACCGCGUUUUUACACGGUGAUUUGGAAGAGGAAAUCUAUAUUACUCAGCCAGAUGGAUUCAAGGUUGCUGGAAAAGAAAAUUGGGUUUGCAAACUGACAAAGUCGCUUUAUGGAUUGAAGCAAUCUCCGAGGCAGUGGUACAAGCGAUUUGAUCAGUUCAUGAAAGGGCAAAGGUACACAAGAAGUAAAUUUGAUCAUUGCGUGUAUUUUCAGAAGCUACAAGAAGGAACUUUCAUAUACUUGCUUUUAUAUGUUGAUGAUAUGAUAAUAGCAUCUAAGAGCAAAGUUGAGAUUGAAAGAUUGAAGACUCAACUCAAUCUCGAGUUUGAGAUGAAAGAUCUAGGAGAAGCUAAAAAGAUUCUCGGCAUGGAAAUAUGGAGAGAUAGAGCUCAUGAUAGAGUUAGCUUGUCUCAGAAGCAGUAUUUGAAAAAGGUACUAUAGCAGUUUGGCAUGAACGAGCAGACAAAACCUGUAAGUACCCCAUUGGCUUCUCAUUUCAAGCUUUCUGCACAACUAUCUCCUUCGACGAAUACGGAACAAGAAUACAUGUUGCAAGUUCCGUAUUCUAAUGCAGUGGGUAGCUUGAUGUAUGCAAUGGUGUGUACAAGACCCGACAUUUCAUAGGCAGUUAGUAUAGUGAGCAGGUAUAUGCAUAAUCCUGGAAAAGGACAUUGGCAAGCUGUGAAAUGGAUUCUACGGUAUAUUCAGAAGAUCGUGGAUGUUGGAUUACUGUUCAAGCAGGAUAAUACACUUGGUAAAGGUGUUAUUGGGUACGUUGAUUCUGACUAUGCCGGUGAUUUGGACAAGCGAAGAUCAACCACCAGUUAUGUGUUUACACUUGCUGGAGGUCCAAUAAGUUGGAAGUCUACACUACAGUCUACAGUUGCAUUGUCAACCACAGAAGCCGAGUACAUGGCUGUAACAGAGGCUGUAAAGGAGGAUAUUUGGUUACAAGGUAUGGCUAAAACCUUGGGGUUGGUUCAGGAGCAUAUUAACGUGUAUUGUGAUAGUCAAAGUGCUAUUCAUUUAGCAAAGAAUCAAGUCUAUCAUGCACGUACAAAACAUAUCGACGUACGAUUCCAUUUUGUGCGGGAAAUUAUUGAAGAGGGGAAAAUUUGUCUUCAGAAGAUCAAGACUACAGAUAAUCUCGCAGAUAUGAUGACCAGGUGGUAACAGCAACCAAGUUCGAACAUUGUUUGAACUUGAUUAAUAUCCUGCAAGUUUAACAGUUGAAGAAGGCACUAUCAAGUAUUGUUGUCAAAGGCAGAAAGAAUUGUGUGAAGAUAAGAUUAUCCUAAUCAAAUCUUCAAGGUGGAGAUUAUUGAAACCCACCCACAUUGUUUGAAAAGUCAAAAAGGGUGGGCACCGAAAGUAGAAAGUAAGAUUGGUUGGCAAGUUGGGUUAAAAGUUGGCAUGGGAUAAUUGCAAUUUUGGUCCCUAAUUGUAUAGGGACAUUGCAAGUUGAUCCUUAAACCUCAACUAUAAAUAGGCCUAACCAUUUCUUAUUUUCUUUAUCCCAUACUUUCCAUUCUCUACUUAAGGCAAUUGUUCUCUCUCCCUAUUUGUAAACUUUCACUUGUAUUUUUGGAGUGAAAUAUAUUUGGUAGUGCCCGAGGACGUAGGCAAAAUUUGCUGAACCUCGUUAAAAUUCUAGUGUUCUUUAUUUUUUGUUCUGCAUAUUUUGCAAGUGUCAUUGUAGUAAUUUAUUGUGCUAUUAAAUUACGAUAGAGGGAUAUUCUGGCUAGGAAAGAUCUGGUAUGUAAGCGAUCCUCGUGAUCCACCUCUCUUUCCUGGGAAUUGAACUUAGUGUGAUUUUUCAGUACAAUAAUUUUACUCUUUCACACGCUUCCGUGUAACACAACCACUAUCCACCAUCUACAUCCUUCCCCUAUAUAAACUCUGCAAUAUAUAUAUAUAUAGAGAGAGAGACACACACACACACACACACAAAUUAUGGAAGGCAGGAAAGUUAGAUAUCAAAUACGGCUGGCAUGGUGGUUUCACAGCCGCUAUUUCAAAAUAACUAAAGAUCUCAUUAGCUGUGUGAACAAAUUUCAGAUGUUCUUCAAAAUCCAAAGCAGAAAAAUCACAUACAGAGGCUAAGAUCAGAUAACUGAUACUCAAGUUCAAAUUUAAGGGCUUCGAAUUUACCUCAUUUGAUCAGAGUCGUGGUGAGAUGCUCGCUUGGGGCAAAGAUCCGUACGAAGAGGAUAAGGGGAGGAAGGAUUUCUUAAAAAAAACAAAUGGUUAAAAUCUUCUUUAGUCCCUGUACUUUGUAAAUGUUGUGAAUUCAGUUCCUAUAUUUUAAUUCGAAUAAUUUCAGUCCCUUUACUUUUUGAAGUAGUAGUUACAUCCAUUAAAUUCAAUUACUAGUACUGCACUACACGUACGGUUGUAGACUUAGUCUAUAUGCCCCAAUUGGAUCAUUCUAAGUCUCUAUACUUUUUGGAUUUUAAAAUUUUAAUCUCGAUGUAAAUGAUAGUUAUUAAUCAAUUAAUUGGAUUUUUAGUGAGUAAUAUGCGAAAAUAAAAAAAAAUAACAUGACAUUACACAUAUAUAGGAUAAUAUGUUCAUCGCAUCAUAUUUUAAAAAUAGCAUAACUUAAUAAAUUUAACAGGUAUCGUUUGGUAAGGAUUAAAAUUUAAAAAUUCUAAAAGUAUAAAAACUAAAAUUGACCAAAUUAAAGUAUAGAAUCUAAAUCCAUAAUUUUUAUAAAAUACAGGGACUAAUAACAUAAUUUAACCUUUUUGUCAAAAAUAAAUUAUAUAUAGUUUUAGAUAGAGAAGAGCCCAAAACUUCUUCUGUACUUUUGUAAUUAAAUUAAAUUAAUAUACAACUUAGAGUAAAAGACCUAAUUUUUUAAUCAUUUUUUUAUACAUGUAAUUUUAACUUUUUAUAUGUCAUCCAAGUGCAAAGGAAACUCCUUUUGAUGGAAGAAUCAACUUAAAAACCCUCUUCAUAUAAAAGCUGUUGGUUCAAAUUUAAAAAUCUCAUCCAAUUUUUGGAUUUGGAAAUUUCUUAUUUAAAAUAAUUCUUACCUGAAAAUUUUGUAUCUCAUCAAAACAUUUUCACUAAUGUAAUCAAUGCUCACAAAAAGUACCAUGUAUGCAUUACUUGAACAAAAAAACGAGAAGCAGUAAUUAUUCUUCUUUAACCUAGCCACCUUCAGAUUAGCUCCUCAAAUAGUUUCUCACAAUCUCUUUAUCUAUGCUUGAUCCUCCAAUGUUUGAUGAGUCUUUGCCAACUUAUCCUUUAGCCAUGAAAAUUCCAAACCGAUGACUCCGUAUCUUUCACCCUUACCAACAUAUCAUUGAUAUAAGUUAGCUCAAGCUUAUUCAGAUCGCUUUCUAAUUUCUGAUAAAUUUCAGCAACUGCAUUCAUAAUAUUGCUCUGAAACUCUCGAUUAUUCAAUUGAAAUUGGACAGCAAAGUGAGCAUGAUUUUGAAAUAUUUUAUUGAGCACAUCAGCAUUGUGUUGAUGAACCUCGUAUUUGUUGACGAUGACUGUUGUGUCAUCUAACAUCAAAAGUAAUUAAAGAUCAUGUCUCUACUAUUGGGAAUUAUCCAUAUUUAUGGAAAAUCAAAGAUAUGGGUAUCAAAUAAUAGAAAGUCAAAGAUAUGGGUAUCAAAUAUUGGAAAGUCAAAGAUAUGGGUAUCAAAUAUUGGAAAGUCAAAGAUAUGGGUAUCGAGAUAUUGGCAUAAUAAAAUCUGAGAUAUUUGCAAUAUAUGGUCCCUAAUUGUAAAGUGACUUUGCAAGUUGAUCCCUGAACCUCAACUAUAAAUAGGCAUAACCAUCUCUCAUUCUGUAUCUCAAACUUGCCAUUCUCUACUUAAGGCAUUGUUUUCUCUCUCUCUCUCUCUUUGUAAAUUCUCACUUGUAUUUUGGAGUGAAAUAUAUUUGGUAGUGCUCGAGGACGUAGGCAAAAUUUGCUGAACCUCGUUAAAUUCUUGUGUUCUUUAUUGUAUUAUUCUGCAUGAAUUGUGUGUGUGAUUGUAGUGAUUUAUUGUGCUAUUAAAUUACGAUUGAGGGAUAUUCUGGCUAGGAAAGACCUGGUACUUAAGCGAUCCUUGUGAUCCACCUCUCUUUCCUGGGAAUUGAACUUAGUGUGAUUUUUUAGUACAAUAAUUUUACUCUUUUACACGCUUCUGCACAACAAUUGGUAUCAGAGCUAGAUUCGUACCUGGGGAAUACGAUCGUUCACGGCACUAUUCACGUACUGUAGUUGGGAUUGAGGAGAAAAAAAUGGAAAAGUCAUCGUCAAAGACUACUGUGACCAAUGUAAAAUUUGAAGUAGAGAAAUUUGAUGGUACCAAUAAUUUUGGUAUGUGGCAAUGUGAGAUCCUGGAUGUCUUAUGUCAGCAAGAGCUGGAUAUAGCCCUUGAAGAAAAACCUGACAAGAUGGAUGACAAGGAGUGGGCCAAGAUCAAUAGACAGGCAUGUGGAACAAUUCGCCUAUGUUUGGCCAAAGAGCAGAAGUACUCUGUCAUGAGGGAGACAUCAGCGAAGAAGUUGUGGGAUACACUGGAAGAAAAGUUUCUAACAAAAAGUCUUGAAAAUAGGCUUUAUAUGAAAAAGAAACUUUAUUGAUUCACGUAUGCACCCGGUAUGUCGAUGAAUGACCAUGUGAACUCAUUCAAUAAAAUUUUAGCAGACUUGCUAAAUUUGGAUGAGAAAUUUGAAGAUGAAGACAAGGCAUUACUGUUGUUGAAUUCUCUUCCUGAUGAAUAUGAUCAUCUUACCACCACAUUGCUUCAUGGGAAGGAUACAAUCACAUUUGAUGCAGUCUGUAGUGCAUUGUAUAGAUCUGAGACUCGAAAGAAAGAUAAAAAAGAUCACAGAGAUACAACUACAGAAGUCUUAACAGUAAGAAGUCGUUCGCGCAGCAACAAAUCUGGUAGAAGGAGUAAGUCCAAAGGGAGACCUGCCAAAGAUGAAUGUGCCUUUUGUCGUGAGAAAGGGCAUUGGAAAAAGAAUUGUCCUAAGUUACAAAAAGGUAAAGCUAUUUCUGAUGCAUGUGUAGCGGAGCAUGAUGAGGAGUCAGACUUUAGCUUGGUUGGCAUGGCAAUGGCAUGUCAUACAGAUGAGUGGAUUUUGGAUUCGGGAUGUACUUACCAUAUGUGUCCUAAUAAGGACUGGUUUUCUAGUCUUAAAGAACUAGAAGGUGGAGUUGUUUUUAUGGGCAAUGAUAGCGCUUGUAAGACAAUGGGAGUAGGUACAAUCCAAUUGAAGAAUCACGACGGCUCAAUUCAAGUCUUGACAGAUGUUCGCUACAUACCUAGCUUGAAGAAAAAUCUUAUCUCAUUAGGGGUCAUAGAAUCUAAAGGGCUCACAAUCACUUUGAGAGAUGGAUUACUAAAGGUAGUAGCUGGGGUAUUGACGGUGAUGAAAGGUACAAGAAGGAAUAAUCUGUACUAUUUAAAUAGAAGUACAGUUAUUGGAUCAACAUCAACAGCUUUUACAAAAGAUGCAGAUUCAGAGGCUACCAGGUUAUGGCAUAUGCGAUUGGGACAUGCUGGUGAAAAAGCUUUGCAGAGUUUGGCGAAGCAAGGCUUGUUGAAAGGUGCAAAUUCUUGCAAAUUGGAAUUCUGUGAACAUUGUGUUCUGGGCAAGCAGACGAGGAUAAAAUUUUGUUCAGCAAUUCACAAUACAAAAGAAAUUCUGGACUACGUUCACAGUGAUGUGUGGGGACCUACUAAAGUGGCUUCUUUGGGAGGUAUGCACUAUUUUGUUACUUUUGUUGAUGAUUAUUCAAGAAAAGUAUGGGUGUAUCUAAUGAAAAGGAAAAAUGAAGUUUUGGAUGUAUUUCUGAAAUGGAAGAAGAUGGUGGAGACCCAGGCUGGUCGAAAAGUCAAACGACUUCGAUCAGACAAUGGUACUGAGUACAAGAAUGAUCCAUUUCUACAAGUAUGUCACGAUGAAGGUAUUGUACGACACUUCACUGUUCGAGAUACACCACAACAGAAUGGGGUGGCAGAACGUAUGAAUCGGACUAUACUGGAGAAAGUUCGAUGUAUGUUGUCCAAUGCUGGAUUGGGCAAAGAAUUUUGGGCUGAGGUAGUUACAUAUGCGUGCCAUCUAAUUAAUCGGUUGCCAUCAGCUGCAAUAAAUGGAAAAACUCCUAUGGAGAGGUGGGCUGGUAAACCUGCUGUUGAUUAUGAUUCUUUACAUAUUUUUGGUUCCACUGCAUAUUAUCAUGUAAAAGAAUCUAAGUUAGACCCAAGAGCAAAGAAAGCAUUAUUCAUGGGUAUAACUGGUGGAGUAAAAGGAUACCGUCUCUGGUGUCCUGAUACAAGGAAAAUAAUUUUCAGUAGAGAUGUGACUUUUGAUGAAUCAACCAUGAUGAAGAACAAUGAUUCACAAAAGGAUAACACAACCAGUGGCACUUUGCAGCAGGUGGAGCUUGAAAAGGUUAAUGAUGAUCCAGCUAAUAUUGAAGGAACAAAUGAUGAAGAAGUUUCGACCCAAGAACUUCUACAACAACAUGAUUCAAUUGCAUAUAGAAGGCCAAGAAGAGAGAUUCGUAUGCCUGCUCGCUUUGAUGAUAUGGUGGCCUAUGCACUUCCAAUUGCAGAUGAUGAUGUUCCUUCUACUUACACAGAAGCAAGAAGUAACUCUGAUAGUGUAAAGUGGAAGCAAGCUAUGAAUGAAGAAAUGCAGUCUCUUCAUAAAAAUAAGACCUGGGAGUUGGUGACACUACCCAAGGGAAAGAAGGCAAUUGGAUGCAAAUGGGUAUAUGCAAAGAAGGAAGGAUUUCCUGAUAAAAAUGAAAUUCGAUACAAGGCUAGAUUAGUAGCAAAGGGUUACGCUCAGAAAGAAGGAAUAGACUACAAUGAAGUGUUUUCUCCAGUUGUGAAGCAUUCGUCUAUUCGGAUUUUGCCAGCCUUGGUUGCGCAAUAUGAUCUUGAACUAGUUCAGCUUGAUGUGAAGACCGCGUUUUUACACGGUGAUUUGGAAGAGGAAAUCUAUAUGACUCAGCCAGAUGGAUUCAAGGUUGCUGAUAAAGAAAAUUGGGUUUGCAAACUAACAAAGUCACUUUAUGGAUUGAAACAAUCUCCAAGGCAGUGGUACAAGCGAUUUGAUCAGUUCAUGAAAGGGCAAAGGUAUACAAGAAGUAAAUUUGAUCAUUGCGUGUAUUUUCAGAAGCUACAAGAAGGAUUUUUCGUAUACUUGCUCUUAUAUGUUGAUGAUAUGUUGAUAGCAUCUAAGAGUAAAGUUGAAAUUGAGAGAUUGAAGACUCAACUCAACCUUGAGUUUGAGAUGAAAGAUCUAGGAGAAGCUAAAAAGAUUCUCGGCAUGGAAAUAUGGAGAGAUAGAGCUAAUGAUAGAGUUAGCUUGUCUCAGAAGCAGUAUUUGAAAAAGGUACUACAGCAGUUUGGCAUGAACGAGCAGACAAAACCUGUAAGUACCCCGUUGGCUUCUCAUUUCAAGCUUUCUGCACAACUAUCUCCUUCGGCGAAUACGAAACGAGAAUACAUGUUGCAAGUUCCGUAUUCUAAUGCAGUAGGUAGCUUGAUGUAUGCAAUGGUGUGUACAAGACCCGACAUUUCACAGGCAGUUAGUAUAGUGAGCAGGUAUAUGCAUAAUCCUGGAAAAGGACAUUGGCAAGCUGUGAAAUGGAUUCUACGAUAUAUUCAUAAGACCAUGGAUAUUGGAUUACUGUUCAAGCAGGAUAUUACACUUGGUAAAGGUGUUGUUGGGUACGUUGAUUCUGAUUAUGCCGGUGAUUUGGACAAACGAAGAUCAACCACUGGUUAUGUGUUUACUCUUGCUGGAGGACCAAUAAGUUGGAAGUCUACACUGCAGUCUACAGUUGCGUUGUCAACCACAGAAGCUGAAUACAUGGCUGUAACAGAGGCUGUAAAGGAAGCUAUUUGGUUACAAGGUAUGGUUAAAACCUUGGGAUUGGUUCAGGAGCAUAUUAAUGUGUAUUGUGAUAGUCAAAGUGCUAUUCAUUUAGCAAAGAAUCAAGUCUAUCAUGCACGUACAAAGCAUAUCGAUGUACGUUUCCACUUUGUGCGGGAAAUUAUUGAUGAGGGGAAAAUUCACCUUCAGAAGAUUAAGACUGCAGAUAAUCCCGCAGAUAUGAUGACCAAGGUGGUAACAACAAUCAAGUUCGAACAUUGUUUGAACUUGAUCAAUAUUCUGCAUGUUUAACAGUUGAAGAAGGCACUAUCAAGUGUUGUUGACAAAGGCAGAGAGAAUUGUGUGAAGAUAAGAUUACUCGAAUCAAAUCUUCAAGGUGGAGAUUAUUGGGAAUUAUCCAUAUUUAUGAAAAAUCAAAGAUAUGGGUAUCAAAUAAUAGAAAGUCAAAGAUAUGGGUAUCAAAUAUUGGAAAGUCAAAGAUAUGGGUAUCAAAUAUUGGAAAGUCAAAGAUAUGGGUAUCGAGAUAUUGGCAUAAUAAAAUCUGAGAUAUUUGCAAUAUAUGGUCCCUAAUUGUAAAGUGACUUUGCAAGUUGAUCCCUGAACCUCAACUAUAAAUAGGCAUAACCAUCUCUCAUUCUGUAUCUCAAACUUGCCAUUCUCUACUUAAGGCAUUGUUUUCUCUCUCUCUCUUUGUAAAUUCUCACUUGUAUUUUGGAGUGAAAUAUAUUUGGUAGUGCCCGAGGACGUAGGCAAAAUUUGCUGAACCUCGUUAAAUUCUUGUGUUCUUUAUUGUAUUAUUCUGCAUGAAUUGUGUGUGUGAUUGUAGUGAUUUAUUGUGCUAUUAAAUUACGAUUGAGGGAUAUUCUGGCUAGGAAAGACCUGGUACUUAAGCGAUCCUUGUGAUCCACCUCUCUUUCCUGGGAAUUGAACUUAGUGUGAUUUUUUAGUACAAUAAUUUUACUCUUUUACACGCUUCCGCACAACAUCUACAUAUCAUUACAUAUGAUUGAGAAGAAAUGAAAUGCUAAAUACGCGAAGAAACAAUAAAUUCAUUAAAUAGUAGCUUGCAACCAUUACUUUGGAAGAAAUCAUCUAUCCAUCUUCAUAAGGAUAAAGAAUAUUCAUAGUCAAAGGAGAGUCCCCCAAAACACCCAUACGAUUCGAAGAUUCAUGAUUCAAAUGUGUUGGAGGAACCUAUAAGCAAAACAGAAUCAAAUACUGACCCAAAAAUAAGCAGAUAAAGUUAAAAACUUUGCAACAUGAUAACACAAUAAAUAAGGAGAAAAGUAAACAGCAUUACGCAUAGAUUUAAAAACUGAAAGGUUUCCAACUUAGGAUUUCUUUUUCUUUUUUGUUCCUACCCGAUGUUUCUUGCUUGGUUUGGUAUCGUACCAUAAAUGUGGGAUCAAUCAGAUAGUCCUGAAAUAACUAUUUAAAGUUUAAAGUGUUCAUGUCUUACGGUAUAAAAUUACAAUUACAAUUACAAGUACAAGAGAAGAGAACCAUUUUUAUAAUACACAAAACAUUUACAAUAUGACACAUACUUACCUUACUCCGUUUUUCUUCUUUACCAUUACCUCUCACACGCUUACGACUCUCUUUUUACAUCAUAGCAAGAAUUAAAACCCCCAUCCUUAUUUAUAAAGUUUAGGGGUUGUUAGAUUAUUAACACAUGUAAACAUCCUUACUAUUUAUUUUAUAAAUAUCUAAUAAUUAGGAUGUUCAUCUAAAAUAUUUAAUUUUCUAGAUAAUAUCCUAUAUUCUAGAAUCUUCCCAAUAAAAUAUCUCUUAAAAGAUAAGUAUAGAUAUACAACAUUUCUAUCUUUUAAACAUUGUACAUACAUAUUUUUUUUAUGAUUGUGUAAAAAUAAAUAUGGUACAACCUCUUUAAUGUCUUCUAAAAAUAAUUAGAAUAUAAAUACAUAUAUUCACGUACAACCCACGCCAUUUUGAACAUUAGUUUUACUCAAUGUUGUAACUGCCUUGCCUUAUAUUUUCUCUAUAUCCUAUAAUUUUACAUAAAACACCUAACAGAACACGUGUUACUACAAUAUUUUUGGGUGUCUUAUAAACUCAAAAUUUGUUAUUUUCUACUUUACCAUAUCUUUCUUAUUCAUAGUUAAUAUUUAUUUUUUAUGUUUAAAAUAAUAUUAAAAGUAAAAAUUUAAUUAAAAUGGUUUACUGCAUAAAAUUAAUAUAUAACUUAAUAUAUAUCAAGAAAAUUACGAAUUUUUAAUUUAUACAAUUAUUUUUUAUAUUUUAUUUUUUCAAUAUAUUCAAAUUAAAUUUUUAAGUAAAUAAAUGUAAUUAAAUUAAAUUAAUACACAUAACCAACUCGGAAUAAAAACCUAAUUUUUUACCAUUAUCUCUCACAUCUCUUGCUUAUGACUCUUUUUUUACAUCAUAGCAAGAAUUAAAGCUCUCACCCUUAUUUAUAAAGUUUAGGGGUCGUUAGAUUGUUAACACAUGUAAACAUCCGUAUAAUUUAUUUUAUAAAUAUCUAAUAAUUAGAAUGUUCAUCUAAAAUAUCUAAUUUUCUAGAUAGUAUCUUUUUUUUUAAUUUUAUAUUCUGAGAAUUUUUGCAAGAAAAUAUUUCUUAAAAUAUAAGUAUAGAUACACAACAUUUCCAUCUUUUAAACAUUGUACAUACAUAUUUUUUUUAUGAUUGUGUAAAAAUAAAUAUUGUACAUACAUACCUCUUUAAUGUCUUCUACAAAUAAUAAGAAUAUAAAUACAUAUAUUCACGUAACCCACGCCAUUUUGAACAUUAGUUUUACUAAAUGUUGUAAGUGGCUUGCCUUAUAUUUUCUCUAUAUCGUAUAAUUUAACAUAAAAAAACCUAACAGAACACGUGUUACUACAAUAUUUUUGGGUGUCUUAUAAACUCAAAAUUUGUUAUUUUCUACUUUACCAUAUCUUUCUUAUUCAUAGUUAAUAUUUAUUUUUUAUGUUUAAAAUAAUAUUAAAAGUAAAGAUUUAAUUAAAAUAAUAUAUAACUUAAUAUAUAUCAAGAAAAUUAUGAAUUUUUAAUUUAUACAAUUAUUUUUUAUAUUUUAUUUUUUUAAUAUAUUCAAAUUAAUUUUUUAAGUAAAUAAAUGUAAUUAAAUUAAAUUAAUACACAUAACCAAGUAAAGAACCUAAUUUUUUUCUUAUUCAUAUGAUUUUAACUUUUGCCUUUUAUAUGUCAUCUAAGUGCACAUAUAGUAUCAUUCAUAACCAAACUACUAUUAAUGGAAGAAUCAACUUAAAAACCCUUAUCCAACUUAAAAGUUCCUCUUCAAAUUUAAAAAUGAAUAAUUCUUACCUGAAAAAUCUCAUCUACCAUGUAUGCAUUACUUGAACAAAAUAACGAGAAGCAGCAAUUACUCUAGCCGUUGUUUCUUCUUUAACUUAGCCAACUUCAAAUUGGCUUCUCGUAUAGUUUCUCACAAUUUCUUUAUCUCUGCUUGAUCCUCCAAUGUUUGACAAGUCUUUGCCAAGUUAACCUUUAGCCAUGAAAGUUCCAAAUAGAGGAUCUCUAUGUCUUUCACCCUUUACCAACUUAUCAUCGAUAUCAGUUAGCUCAAGCUUAUUCAGAUUGCUUUCUAAUCUUCAGUAAAUUUCAACAACUGUAUUUAUAAUGUUGCUUUGAAACUCUUGAUUGUUCAAUAGAAAUUGGUCAGCAAAGUGAACAUGGUUUUGAAAUAUUUUAUUGAGCGCGUCAGCAUUGUGUUAAGAAACCUCGUAUCUGUUGAUGAUGACAGCUGUGACAUCAAAGGUUGAGAAAAAAAUGAAAUGCUAAAAAUUAUCUUUAAUAUAACUCAAAGAAACAAUAAAUUCAUGAAAUAGUAGCUUGCAGCCAUUACUUUGGAGCAAAUCAUCUAACCAACUUUUCUGGGCCACAAAAUCUCCACGUCUCCCAAAGAAGAUUCAGGAUUCAAGUGUGCUGGAGGAACCUAUAAGCAAAACAGAAUCAGAUAUUGGUCCAAAAAUAAGCAGAUAAAAUUAAAAACUUUGCAACAUAAUAACACAAUAAAUAAGGAGAAGAGUAAACAGCAUUACGCAUAGAAUUAGAACCUGACAGCUUUCCUACUCAGGAUUUCUCUUUUUUUUUUUGUGUGUGUUUCUAGUUGAUAUUUCUUGUUUGAUUUGGUAUCUUACCAUAAAUGUGGGAUCAAUCAGAUAGUCCUGAAAUAACUAUUUGAAGUUGUUAAGAAAAGAAGCUUAAAGAGUUGAAUGAAUAACUGUUAAUUCCUUUGAGUAAAAAUGCAGUAAAUAUAUACAGAAAAUGUAACUAACACUAUAACUAAUUACAUACUGUUACUUAAUUUCUAACUAACUAUACAAAUGCUGGUACAACAGUUUUACACUCUCAACAUGCCCCCUCAAGUUGGAGGAUGAAAAAUGUCUUUCAUUCCCAACUUGGUCACUAAGUAUUUGUGCUGAGGAAUGCUUAAUCCUUUAGUAAGUAAAUCUGCCAUUUGUUCAUUUGUUAAGAUGUGCUUUGUUUCCACGUCACCUUUUUGAAUUUUCUCUCGAAUAAAAUGACAAUCUAUCUCAAUGUGCUUUGUUCUUUCAUGGAAGACCGGAUUUGAAGCUAUUUGAAGGGUAGCUUGAUUGUCACAAUGUAACAACAUUGGUUUUGAAAUUUUAACUCCCAACUCAGCUAAUAAACCUUUCAACCAGACUAGCUCUGCAACUGUGGUAGCCAUACUUCUGUAUUCUGCUUCUGCAGAUGAUCUAGAUACCGUAUUCUGUUUCUUGGAUUUCCAGGAAAUCAAAGAAUUUCCCAAUUUGACACAAUAUCCUGUAACUGACUUUCUAGUCAUGUUGCAUGAAGCCCAAUCAGAGUCACAAUAUGCAUGUAUAUCUGUCGUUCCUUCUGCUGUGAGAAAAAUACCUUGACCAGGAUUCUUCUUGAGGUAUCUCACAAUACGCAAAGCAGCCUCAUAAUGUUCCUUCUUCGGUUUCUGCAUAAACUGACUAAGGUGUUGUACUCCAAAUGCAAUAUCUGGUCUAGUAUUGGUGAGAUAUAGGAGUCUUCCUAUUAAUCUUUGAUAUAUGCUUGCAUUUUCUAAUUCUGUAUCUGCAUCGUGUAUGUCUAGUGCUGCAUCAUAUUCCAGACUUGUCAUUUUUAGAUUCUGCUCCAAGGGUGUAUUUGCAGGCUUUGCAUUUGUCAAACCAAGAUCAUUAAUAAGUUCAAGAACAUAUUUUCUCUGAUUCAUAAUGAUACCCUCUUUAGAUCUUGCUAUUUCUAUGCCAAGGAAAUACUUGAGAGUACCCAAAUUCUUCAUUUUGAAAUUCUGAUGAAGAGUUUCUUGUAAGUCUUCAAUUAAGGAUUUGUCAUUCCCAGUGAUCAAGAGAUCAUCAACAUAAAUGAGAAAAAUAACAACUUUGCUACCAGAUGAUUUGAUGAACAUAGAGUAGUCAUGCUUACUUUGAACAUAACCGGUGUUGAUGAGAGCCUCACUGAGCUUCAAAUUCCAUUGUCUUGAGGCCUGUUUUAAUCCAUAAAGGGAUUUGAGCAGUCUACAUACAUGAUUGCCCCCUGGAGUGCCAAAUCCCUGAGGUAAGUGCAUGUAAACUUCUUCAUGAAGGUCACCUUGAAGAAAUGCAUUAUAGACAUCCAUUUGAAUGAGAGGCCAGUUAAAUAAAGCAGCAAGAGCAAUAACAAUUCGGACUGUAACCUGCUUAACAACUGGGGAAAACGUGUCCUGAAAAUCAAUACCUUCCUUUUGACUAUAGCCUUUAGCCACUAAUCUUGCUUUAUAGCGUUCAAUAGUGCCGUCUGAAUGGUAUUUGAUUCGAAACACCCAUUUGCAGCCAAUGGGACGUUUUCCUGGUGGGAGUGGAACAACCUCCCAAGUUGAGUUUGCUUCUAAAGCUUGAAUUUCCUGUUGCAUCGCAGCUUUCCAACAAUCAUGUUGAAUGGCCUCUUGGUAGGUUCGAGGUUCAGAGGUGGUAGAGAUGGAAGCAACGAAACAUUGAGUGUGUAAAGGUAAGUGAUGACAUGUUAUAAAGUUGGAGAUUGAAUAUUGACCUUGUGCAGUAGUAGAAGAAGAUGAAGAAGUAGGACAAAUGUAAUCUUGCAUCCAGACAGGUGGUUUGGUGUUUCGGGUGCUUCUUCAAGAAGGAUAAGAGGGUAAGGAAGAUGUUGGUAGGGUAGAAGAAAUAGAGAAAGUAGGGAGGGAAGGUGGUGGUGGUGGUGUUGAAGUGGUAAAAAGAAAAUCAGGGUCAUGCAAAGAACCAAAUGUAUUGUCAUCCAAAGGAAAGAGGGGUUGAUCUUUGGAGGGUGUUGUAAAAGGAAAGACAGAUUCAUGAAAUAGAACAUCUCGACUAACAAAAAAAUUUUGGGAAACAGGAUUGAACAGGAUAUAUCCUUUUUGGACUUGAGAAUAACCCAUAAAAAUGGAUGGUGUAGCUUUGGGAGAAAAUUUAUCAUGCAGAUUGGUUACUGUGGCAUAGCAAAGACAACCAAAAAUUUUAAGGUGAGAAAGAUUUGGUGGCGUAUUAUACAGCAGCUCAAAAGGUGUUUUCCAGCGAAGUACUGCAGAAGGUAACCUAUUAAUUAAGUAACAAGCUGUUAAAACACAUUCCCCCCAAAACUUAAUAGGUACAUGCGAUUGAAAUUUUAAUGCUCGGGCAACAUCUAAAAGAUGGCGGUGUUUGCGUUCGGCCACACCGUUUUGCUGAGGUGUGUGGACACAAGAUGAUUGGUGAAUGAUUCCAAGGGAUUGAAAAAAGAAAGUACCUUCUUUAGUAAAAAAUUCAUGACCAUUGUCACUGCGAACAGUUUUAACAAUUCCAGAAAAUUGUGUUUUGGCUAACAUAAUAAACUGCUUAAGGUUAAAAAGGGCAUCACUCUUAAGUUUUAAAAGAUAUAUCCACGUCAUUCGAGUAUGGUCAUCAACAAUGGUUAAAAAAUAUCUAUGACCAGAAUGAGUUGAAGUGCGAUAAGGACCCCAGAGAUCGACAUGGACAAGAGUAAAAGGUUUUGAUUCUCGUGAAGUACUUUGUGGAAAGGGUAAGCGUGUUUGUUUUGCUAAUGGACAGACAGUGCAUGUUUGAAUGUUAUGAGAAUGCACAGAGCAAUUAUGUAAAAAGUGUAUUUUAUUCAUCUUUGAAAAAGAUGUGUGACCAAGUCUAGCAUGCCACAGAGGGUAAUCAACAUGCUUAGAAACAGAUAAAGAAGUAACAUUUGAAGAAUGUACAGGAAGAGGUACGGGUAGGAAAGUGGGAGUUGAGGAGGGUUGAGGGAGGAGUAGAUAAAGACCAUCUUGUUCCUUACCAAUCCCCAUCAUCUUUCCACUGCAAAGGCCCUGUAAAACACAAAAUGUAGGAUAAAAGGAAAUAAAACAAUUGAGAUCUUUGGUGAGUUUAGAAAUGGAGAGAAGGUUAAAAUUGAAUGAGGGAAUGUAAAGAACAUCUUUAAGAGUGUGAUGAGGUGUAAGAUUAUGAGUACCAAUAUGAGUGAUGGUGGCUGUGUUACCAGUAGGCAAUUUAACAAAAGUGUUGUUAGCACAUGCAACAGGUUGAAUUAAAGCAUUAAAAGCAUGCGUCAUGUGAUUAGAAGCCCCAGUAUCAAGAAUCCAAUGAAUCGGAUCAGAUGCAUAAGAUAUACCUGCCAUGUGAGCUACAGCUUGCACAGAAGAGUUCUUGUGUAAUAGGUCCAAGAUCUGUUGAUACUGUUCAGCAGUAAAUGUAGGAGCCGAAACAAUAGAUGGUGAAGAAGCAGGCAUAGUAAGAGAAUCAGAAGAAGGAACAACAACUUGAUUGACAGUUGGUGAUUUCUUCUUGGUGAACUUGAAAUCAGCAGGAAAGCCAUUGAGGCGAUAGCAGUCGGUUCGAAUGUGACCCCGUUUUUGACAAUAACUACAAGACAAAUCAGAACGCUUCUUGGAAACCGAAGAAGUUGAUGAUUGCUGACUAAGAAGAGCAGUAGGUUCCGAGACAGGUAGUGGAGAAGCAAGUUCUCGUUGAGUUUCAUCACGCAUGACAAGCGAGUAAGCCUGAUUAACUGUGGGCAAAGGUUGCAUCAAAAGGAUCUGGGAUCGAACAUUAGAAUAUGUUUCAUUUAAACCCAUCAAAAACUGAAAAAGACGUUGUUGUUGAAGUUGAGCAUUUCGGCGAAUAAGAUCACAAUCGCAGGUAGAUGAAGGAACAAGAACAUCAUAUUCAUCCCAAAAUAAUCGAAGCUUAGUAAAGUAAGUGGAAAUAGAAUAAGCUCCCUGAGUGUGAGUGGAAAUAGCACGAUGGAGAUAGUAAAUACGAGAACCAUCAACCUUGUCAUAUCGUUCCUGAAGAUCCUUCCAAACAAUGGCAGCAUUGGACGCAAAAACAAUUCCAGCAGAAAGUUCCUGAGUAACAGUGUUAAGGAUCCAAGAAAGAACCAAAGCAUUGCAUCUAUCCCAAUGAGGCAUUAGAUCAGCAUCAAAGUCAGCACGGGAACAUGAACCAUCAAUAAAACCAAGCUUAUUCUUGGCAAGAAGGGCGAUAUGCAUAGACCUGCUCCAAACGCAAUAGUUUUCAGUUCCAGUGAGAUGAUGAGAAACCAAAAGCAUUCCUGGCAUGUCAGAAGGAUGCAAAUAAAGAGGAUGGCCAAAUGGCAAAUUGAAAGAGGAAGGAUUAGCCAUGAAGAAAAAAAAGAAAGAAGAGAAGAGAAGAAUAAAGAAGAAAACUAGAUCAAAGAUGAUCAGGAAAAAGAUUUAGCCUGAUACCAUGUUAAGAAAAGAAGUUUAAAGAGUUGAAUGAAUAACUGUUAAUUCCUUUGAGUAAAAAUGCAGUAAAUAUAUACAGAAAAUGUAACUAACACUAUAACUAAUUACAUACUGUUACUUAAUUUCUAACUAACUAUACAAAUGCUGGUACAACAGUUUUACACUCUCAACAGAAAUUUAAGUGUUCAUGUUGUAUCUCUCUUACAGUAUAAUAUUAAAGUUUUGGAUUCAAACUUCAAUCUGGUACAUAAACUUGAAUGGACAAUGGCAGGAUAGCAUUCUCUCUACAACUACAUGUAAACAAGAGAAUGAAUUAGAAAUUAAAGAAAAAAUGAAUAAUGAUGAUCCGAUCAGUUUAUAGUUUGCAAAAGAUAAAAUAGACAGCUCGUUAAAGAAAUUAAAGGAAUGACAAGUUCUACAAACAUGCCAGUAGGAGUAAGUGAGAUGAGUUAAAAACUUAAUUGGUGAUAACUGAAUAUUGAACUUUAUUUUUGCAUCAUUCAUUAAAAUAGUAGAAAAGAAGUUAGUGGACGAUACAUGCUUGCAUUUUCAGGUCAUAAUUUGCUCUGUGAAACUCAAAAUUCAAUCCUUACCAUCGUUUGGUCUAUUGUUUCCAUUUUCAAUGUUAAUUUCUCUACUCUUCCUCCCACAUGUAUUAGGGUAAAAUUUACUUUCUCAGCUAGUUUCUCUUGAUCAAUCAUCUUCAUUCGAAAUAUAUAAAGAUGAGUAGCAAAGUAAAACAGAGAACAGAACAAUAGAGGCAGACUUCAAACAAAUUACUAAGAAAUGUUAUGGCAACGUUAAAAAGUCUACUCCUUAAUUAACUUGAUGAUAAGCUAUUUUGCAAGACUCAUGUUUGCUACAAAAGGGUUUUCAUGAUAAAUGUAAAACCUUAUACUCCAUUGAUUAAAAGAGGACAUCCUAACACUCCUUUUGCUAUAUAAAAACCUUAUAUAUAAUCCCUGCAUGUAGCUUCAAAUCGUACAAUAGACUCAUAAUUCAUACCUAUAAAUGUUCAUGCUUGCAAAUAAUAGGUAUAUAAAUAAUGACAGGAUCUUUAAUUACCUCUGAUGUCAGAUGUCACAACAGCCAUCGUCAACAGAUACGAGAUUCAUCAACACAAUGCUGACGCGCUCAACAAAAUAUUUCAAAACCAUGCUCACUUUGCUGACCAAUUUCAAUUGAAUAAUCGAGUGUUUCAGAGCAACAUUAUGAAUGCAGUCGCUGAAAUUUAUCAAAAAUUAGAAAGCAAUCUGAAUAAGCUUGAGCUAACUGAUAUCAAUGAUAUGUUAGUAAGGGUGAAAGACACGGAGGUCCCCGGUUUGGAGCUUUCAUGGCUAAAGGAUAAGUUGGCAAAGACUCAUCAAACAUUGGAGGAUCAAGCAGAGAUAAAGAGAUUGUAAGAAACUAUCCGAGAAGCCAAUCUAAAGUUGGCCAGGUUAGAGAAGAAACAACAGCUAGAGUAAUUGCUGCUUCUCGUUAUUCCUUUAAAGUAAUAGCAGCCAAGGUUCUGUCUAGUCUCUCGUACAAAUUGCCGUCACACUAGGUGAAUUUUGGUCCUUGGAAUCCCAGGUCACAUAGAUGAUUAUUAGAGCAAAACGAUUGGAAAUGAGAACACCCCCUACCGCCUUUCCAUUCAUCCAUACUUAGAAUAGAGUUAAAAGCACCACUAAGAAUCCAUGGUUUUGUCAUAUUAUCUACAAUCAAACUUAAACAUUCCCACAAACUAUGCCUUUUAUUGCUUUGAGGACUAGCAUAAAUGAUCGAGACAAAGAAUUGUCAUUGAAGAGCAGACUCUUUAAUCUUAACAGUAGUUGAAAUACUUUCAUCGCCCAAUAUAAUUCGUUACAUUUUGUUGGUGUUGGAAACAAAGAAUAGACAAAUUUAGCUUGCGGCUUGAGCAGCAAGGCUCGAUGCUUGCUGAAGAAACAAUGGAGCUCGAGAAAGAAAAUGAAAAGGAAAGCAAAGAGAAGUGAAGUGAAGAGUAUUGGAACAAAAACUGAUAAUUUUUUAUUCAUCAUAAUCAAUGGCAUAAUGCCAAUACAUAAAUCAAACUUUCAGCUUGUCAAAAAGCAGUAUGCCAACCUAACCAAUACCUACUACCACUAAUACAUUGAAACUUGAAGUAAUUAACUUGUACACAUAAGCAAAGCUGAAUUAAUCAGCUCAAUCACUGUCAAUAUUACAUCAAAUAUCAACCUCACAUAGUUCAAAAUGAACUAAUUAAAUUACAUUACAUCAACUAAGGAUUACAAAAAAGAAACAAAACAUCCUUGUUUGCUCGACUAACCAGCAGCUCCUGCAUGACAUAUGUUUGGUUGGUUUUGUUGCUGCAUGCUGACCAACCUUCAACACAUUUUGACCAUUACAGCCCAGCUACCCUGCAUAUCUUUUCCGAGGAAUAUUCUUACUUGAUCUAUUCAAAAUGUACUUGGCAACUAGUUCUUGCAAGGAAAACCAUAAUAAUUUUCCCUAUUUGAAAUCUUGGAAAUAUUUUAAAUCAACUGAAUCAUUUCACUCGAAUACUUUAUUAAUUUUAUACAAAUUAUUCUUCGCAUCAACAAAUAUUAUUCAGGACAUUGCACCCACUUUCAUGCAGAAUUAUUUUUACCAUGCAAGGAAUUGUCUCCAUGAAUUACUGUCAUCUUUUAGUGUAAGAUGAGUAAAUUUCAACCAGUAAUAACUUUCUUGAUGAACAUGAUGUUGUUCCAAUAGGGUCGGAAGCGUGUAAAUUAUUGUACUAAAAAAUCACACAAAGUUCAAUUCCCAGGGAAGAGAGGUGGAUCACAUGGAUCUCUUAAAUACCAAGUCUUUCCUUAGACAGAAUAUCCCUUCUAUAGUAAUUUAAUAGCACAAUUAAAUACUACUAUUAUACCCUCAAAUAUUGAAAGAAAAAUAGGACAAGAAAGAACACAAGAGUUUUAACGAGGUUCGGUAAAUUAUACCUACGUCCUCGGGCACUAACACCAGAUGAUAACUUUACUAUCUUCAAAGUAUUACAAACAAAUAGAAUUCCUUAAGAAUUCUCAAAUGAGAGAAGAGAGAAAACUAAGAGAGAAAGAUUGGUUGGGAUGAAUUGAAAUGAGAAAUGAGAAGGCCUAUUUAUAGUUGAGGUUUAAGGACCAAACAAUAAAUAGCCCAUUAUCUCAAGGACCAAAAAAAAUUAUCCCAUGCCACUUUUUCAAAGUCAACUUUAGGGUGCUAAACUUGCACCACUUUGUAUUGUUUGCCAUUAAUGUUGUCUCCCAUUAAUGUUAACAAUCUCCACUUUGAAGAUUUGAUUAGGAUAAUCACAUCUUCACACACUUCCUUCAACUCCCCAAAUUCGAUAAAGCUAUCUUUUGUAGUGCCUACAAAUGCACUCUCGAGCGCCAUACACCUGAAGGUGCUCAAAUUCUCAGGAUGUUAAUCAAGUUCAAACAAUGAUUAAACUUGAUUGUUGUUACCACCUUGGUCAUCAUAUCUGCGGGAUUAUCUGCUGUCGAAAUCUUCUGAAGUAGAAUUUUUCCUUUUUCAAAGACUUCCCGCACAAAGUGAUAUCUUACGUCGAUAUGCUUGGUUCUUGAAUGAUAGACUUGAUUUUUCGCUAAAUGAAUAGCGCUCUGACUGUCACAAUAUAAACUUAUGUGACUUUGAACAACUCCUAAGUCUUUCAACAAUCCAUUAAGCCAAAUAGCCUCCUUAACAGCUUCUGUAACUGCCAUAUAUUCUGCCUCUGUAGUAGACACAGCUACUGUAGACUGUAAGGUAGACUUCCAACUUACUAGGGCUUUCGCAAGAGUAAACAGAUACCCCGUAGUUGAACGACGUUUAUCUAAAUCACCAGCAAAGUCGGAAUCAACAUAUCCAACUACAAACUGACCAAGUGCUUCAUCCUGCUCAAAAAUUAAACCAACAUCUACGAUUUUUCGAAGAUACCGUAGAAUCCAUUUCACAGCUUGCCAAUGUCCUUUUCCAGGAUCAUGCAUAUACCUGCUCACAACUCCAACAGCUUGUGAAAUGUCAGGCCUCGUACACACCAUCGCAUACAUCAAACUCCCAACUGCAUUAGCAUAUGGGACUUUCGCCAUAUAUUCUCUUUCAUCUUCAGUCUUCGGAGAUAAUUGAGCACUAAGUUUCAAAUGAGAAGCAAGUGGGGUACUUACAUGUUUUGUGUUUUCAUUUACACCAAAACAUUGUAAUACCUUUUUCAGAUAUUGCUUCUGAUUUAAACAGAGCUUGCCUCUCGGUCAAUCUCUACUUAUCUCCAUGCCGAGAAUCUUCUUGGCCUCACCUAGAUCUUUCAUCUCGAACUCUUGAUUCAACUGAGCCUUCAGCUUAUCUAUCUCUUUUUGGCUCUUCGAAGCGAUUAACAUAUCAUCAACAUACAAGAGUAGAUAAAUGAAAGAUCCGUCAUGCAGCUUCUGCAAAUACACACAAUUGUCAUAUUUGCUUCUUGUGUACUUCUGCCUUCUCAUAAAGCUAUCAAAUCGCUUGUACCACUGCCUCGGGGAUUACUUCAAUCCAUAUAGCGAUUUGUUUAGCUUACAAACCCAAUUUCUACCACUAGCAUCUGUGUAUCCUUCGGGCUGAGUCAUAUAGACCUCCUCUUCUAACUCACUAUGCAAGAAAGCCGUCUUAACAUCAAGUUGAUCUAGUUCCAAAUUCAACUGUGCUACCAAGGCCAACAAAAUUCUAAUGGAGGAAUGCUUCACAACAGGGGAAAAUACAUCAUUGUAGUCAAUUCCCUCCUUCUGAGCGUAGCCUUUAGCUACCAAUCUUGCUUUGUAGCGAAUAUCCUUCUUGCUAGGAGAUCCAUCUUUCUUUGCGAAUACCCACUUGCAUCCGAUUGCCCUUUUACCUUUCGGUAAUUGCGCCAAUUCCCAAGUAUUGUUCUUCAGGAGAGACUGCAUUUCUUCAUCCAUGGCGCUUUUCCAUUUAUCACUUUCUAAGCUUUGCAUUGCUUCUUGAUAAGUGAUAGGAAUAUCAUCAUCAACGGGAAGGGCGUAGGCCACCAUAUCAGUAAAUCGAACAGGUUUACGAAUUUCUCUUCGUGGCCUUGCAAUUGCAACUGGUUCUGGUGUACUUAGUGGUUCUUGGGUCAGAACCUCUUCAACCUUUAAUUCCUCCAUUGUGGCUGGAGAAUUAGACUUAUUAACUGGGCAAAUCCCCAUCUGCUCAAACUCCACCUGUUUUGGAGUACACUCCACCUGCUGUGGAGUAUUGCUCGUCUGAAUAUCUUUAUCUGCUACCUUUUUCAAUGUGGCAGAUUCAUCAAAGGUAACAUCUCUGCUACAGAUCAUUUUCUUUGUGCUUAAGCACCAAAGACGAAAUCCCUUCACUCCAGAAGUGAUUCCCAUAAAGAGAGCUUUCUUUGCCCUCGGAUCUAACUUUGACACCUUCACAUGGUAAUAUGCAGUGGUUCCAAACACAUGUAAGGAAUCAUAAUCUGUAGCCGGUUUUCCAGACCAUACCUCCAUAGGAGUUUUUCUUUCUAAUGCAGAUGAUGGCAAACGAUUAACAAGAUGGCCAGCGUAUGUCACAGCCUCAGCCCAAAAUUGCUUGCCCAACCCAGCAUUGGACAACAUACAUCGAACUUUCUCCAGUAAUGUUCGAUUCAUACGCUCUGCCAAUCCAUUCUGCUGUGGUGUAUCCCUAACUGUGAAGUGUCAAACAAUACCAUACUCUUGGCACACAUCGAAGAACGGAUCACUUUUAUAUUCCCCUCCAUUGUCCGUCCUAAGCCGCUUGAUUUUCUUGCCAGUCUGGUUUCCGAUCAUAGUUUUCCAUUUAAGAAAAACUCUAAGCACUUCAUCCUUAGUUCUCAUGGUAUACACCCAAACUCUUCUGGAAAAGUCAUCAACAAAAGUAACAAAGUAAUGUUUUCCUCCCAAUGAAGGUGUCUUGGAAGGCCCCCACACAUCUGAGUGAACAUAUUCCAAAAUACCUUUUGUAUUAUGGAUAGCAGUACCGAAUUUCACUCUCUUUUGCUUUCCCAGAACACAAUGCUCGCAAAAUUUUAAUUUGCAAGCCUUUGCACCUUUCAACAAUCCUUGCUUUGCUAGAAUUUGCAAGGAUUUUUCGCUGGCAUGUCCCAACUUCAUAUGCCACAACUGUAUUGAGUCCAAUUCUUUGUUGCCGGAAGCUGCAGCGACUGCUCCAAUAACUGUACUACCUUGGUAGUAAUACAAGUUAUUUUUCCUGAUGCCCUUCAAUAUCACAAGUACGCCAGAUGUCACUUUCAAAACCCCAUCUCUCAUAGUAACAACUGAACCAUUGGAUUCCAAGGCUCCCAAUGAGAUGAGAUUUUUUUUCAAACUGGACACGUACCGAACAUCAGUCAGAACUCUGGUUGAUCCAUCUUUAUUCUUUAAUUGGAUUGAAACUUUAGGGUGCUAAACUUGCACCACUUUGUAUUGUUUGCCAUUAAUGUUGUCUCCCAUUAAUGUUAACACAUGAUAUCUAUUUUGAUGAUAUUACAUGCUUUCUUUUGAUUCAAGAAAGACAAUCAAUGACUUGAAAUUGAAUCAUGAUUUUAAAGGACUUGGGUUUAUAUAAGAUUACAUAGGCGAUAAUUCAAUUUCCUUUUCCUUGUUGGAAAAUUCCCAUUUUGACUUUAUCUUUGAUUUUUAAGUUGUUGUUUUCUUAUUGUUAAUUAUUUUAAAAAAUAAUCCCAUUUUAACUUGCAAACUUAAAUCUUAAACUAUUAUCUUUAUGUUUAAUUUCUAAUGAUAAUUAACAAAAAUAUUUGGUUUUAAAAUUUUAAUACAAUCAAUGAAAUACAAUUCACAUAUAUGAAUGAUGAAAUUUGACGUGAUUAAAUAAAUAUUAAAUUUUGUUACAUUUUUAAUAAUGAAUAUAGGUAAAAUGGUACUAAACAUGAAAUUUGACGUGAUUAAGCAUUUUAAUGUCAUUUAAAACGUGUCAAAUAAAUAUUAGAUUAGAUAUUCAAUAUUAAUAAUAAGUAUAUAUUAAUUGAAUUAGACAUUAUAAUUAGUCAUAACUAUCGAAAUUCAAAAUUGUAAAAAUUAAGAUAUAUUGAAUUAAAUAACUACCAUACAUAAUCUUAUUCUAAUAAUAAUAAUGAAAAAACAAGAGUGUUUAAGAUAAUUUCAUUGUUUUUGCUUAUUCUAUGAUCCAACUAUGGUAGGUAAGCGUGAUGUAGGCUCAUCGUACUCCCAUCCAGUGGCUUUAAUUUGCUCUAAUGGAAUAAAAAAUGAAUCAAUCCUUUUAACUUCUUCUUCUUCCUCUUCAUCAUCGAAAAUCGACUUUAUUUCCAAAAAAAGUUUUGGGUCGAUUUUGGAGCUCCAAUCAAUAUUAUCGAUAUACAUAUCUGUUGCAUUACUUGGCAACUUAUUUGUGCAAGGAAAACGAUGAUAAUAUUCCCAGAAUCUCUGUUGGCUUCUUGGAAAGCUUUUAAACCAGCUGAAUCAUCCCAAUCGAAUACUUUAUCUAUUUUGAACAAAUUAUUCUUUGAUUCAACAAAUCUUUUCCAUGGCAUUGCACCCACUUUUAUGCAGAAUUUUUUUUUUCCUAUGCAGGUAAUGGUUCCUAAGACUUAUCGCUAUCAUUCACUUUGGAACGAGUAAAUUUCAAACUGUAGUACCUUUCUGGGCGAUUAUGAUAUCUUCUUCGAUAGUAGGACAUGAUUUCUUGUAAUCCAAACAAAUAAAUGAAAUGAAAUCACUAAUGUAUGAAUUCAUAGUGAAGAGACUUGUUGGGUUUAUAUAAUAUUAUUAGAGUCGGUGGUGACUCAAUCCUUUUCCUUGUUGGAAAAUGAAUUCUAAUUUCAGUUUGACUAUGAUUUCUAUUUUCUAAAUAUUUGUAUAAUAAAAUUGUACAAUCCCAAAUUUGCCCGGGCCCAAAACCACAAAUUACAAGCCCAAAUUUUCCCGGGGCCCAUUAACCCAAAAUACCCCAGCCUAACAAGCUAAAAUUAAACCCAAAAACAACAUACCCAAAUUAACCCACUUAGACUAAACCCAAACCCGAAUGGCCCAAUUACAACACCCAAAGCCCCAAACAGAACCAGGCCCAAAUAACCAACAAACCCAAUCAGCCCAAAUCCUAAAAAAAAACCUAAUCCCCCUAACCCUAGCGUAGUGCCGCACGUCCCCUCACCCACUUGCUCCAUCAACGUCAACUACCUGCAACAAAGAAGAAAACACGCAAGCAGCAAUAGCAGAGAAAAAUAGAAGCAAAAUCGGCUAUAAAGAGGCCAAAUAUCAUCUUUGUACUUAUUCCUUCCGAUUUUUGUAAAAAAAAAACACAUUAGCAGAAAGAAAUAAAAAAAAUUCAAGGUUAUUUUUUCUAUCAGAUUCGCAUUUCCUUUUUAUUUUUAUUUUCUUUAUUUUGUGUAUUAAAUAAAAAACAAAAAGGAGAAGGAAAGGGGCUCAUUGGGGACGGCCAUCGCUGCGCCGUCAGAGGGCUUCUCCUCUGUCGUCGACUCGGGUCCAAGAGGGGUUGAGAGUUCCCCUCUUUUUUGUUGUUUCCGUGGGUUGAGAGAUCUAGGAUCUCAAGGACGCCACACGAGGGCUGAAAAAUCCAUUUCUUUCGCCGUCGGCCUUUGGCCACGAUGGCGGCGCGUCGGAAGCCUGAGAGGCCCUAAUGGCCGAAGAAGGAAAUAUUUUUUUGAGAGAGCUUGACUCUCUGUUAUCUGUUCUUUUUUAAAAUAAAGGAUGAAUUAUUUUUUUUGUGUGUUUUUUAUAUAUUUAUUUGGGGCAUAAUACGGCACCGUUUUGAGCCUUGGCAUCAGUGGCCAAAACAGUGCCGUUUUGGCACGACCCGCGUCUGACCCGAUCGGCAAGCCUAGGAUCCGCGUGUUUCUGGAUAAAGGGGUUAUUUAUGCCUCUAGUCCUUUCGCUUUUGAGGUUGUUUGCAAUCGGGUCCUUUCCCUUUUUAUCUUUUUUAAUUUCGCCACAAAAUUUCAUGUUUCUCUCGAUUUGGUCCUCAAUGAAACUGUGCGUUUCGGAAGAGAAGAGAAAAUUGCCUUAUCGAUCCCUCGUCCUUCCAGCGCUCCUUAUUUCUGUCCCGGGCCAUAUUUUUAUUUAUUUACACAUUUAAACCCCGAAGUUUGUUUUAAGUUUUAAUUUAGUCCUUUUGUAUUCUGUUUAUUUUCUUAUUAAAAGUAAUAAAUUUGAUAUUAUACUAUUAUUAUUUAAUUAUUGUUGUUGUUAUUUGUUCAUUUAUGUCUUUAAAAUUUCAAAUUUUAUCAUAUAUAUAUAUGCAUAUACUUAUAUACUUAUAUUUUAUAAUUUAUAUCUAUAUAUCUAUAUGCAUAUUUUUAUUCCCGUAAACAUAUACGCAUACCUAUAUGUUUUUAUAUUUUCAUAUAAUUUAUACACACAUACAUAUUCCUGAAUAUACAUACUUAUGUUUUUUAUGAUUUAUAUGUAUAUAUAUACACACCUAGAUAUGCAUAUUUUUUUUUAUAUAUAUGUACAUACAUUCACAUAUUUUAUAAUUUAUAAUAUAAGUACAUAGAUAUACAUACAUAAAUAUUGUUAUCGAUUGUUUUAUUUUAUAUUUAUUUACUUGUUCAUCAUUAUUUUUCUGAAAUGCAUUAGUUCUUUUUAUUUACUCAUUAUUUUAUGUAUAAUUGUUUUUUAUGUGCUCAUUUUAGUUCUGCUUGUAUUAUUUUACUUACAUUAUUAUUGUUAUUCCAUGACGCUCAUUUUUAUUUAGAUUUCAAAAAAAAAAAUUUAAAAAUAUAAGUAAUAUUCGGUAUUUUAGAUCUUCGAGAGAAUCGAGCCCUAAUAUAUUGGAUUAUGACUUUCUUCGUUGAAUUUAAAUAAUCGAGAUUACUCUUUUAAAAAUGAUAAAAAGUUCGUUAUCGAGAAUUUAAUACGUUGUGUCCUAAUGCAUUGGAUGUGACACAUUAUUUUCUCGAGAUGAGGAUUUUUCAAAAUAAAUGCAAUAUUCAAUGUUUAAUAUUUUGAGAAAUUGUGUCCUAACGUAUUGGGUUGCGAUUAUUUCAUUCGAUUUAAACAAUUGAAUAUUCUUUUAAACUUUAUUACACGAAUCUUUUCAAACUCAAGUUUUAAACGAUAUCGGGAAUUAAAAAAAGAUCGUGUUCUAAUUUAUUGGUCGUGAUUCAUUUUUAAUCCAAGAUGGUUAAAUACCUUUUAAAUAAACAUUUUUUCAUUCGCGUAUCGAAAAUUUGAGACAUUGUGUCCUAAUUUACUGGAUAUGAUUCUUUUUCUCGAUUAACGUGAAAUAUGUCUCAUUUUCUCGAAAAUUUUUAACAUUUUAAUACAAGGAUCGUAUUUUUAAAAUUCUUCAAAGUUUUUAAUUUUCGAUAUUAAGACAUUAACUAAUCAACUAAGUACCAAUUUUGGGUGUUAUGACUUUCUCGUACGUAGUUGACUCCCGAACCCGUUUUUCUGAAUUUCGUGGACUAAACUCAUUGUUUUAAUAAGAUUAAAUUGUUUAUUAAAAACAACUAUUUUCACAAUGUGACCCGAUCGCACCUCAUCAAAAAGGAUUGGUGGCGACUUUCAUUUUCGUUUUUUUUUAAAACCCAAGUUGACCCCGUUUUCAUCAAAAAAUAGUGUCUACAAAAAUUAUUAAAAAAUCACUAUAUCAGUAUUGAUUCGUUUCCCUCUGAUUGAUACGUGACAUCCCUAGCUUCUCUAGAAUCCUCAUUGACUAUAUGAUCUCUUCACCCAUUGGUGUUCCCCCAAGAAUGUUUUUUCUCGUUUUCUCCUCCUAAUUCAUAUCUACGAUUAUCACCUCCUAGCUUACCGUUGUCAACUUUCUUCCAGUACACCACUUUUCCCUUAAAGCGAGCUAAGUUCACAUUUACUUUACUUCCAUAUAUACAGAACCCAUUAAGUUUACUAAUUGCCCUCUUAUCUUCCACAAUGCUUGCAAAUCUUACUAAACCAAAACGUAGACCUUUUCGAUCCCUCUUGUUAGGAAUAAACGCGUCCAACACUUUGCCAUGGAACUCAGAGAUUUUCCAUAGUCCCUUCCAAUGAAAACAAGAAGGAAGAUUAGAAACAUAAACUGAAAUCACCAUUUUCUCUAAGGAUUUAGCCCAGUAAUAGUUAACAAUAACUCCACGGCAUCUGAUUAAAAGCACAAGUUAAUUGAAUUACCAAGAAUAAUGUUCUUCAAUACUAUUCCAAAUUCAAUUUUGGAACUUCUGCUAUCAUAGCUUUCCACUGUUUGAAACUUUGUUGGCAUUAUUCAAUCGCACAUAACUAACAUUUUCUGUAGCAACUUUGUCAUGGUAGAGCUAUCAUCGACAAGCCUAAAGAAAUAGUAUACAAUAAAUUCAAGAGAACUACACACUUCUAUAUUAUUUCUCAGAGAUUCCCUAAUUUACAUUUAUCUGGAGUUCAUUCGAAAUAACUCAAAUAUCUUCUACUGUCAAUAAAAGGUUUAGAAAACUUAUUUCUUGAAAUUAAAAAUCACAUUUAUUGAUCUUCACAAAUAAUUAUUUCUCUCGUACUAUCUCUAACACUGUUUUUCCAAUACUAAUCGUAAUAUCUUGUAAUAUCUUCACAUGAAUUGAGUAUCUUUAAUUAUAUAGCAACAACUCUGAUAAGAUACAGCUAGAAACUUUUGUCUAUUAAAUAUAUAAAGUGACUAUGCAAUUGAUAAUCAUAUACAACAAUCAACAUUUGACUAAACUUUGCAACCUAUACAAGUUUUUUUGGGAUUUCAACAAAAUAUAAACAAGAAUCCCGAAAAGAUACUUAAAACAUUUACUCAUCCAUGGAACCUGACUGAAAAAAUUUGGGUUGUCGUCUAGCUCAUAAUCAUAUACAAGGUCAAUACCAAAUUCUAGCACAGAUAAAUCUGAAAGAACCCGAAGACUAAUAUGAUCACCAGCUUCUAAUUCAUCACCCCUAAAGUUCCAACAAGUCGUCCAGUAUAAGGUAUUCUUAGUUUCAGGGAUUCCCAUGAAAUGUUUGGAGUAGGUCCACUUUGUACCUUUGGUGUCGUUCACAAUUUCAAGGCAUGGUAAAAAUCCAUAAGUUCUAUCAUUCUUGGCAGAAAAAAUGAUAAUCGAAUUUAAGAAGCAACUUAUCUUUCGACUAGAGUUUGGGGGCACUGAUAUUGAAACCUCAGUCUUGCCAGCUUGAUGGCCAUAGUAAUGACCAUUGUAAUCAAAUGGCAAUGGAUCAAAUGUUGUAGUUAUACCGUAAUCAUAUAAUACCUGUAGCAUUGGAUUAGAGAAUGAGUUAUUAAAAAGUAUAUGGUAUAUAAAUAAUUUUAAAAACUUGGAACUUGUAAAGGUAACCUGUGGUGAAGCAACUACUUUUGAUUCUUCUAUAUAACUGCAAAGUUGCACUUUAACAUAUCCAUAGGAUUCCAAACUAGGCAAGUGUUUAGUUAGGUCCAUCGUGAUAUUUCUUGUGGAAACUUCAUCUCCUAAAAUAUGUACAAUAAUGUGUUAUUUAUCAAUUUUGGUGAUCAUCAACAUUAUAUGCUUAUUAGAAAGUAAGAGUAUUGACUUGAAUGGAGUGAUAAUUAAAGCUUUUAUCAGACACUCAUUUGACACGAAUUCAAAUCGCGACCCAUCCUCUAUCCUCAAUAUUGUAUGAAAAAAAGAUAUCAAAGUAAUAAUGUUAUUAUCACUAAAAUGUAUUAUAAGACUUGUAAGAAAUAAUCAAUUAUACACAUUAUAUCUUUAUUUUUCAUUAUUAUAUAAAAUAUAAACUUUAAAACUAUUAAAUAUGUUAAUCAAAACACCACUUUUAUAAUUUUAUCCAUUAUUUUAGUUUCCACUUCUAUUAGAACUAUUGGAUUAAUCAAUUAUCAAACAAUUAACUUAUUUGCAUUAGACCCCAAUUGCUGCAUAACUUUAUAAUUAUCACUUUAUAAUUUAGCUAAAUUUCUCUCAUAAUCUAUUAAAUUGUCACAUUUCUUGAUAAUUAUUUUAUUGUAUUAGAAAGUCUUUUAGAGAAACAUUCAUCAUUUCUUGAACAUUUGUUAUUCACGUAUAAAAUGAAACAAUAAAAUAAAUAUAGUAGGAUGUAUUUACUAAAAUAUAAUUAUUUGAACUCUACUCAUACCUGUAGAUAAGUGCGAAAAGCCAUAUUCAUAUCCAAUGUUGUGUUCUGAUUCAUAAGUAACGCCAAAUUUUCUUAUGCUGAGAUGAAUAGGCACUACCAUGCAACUCACAAGGUCACCACCUUCAAACUGACAGUCCGUUACUGGCCAAUGAAUCAACCACAACAUUGUGUUAUCGUUAGUCUCAGGAAUUCCAAUGAAACUUGAGCGAUAUCUCUGCAUGAUCCUUUUGGUCUCAUUGAAAAUGUGAACACUUGGUAGAAGCUCCAACAUUUGAUCACUAGCUAAAGAGAAAACAAUGCAUAAGCUGAACCGAUGGAUCUUUUCAUCUGGAUUAGAUGGUGUUGGCAAAAAAAAAGAGAUUCGAUGCUCGUUAGUGCCAUGCUUAAACCCAAUCGGAACUUCACUUCCUACAACAAAUGUGCUUGUUAUACCAUAUUCUUGCAAGACCUGAUCCAAAAAGAACAAGUUAGAUGAUUAAGUAGUAUAAGAGAAAAAAUAGAUUUAAAAUUUAAGUUGGAGAACUAUUGGACCUGUGGGGUAGCUAGCAUUAUGCUGUCUGUUAGGUAGCUAUAAAGUUGCAGUCGAUUUCUGUUAAUGGAAUCUACGUUGAAUAAUCUUCUAAUCUCUUCUGCUUCAAAGUUUUCAAUUGGUUCCAACUUGAAUAGAUCUUCAACCUCAGUCAAUUUUUCACAUCCAAAAAUAUCACAUCGUGUGGAAGAAAAGUAGCAUGGAAGAAUUACCCUAUAUCCUUGAAAUGAAGAAUUGUCUCCAAAAAUAAAGUUGCACUCAAAAACAUUGAGCAAGACCGGAAGCUUUGGAAUCAUUUGGAGUUCAGUGCAAGAAGUCAAUAGAAGUUCUUCAAGUUUUGUAAGGUUUUUUAAGCUCUCGGGUAAGUAAUGAAUUGGGUUUCUACUUAAAUUUAAGGAUUUCAAGGAAGCCAAGUUACAAAGAUCAUUGGGCAUGACAUCAUUAGAUAAUUUGCAACUUUCAAGGCUUAACUUUACCAAAGAGCCCGGUAGAGAUGCCCAAGAGAAACCCAAUCCUUUGCUUCUUUUCAGUAAGAGCCAAUACAACCCCAAUCUUGAUUGAUAUAUGGCAGUUUCAUCUAAAUUAAGCACCUUCAAUGAUUCCAUAUUAUGCAACUCCCUAGGAACAUCAUCAAGUCUUGAACAACCAGAUAAGAAAAGAUCUUCAAGUGAUAUUAAUGAACCAAUUGUCCUUGGAAGAUGCCUAAGACUAGUGCAAUCUUUAAGGUUCAAGAAAGUAAGCAUCUUUAGCUCACCAAUGGAUUGAUCAACUUCCACCAAAUUUAUGCAAUCUUUUAGCAUCAACUUCUCAAGGCUAGGGAGUCCUGAAAAGGUUGGGGUUUUAAGAAGACUAUGUGAAUGGUUGAGAUUAAGGAUCUUUAAAUUUGGGAGACACUGCAAAAAAAGAAAAACCCUUCUUUUAUAAAUGUAUUAUUGUUUCACACACACUCAAAGAAGAAGGAAAAGUAGUAUAUAUCAUACCUGUCUAUUCUUCCAAACUUGUUUAAGUUUACUGUUGCGCAUGUCGAGAACAACUAGUUCAUUGAUAUCAAAAUCCACCGGAAAAGAUUGCAUACAAAACCCAUGCCAACGUAACCAUCUUAAUCUUUUGGGAAAGUCUUUGAAGUCUCCUUUAAAUUUUACAUUAUCCAGUUGAAGCAGUUUAAGUCUCUUCAUCUUCGCAAAUGCUUGAGUUUCCAUAUCAACAUCAUUUGACAUGAGAAACUGACUUUUGGAAUGCUUUGGAAAAUGUAGAGUUGUAGUUGUCCUUUUAGCCUUGUUUUUUUGCAAUCCUUUUAAGUCAAGUGUGAGGCACUUAAUUGUUUUGGAACCCUGUAUCAGAAAAACUUUUUUAAAAAUAAAAAGAAAUCUUAUAAAAAAAAAGUAGUUUACAUGCAUAGAAGAAAAAAGUUGAGUAGAAUGAUAUUUCUUACAAUCUUUUCUCUUAUUACAUCAAAUGCGUCUUUAUGCCACAAUCUGCUCCGUUUUCCAAUAUCAAAAGAUUCUUGACGAAUAAUUUCUCGUCCCAUAUCUCUAAUCAUUUGGUGCAUCAUUAUCUUGUUGGUUUCAUUAAUAGUUAAGAGAGACCUGCCUACUAGGUUUUCAAUCCCAAUUGUUGUAUAGUAAUCACAACCAUCUAGAAUUGUAGUCGCAUAAUCUCUAUCCUUCCCAAUGAAUAAACAAACUAUGUCAAGGAAUAAAUUUUUGUCAUGAUUGUCUUCCAAAGAAUCAUAGCUUAUUCUUAGAAUCUCUUGAAUUUUGCUGUCAGGGAUUUCUUCCAAUUUCUCCAAUGCACUUUUCCAAGAACUCACACUUUUGCUACAUAAUGAAGAGCCCAAAACUUGAAGAGCUAACGGAAGCCCACCACAGUGUUUCACUAAACUUCUUGCAUAUGCCAUUGAACUUUCAGGCACAGAGUUAUGACCAAAAGCAUACCGAUUAAAAAGUUGUAGCGAUUCACUUGAAGCUAAUUCUUUUACUUCAAAUAGCUUGCUUAAGCCUCCACAACUAGUUGAUGCUUCCGAAUCAAACAUUUGGCUUAUAAAAUGUGCAUUCAAUAGGCAUCGGUUUCUACUAGUUAUAAUGAUUUUACUUCCCGGAUGAAAAGGAAUUUGAGUUCCCAUUAAUUUUCUUAUUUUUUCCAAUUCAUCAACAUCAUCAAGAACAAGAAGAACUCUUCUACAACAUACAAUUUCUUUGAUCUUGUUAAUUCCAUUAUCUAUAUUGUAUAUUUUAUGUGAUUUUCCUUUAAGGAUAUCUGAAAUAAGUUGUCUUUGCAAACGAACUAAGCCAUUGCAAUCUUGACUUGUUUCUCUAACAUGAGCAAGGAAACUAAAACUUUCAAACCUCGGGAUGUUUUGAUUGUAAACAACUUUGGCAAUGGUUGUCUUCCCAAUGCCUCCAAUGCCACAAAUAGUUGCAAUGCCAACUUUAUUUGCUCCAUCUUGUUCUAACCACUGAUUAAUUUGUGUCACAAUAAAAUCUAUUCCAACUAAAUAAAGAGGGACAUACAAAGUAAUAAAAUGAAGUUUAUUUUGAACUUCUUUAACAAUAUCUUGAAUGAAUUGCGAUUCAUGCCUGCAAAAUUUAAAAAUAAAUUCAAAAUAUAACUCAAUGGUGUAUUCUUGAAAAUUAAGUAAAAGUUAUUAAUGUGUUUUCUCUUUUCCCACAUAUAUUUUGAUUAUUUUUGUGAGAUUAUAUGUUCAAGUAAAAACAACAAGUUAAUGCAACAUUUCAACAUAUAUGAUAGAAUUAUUACAUUCAAUGUAUGUAUGUAUAUAUGUUUGAGGAAUGAUUGUGUUAGAUAUAUAUUGUUUUAAGUUAUAUUAUGAUCUAAUUUGUAUAUUUUUUAUGUGAUCUAAUUUGCUCCUCCUAUUAUUAUAGUUAAUCUAAAUGAUUAACACCCAUAAUUAUUUUAGUAAUUGAUAUGAAUUUAAAAAAAAAAAACUAAUUCUAACUCUUAAUGCCGAAAUAGAAAUUUUUAUUUGUUAGAAUAGGAUUUUUUACAAAAAUUCAUAUCAAUAUUUUAAUCUAGAUAUUUAAUGAUAUUAAUUAUUUGAAAUAAUUAAUAAAAUUAUAAAAAUAUACUAACCGAAUUAUAUUAAAAAUUAAAAUAUAAAUAUGAAAUAUUAAAAUUAGGCAUGAACAACCAAAAUUAAAAUACAACGUACUAUUUCUUCUACUGAGUACCAUAUAAGGUGGAUAGAAAAAAAAAUUGUUAGAAUAGCAAAUUAUAUUAAAUAUUAAAUAUUGGCUUGAUAAAGUCUUAAUGAAAAGGAUUGAAGUAAUCGUAAGAAACUUGAUUAUGUGUAUAACGUACCUAUCUUGUAGAACCAUGCCUCCUAUAUCCGCAACUUCUGUUAAAGCAUUCCUCCAUCUUUGUACCAUGUUGGUUUCGGACUCGAAGUUUUGUUCAUGUUGGGUAAAUGCUUCUGCAUAACUUCCAGCCUGGUUCUUGACUUGACUCGGAUCCACAUCAUAGAAAACUGGCAACACAAUGUGUUUAGAGGAUUUCUUGUGCUCCAAUAUCAUUACAAGUUCGUUAAGACACCAUGUGGAUGCAGCAUAAUUCUUUGAGAAAACAACGAUAGAAAUUUUGGAGUGGUGUAGUAUUGCUUUUUCAAUUUCAUCUUUUAUGUUAUUCCCUCUCUCGAUUUCCUCAUCAUCUCUAAAUGUUUGAAUUCCUAAGUGCACCAAAGCUGUGUAAAGAUGAUCCGUGAAACUUUUGCGCGUAUCUUCACCUCUAAAACUCAAGAAUACAUGAUAAGUACAUCGCGAGAUUUCUGACUUUGGCAUUGAAGAAGAAAAUGAAGUCGUCCUGUAUUUUUUUUAUGUAAUAACAAGGUUCCAGCAUAUAUAUAUAUAUAUGAAUAGCAAAGCAGAUAUUAUUAGCAGUCAAGUGGCAGUUCCCAAUCCAUGGUGGGCCAAUCCUUCCACCAGUUCAUACAACUGCCCGAAGAAAUUCAUGUCGUCCAUGUUGUUUUUUUCCAAAUCUACCAACUUGGGUUACGUAUAUUCUAUAUUAUUAAUUUUGCUUGAAAAAUACAAUGUAUUGAUUAACUUGAUGGUUAUAGCUAACACAACACGUAAUAUAGCCAUCAUCUUCAGGCUAAUAUUAGUAAAAAUACUAUGAAUGUUCUUGUAUUUUAAGUCAUAUUAUAUUUUAUUUCCUCAAUUAAAUUAGUCUUUGCAUAUUAGAUUAGAAAGUAAAUUAGUUCUUUUGUUAAAAAAAUUAUCCAUUGUUAUUGUUAAUUAGUCCAUGUAAUAAACAUGAGGUACAUGUGACACGCCACAUGCAACUAUCUGGUUAUUUCGUCAUUCACGUUAGUUUUUAACAAUAAAAAUGGAUGAAAUUUUUAAUAAAAAUGAUAAAUUUGUUCUUUUACCUAUGUAUAUGGACUAAUUUGCUUGUUUUUAAAUAAAAUGGGUUAAAUACAAUUUCACUCUCAAUAGAAUGAUCUCUAUGAUACUUUUAGCGGCUAAUACCUUAGUGAAUACAGUCAAUAAUUAAACCACAACCACAAUAUAUCACAUAGACAUCACAUUAAACAUUCAAGUUCGGUAUAGUAAAGAAACAAUUUUAGUAUCUAUGCAUGAAUGAAGAAUUAAUUGUUUUUGAAAAAGGAUUGGUGAUUAAAUUGAUCAGGUUGUCAAUUUUUUAUUUGAUUUGUUUGUGUUAUCUAAAGUAAAUAAAUUUCUAAAAAUUAAAAAAUAAUAAAAAUUCACGUAUAUUGCACGUUAAAGUAAAUUGAAAAUGAGAAUUGAGAGGGACAUAAGAGAAGGAGAAUAAUUCCGAAGUAUUUGGUGUGGAAAUUAGUGGUACUAGAAAACGUGUUUCAAUCGCUUUUCAUUUCGGAGUCAUAUGCUUACGGUCCAUUUGGUGCUCAACAUUUUUAUUAAAAAUAUUAUUUGAAUUGAGUUUUUCAACAGAGGUAGUAGAAAGGAAGGAAAACGUCAAAGUUGUACACUAUAAAAAAUAUAUUAUCAGACCUUAAACAAUGAUUUAUGGGCCUUAAAUUAGCAAUUAAAGAGGAUGGGAUAAGGGUAAGGAUGAGUAAUUGAUUCAAAAUUUCAUGCCGAGGGCAACUAGCACAAAAUUGCUUAAAUAUUUUCCAAUACUCAUUAAGGAUCUUCAUAUCCUUUUCGUGGUAUGCCAUAGAUUUCUUUCCUAAUUGAAGCACCAAGUGAAGAAAAAGAAAAUUCAACGAAUAUUCUUACCAUAUCUAUUUUAAAAUUUUAAUAUAAUUAAUGAAAAACAAUUCACAUAUAUGAAUCAUUAAAUUUGACGUGCUUAGAGAACCUCAUGUGAUGGCCUGAUGAUUAAGGUUGUUCAAAAUACAUGAACAAUAAAAUUUAACGUGAUUAAAUAAAUAUUGAAUUUUGUUAUAUUUUUAAUAAUAAAUAUAGGUAAAAUGGUAAUAAAUUGGUAUUUUAAUGCCUUUUAACUUCUUCUUCAUCAUCAUCGGAAAUUGACUUUAUUUCCAAAAAAAGGUUUUUGAUCAAUUUUGGAGUUCCAAUCAAUAUCAUCAAUAUACAUAUCUGUUGCAUUACUUGGCAACUUAUAAUUUGUGCAAGGAAAACGAUGAUAAUAUUCUCAGAAUCUUUGUUUGGCUUCUUGAAAAGCUUUUAAACUAGCCAAAUCAUCCCAUUCGAAUACUUUAUCGGUUUUGAACAAAUUAUUCUUUAAUUCAACAAAUCUUUUUCAUGGCAUUGCACCCACUUUUAUGCAGAAUUUUUUCUCCCAUGCCGGUAAUGGUUCCCAUGAAUUACUGUUAUCAUUCGGUUUUUGCCAUGAAAGUUCCAAUCAGGGGAUCUCCAUGUCUUUCACCCUUACCAGCAUAUUAUCGAUAUCAGUUAGCUCAAGCUUAUUCAGAUCGCUUUCUAAUCUUCAGUAAAUUUCAGCAACUGCAUUCAUAAUGUUGCUUUGAAACUCUUGAUUGUUCAAUCGAAAUUGGUCAACAAAGUGAGCAUGGUUUUGAAAUAUUUUAUUGAGCGCGUCAGUGUUGAGAAACCUCGUAUCUAUUGGUGAUGACAGCUGUGACAUCAAAGGUUGAGAAUAAAUGAAAUGCUAAAAAUUAUCUUCAAUAUAACUCAAAGAAACAAUAAAUUCAUGAAAUAGUAGCUUGCAGCCAUUACUUUGGAGCAAAUCAUCUAACCAACUUUUCUGGGCCACAAAAUCUCCACGUCUCCCAAAGCACCCAUAUGAUUAGAAGAUUCAGGAUUCAAAUGUGCUGGAUGAACCUAUAAGCAAAACAGAAUCAGAUAUUGGUUCAAAAAUAAGCAGAUAAAAUUAAAAACUUUGCAACAUGAUGACACAAUAAAUAAGGAGAAGAGUAAACAGCAUUACGUAUAGAAUUAGAAACUGACAGCUUUCCUACUCAGGAUUUCUCUUUUUUUUGUGUGUGUGUUUCUAGUUGAUAUUUCUUGUUUGAUUUGGUAUCUUACCAUAAAUGUGGGAUCAAUCAGACAGUACAUAAACUUGAAUGGACAACAGCAGGAUAGCAUUCUCUCUACAACUACAUGUAAACAAGAGAAUGAAUGAAGAAAUUAAAGAAAAAAUGAAUAGUGAUGAUCCGAUCAGUUUAUAGUUUGCAAAAGAUAAAAUAGACAGCUCGUUAAAGAAAUUAAAGGAAUGACAAGUUCUACAUACAUGCCAGUAGGAGUAAGUGAGAUGAGUUAAAAACUUAAUUGGUGAUAACUGAAUAUUGAACUUCAUUUUUGCAUCAUUCAUUACAAUAAUAGAAAAGAAGUUAGUGGACGAUACAUGCUUGCAUUUUCAGGUCAUAUUUUGCUCUGUGAAACUCAAAAUUCAAUCCUUACCAUCGUUUGGUCGCUUGUUUCCAUUUUCAAUGUUAAUUUCUCUACUCUUACUCCCACACGUAUUAGGGUAAAAUUCACUUUCUCAGCUAGUUUCUCUUGAUCAGUCAUCUUCAUUCGAAAUAUAUAAAGAUGAGUAGCAAAGUUAAACAGAAAACAGAACAAUAGAGGCAGACAAGUUACUAAAUGGUCACUUCUUUAAGAUUGUUCAAACAAAUUACUAAGACAGAAAUGUUAUGGCAACGUUAAAAAGUCUACUCAAUUAACUUGAUGAUAAGCUAUUUUGCAAGACUCACGUUUGCUACAAUUACAUUUUUUUUUUACAAAAGGGUUUUCAUGAUAAAUGUAAAACCUUAUACUCCAUUGAUUAAAAGAGGACAAAGAAUUGUCAUUGAAGAGCAGACUUUUUAAUCUUAACAGUAGUUGAAAUACUUUCAUCGCCCAAUAUAAUUCGUAACAUUUUGACCACUACAGCCCAGCAACCCUGCAUAUCUUUUCCGAGUGUUGCGCGGAAGUGUGUGAAAGAGUAAAAUUAUUGUACUGAAAAAUCACACUAAGUUCAAUUCCCAGGAAAGAGAGGUAGAUCACGAAGAUCACUUAAAUACCAAGUCUUUCCUAGCCAGAAUAUCCCUCUAUCGUAAUUUAAUAGCAUAAUAAAUCACUACAAUCACAUUCACAAAAUAUGCAAAACAAAUAAUAAAGAACACCAGAAUUUUAACGAGGUUCGGCAAAUUUUGCCUACGUCCUCGGGCACUACCAAAUAUAUUUCACUCCAAAAAUUACAAGUGAAAUUUACAAAUAGAGAGAGAGAAUAAUGCCUUAAGUAGAGAAUGGCAAUUAUGGGAUGAAGAAAGUAAGCAAUGGUUAGGCCUAUUUAUAGUUAAGGUUCAAGGAUCAACUUGCAAUGUCCCUAUACAAUUAGGGACCAAAAUUACAAUUAUCCCAUGCCAACUUUUAACCCAACUUGCCAACCAAUUUUACUUUCUACUUUCGGUGCCCACCCUUUUUGACUUUUCAAACAAUGGGUGGGUUCAAAUAAUCUCCACCUUGGAGAUUUGAUUAGGAUAAUCUUAUCUUUACACAAUUCUUUCUGCCUUUGACAACAAUACUUGAUAGUGCCUUCUUCAACUGUUAAACUUGUAGGAUAUUAAUCAAGUUCAAACAAUGUUCGAACUUGGUUGAUGUUACCACCUUGGUCAUCAUAUCUGCGGGAUUAUCUGUAGUCUUGAUCUUCUGAAGAUAAAUUUUCCCCUCUUAAAUAAUUUCCCGCACAAAAUGGAAUCGUACGUCGAUAUGUUUUGUACGUGCAUGAUAGACUUGAUUCUUUGCUAAAUGAAUAGCACUUUGACUAUCACAAUACACGUUAAUAUGCUCCUGAACCAACCCCAAGGUUUUAGCCAUACCUUGUAACCAAAUAGCCUCCUUCACAGCCUCUGUUACAGCCAUGUACUCGGCUUCUAUGGUUGACAAUGCAACUGUAGACUGUAGUGUAGACUUCCAACUUAUUGGUCCUCCAGCAAGUGUAAACACAUAACCGGUGGUUGAUCUUCGCUUGUCCAAAUCACCGGCAUAGUCAGAAUCAACGUACCCAAUAACACAUUUACCAAGUGUAUUAUCCUGCUUGAACAGUAUCCAACAUCCACGGUCUUCUGAAUAUACCGUAGAAUCCAUUUCACAGCUUGCCAAUGUCCUUUUCCAGGAUUAUGCAUAUACCUGCUCACUAUACUAACUGCCUGUGAAAUGUCGGGUCUUGUACACACCAUUGCAUACAUCAAGCUACCCACUGCAUUAGAAUACGGAACUUGCAACAUGUAUUCUCGUUCCGUAUUCGUCGAAGGAGAUAGUUGUGCAGAAAGCUUGAAAUGAGAAGCCAACGGGGUACUUACAGGUUUUGUCUGCUCGUUCAUGCCAAACUGCUGUAGUACCUUUUUCAAAUACUGCUUCUGAGACAAGCUAACUCUAUCAUGAGCUCUAUCUCUCUAUAUUUCCAUGCCAAGAAUCUUUUUAGCUUCUCCUAGAUCUUUCAUCUCAAACUCGAGAUUGAGUUGAGUCUUCAAUCUUUCAAUCUCAACUUUGCUCUUAGAUGCUAUUAGCAUAUCAUCAACAUAUAAGAGCAAGUAUAUGAAAGUUCCUUCUUGUAGCUUCUGAAAAUACACGCAAUGAUCAAAUUUACUUCUUGUGUACCUUUGCCCUUUCAUGAACUGAUCAAAUCGCUUGUACCACUGCCUCGGAGAUUGCUUCAAUCCAUAAAGCGACUUUGUCAGUUUGCAAACCCAAUUUUCUUUUCCAGCAACCUUGAAUCCAUCUGGCUGAGUCAUAUAGAUUUCCUCUUCCAAAUCACCGUGUAAAAACGCGGUCUUCACAUCAAGCUGAACUAGUUCAAGAUCAUAUUGCGCAACCAAGGCUAGCAAAAUCCGAAUAGACGAAUGCUUCACAACUGGAGAAAACACUUCAUUGUAGUCUAUUCCUUCUUUCUGAGCGUAACCCUUUGCUACUAAUCUAGCCUUGUAUCGAAUUUCAUUUUUAUCAGGAAAUCCUUCCUUCUUUGCAUAUACCCAUUUGCAUCCAAUUGCCUUCUUUCCCUUGGGUAGUGUCACCAACUCCCAGGUCUUAUUUUUAUAAAGAGACUGCAUUUCUUCAUUCAUUGCUUGCUUCCACUUUACACCAUUAGGGUUACUUAUUACUUCUGUGUAAGUAGAAGGAGUAUCAUCAUCUGUAAUUGGAAGUGCAUAGGCCACUAUAUCAUCAAAGCGAGCAGGCAUACGAAUCUCUCUUCUUGGCCUUCUAUAUGCAAUUGAAUCUUGUUGCUGUAGAGAUUCUUGGGUAGGAACCUCUUCAUCAUUUGUCCCUUCAAUAUUAGCUGGAUCAUCGUUAACCUUUUCAAGCUCCACCUGCUGCAAAGUACUACCGGUUUUGUCAUCCUUUUGUGAAUCCUUGUACUUCGACAUGGUUGAUUCAUCAAAAGUCACAUCUCUACUGAAAACAAUCUUCCUUGUAUCAGGACACCAAAGACGAUAUCCUUUUACUCCAUCAGUUAUACCCAAGAAUAAUGCUUUCUUUGCUCUUGGGUCUAACUUAGAUUCUUUUACAUGAUAAUAUGCAGUGGAACCAAAUACAUGCAAAGAAUCAUAAUCAGUAGCAGAUUUACCAGUCCACAUCUUCAUAGGAGUUUUUCCAUUUAUUGCAGCUGAUGGCAAACAGUUAAUUAGAUGGCACGCAUAUGUAACUGCCUCAGCCCAAAAUUCUUUGCCCAAUCCAGCAUUGGACAACAUACAUCGAACUUUCUCCAGUAUAGUUCGAUUCAUUCAUUCUGCCACCCCAUUUUGCUGUGGUGUAUCCCGAACAGUGAAGUGUCGCACAAUGCCCUCAUCUUGGCAUACUUGUAGAAAUGGAUCGUUUUUGUACUCAGUACCAUUAUCUGAUCGAAGUCGUUUGACCUUUCGACCAGUCUGAGUCUCCACCAUCUUCUUCCAUUUCAGAAAUGUAUCCAAAACUUCACUUUUUCUUUUCAUUAGAUACACCCAUACUUUUCUUGAAUAAUCAGCAACAAAAGUAACAAAAUAGUGCAUACCUCCCAAAGAAGCUACUUUGGUAUGUCCCCACACAUCACUGUGAACGUAGUCCAGAAUUCCUUUCGUAUUGUGAAUUGCUGGACCAAAUUUUACCCUCUUCUGCUUGCCCAGAAUACAAUGUUCACAGAAUUCCAUUUUGCAAGAAUUUGCACCUUUCAAUAAGCCUUGCUUCACCAAUGUCUGCAAAGCUUUUUCACCAGCAUGUCCCAAUCGCAUAUGCCAUAAUCUGGUAGCCUCUGAAUCUACAUCUUUUGUAGAAACUGUUGAUGUUGAUCCAAUAACUGUACUUCCAUUUAAAAAAUACAAGUUAUUUCUUCUUGUGCCUUUCAUCACCGUCAGUUGCCCAGCUACUACUUUUAGUAAUCCAUCUCUCAAAGUGAUUGUGAGCCCUUUAGAUUCUAGGGCACCUAAUGAGAUGAGAUUUUUCUUCAGGCUAGGUACGUAGCGAACAUCUGUCAAGACUUGGAUUGAGCCGUCGUGAUUCUUCAAUUGGACUGUACCCACUCCCAUUGUCUUACAAGCACUAUCAUUGCCCAUAAGAACAAUUCCACCUUCUAGCUCUUUAAGGCUAGAAAACCAGUCCUUAUUAGGACACAUAUGGUAAGUACAUCCUGAAUCCAAAAUCCACUCAUCCGUUUGACAUGCCAUUGCCAUGCCAACCAAGCUAAAGUCUGACUCCUCAUCAUGCUCUGCUACACAUGCAUUAGAAAUAGCCUUGCCCUUUUGUAGCUUAGGACAAUUCUUUUUCCAAUGCCCUUUUUCAUGGCAAAAGGCACAUUCAUCUUUGGCGGGUCUCCCUUUGGACUUUCCCCUUCUACCAGAUUUGCUGCUGUGUGAACGACCUCUUACUGUUAAGACUUCUGCGGUUGUAUCUCUGUGAUCUCUUUUAUCUUUCUUUCGAGUCUCAGAUCUAUACAACGCACUACAGACUGCAUCAAAUGUGAUCGUGUCCUUCCCAUGAAGCAAUGUGGUGGUAAGAUGAUCAUAUUCAUCAGGAAGGGAAUUCAACAACAAUAAUGUCUUGUCUUCAUCUUCAAAUUUCUCAUCCAAAUUUAGCAAGUCUGCUAAAAUUUUAUUGAAUGAGUUUACAUGGUCAUUCAUCGACAUACCAGGUGCAUACGUGAAUCGAUAAAGUUUCUUUUUCAUAUAAAGCCUAUUUUUAAGACUUUUCGUUAGAAACUUUUCUUCCAGUGUAUCCCAUAACUUCUUCGCUGAUAUCUCCCUCAUGACAGAGUACUUCUGCUCUUUGGCCAAACAUAGGCGGAUUGUACCACACGCCUGUCUAUUGAUCUUGGCCCACUCCUUGUCAUCCAUCUUGUCAGGUUUUUCUUCAAGGGCUAUAUCUAGCUCUUGCUGACAUAAGACAUCCAGGAUCUCACAUUGCCACAUACCAAAAUUAUUGGUACCGUCAAAUUUCUCUACUUCAAAUUUUGCAUUUGUCACAGUAGUCCUUGCUGAUGACGAUGCUGCUGCCAUUUUUCUCUUCAAUCCCAACUACUGUAUACGUGAACAGUACCGUAUACGUAAAUAGUAUCGUAUACAUGAAUAGUACUGUAUAUGUGAAUAGUGCCAUAUACGUGAAUAGUACCGUAAACGGUCGUAUUCCCCAAGUACGAACCUGGCUCUGGUACCAAUUGUUGCGCGGAAGCGUGUGAAAGAGUAAAAUUAUUGUACUGAAAAAUCACACUAAGUUCAAUUCCCAGGAAAGAGAGGUAGAUCACGAAGAUCACUUAAAUACCAAGUCUUUCCUAGCCAGAAUAUCCCUCUAUCGUAAUUUAAUAGCACAAUAAAUCACUACAAUCACAUUCACAAAAUAUGCAAAACAAAUAAUAAAGAACACCAGAAUUUUAAUGAGGUUCAGCAAAUUUUGCCUACGUCCUCGGGCACUACCAAAUAUAUUUCACUCCAAAAAUUACAAGUGAAAUUUACAAAUAGAGAGAGAGAAUAAUGCCUUAAGUAGAGAAUGGCAAUUAUGGGAUGAAGAAAGUAAGCAAUGGUUAGGCCUAUUUAUAGUUGAGGUUCAAGGAUCAACUUGCAAUGUCCCUAUACAAUUAGGGACCAAAAUUGCAAUUAUCUCAUGCCAACUUUUAACCCAACUUGCCAACCAAUUUUACUUUCUACUUUCGGUGCCCACCCUUUUUGACUUUUCAAACAAUGGGUGGGUUCUAAUACCGAGGAAUAUUCUUACUUGAUCUAUUCAAAAUGUACUUGGCAACUAGUUCUUGCAAGGAAAACCAUAAUAAUUUUUCCUGUUUGAAAUCCUGACAAUCUUCUAAAUCAACCGAAUCAUCUCACUUGAAUACUUUAUUAAUUUUAUACAAAUUAUUCUUCGCAUCAACAAAUAUUAUUCAUGACAUUGCAUCCACUUUCAUGAAGAAUUAUUUUUACCAUGCAAGGAAUUCUCUCCAUGAAUUACUGUCAUCUUUUAGUUUAAGAUGAGUAAAUUUCUUGACGAACAUUAUAUCUAUUUUGAUGAUAUGACAUGCUUUCUUUCAGUUUAAUGCUUUCUUGUGACUAGAUUAUUACUAUUUAUCCUGUCAUAUUUUUCUACCACAAGUUUAUAACUUGUACUAAUAUGAAGUCUUACGGUAUAGGACAUCCUUAUGAAUCCUAUAGUUAAAUAGAAUUUCACAUUUCUGUACGGAAUAAGAGCUAGGUGUUUAGUCUGCUGUUUCUAGUUCGAGGCACAUUUGCACUUGGUCGAUAAGUUAGCCCUUUGCUUGAUUUGAGAUAAGCUUGUCACCGAGCAGUACUUUAGACCAGGGGUGGAUAUACACAAGUUUUCAAUUUGUUGUUUUGCCUUUUUUAUCUUUUUCUAUUUUUAUUUUUUGCCCUAGGUUGUUUUCUCUUGCUGGAAACCCGAAAAUCUUGUCUUUCACUCACCAUCUAAAUUUCCAUUUAUUUAUUCAUGCAUGAUAUAUGUUUGAGUCUCAAUGAUAUGUAUUGGAACCCACCCAUUGUUUGAAAAGUCAAAAAGGGUGGGCACCGAAAGUAGAAAGUAAAAUUGGUUGGCAAGUUGGGUUAAAAGUUGGCAUGGGAUAAUUGCAAUUUUGGUCCCUAAUUGUAUAGGGACAUUGCAAGUUGAUCCUUGAACCUCAACUAUAAAUAGGCCUAACCAUUUCUUACUUUCUUCAUCCCACACUUGCCAUUCUCUACUUAAGGCAAUUGUUCUCUCUCCCUAUUUGUGAACUUUCACUUGUAUUUUUGGAGUGAAAUAUAUUUGGUAGUGCCCGAGGACGUAGGCAAAAUUUGCUGAACCUCGUUAAAAUUCUAGUGUUCUUUAUUUUUUGUUCUGCAUAUUUUGCAAGUGUCAUUGUAGUGAUUUAUUGUGCUAUUAAAUUACGAUAUAGGGAUAUUCUGGCUAGGAAAGAUCUGGUAUGUAAGCGAUCCUCGUGAUCCACCUCUCUUUCCUGGGAAUUGAACUUAGUGUGAUUUUUCAGUACAAUAAUUUUACUCUUUCACACGCUUCCGCGCAACAAUUGGUAUCAGAGCCAGGUUCGUACUUGGGGAAUACAACCGUUUACGGUACUAUUCACGUAUAUAGCACUAUUCACAUAUACGAUACUAUUCAUAUAUACGAUACUAUUCACGUAUACGGUACUGUUUACGUAUACAGUAGUUGGGAUUGAGGAGAAAAAUGGCAGCAGCAUCGUCAUCAGCAAGGACUACUGUGACAAAUGCAAAAUUUGAAGUAGAGAAAUUUGACGGUACCAAUAAUUUUGGUAUGUGGCAAUGUGAGAUCCUGGAUGUCUUAUGUCAGCAAGAGCUAGAUAUAGCCCUUGAAGAAAAACCUGACAAGAUGGAUGACAAGGAGUGGGCCAAGAUCAAUAGACAGACGUGUGGUACAAUCCGCCUAUGUUUGGCCAAAGAGCAGAAGUACUCUGUCAUGAGGGAGACAUCAGCGAAGAAGUUAUGGGAUACACUGGAAGAAAAGUUUCUAACGAAAAGUCUUGAAAAUAGGCUUUAUAUGAAAAAGAAACUUUAUCGAUUCACGUAUGCACCCGGUAUGUCGAUGAAUGACCAUGUGAACUCAUUCAAUAAAAUUUUAGCAAACUUGCUAAAUUUGGAUGAGAAAUUUGAAGAUGAAGACAAGGCAUUAUUGUUGUUGAAUUCCCUUCCUGAUGAAUAUGAUCAUCUUACCACCACAUUGCUUCAUGGGAAGGACACGAUCACAUUUGAUGCAGUCUGUAGUGCGUUGUAUAGAUCUGAGACUCGAAAGAAAGAUAAAAGAAAUCACAGAGAUACAACCGCAGAAGCCUUAACAGUAAGAGGUCGUUCACACAGCAGCAAAUCUGGUAGAAUGAGAAAGUCCAAAGGGAGACCCGCCAAAGAUGAAUGUGCCUUUUGCCGUGAAAAAGGGCAUUGGAAAAAGAAUUGUCCUAAGCUACAAAAGGGCAAUGCUAUUUCUAAUGCAUGUGUAGCAGAGCAUGAUGAGGAGUCAGACUUUAGCUUGGUUGGCAUGGCAAUGGCAUGUCAAACGGAUGAGUGGAUUUUGGAUUCAGGAUGUACUUACCAUAUGUGUCCUAAUAAGGACUGGUUUUCUAGUCUUAAAGAGCUAGAAGGUGGAAUUGUUCUUAUGGGCAAUGAUAGUGCUUGUAAGACAAUGGGAGUGGGUACAGUCCAAUUGAAGAAUCACAACGGCUCAAUCCAAGUCUUGACAAAUGUUCGCUACGUACCUAGCCUGAAGAAAAAUCUCAUCUCAUUAGGUGCCCUAGAAUCUAAAGGGCUCACAAUCACUUUGAGAGAUGGAUUACUAAAAGUAGUAGCUGGGCAACUGACGGUGAUGAAAGGCACAAGAAGAAAUAACUUGUAUUUUUUAAAUGGAAGUACAGUUAUUGGAUCAACAUCAACAGUUUCUACAAAAGAUGUAGAUUCAGAGGCUACCAGAUUAUGGCAUAUGCGAUUGGGACAUGCUGGUGAAAAAGCUUUGCAGACAUUGGUGAAGCAAGGCUUAUUGAAAGGUGAAAAUUCUUGCAAAAUGGAAUUCUGUGAACAUUGUAUUCUGGGCAAGCAGAAGAGGGUAAAAUUUGGUCCAGCAAUUCACAAUACGAAAGGAAUUCUGGACUACGUUCACAGUGAUGUAUGGGGACCUACCAAAGUAGCUUCUUUGGGAGGUAUGCACUAUUUUGUUACUUUUGUUGAUGAUUAUUCAAGAAAAGUAUGGGUGUAUCUAAUGAAAAGAAAAAGUGAAGUUUUGGAUACAUUUCUGAAAUGGAAGAAGAUGGUGGAGACUCAGACUGGUCGAAAGGUCAAACGACUUCGAUCAGAUAAUGGUACUGAGUACAAAAACGAUCCAUUUCUACAAGUAUGCCAAGAUGAGGGCAUUGUGCGACACUUCACUGUUCGGGAUACACCACAGCAAAAUGGGGUGGCAGAACGAAUGAAUCGAACUAUACUGGAGAAAGUUCGAUGUAUGUUGUCCAAUGCUGGAUUGGGCAAAGAAUUUUGGGCUGAGGCAGUUACAUAUGCGUGCCAUCUAAUUAACCGUUUGCCAUCAACUGCAAUAAAUGGAAAAACUCCUAUGGAGAUGUGGACUGGUAAAUCUGCUACUGAUUAUGAUUCUUUGCAUGUAUUUGGUUCCACUGCAUAUUAUCAUGUAAAAGAAUCUAAGUUAGACCCAAGAGCAAAGAAAGCAUUAUUCUUGGGUAUAACUGAUGGAGUAAAAGGAUAUCGUCUCUGGUGUCCUGAUACAAUGAAGAUUGUUUUCAGUAAAGAUGUGACUUUUGAUGAAUCAACCAUGUUGAAGUACAAGGAUUCACAAAAGGAUGACAAAACCGGUAGUACUUUGCAGCAGGUGGAGCUUGAAAAGGUUAACGAUGAUCCAGCUAAUAUUGAAGGGACAAAUGAUGAAGAGGUUCCUACCCAAGAAUCUCUAUAGCAACAAGAUUCAAUUGCAUAUAGAAGGCCAAGAAGAGAGAUUCGUAAGCCUGCUCGCUUUGAUGAUAUAGUGGCCUAUGCACUUCCAAUUACAGAUGAUGAUGUUCCUUCUACUUACACAGAAGUAAUAAGUAACCCUGAUGGUGUAAAGUGGAAGCAAGCAAUGAAUGAAGAAAUGCAGUCUCUUCAUAAAAAUAAGACCUGGGAGUUGGUGACACUACCCAAGGGAAAGAAGGCAAUUGGAUGCAAAUGGGUAUAUGCAAAGAAGGAAGGAUUUCCUGAUAAAAAUGAAAUUCGAUACAAGGCUAGAUUAGUAGCAAAGGGUUACGCUCAGAAAGAAGGAAUAUACUACAAUGAAGUGUUUUCUCCAGUUGUGAAGCAUUCGUCUAUUCGGAUUUUGCUAGCCUUGGUUGCGCAAUAUGAUCUUGAACUAGUUCAGCUUGAUGUGAAGACCGCGUUUUUACACGGUGAUUUGGAAGAGGAAAUCUAUAUGACUCAGCCAUAUGGAUUCAAGGUUGCUGGAAAAGAAAAUUGGGUUUGCAAACUGACAAAGUCGCUUUAUGGAUUGAAGCAAUCUCCGAGGCAGUGGUACAAGCGAUUUGAUCAGUUCAUGAAAGGGAAAAGGUACACAAGAAGUAAAUUUAAUCAUUGCGUGUAUUUUCAGAAGCUACAAGAAGGAACUUUCAUAUACUUGCUCUUAUAUGUUGAUGAUAUGCUAAUAGCAUCUAAGAGCAAAGUUGAGAUUGAAAGAUUGAAGACUCAACUCAAUCUCGAGUUUGAGAUGAAAGAUCUAGGAGAAGCUAAAAAGAUUCUCGGCAUGGAAAUAUGGAGAGAUAGAGCUCAUGAUAGAGUUAGCUUGUCUCAGAAGCAGUAUUUGAAAAAGGUACUACAGCAGUUUGGCAUGAACGAGCAGACAAAACCUGUAAGUACCCCGUUGGCUUCUCAUUUCAAGCUUUCUGCACAACUAUCUCCUUCGACGAAUACGGAACGAGAAUACAUGUUGCAAGUUCCGUAUUCUAAUGCAGUGGGUAGCUUGAUGUAUGCAAUGGUGUGUACAAGACCCGACAUUUCACAGGCAGUUAGUAUAGUGAGCAGGUAUAUGCAUAAUCCUGGAAAAGGACAUUGGCAAGCUGUAAAAUGGAUUCUACGGUAUAUUCAGAAGACCGUGGAUGUUGGAUUACUGUUCAAGCAGGAUAAUACACUUGGUAAAGGUGUUAUUGGGUACGUUGAUUCUGACUAUGCCGGUGAUUUGGACAAGCGAAGAUCAACCACCGGUUAUGUGUUUACACUUGCUGGAGGACCAAUAAGUUGGAAGUCUACACUACAGUCUACAGUUGCAUUGUCAACCACAGAAGCCGAGUACAUGGCUGUAACAGAGGCUGUGAAGGAGGCUAUUUGGUUACAAGGUAUGGCUAAAACCUUGGGGUUGGUUCAGGAGCAUAUUAACGUGUAUUGUGAUAGUCAAAGUGCUAUUCAUUUAGCAAAGAAUCAAGUCUAUCAUGCACGUACAAAACAUAUCGACGUACGAUUCCAUUUUGUGCGGGAAAUUAUUGAAGAGGGGAAAAUUUGUCUUCAGAAGAUCAAGACUGCAGAUAAUCCCGCAGAUAUGAUGACCAAGGUGGUAACAUCAACCAAGUUCGAACAUUGUUUGAACUUGAUUAAUAUCCUGCAAGUUUAACAGUUGAAGAAGGCACUAUCAAGUAUUGUUGUCAAAGGCAGAAAGAAUUGUGUGAAGAUAAGAUUAUCCUAAUCAAAUCUUCAAGGUGGAGAUUAUUGGAACCCACCCAUUGUUUGAAAAGUCAAAAAGGGUGGGCACCGAAAGUAGAAAGUAAAAUUGGUUGGCAAGUUGGGUUAAAAGUUGGCAUGGGAUAAUUGCAAUUUUGGUCCCUAAUUGUAUAGGGACAUUGCAAGUUGAUCCUUGAACCUCAACUAUAAAUAGGCCUAACCAUUUCUUACUUUCUUCAUCCCACACUUGCCAUUCUCUACUUAAGGCAAUUGUUCUCUCUCCCUAUUUGUAAACUUUCACUUGUAUUUUUGGAGUGAAAUAUAUUUGGUAGUGCCCGAGGACGUAGGCAAAAUUUGCUGAACCUCGUUAAAAUUCUAGUGUUCUUUAUUUUUUGUUCUGCAUAUUUUGCAAGUGUCAUUAUAGUGAUUUAUUCUGCUAUUAAAUUACGAUAGAGGGAUAUUCUGGCUAGGAAAGAUCUGGUAUGUAAGCGAUCCUCGUGAUCCACCUCUCUUUCCUGGGAAUUGAACUUAGUGUGAUUUUUCAGUACAAUAAUUUUACUCUUUCACACGCUUCCGCGCAACAAUAUGAUUUACCGAUGUUGAUCAGAUUUUAGUGUGAUGAUGAAAAUGGGAUUUUGGUGCGUUUAAGUUUAGACCUAGUUAUCCUUGCACACACAGUCAUACCCGAUAAACAUAGCCCUCUUUGAGGAGCCAGAUAUGUGGCUAACAAGAGUAAUUUUUGAAAAUUGAAAGGUCAUGAGCAGCAUAGAAAAUCCCAGCACCGAACACCGAUUCGAAGUAGCAAUUGUAGCAUAAGUUGUAUUGCUUUUCAGUUAAUUUUAAGCAAAUGCUUUGCCCCCACACUUGUGACUGUUUGUUGGAGAGAAUGUGGCAAAAACUACCGUUGGCAUUUGCAAUCUCCAAUGUACCUCCAAAAGAUAUUAACAAGGAAAUGGAUUUUAACAACUGGAAUUAAUCUUUUGUGGUCUGUGCUUCAAUGUCUUGAUGUCAUCUAUAGUUUAGGUUAGUAGCUUAUGAAUAUGCUUAUUUAAGAUCAUUUAAAAUGUGAACAAGUUGAAAAUACAACUAGAAUAUUUAGUAAUCAAACAAAAAAUAUUGUUACUAAUGAAAUAAAAUCUAAAAAUUUAGGAGAAUCGUCUAACUAAUAUUCCCAUAGCAGACUAUGAAAAAACCAUAGAUGAUUGGCCGGAGUCUAUGACUAUAGUUGUUAACAACAACACUUGGUCAAAAGAAAAAAAAUUAAUUUAUUUUGUUGGAACAUUUCAAGGAGAUAUUGUACAAUUCCUAGGGAAGAAUCAUAAAAAGAAAAGAACAAAAAGGGCAGUUAAUUAACCUGAUUCAAACUCCCAAAGAUGUAAUUAAAGUGUUAACUAUUCUAAAAACAGAAUUUUGCGGCUAUACUAAUAGAAAAGAUAUAGUCUAUCUAGUUAUGUAUAGUCAAAAAUUAAAUUAUGUGAUAUUAGAUAUCUUGAAGAAUUUUUUAUAAUUUUUUUUCAUGAAUAUCAAAAACUAAAAAAAAUGAAAAUGUAGAUUUUUGGAAAAAAAAUGAUUCCAUAAAUUACCACCACCUACGAUUUUAGAAAAACACAGUAAAAUUUCUGGUGUGGAUUCAGAAACUAUAGAUUCUAUAAGAAAUAGAAUUAAUUUUACAGAAGAAUAACUGGUUAUUGUCUAUGAAGUAAAACUUUUAAACAAGUUAAGUAUAAAUUUAAUAAUAAACAUUGUACAAAAACUUUAGAAACUGCAUGGGAAUUUGGAUUUAAAUCAGUACAUCCAAAUACUUAUAGAAAACAUAAAAAGAAAAAUAGAAGAUAUAAGCUAGUUAGAUGGAAACUAGGAAAUAAGAAAAAUUUUGGUUAUAAUAAAAAGAAAAAUUUCAUUAGAAGAAAACUUUUAAAAAUAUUAAAAAACAAAAAUGUAAUGUUUCAUAUGUAAUGAAGAAGGUCAUAUAGCACCAAAUUGUCCUAACAAGGGAAAAAGUGUAAGAAAAAUGAUUAAAAAACACUUUAAGAAUAAGAUUUAGAAAUAUGUUCCGAAGAGGAAAUAAAUCCUGAGGAAAUAUUAUACGAAUUAAUAUCAGAAACAGAUUCUGAUACAGAUGAUAAAAAUAUAUAUUUAUGUUCAAUAUAGGAAGUAGUUCUAAUAAUUAGGUAGAAGAAAUUUCUAAGAAUGAACAACAAUAUAUAAAAUUAGGAAAUAUAAAAUUAGUUCAAUAUAGGAAGUAGUUCUAUUUUAAAGGACUUGGGUUUAUAUAAGAUUAUAUAGGCGGUAAUUCAAUUUCCUUUUCCUUGUUGGAAAAGGAAUUCCAUUUUGACUUUAACUAUGAUUUUUAAGUUGUUGUUUUCUUAUUGUUAAUUAUUUAAAAAAAAUAGCAUUUUAACUUGCAAACUUAAAUCUUAAACUAUUAUCUUUAUGUUUACUUUCUGAUGAUAAUUAACAAAAAUAUUUGGUUUUAAAAUUUUAAUACAAUUAAUGAAACACAAUUCACAUAUAUGAAUUUGACGUGAUUAAAUAAAUAUUAAAUUUUUUAUAUUUUUAAUAAUGAAUAUAGGUAAAAUGGUAAUAAACCGGCAUUUUAAUGUCAUUUAAAAUAUGUCAAAUAAAUAUUAGAUUAGAUAUUCAAUAUAUAUUAAUUGAAUUCGACAUUAUAAUUAGUCAUGUAUGUCGAAAUUCAAAAUUGUAAAAAUUAAUAUACAUUGAAUUAAAUGACUACUAUACAUAAUCUUAUUCAAAUAAUAAUAAUAAUAAUAGUGUGUUUAUUCUAUGAUCCAACUAUGGUAGGUAAGCGUGAUGUAGGCUCAUCGUACUCCCAUCCAGUGGCUUUAAUUUGCUCUAAUGGAAUUGAAAAUGAAUCAAUCCUUUUAACUUCUUCUUCUUGUUCCUCUUCAUCAUCGGAAAUCGACUUUAUUUCCAAAAAAGUUUUGGGUCAAUUUUGGAGUUCCAAUCAAUAUCAUCGAUAUACAUAUCUGCUGCAUUACUUGGUAACUUAUUUGUGCAAGGAAAACGAUGAUAAUAUUCCCAGAAUCUCUGUUUGGCUUCCUGGAAAACUUUUAAACCAGCCGAAUCAUCCCAUUCGAAUACUUUAUUUGUUUUGAACAAAUUAUUCUUUGAUUCAACAAAUCUUUUCCAUGGCAUUGCAUCCACUUUUAUGCAAAAUUUUCUCUCAUGCAGGUAGGGGUGAGCAUUCGAUCGAAUCGAAUCGAAUCGAAAAUUUUCGAGUUAAUCGAGUUUUCGAAUCUCAUUUUAUCAUCCUAACUUUAUUUGAAGUUUUCUCGAAUCGAGUCGAGUGAGAUGGAAUUCGAAUCGAAUCGAAUCGAAUAUAUUUGUUCGAGUUAAAUUUUAAAAAAUAAUUUUGGGUCCUUGUAUCCAUUGUCACCCAUCGUAAUAAAAUUUGUCCACCUUAAUCAAAUUUUUUAUUAACUUUCAUCACUUCAUAAUUUAUUUAUUAAUUUUUUAUAUACUGGUUAGCUUCUUUGCUUGCUUAGUUGUUUCAAUUAUCUUCAGAUUCUUGUCACUAUGUAUUUUAGAAUUAAAAAAUAUAUUAAAUGUAAAAAUAUGAUUUUUUUAAUAAAAGUUAUUUUAAAAAUAAAAUGUGAAAUUGAUACCAAUAUAAAAUUUUAACACGAAUAUUUUAUGGCAUAAUUAAUAAUUCAAUUUUAAUAUAAAUAUUCAAUAUGACUAAACAAUUCAAUAAUAUAAAUAAUAUAAAAUGUGAAAUUUAAUUUAAUAAUAUAAAUAGUAGAUAUAAAUAAAACUAUUACUAUUUAUGCUUAGUGAUUUUUUUUUGGAUAAUUUUGAUUUUUUAAUUGAGAGUAAAGGGUGAGAAGUAAAAGUUUAGGAGAAAAAUAAAAAGUUUUGGGGAAUAAAAGUUUGAGGGAAAGUAAAUAGGGGAAGUAAAAUUUUGGAGGGAAAAUAUUAAAAAAAAAUUAAAAAUGUUUGAGAGUUUGGGGUAAAAAUGUAAAAUAUUAUAGUUUGAUAUUCGAAUUAUUCGAAUUAUUCGAGUUAUUCGAAUUCGAAAACUCAACUCGAUUCGAACUCGAAAUUCGAAAAAAAAAUUUGAGUUGAUUCGAAUAACUCGAUUAACUCGAAUAACUCGAUUCGUUUAACUCAAAAUUUAAAUUUUUUUUUAUUUUUUCGAGUCGAAUCGAAUUUUGCUCAUCCCUACAUGCAGGUAAUGAUUCCCAUGAAUUACCGUUAUCAUUCAGUUUGGGACGAAUAAAUUUUGGACUGUAGUAUCUUUCUGGGCAAUUAUGAUAUCUUCUUUGAUAGUAUGGCAUGAUUUCUUGUAAUCCAAACAAAUAAAUGAAUUGAAAUCGCUAAGGAGACUUGUUGGGUUUAUAUAAUCUUAUUAGAGUCGUGGUGACUCAAUCCUUUUCCUUGUUGGAAAAGGAAUUCUAAUUUCAGUUUGACUAUGAUUUCUAUUUUCUAAAUAUUUGUAUAAUAAAAUUGUAAUACCCAAUAAUUGCCUGGGCCCACAUACAGAAAUAAUAAACCAAAAACAGAAAAUAAAAAACAAUAAAAGUCCAAUAAAUAAAAAAACAAAACAAAUAGCAAACCCAAAUCUGACCCAAUGCAAUACCCAAUAACCAAAUCAGCCCAAAACUAAAAAACAAAAAACCCUAGAACCUUCAACCGCUGCUCUCCCACAUGCGCGCCUCCAGCCCCUUCCAUGUCACCCCACGAACGGCUUCUUCCGUACGACGGUUUUACCUGCAAAAUAGGACCAUAAACAGCAAGAAAGAAGCACACUAGAGGCACGAUGGAAUAACGGCAAAGAAAUCGAAUAACGAAGGGCAGAGAGAAAAAAUAGAUAUUAUUUUAUUUAUUUGUUUUUCCUUUUUUCGAUUCGGCUAUAUAUAAGGCCGAUUCCAAAUCUGUAGGGGUUUUUUUUUUUGCAGAUCGAAUCAAAAAAGAAGGGGGGAGAUCAGUGUAAAAAAAAAACCAAAAAGCGGUGUAAAGAGAAAAAGGGGAAAAUACGAAAGAAAGAAGAAAAUUAGAGUUUAUUGAAGGUGAAAAAGUUUUUCUUCUUCUUUUGAUAAUUUCCCGUCUCUGUUCUUUUUUUUAUAUUUAAGUCAAAUACGAAGAGAAAGAAAGGACCUUUUUACAAAACCUUACCUGUAUGUUGCAUUGUCGGAACCUCCAUACUUUCGGCUUCGAAUCAAAAUAGGGUGGGUAAUGGCUGAGUUGAGAGUGGCGUUGUGGGCAUAGGUUUAGUCUGUUGGAGAAAUUAGACUGGUGGCUGAUAUUAGGGUUAGCAUUGGUUUUGUUUUAAAUUGAAAGAAACAGCACCGUUUGGACUUUAUGCCAAGGUUCAAUGGCUUAUUUCCACGAUUGGUACUCUGCUUUUGUACAUGCUUAAUUGAUUCUUUCAUGCUUCUUAAAUGCGGCUGCAUUUUUCAUCGUUUAUUUCAAUUUUGUCCAUGCUCGGAGCGCUACGUUUUGGAGGGUUUGGAAUAUUUCCGAAUUGGCUCUCCAUGUUACGCGCAUUUUGCAAAUUCGCCCUUUGUUUUAUUUAUUUAUUUUCAAUUAUGUUUUGAUUAUAAUUUAAUCUUCGUAUUUGUUUUACUAAUUAAGUUUAAUAUUAAGCUACUGUUAUUAUUGUUAUUGUAUUAUAUAUUACUGUUAUUUUUAGUAUUAUAGAUUAUUAUUAUUAUAUUUAUUUAUAUUUUCAUUUAUUUUUCAAAUAUAUGUAUAUAUUAUUUUACUACAUACUGUUUUAUUUUAAAAUUACUUUGUAUAUAGUUUUAUUUCAAGUUGUUUUAUAUAAUAAUUAUUUUAAAAUCAUUCUAUACUAUUUACUUUAAAUCAAUUUAUAUUAGUUAUUUUAAGCUCAUUUUCGUAUAAUAUUUAUUUUUUUAUACCUAUUUAAAUCAUUUUUCAUAUCUUAUUUUAGACUCUAUUUCAUUAUAUUCAUUGCAACUCUACGUAUAUAUUAUUAUACUAUUAUAAAUAUUAAAUUCUCCAUUUUAUAUAUGCUAUUUAUUUAAAUAAUAUACUAUUUUCUAUCAUUUAUUCUUAAUUUUCUCCAUCUUUAGUUCUUUUCAAAUUUUCCUACUUAUCAUUUGUUCUAAAUAUUUUAUAUUGUGAAUAUGUUGAUGAUUUUAAAUUUCCUCUCUCUCAUGAAAUGUUUUUUAAGCUCGUUAUAUUAGAUUUAUGAUCAUUUGUUUAGCUUUUCUUUCAAAAUUGAUUUUAAUUCAUUAGUUUUUGAGUGUUGGUUUUAGUAUUCACACAAUAUAUGAUGUGAGAUUAUUAUUAUUAUUAUGAGUAUUGUAUUUUUUGCUCGUAUUUAUCGAUGCUUUGUCAUUCAUGAGCGCAUAUUUUAGUGCACGAAUUCUCACUUAGCAUUGUACGUUAUUAUCCCAUCAUAUUUUGUUCGUUUAAAAAUCGCAUUUUCAUUAAAAUAUUAGAAUCGUUUUUUUAUAAUUUUAAAAUAUUUGGCAUUCACGUUUUUCAAGAAGAAUUGUGUCCUAACUUACUAGGCUUCAAUUCUUUCGAUAAAUUUAGAGAGUCAAGUAUUUGUUUUGCAAUAAUAUCACAUUUCAAAUAAAAACUUAUUCUCGGGAAUUCAAAAAUGUUGGGUCUUAACUUAUUGGACGUGACGUUGUGUCGUCUUGAAAUAAGACUUUCUAAUAAAUAAAGGUAAUAUUCGAUAUUUAGAAUUUUGAGAAAUUGUGCCCUAACUUAUUGGGUUUCGAUUUUCUUCAUUUAACCUAAAUAAUCGAAUAUCCUUCUUAGGUUUAAAUGCAUGAGUUUUAAAAAUCAAAAGACAAACUUAAUUUUGAAGAUUAAAAACGUUGUGCCCUAAUUCACUGGGUGUGAUGUUUUGAUUCUUUGAAUAUUAUUUUAAUUUAUUCAAGUUAAAAAGUUUUAUUUUAAAAUCUUUUUUAAAUUUUCGACACCAAGACAUUAAACAAUCAAUUUGGUACCGAUUUUAGGUUUUACGAGGGUGCUAACCCUUCCUCGUGUGUAACUGACUCCCGAACCUGUUUUCUCAAAUUUCGUAUACCAAAAUCGUUUUUAAGGUGAGCUGAUCACACCUCAAUCAAGGAUAGGUGGUAACUCCAAUUUUUAUUUUUAAAGUCGACAACUAAAUUUUUGUUUUAUCAAAAAAUGGUUUCGACAAAAAUUAUUAAAAAAUAACUAUAUCUGUAUUGAUUCGUUUCCCUCUGAUUGAUACGUUACAUCCCUAGCUUCUCUAGAAUCUUCAUUGACUAUCUGAUCUCUUCACCCAUUGGUGUUCCCCCAAGAAUGUUUUUUCUCGUUUUCUCCUCCUAAUUCAUCUCCACGAUCAUCACCUCCUAGCUUACUGUUUUCAACUUUCUUCCAGUACACCACUUUUCCCUUAAAGCGAGCUAAGUUCACAUUUACUUUACUUCCAUAUAUACAGUAUCCAUUAAGUUUACUAAAUGCCCUCUUAUCAUCCACAAUGCUUGCAAAUCUUACUAAACCAAAACUUAGACCUUUUCGAUGCCUCUUGUUAGGAAUAAACGUGUCCAAGACUUUGCCAUGGAACUCAGAGAUUUUCCAUGGUCCCUUUCAAUGAAAACAAGAAGGAUGAUUAGAAACAUAAACUGAAAUCACCAUUUUCUCUAAGGAUUUAGCCUAGUAAUAGUUAACAAUAACUCCACGACAUCUGAUUAAAAGCACAAGUUAAUUGAAUUACCAAGAACAAUGUUCUUCAACACUAUUCCAAAUUCAAUUUUGGAGCAUCUGUUAUCAUAGCUUUCAAUUGUUUGAAACUCUGUUGGCAUUCUUCAAUCACACAUAACUAACAUUUUCUGUAGCAACUUCUUCAUGGUAGAGCUCUCAUCAACAAGCCUGAACAAAUCAUCUGUAGUAUUAAAUCUUAGAGAACUACACACUUCUAUAUUAUUUUUCAGAGUUUUCCUAAUUCACAUUUAUCAGGAGUUCAUUCGAAAUAACUCAAAUAUCUUCUGCUGUUAAUAAAAGGUUUAGAAAACUUAUUUCUUGAAAUUAAAAUUCACAUUUAUUGAUUUUCACAAAUAAUUAUUUCUCUCUUAAUAUCUGUAACACUGUUUUUCCAAUACUAACCGUGUUCAAUUUUUUUCUUCACAGGAAUUGAGUAUCUUUAAUUAUAUAGCAACAACUCUGAUAAGAUACAGCUAGAAACUUUUGUCUAUUAAAUAUAUAAAGUGACUAUGCAAUUGAUAAUCAUAUACAAUAAUCAACAUUUGUCUAAACUUUGCAACCUAUAUAAGUCUUUUUGGGAUUUCGACGAAAUAUAAAAAAAAAUCCCGAGAAGAUACUUAAAACAUUUACUCAUCCAUGGCAACUGACUGAAAAUAUUUGGGUUGCCGUCGUCUAGCUCAUAAUCAUAUACAAGGUCAAUACCAAAUUCUAGCACAGAUAAAUCUGAAAGAACCCGAAGACUAAUAUGAUCACCAGCUUCUAAUUCAUCACCCCUAAAGUUCCAACAAGUCGUCCAGUAUAAGGUAUUCUUAGUUUCAGGAAUUCUCAUGAAAUGUUUGGAGUAGGUCCACUUUGUUCCUUUCGUCUCGUUCACAAUUUCAAGGCAUGGUAAAAAUCCAUAUGUUUUAUCAUUCUUGGCAGAAAAAAUGAUAAUCGAAUUUAAGAAGCAACUUAUCUUUCGACUAGAGUUUGGGGGCACUGAUAUUGAAACCUCAGUCUUGCCAGCUUGAUGGCCAGAGUAAUGACCACAGUAAUCAAAUGGCACUGGAUCAAAUGUUGUAACUAUACCGUAAUCAUAUAAUACCUGUAGCAUUGGGUUAGAGAAUGAGUUAUUAAAAAGUAUAUAGUAUAUAAAUAAUUUUAAAAACUUGGAACUUGUAAAGGGAACCUGUGGGGAAGCAACCACUUUUGAUUCUUCUAUAUAACUACAAAGUUGCACUUUAACAUUUCCAUAAGAUUCCAAACUAAGCAGGUAUUUAGUUAGGUCCAUCUUGAUAUUUCUUGUGGAAACUUCAUCUCCUAAAAUAUGUAUAAUAAUGUGUUAUUUAUCAAUUUUAGUGAUCAUCAACAUAAUAUGCUUAUUAGAAAGUAAUAGUAUUGACUUGAAUGGAGUGAUAAUUAAAGCUUUUAUCAUACACCCAUUUGAAACGAAUUCAAAUCGUGACCCAUCUCUUAUACUCAAUAUUGUAUGAAAAAAAGAUAUCAAAGUCGUAAUGUUAUUAUCACUAAAAUGUAUUAUAAGACUUGUAAGAAAUAAUCAAUUAUACACCUUAUAUCUUUAUUUUUCAUUUUUAUAUAAAAUAUAAACUUUAAAACUAUUAAAUAUGUUAAUCAAAACACCACUUUUAUAAUUUUAUCCAUUAUUUUAGUUUCCCCUUCUAUUAGUGUAAUACCUAAAUUUUGCCCGGCCCAAUACAGAUAUUAAAACCCAAAUAUAAAAAUAAAAAAUAUUUAAAAGUCCAAUAAAAUAAGUCCAGUUUACAAACCAAAAUAAAUUAAACCUAAACCCAAUGCCCACUAGCCUUAACCAUAAAUCAGAAAACCCUAACAGCUUGAACAUUUGUUGAAACAUUAUCAUUUCUUGAACAUUUGUUAUUCACAUAUAAAAUGAAACAAUAAAAUAAAUAUAAUAGGAUGUAUUCACUAAAAUAUAAUUAUUUGAAGUCUACUCAUACCUGUAGAUAAGUGCGAAAAGCCAUAUUCAUAUCUAAUGUUGUGUUCUGAUUCAUAAGUAACGCCAAAUUUUCUUAUGCUGAGAUGAGUAGGCACUACUAUGCAACUCACAAGGUCACCACCUUCAAACUGACAGUCCGUUACUGGCCAAUUAACCAACCACAACAUUGUGUUAUCGUUAGUCUCAGGAAUUCCAAUGAAACUUGAGCGAUAUCUCUGCAUGAUCAUUUUGGUCUCAUUGAAAAUGUGGAAAUAUGGUAGAAGCUCCAACAUUUGGUCACUAGCUAAAGAGAAAACAACGCAUAAGCUGAACCGAUGGAUCUUUUCAUCUGGAUGAGAUGGUACUGGCAAAAAAAAAGAGAUUCGAUGCUCGUUAGUGCCAUGCUUAAACCCACUCGGAACUUCACUUCCUAUAACAAAUGUGCUUGUUAUACCACAUUCUUGCAAGACCUGAUCCAAAAAAAACAAGUUAGAUGAUUAAGUAGUAUAAGAGAAAAAAUAGAUUUAAAAUUUAAGUUGGAGAACUAUUGGACCUGUGGGGUAGCUAGCAUUAUGCUGUCUGUUAGGUAGCUAUAAAGUUGCUGUCGAUUUCUGUUAAUGGAAUCUACGUUGAAUAAUCUUCUAAUCUCUUCUGCUUCAAAGUUUUCAAUUGGUUCCAACUUGAAUAGAUCUUCAACCUCAGUCAAAUUUUCACAUCCAAAAAUAUCACAUCGUGUGGAAGAAAAGAAGCAUGGAAGAAUUGCCCCAUAUCCUUUAAAUGGAGAUACUGUCAAGAACUUAAAAACAUUGGGCAAGACUGGAGGCUUUGGAAUCUUUUGGAGUUCAGUGCAAGAAGUCAGUAGAAGUUCAUCAAGUUUUGUAAGGUUUUUUAAGCUUUCGGGUAGGUAAUGAAUUGGGUUUUUACUUAAAUGAAGUCGUCCAGUAUUUUUUUUAUUUAUAUAAUAACAAGGUUCCAGCAUAUAUAUAUAUAUAUAUGAAUGGCAAAGCAGAUAUUAUUAGGGUUAACGUUUCAGUGCAAUAAAAGUAGUGAAGAGGAUCGGAUAGGGUUAAGGUUUACAUUGUUGGUAAUGCAAAGUGGAAUCCCUCGUUACAGCCUUCAAAUUUUUUGGUUCACAAUAUUUUUUAGGAAAACUCGAUUCAAAUAAUAUUUUUUUUUGUAAUUAUUUUUCUUAAUAAUAUUAUUUUUAAAAUUUAUAUUUAUAUUUUUUAAGUAUAAUAUAUCUUACCAUUAUGUCUAACACUUACUAAUUAUUCAAAUAAUAAUGUUAACAAAAAGGUUGAGCACCAAAUGGUUGAUAAGUACUAACAAGCUCAUGGUCUAAAGUCUAGAUCGAGUAGCACUAUUUUAUUGUUGUGACUCCACACUAAUUCAUUUUAUUACACGGACAUAUUCAUAAAAAUUCUCUUAAAAUAUUGAACAAAUAUCAGUUAGGUGUUCUGAUUUAAAUAUUUAUUUUUUAAGAGAUUAUGUUCUUACCUCAUUAAGCCUUCUCGAAGAUUUAUGUCAAGUCUAAACUGAUGUGAGUUGGUAGCCAUAUAUUUUUAUUUUUAAAGAUUUUAGUCCCUCUAUUUUUUGAGAUUUCAAAACUCAAAUCCAAUUGUUAACACUAUUAAUUUUUUUGUUAAAUUCGAGUUAAUUACAACAUUAUUUUUGUAAUUACGUGGUUACCAAAUAAUUUUAUUUUAUUUUAAAAUGCCACCCUAACACAUUUAACAAAAAAAAUUAAAAUGUUAACCAUCGGAAAGUAAAGAGACUAAAUUUCUGGAAAUGAAAGUACGUGUUCUAAACUCCAAAAUUUUUAAAAGUACAAGAACUUAUGACAUAUUUUAACCUUUUAACUUCAGGGUCGAGCUACUCAUCCAAUCCCCACUCGAGAUUUGGGAGGAUUUAGACAAAAUUAUCAAGCUCGAAAAAUGGAAUUGGACAAAAAAUUAGUCCGAUUUAAAAUACGAUUCGGGCUCGGGCAUAAAAAUUCAAGGCCCGAGCCAUUUACUAAUUUUCUAAUAUAUUAUAUUAUGUUAUUUUUAUAAAUUAUAUAAUUUAUUUCAAAAAAUAAAUCUAUAGUAAUACAAAUGAUACUAUAAUGUAAACAUUGAAAAAUGUUAAGAUGUCUAUAUAAAAUGUUAAGAAAUUUGGGAAAAAAUUCAAUUCAAUCAGGCACAAAACAAUUUGUGGGUCAAUUAAUUUAACAUCUCUAUGCAAAUCGACAAUGGCAAAACCUAAUAGAGGCCCAGGGGGCCAUGGCACCCCCAAGGAUUAAAAUUUUUGCAAUUUAGCCCUUUCUAGGUAUACUAUGGCCCUCCCAAAGAUAUAAGUAGCCCCCCAAGGUUUAAGAUUUUUUGUAAUUUUCCAAAAAUACUGCUUCUUUUGGAUCAAUUAUCAUGUUGGAAUAGUGCUUCUUUUGAGUCAAUUCUUUAUAUAUUUAAAUCGAUUGUCAAGUUGGAACACUACUUCUUUUGAAUCGAUUGUGUAUAUGAUUAAAUUAAUUGUUAUGUUGGAAUACUGCUUCUUUUUAAUUGAUUGUGUAUAUGAUAAAAUCGAUUGUUAUGUUGGAAUACUACUUCUUUUAAAUCGAUUGUUUAUAUGUUUAAAUCGAUUAUUACAUAACACAUCUAAUUAAUUUGUUCUUUGCUUCUUUGAUUGUUGCGUGCCAUUUCCUUUUAUUCUCUACUUCUUUGAUUGUUGGUUGUUUUAAAUCGCUUCUUUUACUAAAAUGAAUAUCAGCAAAGAAUUUAUGCUGGAGUUUGAAUCGAUUCUUCGCUUAUUUCAAUUGAUUAUUUGUUGUUUUGAAUUAAUUCAUUAUUGUUUAAAUUGAUUCAAACUCUUACAUAAAUUCAUUGUUGAUAUUCAUUUGGUCCCUUAUCAAUAUUGACUUACACAGGUGUAUGUAAGUUCUUUUUCCCUCAAACCUCCUGUUGUACAUGUGAAGCAAGUAAAGGUAUAUUUACGGUUGUUCUUACUCUAGAAGAGAAAUGAUUCCUCAUACUUUAUACAGUGUAUUUACAUAUUUGCCCUCAACCGAAUAUUGAGGGAAUCUCCCUUCACUUUUGACACGUUCGAUAGAAAGUUUAAGGGAAAACAACUAAUUUACACCGGUGUAUAUAAGUAUUGAUAACUCAUUGAUACCAAAUGUUUAGAUCAAAUCGAGAAAUCAUUAUAUAUUAUUUUCCUAUACUAUGUGUUAUGUUUAUUAAUAAAACAUGUUUUUAAUUUAAAUGAUAUACUAAAAAUUGCUCAUCCACACAAUCAUUGAUAUGUUGAUUUAGGAUCCAAACUUGAAUCAUAUAUUCUUACGUAGUGAAACUAAAAAGGGCCUCGUCGCCAUUCUCCAUCUAUUCCUAUAUAUUCAUCUAUUCGGAAGAAACCGAACUUAACAAAACACCAUGAAAGCAUAAUCGAUAUUUUUUCACUUUUAAGAAAUAUAAGUUGUUAAUAAUAUCAAACCCAAUAAUACAGUAUAUCAACAAUCAAACCAAAUCAACGACCAUAACACAACCAAAAAAAAUAAAAUCAAUUCAUUAGGAAGGGUCUUCCACCUCAUUAUCUGCAUGAUUUUCAUAUGAAUCCAGUUGCAAAGUAACGGUGUUUAACACUUUGAAUCGUUUCAUUAUUGUUUGAACCGAUUCAAACUCCAGCAUAAAUUUACUGUUGAUAUUCAUUUGGUCCUUUAUCAAUACUUGCACAACAUUUGUCCCUUAUCAAUACUUGCAAAAAAAUAACUUGUGAUUACUGCUUUUUUCGAAUAGAUUGUUUAUAUGUUUAAAUUGAUUGUCAUGUUGGAAUAUUGCUUCUUUUGAAUCAAUUGUUUAUAUGUUUAAAUCGAUUGUUAUGUUGGAAUACUGUUGCUUUUGAAUCAACUGAUUAUAUGUUCAAAUUGAUUGUUAUGUUGGAAUACUACUUCUUUUGAAUCGAUUGUUUAUAUGCUUAGAUCAAUUGUUACGUAGCACGUCUAAUUUUAGCUUGGCCCCCAAGAUUAACAUCCUGGCUCCGCCACUACGGAUCGAUAUAUUAGUCAAUUCUUGAUUCAAUUGAUCGACUAAUCCUAUUUAAUCCGAUUUAAAUAACUAUCUCACAUAUAUACAUAUUUCUAAAAUAAUAUGUUAGUAUAAAAAUAUUUAAUCAAUUUGAGUUAUGAAAUUGUGGUCUAACAAUAGUUUUGGGUGUCUUAUAAACUCAAAAUUUUCAAAUUAUGCUGGUGUCCAUUUGUGCUUUAUUUUUUGGUACAAGUUCUUUUUGGAGUUAUACCAUAUAUUAUAUAAUUUAAAAUAUUCUUAAAAAAUAGAUUGAAGUAAAUUAAGCCUAAAACUUAAAUGUUUAAGUCAAAGCUUAAUUGAUAGUUUAAAUGAGAUUAUUCUUUUUUUUAAACUCAUUUUUCUAAUUUUAUCAGACCGCCUCUAAAAAAUAAAUAAAAGAUUGUUGUUAGUCUUUUCCUAUAUAUGAGCAACAAUCUUUGGGCAGAGUAUAAAAAAUAGUUUUUGUAUUUUUGUAUUUUUUUACGAAAUUAAGGUAUCUGAUUUUGCAAUAGACCUAUCCAUGGGCCGGGUUCGGGCCAGGCGGGGCCGGGUUCGGACCAGGCCCAGAAAAAAUUUUCGGCCCCCCUCCUAGGCCUGGGCCCGGCCCAAAAUAUGGGCCUAAAAUUUUGCCCAAAAAUAAAUAAAAGAUUGUUGUUUGUCUUUUCCUAUAUAUGAGCAACAAUCUUUGGGCAGAGUAUAAAAGAUAGUUUUUGUAUUUUUUUUUUACGAAAUUAAGGUAUCUGAUUUUGCAGUGGUAACUAAUCUUUUCAUCGCGACUACUAUUCAAAAGAUAACAAAAGAUAAUAUGUAAAAAAUAAAAUUCAAUAAAAUGGUAAUACAUAAUUUACUUGUAAUUACGGUACGUUUAGUUCGUUAGAAUGAAAUAAAAUUAUAAUAGAAUAAUAUUUUUUAGGAAUGAAAUAGAAUUGUAAUUGAAUGGAAUAAAUAUGCUAAUUUGGUUGGGUAGAAUAUUUUUGUAUCUUGAUUUAAAAAAAUGAUAGUAAAAAUCAUCUGAAAAUAAGAUGAAAUUCAAAGUACAACACCAAGUCUUCAUCAAGCAGUGUACAUGUUCCAAAUUACUAUAUUGAUUAAUAAUAAUAUUGAAUAAAUAAGACAUAAAUAACCCUCAAGAUUCAAUCCUUUAAGUUUUCUCCUUUAUUUACUUCAAUUUUAUAUAUGAUAUUUAGACUUAUUAAUGGGUUGAGUUAUUGAUCCAAAUUUAAAAGAUUGUUUAAAUUUUGAAGGAGUUUUAAUAAAAUUAUUAAACCCUAAAAAUAGGAUUGGGCAAAAAAAAUUAAACUUGUUUAAAAUAUGAGUUGAACUCAUAUAUGAACAUUUAAGGUCUGAACUAGGCUCGAUCCAUUUUUAAAAUUUGUAAUUUUUAUAUUAUAUUAUUUUUAUAUAUUAUGUAAUAUAUAAUACAAAAAUUAAAUCUAUAGUAAUAUAUAAUAUCGUAAACAUUAAAAAAACUUUAAGAAGAAUAUAUAUAUAAAAGUUUAAUAAAUAAAAUAUAUAAAUUAUUAAAUAGUAUUAAAAAUAAUAUAAAUGAUUUUUAACAAAUAAUAAUAUGGGUGGAUUUAAAAUGAAUUUGGGUUAACUAUUUACAAGUAUGGAUGGGCUUAAACAAAUUUUAUAUACAUAUUUCAGACUGGGUCUGGUCGAUCUUGACAACCAGAAUAUGUGUUAACAUCAUGCUUAACUCUAACCCAAACUUAACCCGAUGCAUAGGGGAAAAUGUUUAAACUUAAAACGAUAUUAGUGAAAUAUGAUUAAUUUUUAAAUUUUUUUAGAUGGCUUAUGAGUAAAACUUUUUUAUUAGUUUGAAGAGUUGUGAGUUUAAUACUCUCUGAAUUAAUUCUUUAAUCAAUUUCCAAUUCUACCAAUUUUUUAAAGUCGAUCUAAUUCGGUUCAGACAACCCUAAUUAUAUGAAUUUUAAGCUGUUGAAGUUACAACUGAUAUUAAAAUAAAUCGGCACCUUCUCGGUCUCACCAAACUUACUCUAAACCAAGAGCAUAAAAAAUAAAAUAAAAAAAUCCUCCUCUAAACCAUGCAGUGUCAGCAAUCAUAAGAUCUGUUAGUGAAACAUUGAGUAGAAACUAUAGAUGACAACAAGUGGGAACCCUCACCUUGUCAGAGAUCAUGAGAAGUAUUGAACUCUUAUAAUUAGAAUAAUCAAGUUCCACUGAAAAUAACGAUAUAAAAACGCAUACCAUGAACAUUCAGUUCAUAAUAUUCUUUGAAGUUUUAGACUCUUGACAAUAACCAGAAAAGUCAAACACAAACACAGUAUGUAUCUUCAGUUCAUAAACAUCCCAAUAAACCAUUGGGAUUCAAACACAAAACCAUCACACAAACACAUAUUGUCUGUAUCUUCAGUUCAUAAACAUCCCAAUAAACCAUUGACAUUCAAACACAACCAUCACACAAAUGCAUACCGGCAGUAUCUUCAGUUCAUAAACAUCCCAAUAAACCAUUGAGAUUGUAUAUCAAAGAAGCAAAUUACUCAACCCGUGGCUUUUUCUGCAACCUGGCUAGCUUCAGUUGGUUUUCUUUUAAAUCAGCUUCGUCCUGAUCCAGCUUCAGUUUCUUCUCUUUUAAGUCAGCUUCGUCCUGAUCCAGCUUCAGUUUCUUCUCUUUUAAGUCAGCUUCAUCCUUCUCCAGCUUCAGUUUGUCUUUUCUAACAUUAGCUUUCUUCUUCUCAAAUCUCUUCUCCUCCGCUUGAUACUCCAUUUCACGAGCCUUCAUCAACUUAUUCAUGAUGUCUUGCACCAUAGCCUCCAUAGUUGUGAUCACUUUUAGCUCAAGUAUCUCUGGGUUACUUUCUAUUUUAUGGUAAACUUCAGCUAGCGAGUUCAUAAUGAUCCUUUGAACAUCUGCAUGACUACAUAAAAAAAAAUUGUUAUCAGUAUAAGGGUGCUUUUUAAAUGUCAGUGAGCACUUGAGUUCAUAAAUAUUGUAUACCCCUGGACAGUUGACAGCUUCAUAUCGUCUUGAUUUGCUCUGACAUCACCGCUGCCUUCAGUCAGAUCAUUGUAUAUCUUGUCGUCUAGAAAACAAAGUUAUUAAGGUAGGAAACAUAAAGGAUAUUAAUAAUUACAACUGACAAGUAAAAAGCUGAGGAUUUUAUAAGAUUAUUUAUCAGCUUGCAGCAAUUACCUGACAGAAGAAAGUCUUCAACAUCAAAAAACGGCAGUGACAGAAGAUCCUGUAGAAAAAGAGAAUCAGAUCUGAUCCAAAAAUAAGCAAUUUGAAUUUAAAAAAUAUAUACAGGCCAAAACUUACUGGAUCAACAUUAAGCCCCUUUUCUAGUGAGUCUACAUCAUGAUAACCCUGCAAAUAAGGAGAGAAGUACACAACAUAAUGCGUCUUUUCCGACUCAGGACUUUUAUGUGUGUUUGACUAAUAUUUCUAUGAUUGCGUUUAUCUGGAUUUGAUUCCAAUUCAUUGAAAUCAUCCAUGUAUUCCUUGAAUGAACGUACAAUCUAAGAACCAUAAGAAAUGGAUAUAAAAGGAUCAUAUGACAUAAAAAUCCGAAUAUUUACACUACAAAUAUUUCUGUCUGCUAACUAAUGUUCAGGUAGAAUAAUCUGAGUUCAACAAUUGCUUACAAAGAAAGUAACAAACAUUUCUGGCCAAUAUAUAUAUAUAUGUAACCCAGAGAAUUAAUAAAAAGAAGUGAUAUUUUUGGCUGUAUCACCUUAUAGUUUGCAAAAGAUGAAAUAAACUGCCCGUCAAAGAAAUUAAAGGGAUGACAAGUUGUACUUAUAUGACAGGAGGAAUAGCUGAGAAGGGUUAAAAUUUUCUCAUUUAUUACAACAGAGGAUUAAACUUGAUUUUUGCAUCAUUUAUUGAAAUGAUUGAAUAGAAAACUAGUCGACAAUACAUGAUUGCCUAUUCAAGUCAUAAUUUGCUCAACAAAAAUCAAAAUUCGGGCCUAAGUGAAAAAAAAAAGAACAGAACAGAACAUGAGAGCCAAAAGACAAAGACAAGUUAUUCUGUGUACACCUCUAGAAGACUGUGAUAUGGACGCUUUUAUUGCAAUAGGAGUUUUAGUUUUAUUUAUUUAUUAUAUCAGGUUUUAUUAGGAGUUUUAAUUUUACUUAUUUUCUCUAUUAUAUUAGGUUUUUAUUUUCAAGUUAAGAAUUCUAUUAGGACUCUUUCCUUUUUUAUUAACAGUCUAUAAAAUGCUGCCAAUAUGAAAUAAAGAGAUAAGCAAUUAUUCUAUAAAAAAGAAACGAUAUUAUGAGAGAGGAUUCAGGUAAGGAUGAAUCUGUCUUUUGAGUAAUCAUAGGUCAAUGUAAGAAUUCUUUCUCAUCUAGACUUGUGACUAGAUUUUACGCCAAGGCGCAUAACUUAGUAUCAGAGCCAGCUGUCAUGGGUGAUGAAAAGACUUUGACAACCAAGAUGGAGGCUUUGAUGGAACAAAUUGUUACAAGGCAACAAACAUUAGAGGAGCAGGCGGCGAUAUUAGCUCUUUCGGUCCAAAAGAUAACGAAAGGGGAUUCAGAAAAAAAAAACAAUGAAGAACAGGACAGUAGCAGAGGCGGGAAAAGGAAUUCAAACUCGCAACACGGUGGGAGCAUGGUGCCACGAUACUCUAAGAUAGAAUUUCUCACUUAUGAUAGUGUUGGAGAUCUUUUAGGGUAGAUGAAAAGAUGCGAAAUUAUUUUUGACAAUCAACAAACUAACGAAGAAGACAAAGUAGGCUUAACUUCAUUCCAUCUCUUAGGAGAGGCACAAUUGUGGUUUGAUCAAAUGGAAGAAAAGGCAAAUAUUGAUUGACGUGAUUUAGCCAUUUUCCUAAAAUGAAUUUAUCCUUUAGAACAAUGGAUUGACAUGAUCAUGAGAGAAUUUCUCAAUGAGACGAGAUCCCAAUGGAUAGUGAUUAUCUUCUAUAAACCUCAGUAUUUUAUGCAAAAUGGACCAACAACACAAUCAGGAUCAUUUUCUAGUGCCUGGAUUCAUAAAACAUAUUUUUCUGAGGUUAGCUCAAAUCCUUGUAAUUACAAGGCUUUAAAGAAAUAUUUGUGCCAAAUCAACAGAAUGAUUCCAUUAGAAAUAUGGCCCUCAGCAGACACAUUAGCACCAUGGGAUAUGACAAAUGAUCCAACAUCACCUUAUCAAAAACAGUUAAAAGAUGCCAUGAGGUUUAUAGUAGUAGUGCCAGAGAUAAUACCCCAGCCUAGGAUAAUGUGCAAGAAGAGACCUCACCCAAAAACGUGGAAAUUGAAUAUUUGACAGCCCUCCUGAUAAUCUUGAAGAAAAGCUUGAACAGCUUGAAAUAAAGAGCUACGGAGCUCAAGAAGAAAAGAAAAGAAAGAUAGAAGAAUUGAAUAUCACUUCUGAUGUUAGUACAGAUUACGAAAGUGAUUAGAUUUUUUUUUCUUUUAAUGUUUGUCUUAUAUAUGAGUCAUUGUACUAUAAAGUUCUCUAUAUGUCUUUACUUUAAGUCAGUCAUUGUACUAUAAAGUCAUAGUAUUAUAAAGUUCUGCAUGUCUUUACUUUAAAUCACUAGAUUCCUUCUUAUCCUCAGAAGAAGGAAGGCUAAUCUUUCUCUAUAUAAAGGGAAGGAAUUCUCAAUUGUAAGAUAUAUCAAGUUUGGAAGAAAUAAAACCGAGUGUGUUUUAAAGCAUGUCUGGCUAAAAUCUCUUUUGUUCCCUUUCUUCUUGAAUAAGGUUUACCUGUAAUGGUAAAUCUCCAGUGAGUUUAAAAGUAUGCUCUAUGCUUACCAUACAAUGGAUUCUGCACAUCAGAAAUUAAACUUAGACCAGGAGUACAAAUUUCAGUAAGACUUGAGGAAGUAUUUGAGAUUAAUGGUUUGACAGGUAAAAGGCAUUACUUGUUUUAUGGCCAAAAUAGAAAAGUGCCUUGUUCUUGGCAUAGCAUACCUGCUGUUAAUUCUAUUAAUCUUGAUAUCCCAGCUUUGAGUCUUACUGCGAUUUGCCUAAUUUUUUAAUCAUUUUUUUAUACAUUUAAUUUUAAAUUUUUAUAUGUCAUCCAAGUGCAAAGGAAACUCCUUUUGAUGGAAGAAUCAACUUAAAAACCCUCAUCAUAUAAAAGUUGUUGGUUCAAAUUUAAAAAUCUCAUCCAAUUUGGAUUUGGAAAUUUCUUAUUUAAAAUAAUUCUUACCUGAAAAAUUUGUAUCUCAUCAAAACAUUUUCACUAGUGUAAUCAAUGAUCACAAAAAGUACCAUGUAUGCAUUACUUGAACAAAAUAACGAGAAGCAGUAAUUAUUCUUCCUUAACCUAGCCAACUUCAGAUUAGCUUCUCAAAUAAUUUCUCACAAUCUCUUUAUCUAUGCUUGAUCCUCCAAUGUUUGAUGAGUCUUUGCCAACUUAUCCUUUAGCCAUGAAAAUUCCUAACCGGUGAUUCAGUGUCUUUCACCCUUACCAACAUAUCAUUGAUAUAAUUUAGCUCAAGCUUAUUCAGAUCGCUUUCUAAUUUCUAAUAAAUUUCAGCAACUGCAUUCAUAAUGUUGCUCUGAAACUCUCGAUUAUUCAAUUGAAAUUGGUCAGCAAAGUGAGCAUGGUUUUGAAAUAUUUUAUUGAGCACAUCAGCAUUGUGUUGAUGAACCUCGUAUCUGUUGACGAUGACUAUUAUGACAUCUGACAUCAAAGGUAAUUAAAGAUCAUGUCUAUACGUAUCAUUACAUAUGAUUGAGAAGAAAUGAAAUGCUAAAUACUCAAAGAAACAAUAAAUUCAUUAAAUAGUAGCUUGCAGCUGAGAAUAAAGAAUAUUCAGAGUCAAAGGACAAGUCCCCCAAAGCACUCAUACGAUUUGAAGAUUCAUGAUUCAAAUGUGUUGGAGGAACCUAUAAGCAAAACAGAAUCAAAUAUUGAUCCAAAAAUAAGCAGAUAAAGUUAAAAACUUUGCAGCAUAAUAACACAAUAAAUAAGGAGAAAAUUAAACAACAUUACGCAUAGAUUUAAAAACUGAAAGCUUUCCUACUUAGGAUUUCUUUUCUUUUUUCUUUUUGUUUCUACCCGAUGUUUCUUGUUUGGUUUGGUAUCUUACCAUAAAUGUGGGAUCAAUCAGACAGUCCUGAAAUAACUAUUUAAAGUUUAAAGUGUUCAUGUCUUACAGUAUAAUAUUACAAUUACAAGUACAAGAGAAGAAAACCAUUUUAGUAAUAUACAUUUACGAUAUAACACACUUAUCUUACUACACUUUUCUUCUUACGGUAUAAUAUUACCAUUACCUCUCACACUUCAAGCUUAUGACUCUCUGUUUACAUCAUAGCAAGAAUUAAAGCUCUCACCUGCAUUUAUAAAGUUUAGGGGUCGUUAGAUUGUUAACACAUGUAAACAUCCUUACCAUUUAUUUUAUAAAUAUUUAAUAAUUAAAAUGUUCAUUUAAAAUAUUUAAUUUUCUAGAUAAUAGCCUAUUUUUUUAUUUUAUAUUCUGAGAAUCUUCCCAAGAAAAUAUCUCUUAAAAGAUAAGUAUAGAUAUACAACAUUUCCAUCUUUUAAACAUUGUACAGACAUAUUUUUUUAUGAUUGUGUAAAAAUAAAUAUUGUACAUACAUACCUCUUUAAUGUCUUCUAAAAAUAAUAAGAAUAUAAAUACAUAUAGUCACGUACAACCCACGCCAUUUUGAACAUUAGUUUUACUAAAUGUUGUAACUGUCUUGCCUUAUAUUUUCUCUAUAUCGUAUAAUUUAAAAUAAAAAAAAAACUUAACAGAACACAUGUUAUGUUGCGGAAAGGAUCGAUUCGAGAACUCCGUUAUGACUACAAGUAAAUUGACCGAAACGAAAAAUAAAGUGAACACAAGGAUUUACGUGGUUCGGCUUUAAUGCCUACGUCCACGGGCAGAGGCGAAAAGAAAUUUCACUAUAACAAGAUGAAGAUUACAAGUGUUUUACACUCAAGACACAACCCGAGAACCUCACAACUCUCAACCCCUAUAGAAAACCCGAAAGCUAAAAUCCUAGCUUUCAAAGAACAAGCUUUGCUCUCUCUUGGUUUGGGAUGAUCAAUAUGGCUAAUGAACCUCUCUAUUUAUAAGAGAGUUCAAGGACAUAAUUGUCCAAAACUUUGGCAAAGAUUUGUGGUUGAAAAUGGACACCAACAACCAUCCACUAAUCCACUACCACCAACAACCCACUACCAACAACAACAAUCCACUACCAAUUUUAAGCCAUUUCUUAACAAAUCUCCACCUUGGCUUGAAAUUUACCAAGCUGAACAUCAUAGUGAACUGGAUCACCUCUUCCAAACGCCUCUCUGGCGCUAAUCAAUCCCGAAUACCUAUCAAGUCCAAGCAAUGCUUGAACUUAUAUGCAGGGAUCACCUUAGUUAACAUAUCUGCAGGAUUCUUCUCGGUAGCAACCUUGCUGAUAACAAUGUCACCUUGCGUAACAUGUUCCCGAACAAAAUGAUAUCUGACAUCAAUGUGUUUGGUCCGUUCAUGAAACAUCUGAUUUUUAGUCAGAUGUAUGGCACUCUGGCUAUCGCAAAAUACAACAGUGAAAUCCUGUUGUAAACCCAAACUGCUUACUAGACCUUUCAUCCACAAUGCUUCUUUCACUGCUUCUGCUAACGCCAUAUAUUCCGCCUCAGUCGUAGAUAAGGCUACGGUAGACUGUAACACAGCUUUCCAACUAAUGGCUCCUCCAGAAUAAGUGAAAACAUAACCCGUCAGAGAUCUUCUUUUGUCCAGAUCUCCAGCAUAAUCAGAGUCCGCAUAGCCCGUGACACUGCUAGUGCAGUCACUCUGAUCAUAUACCAAGCAUAAAUCUGCAGAACCUCUCAAGUACCUGAGAAUCCAUUUCACGGCCUGCCAGUGUUCCUUGCCAGGACAACUCAUGUAUCUGCUGACCACACUAACUGCAUGUGAAAUGUCUGGACGAGUGCAAACCAUUGCAUACAUCACGCUUCCAACUGCACUCGAGUAUGGAAUGUGAGACAUUUGCUGCUUUUCUUCAUCAGAUUGUGGUGACAACUCUGCAGAGAGUUUGAAAUGUGGUGCCAACGGAGUACUCACAGUUUUCGCUUUAUCCAUGCCGAAGCGUUGAAGAACCUUUUCAAUGUAGUUCUUCUGCGACACACGAAGCUUGCCCGCCUUGCGAUCUCUGUGAAUAUCCAUGCCCAAAAUUUUCUUGGCAGCACCCAGAUCCUUCAUCUCGAACUCACCACUCAACUGCGACUUUAACUUGUUGAUUUCCGACAUGUUUUUGGAAGCAAUUAACAUGUCAUCAACAUACAGCAACAAAUAAAUGUGCGAACCAUCUGAGAGCUUCCGAUGAUAGACACAAGCAUCAUAGUCACAUCUUGUGUAACCAUGCUGAAUCAUGAAGCUAUCAAACCGCUUGUACCACUGCCUUGGGGAUUGUUUCAAUCCAUAUAAAGACUUCUUUAAUAGACAGACAUGGUCUUCUUUACCAGGAACUGUAAAACCCUCUGGUUGACGCAUGUAGAUUGUUUCCUCGAGCUCACCAUGCAAGAACGCCGUUUUUACGUCAAGCUGCUCAAGUUCUAGAUCAGACUUGGCCACCAUGGCAAGUAAUACACGAAUGGAAGAAUGCUUUACGACUGGGGAGAAAACUUCAUUGUAGUCAAUCCCCUCUUUCUGAGUGAAGCCUUUAGCAACCAAUCGUGCCUUGAAUCUAGUUGCUUCAACCCCUAGGAUGCCUUCCUUUUUCUUGAAGACCCAUUUGCAACCAACUAUCUUCUGGUUACUUGGCGGCUUAACCAACUCCCAAGUAUGGUUCUUGUGAAGAGAUUCUAUCUCCUCACUCAUAGCAAUUGCCCACUGUGCCGACUCAUCACACGUGACAGCCUCAUUAUAACUGGAAGGUUCUAUACCAAUGGACUCCGCCACACUGAGCGCGAAAGACACCAGAUUAGCGUAACGCGGAUUUGGUUUGAUUUGUCUCUUCGUUCUUCCAGUGGCAAUGCUAUAUGGUUUUUCUUGAGGUGACUCAUCUUCAUCGGAAUCUUGCACCUCAACUUGAUCAUCCUGGACUGAAGUACCUUCCGUAGGAAUUGGAGCGUCCACCUGACACUCCACCUGCUUCUCAACACCGUGAUCUCCCAUUCUAUCUGACUCCUCCUUUUCCCGGGAAUUUGUGGUGGAUCGAAGCAUGGAUGACUCAUCAAAAGUCACAUCUCUGCUGAUGAUGAACUUGGACGAAACCGGAUCAGGACACCACAACCUGUAUCCUUUCACCCCUUGGCCGUAUCCAAGAAAUAUGCAUUUCUUCGCCCUCGGUUUGAGUUUUCCCUCAUUUACAUGAGCAUACGCAGGGCAGCCAAACACUCUUAAACCAGAGUAAUCAGCAGGAGAACCAGACCAUACUUCCUCAGGAGUCUUCAGCUCAAUAGCUGUUGACGGAGAUCUGUUAACCAAAUAACAAGCAGUAUUAACAGCUUCAGCCCAAAAUUCUUCACCGAGCCCAGCAUUUGAUCGCAUGCAACGAGCUCGCUCCAAGAGAGUUCUAUUCAUGCGUUCUGCAACUCCAUUUUGUUGUGGUGUUCGACGAACAGUGCGGUGUCUCACUAUUCCUUCAUUCUUGCAGAACUCAUUGAAUUCACCUGAGCAAAACUCCAAGCCAUUAUCCGUCCGGAAUCGCUUGAUCUUCUUUCCUGUUUGAUUUUCGAUCAAAGCUUUAAAUUGCUUGAAGUUGAUGAGAACCUCAUACUUGCUCUUCAGAAAAUACACCCAAACCUUUCUCGAGUAAUCAUCGAUAAAGGUAAGCAGAUAUCUGUAACCACCUUUAGAAAUUGUCGGAGAAGGCCCCCAAAGGUCAGAAUGGAAGUAAUCCACUGUGCCUUUUGUCUUGUGAAUCCCAGUGCUGAACUUUACCCGAGUCUGCUUACCGAAGACGCAGUGCUCACAGAAAUUCAACUUUCCUGUACACUGCCCAGACAAUAAUCCUCGUUUGCUUAGCACCGAUAAGCCUCUCUCGCUCAUAUGCCCGAGCCGCAUAUGCCAUAACUUCGUGGUGUCAGAAUCUAGAUCAUCUGAUGAUGACACUCCCGCAACACCUGUAACCGAGGAACCAUCGAGGAAGUAAAGGCCCCGCUCCAAAUUACCACGUAUCACAGUCAAAGCACCCGAGAAUACCUUGAGAACUCCACCUUCAGCAGAGUACCGAAAGCCUUUCUUGUCCAACGUACUCAAAGAGAUCAAAUUUUUCUUCAUUUCUGGAAUGUGCCGAACAUCAGUUAGAGUUCUAACAAUACCGUCAAACAUCUUUAUACGAACUGUGCCAAUCCCCAUGACUUGACAUGCGUGGUCAUUUCCCAUUAGUACUGAACCAGAAUGCUUCUCGUAUGUUGAGAAUGCAUCUUUCGAAGUACUUAUAUGAAAUGUAGCUCCCGUAUCAAGAAUCCAUCUCCCACCAGCGUAAGAGUCGGAUACUGCAAGAACGAUCUCGGCAUCACUUGAAGAAUCUGCAUCAGCUACAUUCGCACGAUCAUUUUGUUGCUCCUGUGAUUCUGAUUUCUCCUUCCUUUUCGGACAAUCUACCUUCAUGUGCCCGUACUUCUUACAGUAGUAGCACUGUAUUCUCUUCUUGGACUGCGAUCUAGGAUGGCUUUUACUUGAACUUCCACCCUUUGCCUUGGAUCUUCCUCGAGCAACCAAGCCUUCGCCUUCAUUGUUUUCGACCACCUUACCAGUGAUUUUCUUCCUCAACUCACUGGAACUUAAGGCAUUUUUCACCUCCUCUAGAGUCAGGUCAUCACGACCGUACAUCAUUGUAUCAACAAAAUUCUCAUACGAGGGAGGCAAAGAACACAAAACAAUUAUUGCUUGGUCCUCAUCAUCGAUUUUGUUAUCGAUAUUAUUCAAAUCCAUGAUAAUGGAAUUGAAUUUAUCCAGGUGCUGGGAAACAGGUGUACCUUCCUCCAUCUUCAGGGCAUAGAGUCUUUGCUUGAGGUAGAGCCGGUUCGUCAAUGACUUCGUCAUGUACUUGCUUUCUAACCGGAGCCACAAACCGGACGCGGUUUUCUCAUCCGCUACUUCUCGUAGCACUUCAUCUCCUAGACAUAGCAGAAUAGCACUAUGUGCUCUUUCUAGCAUGUCAUCCUUUUGCUCUUCCGAAAGCGUGCUUGGUAAUUUAUCUUUACCAGACAAUGCUUUUAGCAAUCCUUGUUGAACCAGCACUGCCCGCAUCUUGAUGCGCCAUAAACUGAAACUAUUUUUCCCGGUAAAUUUCUCGACAUCAUACUUAGUCGAUGAAACACUUGUAGCCAUAAUUUGGAACCUUUGAAUGAAUGAUAAUAUUUUCUUCCUGAUGUGAAAGAUCAGACAAAGCUGCAGUCACAGGGCAAUUCAGAAAAUAUUAUCACUCCUUCAACUACGCUCUGAUACCAAUUUGUUGCGGAAAGGAUCGAUUCGAGAACUCCGUUAUGACUACAAGUAAAUUGACCGAAACGAAAAAUAAAGUGAACACAAGGAUUUACGUGGUUCGGCUUUAAUGCCUACGUCCACGGGCAGAGGCGAAAAGAAAUUUCACUAUAACAAGAUGAAGAUUACAAGUGUUUUACACUCAAGACACAACCCGAGAACCUCACAACUCUCAACCCCUAUAGAAAACCCGAAAGCUAAAAUCCUAGCUUUCAAAGAACAAGCUUUGCUCUCUCUUGGUUUGGGAUGAUCAAUAUGGCUAAUGAACCUCUCUAUUUAUAAGAGAGUUCAAGGACAUAAUUGUCCAAAACUUUGGCAAAGAUUUGUGGUUGAAAAUGGACACCAACAACCAUCCACUAAUCCACUACCACCAACAACCCACUACCAACAACAACAAUCCACUACCAAUUUUAAGCCAUUUCUUAACAUGUUACUACAAUAUUUUUGGGCACCUUAUAAACUCAAAAUUUGUUAUAUUCUACAUUACCAUCUUUCUUAUUCAUAGUUAAUAUUUUUCUUAUUCAUAGUUAAUAUUUAUUUUUUAUGUUUAAAAUAAUAUUAAAAGUAAAAUUUUAAUUAAAAUAGUUUAUUGCAUAAAAUUAAUAUAUAACCUAAAUAUAUAUCAAGAAAAUUAUGAAUUUUUAAUUUAUACAAUUAUUUUUAUAUUUUUUUCAAUAUAUUCAAAUUAAUUUUUAAGUAAAUAAAUGUAAUUAAAUUAAAUUAAAUUAAUACACAUACCCAACUUGGGUAAAAAACCUAAUUUUUAAUCUUUUUUCUUAUUCAUAUGAUUUUACCUUUUGCCUUUUAUAUGUCAUCUAAGUGCACAUAUAGUAUCAUUCAUAACCAAACUAAUAUUAAUGGAAGAAUCAACUUAAAAACCCUCAUCCAACAUAAAAGUUACUCUUCAAAUUUAAAAAUCUCAUCCAAUUUGGAUUUGGAAAUUUCUUAUUUGAAUAAUUCUUACGUGAAAAAUCUCAUCUCAUCAAAACAUUUUCUCUAAUCUAAUUUACUUGUGUAAUCAAUGUUCACAAAAAGUACCAUGUAUGCAUCACUUGAACAAAAUAACAAGCAGCAAUUACUCUAGCCGUUGUUUCUUCUUUAACCUAGCCAACUUCAAAUUGGCUUCUCGGAUAGUUUCAAGCAAUUUCUUUAUCUCUGCUUGAUCCUCCAAUGUUUGAUGAGUCUUUGCCAAGUUAUCCUUUAGCCAUGAAAGUUCCAAUUGUCAAAUUCUAUACUAAAGAGAAAUCUUGUAUUGAAUCAAGAAAAUGAAUACAUCAAAAAUUUUAUUUGAGAAGUAUCUGUGCCACACUAUAUAUAGGAAGCAUGAAGCUGAUAACUGCUCAUAACAGCUAACAGUUAUUAGUAACUAACAGCAACUGACACUUAGACUUAACAGAAUUCUAACUGAAGGUAAUUCCUAACUCAGCCAUACUCUAACAUUCUCCCAGUUUCUUUGUUGUUUGAACAUUUGAGAGCCUCGUUGAGUGUUAAGACUCGAAGUGCUUUGCAAAAUGAUUCAAACUGCUUGGGAGUAAUUGGCUUGGUAAGAACAUCCGCAAUUUGAUCUGAUGAUGGAACAAAGUUUACCUGUAGAACUCUAGUGAGAAUCUUCUCCUGAAUAAAGUGAUGAUCAAUUUCUAUGUGUUUCAUUCGUGCAUGUUGUGUGGGGUUUGCCGCUAUAGAAACUGUUGAUGUAUUGUCACACCAGAUUACAGAUAUCGAUUGUGACAAACCAAUCUCAUCAACCAGUUUUUUAACCCACAAAAGCUCGGACGCAUAGUUGGCGAGACUUCUAUAUUCCGCUUCAGAGGAUGACCUGGACACAACAUUUUGUUUCUUUGAACACCAUGCAACAGGGUUUGGCCCGAGGUACACGACAUAUCCCGUGGUGGAAUGUCGAUCUUCAACAGAUGAGGCCCAAUCCCAAUAAGAUAUCUUAACACACGUUUGACUGCUCUCCAGUGAGUCUCACUCGGACAAUUCAUAUACUGGCUCAACUUGUUGAUACAAAAGGAUAAUUCUGGUUGAGUGAUGCACAGAUACUGGAGCAUCCCUACUAUACUUCGAUAUAGGGGAACAUCAAUGAAAAGAGGACUACCAUCUGAAAUAGUCAAUUUUGGAACACCUACCAUAGGUGUAGGGAUAGCUGUAGCUCCUACCAUACCAGUUUUAGUAAGAAUUUCUAACAUGUAUUUUUUUUGACUUAGCACCACCCCUUGCGACAUAUGUUGUACUUCAAUACCUAAGAAGAAAUCCAGCUGCCCCAUGUCUUUGAGAGUAAAUCGAUUAUGAAGCUGAUGAACCACACUGUCCACCUCAGCAUUUGAACUGCCUGUUAUCACAAUAUCAUCCACAUACACUAUAAGUAGCACUACGCUCACUGAAGAAAUACGAAUAAAUAACGAAGUAUCAGCCUUUGAGGUCUUAAAACCAAGUUGAGUAACCAAAUACUAUUUAAGUGUAUGAAACCAUGCUCUAGGUGCUUGACGCAGGCCAUAAAGCGCUUUGUUUAGCUUGCACACAAGCUGCUGCCCAUUUUCACCGGACACCUCAAAACCAAGUGGUUGCUCCAUGUAGAUUUCUUCUAUCAAGUCGCCAUUGAGGAAGGCAUUAUUGACAUCGACCUGCCUUAAAGACCACCCUCUCAUAACAACAACAACAAGUAUGAUUCUGAUGGUUGCUGCAUGGACCACCAGGCUGAUUGUGUCGCAAAAGUCAACUCCAGCAUUCUAGGAAAAACUCUUAGCCACUAACCGAGCUUUAUACCUGUCUACUGUCCCAUCGGCCUUUUUCUUUACUUUGAACAACCACUUGCAACCCACAGCGUGACGAUUAUCAGGAAGUGAGCACAAAUUCCAGGUAUUGUUGUUAUGGAGCGCCUGUAGCUCAUUGUGCACUGCUACUUGCCAAUGCUCAUUCUUCAUUGCUUCAUGAAUGUCAACAGGUGUAUCACUUGAUGAACAGACUAUUGUGGUUAGGUAUGUCUUACAUUUAAAUAUUCUUGCUUUGCUACGUGUGACCAUGGUAUGAGUGUUGAGUUGUGUAGUGGGUUGAAUAACAGUAGGGUGACACGUAGAAGGUGAAGAUAGUAAGGGAGCGACAGGUGGACAAGAGGCAGAUGGAGGGGAUGUAGAAGUCGUAGGUUGAUAAGAUGGGCUAGGUAGGGCAAGUGGAGGAGAUGUAGAAACAGUAGGUUGAUAAGGGUGGGCUAGGUAGGACAGGUGGAGGAGGUGUAAAAAUAGUAUGAGUAUUGUGAGUUGUAGUUGAUGUAAUGAGUGAUGAAGAACGAGGCAGCAUGACCAGCAACUUGGAACUAGAUUUUGACGAGUCAGUGGUGGUGGGUUCAGGUUUGAGUGACUCUUUUUUAAACGGGAAUGUUGACUUACAAAAUGAAACAUGAUGAGAAAUAUACACUUUUCCAUUAGCAUCUUGACACUGAUACCCCUUAUGUAGAGGCGAAUAACCUAAGAACGUGCAGGGAAUGGAACGAAACUAUAGUUUAUGAGUGUUAUAUGGCCGAAGAUUUGGAAAACAUAGACAUAUAAAAACUCGAAGGAAAGAAUAGUCUGGUGGAACCUAGAAUAACUUUUCAUAGGGUGACAUAUUUCCUAUAGGGGAAGAAGGUAACCUGUUUAUCAAGUAUAUUGAGAUGCUGAAGGUAUCAUUCCAGUAGGACAAAGGCAUAGCAGCAUGAGCUAACAUGGAUCAGCCAACUUCCAUGAUCUGCCUAUGCUUUCUCUCAACUAAUCCGUUUUGCUCAGAACUGUAUGGACAUAAAACCCUCUGCUGAAUGCCUUGUUAAGACAGGUAAUUCCUUAACGCCUGAAACUCACCACCCCCAUCGGUUUGUAACGCAAGCAGUUUGCAACCAAGAGACCGUUCUGCUUGUUUAUGAAACAGUGGAAAGAUGUGCAACACUUCAGAUUUUUUCUUUAAAAAAUAAACCCAUGUGUACCUGGUACAUGUAUCAGUAAAAGCUACAUAGAAACGAAAACCAUUAGAGAGAAUUGGAGCAGGACCCCAAACAUCUGCAAUUAUUAAUUGUAACGGUGUAGAAUACACAGAGGUAGACUUAGAAAAUGGCAACUUGCAUUCUUUGCCUAAAUGACAAGCAACACAUGAAAACAAAUCUGCAAACGAGCCAAAGUCUAUAUUACAAUAUUGUAACACCUUUUUAAGUGUAGCAGUACAGGGAUGUCCUAGCCUAGAAUGCCAUAGGCUGAGAGGGAGGAGUUUAGCAACAGCACAACAGUGAACUAAAGUAGGGACCCCAACUAGUUGAGAUGAGCUAGCUAAGUCGAGCUUGUACAGCCCACCAUGUACGGAACCUCUGAGAAAGACCUCAUUGGUUUGAAGGUCGCGAACACGACACUGUAUAGGCAAAAACUUAAACAUUACUUGAUUAUCUUUAGUAAACAUAGAUACCAGUAAUAGAUUUUUGGUUAUCCCAGACACACACAGCAGUGACUUCAGGAACAAAGAACGUGAUAGAGUACGAAGAGAAGACUGACCAGUGUACUGUCACUCAGAGAAGUAGGGGAAUUGGUGAGGUGAUGUGACGCGCCUGAGUCUGGAUACCAUGCGUUAUCGCCCAUAAUAUCAGGUGUAGCAAUAAGAGCCUGAAACUGAGUUGAUGAUGAUGACCCUGGGGCAGAUGUACUGAUAUGCUACAUGGGAUUAGUAGCAAAAGGAUUAGUCCAGAGCUGAGUAGGUGUGGGAGGGGCAUGCCAUUACUGUUGUGGAUAGGCAGGCAUCCAGGGAUGAGGCGAAGCACCAUUGCCAACCAGGCAAACAUUUUCCUGAGGAGAAGGAGGUGGCCUGUAGCCUGUACUUUUGAAUGUGGUAUCAAAUCAGUAAUAACACCGAUCAACAAGAUGACCAGCCUUCCCGCAUAAUUGACAUUGAAAUUGCGAACCUGAAAAAUGACCUUGCCCACGACCACGAGCACCUGAUGAGGGUCGAUAAGCUGGUAGAGUGAAAUUAUUGUCAGCAGAGCUAGUAGGCUGAUGUGUGACCAUGUUGGCAGAACUAAAAGCAUCAAACACAACUAGUUGCUGACGAGCUUCAGUAUCGAGUAACAUAGUAGUAACACUCUGAACACUGUAAAGAAUUGAACUGGCAGUAAUGAUUGUAAGCACUGACUCAUAUUCGGACGAUAAGCCAUUAAAGAUGGCUAUAGCAUGUUCUCUUUCACUGAUAGCCUCUCCACAACUAGCAAGGCUAUCACAAUAGCCUUUAAUUUUCAUCAAGAAUUCCUUCACAAACUGAUCCUUACGUUGUGAAUGUAACGCCCUUCUAUAGAACAUUAACUGAGAUGUAGUUUUGCUGCCAAACAACCUAACAAGAGCAUUCCAAAUCUGCAUACUCGUAUCAAGACCAAUAAGAUGAGGAAGAACCGUAGUACUCACCGAUGACAAUAAGCACGACAUAAGAGCACUAUCUUGCUGUUCAAAAUGAGCAAACUCUGGAUUUUCUUGUGAAACACUAGCAUCAUCAAGAAGAAACUGAGAAGGAGGAACAAACUGUGGAUCAAGAAACCUCCAAAGCUUAUAAGUUUUUACUGCUAAGAGAACUUGAUGACGCCACAGCAAGUAAUUAUGAUCAUCAAGAAGCACACUGAUCUUCUUGGUAGAGAAAAACUGACUAUCAACCACUUCAUCUGGUAGAACGGAUGACAUCGCCGAUGCAACAGAUUGAAUUACAGAUGGGCUAGAAAGGGAAGUCAUGAACGACUACCUCAGGAAUGAACAAAACUUUGAUACCAUGUCAAAUUCUAUACUAAAGAGAAAUUUUGUAUUGAAUCAAGAAAAUGAAUGCAUCAAAAAUUUUAUUUGAGAAGUAUCUGUGCCACACUAUAUAUAGGAAACAUGAAGCUGAUAACUGCUCAUAACAGCUAACAAUUAUUAGUAACUAACAGCAACUGACACUUAGACUUAACAGAAUUCUAACUGAAGUUAAUUCCUAACUCAGCCAUACUCUAACACCAAUCAGGGGAUCUCCAUGUCUUUCACCCUUACCAACAUAUCAUCGAUAUCAGUUAGCUCAAGCUUAUUCAGAUCGCUUUCUAAUCUUCAGUAAAUUUCAGCAACUGCAUUCAUAAUGUUGCUUUGAAACUCUUGAUUAUUCAAUCGAAAUUGGUCAACAAAUCGAGCAUGGUUUUGAAAUAUUUUAUUGAGCGCGUCAGCAUUGUGUUGAGAAACCUCGUAUCUGUUGAUGAUGACAGCUAUGACAUCAAAGGUUGAGAAUAAGUGAAAUGCUAAAAAUUAUCUCAAAUAUAACUCAAAGAAAAAUAAAUUCAUGAAAUAGUAGCUUGCAGCCAUUACUUUGGAGCAAAUCAUCUAACCAACUUUCCUAGGCCACAAAAUCUCCACGUCUCCCAAAGCACCCAUAGGAUUAGAAGAUCUUUUAAAUCAAUCGAAUCAUCUCACUCGAAUACUUUAUUAAUUUUAUACAAAUUAUUCUUCGCAUCAACAAAUAUUAUUCAUGACAAUGCACCCACUUUCAUGCAGAAUUAAUUUUACCAUGUAAGGAAUUGUCUCCAUGAAUUACUGUCAUCUUUUAGUUUAAGAUGAACAAAUUUUGACGAGUAAUAACUUUCUUUACCAACAUGAUAUCUAUUUUGAUGAUAUGACAUGCUUUCUUUUGAUUCAAGAAAGACAAUCAAUGACUUGAAAUUGGACCAUGAUUUUAAAGGACUUGGGUUUAUAUAAGAUUAUAUAGGUGGUAAUUCAAUUUCCUUUUCUGAUAAGGAAUUCCGUUUUAACUUUAACUGUGAUUUUUAAGUUGUUGUUUUCUUAUUGUAAAUUGUUUAAAAAAAUAAUCGCAUUUUAACUUGCAAACUUAAAUCUUAAACUAUUGUCUUUAUGUUUACUUUUUGAUGAUAAUUAACAAAAAUAUUUGGUUUUAAAUUUUAAUACAAUCAAUGAAACACAAUUCACAUAAAUGAAUAAUGAUGAAAUUUGACGUGAUUAAAUAAAUAUUAAAUUUUGUUAUAUUUUUAAUAAUGAAUAUAGGUAAAAUAGUAAUAAAUCGGCAUUUUAAUGUCAUUUAAAACGUGUCAAAUAAAUAUUAGAUUAGAUAUUCAAUACUAAUAAUCAAUAUAUAUUAAUUGAAUUAGACAUUAUAAUUAGUCAUGACUGUCAAAAUUCAAAAUUGUAAAAAUUAAUAUAUAUUGAAUUAAAUGACUACAAUACAUAAUUUUAUUCAAAUAAUAAUAAUGAAAAAAAGAGUGUUUAAGACAAUUUCAUUGUAUUUGUUUGUUCUAUGAUCCAACUAUGGUAGGUAAGUGUGACGUAGGCUCAUCGUACUCCCAUCCAAUGGCUUUAAUUUGCUCUAAUGGAAUCGAAAAUGAAUCAAUCCUUUUAACUUCUUCUUCUUCCUCCUCUUCAUCAUCGGAAAUCGAUUUUAUUUCUAAAAAAAAUUUUGGGUCGAUUUUGGAGUUCCAAUCACUAUCAUCGAUAUACAUAUCUGCUGCAUUACUUGGCAACUUAUUUGUGCAAGGAAAACGAUGAUAAUAUUCCCAGAAACUCUGUUUGGCUUCCUGAAAAGCUUUUAAACCAGCUGAAUCAUCCCAUUCGAAUACUUUAUCUAUUUUGAACAAAUUAUUCUUUGAUUCAACAAAUCUUUUCCAUGGCAUUGCACCCACUUUUAUGCAGAAUUUUUUCUCCCAUGCAGGUAAUGGUUCCCAAGACUUAUCGCUGUCAUUCAGUUUGGAACGAGUAAAUUUCAGACUGUAGUACCUUUCUGGGCGAUUAUGGUACCUUCUUCGAUAGUAUGACAUGAUUUCUUGUAAUCCAAACAAAUAAAUAAAUUGAAAUCACUAAUGAUAUGAAUUCAUAGUGAAGAGAUUUGUUGGGUUUAUAUAAUAUUAUUAGAGUCAGUGAUGACUCAAUCCUUUUCCCUGUUGGAAAAGGAAUUCUAAUUUUUGUUAAAUAAACUUAAAUGAAAAGUUAAGAGUUAUGUAAGUGAAAGGUCAAGAGUUGAAUUUCAAAAGUGUUCGAGGAAAAUGUUUGCGAGUCGACGUUGAAAACAAGGUGUCAUUAUGGCAUCUCUGUUUUGGCCACUUACAUUAGGUGGUCUAAACGAGUUAGCAAAGAAGAACAUGGUGCAUGAGCUACCAGACAUGGACUAUGGGGGAAAAUUUUGUGAAGAAUGUGUGCUUGGCAAGCAUGCGAGAAUUUCGUUUCAAAAGAAAGCAGAAUAUCGGGCUAAGCAACUUCUCGAAUUGAUUCAUACCGAUAUAUGUGGACCAAUCACCCCCGAAUCUUUUAGUGGUAAAAGGUAUUUCAUUUCUUUUAUCAAUGAUUUCUCACGAAAAACUUGGGUUUAUUUUCUUAAAGAAAAAUCUGAGGCAUUCGAGGUGUUCAAGAAGUUCAAAGUGAUGGUGGAAAAAGCACACAUCAAAUCUGUACGAUCUGAUAGAGGUGGCGAGUAUACUUCGACGGCUUUCAUGGAGUAUUAUGAGGAGCAAGACAUAAGAUGAUUCCUAACCGCACCGUACUCUCCCUAACAAAAUGGUGUGGCCAAGAGAAAGAAUCGGACUAUUCUUGACAUGGUUCGAUCAAUGCUCAAGAGCAAGAAGAUGCUGAAGGAAUUUUGGGCGGAAGCCGUGCAAUGUGCCAUCUAUGUGCAAAAUCGAUGUCCACAUGCGAAGUUGGAUGAUCAAACACCACAAGAGGCUUGGAGCGGAAAAAAACCAUUAGUUUCUCAUCUCAAAGUAUUUAUAGUGAGGCCUAUGCACAUGUGCUGGAUCAGCGAAGAACGAAGCUCGAAGACAAAAGCAAAAGGUUUAUUUUUAUUGGGUAUGAUGAGAAAAUAAAAGGAUACAAGCUACUCGACCCGAUAAGUAAGAAGGUUGUAGUAAGUCAUGAUGUACGAUUCAAUGAAGCAAGCGAGCGGGAUUGGAAUAACUCAACGGAGGUUAUCAUCAAAGAUGGAGGAUCAUCAAUUGUUACACCAACAAUCAUACCGACAAAUCCUGAAACUACCGAUGAUGAAUAUGAACCGCAACAACCAAAAAUGUGAAGUUUGCAAGAUUUGUAUGAUUCAAUAAAUGAGGUACAUAUUGUAUGUCUUUUGGCAGAUUCUGAGAAUAUAAGUUUUGAAGAGGCAGUGCUACACAAGAAGUGGCAAACAGCUAUGGACGAGGAGAUUAAAGCAAUUGACCGUAAAAACACAUGGGAGUUAACGAAAUUACCGAAAGGAAGUCAGCCCAUUGGUGUAAAGUGGGUGUUCAAAAGAAAGAUGGAUGCUCAAGGCGAGUUAGAACGGUAUAAGGCGCGACUUGUUGCAAAGGGAUAUAAGCAAAAGGAGGGGAUCGAUUAUGACGAGGUAUUUGCUCCCGUUGUAAGAAUGGAGACAAUCCGAUUGCUCUUUGCACAAGUAGCUUAAUUUAAAUGACCGAUAUUUCAAAUGGAUGUCAAGUCGACAUUCUUGAAUGGUGUGCUCGAAGAAGAAGUCUACAUCGAACAACCACCCGGGUACAUAAAAAAUAGAGAAGAGAAGAAGGUGCUGAAAUUGAAGAAGGCACUUUACGGGUUGAAGCAAGCACCGCGGGCAUGGAAUACUCGUAUCGAUACAUACUUCAAGAAGAACGAGUUCAAACAAUGUCCUUAUGAACAUGCCCUCUACGUGAAGAAGAAUGGAGGUAAUAUGUUAUUUGUUGCUCUUUAUGUCGAUGACCUCAUUUUUAUGGGGAACAAUGGUGAGAUGAUACUAGAUUUUUAAGAGCAAGAUGACACAAGAAUUCGAGAUGACAGAUUUGGGUUUAAUGAAGUAUUUCCUUGGUUUAGAGGUUAGACAAAAAGAGACAGGUAUUUUUGUGUCACAGGAGGCAUAUUCAAAGGAAAUUUUGAAGAAAUACAAGAUGACACAUUGCAACUCGGUAUCAACACCAAUGGAACCAGGUGUAAAACUCUCGAAAUUCGAUGGAGGAGAACGAGUCGACGCAAGCAAAUACCUGAGUUUGGUGGGAAGCCUUCGCUAUCUCACUUGCACAAGGCCGACAUUUCGCUAAGUGUUGGCAUUGUAAGCCGAUUCAUGGAGGAGCCGGUUUAUUCACAUUGGAAGGCGUUGAAGCGAAUCCUAUGGUACAUUCAAGGAACAGUGUCACUCGGGUUAUUUUAUUCAAAUAUGGAAGAUUACAAGUUGAUUGGGUAUUCCGACAGUGAUUGGUGUGGAGAUUUAGAUGAUCGAAAAAGUACAUCGGGAUAUGUGUUCUUUUUGGGUAACACGGCGUUUACUUGGCUUUCAAAGAAGCAACCAAUCGUAACACUCUCGACAUGUGAAGCUGAAUAUGUGGCAGCAUCUUAGUGUGUGUGUCAAGCUAUAUGGCUCAGAAAUUUGUUGGGCGAGUUGGAGCAACAACAACUUGGUGCAACUGAGAUACGAGUUGACAAUAAAUCAGCGAUUGAGUUGGCAAAGAACCCAGUGAAUCAUGAGAGAAGAAAACACAUUGACAUUCGUUUUCAUUUCAUCUGAGAUCAUGUAAAGGAAGGAAGUGUGAAAUUAGUGCACGUGGCAAGUCGAGACCAAGUUGCGGAUAUCUUCACAAAACUGCUACCGAUGGUACUCUUCGACAACUACAAGAAAUUAAUCGGCAUGAAGGAUGACAGAAGCAUUUAAGUUUACAGGGGAGUUUUGUUAAAUAAACUUAAAUGAAAAGUUAAGAGUUAUGUAAGGGAAAGGUCAAGAGUUGAAAGGUCAAGAGUUAUGUUGUUUUUAUAAUGGGUUUAAAUUAGUAGUUUUUGUUUAGGAGAAUGAAAGGUCAAGAGUCAUUUGUUAUUAUUAGAUUUUAAUCUUUUUGUUUUAAAGGAUUAUCUAUAAUCUAUAAAUAGUUUGUAAGCAUUUUAUAUGAAUGUGAACAAUUUUACAUUGAGAACAAUUUUAUCAAUUUAAGUAUGACUAUGAUUUCUAUUUUCUAAAUAUUUGUAUAAUAAAAUUAUUAAAAAAUAAUUAUAUCUGUAUUGAUUCAUUUCCCCCUGAUUGAUACGUUACAUCCCUAGCUUCUCUAGAAUCCUCAUUGACUAUCUGAUCUCUUCACCCAUUGGUGUUCCCCCAAGAAUGUUUUUUCUCGUUUUCUCCUCCUAAUUCAUCUCCGCGAUCAUCACCUCCUAGGUUACCGUUUUCAACUUUCUUCCAGUACACCACUUUUCCCUUAAAGUGAGCUAAGUUCACAUUUACUUUACUUCCAUAUAUAUAGAAUCCAUUAAGUUUACUAAUUGCCCUCUUAUCAUCCACAAUGCUUGCAAAUCUUACUAAAGACCUUUUCGAUGCCUCUUGCUAGGAAUAAACGCGUCAAACGCUUUGCCAUGGAACUCAGAGAUUUUCCAUGGUCCCUUCCAAUGAAAACAAGAAGGAAGAUUAGAAACAUAAACUGAAAUCACCAUUUUCUCUAAGGAUUUAGCCUAGUAAUAGUUAACAAUAACUCCACGGCAUCUGAUUAAAAGCACAAGUUAAUUGAAUUACCAAGAACAAUGUUCUUCAAUACUAUUCCAAAUUCAAUUUUGGAACUUUUGUUAUCAUAGCUUUCAACUGUUUGAAACUCUGUUGGUAUUAUUCAAUCGCACAUAACUAACAUUUUCUGUGGCAACUUCGUCAUGGUAGAGCUAUCAUCGACAAGCCUGAACAAAUCAUCUGUAGUAUACAAUAAAUCCUAGAGAACUACAUACUUCUACAUUAUUCCCCAGAGAUUCCCUAAUUCACAUUUAUUAGAAGUUCAUUCGAAAUAACUCAAAUAUAUUCUACUGUUAAUAAGAGGUUUAAAAAAAUUAUUUCUAAAAAUAAUUAUUUAUUGAUCUUCACAAAUAAUUAUUUCUCUUGUAAUAUCUGUAACACUGUUUUUCUAAUAGUACUAAUCGUAUUCAAUUUUUUUUGUUCACAUGAAUUGAGUAUCUUUAAUUAUAUAGCAACAACUCUGAUAAGAUACAACUAGAAACUUUUGUCUAUUAAAUAUAUAAAGUGACUAUGCAAUUGAUAAUCAUAUACAAUAAUCAACAUUUGACUAAACUUUGCAACCUAUACAACUUUUUGUGGGAUUUCGACAAAAUAUAAACAGAAACCCCGAGAAGACACUUAAAACAUUUACUCAUCCAUGGCAACUGGCUGAAAAAAUUUAGGUUGUCUAGCUCAUAAUCAUAUACAAGGUCAAUACCAAAUUCUAUGACAGAUAAAUCUGAAAGAACCCGAAGAGUAAUAUGAUCACCAGCUUCUAAUUCAUCACCCCUAAAGUUCCAACAAGUCGUCCAGUAUAAGGAAUUCUUAGUUUCAGGAAUUCCCAUGAAAUGUUUGGAGUAGGUCCACUUUGUACCUUUGGUCUCGUUCACAAUUUCAAGGCAUGGUAAAAAUCCAUAUGUUUUAUCAUUCUUGGCAGAAAAAAUGAUAAUCGAAUUUAAGAAGCAACUUAUCUUUCGACUAGAGUUUGGGGGCACUGAUAUUGAAACCUCAGUCUUGCCAGCGUGAUGGCCAUAGUAAUGACCAUGGUAAUCAAAUGGCACUGGAUCAAAUGUUGUAAUUAUACCGUAAUCAUAUAAUACCUGUAGCAUUGGGUUAGAGAAUGAGUUAUUAAAAAGUAUAUAUUAUAUAAAUAAUUUUAAAAACUUGGAACUUGUAAAGGGAACCUGUGGGGAAGCAACCACUUUUGAUUCUUCUAUAUAACUGCAAAGUUGCACUUUAGCAUUUCCAAAAGAUUCCAAACUGCGCAAGUGUUUUGUUAGGUCCAUCUUGAUGUUUCUUGUGGAAACUUCACCUCCUAAAAUAUGUACAGUAAUGUGUUAUUUAUUAAUUUUAGUGAUCAUCAACAUAAUAUGCGUAUUAGAAAGUAAUAGUAUUGACUCGAAUGAGUGAUAAUUAAAGCUUUUAUCAAACACUCAUUUGACACGAAUUCAAAUCGUGACCCAUCCCUUAUACUCAAUAUUGUAUGAAAAAAAGAUAUCAAAGUAGUAAUGAUAUUAUCACUAAAAUAUAUUAUAAGACUUGUAAGAAAUAAUCAAUUAUACACAUUAUAUCUUUAUUUUUAUAUAAAAUAUAAACUUUAAAACAAUUAAAUAUGUUAAUCAAAACACCACUGUUAUAAUUUUAUCCAUUAUUUUAGUUUCCACUUCUAUUAGUACUAUUGGAUUAAUCAUUUAUCAAACAAUUAACUUAUUUUCAUUAGACCCCAAUUGCAGCAUAACUUUAUAAUUAUCAUUUUAUUAUUAAGCUAAAUUGUCACAUUUCUUGAUAAUAGUUUUAUUGUAUUAGAAAGUCUUUUAGAGAAACAUUCAUCAUUUCUUGAACAUUUGUUAUUCACAUAUAAAAUGAAACAAUAAAAUAAAUAUAAUAGGAUGUAUUUACUAAAAUAUAAUUAUUUGAAGUCUACUCAUACCUGUAGAAAAGUGCGAAAGGCCAUAUUCAUAUCUAAUGUUGUGUUCUGUUUCAUAAGUAACGCCAAAUUUUCUUAUGCUGAGAUGAAUAGGCACUACCAUGCAACUCACAAGGUCACCACCUUCAAACUGACAGUCCGUUACUGGCCAAUGAAUCAACCACAACAUUGUGUUAUCGUUAGUCUCAGGAAUUCCAAUGAAACUUGAGCGAUAUCUCUGCAUGAUCAUUUUGGUCUCAUUGAAAAUGUGGACACUUGGUAGAAGCUCCAACAUUUGGUCACUAGCUAAAGAGAAAACAACGCAUAAGCUGAACCGAUGGAUCUUUUCAUCUGGAUGAGAUGGUGUUGGCAAAAAAAAAGAGAUUCGAUGCUCGUUAGUGCGAUGCUUAAACCCAAUCGGAACUUCACUUCCUACAACAAAUGUGCUUGUUAGACCACAUUCUUGCAAGACCUGAUCCAAAAAAAAACAAGUUAGAUGAUUAAGUAGUAUAAGAGAAAAAUAGAUUUAAAAUUUAAGUUGGAGAACUAUUGGACCUGUGGGGUAGCUAGCAUUAUGCUGUCUGUUAGGUAGCUAUAAAUUUGCAGUCGAUUUCUGUUAAUGGAAUCUACGUUGAAUAAUCUUCUAAUCUCUUCUGCUUCAAAGUUUUCAAUUGGUUCCAACUUGAAUAGAUCUUCAACCUCAGUCAAUUUUUCACAUCCAAAAAUAACACAUCGUGUGGAAGAAAAGAAGCAUGGAAGAAUUAUCCCAGAUCCUUGAAAUGGAGAAUUGUCUCCAAAACUAAACUUGCACUUAAGAACAUUGAGCAAGACCGGAAGUUUUGGAAUCAUUUGGAGUUCAGUGCAAGAAGUCAACAGAAGUUCAUCAAGUUUUGUAAGGUUUUUUAAGCUUUCGGGUAGGUAAUGAAUUGGGUUUCUACUUAAAUUUAAGGAUUUCAAGGAAGCCAAGUUACAAAGAUCAUUGGGCAUGACAUCAUUAGAUAAUUUGCAACUUUCAAGGCUUAAAUUUACCAAACAGCCCGGUAGAGAUGCCCAAGAGAAACCCAAUCCUUUGCUUCUUUUCAGUAAGAGCCACUGCAACCCCAAUCUUGAUUGAUAUAUGGCAGUUUCAUCUAAAUUAAGCACCUUCAAUGAUUCCAUAUUAUGCAACUCCCUAGGAACAUCAUCAAGUCUUGAACAACCAGAUAAGAUAAGCUCUUCAAGUGAUAUUAAUGAACCAAUUGUCCUUGGAAGAUGCCUAAGACUAGUGCAAUCUUUAAGGUUCAAGAAAGUAAGCAUCUUUAGCUCACCAAUGGAUUGAUCAACUUCCACCAAAUUUAUGCAAUCUUUGAGCAUCAACUUCUCAAGGCUAGGGAGUCCUGAAAACCUUGGGGUUUUAAGAAGGCUAUGUGAAUGGUUGAGAUUAAGGAUCUUCAAAUUUGGGAGGCACUGCAAAAAAAGAAAACCCUUCAUUUAUAUAUUAUGGUUUCACACACACACAAAAAGAAGUUAAAUUAGUAUAUGUCAUACCUCUGUACCCUUCCAAACUUGUUUAAGUUUACUGUUGCGCAUGUCGAGAACAACUAGUUCAUUGAUAUCGAAAUCCACCGGAAAAGAUUGCAUACAAAAGCCAUGCCAACGUAACCAUCUUAAUCUUUUGGGAAAGUCUUUGAAGUCUCCUUUAAGUCUUACAUAAUCCAGUUGAAGCAGUUUAAGUCUCUUCAUCUUUGCAAAUGCUUGAGUUUCCAUAUCAACAUCAUUUUCCAUGAGAAACUGACUUUUGGAAUGCUUUGGAAAAUGUAGAGUUGUAUUUGUCCUUUUAGCCUUGUCUUCUAGCAAUCCUUUUAGGUCAAUUGUGAGGCACUUAACUGUUCUGGAACCCUGAAUCAGAAAAACUUUUUUAAAAAAUAAAAAGAAAUUUGAUAAAAAAAAAAGUAGUUUACAUGCACACAAGAAAAAAGUUGAGAAAAAUGAUGUUUCUUACAAUUUUUUCUCUUAUUACAUCAAACGCGUUCUUAUGCCACAAUCUGCUUCGUUUCCCAAUAUCAGAAGAUUCUUGACGAAUAAUUUCUCGUCCCAUAUCUCUAAUCAUUUGGUGCAUCAUUAGCUUAUUUUUUUCAUUAAUGAUUAAGAGAGACUUGCCUACUAGAUUUUCAAUUCCAAUUGUUGUAUAGUAAUCACAACCAUCUAGAAUUGUAGUCGUGUAAUCUCUAUCAUUCCCAAUGAAUAAACAAACUAUGUCAAGGAAUAAAUUUUUGUCAUGAUCGUCUUCCAAAGAAUCAUAGCUUAUUCUUAGAAUCUCUUGAAUUUUGCAGUCAGGGAUUUCUUCCAAUUUCUCCAAUGCACUUUUCCAAGAACUCACACUUUUGCUAGAUAAUGAAGAGCCCAAAACUUGAAGAGCUAACGGAAGCCCACCACAGUGUUUCACUAAACUUCUUGCAUAUGCCAUUGAACUUUCAAGCACAGAGUUAUGGCCAAAAGCAUACCAAUUAAAAAGUUGUAGCGAUUCACUUGAAGCUAAUUCUUUUACUUCAAAUAGCUUGCUUAAGCCUCCACAGCUAGUUGAUGCUUCCAAAUCAAACAUUUGGCUUAUAAAAUGUGCAUUCAAUAGGCAUCGGUUUCUACUAGUUAUGAUGAUUUUACUUCCCGGAUGAAAAUGAAUUUGAGUUCCCAUUAAUUUUCUUAUUUUUUCCAAUUCAUCAACAUCAUCAAGAACAAGAAGAACUCUUCUACAACAUACAAUUUCUUUGAUCCUGUUAAUUCCAUUAUCUAUAUUGUAUAUUUUAUGUGAUUUUCCUUUAAGGAGAUCUGAAAUAAGUUGUCUUUGCAAACGGACUAAACCAUUGCAAUCUUGACUUGUUUCUCUAACAUCAGCAAGGAAACUAUAACCUUCAAACCUCGGGAUGAUUUGAUUGUAAACAACUUUGGCAAUGGUUGUCUUCCCAAUUCCUCCAAUGCCACAAAUAGUUGCAAUGCCAACUUUAUUUGCUCCAUCUUGUUCUAACCAUUGAUUAAUUUGUGUCACAAGAGAAUCUAUUCCAACUAAAUAAGGAGGGACAUACAAAGAAAUAGGAUGAAGUUUAUUUUGAACCUCUUUAACAAUAUCUUGAAUGAAUUGUGAUUCAUGCCUACAAAUUUAAAAAAUACAACUCAAUGGUAAAAUCUUGGAAAUUAAGUAAAAGUUACUAAUAUUUUUUCUCUUUUCUUGCAUAUAUUUUGUUUUUUUUAUGAGAUUAUAUGUUCAUGGUAAAAAUAAGAAACUAAUGCAACAUUUUGAUAUAUAUGAUAGAAUUAUUACAUUCAAAUUCAAAUUAAAUCGAUUGUUUUUUUGAGAUUAUAUGUUCAAGUAAAAAUAAGAUCAAACUAAUGCAACAUUUCAACAUAUAUGAUACAUUCAAAAUCAAAUCAAAUCAAAUAAAGCAACAUAAAAAUUAAUGAAAUUCAUUCGAGAAGUAACCUAUACUUAAAAUUUCAACUUUCUCUUUAUGAAAGUUUAAUAAAUUCAUGUUAUUUACAUGAAUUUAUAUAUUUAAUUUUUAUUCAUUGUAAUGCUUUGAAUAUGUGUAGACCUAUUACACGAAUAACUUGGAUAUAAUUGUUGGAAAUAUACUAUUGCAAAAUAGAAAUGUUACAGGAGACCAAACUGAAUGUAAAUAAAAUAAGAAUCGCUAUGUCGUGGAAGAACCACUGCAUUAGAGGCAAAUUUGCCCUGAUCGGUGUAAUUAUGUAGUGGACGUUACCCCCCAACACAAUACUCCAAUAUUCAUACACCCGAAUAAAGAAGGUGGAACACGAUUGACAUUACUCUUCCCGGAAAAAAAAAUUCAAUUCUCAAGAAAGAUUAAAAGGGUCACAAACAAUCCCGCUUAAAACUUAAUCUCUUAGACAGAAUUUCCCUCUCGUGUAAUUUUGCAGAACACUAGAAUUUAGAGAACAUAGAGAAGUUGUUUUUCUCUUGUUGUGUUAGGUGGGAGAAUGGCCUCCUCUGUAUACAAUUUUUUGAUGGGCAAAAUGGUAAAAUAACAGUUUUAGUUUCCAAAAAUAACAAAGAAAUUUCUUAACUGAAAAUAUUCUAAAAAUAUUUUAUGCAACAGUUAGAGGAUUUUCCGCAAUUGAAAAUAUUCUUUUGCAUUACCAACAUCUUAGAAAACCACAAACAGUGUCAUUAAAUUCAAGAGGCUAUUUCUUUUUGUUUUCAACUCGUCAAAUUCAAGUUGUUCAUGUGAUAGGUGCAAACACAUUUAAAAUUUGAUCUAUGUGUUUUAAAAACAUCCCACAUCAAAUCCAAGCUAACAUUUAAUGCUUAAGCUGAUGACUUGUUUGAUAGAAAGAACUUAUUCAUACAAUACUAAUAUUUUAAUGACUCAAUUAAAACAUAUUAAUGUUUGAGAAAUAAUUUAAAAUCUGAGUUAUAAUUAACCCUUUAAAAUGGAUUGAAGUAACCAUUUUAAUUUCCAAAUGCUACCUAACAAUAUUUUCUAUUAAUUUUCUUUCUACUCUAUCUAUAAAGUCUUAAUGAAAACGAUUGAAGUAACUGUAUGGAACUUGAUUAUGUGUAUAACGUACCUGUCUUGUAGAACCAUGCCUCCUAUAUCCGCAACUUCUUUUAAAGCAUUCCUCCAUCUUUGUACCAUGUUGGUUUCGGACUCGAAGUUUUGUUCAUGUUGGGAAAAUGCUUCUGCAUAACUUCCCGUCUGGUUCUUGACUUGACUCGGAUCCACAUCAUAGAAAACUGGCAACACAAUAUGUUUAGAGGAUUUCUUGUGCUCCAAUAUCAUUACAAGUUCGUUAAGACACCAUGUGGAUGCAGCAUAAUUCUUUGAGAAAACAACGAUAGAAAUUUUGGAGUGGUGUAGUAUUGCUUUUUCAAUUUCAUCUUUUAUGUUAUUCCCUCUCUCGAUUUCCUCAUCAUCUCUAAAUGUUUGAAUUCCUAAGUGCACCAAAGCUGUGUAAAGAUGAUCCGUGAAACUUUUGCGCGUAUCUUCACCUCUAAAACUCAAGAAUACAUGAUAAGUACAUCGCGAGAUUGCUGACUUUGCCAUUGAAAAAGAAAAUGAAGUCGUUUUUUUUUUUUAUAUUAACAAGGUUCCAGCAUAUAUAUAUAUAUGUAUAUAUGAAUGGCAAAGCAGAUAUUAUUAGCAGUCAAGUGGCAGUUCCCAAUCCAUGGUGGGUCAAUCCUUCCACCAGUUCAUACAGCUGCCCGAAGAAAUUCAUGUCGCCCAUGUUGUUUUUUUCCAAAUCUACCAACUUGGGUUACGUAUUCUAUAUUAUUAAUUUUGCUUGACAAAUACAAUGUAUUGAUUAACUUGAUGGUUAUCGCUAACACAACACAUAAUAUAGCCAUCAUCUUCAGGCUAAUAUUAGAAAAAAUACUAUGAAGGUUCUUGUAUCUUAAGUCAUAUUAUAUUUUGUUUUCUCUACUUAAAAAAUAGUAAAUUAGUCUUUGUAUAUUAGAUUAAAAGGUAAAUUAAUUCUUUUGUUAAAAAAAUUAUCCAUUGUUAUUGUUAAAAAUUGGUUCAUGUAAUCAACAUGACGUAUACGCGACACGCCACAUUCAACUAUCUGGUUAUUUCGUCAUUCACGUUAGUUUUUAAUAACAAAAAUGGAUGAAAUUUUUAAUAAAAAUGAUAAAUUUGUUCUUUUAUCUAAUGCAUAUGGACUAACUUGCUUGUUUUUAAACAAAAUAGGUUAAAUACAAUUUGACUCUCAAUAGAAUUACCUCCAUGAUACUUUUACCAGCUAAUACCUUGGUGGAUACAGUCAAUAAUUAAACCACAACCACAAUAUAUUACAUAGACAUCACAUUAAACAUUCAAUUUUGAUAUAAUAAAGAAACAAUUUUAGUAUCUAUGCAUGAAUGAAGAAUUAAUUGUUUUUGAAAAAGAAUUGGUGAUUAAAUUGAUCUCAAUUGUUUAUUUGAUUUGUUCGUGUUAUCUAAACUAAAUAAAUUUUUAAAAAUUAAAAAAAAUAAAAUUCACGUAUUUCGCACGUUAAAGUAAAUUGAAAAUGAGAAUUGAGAGGGACAUAAAAGAAGGAGAAUAAUUCCGAAGUAUUUGGGGUGGAAAAUAGUAGUACUAGAAAACGCGUUUCAAUCGCUUUUCAUUUCGGAGUCAUGCUUACGGUCCAUUUGGUGCUCAACAUUUUUAUUAAAAAUAUUAUUUCAAUAGAGUUUUUCAACAGAGGUAAAAGUUGUACACUAUAAAAAAAUAUAUAUUAUCAGACCUUAAACAAUGAUUUAUGGGCCUUAAAUUAGCAAUUAAAGAGGAUGGGAUAAGGGUAAGGUUGAGUAAUUGAUCCAAAAUUUCAUGCUGAGGGCAACUAGCACAAAAUUUUUCCAAUACUCAUUAAGGAUCUUCAUAUCCUUUUUGUGGUAUGCCAUAGAUUUCUUUCCUAAUUGAAGCACCAAGUGAAGAAAAAAAAAUUCAACCAAUAUUCUUACCAUAUCUAUUUUAAAGUUUUAAUAUAAUUAAUGAAAAACAAUUUACAUAUAUAAAUCAUCAAAUUUGAAAGGCUUAGAGAACUUCAUGUGAUAAUCUAAUGAUUAAGGUUGUUUAUUACUUUAAAUAUGACCUAAAUUUGAAUCGCGCUACUUACAUUGAUUAUUCAAGCUUUACUUAUUAUUGUAAUUCAAAAAAAUUUAGUACUUAAAUAAAUAUUGAAUUUUGUCACAUUUAAUAUAGAGGACAUGAGAGGAGGAGAAUAAUUCCCAAGUACUUGGUGUGGAAAAUCGUGGUACUAGAAAACGCGUUUCAAUUACUUUUCAUUUUGGAGUCGUGCUUACGUUCCAAGACUUUAGACCAUUAGCAAUUAAAGAGGGGCCUCAACAAAAUUAUGGCCCCAACUGUUUCAACUAACAUAAUAAAUUCGUGGGCUAACCAAUUUCAGUGCAAUAAAAGUAGUGAAGAGGAUGGGACAUUGUCAGUAAUGCAAAGUGGAAUCCCUCGUUACAGCCUUCAAAUUUUUUGGUUCACAAUAUUUUAGGAAGAACUCGAUUCAAAUAAUAUUUUUAAAAUUUAGAUCUAUAUUUUUUUUUAAAAUAUAAUAUGUCUCACCAUUAUAUGUAACAAUUGCUAAUUAUUCAAAUAAUAAUGUUAACAAAAAGGUUGAGCACCAAAUGGUUGAUAAGUACUAACAAGCUCAUGGUCUAAAGUCUAGAUCGAGUAGCACUAUUAUCCAAAACAUAGUGAAACAUAUUAAUUCUUUCUCCGACGUUUAUUAUAUAGAACUCUACAACCUAGUGCUCUAAUUAUCAAUUUUAUUGUUGUGACUCCAUAACUAAAAUUUAGCUGAUCCCUUCAUUCAUGAGUGUAAUUAUUCGAAUAGGAUCAUGUCUCUUUUAUGGUGGAACAUUAAUUCAUUUUAUUACAUGGACUUGUUCAUAAAAAUUCUCUUAAAAUAUCCAACAAAUAUCAGUUAAGUGUUCUGAUUUAAAUAUUUAGUUUUUAAGAGAAUAUAUUCUUACCUCAUUAUGCCUUCUCGAAGAUUUAUGUCAAAUCCAAACUGAUGUGAGUUGGUAGCCAUAUAUUUUUAUUUUUAAGGAUUUUAGUCUCUCUAUUUUUUGGGAUUUCAAAACUCAAAUCCAAUUGUUAACACUGUUAAUUUUUUUUUGUUAAAUUCGAGGUAAUUACAACAUCAUUUUUGUAAUUACGUGGUUAACAAAUAAGUUUUUUUUAUUUCAAAAUGCCACCCUAACACAUUUAACAAAAAAAAUUUAAAAUGUUAACCAUCGGAAAGUAAAGAGACUAAAUUUCUAGAAAUAAAAGUACGUGUUCUAAACUCCAAAAUUUUUAAAAGUACAAGAACUUAUGGCAUAUUUUAACCUUUUAACUUCUGGGUCGAGCUACUCAUCCAAUACCCGCUCGAGAUUUGGGAGGAUUUAGACAAAAUUAUCAAGCUCGAAAAACAGACUUGGACAAAAAGUUAGUCCGAUUUAAAAUACGAGUCGGGCUCGGGCAUAAAAAUUCAAGGUCCGAGCCAUUUACUAAUUUUCUAAUAUAUUAUAUUAUGUUAUUUUUAUAAAUUAUAUAAUUUAUUUCAAAAAAUAAAUCUAUAGUAAUACAAUGAUACUAUAAUGUAAACAUUAAAAAAAUGUUAAGAUGUCUAUAUAAAAGUUAAGAAAUUUGGGAAAAAAUUCGAUUCAAACAGGCUCAAAAUAAUUUUUGGGUCAAUUAAUUUAACAUCUCUAUUCAAAUCGACAAUGGCAAAACCUAAUAGAGGCCCAGGGGGCCAUGGCACCCCCAAGGAUUAAAAUUUUUGCAAUUUAGCCCUUUAUAGAUAUACUAUGGCCCUCCCAAACAUAUAAGUAGCCCCCCAAGGUUUAAGAUUUUUGCAAUUUUCCAAAAAUACUGCUUCUUUUGGGUCGAUUAUCAUGUUGGAAUAGUGCUUCUUUUGAGUCGAUUCUCUAUAUGUUUAAAUCGAUUGUCAAGUUGGAACACUACUUCUUUUGAAUCAAUUGUGUAUAUGAUUAAAUUGAUUGUUAUAUUGGAAUACUGCUUCUUUUUAAUCAAUUGUGUAUAUGAUUAAAUCGAUUGUUAUGUUAGAAUACUACUUCUUUUGAAUCCAUUAUUUAUAUGUUUAAAUCGAUUGUUACAUAACACAUCUAAUUAAUUUGUUCUUUGCUUCUUUGAUUGUUACGUAGCAUUUCCUUUUAUUCUCUACUUCUUUGAUUGUUGGUUGUUUUAAAUCGCUUCUUUUCCUAAAAUGAUAAGGGACCAAAUGAAUAUCAGCAAAGAAUUUAUGUUGGAGUUUGAAUCGAUUCUUUGCUUAUUUCAAUUGAUUGUUUGUUGUUUUGAAUUAAUUCAUUAUUGUUUGAAUUGAUUCAAACUCCUACAUAAAUUCACUGCUGAUAUUCAUUUGGUCCCUUAUCAAUAUUGACUUACACCUGGUGUAUGUAAGUUCUUUUUCCCUCAAACCUCCUGCUGUACGUGUGAAGCAAGCAAAGGUAUAUUUACGGUUGUUCUUACUCUAGAAGAGAAAUGAUUCCUCAUAUUUUAUACAGUGUAUUUACAUAUUUGCCCUCACCGAAUAUUGAGGGAAUCUUCCUUUACUUUUGACACGUUCAAUAGAAAGUUUAAUGGAAAAGAACUAAUUUACACCGGUGUAUAUAAGUAUUGAUAACUCAUUGAUACCAAAUGUUUAGAUUAAAUCGAGAAAUCAUUAUAUAGUAUUUUUCCUAUACUAUGUGUUAUGUUUAUUAAUAAAACAUAUUUUUAAUUUAAAUGAUAUACUAAAAACUGCUCAUCCACACAAUCAUUGAUAUGUUGAUUUAGGAUCCAAACUUGAAUCAUAUAUUCUUACGUAGUGAAACUAAAAAGGGCCUCGUCGCCAGUCUCCAUCUAUUCCUAUAUAUAUUCAUCUGUUCGGAAGAAACUGAACUUAACAAAACACCAUGAAAGCAUAAUUGAUAUUUUUUCACUUUUAAGAAAUAUAAGUUGUUAAUAAUAUCAAUCCCAAUAAUAUAAUAUAUCAACAAUCAAACCAAAUCAAUGACCAUAUCACAAGUAAAAAGAUAAAAUCAAUUCAUUAUGAAGGGUAUUCCACCUCAUUAUCUGCAUGAUUUUCAUACGAAUCCAGUUGUAAAGUAAUGGUGUUGAACACUUUGAAUCGAUUCAUUAUUGUUUGAAUCGAUUCAAACUCCAACAUAAAUUUACUGUUGAUAUUCAUUUGGUCCUUUAUCAAUACUUGCACAACAUUUGUCCCUUAUCAAUACUUGCACAAAAAUAACUUGUGAAUACUGUUUUUUUUUUAAUAGAUUGUUUAUAUGUUUAAAUUGAUUGUCAUGUUGGAAUAUUGCUUCUUUUGAAUCGAUUGUUAUGGUGGAAUACUACUUCUUCUUCUUUUGAAUCGAUUGUUCAUAUGUUUAAAUCGAUUGUUGUGUUGGAAUAUUGUUGCUUUUGAAUCAAUUGUUUAUAUGUUCAAAUUGAUUGUUAUGUUGGAAUACUACUUCUUUUGAAUCGAUUGUUUAUAUGUUUAGAUCAAUUGUUACGUAGCACAUCUAAUUUUAGCUUGGCCCCCAAGAUUAACAUCAUGGCUCCGCCACUACGGAUCGAUAUAUUGGUCAAUUCUUGAUUCAAUUGAUCGACUAAUCCUAUUUAAUCCGAUUUAAAUAACUAUGCCACAUAUAUACAUAUUUCUAAAAUAAUAUGUUAGUAUAAAAAUAUUUAAUCAAUUAGAGUUAUGAAAUUGUGGUCUAACAAUAGUUUUGGGUAUCUUAUAAACUCAAAAUUUUCAAAUUAUGCUGGUGUCCAUUUGUGCUUUAUUUUUGGUACAAGUUCUUUUUGGAGUUAUACCAUAUAUUAUAUAAUUUAAAAUAUUCUUAAAAAAUAGAUUGAAGUAAAUUAAGCCUAAAUUUUAAAUGUUUAAGUCAAAGCUUAAUUGAUAGUUUAAAUGAGAUUAUUCUUUUUUUAAAAAAACUCAUUUUUUAAUUUUAUCAAACCGCCUCUAAAAAAUAAAUAAAAGAUGGUUGUUAGCCUUUUCCUAUAUAUGAGCAACAAUCUUUUACGGAAUUAAAGUAUCUGAUUUUGCAGCAGUGACUAACGUUUUUGUUAAGAAAUGGCUUAAAAUUGGUAGUGGAUUGUUGUUGUUGGUAGUGGGUUGUUGGUGGUAGUGGAUUAGUGGAUGGUUGUUGGUGUCCAUUUUCAACCACAAAUCUUUGCCAAAGUUUUGGACAAUUAUGUCCUUGAACUCUCUUAUAAAUAGAGAGGUUCAUUAGCCAUAUUUAUCAUCCCAAACCAAGAGAGAGCAAAGCUUGUUCUUUGAAAGCUAGGAUUUUAGCUUUCGGGUUUUCUAUAGGGGUUGAGAGUUGUGAGGUUCUCGGGUUGUGUCUUGAGUGUAAAACACUUGUAAUCUUCAUCUUGUUAUAGUGAAAUUUCUUUUCGCCUCUGCCCGUGGACGUAGGCAUUAAAGCCGAACCACGUAAAUCCUUGUGUUCACUUUAUUUUUCGUUUCGGUCAAUUUACUUGUAGUCAUAUCGGAGUUCUCGAAUCGAUCCUUUCCGCAACAAAUUGGUAUCAGAGCGUAGUUGAAGGAGUGAUAAUAUCUUCUGAAUUGCCCUGUGACUGCAGCUUUGUCUGAUCUUUCACAUCAGGAAGAAAAUAUUAUCAUUCAUUCAAAGGUUCCAAAUUAUGGCUACAAGUGUUUCAUCGACUAAGUAUGAUGUCGAGAAAUUUACCGGGAAAAAUAGUUUCAGUUUAUGGCGCAUCAAGAUGCGGGCAGUGCUGGUUCAACAAGGAUUGCUAAAAGCAUUGUCUGGUAAAGAUAAAUUACCAAGCACGCUUUCGGAAGAGCAAAAGGAUGACAUGCUAGAAAGAGCACAUAGUGCUAUUCUGCUAUGUCUAGGAGAUGAAGUGCUACGAGAAGUAGCGGAUGAGAAAACCGCGUCCGGUUUGUGGCUCCGGUUAGAGAGCAAGUACAUGACGAAGUCAUUGACGAACCGGCUCUACCUCAAGCAAAGACUCUAUGCCCUGAAGAUGGAGGAAGGUACACCUGUUUCCCAGCACCUGGAUAAAUUCAAUUCCAUUAUCAUGGAUUUGAAUAAUAUCGAUAACAAAAUCGAUGAUGAGGACCAAGCAAUAAUUGUUUUGUGUUCUUUGCCUCCCUCGUAUGAGAAUUUUGUUGAUACAAUGAUGUACGGUCGUGAUGACCUGACUCUAGAGGAGGUGAAAAAUGCCUUAAGUUCCAGUGAGUUGAGGAAGAAAAUCACUGGUAAGGUGGUCGAAAACAAUGAAGGCGAAGGCUUGGUUGCUCGAGGAAGAUCCAAGGCAAAGGGUGGAAGUUCAAGUAAAAGCCAUCCUAGAUCGCAGUCCAAGAAGAGAAUACAGUGCUACUACUGUAAGAAGUACGGGCACAUGAAGGUAGAUUGUCCGAAAAGGAAGGAGAAAUCAGAAUCACAGGAGCAACAAAAUGAUCGUGCGAAUGUAGCUGAUGCAGAUUCUUCAAGUGAUGCCGAGAUCGUUCUUGCAGUAUCCGACUCUUACGCUGGUGGGAGAUGGAUUCUUGAUACGGGAGCUACAUUUCAUAUAAGUACUUCGAAAGAUGCAUUCUCAACAUACGAGAAGCAUUCUGGUUCAGUACUAAUGGGAAAUGACCACGCAUGUCAAGUCAUGGGGAUUGGCACAGUUCGUAUAAAGAUGUUUGACGGUAUUGUUAGAACUCUAACUGAUGUUCGGCACAUUCCAGAAAUGAAGAAAAAUUUGAUCUCUUUGAGUACGUUGGACAAGAAAGGCUUUCGGUACUCUGCUGAAGGUGGAGUUCUCAAGGUAUUCUCGGGUGCUUUGACUGUGAUACGUGGUAAUUUGGAGCGGGGCCUUUACUUCCUCGAUGGUUCCUCGGUUACAGGUGUUGCGGGAGUGUCAUCAUCAGAUGAUCUAGAUUCUGACACCACGAAGUUAUGGCAUAUGCGGCUCGGGCAUAUGAGCGAGAGAGGCUUAUCGGUGCUAAGCAAACGAGGAUUAUUGUCUGGGCAGAGUACAGGAAAGUUGAAUUUCUGUGAGCACUGCGUCUUCGGUAAGCAGACUCGGGUAAAGUUCAGCACUGGGAUUCACAAGACAAAAGGCACAGUGGAUUACUUCCAUUCUGACCUUUGGGGGCCUUCUCCGACAAUUUCUAAAGGUGGUUACAGAUAUCUGCUUACCUUUAUCGAUGAUUACUCGAGAAAGGUUUGGGUGUAUUUUCUGAAGAGCAAGUAUGAGGUUCUCAUCAACUUCAAGCAAUUUAAAGCUUUGAUCGAAAAUCAAACAGGAAAGAAGAUCAAGCGAUUCCGGACGGAUAAUGGCUUGGAGUUUUGCUCAGGUGAAUUCAAUGAGUUCUGCAAAAAUGAAGGAAUAGUGAGACACCGCACUGUUCGUCGAACACCACAACAAAAUGGAGUUGCAGAACGCAUGAAUAGAACUCUCUUGGAGCGAGCUCGUUGCAUGCGAUCAAAUGCUGGGCUCGGUGAAGAAUUUUGGGCUGAAGCUGUUAAUACUGCUUGUUAUUUGGUUAACAGAUCUCCGUCAACAGCUAUUGAGCUGAAGACUCCUGAGGAAGUAUGGUCUGGUUCUCCUGCUGAUUACUCUGGUUUAAGAGUGUUUGGCUGCCCUGCGUAUGCUCAUGUAAAUGAGGGAAAACUCAAACCGAGGGCGAAGAAAUGCAUAUUUCUUGGAUACGGCCAAGGGGUGAAAGGAUACAGGUUGUGGUGUCCUGAUCCGGUUUCGUCCAAGUUCAUCAUCAGCAGAGAUGUGACUUUUGAUGAGUCAUCCAUGCUUCGAUCCACCACAAAUUCCCGGGAAAAGGAGGAGUCAGAUAGAAUGGGAGAUCACGGUGUUGAGAAGCAGGUGGAGUGUCAGGUGGACGCUCCAAUUCCUACGGAAGGUACUUCAGUCCAGGAUGAUCAAGUUGAGGUGCAAGAUUCCGAUGAAGAUGAGUCACCUCAAGAAAAACCAUAUAGCAUUGCCACUGGAAGAACGAAGAGACAAAUCAAACCAAAUCCGCGUUACGCUAAUCUGGUGUCUUUCGCGCUCAGUGUGGCGGAGUCCAUUGGUAUAGAACCUUCCAGUUAUAAUGAGGCUGUCACGUGUGAUGAGUCGGCACAGUGGGCAAUUGCUAUGAGUGAGGAGAUAGAAUCUCUUCACAAGAACCAUACUUGGGAGUUGGUUAAGCCGCCAAGUAACCAGAAGAUAGUUGGUUGCAAAUGGGUCUUCAAGAAAAAGGAAGGCAUCCUAGGGGUUGAAGCAACUAGAUUCAAGGCACGAUUGGUUGCUAAAGGCUUCACUCAGAAAGAGGGGAUUGACUACAAUGAAGUUUUCUCCCCAGUCGUAAAGCAUUCUUCCAUUCGUGUAUUACUUGCCAUGGUGGCCAAGUCUGAUCUAGAACUUGAGCAGCUUGACGUAAAAACGGCGUUCUUGCAUGGUGAGCUCGAGGAAACAAUCUACAUGCGUCAACCAGAGGGUUUUACAGUUCCUGGUAAAGAAGACCAUGUCUGUCUAUUAAAGAAGUCUUUAUAUGGAUUGAAACAAUCCCCAAGGCAGUGGUACAAGCGGUUUGAUAGCUUCAUGAUUCAGCAUGGUUACACAAGAUGUGACUAUGAUGCUUGUGUCUAUCAUCGGAAGCUCUCAGAUGGUUCGCACAUUUAUUUGUUGCUGUAUGUUGAUGACAUGUUAAUUGCUUCCAAAAACAUGUCGGAAAUCAACAAGUUAAAGUCGCAGUUGAGUGGUGAGUUCGAGAUGAAGGAUCUGGGUGCUGCCAAGAAAAUUUUGGGCAUGGAUAUUCACAGAGAUCGCAAGGCGGGCAAGCUUCGUGUGUCGCAGAAGAACUACAUUGAAAAGGUUCUUCAACGCUUCGGCAUGGAUAAAGCGAAAACUGUGAGUACUCCGUUGGCACCACAUUUCAAACUCUCUGCAGAGUUGUCACCACAAUCUGAUGAAGAAAAGCAGCAAAUGUCUCACAUUCCAUACUCGAGUGCAGUUGGAAGCGUGAUGUAUGCAAUGGUUUGCACUCGUCCAGACAUUUCACAUGCAGUUAGUGUGGUCAGCAGAUACAUGAGUUGUCCUGGCAAGGAACACUGGCAGGCCGUGAAAUGGAUUCUCAGGUACUUGAGAGGUUCUGCAGAUUUAUGCUUGGUAUAUGAUCAGAGUGACUGCACUAGCAGUGUCACGGGCUAUGUGGACUCUGAUUAUGCUGGAGAUCUGGACAAAAGAAGAUCUCUGACGGGUUAUGUUUUCACUUAUUCUGGAGGAGCCAUUAGUUGGAAAGCUGUGUUACAGUCUACCGUAGCCUUAUCUACGACUGAGGCGGAAUAUAUGGCGUUAGCAGAAGCAGUGAAAGAAGCAUUGUGGAUGAAAGGUCUAGUAAGCAGUUUGGGUUUACAACAGGAUUUCACUGUUGUAUUUUGCGAUAGCCAGAGUGCCAUACAUCUGACUAAAAAUCAGAUGUUUCAUGAACGGACCAAACACAUUGAUGUCAGAUAUCAUUUUGUUCGGGAACAUGUUACGCAAGGUGACAUUGUUAUCAGCAAGGUUGCUACCGAGAAGAAUCCUGCAGAUAUGUUAACUAAGGUGAUCCCUGCAUAUAAGUUCAAGCAUUGCUUGGACUUGAUAGGUAUUCGGGAUUGAUUAGCGCCAGAGAGGCGUUUGGAAGAGGUGAUCCAGUUCGAGGAAUUCACUAUGAUGUUCAGCUUGGUAAAUUUCAAGCCAAGGUGGAGAUUUGUUAAGAAAUGGCUUAAAAUUGGUAGUGGAUUGUUGUUGUUGGUAGUGGGUUGUUGGUGGUAGUGGAUUAGUGGAUGGUUGUUGGUGUCCAUUUUCAACCACAAAUCUUUGCCAAAGUUUUGGACAAUUAUGUCCUUGAACUCUCUUAUAAAUAGAGAGGUUCAUUAGCCAUAUUUAUCAUCCCAAACCAAGAGAGAGCAAAGCUUGUUCUUUGAAAGCUAGGAUUUUAGCUUUCGGGUUUUCUAUAGGGGUUGAGAGUUGUGAGGUUCUCGGGUUGUGUCUUGAGUGUAAAACACUUGUAAUCUUCAUCUUGUUAUAGUGAAAUUUCUUUUCGCCUCUGCCCGUGGACGUAGGCAUUAAAGCCGAACCACGUAAAUCCUUGUGUUCACUUUAUUUUUCGUUUCGGUCAAUUUACUUGUAGUCAUAUCGGAGUUCUCGAAUCGAUCCUUUCCGCAACAGUUUUCAUUGUUACUGCUUUUUAAAAGGUAAUAUGUAAAAAGUAAAAUUCAAUAAAAUGGUAAUACAUAAUUUACUUAUAAUUAUGGUACGUUUAGUUUGUUAGAGUGAAAUAAAAUAAUUUUUUUAAGAUUGAAAUAGAAUUGUAAUUGAAUGGAAUAAAUAUGAUACAUAAUAAUAUUUUUGUAUCUUGAUUUUUUUUUAAAAAUGAUAGUAAAAAUCAUCUGAAAAUAAGACGAAAUUCAAAGUACAACACCAAGUCUUCAUCAAGCAGUGUACAUGUCCAAAUUACUAUAUUGAUUAAUAAUAAUAUUGAAUAAAUAAGACAUAAAUAACCUUCAGGAUCCAAACCUUUAAGUUUUCUUUCUCCUUUAUUUACUUCAAUUUUAUAUAUGAUAUUUAGACUUAUUAAUGGGUUGAGUUAUUGAUCCAAACUUAAAAGAUUGUUUAAAUUUUGAAGGAGUUUUGGUAAAAAUAUUAAACCCUAAUAAUAGUACUAGACAAAAAAAUUAAGUUUAUUUAAAAUAUGAGUUAAACUCAUAUAUGAACAUUCAUGGUCUGAACUAGGCUCGGCCCAUUUUUAAAUUUUGUAAUUUUUAUAUUAUAUUAUUUUUAUAUAUUAUGUAAUAUAUAAUACAAAAAUUAAAUCUAUAGUAAUAUAUAAUAUCGUAAACAUUAAAAAAACAUUAAGAUGAAUAUAUAUAUAAAAGUUUAAUAAAUAAAAUAUAUAAAUUAUUAAAUAGUAUUAAAAAUAAUAUAAAUAAUUUUUUUAAAUAAUAUGAGUGGAUUUAAAAUGGAUUUGGGUUAACUAUUUAUAAGUGUGGAUGAGCUUAAACAAAUUUCAGGUACAUAUUUCAGACUGGUCUGGUUUCUUGACAACCAGAAUAAGUGUUAACAUCAUGCUUAAUUUUAACCCAAACUCAACCCGAUGCAUAGGGGAAAAUGUUUAAACUUCAAACGAUAUUAGCAAAAUAUGAUUAAUUUUUAGAUAUUCUUUAAGUGGGUUAUGAGUAAAACUUUUUUAUUAGUUUGAAGAGUUGUAAGUUUAAUACUCUCUCUGCAUCGAUUCUUUAAUCAAUUUCCAAUUCAACCAGUUUGAUCAGUCAAUCUGAUUCGAUUCAGACAACAUUAAUUAUAUGAAUUUCAAGCGGUUGAAGUUACAACUGAUAUUAAAAUAAAUCGGAACCUUCUCGGUCUCACCAAACUUACUCUAAACCAAGAGCAUAGAAAAUAAAAAUAAAUAAAAAAUCCUCCUCUAAACCAUGCAGUGUCAACAAUCAUAAGAUCUGUUAGUGAAACAUAUAGAAACUAUAGAUGACAACAAGUGGGAACCCUCACCUUUUUUAUGAGGUGUGAUCGGAUCACCUUUAAAAGCGGUUGUUUUCAAUAAACAAUUUAAUUUUAUUAAAACAACGAGUUUGGUCUACAAAAUUCAGAAAACGGGUUCGGGAGUCGAUUACGUACGAGGAAGGAUUAGUACCCUCGUAACGCCCAAAAUUAGUACCUAGUUGAUUAGUUAAGGUCUUAAUGUCGAAGGUUGAAAACUUUGAAGAAUUUUAAAAAUACGAUCCUUGCAUUAAAACGUUGAAAAUUUUUGAGAAAAUGGAGAUAUUUCACGUUAUUCGAGAAAGAGAAUCAUAUCCAGUAAGUUAAGACACAAUGUCUCGAAUUUCCGAUACGCGAAUGAAAAAUACUUAUUUAAAAGAUAUUUAAUUAUUUUGGAUUUAAAAAGGGAUCACGACCAGUAAAUUAGGACACGAUCCUUUUUUAAUUCCCGAUAUUGUUCAAAACUUGAGUUUGAGAAAAAAUUCGUGUAAUAAAGUUUAAAAGAAUAUUCAAUUGUUUAAAUCAAACGAAAAAAUCGCAACUCAAUACGUUAUGGCACAAUUUCUCAAAAUAUUAAACAUUAAAUAUUACAUUUAUUUUAAAAAUAUUCAUCUCGAGGAAUUAAUGUGUCACAUCCAAUGCAUUAGGACACGACGUAUUAUUUAUAUUUUUUUAUAAAAAAGAAUAACCUCGAUUAUUUAGAUUCAACGAAAAAAAUCAAAACUCAAUACGUUAGGGCUCGAUUCUUUUGAGGAUCUCAAAUAACGAGUGUUACUUUUAUUUUGAAAUUUUCCGUUUUUGCUAAAUCCAAGUAAAAGUAGUUGUAAAAUAAUAAUAAUGAUGCAAUGUAAAUAAAAUGAAUCAAAUAAACAAUAAACAAAAUAAAAACACAUGAGCAAAAACGAUAAGAAGCUAAAGUAAGAAAACAAACAAUAAUAACCAUGUACAUAAAUAAACGAACAAGACUAACAAAAUUAUAAAAACAAUAAAAGACAUGUAUACGUGUAUAAAACUAUAAAAGUAAAAAGAUAUAUAUGUGUGUAUAUACAUAAACAUAAAAAAUUCGAAGGUAAAACAAUGUGCACAUAUAUAUAUAUAUACUUAUACAAAAAUAAAAUAAAAUAAAAUAAAAUAAAUGUACAUAUCUUAAAAUUAUUAUAUAAUAUAGAUAAGUAUAUACAUAUACGCAUGUAACUAUCACAAAAUAUAAAAAAACGUAUAUAUAUAUAUAGGUAUAUAUAUGAAAAUAAAAUAAAUAUAUGGACAUGUAUAUGGAUAUGUAUAAAAAUCAUACAAUAUAUAUAAAAAACGUAAGUAUGUAUAUAUACACAUGCAAAAUAAAUUAUGAAAAUAGGUAUCACAACAAAGUAGGUAUGUAAGUAUAUUAAAAAUAUAUGUAUUUAUAAAAUAUACGUAUAUAUAUAAUAAAAAUAAAGCUGAAAAUAAAAUAAAACUAAUUAAUAUAUUAAUAUAAUAAUAGCAAAUACGUAAAAGGAAAAUAAAACUAAUAAUAAUUAAUAAUAGUAAAAAUAAUAACAUUGAAAUAAUUAACUAAAAUAAUAAAAGUGUUAAAAUGCAGACUAAAUCAAACUAAUAAUGAAAAUAUGGGGCGAAUUUAAAAUAAAAAGGAUUAGAUUGCAACACGCACUAAAAGGGGAGGGACCUAAAAAGUAAAUAAACCAAGACCCCCAAAACGCAGCACUGCAAUGGACUAAAUUGAAACAAAAAUAAAAAUUUGUGGCUAAAUUAAAAAUAAAAGAAAAUAUUGGAAAGGGGCCAAAUUGUAAUGCGCUGGAAAAUUAGGGGGACUGCGCGCACAAAUAUCCCCUCAAGACCAAACUCGCGGAUCCCCAGCGGUCGGGUCCGGUCGGGUCGACGCGCGGAUCCCCCUUUACCAAAACGGCGCCGUUUUACAAACGAUAUAAAUACUAAAAUUUCGUUUUUCUCUUAUGUUGUUUCAUUUUGUGCACAGAACAUAAGAAAAUAAAUAAAUAAAUAAAAGGGAGACUCCCUUUUCUCUGCUAGGGUUCCAAGGCCGUCUGCCGCAUCUCCAUCGCAGCGCCACCAAGGACGGUGGCCGGAGUCAUGCGAGAAAAAGGGGUUUUUAAUCCUCAUCGUGUGGCAUCCUUGAGAUCUCAGAUCUCUCAACCCGCGGGAAAGAGGGAAACCCACAACCCCUCUCGGACCCAAAUCGGCGACGGAGGAGAAGCCCUCCGACGGCGCAACCACGGUGGUUCCCGGUGAGUCCCCUUUCCCUUUUUAUUUUCUAUUUAAUGUACGAAAUAAAGAAAAUAAAAUAAAAUAAAUAAAAAAGAAAUACGGAUCUGAUGUCAAAGCCUUGAAUCUGUUUUUUGAUUGUUUUAUUUAUAUGAAAAUGUUACAAUAGAAAAGAAAAAGCCCCCCGAUUCAGUGAUGAAAAACCCCCACAAUCUGUUUUCAAAUUAGUUUUUAUACCCGAAAGAAAAAUAAGAUAAAAUCCAAUCUUUGCCAUUGUCCUCUGUGUAUUUGCUUGUUUCUGUCUUUUUGCAGGUAUAGGUGUGGCGAUGGGAUGUGACGAACGGCGGCUUAGGGUGGCAGAGAGGCUGAGCGGCGCACAUGGGCAGUAGAGGCUAGGGUUUUCUUUGGCUGAUAAUUUUUAGUUUUAGUUGGGCUAGGGUUUAGUUUUUUUGUAAUUGGGCUGAGGGUUUGGGUUAAGUUUGUUUUAAUUUUGGGUCUGCUGUUUUGUUUUGGGUUUUGCUGGUAUGGGCCCCGGGCAAAUUUGGGCUUCUACAACAACCAUCACACAAAUGCAUACUGACAGUAUCUUCAGUUCAUAAACAUCCCAAUAAACCAUUGAGAUUGUAUUUCAAAGAAGCAAAUUACUCAACCCGUGGCUUUUUCGGCAAACUGGCUAGCUUCAGUUGGUUUUCUUUUAACUCAGCUUCGUCCUGAUCCAGCUUCGGUUUCUUCUCUUUUAAGUCUGCUUCGUCCUGAUCCAGCUUCAGUUUCUUCUCUUUUAAGUCAGCUUCAUCCUUCUCCAGCUUCAGUCUGUCUUUUGUAAUAUUAGCUUUCUUCUUCUCAAAUCUCUUCUCCUCUGCUUCAUACUCCAUUUCACGAGCCUUCAUCAACUUAUUCAUGAUGUUUUGCACCAUUGCCUCCAUAGUUGUGAUCACUUUUAGCUCAAGUAUCUCUGGGUUACUUACUAUUUUAUGGUAAACUUCAGCUAGUGAGUUCAUAAUGAUCCUUUGAACAUCUGCAUGACUACAUAAAAAAAAUUGUUAUCAGUAUAAAGGUGCUUUUGAAAUGUCAGUGAGCACUUGAGUUCAUAAAUAUUGUAUACCCCUGGACAGUUGACAGCUUCAUAUCGUCUUGAUUUGCUCUGACAUCACCGCUGCCUUCAGUCAGAUCAUUGUAUUGUUGUCGUCUAGAAAACAAAGUUAUUAAGGUAGGAAACAUAAAGGAUAUUAAUAGUUACAAUUGACAAGUAAAAAGCUGAGGAUUUUAUAAGAUCAUUUAUCAACUUGCAGCAAUUACCUGACAGAAGAAAGUUUCCAACAUCAAAAAACGGCUGUGACAGAAGAUCCUAUAGAAAAAGAGAAUCAGAUCUGAUCCAACAAUAAGCAAUUUGAAUUUAAAAAAUAUAUACAGGCCAAAACUUACUGGAUCAACAUUAAGCCCCUUUUCUAGUGAGUCUACUUCAUGAUAACCCUGCAAAUAAGGAGAGAAGUACACAACAUUAAGCCCCUUUUCCUACUCAGGACUUUUGUGUGUGUUUGACUAAUAUUUCUAUGAUUGCGUUUAUCUGUAUUUGAUUCCAAUUCAUUGAAAUCAUCCAUGUAUUCCUUGAAUGAACGUACAAUCUAAGAACCAUAAGAAAAAGGACAUAAAAAUCCGAAUAUUUAAACUACAAAUAUUUCUGCCUGCUAACUAAUGUUCAGGUAGAAUAAUCUGAGUUCAACAAUUGCUUACAAAGAAAGUAACAAACAUUUCUGGCCUAUAUAUAUAUAUAUAUAUGUAACCCAGAGAAUUAAUAAAAAGAAGUGAUAUUUUUGGUUGUAUCACUUUAUAGUUUGCAAAAGAUGAAAUAAACUGCCCGUCAAAGAAAUUAAAGGGAUGACAAGUUGUACUUAUAUGACAGUAGGAAUAGCUGAGAAGGGUUAAAAUCUUCAUUGGUUAAAAGAGAAUCUAUUAUUACAACAGAGGAUUAAACUUGAUUUUUGCAUAUUUAUUGAAAGGAUUGAAUAGAAAACUAGUCGACAAUACAUGAUUGCCUAUUCAAGUCAUAAUUUGCUCAACAAAAAUCAAAAUUCGGUUCUAAGUGAAAAAAAAGAACAGAACAGAACAUGAGAGCCAAAAGACAAGUUAUUCUGUGUACACCUCCAGAAGACUGUGAUAUGGAUGCUUUUAUUGUAAUAGGAGUUUUUGUUUUAUUUAUUUAUUAUAUCAGGUUUUAUUAAGAGUUUUAAUUUUACUUAUUUUUUCUAUUAUAUUAGGUUUUUAUUUCCAAGUUAAGAAUUCUACUAGGAUUCUUUCCUUUAUUAUUAACAGACUAUAAAAUGCUGCCAAUAUGAAAUAAAGAGAAGCAAUUAUUCUAUCAAAAAGAAACGAUAUUAUGAGAGGGGGUUCAGUUAAGGAUGAAUCUUUCUUUUGAGUAAUCAUAGGUCGAAGUAAGAAUUCUUUCUCGUCCAGACCUGUGACUAGAUUGCAAAGGGAGGGGGACAAACAACAAAACCAACAAGGAACAACGGCAAAAUAGGUUCUUCUGCACCAUUUAUUAAGAGACUGACACAGACAGAAAUGGCGGAAAGAAUGGCUAAGGGGUUGUGUUAUAAUUGUGAGGAGUCCUAUUCCAUGGGACGCAAAUGUAAAAGGUUAUUUUGGAUAGAAGUACCAAAUGUUGAAGGCAAGCAAGAUGAUGAUGAGGUAGAUGAUUUUGGAUAAGUUCUGAAAUUUAUUCUGAAUUUGAGCUUGAGGACAAGCUCAACUCCAUGGAGGGGAGUAAUGAUAUGGACGCUUUUAUUACAAUAGGAGUUUUAGUUUUAUUUAUUUAUUAUAUCAGGUUUUACUAAGAGUUUUAAUUUUACUUAUUUUCUCUAUUAUAUUGGUUUUUAUUUUCUUCAUACACUCUAAUUUAGGAAUUCUAUUAGGACUCUUUCCUUUGUUAUUAAUAGUCUAUAAAAGGUUGUCAAUUGAAAUGAAGAGAUAAGCAAUUAUUCUAUAAAAAAAACGUUAUUUUUGAGAGGGGGUUCAGUCAAGGACGAAUCUACCUUUUGAGUAACCAUUGGUCGAGGCAAGAAUUCUUUCUCAUCUAGACCUGUGACUAGAUCCUACGCCAAGGCGCAUAAAAGACUAUUUCUAAAUAAACUUACCACAUCAACCCUAAAAAUUUAAUAAUGCAAGAACAACUUACCAAGAAAGAAAAGUCUUGCCGCUACUACUAAGUUACAGAGUUAUGUUUUCUACAAUAAUUUUCAUGAUAAAAGUAAAAUCUAAAGCUCCAUUGAUUAAAAUACUAAUGACAAAUUGGGUGCUUCUACUCAAAAUGUUUACCUGUAGAUUGAUGUGAAUCUUAGCACCUCUGGUACAAUCAGGGGUUAGAGGAAAAUGAAACAUUAAAAAUAUUAAAAAGAAAUUGAUUCAAUCCCAAAUUUUGAAAAAGUAGUCUAUUUUCCAUUUGUGUGUUCACACUUCACAAUAAUCUACAUUUACUGUUGAAGUUAUCAAUAAUUCUCGUUUCUCCCUUUUGAGAAAAAUUAAGUUGAUUCGUUUGCAGCGGUAUUGCCAAGGGUGCGUUAGCAAAUGUCAGUUCCUUUAAAGAAAAAAAUUAAAUUACUCAACUUUGAUAAACAAAAAUUUUCCACUAAACUAUAAAAAGUUAUAUUUUAAUCACUAAUAAUUUUUUAGUGAAAAAAAUAAUAAAUAGAAAUACAAGUAUCAACUAUUGAAAGCCUCUAAAGGUUUUGUCUCGUUGGAUAGCCGUAACCACCAAAUCAAGAGGUACUUCAAAUAUUUGAAAGGAGGUCUGCCAAUAGAGACUAAUCUUUGCCAAUUGAUUUGCAAUUAAAUUACACUCCUUAAGAACAUACUUAAUUUUCCAUUGACCUUCAAAACGCAAAAUAUGUUUAACUCUUUUGAGCAAGGUAAUACCGGAGUCCACUGACUCCUCCAUGGACAAGGCAUUAAUCACCUCAAGGUUAUCUAUCUAAAUCCCGACUUUCUUGUAGCCCUUAUUUAAUAAAAUGAGAAUUCUGUCAAGAAUACCCUAAAGUUCUGCCUCCAAAGGCGAACAUCUACCCAAAUAAUGAUUAAAGCCCAAAAUCCAAUUGUCAGCCUAAUCACGAACCACCCACCCACGGAUGCAUUUCCGAAAGCUCUAGCCACUGCUCCAUCAAAAAAUAAAUAAACCCAAUUGCAUUUAUAAUGGGAAUGAAUUUCCGAAUUUGGUGAAUUAGGCUUGGCCUCAUUUAGAAAAGGUUCAAAUUGUUGGGCCCAAUUGAGAGAGACCUUUACAAUUUCAUAAGUCAUCCGGUUAAUGUUUUGAAAGAUGAAAAGAUUCAUGUUUUUCCAAAUUCUCCAAGCAAUUAAUCCAAAUAAGCUUGACCAAGUAAUUUCCUUAUCUUGCAUCUUAAAAUGGCAACAAAGGUUAGUGGAAAACCAAUUUUGAAGGGAAUCAGAAAAAAAACCUGGAUUGCAUCUUAGGAAGGACUACAAGCUUCCAUGCUUCCUUAGCCGUCAAACAGUCUCGGAGUACAUGCAUAAUGUCCUCAGUAUCAUGACCACAUAAAGAGCAUGCAGUGUUUUGCCCAAUUCCUCUCUUAAUGCUCUCUGAAUUAGUAAGAAACCUAUGUUUGUCCACAAACCAAAGAAAAAGAUGAACUCUCUGUGGGCUUUGAUAUUUCCAAAUAGACUUUCAACUAUAAUCUUUAAGACUCCAAGAAUCUUCUUUUAAAGCCCAAUAAGCAUUACAAACAGAAAAAGACUCUCAACCAGAUCGAGCCCAAAUGAUCUCAUCCUCUCCACCAAUACAGUGAGAAGGGGGGAUACUUACUAUAUGCUUUAUCAAGUCAUUAGGUAGCCAAAUACGAAGCAAAUCAACUUUCCAAGAACCAUCAAGAAGAACCCAAUCCCUCAAAGUGCUCUCCAAACAUAGGCUUGCAUGAGCUGGGACAUAAGAAAAAAGAGGACCAACUUCCAGUAUCCAAGAAUCUUUCCAACAACGAAUUAAAGCCAUCACCUACAGACCACAUAAGAUUCUCACAAAAAAAGGGGUCACACCUUAGAAAGGGAACGCCAAAGAUGAGAGCGUUGAUUUUUGUGGAUAGAAUUUGGAAGCUGAUUCUUCCACCCAUAUUUCGAACAAAGGACACGAACUCAUAAAGCGCCCUUUAUAGAGACUAGAUUGAACCCAAUCUUCAUAAGUAAGGAAUUAUUUUGGUCUUGGAGAUGCUGAAACCCGAGGCCCCCUCAAGACUUAGGUUGACAAAUGGACUCCCAACCUACUAAAGUUGUUUUUGGAUGCCUAGCAGAACCACCCCAAAUGAACUGUCUUGCUAUCCUCUCUAUCUCAUCACACACACCUUUCGAGAUUAACAAGGAUUGCAUAAAGCAGUUUGAAAUAGCUAGGAGAAUUGACUGGGAAAGAAUGACAACUGAUUGGGCAAGAGUGACACGUCCCGCAAAGGAGAGUUUCCUAACAUCCCAAUUUUGAGUUAUAGUGACUUGGUACAUUAACCUAAAAGAUAUUAUCUAAUUUGACCUUGAACUCUAGUUAAAAUAUUCGAUUUCAUCCUUUCGCAACCUUUUUUAACGAUAAUUCUAAAAAAAUUAUCAAAAAAUUAUUUAUUUUCUAAAUAUAAAUAUUCACUAAAUUAUAUAUAUCUUUUACGGGUUUUUUUUUUUGCAGAGGUUAAUGUUGUAGUAACUAGGGAUGUUCAUAGUUUAGUUAAAACCGAAUUAAUCGUUUUAACCAGUCUAAUUCGAUUAAUCAACCAGUGGUCGAAUUUAGUUCAAUCAAAAGUCGGUUAAUGAUUUUUUAAAAUUUCAAGUAUCAGUUAAUUCGAUUCAAAAUCGGAUAAUUAAUCAAAAUAAAUAAUAUAUAUUAUCUAUAAUUAUUAACUUUAAAGAUUUAUGUAAUGUUUUUACAGUUUUAUUUAUUACUUUCAACUCCAUCUAAAAGUUUUUUGAACUAUUAAAAGAAAUGAACAUUAGCACUAUAUUCUUAUUAUGUUUUAUACUUAAUUUAAUCAAAAUAUAUAUAUAUUUCAAUUAACAGAUCAAAUUAACCAAAAUAUUUCAACUCGAUUAAUGUAUUUGAAAAAACUUCAAUUGAGUUAGAGGUUAAAACUUUUUACAUUUCAAGUAAUUUAGUUCAAAUAUUAAUCGAACCAACCGUUUCAACAAUGCAAUCGAUACCCUUACUGAAUGCUUUUAACGGUACCGAUUAAAUUAUCCAACGAAUUCUACAAUAAUAAAUUUAGAAUUGAAUUGGAGUUUGUUCGUAUAUGAAAUACACACAAAGUCCAUGUAAACCAUUCUUGGCAAAGCCAAUCCUUGAAUAUCCUCUUGUAGCAGUUGAGCAGGUCCUGCAGGCGGCUCACUAAAAAUUUGCAUGCCAACAUUCUGGUUUGAAGAAAGACAAAGCAUCAGCUAGCCGAUUAGCUUUCCUAUGCACAUUCUGAAUUGAAGUCAGCAAAGCCAAACCAUUCUUCCAAGUUGUAAAAACUCCUGAUUCAAACACAAAAGCAUCCCACUAAACCAUUAAAAGAUUCUAUUCCAACGUCAAAUAGAUUUCGACUUACUUGACCGCAAUAACAAGUAGCAAUUAGUCAAGCCGUGGUUUCUUGGCCAGCUUCAGUCUGCCUUCUCUUUUUCUUAGAGAAGCACAAGCAAUUACUGAGAUUUAUAAAUAUAGACACGAACCAUAAAUGAAAAUUUGGGGUUGGAUUAUUAACAGUUCAUCCACUAUUUGCACAAUGUCCUUGAAAAGGAUUUGCCAAGUUCAAAAUGUCGUAGAUCUUAACAUAAGUCGUUGCUUGUUUCUUCUUGCCUUCUUGUUGUCACAAAAGACAUUUUCCUGGAUAUGCAAAGUAGACAAUUAAUAAUGAUUUAUCCGGAGAAAAGAAAUGAGAGAAAGGAGACCCAAAGACGAGAUGAUUGGUACCUGUCUGCAUAAAUUACGGCUAAUACACUAAUCUAAAUCAUAAAUGAAGCACUUUACAGUCCAUCAGUCUGGCUUCUAAGUUAAUAAUUUUGAUCUAAAUCCAACAUCUACUAUUGCCAUAGAUAUCGCACUUAAUACUAUCGGUAUAGUCUUCAGAACUGGAUUCUUCGAGGGAAAAAGAAAACUUGAUUUGCUUUGCUAAAAAAGCUUAUUUGGUCCCUAUCUGUUGAAAUCAGCCAAGAAAUAUGGGCAUGCACUUUGCAGUUUAAAAGACCAUACACUCUGAGCAUCAAUUAGGAAAAACAUUACAGUAUGUUUAUUGAUGAUAAAAAAAUGUCGAAGAGAGGGAAGAAACGACUCCAAACUAACCAUUACCUUGUAAAAUUUAAAAGUAAAUUUCAAAAGAAAAGAACUUUCCCUGAAUCAGACUGUUGAAUUGAGUGAGGAAGGGGUUUGUAAAUCUCAGCCCAAUCUCGGCUCAAACUGAAUUUGUUGACUGGAAAAGCAUUUUUAGAUUUGUUGUUAUCUGCUUCAAAAAUGCAUUUGUCAACAAAUCCAGUCCGAUCCAAGACACCGGAAUACUGAACUGCAUCUUGAAUUAAGGGUCUUGGGGGCGACUCAUCGCUUCAAGCACUAUCCACUAUCAACAUCCUUCCCCUAUAUAAUAUAAACUUCGCAAAAUAAAAUACUGAAACAAAUUAAAACAGAUUAUAAAAGAGAUUGUGGAUCUUGGUUCAUCGCUCCUUAUACUAUCUACUAUCUACAUCCUCCCCUAUAUAAACUCUGCAAAAAUAUAUUAAAACAAAAUAUAAAAGACAGUGGUUUGUUCAUUGCUUCUUUUACCAUCUACUAUCUAUUUCCUAAAAGUUACUAAAAAGAAUUAGUAACAGAAACAUCAGCAGAUAAGGAAAAACAACUACAAAAUUUGCAUCUGUAAAAGGAAACACCAAAAUGGUGAGAAUGAGACUCAAGACUAGAGUGAUUUUGCUUACGGACGGGCAAAAACGGAAAAGAACAAAAAUGACCUAAAGUGAAAAGAACUCCUCCACACAACUGAAUAGCAUUUAUGUUCUCCAAUAACAAAAUUUACCCUUAUAUAAGGCAAAUGGCCGAAUGGCCUCUGGGUUUCAAAUAGGGUAGGCACAGUGGUUUCACAGCCGCUAAUUCAAAAUAGCAGCAGCAUCCGCUACCGCACAGUGGAAAAAUAAAAGUUGAUUAAUAAUUUUAGCAAAAAUUAAAUUAAUUAAUUUCAUAAUAAUUGAAAGAAAUGGAAUUAAAUCAACCCAUAAAUUAAAUACAUGCAAAUAAUAAACUAAAUAAUAAAAUAGAUUUAAUUAAAAAUAGGGACUAAAAUGAACAAAAAAAUAACUAAUAAAGCCUUACCGUGAAAAAAUUCACUAAUAAAGGACUGACCUAAAUCAAAUUUACAAUUUAAUUUUGAACCGGCAACAAAAAGUAUAUGCUAAACAGCGCAACAAAGGUACAAAGCAAAGGACAAAACCCUAAACUACAAUAAAAAUAAAUGGGCCUAUAAUUAUUGGGCUCUACUUGGGUUUUAGUUUUUGUUCCCUUUUACUUUUGUUUGUUGUCAUUCUCUUUUUCUUUUUCUUUUUUUUUAAAUGAUAAUUUAUCUAUAAAUUCGGUAUGAUGGUUAAGGUGUUCAUCAUCCCAAGUGUGAUUUAAGUUUAAGUUGCAUUAGUCGUAUUACUGUUACGACUUGAUUCCAGUUUUAUUAAUACAGUUACAUUUUAAUUUAAUCUUCAAGUUUCAUUUAAUCCUUUCUCCUAAUCCCACAUCUUGGUUCUUACAUUUUUUUUAUUAACACGAUGCAAGCAAUUAUAAUUCAAAUGAAUCCAAUUUAAAAUACAAUCGAAAUUAAAAUCAAAAUAUAUUCAAACUUAGACUAAAUAAAUCUAAAAAGAACCUAAACUAGAAUUAACGGACAUGAACCUAAACAGCAUUUUGCAAUAUGGUCCUUGUAUUCCAUUAAAAUGUAAUAAUGCGACAUGAUAAUAUUGUAUCACAUCAUCAAUUGGGCUUAUUUAAUUUUUAAAAUUUUCAAGUGAUGAAUUGACGUAAUCUCUUAUUAUCACAUCAUCACACAUUAACAGAAUUUAAGUUCAUGGACCAAAUUAGAAAGAAUUCAAUGACCAAGAUGAGACAUGAGUGCUUGAUAUAAUUUUUCUUUCAUAGGGCUCAAGCUUGAAGGACAAAAUAUGGGUACUUAACAUUAUCAAUUUGUAACAUUUUAAUCAUUAUGUCCAACCUAACUAAGUCUGGCAUGGCAGAAGUUAUAUUUUAAUUAUUUACACAUAAUCGUUUAUUAUUAUAUUGUGAAAUAUCAUAUUAACGAUUAUAAAGUACUAAGGUAAUGGUUCUUUGUAAGUUAACUAAAGUUAACUUUUUUGACAUGACAUGUGAUUGUCUAGGUAUAUGCUUCAUUAGUAAUUAUUUAACUUUAUAAAGUAAAAAGAAAAUUAUUAAAAUUAUAAAUAAAAUUAUAAAAAUAAUUUAAGCCCAAUAAACCAUUAAACUUACCACCAAACCAUUAAACUUACCACUAAAGAUAAGUUAAUUUACACCUUACCACCAAACCAUUAAACUUACUUUAAUAUAAAUUGAACAAAAAAUAAUAUUUAAGCCCAGUGAACAGCCUAGGAACAAAAAUAAAUGAAUUUCCCAGUAGAAGGAUUUGAACCUAAAACUUCUAACAAACAACUAAAACAUUUAAUCGCUAAAACAAAUAUUACUUUAUAAUAAAACUUAACAAAUCAAAAUUUUAAAACUUGGAGCAUUAUAUGGGAAAUUCAACGCUAUGUAUGUAUUAUAUUGUGAUAAUUCUUUAAUACCUUAAGGGUCAAGAUCGUAUCACUAGCUCAAAUACCCUAGGGUACAAGCAUAUUCUGGUGUGGUUGGUAAGGUCGAUGCAUUUAUGCUCGAUUAGCACUUCAGUACGUCUACUUCUUUUUCCUCCUCUUCUCCAUCAUGAAAUCAAUUGAAUUUCUCUGAAAAGUUUUGGAUCAAUUUUCGGAUUCCAAUCGAUAUCAUCAAUAUACAUAUCAGCUGCAUAACUUGGCAACUUAUCCUUGUAAGAAAAAUCAUGAUAAUUGUCUCAGAACCUCUGUUUAGCUUCCCGAAAAGCUUUUCAAUUAGUCGAAUCAUCUCAUUCGAAUACUUUAUAAGCUUUAUACAAAGUAUUCUUCGCAUCAAUAAAUAUUUUCCAUGACAUUGCACCCACUUUCAUGCAAAAUUUUUAAAACGAAAAAAUCAAUUAAGAUUUUAAUUAUUAAACCCAUAAGACCAUAACCUAUUUACAUACCCAAACCCAAACCCAAAGUAAAACAUUAAAUCCAAAUUCCCAUUAAAACUCGUUAUUCUUACAAAAUUAUAGCCUAUUAAAACUUUAAAAUCCAAUACGUUUUCUGAGUCAUGCUAUUCCAUAAGUGCAGAGGUAACCCAUGAACUUCAAGCCAAGUUGCCCUUCGCUCAGGAAGGAAAUCAACUAACCUACAUCAUCUGAUUAAAAGCACAAUAACUCCACAACAUCUGAUUGACAGCACAAGUUAAUUGAAUUACCAAGAAUCAAUAUCAAUAAAAAAGAAUAGAGAUUAAAUAUAAGAUGAAAUCAACCAAGCCAAGCUGGCAAUGUCUAAGCCAAAAUAUUCAUUUACCCCAUUUCAAUCCUACAAUAGUCAAGAUUUGACUAAACUUUGCAACCUAUACAAGUCUUUUUGGGAUUUUGACAAAAUAUAAAUAAAAAGCCCCGAGAAGAUACUUAAAACAUUCACUCAUCCAUGGCAACUGCUUGAAAGAAUUGGGGUUGUCAUCUAGCUCAUAAUCAAAUACAAGGUCAAUACCGAAUUCUAGCACAGAUAAAUCUGAAAGAACCCGAAGAGUAAUAUGAUCACCGGCUUCUAGUUCACCACCCCUAAAGUCCCAACAAGUAAACUAGUAUAAGGUAUUCUUGGUUCCAAGAAUUCCUGUGAAAUGUUUGGAGUAGGUCCACUUUGUACCUUUGGUCUCGUUCACAAUUUCAAGGAAUGGUAAAAUUUCAUUUGUAUUAUCAUUCUUGGCAGAAAAAAUGAUAAUCGAAUUUAAGAAGCAACUACUCUUUCGACUAGAGUUUGGGGGCACUGAUAAUGAAACCUCAGUCUUGCCAACUUGAUUGCCAAAGUAAUGGCCAUAGUAAUCAAAAGGCAUUGGAUCAAAUACUGUAAUUAUGCCAUAAUCACUACACCAAAAUAAGCUUUUAACAGCGCUUUUUAGCGCCACUAAAAGUAUUUGCGGCGCUUCUAGUAGCGCCGCAAAAAAUGCCGCUAUUGACAGUGCCGUUAACCUUUGCGGUGUUUAUUUCUAAAAACGCCGCUAAAGAACAAGACCUUUAGCAGCGCUUUUUCCACAAAUGCCGCUAAAGAACAAGACCUUUAGCGGCACUUUUUUCACAAACGCCGCUAAAGAACAAGACCUUUAACGGUGCUUCUUUCACAAACGCCACUAAAGAAUAAGACCUUUAGCGGCGCUUUUUCACAAACGCCGCUAAAGAACAAGACCUUUAGCAACACUUUUUCCACAAACGCCGCUAAAGAACAACACCUUUUAACAACGCUUUUUCCACAAACGCCACUAUAAAACAAAACCUUUUACAACGCUUUUCCCAAAAACGCCGCUAAAAAACAUGACCUUUAAAAAAAUAUUUUAAUUAGAUAAUAUUUAUUUUUAUGAUAAAUAUUAUAUCAUGUUUUAUUUUUGAAACUUAAACUUUAAACUAUAUACAUUUUAAGGAUAAAAAUAUUAAUUAAAUUAAAUUUUCUAUUAAAAUUUUAACUUUAAAACUAAAUAUAAAAAUUAAUAAAUUUAAAUUUAAAAUUUAAAUAUUAUGUUUAAAUAAAUGAACAAUCUAUCUCACAAUUCAUCUGAUCUAUAUUAACUCGGCCAAUUAUAAAAGAAGCUACAAAACAAGUAAUAAUUAACAAUCAUAGCUACAAAACCCUAUUUCAAUAGCAUUAAAUUCAAAUUCUGACUAAGAUAAAUGACCAUGGAAUGCAACAUUAAAUAACAUUCCACUUGAAGAAAUGCUAAGCCUUGGCUUUUCCAGCUUGAAGAGAUUGAAUCCUUUACUACACCUUCAAUAUCUAAAGGAUGCAAAACCAAAUGAUCAGAUAAACCAACAAACUUGAUAAACAAGAGAGAUGUUAAAAAUAAAAAAUAUAUAUUAGAUACAUACAUACAUAUAUAUAUCAUUAGACACGUUAAAGACGUUAAAAAGAUGUGAACAUAUGAUAAAGACUUCUAAACUAGACACAUUACCCAGAUUUAGCAUGGGUAUAUUAGAUACAUACAUACAUACAUCUAUAUCUAUAUCUAUAUAUAAUACAAGUAUAUUAAAAAAAAUUAAAACUUCUUGUCAUAUGUUUAAAACAUCAUACCUCAUUUCUAAAUAUAUAUAAAAAAAAUAGAGUGAAGAUUUAAUAAAUUAGACUAGCAAACAAUAACACCAUUAUAUGUCAUCAGUUCAGAGCAUGUAUAUACACGGUAUUAUCUAACAUAUAUGAUAGAACAUUCAGCUACAAGAUUCCAUCAGCAUGUUAGCUAGAACAAGGUAUCUGGAAAUGAACCCACAAGAUGAAAAGAUAAAUUUGAAACUUUAUCUAAUUGGGGAAAAGACAAGACCAAGUGGAUUUAAUGAAAGGCAUACGAGGAUUUAUUUAUUGGAUAAGAUACUAAUAAUAUUUGCAAUAUCUUUACUCUAGGAUAGUGUUCUUCUUUUCCAACCAAAUUUAUCCCUACUUUGUCUCUCUUUAUUUUUCCUCCCCUAGAUCUCACUAACUGGGAUUUUCUUCAUUUUCCUCCAUAUUACAAUCUGUCCUCAAACUUUAUGCCUUUAGUAGCAAUUAUUUAUUGCUUAUGUCACUUUUGAUAAAAGAACCUUUUGCCUCAAAGUACCCCUCAAACAUGUUCAGAGAAAUGCAAUCCAUUUUAAACAUUUGUUACGGGUGAUCACCCUAGUGCUAUAAUGGGAUUAAACCAGUAGGCUAAAAGAGCUUCAGCUCCCAUGUCAAAUAUUAUGCUACCAAUGAAAGAGAAAGGAGGAUCGUGCAUCAAACAGAAAAUGUGAAAAACUAUAUUAGACAAUAAUCAUACUUUAGGCAUUGUAUACGUCUCUGAUUUCCAGCUUCAUCAUAGCUCUUGAAAGCUUCAAAGAAAUUUGUGGCUGCCUCAGCCCACUGACGCUCAGCCAUAUGCAUCUUGCCACCACAUUCACGAAUUAUUCCUAUGAUCCUAGAAUGUGGUAUUGCAGACUUGACAGCAAGUGCUUUCUGGUAUAAUUGCUGCAUUAAAACCAAUAUCUCAGUCACAGCUAAGCCAUUAUAUAAAGACCAAACCAGGACAUAACUAUAUAACUUUGUAAAACAAUUAUCAGACAGAACCAAGGUUGGUUUUUCAGCUAUAAUAUAAAAUAGAACAAAGUUACAAUUAUCAGUCAGGAAGAGAAGUAGCGACCACAUGCAAUUGAGACUAAACAACAGUGAAAACUUCUCGAUUUCAGUAUUAAGGAUUAACUAAUAGUGCUUCAUGCUAAUGUAAACAAUGUCAUUGACCAGGAUCCAGAUAACCAAUCCAGACUACAAGUGAAUAGACUUUAGUAGUUUAAAUUUGAGAGUUGCUAGAAUUCUAAAAAAUAGCAAAAUCAAGACACAGGUGAACUUUCACGCCUAAAGUUCUACAUAUUUCAUAUUUUAGUUUAACAUUGCUUCACUUGAAUUCCAGAAGGAAGCAUACUUGAUAUCCGCAAAGCAGAAAAUUGGGUACAUAUUCUACCAUGUAUUUUUAUUAAAUGGUAGAUAAAUGGUGACAGCAGAAACAAUAUAAACUAGCUUUCAGUAAUAGACCUUUACAAGAGAAUUACAACUGCUUAUGUGCCCCUCCUGAAUUGCCACUUGUAAGUAAUCAUAUUUGACAUGUAACAGGCUUUUCUUCAGCUGCUCUUCAACGAUAUAAUCAACGAAAAUGAAGAUAUUUAAUUAUGAAUCUGCGUUCAAAGAUAUAAUCAACGAAAACGAAGAAAUCUAAGUAAAUCUUCAUUAACUUUGAUUUACGAAGAGCAGCACAGGGGAAGAAGAAAUAGUGCAAAUCCCGACCUAGAGCGUCAACACACAGGAAAAAAAUAUUAAAAAGCAAAUCCAGUCAACAGCUAUUACCAGACGGCGUUUAUUUCAUGUUCCAACCUUUAAACGACAACAACCAAAAAUAAAAAAAUUAAUAAAGUGAUAAUUUUUCCUUUUCUCCCCCCCCCCGGCUUUCAUCUUCUUCACAUUAUUUCCUCUUCAAUUCGUUUCAAGUGGAUUCCAAGUGGGUCAUUGGCUCUCCAACAUAUUUGACAGUCUUCUUGAAAAACGUGUCCUGGUUGAGUACCUUCUCUGCCUGUAAGAUUUACAAUAGAAACGAAAAAAAACACACACACACAUACACAGCUGAAAAUGCUUAGAAAAUGGAUGAGAAAUAUUAGUUACUUCUGAUUUUAACAUUCCCAGGAGAUUAAGUGAUCCAUGAUACCCAAAGACAAGCAUGGCCAGUUGAAGGAACAUGAUGCAAUAUGCAACAACUUAAGGCAUCUGAAUCCCAAACCAAGGCAUCAACGAGCAUUUGGAACCCCUCCUCUCCUCCUAGUAUCACAAAGUUCCUGUCAAUUAUCAUUUCCUUUUCCCAUUAGAAAACAAAUCAAAACCCCCAUACCAUAAUAAAUCAAAACUUUGCUACUCCAUAUAUAUACACAUAUAAUAUCAGAAAAAAAAUAUAUAGGGAAGAAGAGACCUGUUGUAUGUAAAGAUUAAGAGUCUCAUCAGAAAAAUAUAUAUAUAGGGAAGAAGAAAAAAUAGCAAUGGGCAUUGAGUUAAAAGUUUUAAAGGACUGUGUGUUUGUAAACUUGGGGGUUUUAAGGGGGAAAAUUAGGGAUUUCAGGGGGGAAAGAUUGCAGGGGAAAAUUUAUAAAUGGCGCCAUUUUUUUUAAAGUAAAUUACUCUGUGGUGUUCUUAUAAAAAAAAAAGUCUCUAUUGCUUAUUUUUUGCGGUAUUUUUCAUAAAAAUGCUGAGAAAGUUAUUUCAUGCUAAAUUUUUUUUUAUUAUUUUUAUAAAUUGAUUUAUUUUUUGUGGCGUUUCUAUAAAAAACGCUGCUAUUGCUUAUUUAUAAAAACGUCGCAAAAAAUUAUUUCAGUUUGAAAAAAUUACGUUGUUUUGCUGUGCUAAAAAUUUUUUAUUUUGUUUUUUUUAUAAAUUGAUUUAUUUUUGCGGCGCUUUUAUAAAAAACGCCUCAAAAAAAUAUUUCGUUUUGAACAAAAUGACGCCGUUUUGCUAAGCUAAAUUUUUUUAAUAAAUUGAUUUAUUAUCGAAAAACGCCGCAAAAAAUUAUUUAGUUUGAAAAAAUGACGCCGUUUUGCUGUGCUAAAAAUUUUUUAUUUUAUUUUUUUAUAAAUUGAUUUAUUUUUGCGGCGCUUUUAUAAAAAAUGCCGCAAAAAAAUAUUUCGUUUUGAACAAAAUGACGCCGUUUUGCUAAGCUAAAUUUUUUUAAUAAAUUGAUUUAUUAUCUUUUGCGGCGUUUUUCAUAAAAACGCCGCAAAAAAUUAUUUCAAUUUGAAAAAAUGACGCCGUUUUGCUGUGCUAAAAAUUUUUUAUUUUGUUUUUUUAUAAAUUGAUUUAUUUUUGCGGCGCUUUUAUAAAAAACGCCACAAAAAAAUUAUUUCGUUUUGAACAAAAUGAUGCCGUUUUGCUAUACUAAUUUUUUUUAAUAAAUUGAUUUAUUAUCUUUUGCGGCGUUUUUAUGAAAAACGCCGCAAAAAAUUAUUUCAGUUUGAAAAGAUGACGCCGUUUUGUUGUGCUAAAAAUUUUUUAUUUUGUUUUUUAUAAAUUGAUUUAUUUUUGCGGCGCUUUUAUAAAAAACGCCACAAAAAAAUUUAUUUCGUUUUAAACAAAAUGAUGCCGUUUUGCUAUACUAAUUUUUUUAAUAAAUUGAUUUAUUAUCUUUUGCGGCGUUUUUCAUAAAAACACCGCAAAAAAUUAUUUCAGUUUGAAAAAAUGACGCCGUUUUGCUGUGCUAAAAUUUUUUUAUUUUAUUUUUUUAUAAAUUGAUUUAUUUUUGCGGCGCUUUUAUAAAAACGCCGCAAAAAAAUUAUUUUAUUUUGAACAAAAUGACGCCGUUUUGCUAUGCUAAAUUUUUUUAAUAAAUUGAUUUAUUAUCUUUUACGGCGUUUUACAUAAAAACGCCACAAAAAAUUAUUUCAUUUCCAACAAAAUGACGCCGUUUUGCUAUGCUAAAAAUUUUUUAUUUUGCUUUUUUUUUAAAUUGAUUUUUUAUAAAAUAAAAAACCAAGUACUCUCAAAAUAAAUAUUGUAUAUUUUAAUAAGAAAACAAUUGAUAAAAUGGCUGUAAUUAAUUAUUAAGUUAGAAUUAUCCAAAUUAAAUAAUUACCUAUAUAUCCAUAUCAUUUUUAUUUUUGUAUUUUUUUCCUUAUAAUUUGGUCCUCUCCAAAAUAAAUACCUAAAUAUCCAUAUCAAUCUAUUAUUUUUUUAACUUAUUUAUUAAUUCUAUUUAAACUAAUAUAAAAGCAUUAAUUAAUUGUAUAAAAUUUUAUCAUUUAACAAACCUAAAGUAAACCUAAACCUUAAACCUAAAUUAACCAUUCAAUACAUAUAAAGUCUAUCUAUUAUAUAUCUCUUAAAUAAUUUAAACUAUACUCAUAAAUUCAAUAUAUUUGAUUUAUUAUUAUCUCUUUUACAAUUAUAUAAGAACAUAUUUAAAAUAUAAAUUAAAAAAUAAUUAAUCUAAACUCAAAACCUUAACCCGACCCCUAAAUUAGUAAACCUUAAAUCCUUAACUCUUAACCCUUAAUGUCUAACCCUAAACCCCUAACCCCUAAACCUUAAAUCUAAACCCUUAAUCCAUAAUCCCUAAUCCAUAAUUCAUAAAUCCAUACUCUUAAACCUUAAAAUAUGAACUCCUAAAUCAGCCUUAAAUCUUAAAUUAAUUAUAUACCCUAAACUAAAAACCCUAAACAAAUUUAUUAUUAUCUCUUUUACAAUUAUAUAAGAACAUAUUUAAAAUAUAAAUUAAAAAAUAAUUAAUCUAAACCUAAAACCAUAACCCGGCCCCUAAAUCCCUAACUUUUAACCCAUAAUACCUCUAACCCUCUAACUCCUAAACCUUAAAUCCCAACCCUUAAACCAUAAUCCCUAAUCCAUACUCCCUAAACCUUAAAAUAUGAACUCCUAAACUGGCAUUAAAUCUUAAAUAAAUCAUAUACCCUAAACCAAAACCAUAAAUAAAUUUAUUAUCAUCUCUUUUCAAUUAUAUAAGAACAUAUUUAAAAUAUAAAUUAAAAAAAUUAAUCUAAACGCCCAAAAUCCUAACUCGACCCUUGAAUCCCCAAAACCCUAAAUCCCUAACUAUUAACCCUUAAUGUCUAACCCCUAAACCCCUAACCCUCUAACCCUUAAACCUUAAAUCUCAACCCUUAAACCCUAAAACCCUAAUCCAUACUCUAUAAGCCCAUACUCCCUAAACCUUAAAAUAGUAACUCCUAAACAGGCCUUAAUUAAAUCUUAAAUAAAUCAUAUACCCCAAACCAAAAAACCCUAAACUAUAGUGAAAAUUAAUUCAAUAUUUUAAAAUUAAUACUAUCUCUUUUAUGAUUAUAUAAGAAAAUUUUUAAUAAAUAAAUUAAAAAACAAUCAGUAAUCAUGUACCCAAAAAACUUUAAAAUUAUUUUAAAUAAUAGUAUUUUAAUUUUUCUAUGUGUUUUAUUUCAAAUUAUUUCUACGUAUCAUUAUUUUUUUCUGAAGAUUUUAAAUAUUCAAUUAGAAAUAAAUUGAAUUUUAUUUAAUAUAAAUAAACCAAUUAAGAUAAAAUAUUUUUAGCGGCGCUUUUCCAAAAACGCCGCUAAAGCCCCAGCAUUAGCGGCGCUUUUCCAAAAAUGCCGCUAAAGCCCUCAGCAUUAGCGGCGCUUUUUCAAAAAUGCCGCUAAAGCCCCGAAAUGUAACAAAACGACAUCGUUGGGCUUUGGUUUUUUGCGACGUUUUUUCGAAAAACGCCGCUAAUGCCCAUUUUUACCAGCGUUUUUCAAAAAACGCCACUAAUGCUCGAUCUUUAGUGGCGAUUUCCAUAAAGCGCCGCUAAUGCUCGAUUUUUACCUGCGUUUUUUGUCCAAGCACCGCUAAAAGUGCCGCUAAAAGCCUGUUUUGGUGUAGUGAAUCGUAUAGUACCUGUAGCAUUGGGUUAAGGAAUUAGUUAUUAAAAAUAUAUAGUAUAUAAAUAAAUUUGAAACUUGGAACUCGUAAGGAACCUGUGGGGAAGAAACCACUUUUGAUUCUUCUAUAUAACUGCAAAGUUGCACUUUAACAUUUCCAUAAGAUUCCAAACUGAGUAAGUUUUUAGUUAGGUCCAUCUUGAUAUUUCUUGGGGAAACUUCAUCUCCUAAAAUGUGUACAAUAAUGUGUUAUUUAUCAAUUUUAAUGAUCAUCAACAUAAUAUGCCUAUUAUAAUACCAAAGUAUUAAUUUUGACAUGAAAAAAAACGUUGCUUAAAGUUUUUAUCAGACACCCAUAUAAUAUGGGUUUAAACUGUGUAUGAAAAAAAAUAUCAAACAACUAAUUUUAUGUAUUAUGACUAAAAUAUGUUAUAAGACUUGUUAGAAAUAACCAAUUAUACACUUUUUUGAAAAAAAAAUCAAUUAUAUCAUUAUCUUUUAUUUUUAUAUAAAAUAUCAACUUUAAAAAUACCACUUUGAACUUCAUCCAUUAUUUUAGUUUCCACUUAGGUGAUAGAUUAAUCAUCUAUCAAACAAUUAACUUAUUUUGAUUAGACCUCAAUUGCAACAUAAUUUUAUAAUUAUUAUUUUAUUAUUAAGCUAAAUUUCUCUCAGAAUCUAUUAAAUGAUCAGAUUUCUUAAGUAAUAUUUUUAUUGUAUUGGAAAGUCUUUUAGAGAAACAUAUAUCAAUUUUUGAAUUUUUUUUAUUGACAUCUAAAAGGAAACAUAUGUUCAAACAAUCUAAAGGGGGCAUUAAAAUAAAUAUAAUAGGAUGUAUUAACUAAAAUACAAUCUUACCGUCGAAAACACAAUUAGAUAUUCAUAUAAUUCAUUAUUUCAAUAAGGAUAUAUCUUUUUAGCCAUGUGUUUUACUCAUUAAUGUUAAUAGUGCAUUGGGUAAUAUGCCAUAAACAUAAUUAUUUGAAAUCUACUCAUACCUGUAGAUAAAUAUGAAAAACCAUAUUUAUAUCUAAUGUUGUGUUCGGAUUCAUAAGUAACGCCAAAUUUUCUUACGCUGAGAUGAAUAGGCAUUAUCAUGCAACUCACAAGGUCACCACCUUCAAACUGACAAUCCGUUACUGGCCAAUGAAUCAACCACAACAUUGUGUUAUCGUUAGUCUUAGGAAUUCCGAUGAAACUUGAGCGAUAUCUCUGCAUGAUCCUUUUGGUCUCAUUGAAAAUGUAGACACUUGGUAGAAGGUCCAAUAUUUGAUCACUAGCUAAGGAGAAAACAAUGCAUAAGCUGAACCGAUGGAUCUUUUCAUCUGGAUGAGAUGGUGUUGGCAAAGAAAAAGAGAUUCGGUGCUCGUUAGUGCGAUGCUUAAACACAAUAGGAACUUCACUUCCUAUAACAAAUGUGCUUGUUAUACCACAUUCCUGCAAGACCUGAUCCAAAAAAAACAUGUUAGAUGAUUACGAAUGUGUUGAUUAAGUAAUAUAAGACAAAAAGAAAAAGAUUUAAAAUUUAAGUUGGAGAACUAUUGGACCUGUGGGGUAGCAAGCAUUAUGUUGUCCGUUAGGCAAUUAUAAAGUCGCACUCGAUUUUUGUUGACGGAAUUCACGUUGAAUAAUCUUCUAAUCUCUUCCGCAUCAAAGUUUUCAAUUGGCUCCAACUUGAAUAUAUCUUGAACCUCGGUCAAUUUUUCACAUCCAAAAAUAACACAACGUUUGGAAGAAAAGAAGCAUGGAAGAAUUGACCUAGAGUUUUUUACUGCAAAUACUGUCGAGAACCCAGAAACAUUGGGCAAGACCGGAAGCUUUGGAAUCAUUUGGAGUUCAGUGCAAGAAGUCAAUAGAAGUUCAUCAAGUUUUGUAAGUUCUUUUAAGCUUUCGGGUAGGUAAUGAAUUGGGUUUCUACUUAAAUUUAAGGAUUUCAAGGAAGCCAAGUUACAAAGAUCAUUGGGCAUGACAUCAUCAGAUAAUUUGCAACUUUCAAGGCUUAACUUUACCAAAGAGCCCGGUAGAGAUGCCCAAGAGAAACCCAAUCCUUUGCUUCUUUUCAGUAAGAGCCACUGCAACCCCAAUCUUGAUUGAUAUAUGGCAGUUUCAUCUAAAUUAAGCACCUUCAAUGAUUCCAUAUUAUGCAACGCCCUAGGAACAUCAUCAAGUCUUGAACAACCAGAUAAGAUAAGCUCUUCAAGUGAUAUUAAUGAACCAAUUGUCCUUGGAAGUUUCCUAAGACUUGUGCAAUCUUUAAGGUUCAAGAAAGUAAGCAUCUUUAGCUCACCAAUGGAUUGAUCAACUUCCACCAAAUUUAUGCAAUCUUUGAGCAUCAACUUCUCAAGGCUAGGGAGUCCUGAAAAGGUUGGGGUUUUAAGAAGGCUAUGUGAAUGGUUGAGAUUAAGGAUCUUUAAAUUUGGGAGGCACUGCACAAAAAGAAAACCCUUCAUUUAUAUAUUAUUGUUUCACACACACACAAAAAGAAGGAAAAUUAGUAUAUAUCAUACCUCUGUAUCCUUCCAAACUUGUUUAAGUUUACUGUUGCGCAUGUCGAGAACAACUAGUUCAUUGAUAUCAAAAUCCACCGGAAAAGAUUGCAUCCAAAACCCAUGCCAACGUAACCAUCUUAAUCUUUUGGGAAAGUCUUUGAAGUCUCCUUUAAGUCUUACAUAAUCCAGUUGAAGUAGUUUAAGUCUCUUCAUCUUUGCAAAUGCUUGAGUUUCCAUAUCAACAUCAUUUGCCAUGAGAAACUGACUUUUGGAAUGCUUUGGAAAAUGUAGAGUUGUAUUUGUCCUUUUAGCCUUGUCUUCUAGUAAUCCUUUUAGGUUAAUUGUGAGGCACUUAACUGUUCCGGAACCCUGCAUCAGAAAAACUUUUUUAAAAAAUAAAAAGAAAUUUGAUAAAAAAAAAGUAGUUUACAUGCACACAAGAAAAAAGUUGAGUAAAAUGAUGUUUCUUACAAUUUUUUCUCUUAUUACAUCAAAAGCUUCUUAUGCCACAAUCUGCUCCGUUUCCCAAUAUCAGAAGAUUCUUGACGAAUAAUUUCUCGUCCCAUAUCUCUAAUCAUUUGGUGCAUCAUUAACUUGUUUUUUUCAUUAAUGAUUAAGAGACCCUUGCCUACUAGAUUUUCAAUUCCUAUUGUUGUAUAGAAAUCACAACCAUCUAGAAUUGUAGUCGUGUAAUCUCUAUCCUUCCCAAUGAAUAAACAAACUAUGUCAAGGAAUAAAUUUUUGUCAUGAUCGUCUCCCAAAGAAUCAUAGCUUAUUCUUAGAAUCUUUUGAAUUUUGCUGUCAGGGAUUUCUUCCAAUUUCUCCAAUGCACUUUUCCAAGAACUCACACUUUUGCUAGAUAAUGAAGAGCCCAAAACUUGAAGAGCUAACGGAAGCCCACCACAGUGUUUCACUAAACUUCUUGCAUAUGCCAUUGAACUUUCAGGCACAGAGUUAUGACCAAAAGCAUACCAAUUAAAAAGUUGUAGCGAUUCACUUGAAGCUAAUUCUUUUACUUCAAAUAGCUUGCUUAAGCCUCCACAACUAGUUGAUGCUUCUGAAUCAAACAUUUGGCUUAUAAAAUGUGCAUUCAAUAGGCAUCGGUUUCUACUAGUUAUGAUGAUUUUACUUCCCAGAUGAAAAGGAAUUUGAGUUCCCAUUAAUUUUCUUAUUUUUUCCAAUUCAUCAACAUCAUCAAGAACAAGAAGAACUCUUCUACAACAUAAAACUUCUUUGAUCUUGUUAAUUCCAUUAUCUAUAUUGUAUAUUUUAUGUGAUUUUCCUUUAAGAAUAUCUGAAAUAAGUUGCCUUUGCAAACGGACUAAACCAUUGCAAUCUUGACUUGUUUCUCUAACAUCAGCAAGGAAACUAUAACCUUCAAACCUCGGGAUGUUUUGAUUGUAAACAACUUUGGCAAUGGUUGUCUUCCCAAUGCCUCCAAUGCAACAAAUAGUUGCAAUGCCAACUUUAUUUGCUCCAUCUUGUUCUAACCAUUGAUUAAUUUGUGGCACAAGAGAAUCUAUUCCAACUAAAUAAGGAGGGACAUACAAAGAAAUAAGAUGAAGUUUAUUUUGAACUUCUUUAACAAUAUCUUGGAUGAAUUGUGAUUCAUGCCUGCAAAUUUAAAAAAUACAACUCAAUGGUAAAAUUUUAGAAAUUAAGUAAAAGUUACUAAUGUAUUUUCUUUUUGCUUGCAUAUAUUUUGAUUGUUUUUAUGAGAUUAUAUGUUCAAGUAAAAAUAAGAAACUAUGCAACAUUUCAAUAUAUAUGAUAGAAUUAUUACAUUCAAAAUCAAAUCAAAUCAAAUAAAGCAACAUAAAAAUUAAUGAAAUUCAUUGGAGAAACAACCUAUACUCAAAAUUUCAACUUUCUCUUUGUGAAAGUUUAAUAAAUUCAUGUUAUUUACAUGAAUUUAUAUAUUUAUUUUUUAUUUAUUAUAAUAUUUUGAAUAUGUGUAGACUUAUUACACGAAUAACUUGGAUAUAAUUGUUGCAAAUAUUUUACCGCAAAAUAGAAUUAUUAAGGAGACCAAACUGAAUGUAAAUAAAAUAAGAACCAUUGUGUUGUGGAAGAACCACUGUAAUAUUAGAGGCAAAUUCGCCCUGAUCGGUGUAAUCGUGUAGUGGAUGUUACCCCCCAACACAAUACUCCAAUAUUCGUAAACCCAAUAAAGAAGAUGGAACACGAUUGACAAUACUCCAAACAGUCCUACUUAAAACCUAGUCUCUUAGACAGAAUUUCCCUCUCGUGUAAUUUUGUAGAACACUAGAAUUUAGAGAACAUAGAGAAGUUGUUUUUCUCUUGUUAUGUUAGGUAGGAGAAUGACCUCCUAUUUACACUAUUUUUUGAUGAGCAAAAUGGUAAAAUAAAAGUUUUAGUUUAUAAAAAUAACAAAGGAUUUUUCUAACUGAAAAUAUUCUAAAAAUAUUUUCUGCAACAGUCAGAAUAUUUUCCACAAUUCAAAAUAUUCUUUUGCAUUACCAACAAUGACAUCUUAGAAAACCACAAAUAGUGUCAUUAAAUUAAAGAGGCUAUUUCUUUUUAUUUUUAACUCGUCAAAUCCAAGUUGUUCAUGUGAUAGGUGCAAACAUAUUUAAAAUUUGAUCUAUGUCUUUUAAAAACAUCCCAUAUCAGAUUCGAGCUAACAUUUAAUGCUUAAGCUGAUGAUUUAUUUGAUAGAAAGACCUCAGUGAUACAAUACUAAUAUUUUAAUGACUCAAUUAAAACAUGUUAAUGUUUGAGAAAUAAUUUAAAAUCUGUGUUAUAAUUAACCCUCUAAAAUGGAUUGAAGUAACCAUUUUAAUUUCCUAAUGCUACCUAACAAUAUUUUCUAUUAAUUUUCUUUCUACUCUAGCAAGUCUUAAUGAAAAAGAUUGAAGUAACCAUAUGAAACUUGAUUAUGUGUAUAACGUACCUGUCUUGUAGAACCAUGCCUCCUAUAGCCGCAACUUCUUUUAAAGCAUUCCUCCAUCUUUGUACCAUGUUGGUUUCGGACUCGAAGUUUUGUUCAUGUUGGGUAAAUGCUUCUGCAUAACUUCCCGUCUGGUUCUUGGCUUGACUCGGAUCCACAUCAUAGAAAACUGGCAACACAAUAUGUUUAGAGGAUUUCUUGUGCUCCAAUAUCAUUACAAGUUCGUUAAGACACCAUGUGGAUGCAGCAUAAUUCUUUGAGAAAACAACGAUAGAAAUUUUGGAGUGGUGUAGUAUUGCUUUUUCAAUUUCAUCUUUUAUGUUAUUCCCUCUCUCGAUUUCCUCAUCAUCUCUAAAUGUUUGAAUUCCUAAGUGCACCAAAGCUGUGUAAAGAUGAUCCGUGAAACUUUUGCGCGUAUCUUCACCUCUAAAACUCAAGAAUACAAGAUAACUACAUCGCGAGAUUUCUGACACUGCCAUUGAAGAAGAAAAUGAAGUCGUCCUGUAUUUUUUAUGUAAUAACAAGGUUCCAGCAUAUAUAUAUAUAUGAAUGGCAAAGCAGAUAUUAUUAGCAGUCAAGUGGCCGUUCCCAAUCCAUGGUGGGUCAAUCCUUCGACCAGUUCAUACAACUGCCCGAAGAAAUUCAUGUCGGCCAUGUUGUGUUUUUCCAAAUCUACCAACUUGGGUUACGUAUUCUAUAUUAUUAAUUUUGCUUGACAAAUACAAUGUAUUGAUUAACUUGAUGGUUAUAGCUAACACAACACGUAUAUAGACAUCAUCUUCAGGCUAAUAUUAGUAAAAAUAUUAUGAAGGUUCUUGUAUUUUAAGUCAUAUUAUAUUUUGUUUUCUCUACUUAAAAAAUAUUAAAUUAGUUUUUGUAUAUUAUAUUAAAAAGUAAAUUAGUUCAUUUGUUAAAAAAAUUAUCUAUUGUUAUUGUUAAAAAUUGAUCCAUGUAAUCAACAUGAGGUAUAUGUGACACGCCACAUGCAACUAUCUGAUUAUUUCAUCAUUCACUUUAGUUUUUAACAACAAAAAUGAAUGAAAUUUUUAAUAAAAAUGAUAAAUUUGUUCUUUUAUAUAAUGUAUAUGGACUAAUUUGCUUGUUUUUAAAUAAAAUGGGUUAAGUACAAUUUGACUCUCAAUAGAAUGAUCUCCAUGAUACUUUUACCGGCUAAUACCUUGGUGGAUACACUCAAUAAUUAAACCACAACCACAUAUAUCACAUAGACAUCACAUUAAACAUUCAAGCUCGGUAUAGUAAAGAGACAAUUUUAGUAUCUAUGCGUGAAUGAAGAAUUAAUUGUUUUUGGAAAAGAAUUGGUGAUUAAAUUGAUCAGAUCAUCAAUUUUUUUAUUUGAUUUGUUCGUGUUAUCUAAAAUAAAUAAAUUUUUAAAGACUAAAAAAUAAUAAAAAAUAAAAAUUCACUUAUAUUGCACAUUAAAGUAAAUUGAAAAUGUGAAUUGAGAGGGACAUAAGAGAAGAAGAAUAAUUCCGAAGUAUUUGGUAUGGAAAAUAUCGGUACUAGAAAACGCGUUUCAAUCGCUUUUCAUCUCGGAGUCAUGCUUACGGUCCAUUAUUUGGUGCUCAACAUUUGGUCCAUUUGGUGGGGAAAAUUCAACGAAUAUUCUUACCAUAUCUAUUUUAAAAUUUUAAUAUAAUUAAUGAAAAACAAUUCACAUAUAUGAAUCAUCAAAUUUGACGUGCUUAGAGAACCUCAUGUGAUGACCUGAUGAUUAAGAUUAUUCAUAAACCCAAAUGUGGUCUAGAUUUGAAUCGUGUUACUUGCGUUGGUUAUUCGAGCUUUACCUGUUAUUGUAAUUAAAAAAUUAAUAUAAUUAAAUAAAUAUUGAAUUUUGUCACGUUUAAUAUAGAGGACGUAAGAGGAGGAGGAGGAUAAUUCCCAAGUACUUGGUGCGGAAAAUAGUGGUACUAGAAAACGCGUUUCAAUUACGUUUCAUUUUGGAGGCAUGCUUACGUUCCAAGACUUUAGACCAUUAGCAAUUAAAGAGGGGCUUCAACAAAAUUACAUAAUAAAUUCGUGGGCUAACCAAUUUCAGUGCAAUAAAAGUAGUGAAGAGGAUGGGAUAAGGUUAAGGUUUACAUUGUUGGUAAUGCAAAGUGGAAUCUCUCGUUACAGCCUUCAAAUUUUUUGGUUCACAAUAUUUUAGGAAGAACUCGAUUCAAAUAAUAUUUUUUUCGUGAUUAUUUUUUUCAAUAAUAUUAUUUUUAAAAUUCAGAUCUAUAUUUUUUUAAAAGUAUAAUAUGUAUUAUCAUUAUGUCUAACAAUUGCUAAUUAUUCAAAUAAUAAUGUUAACAAAAAGGUUGAGCACCAAAUGGUUGAUAAGUACUAACAAGCUCAUGGUCUAAAGUCUAGAUCGAGUAGCACUAUUAUCCAAAACGUAGUGAAACAAAUUAAUUCUUUCUCCGAUGUUUAAUUAUCAAUUUUAUUUUUGGGACUCCAUAACUAAAAUUUAGCUAAUCCCUUUAUUCAAGAGUGUAAUUAUUCGAAUAGGAUCAUAUCUCUUUUAUGGUGGAAUACUAAUUCAUUUUAUUACAUGGACUUAUUCAUAAAAAUUCUCUUAAAAUAUCGAACAAAUAUCAAUUGGGUGUUCUGAUUUAAAUAUUUAGUUUUUAAGAGAACAUAUUCUUACCUCAUUAUGCCUUCUCGAAGAUUUAUGUCAAAUCCAAACUGAUGUGAGUUGGUAGGCGUGAUGAUAAUCAAUUCUCUAAUAUUUCAAGGAGUUUUGUCCAUAAGUAAAAGUCUUUGGUAAAAGUAUUAGAUAAGUAAUUGAUAAAAAAUUUCAUUCUAAAGUACUUGGAUGCUCAUCUAUUAACACAUGUAAACAUCCUUACCAUUUAUUUUAAAGUAAUUAAUAUUUCAAGUAGUUGUUAGAUUAUUAACACAUGUAAACAUCCUUACCAUUUAUUUUAUAAAUAUCUAAUAAUUAGGAUGUUCAUCUAAAAUAUUUAAUUUUCUAGAUAAUAUCCUAUUUAAUAUUUUUAAACAUUCAUGAAGAAUUUUAUGUACUUUUAUUGAAUGGAAUAGAUUAUUUUUCCUAAUAGAGGAACCACGAGAAGCAGGAUGUUUUCCCUUGACCUAUUCAAAAUGUACUUGGCAACUUGUUCUUGUAAGGAAAACCAUAAUAAUUUUUCCUGUUUGAAAUCUUGGAAAUCUUUUAAAUUAAUCGAAUCAUCUCACUCGAAUACUUUAUUAGCUUUAUACAAAUUAUUCUUCGCAUCAAUAAAUAUUGUUCAUGAUAUUGCACCCACUUUCAUGCAAAAUUAUUUCUCCCAUGUAAGGAAUAGUCUCCAUGAAUUACUGUCAUCUUUUAGUUUAAGAUGAAUAAAUUUCGAUCAGUAAUAACUUUCUUGAUGAACAGGAUAUCUAUUUUGAUGACAUGAUAUGAUUUCUUUUGAUUCAAUAAAGACAAUUGAUGACUAGAAAUUGAACGACUUGGGUUUAUAUACAAUUAUAACUAUUUAAAGUUUAAAGUGUUCAUGUCUUAGGGUAUAAUAUUACAGUUACAAGUACAAGAGAAGAGAACCAUUUUAAUAAUACACAAUACAUUUACAAUAUGACACACAUUUACCUUACUACAUUUUUCUUCUUUACAAUUACCUCUCACUCUCUUUUUACAUCAUAGCAAGAAUUAAAACUCCCAUCCUUAUUUAUAAAGUUUAGGGGUUGUUAGAUUAUUAACACAUGUAAACAUCCUUACCAUUUAUUUUAUAAAUAUCUAAUAAUUAGGAUGUUCAUCUAAAAUAUUUAAUUUUCUAGAUAAUAUCUUAUUUUUUAUUUUAUAUUCUGAGAAUCUUCCCAAUAAAAUAUCUCUUAAAAGAUAAGUAUAGAUAUACAACAUUUCUAUCUUUUAAACAUUGUACAUACAUAUUUUUUUAUGAUUGUGUAAAAACAAAUAUUGUACAUACAUACCUCUUUAAUGUCUUCUAAAAAUAAUAAGAAUAUAAAUACAUAUAUUCACGUACAACCCACGCCAUUUUGAACAUUAGUUUUACUCAAUGUUGUAACUGCCUUGCCUUAUAUUUUCUCUAUAUCCUAUAAUUUAACAUAAAACACCUAACAGAACACGUGUUACUACAAUAUUUUUGGGUGUCUUAUAAACUCAAAUUUUGUUUUAUUCUAUUUUACCAUCUUUCUUAUUCAUAGUUAAUAUUUAUUUUUUAUGUUUAAAAUAAUAUUAAAAGUAAAAAUUUAAUUAAAAUGGUUUAUUGCAUAAAAUUAAUAUAUAACUUAAUAUAUAUCAAGAAAAUUAUGAAUUUUUAUUUUUUAUAUUUUAUUUUUUCAAUAUAUUCAAAUUAAAUUUUUAAGUAAAUAAAUGUAAUUAAAUUAAAUUAAUACACAUAACCAACUCGGAAUAAAAACCUAAUUUUUUAAUCUUUUUUCUUAUUCAUAUGAUUUUAACUUUUGCCUUUUAUAUGUCAUCUAAGUGCACGUAUAGUAUCAUUCAUAACCAAACUACUAUUAAUGGAAGAAUCAACUUAAAAACCCUCAUCCAACAUAAAAGUUCCUCUUCAAAUUUAAAAACUCUCAUCCUAUUUGGAUUUGGAAAUUUCUUAUUUGAAUAAUUCUUACCUGAAAAAUCUCAUCUCAUCAAAAUAUUUUCUCUAAUCUGAAUUUACUAGGGUAAUCAAUGUUCACAAAAAGACCAUGUAUGCAUCACUUGAACAAAAUAACGAGAAGCAGCAAUUACUCUAGCUGUUGUUUUUUCUUUAACCUAGCCAACUUCAAAUUGGCUUCUCGGAUAGUUUCUCGCAAUUUCUUUAUCUCUCACUACACCAAAACAGGCCUUUAGCGGCAUUUUUAGUGACGUUUGAAUAAAAAAAGCCGCUAAAAAUGGAGUAUUAGCUUGAUCCUCCAAUGUUUGACGAGUCUUUGCCAAGUUAUCCUUUAGCCAUGAAAGGGAUCUCCAUGUCUUUCACCCUUACCAACAUAUCAUCGAUAUCAGUUAGCUCAAGCUUAUUCAGAUCGCUUUCUAAUCUUCAAUAAAUUUCAGCAACUGCAUUCAUAAUGUUGCUUUAAAACUCUUGAUUGUUCAAUUGAAAUUGGUCAGCAAAGUGAGCAUGGUUUUGAAAUAUUUUAUUGAGCGCGUCAGUAUUGUAUUGAGAAACCUCGUAUCUGUUGAUGAUGACAGCUGUGACAUCAAAGGUUGAGAAUAAAUGAAAUAAUUAUCUUCAAUAUAACUCAAAGAAACAAUAAAUUCAUGAAAUAGUAGCUUGCAGCCAUUACUUUGGAGCAAAUCAUCUAACCAACUUUUCUGAGCCACAAAAUCUCCACGUCUCCCGAAGCACCCAUAUGAUUAGAAGAUUCAGGAUUCAAAUGUGCUGGAGAAACCUAUAAGCAAAACAGAAUCAGAUAUUGGUCCAAAAAUAAGCAGAUAAAAUUAAAAACUUUACAACAUGAUAACACAAUAAAUAAGGAGAAGAGUAAACAGCAUUACGCAGAGAAUUAGAAACUGACAGCCUUCCUACUCAGGAUUUCUCUUUUUUUUUGUGUGUUUCUAGUUGAUAUUUCUUGUUUGAUUUGGUAUCUUACCAUAAAUGUGGGAUCAAUCAGACAGUCCUGAAAUAACUAUUUAAAGUUUAAGUGUUCAUGUCGUAUCUCUCUUACACUAUAAUAUUAAAGUUUUGGAUUAAAACUUCAACCUGGUACAUAAACUUGAAUGGACAAUAGCAGGAUAGCAUUCUCUCUACAACUACAUGUAAACAAGAGAAUGAAUGAAGAAAUUAAAGAAAAAAUGAAUAGUGAUGAUCCGAUCAGUUUAUAGUUUGCAAAAGAUAAAAUAGACAGCUCGUUAACGAAAUUAAAGGAAUGACAAGUUCUACAUACAUGCCUGUAGGAGUAAGUGAGAUGAGUUAAAAACUUAAUUGGUGAUAACUGAAUAUUGAACUUCAUUUUUGCAUCAUUCAUUACAAUAAUAGAAAAGAAGUUAGUGGACGAUACAUGCUUGCAUUUUCAGGUCAUAUUUUGCUCUGUGAAACUCAAAAUUCAAUUCAUACCAUCGUUUGGUCGCUUGUUUCCAUUUUCAAUGUUAAUUUCUCUACUCUUCCUCCCACAUGUAUUAGGGUAAAAUUCACUUUCUCAGCUAGUUUCUCUUAAUCAAUCAUCUUCAUUCGAAAUAUAUAAAGAUGAGUAGCAAAGUCAAACAGAAAACAGAACAAUAGAGGCAGACAAGUUACUAAAUGCUCACCUCUUUAAGAUUGUUCAAACAAAUUACUAAGACAGAAACGUUAUGGCAACGUUAAAAAGUCUACUCCUUAAUUAACUUGAUGAUAAGCUAUUUUGCAAGACUCAUGUUUGCUACAAUUACAUUUUUUUUUCUACAAAAGGGUUUUCAUGAUAAAUGUAAAACCUUAUACUCCAUUGAUUAAAAGAGGACAUCCUAACACUCCUUUUGCUAUAUAAAAACCUUAUAUAUAAUCCCUGCAUGUAAACUUCAAAUCGUACAAUAGACUCAUAAUUCAUACCUGUAAAUGUUCAUGCUUGCAAAUAAUAGGUAUAUAAAUAAUGACAGGAUCUUUAAUUACCUCUGAUGUCAGAUGUCACAACAGCCAUCGUCAACAGAUACGAGAUUCAUCAACACAAUGCUGACGCGCUCAAUAAAAUAUUUCAAAACCAUGCUCACUUUGCUAACCAAUUUCAAUUCAAUAAUCGAGAGUUUCAAAGCAACAUUAUGACCGCAGUUGCUGAAAUUUACCAGAAAUUAGAAAGCAAUCUGAAUAAGCUUGAGCUAACUGAUAUCAAUUAUAUGUUAGUAAGGGUGAAAGACACGGGGUCCCCGGUUUGGAGCUUUCAUGGCUAAAGGAUAAGUUGGCAAAGACUCGUCAAACAUUGGAGGAUCAAGCAGAGAUAAAGAGAUUGUAAGAAACUAUCCGAGAAGCCAAUCUGAAGUUGGCCAGGUUAGAGAAUAAACAACAGCUAGAGUAAUUUCUGCUUCUCGUUAUUCCGUUAAAGUAAUAGCAGCCAAGGCUCUGUCUAGCCUCUCGUACAAAUUACCGUGACACUUGGUGAAUUUUGGUCUUUGGAAUCCCAGGUCACAUAGAUGAUUAUUAGAGCAAAACGAUUGGAAAUGAGAACACCCCCUACCGCCUUUCCACUCAUCCAUACUUAGAAUAGAGUUAAAAUCACCGCUAAGAAUGGUUUUGUCAUAUUAUCUACAAUCAAACUUAAACAUUCCCAUAAAAUAUUCCUUUUAUUGAUUUGAGGACUAGCAUAAAUGAUCGAGACAAAGAAUUGUCAUUGAAGAGCAGACUCUUUAAUCUUAACAGUAGUUGAAAUACUUUCAUCGCCCAAUAUAAUUCGUAACAUUUUGACCACUACAGCCCAGCAACCCUGCAUAUCUUUUCCGAGGAAUAUUCUUACUUGAUCUAUUCAAAAUGCACUUGGCAACUAGUUCUUGCAAGGAAAACCAUAAUAAUUUUCCCUGUUUGAAAUCUUGGAAAUAUUUUAAAUCAACCGAAUGAUCUCACUCGAAUACUUUAUUAAUUUUAUACAAAUUACUCUUCGCAUCAACAAAUAUUAUUCAUGACAUUGCAUCCACUUUCAUGCAGAAUUAUUUUUAGUUUAAGAUGAGUAAAUUUCAACCAGUAAUAACUUUCUUGAUGAACAUCAUAUCUAUUUUGAUGAUAUGACAUGCUUUCUUUUGAUUCAAGAAAGGCAAUCAAUGACUUGAAAUUGAACCAUGAUUUUAAAGGACUUGGGUUUAUAUAAGUGGUAAUUCAAUUUCCUUUUCCUGGUUGGAAAAGGAAUUCCAUUUUGACUUUAACUGUGAUUUUUAAGUUGUUGUUUUCUUAUUGUUAAUUAUUUAAAAAUAAUAAUCGCAUUUUAACUUGCAAACUUAAAUCUUAAACUAUUAUCUUUAUGUUUACUUUCUGGUUAUAAUUAACAAAAAUAUUUGGUUUUAAAAUUUUAAAACAAUCAACGAAACACAAUUUACAUAUAUGAAUGAUGAAAUUUGACGUGAUUAAAUAAAAUGUUAAAUUUUGAUAUAUUUCUAAUAAUGAAUAUAGCCAAAAUGGUAAUAAAUCAGCAUUUUAAUGUCAUUUAAAAGGUGUCAAAUAAAUAUUAGAUUAGAUAUUCAAUAUUCAUAAUCAGUAUAUAUUAAUUGAAUUAGACAUUAUAAUUAGUCAUGACUAUCGAAAUUCAAAAUUGUAAAAAUUAAUAUAUAUUGAAUUAAAUGACUACCAUACAUAACCUUAUUCAAAUAAUAAUAAUGAAAAAAAGAGAGUGUUUAAGAUAAUUUCAUUGUAUUUGCUUGUUCUAUGAUCCAACUAUGGUAGGUAAGCAUGAUGUAGGCUCAUCGUACUCCCAUCCGGUGGCUUUAAUUUGCUUUAAUGGAAUCGAAAAUGAAUCAAUCCUUUUAACUUCUUCUUCUUCCUCUUCAUCAUCGGAAAUCGACUUUAUUUCCAAAAAAAGUUUUGGGUCGAUUUUGGAGUUCCAAUCAAUAUCAUCGAUAUACAUAUCUGCUACAUUACUUGGCAACUUAUUUGUGCAAGGAAAACGAUGAUAAUAUUCCCAGAAUCUCUAUUUGGCUUCUUGGAAAGCUUUUAAACCAACUGAAUCGUCCCAUUCGAAUACUUUAUCUGUUUUGAACAAAUUAUUUUUUGAUUCAACAAAUCUUUUCCAUGGCAUUGCACCCACUUUUAUGCAGAAUUUUUUCUCCCAUGCAGUAAUGGUUCCCAUGAAUUACCGUUAUCAUUCAGUUUGGAAUGAGUAAAUUUCGGACUGUAAUACAUUUCUGGGCGAUUAUGAUAUCUUCUUUGAUAGUAUAGCAUGAUUUCUUGAAAUCUAAACAAAUAAAUGAAUUGAAAUCGCUAAUGAUAUGAAUUUAGAGUGAGGAGACUUGUUGGGUUUAUAUAAUCUUAUUAGAGUCGGUGGUGACUCAAUCCUUUUCCUCGUUGGAAAAGGAAUUCUAAUUUCAGUUUGACUAUGAUUUCUAUUUUCUAAAUAUUUAUAUAAUAAAAUUAUUAAAAAAUAACUAUAUCUGUAUUGAUUCGUUUCCCUCUUAUUGAUAGCUUACAUCCCUAGCUUCUCUAGAAUCCUCAUUGACUAUCUGAUCUCUUCACCUAUUGGUGUUCCCCCAAGAAUUUUUUUUCUCGUUUUCUCCUCCUAAUUCAUCUCUACGAUCAUCACCUCCUAGCUUACCAUUUUCAACUUUCUUCCAGUACACCACUUUUCCCUUAAAGCGAGCUAAGUUCACAUUUACUUUACUUCCAUAUAUACAGAAUCCAUUAAGUUUACUAACUGCCCUCUUAUCAUCCACAAUGCUUGCAAAUCUUACUCAACCAAAACGUAGACCUUUUCGAUGCCUCUUCUUAGGAAUAAACGCGUCCAACACUUUGCCAUGGAACUCAGAGAUUUUCCAUGGUCCCUUCCAAUGAAAACAAGAAGGAAGAUUAGAAACAUAAACUGAAAUCACCAUUUUCUCCAAGGAUUUAGCCUAGUAAUAGUUAACAGUAACUCCACGGAUCUGAUUAAAAGCACAAGUUAAGUGAAUUACCAAGAAUAAUGUUCUUCAAUACUAUUCCAAAUUCAAUUUUGGAACUUCUGUUAUCAUAGCUUUCAACUGUUUGAAACUCUGAUGGCAUUAUUCAAUCGCACAUAACUAACAUUUUCUGUAGCAACUUCGUCAUGGUAGAGCUAUCAUCGACAAGCCUGAACAAAUCAUCUGUAGUAUAUAUACAAUAAAUCCUAGAAAACAACACACUUCUAUAUUAUUUCCCAAAGAUUCCCUAAUUCACAUUUAUCAGGAGUUCAUUUGAAAUAACUCAAAUAUCUUCUGCUGUUAAUAAAAGGUUUAGAAAACUUAUUUCUUGAAAUUAAAAUUCACAUUUAUUGAUCUUCACAAAUAAUUAUUUCUCUCGUAAUGUCUGUAACACUGUUUCUCCAAUACUAAUCGUGUUCAAUUUUUUUUUCUUCACAUGAAUUGAGUAUCUUUAAUUAUAUAGCAACAACUCUGAUAAGAUACAGCUAGAAACUUUUGUCUAUUAAAUAUAUAAAGUGACUAUGCAAUUGAUAAUCAUAUACAAUAAUCAACAUUUGACUAAACUUUGCGACCUAUACAAGUUUUUUUGGGAUUUCGAUCGACAAAAUAUAAACAUAAACCCCGAGAAGAUACCUAAAACAUUUACUCAUCAAUGGCAACUGACUGAAAAAAUUUGGGUUGUUGUCUAGUUCAUAAUCAUAUACAAGGUCAAUACCAAAUUCUAGCACAGAUAAUUCACAUUUAUCAGGAGAUCAUUCGAAAUAACUCAAAUAUCUUCUGCCGUUAAUAAAAGGUUUAGAAAACUUAUUUCUUGAAAUUAAAAUUCACAUUUAUUGAUUUUCACAAAUAAUUAUUUCUCUCUAAAUAUCUAUAACACUGUUUUUUUUUUAAUACUAAUCGUGUUCAAUUUUUUUUGUUCACAUGAAUUGAGUAUCUUUAAUUAUAUAGCAACAACUCUGAUAAGAUACAACUAGAAACUUUUGUCUAUUAAAUAUAGGGUAAACUAUACCUAUGGUCACUUUUGUUUACUUUAGGUUACAUUUUGGUCACUUAUAUUUAAAAUAUUAUGUUUUAGUCACUUACGUUAUCGUGUUGUAACAUUUUAAUCAUUGAGCCGUUAAUUGCCAUUAACGGUGUAACGGUAAGCUGACAUGGCACGUUAAAUCAUUAUUUCAAACAAAAAUUUUAGGUUAAAUCAUACAACCGAUUCCCAUAUUUUUUUUUUAUUUUGGGCAAUUUAAUUUUUUUUGUUUAAUAUUCUUUAAACUUUACUCUCUCUUUUUUCUCUUUAUUUUCCAUUAUCUUCUGUUUCUCCUUCUAUUUUCCUACCUUCUCCAUGUCUUUUAACAUAUUAAGAAGUUGAAUUGGCAGUGAAGAAAGAAGUAGAAAGUCGAAAGCCAUCAUUGCCUAUAAUCAAAACCCAUAAACCAGUACCAUGAUUCUUUUUUCACUGCCAAUUCGACUUCCUGAUAUGUUAAAAGAAAUGGAGAAUGUAGGAAAACAGAGGGGGAAGCAGAAGAAAAUGGAAAAUAAAGAAAAAAAAGAAAGUUAAAAGAACAUAAAAGAAAAAAAUUAAAUUGCUCAAAAUGAAAAAAAUAUAAGGACCAAUUGUAUAAUUUAACCUAAAUUUUUGUUUGAAAUGAUUAUUUAACGUGCCACGUCAACUUACCGUUACAUUGUUAACAGCAAUUAAUGGCUUAAUGACUAAAAUAUCACAACAUGAAAAUGUAAGUGACUAAAACGUAACAUUUCAAAUAUAAGUGACUAAAAUGUAACCUGAAGUAAACAAAAGUGACCAUGGAUAUAGUUUGCCCUUAAAUAUAAAAAGUGACUAUGCAAUUGAUAAUCAUAUACAAUAAUCAACAUUUGACUAAACUUUGCAACCUAUACAAGUCUUUUUGGGAUUUCGACGAAAUAUAAACAAAAAUCCCGAGAAGAUACUUAAAACAUUUACUCAUCCAUGGCAAUUGAUUGAAAAUAAUUGGGUUGUCGUCUAGCUCAUAAUCGUAUACAAGGUCAAUACCAAAUUCUAGCACAGAUAAAUCUGAAAGAACUCGAAGACUAACAUGAUCACCAGCUUCUAAUUCAUCACCCCUAAAGUUCCAACAAGUCGUCCAGUAUAAGGUAUUCUUAGUUUCAGGAAUUCCCAUGAAAUGUUUGGAGUAGGUCCACUUUGUACCUUUUGUCUCGUUCACAAUUUCAAGGCAUGGUAAAAAUCCAUAUGUUUUAUCAUUCUUGGCAGAAAAAAUGAUAAUCGAAUUUAAGAAGCAACUUAUCUUUUGACUAGAGUUUGGGGGCACUGAUAUUGAAACCUCAGUCUUGCCAGCUUGAUGGCCAUAGUAAUAACCACUGUAAUCAAAUGGCACUGGAUCAAAUGUUGUAAUUAUACCGUAAUCAUACAAUACCUGUAGCAUGGGUUGGAGAAUGAGUUAUUAAAAAUUAUAUAGUAUAUAAAUAAUUUUAAAAACUUGGAACUUGUAAAGGGAACCUGUGGGGAAGCAACCAUUUUUGAUUCUUCUAUAUAACUGCAAAAUUGCACUUUAGCAUUUCCAUAAGAUUCCAAACUGAGCAAGUGUUUAGUUUGGUCCAUCUUGAUAUGUCUUGUGGAAACUUCAUCUCCUAAAAUAUGUACAAUAAUGUGUUAUUUAUCAAUUUUAGUGAUCAUCAACAUAAUAUGCUUAUUAGAAAGUAAUAAUAUUGACUUGAAUGGAGUGUUAAUUAAAGCUUUUACCAGACACUCAUUUGACACGAAUUCAAAUCGUGACCCAUCUCCCAUACUCAAUAUUGUAUGAAAAAAAGAUAUCAAAGUAGUAAUGUUAUUAUCACUAAGAUGUAUUAUAAGACUUGUAAGAAAUAAUCAAUUAUACACAUUAUAUCUUUAUUUUUCAUUUUUAUAUAAUAUAUAAACUUUAAAACUAUUAAAUAUGUUAAUCAAAACACCACUUUUAUAAUUUUAUCCAUUAUUUUAGUUUCCACUUCUAUUAGUACUAUUGGAUUAAUCAUUUAUCAAACAAUUAACUUAUUUUCAUUAGACCCCAAUUGCAGCAUAACUUUAUAAUUAUCACUUUAUUAUUAAGCUAAAUUUCUCUCAUAAUCUAUUAAAUUGUCACAUUUCUUGAUAAUAUUUUUAUUGUAUUAGAAAGUCUUUUAGAGAAACAUUCAUCAUUUCUUGAACAUUUGUUAGUCACAUAUAAAAUAAAUAUAAUAGGAUGUAUUUAAUAAAAUAUAAUUAUUUGAAGUCUACUGUUGGAGCAAGAGGCAGCAACAACAAGCUUCAGCAGAAUGCUUGUUUCACAAGUCUCGUGACUUGUAGGAGAAACAAAGCAGAAAACUCAAAUGGAUUUUUAAGUAAAACUAAAAAUGGAGAGCUUAUGGAUGAAAACUUGUUGAAUUCAUUCCUUAAACUUCAAAAUGGCCCAAAGCCAAUACAUAAACAAGUUUACAAUCUUGACAAAAUAGUAGGUUGACCUAAACUUCACCUACUACCACAAAUACACAUAGUAACUUGUGCUAAUUAGCUUGAACAAAUAAACAAAGCUGAUUUAUCAGCUCAAUCAACAUCAAAAUUACAUCAAGCAUAAACCUAACAUAGUUAUAAAGCAACUAAGUUACAUUACUCUAACUUAAAAUUACAAAAUGAAACAUAACAGCUUGCUGACUAGGUAAACCAGCAGCUUCUGCAUGUAGUGCCUUCGACAGUCUUGGUUGCUGCAUGCUGACCAUAACUUCAAUACUCCUCCUUGGUUAGCAUGUUGCAAACUCCCAUAUUAGCUCUCAGGUGUUGAAACUUGGAAACACUUAGUGCUUUUGUUAAAAUAUCAGCAAUUUGCUCUUCAGAACUGCAAUGUAUCAGCUUAACAACAUGAGCUUGUUCCAUUUCUCGAACUGCAUGAAGUUUGAUGUUGAAGUGCUUGGUCCUUCCAUGAAAAACAGGAUUCUUUGCAAUAGCAACUGCUGAUUGGUUGUCACACAUUAUCUCAGUUGCUUCCUUUUGCUCAUGAUUGAUAUCUUUCAAAAUUUUUCUAAGCCAUAUGGCUUGAUUGACUGCUGCAGCAGCAGCCACAUAUUCCGCUUCUGCAGUCGACUGAGCCACUACUCCCUGCUUCUUUGAGCUCCAGCAAAUCAUAGCAGAGCCUAUGUUGAAUGCAUAACCUGUAGUGCUCUUCAUGUCAUCCAAGGAACCAGCCCAAUCACUGUCACAAUAUCCAACUAGCUUCAAGUUCUCAGCCUUGGUAAACUGCAUUCCAUAGGACAAAGUUCCUUUGAUGUAUCUUAGAACCCUUUUUGCAGCUCUAAAAUGACUUUCAUUUGAACAAUGCAUAAACCUCGAGAGUAGACUCACAGCAUACAUUAUGUCAGGUCUAGUAGCAGUCAAAUACAACAAACAUCCAACUAGACUUCGAUAGGUUGUUUCACAAACCUUUUCAUGCUUGUCUUGGCUCGAGAGUUUUUCUCCAACAGCAACUGGUGUGCUGGUUGCUUUGCAAUUCUCCAUUGAGAAUUUGUUGAGAACCUUCAUAGCAAAGGUCUUUUGACUUAGCCAAAUCCCAUUCUUAGCUUGGUUCACUUCCAUGCCUAAGAAGUAAGACAUCAAUCCCAAGUCUGACAUUUCAAAGUGCUGUUGCAUUUUGACUUUAAAGCUGCUUAGCAUCUCAUAAUCUCCUGCUGUCACCAGUAGGUCAUCGACAUAUAUUGAGACAAUGAGCUGAGUUUCAGCACUAGUUGAUUUAACAUACAGAGUUGGCUCGCUAAGACUUCUUUCAAAUCCUUGACUGGUCAGAUAGCCAUCUAUUCUGCUAUACCAGGCCCUUGGACCCUGUUUCAAGCCAUACAAGGCUUUGUUGAGCUUGUACACCAUUUCUUCCUUGCCAGACACCUUGAAACCUUGAGGUUGCUCCACAUAAAUCUCCUCUUCAAGGAAUCCAUUCAGAAAUGCUGAUUUUACAUCAAGUUGGUGUAUCAGCCACUGUUUUUGUGCUGCUAAGGCAACUAGCAGUCUGAUAGUGUCUAGCCUGGCCACUGGUGCAAAGGUUUCCAGGUAGUCUGACCCAUACCUUUGACUGAAACCUUUCACAACCAAUCUAGCCUUUAACUUGUUUAGGCUACCAUCAGCAUUGUUCUUUACUCGAUAAACCCAUUUGACACCAAUAAUCUUCCUGUUUGUUGGUUUAUCAACCAGACUCCAGGUCUGAUUCUUUUCAAUCAUUCUGAUUUCUUCAAUCAUUGCUUACUUCCAGUCCUCCUGGUUUUCUGCUUCUUCAAAGCAACUUGGUUCAACAGUAGCCACUUGUGCUCUUUCAUAAACAUCAGCCAGUGAUCGAGUGCCUCUGAUUGGAACAUCAUCUACAUCCAUUUCAGGUGUGUUUUCAUCAUUUUCAACUUGGUCCACUGCGAGAUCUUCAGCCACUGCCUCUGGUUCAGCCUUCUCCCAAUUCCAGUGUCCUUUUUCAUUGAAAACAACAUCCCUGCUAACCAAUAUCAUGUUUGUAGCAGGUUCUAGGAUUCUGUAGCCCUUCUUAACCAAGCUAUAGCCGAUCAGGAUCCCUGCUUGAGCUCUUUUAUCUAGCUUGCUUCUCUUCUCAGCUGGAACUUGUGUGUAGCACAGACAACCAAAGGUUCUGAGAUGAGCCAGUGAUGGCUUAAACCCAAACCAGGCUUCAAAUGGAGUCUUUUCAGCCAGAGCCUUGGUUGGGAGCCUGUUUUGGAGAUAGACUGCUGUGUUAACAGCUUCAGCCCACAGAGUUUUGGGCAAAUUCUUCUCAAACAGAAGACAUCUUGCCAUGUUCAUCAAGCUUCUGUUUUUCCUUUCACUGACCCCAUUCUGUUGGGGUGUAUACACAUUAGUCAACUGGUGUUUGAUACCUGCUUCUUCACAGUAGGCUUGGAACUGAGCUGAGGUGUACUCAGUUCCAUUAUCUGACCUCAUUGCUCUAAGUUUGCAACCAGACUCAGUUUCAACAGCAGCUUUAUACUUCAGGAACACAGAUGGAACUUCUGACUUCUGUUUUAGAAAAUAAAUCCAGCAGUAUCUUGUUAAGUCAUCAAUAAAUAAAAUAAAGUACCUGCUUCCUUUGAGAGACUCAGUCUUCAUUGGUCCACACACAUCUGUAUGCACAAGCUGGAGCUUCUCUGAUGCUCUCCAUGUUGUGCUUGUUGGAAAUGGCAAUCUUGCCAAUUUUCCUUGCUGACAUAUCUCACAAAGCUCAUCAUUCUUCACUGAAUCGAUGAAAUUUUCUGCCAGACCUUCAUUGACCAUGCGGGCUAUGGAUUUGUAGUUUGCAUGUCCAAGCCUCUGGUGCCAGAGUCUCGAGUCAUCAGUGGAGGCUAUGCAGGCUGAAUGUGAGUCAUUUGGCCAGUCUACUUCAAAACAUUUAUCAGUCAUGGUGACUGUUAUGAGGUUUGAUCCACUUGGAUCAAAAAUUUGACAUUCUUUCUCCUUGAAAACAACUGAGUAACCUUUCUCAAGUAGUUGAGUUAUACUGAGAAGGUUCCUAUCAAUUUCAGGUACCAAAAGUACAUUUGAAAUGAUUUUGCCACCUGUAGAUGUAUGAAUCAGCACAUCUCCUCUUCCUUCAGCAUUGAUUAACUGACCAUUUCCAAUUUUUACUUUGGUUUUGCAGGUUCUGUCCAGGGUUUUGAAGAUAGUUGCAUCUGGUGACAUGUGGUUUGUGCACCCACUGUCUAGAAACCAGCCCUUUGAACCCUUUUUCUGAUUUGCUGCACAUGACACAGCAAAAACAUGUUCUUCUUGAUCACUGCUUUCUUCAGCUACUCGAGCUUCUACCUUUUGUUGCUGAAAUUGAUUCUGUCUUGGUUUGCUUCUAUUCUUGCAAACUUUUUCAGCAUGACCUUUUUUCUUGCAGUGUUGGCAUACUGCAUCUGGUCUAAACCAGCAUCUAUCUUCUGGAUGACCAGCUCUUUUACAAUGUCUGCAGAGUUGGUCACUGCUCCUAGCAGCAUCAGGCUUAGGCCUGUUUUUCCAGAACUUUUUGCCUUUAUGAGUUUUGAUGCUCGAGGCUUCUUUGGCUUGAAAAGCCCUUUCCUGGUGCUCCUCUUGUCUGCUGGCUCUUCUUUGCUCUUGUGCAUACAAGGCAUUGAUUAGCUCAGUUAAGGAGAUAGUUGUCAAGUCCCUUGAGUCUUCGAGGGAUGAAAUUUUAGCUUCAUACCUCUCUGGUAGAGUGGACAUGACUUUCUCAACCAUUCUAGCUUCACUGAAUUGCUCUCCUAGGAGCCUUAUGCUGUUUACAACAGCCAUAAUCCGAUCUGAGUACUGCUUAACUGUUUCUUCCUCUUUCAUUUUGAGAUUUUCGAAAUCUCUUCUCAAGUUGAGCAGCUGUUGUUGCCUUGUUUUCUCAGUCCCCUGAAAUUCUUCUUUCAGCUUGUCCCAAGCCUCCUUUGGUGUUUCACAGGCCAUGAUCCUCAUAAAGAUCACAUCUGUCACACAAUUCUGUAUGCAUGACAUGGCCUUGUGCCUUUUUGUUCUUUCAUCAGUGUGUUGCCUUAUUUGAGCAACUGUUGGAUUAGCUCGAAGAGGUGCUGGCUCAGCAUCUGAGUUGACAACUUCCCAUAGGUCGAAUGCCUGCAGGUAAGUCCUCAUCUUAACUGCCCAAAUGUUGAAGCCCUCUCCAUUGAAGACAGGUGGUGAAGCUGGUGAAAAACCUGAUGAUGCCAUCGUUUUGAUGUUGAACUACAACAGGUCCUCUAAGAAUACGGCUCUGAUACCAAUUGUUGGAGCAAGAGGCACCAACAACAAGCUUCAGCAGAAUGCUUGUUUCACAAGUCUCGUGACUUGUAGGAGAAACAAAGCAGAAAACUCAAAUGGAUUUUUAAGUAAAACUAAAAAUGGAGAGCUUAUGGAUGAAAACUUGUUGAAUUCAUUCCUUAAACUUCAAAAUGGCCCAAAGCCAAUACAUAAACAAGUUUACAAUCUUGACAAAAUAGUAGGUUGACCUAAACUUCACCUACUACCACAAAUACACAUAGUAACUUGUGCUAAUUAGCUUGAACAAAUAAACAAAGCUGAUUUAUCAGCUCAAUCAACAUCAAAAUUACAUCAAGCAUAAACCUAACAUAGUUAUAAAGCAACUAAGUUACAUUACUCUAACUUAAAAUUACAAAAUGAAACAUAACAGCUUGCUGACUAGGUAAACCAGCAGCUUCUGCAUGUAGUGCCUUCGACAGUCUUGGUUGCUGCAUGCUGACCAUAACUUCAAUAUCUACUCAUACCUGUAGAUAAGUGCGAAAAGCCAUAUUCAUAUCCAAUGUUGUGUUCUGAUUCAUAAGUAACGCCAAAUUUUCUUAUGCUGAGAUGAAUAGGCACUACCAUGCAACUCACAAGGUCACCACCUUCAAACUGAAAGUCCGUUACUGGCCAAUGAAUCAACCACAACAUUGUCUUAUCGUUAGUCUGAGGAAUUCCAAUGAAACUUGAGCGAUAUCUCAGCAUGAUCGUUUUGGUCUCAUUGAAAAUGUGGACACAUGGUAGAAACUCCGACAUUUGAUCACUAGCUAAAGAGAAAACAAUGCAUAAGCUGAACCGAUGGAUCUUUUCAUCUGGAUGAGCUGGUGUUGGCAAAACAAAAGAGAUUCGAUGCUCGUUAGUGCGAUGCUUAAACCCAAUCGGAAUUUCACUUCCUACAACAAAUGUGCUUGUUAUACCACGUUCUUGCAAGACCUGAUCCAAAAAAAAACAAGUUAGAUGAUUUAGUAUAAGAGAAAAAAUAGAUUUAAAAUUUAAGUUGGAGAACUAUUGGACCUGUGGGGUAGCUAGCAUUAUGCUGUCUGUUAGGUAGCUAUAAAGUUGCAGUCGAUUUCCGUUAAUGGAAUCUACGUUGAAUAAUCUUCUAAUCUCUUCUGCUUCAAAGUUUUCAAUUGGUUCCAACUUGAAUAGAUCUUCAACCUCAGUCAAUUUUUCACAUCCAAAAAUAACACAUCGUGUGGAAGAAAAGAAGCAUGGAACAUUAUUUAUCCCAGAUCCUCGAAAUGGAGAAUUGUCUCCAAAAAUAAACUUGCACUCUGAAACAUUGAGCAAGACCGGAAGCUUUGGAAUCAUUUGGAGUUCAGUGCAAGAAGUCAAUAGAAGUUCUUCAAGUUUUGUAAGGUUUUUUAAGCUUUCGGGUAGGUAAUGAAUUGGGUUUCUACUUAAAUUUAAGGAUUUCAAGGAAGCCAAGUUACAAAGAUCAUUGGGCAUGACAUCAUUAGAUAAUUUGCAACUUUCAAGGCUUAACUUUACCAAAGAGCUCGGUAGAGAUGCCCAAGAGAAACCCAAUCCUUUGCUUCUUUUCAGUAAGAGCCAAUGCAACCCCAAUCUUGAUUGAUAUAUGGCAGUUUCAUCUAAAUUAAGCACCUUCAAUGAUUCCAUAUUAUGCAACUCCCUAGGAACAUCAUCAAGUCUUGAACAACCAGAUAAGAUAAGCUCUUCAAGUGAUAUUAAUGAACCAAUUGUCCUUGGAAGAUGCCUAAGACUUGUGCAAUCUUUAAGGUUCAAGAAAGUAAGCAGCUUUAGCUCACCAAUGGAUUGAUCAACUUCCACCAAAUUUAUGCAAUCUUUGAGCAUCAACUUCUCAAGGCUAGGGAGUCCUGAAAAGCUUGGGGUUUUAAGAAGGCUAUGUGAAUGGUUGAGAUUAAGGAUCUUUAAAUUUGGGAGGCACUGCAAAAAAGGAAAACCCUUCAUUUAUAUAUUAUUGUUUCACACACACAGAAAAAGAAGGAAAAUUAGUAUAUAUCAUACCUCUGUAUCCUUCCAAACUUGUUUAAGUUUACUGUUGCGCAUGUCGAGAACAACUAGUUCAUUGAUAUCAAAAUCCACCGGAAAAGAUUGCAUACAAAACCCACGCCAACGUAACCAUCUUAAUCUUUUGGGAAAGUCUUUGAAGUCUCCUUUAAGUCUUACAUAAUCCAGUUGAAGCAGUUUAAGUCUCUUCAUCUUUGCAAAUGCUUGAGUUUCCAUAUCAACAUCAUUUGACAUGAGAAACUGACUUUUGGAAUGCUUUGGAAAAUGUAGAGUUGUAUUUGUUCUUUUAGCCUUGUCUUCUAGCAAUCCUUUUAGGUCAAGUGUGAGGCACUUAACUGUUCUGGAACCCUGCAUCAGAAAAACUUUUUUAAAAAAUAAAAAGAAAUUUGAUAAAAAAAAAGUAGUUUACAUGCACACAAGAAAAAAGUUGAGUAAAAUGAUGUUUCUUACAAUUUUUUCUCUUAUUACAUCAAACGCGUUCUUAUGCCACAAUCUACUUCGUUUCCCAAUAUCAGAAGAUUCUUGACGAAUAAUUUCUCGUCCCAUAUCUCUAAUCAUUUGGUGCAUCGUUAGCUUGUUUUUUUCAUUAAUGAUUAAGAGAGACCUGCGUACUAGAUUUUCAAUCCCAAUUGUUGUAUAGAAAUCACAACCAUCUAGAAUUGUAGUCGUGUAAUCUCUAUCCUUCCCAAUGAAUAAACAAACUAUGUCAAGGAAUAAAUUUUUGUCAUGAUCGUCUUCCAAAGAAUCAUAGCUUAUUCUUAGAAUCUCUUGAAUUUUGCUGUCAGGGAUUUCUUCCAAUUUCUCCAAUGCACUUUUCCAAGAACUCACACUUUUGCUAGAUAAUGAAGAGCCCAAAACUUGAAGAGCUAACGGAAGCCCACCACAGUGUUUCACUAAACUUCUUGCAUAUGCCAUUGAACUUUUAGGCACAGAGUUAAGACCAAAAGCAUACCAAUUAAAAAGUUGUAGCGAUUCACUUGAAGCUAAUUCUUUUACUUCAAAUAGCUUGCUUAAGCCUCCACAACUAGUUGAUGCUUCCAAAUCAAACAUUUGGCUUAUAAAAUGUGCAUUCAAUAGGCAUCGGUUUCUACUAGUUAUGAUGAUUUUACUUCCUGGAUGAAAAGGAAUUUGAGUUCCCAUUAAUUUUCUUAUUUUUCCCAAUUCAUCAACAUCAUCAAGAACAAGAAGAACUCUUCUACAACAUACAAUUUCUUUAAUCUUGUUAAUUCCAUUAUCUAUAUUGUAUAUUUUAUGUGAUUUUCCUUUAAGGAUAUCUGAAAUAAGUUGUCUUUGCAAACGGACUAAACCAUUGCAAUCUUGACUUGUUUCUCUAACAUCAGCAAGGAAACUAUAACCUUCAAACCUCGGGAUGUUUUGAUUGUAAACAACUUUGGCAAUGGUUGUCUUCCCAAUGCCUCCAAUGCCACAAAUAGUUGCAAUGCCAACUUUAUUUGCUCCAUCUUGUUCUAACCAUUGAUUAAUUUGUGUCAUGAGAGAAUCUAUUCCAACUAAAUAAGGAGGGACAUACAAAGAAAUAAGAUGAAGUUUAUUUUGAACUUCAUUAACAAUAUCUUGAAUGAAUUGUGAUUCAUGCCUGCAAAUUUAAAAAAUACAACUUAAUGGUAAAAUCUUGGAAAUUAAGUAAAAGUUAGUAAUAUAUUUUCUCUUUUCUUGCAUAUAUUUUGAUUUUUUUAUGAGAUUAUAUGUUCAUGGUAAAAAUAAGAAACUAAUGCAACAUUUCGAUAUAUAUGUUCAAGUAAAAAUAAGAUCAAACUAAUGCAACAUUUCAACAUAUAUGAUACAUUCAAAAUCAAAUCAAAUCAAAUAAAGCAAAUAAAAAUUAAUGAAAUUCAUUUUAGAAAUAACCUAUACUCAAAAUUUCAACUUUCUCUUUAUGAAAGUUUAAUAAAUUCAUGUUAUUUACAUGAAUUUAUAUAUUUAUUUUUUAUUCAUUGUAAUACUUUGAAUAUGUGUAGACCUAUUAUACGAAUAACUUGGAUAUAAUUGUUGUAAAUAUCCUAUUGCAAAAUAGAAAAGUUACAGGAGACCAAACUGAAUGUAAAUAAAAUAAGAAUCACUGUGUCGUGGAAGAACCACUGCAUUAAAGGCAAAUUCAUCCUGAUCGGUGUAAUUAUGUAGUAGACGUUACCCCCCAACACAAUACUCCAAUAUUUGUACACCCGAAUAAAGAAGGUGGAACACGAUUGACAUUACUCUUCCCGAAAAAAAAAUUCAAUUCUCAAGAAAGAUUAAAGGGGUCACAAAUAGUCCCGCUUAAAACUUAAUCUCUUAGACAGAAUUUCCCUCUCGUGUAAUUUUGCAGAACACUAGAAUAUAGAGAACAUAGAGAAGUUUUUUUUCUCUUGUUGUGUUAGGUGGGAGAAUUAUACAAUUUUUUGAUGGGCAAAUGGUAAAAUAACAGUUUUUGUUUCCAAAAACAGCAAAGAAUUUUCCUAACUGAAAAUAUUCUAAAAAUAUUUUAUGCAACAGUUAGAGAAUUUUCCGCAAUUAAAAAUAUUCUUUCACAUUACCAACAAUGACAUCUUAGAAAACCACAAAUAGUGUCAUUAAAUUCAAGAGACUAUUUCUUUUUGUUUUCAACUUGUCAAAUUCAAGUUGUUCAUGUGGUAGGUGCAAACACAUUUAAAAUUUGAUCUAUGUGUUUUAAAAACAUCCUACAUCAAAUUUGAGCUAACAUUUAAUGCUUAAGCUGGUGACUUAUUUGAUAGAAAGACCUCAAUGAUACAAUACUAAUAUUUUAAUGACUCAAUUAAAACAUGUUAAUGUUUGAGAAAUAAUUUAAAAUCUGACUUAUAAUUAACCCUUUAAAAUAGAUUGAAGUAAUCAUUUUAAUUUCCAAACGCUACCUAACAAUAUUUUCUAUUAAUUUUCUUUCUACUCUAUCAAGUCUUAAUGAAAAGGAUUGAAGUAGCCAUAUGGAACUUGAUUAUGUGUAUAAUGUACCUGUCUUGUAGAACCAUGCCUCCUAUAUCCGCAACUUCUUUUAAAGCAUUCCUCCAUCUUUGUACCAUGGACUCGAAGUUUUGUUCAUGUUGGGUAAAUGCUUCUGCAUAACUUCCCGUCUGGUUCUUGACUUGACUCGGAUCCACAUCAUAGAAAACUGGCAACACAAUAUGUUUAGAGGAUUUCUUGUGCUCCAAUAUCAUUACAAGUUCGUUAAGACACCAUGUGGAUGCAGCAUAAUUCUUUGAGAAAACAACGAUAGAAAUUUUGGAGUGGUGUAGUAUUGCUUUUUCAAUUUCAUCUUUUAUGUUAUUCCCUCUCUCGAUUUCCUCAUCAUCUCUAAAUGUUUGAAUUCCUAAGUGCACCAAAGCUGUGUAAAGAUGAUCAGUGAAACUUUUGCGCGUAUCUUCACCUCUAAAACUCAAGAAUACAUGAUAAGUACAUCGCGAGAUUUCUGACAUUGCCGUUGAAGAAGAAAAUGAAGUCGUCCUGUAUUUUUUUAUGUAAUAACAAGGUUCCAGCAUAUAUAUAUAUAUAUAGAUAUAUAUGUAUAUGUAUGUAUAUAUGAAUGGCAAAGCAGAUAUUAUUAGCAGUCAAGUGGCAGUUCCCAAUCCAUGGUGGGUCAAUCCUUCCAUAAGUUCAUACAACUGCCCGAAGAAAUUCAUGUCGGCCAUGUUUUUUUCCAAAUCUACCAACGUGGGUUACGUAUUCUAUAUUACUAAUUUUGCGUGACAAAUACAAUGUAUUGAUUAACUUGAUGGUUAUAGCUAACACAACACGUAAUAUAGCCAUCAUCUUCAGGCUAAUAUUAGUAAAAAUGCUAUGGUUCUUGUAUUUUAAGUCGUAUUAUAUUUUGUUUCCUCUACUUAGAAAAUAGUAAAUUAGUUCUUUUGUUAAAAAAUUAUCCAUUGUUAUUGUUAAAAAUUGGUCCAUGUAAUCAACAUGAGGUAUAUGCGACAUGCCACAUGCAACUAUCUGGUUAUUUCGUCAUUCACGUUAGUUUUUAAAUUUGUUAUUUUAUCUAAUGUAAUGGACUAAUUUGUUUGUUUUUAAAUAAAAUGGGUUAAAUACAAUUUGACUCUCAAUAGAAUGAUCUCCAUGAUACUUUUACUAGCUAAUGACUUGGUAGAUACAGUCAGUAAUUAAACCACAACCACAAUAUAUCACAUAAACAUCACAUUAAACAUUCAAGUGUUGUACGUGUAGUGAGGACAUGAAUUUGGUUAGCAUAAGAAUUCAAAUAAAUAUAUGGUUUACCGAACUUAUAUUAUAAUUAAUGUAAUUAUAAUUUUCGGUUUAAAAUAUUAUUAUAUUUUUUAAUUCCUAAAAACCCUAAAACAAAAGGAUAUAUAUAUAAUCCCGUUUUCUUUGUUUGGGUCUAGCAGCCGUCAAAGAAAAAUAACUCUCAAAAUUGUUUUGGGGAUUCCUUCCGUUCGUAUUCAACUGGGUGGAUUCGUAGAGGCCGGGAUCACGAUAGAUUGCGGCUUGGUUCGACAGCAGAUCAGACUACUCAUUGUUGAGGUGUUGUGUCUACUCUGAAUAAACAUUAGGUAAUUUCGUAACCUUGAUCACCCCAAUUCGUUCCUCACACAUGGAUCCAUGGUAAGGGUCGCCGAUUUUAAUUUUUUUCGCUGCGCCGUAGGGGUGCCGGCGGUCCAACAUCAAGUUCGGUAUAAUAAAGAAACAAUUUUAGUAUCUAUGCAUGAAUGAAGAAUUAAUUGUUUUUGAAAAAGAAUUGGUGAUUAAAUUGAUCUCAAUUGUUUAUUUGAUUUGUUCGUGUUAUCUAAACUAAAUAAAUUUUUAAAAAUUAAAAAUAAUAAAAAUUCACGUAUAUUGCACGUUAAAGUAAAUUGAAAAUGAGAAUUGAGAGGGACAUUAGAGAAGGAGAAUAAUUCCGAAGUAUUUGGGGUGGCAAAUAGUGGUACCAGAAAACGCGUUUCAAUCGCUUUUCAUUUCGGAGUCAUGCUUACGGUCCAUUUAGUGCUCAACAUUUUUGUUAAAAAUAUUAUUUGAAUAGAGUUUUUCAACAGAGGUAAAAGUUGUACACUAUAAAAAAAAAAUAUUAUCAGACCUUAAACAAUGAUUUGUCAGCCUUAAAUUAGCAAUUAAAGAGGAUGGGAUAAGGGUAAGGUUGAGUAAUUGAUCCAAAAUUUCAUGCUGAGGGCAACUAGCACAAAAUUGUUUAAAUAUUUUCCAGUACUCAUUAAGGAUCUUCAUAUCCUUUUUGUGGUAUGCCAUAGAUUUCUUUCGAGUGAAAGAAAAAGAAAAUUCAACGAAUAUUCUUAUCAUAUGUAUUUUAAAAUUUUAAUAUAAUUAAUCAAAAACAAUUCACAUAUAUGAAUCAUCAAAUUUGACGUGCUUAGAAAUCCAUAUGUGAUAGCCUGAUGAUUAAGGUUGUUCAUCACCCUAAAUGUGACCUAAAUUUGAAUCGCACUAUUUGCAUUGAUUAUUCGAGUUUUACUUAAUAUUAUAAUUCAAAAAAAUUAACUUACUUAAAUAAAUAUUGAAUUUUGUCACAUUUAAUAUAGAGGACAUGAGAGGAGGAGAAUAAUUCCCAAGUACUUGGUGUGGAAAAUAGUGGUACUAGAAAACGCGUUUCAAUUACUUUUCAUUUUGGAGUCAUGCUUACGUUCCAAGACUUUAGGCCAUUAGCAAUUAAAGAGGGGCCCCAACAAAAUUAUGGCCCAACUGUUUCACCGAACAUAAUAAAUUCGUGGGCUAACCAAUUUCAGUGCAAUAAAAGUAGUGAAGAGGAUGGGUUGGUAAUGCAAAGUAGAAUCCCUCGUUGCAGCCUUCAAAUUUUUUGGUUCACAAUAUUUUAGGAAGAACUCAAUUCAAAUAAUAUUUUUUUGUGAUUGUUUUUCUCAAUAAUAUUAUCUUUAAAAUUUAGAUCUAUAUUUUUUAAAAAGUAUAAUAUAACUUACCAUUAUGUCUAACACUUACUAAUUAUUCAAAUAAUAAUAUUAACAAAAAGGUUGCGCACCAAAUGGUUUGAUAAGUACUAACAAGCUCAUGGGAUCUAAAGUCUAGAUCGAGUAGCACUAUUAUCCAAAACAUAGUGAAGCAUAUUAAUUCUUUCUCUGACGUUUGUUAUAGAGAACUCUACAACCUAGUGCUACUAAUUAUCAAUCUUAUUGUUGUGACUCCAUAACUAAAAUUUAGCUGAUCCCUUCAUUCAAGAGUGUAAUUAUUCGAAUAGGAUCAUGUCUCUUUUACGGUGGAACGCUAAUUCAUUUUAUUACAUGGAUUUGUUCAUAAAAAUUCUCUUAAAAUAUCAAACAAAUAUCAGUUAGAUGUUCUGAUUUAAAUAUUUAGUUUUUAAGAGAAUACAUUCUUACUUCAUUUUGCCUCCUUGAAGAUUUAUGUCAAAUCCAAAUUGAUGUGAGUUGGUAGCCAUAUAUUUUUAUUUUUAAGGAUUUUAGUCUCUCUUUUUUUAAUAUUUCAAAACUCAAAUCUAAUUGUUAACCCUGUUAUUUUUUUUUUGUUAAAUUCAUGUUAAUUACAACAUCAUUUUUGUAAUUACAUGGUUAACAAAUAAGUUUUUUUUUUAAUUUCAAAAUGCCACCCUAACACAUUUAACAAAAAAAAAUUAAAAUGUUAACCAACAGAAACUAAAGAGACUAAAUCUCUAGAAAUAAAAGUAUGUGUUCUAAACUCCAAAAUUUUUAAAAGUACAAGAACUUAAGACAUAUUUUAACCUUUUAACUUCUAGGUCAAGAUACUCAUCCAAUCCCCGCUCGAGAUUUGGGAGGAUUUAGACAAAAUUAUCAAGCUCGAAAAAUGGACUUGGACAAAAAGUUAGUCCAAUUUAAAAUACGAGUUGGGAUCGGGCAUAAAAAUUCAAGGCUCGAGUCAUUUACUAAUUUUCUAAUAAAUUAUUUUAUGUUAUUUUUAAAAUUAUAUAAUUUAUUUCAGAAAAUAAAUCUAUAGUAAUACAUAUGAUACUAUAAUGUAAACAUUAAAAAAUGUUAAGAUGUCUAUAUAAAAUGUUAAGAAAUUUGGGAAAAUAUUCAAUUCAAUCAGGCUCAAAACAAUUUGUGGGUCAAUUAAUUUAACAUCUCUAUUCAAAUCGACAAUGGCGAAACCUAAUAGAGGCCCAGGGGACCAUGGCACCCCCAAGGAUUAAAAUUUUUGCAAUUUAGCCCUUUGUAGAUAUACUAUGGCCUAAGUAGCCCCCCAAGUUUAAGAUUUUUUGCAAUUUUCCAAAAAUACUGCUUCUUUUAGAUCGAUUAUCAUGUUGGAAUAGUGCUUCUUUUGAGUCAAUUCUUUAUAUGUUUAAAUCGAUUGUCAAGUUGGAACACUACUUCUUUUGAAUCGAUUGUGUAUAUGAUUAAAUUGAUUGUUAUGUUGGAAUAAUGCUUCUUUUUAAUUGAUUGUGUAUAUGAUUAAAUCGAUUAUUAUGUUGGAAUAUUACUUCUUUUGAAUCGAUUGCUUAUAUGUUUAAAUCGAUUGUUACAUAACACAUCUAAUUAAUUUGUUCUUUGCUUCUUUGAUUGUUGCGUAGCAUUUCCUUUUAUUCUCUACUUCUUUGAUUGUUGGUUGUUUUAAAUCGCAUCUUUUACUAAAAUGAAUAUCAGCAAAGAAUUUAUGCUGGAGUUUGAAUCGAUUCUUCGCUUAUUUCAAUUGAUUGUUUGUUGUUUUGAAUUAAUUCAUUAUUGUUUAAAUUGAUUCAAACUCUUACAUAAAUUCAUUGUUGAUAUUCAUUUGGUCCCUUAUCAAUAUUGACUUACACAGGUGUAUGUAAGUUCUUUUUCCCUCAAACCUCUUGUUGUACGUGUGAAGCAAGUAAAGGUAUAUUUACGGUUGUUCUUACUCUAGAAGAGAAAUGAUUCCUCAUACUUUAUACAGUGUAUUUACAUAUUUGCCCUCAAUCGAAUAUUGAGGGAAUCUCCCUUCACUUUUGACACGUUCGAUAGAAAGUUUAAGGGAAAACAACUAAUUUACACCGGUGUAUAUAAGUAUUGAUAACUCAUUGAUACCAAAUGUUUAGAUCAAAUCGAGAAAUCAUUAUAUAUUAUUUUCCUAUACUAUGUGUUAUGUUUAUUAAUAAAACAUGUUUUUAAUUUAAAUGAUAUACUAAAAACUGCUCAUCCACACAAUCAUUGAUAUGUUGAUUUAGGAUCCAAACUUGAAUCAUAUAUUCUUACGUAGUGAAACUAAAAAGGGCCUCGUCGCCAUUCUCCAUCUAUUCCUAUAUAUUCAUCUGUUCGGAAGAAACCGAACUUAACAAAACACCAUGAAAGCAUAAUCGAUAUUUUUUCACUUUUAAGAAAUAUAAGUUGUUAAUAAUAUCAAACCCAAUAAUACAGUAUAUCAACAAUCAAACCAAAUCAACAACCAUAACACAACCAAAAAAAAUAAAAUCAAUUCAUUAGGAAGGGUCUUCCUCCUCAUUAUCUGCAUGAUUUUCAUAUGAAUCCAGUUGCAAAGUAACGGUGUUUAACACUUUGAAUCGUUUCAUUAUUGUUUGAACCGAUUCAAACUCCAGCAUAAAUUUACUGUUGAUAUUCAUUUGGUCAUUUAUCAAUACUUGCACAACAUUUGUCCCUUAUCAAUACUUGCAAAAAAAUAACUUGUGAUUACUGCUUUUUUCGAAUAGAUUGUUUAUAUGUUUAAAUUGAUUGUCAUGUUGGAAUAUUGCUUCUUUUGAAUCGAUUAUUAUGGUGGGAUACUACUUUUUCUUCUUUUGAAUCGAUUGUUUAUAUGUUUAAAUCGGUUGUUGUGUUGGAAUACUGUUGCUUUUGAAUCCAUUGUUUAUAUGUUCAAAUUGAUUGUUAUGUUGGAAUACUACUUCUUUUGAAUCGAUUAUUUAUAUGUUUAGAUCAUUUGUUAAGUAGCACGUCUAAUUUUAGCUUGGCCCCCAAGAUUAACAUCCUGGCUCCGCCACUACGGAUCAAUAUAUUGGUCAAUUCUUGAUUCAACUAAUCGACUAAUCCUAUUUAAUCCGAUUUAAAUAACUACGUCACAUUUAUACAUAUUUCUAAAAUAAUAUGUUAGUGUAAAAAUAUUUAAUCAAUUUGAGUUAUGAAAUUGUGGUCUAACAAUAGUUUAGGGUAUCUUAUAAACUCAAAAUUUUCAAAUUAUGCUGGUGUCCAUUUGUGCUUUAUUUUUGGUACAAGUUCUUUUUGGAGUUAUACCAUAUAUUAUAUAAUUUAAAAUAUUCUUAAAAAAUAGUUGAAUUAAAUUAAGCCUAAAACUUAAAUGUUUAAGCCAAAGCUUAAUUGAUAGUUUAAAUGAGAUUAUUCUUUUUUUAAAACCCUUUUUUUUAAUUUUUUCAAACCGCCUCUAAAAAAUAAAUAAAAGAUGGUUGUUAGCCUUUUCCUAUAUAUGAGCAACAAUCUUUGGGCAGAGUAUAAAAGAUAGUUUUUAUAAAAAAAAAAUUACGGAAUUAAGGUAUCUGAUUUUACAAUAGUAAUUAAUCUUUUCAUCGCGACUGCUUUUUAAAAGGUAAUAUGUAAAAAACAAAAUUCAAUAAAAUGGUAAUACAUAAUUUACUUAUAAUUAUGGUACGUUUAGUUCGUUAGAGUGAAAUAAAAUUAUAAUAGAAUAAUACUUUUUAGGAAUGAAAUAGAAUUGUAAUUGAAUGGAAUAAAUAUGAUAAUUUGGUUGGGUAGAAUACUUUUGUAUCUUGAUUUAAAAAAAUGAUAGUAAAAAUCAUCUGAAAAUAAGAUGAAAUUCAAAGUACAACACCAAGUCUCCAUCAAGCAGUGUACAUCUCCAAAUUACUAUAUUGAUUAAGAAUAAUAUUGAAUAAAUAAGACAUAAAUAACCUUCAAGAUUCAAUCCUUUAAGUUUUCUUUCUCCUUUAUUUACUUCAAUUUUAUAUAUGAUAUUUAGACUUAUUAAUGGGUUGAGUUAUUGAUCCAAAUUUAAAAGAUUGUUUAAAUUUUGAAGGAGUUUUGGUAAAAAUAUUAAACCCUAAAAAUAGGACUGGACAAAAAAAUUAAGCUUGUUUAAAAUAUAAGUUGAACUCAUAUAUGAACAUUCAAGGUAUGAACUAGGCUCGGCCCAUUUUUAAAAUUUGUAAUUUUUAUAUUAUAUUUUUUAUAUAUUAUGUAAUAUAUAAUACAAAAAUUAAAUCUGUAGUAAUAUAUAAUAUCAUAAACAUUAAAAAAAUUAAGAUGAAUAUAUAUAAAAGUUUAAUAAAUAAAAUAUAUAAAUUAUUAAAUAGAAUUAAAAAUAAUAUAAAUAAUUUAAAAAAAACAAUAUGGGUGGAUUUAAAAUGGAUUUGGGUUAACUAUUUACAAGUAUGAAUGGGCUUAAACAAAUUUUAAGUACAUAUUUCAGACCGGGUUUUGUUUCUUGACAACCAGAAUAUGCGUUAACAUCAUGCUUAAUUUUAACCCAAACUCAACCCGAUGCAUAGGGGAAAAUGUUUAAACCUCAAACGAUAUUAGUGAAAUAUGAUUAAUUUUUAGAUUUUUUUUAAAUAGCUUAUGAGUAAAACUUUUUUAUUAGUUUGAAGAGUUGUGAGUUUAAUACCCUCUCUGAAUCGAUUCUUUAAUCAAUUUCCAAUUCAACCUUUUUGAUCAGUCGAUCUGAUUCGAUUCAGACAACCUUAAAUUAUAUGAAUUUUAAGCUAUUGAAGUUACAACUGAUAUUAAAAUAAAUCGGAACCUUCUCGGUCUCACCAAACUUACUCUAAACCAAGAGCAUAAAAAAUCAUCCUCUAAACCAUGCAGUGUCAGCAAUUAUAAGAUCUGUUAGUGAAACAUUGAGUAGAAACUAUAAGAUCUGUUAGAUAUCAUGGGAAGUAUUGAACUCUUAUAAUUAGAAUAAUCAAGGUCCACUGAAAAUAACGAUAUAAAAACGCAUACCAUGAACAUGCAGUUCAUAAUAUUCUUUGAAGUUUUAGACUCUUGACAAUAACCAGAAAAGUCAAACACAAACACACUCUGUAUCUUCAGUUCAUAAACAUCCCAAUAAACCAUUGGGAUUCAAACACAAAACCAUCACACAAACACAUAUUGUCUGUAUCUUCGGUUCAUAAACAUCCCAAUAAACCAUUGACAUUCAAACACAACCAUCACACAAAUGCAUACUGGCAGUAUCUUCAGUUCAUAAACAUCCCAAUAAACCAUUGAGAUUGUAUUUCAAAGAAGCAAAUUACUCAACCCGUGGCUUUUUCGGCAAACUGGCUAGCUUCAGUUGGUUUUCUUUUAACUCAGCUUCGUCCUGAUCCAGCUUCAGUUUCUUCUCUUUUAAGUCAGCUUCGUCCUGAUCCAGCUUCAGUUUCUUCUCUUUUAAGUCAGCUUCAUCCUUCUCCAGCUUCAGUUUGUCUUUUCUAACAUUAGCUUUCUUCUUCUCAAAUCUCUUCUCCUCUGCUUCAUACUCCAUUUCACGAGCCUUCAUCAACUUAUUCAUGAUGUUUUGCACCAUUGCCUCCAUAGUUGUGAUGACUUUUAGCUCAAGUAUCUCUGGGUUACUUUCUAAUUUAUGGUAAACUUCAGCUAGUGAGUUCAUAAUGAUCCUUUGAACAUCUGCAUGACUACAUAAAAGAAAAUUGUUAUCAGUAUAAGGGUGCUUUUGAAAUGUCAGUGAGCACUUGAGUUCAUAAAUAUUGUAUACCCCUGGACAGUUGACAGCUUCAUAUCGUCUUGAUUUGCUCUGACAUCACCGCUGCCUUCAGUCAGAUCAUUGUAUUGUUGUCGUCUAGAAAACAAAGUUAUUAAGGUAGGAAACAUAAAGGAUAUUAAUAGUUACAAUUGACAAGUAAAAAGCUGAGGAUUUUAUAAGAUCAUUUAUCAACUUGCAGCAAUUACCUGACAGAAGAAAGUUUCCAACAUCAAAAAACGGCUGUGACAGAAGAUCCUAUAGAAAAAGAGAAUCAGAUCUGAUCCAACAAUAAGCAAUUUGAAUUUAAAAAAUAUAUACAGGCCAAAACUUACUGGAUCAACAUUAAGCCCCUUUUCUAGUGAGUCUACUUCAUGAUAACCCUGCAAAUAAGGAGAGAAGUACACAACAUUAAGCCCCUUUUCCUACUCAGGACUUUUGUGUGUGUUUGACUAAUAUUUCUAUGAUUGCGUUUAUCUGUAUUUGAUUCCAAUUCAUUGAAAUCAUCCAUGUAUUCCUUGAAUGAACGUACAAUCUAAGAACCAUAAGAAAAAGGACAUAAAAAUCCGAAUAUUUAAACUACAAAUAUUUCUGCCUGCUAACUAAUGUUCAGGUAGAAUAAUCUGAGUUCAACAAUUGCUUACAAAGAAAGUAACAAACAUUUCUGGCCUAUAUAUAUAUAUAUAUAUGUAACCCAGAGAAUUAAUAAAAAGAAGUGAUAUUUUUGGUUGUAUCACUUUAUAGUUUGCAAAAGAUGAAAUAAACUGCCCGUCAAAGAAAUUAAAGGGAUGACAAGUUGUACUUAUAUGACAGUAGGAAUAGCUGAGAAGGGUUAAAAUCUUCAUUGGUUAAAAGAGAAUCUAUUAUUACAACAGAGGAUUAAACUUGAUUUUUGCAUAUUUAUUGAAAGGAUUGAAUAGAAAACUAGUCGACAAUACAUGAUUGCCUAUUCAAGUCAUAAUUUGCUCAACAAAAAUCAAAAUUCGGUUCUAAGUGAAAAAAAAGAACAGAACAGAACAUGAGAGCCAAAAGACAAGUUAUUCUGUGUACACCUCCAGAAGACUGUGAUAUGGACGCUUUUAUUGUAAUAGGAGUUUUUGUUUUAUUUAUUUAUUAUAUCAGGUUUUAUUAAGAGUUUUAAUUUUACUUAUUUUUUCUAUUAUAUUAGGUUUUUAUUUCCAAGUUAAGAAUUCUACUAGGAUUCUUUCCUUUAUUAUUAACAGACUAUAAAAUGCUGCCAAUAUGAAAUAAAGAGAAGCAAUUAUUCUAUCAAAAAGAAACGAUAUUAUGAGAGGGGGUUCAGUUAAGGAUGAAUCUUUCUUUUGAGUAAUCAUAGGUCGAAGUAAGAAUUCUUUCUCGUCCAGACCUGUGACUAGAUUGCAAAGGGAGGGGGACAAACAACAAAACCAACAAGGAACAACGGCAAAAUAGGUUCUUCUGCACCAUUUAUUAAGAGACUGACACAGACAGAAAUGGCGGAAAGAAUGGCUAAGGGGUUGUGUUAUAAUUGUGAGGAGUCCUAUUCCAUGGGACGCAAAUGUAAAAGGUUAUUUUGGAUAGAAGUACCAAAUGUUGAAGGCAAGCAAGAUGAUGAUGAGGUAGAUGAUUUUGGAUAAGUUCUGAAAUUUAUUCUGAAUUUGAGCUUGAGGACAAGCUCAACUCCAUGGAGGGGAGUAAUGAUAUGGACGCUUUUAUUACAAUAGUAGUUUUAGUUUUAUUUAUUUAUUAUAUCAGGUUUUACUAAGAGUUUUAAUUUUACUUAUUUUCUCUAUUAUAUUAGGUUUUUAUUUUCUUCAUACACUCUAAUUUAGGAAUUCUAUUAGGACUCUUUCCUUUGUUAUUAAUAGUCUAUAAAAGGUUGUCAAUUGAAAUGAAGAGAUAAGCAAUUAUUCUAUAAAAAAAACGUUAUUUUUGAGAGGGGGUUCAGUCAAGGACGAAUCUACCUUUUGAGUAACCAUUGGUCGAGGCAAGAAUUCUUUCUCAUCUAGACCUGUGACUAGAUCCUACGCCAAGGCGCAUAAAAGACUAUUUCUAAAUAAACUUACCACAUCAACCCUAAAAAUUUAAUAAUGCAAGAACAACUUACCAAGAAAGAAAAGUCUUGCCGCUACUACUAAGUUACAGAGUUAUGUUUUCUACAAUAAUUUUCAUGAUAAAAGUAAAAUCUAAAGCUCCAUUGAUUAAAAUACUAAUGACAAAUUGGGUGCUUCUACUCAAAAUGUUUACCUGUAGAUUGAUGUGAAUCUUAGCACCUCUGGUACAAUCAGGGGUUAGAGGAAAAUGGAACAUUAACUGUUCAUCUUCCAUUUGCACAAGAUCUUGAAUACUAACACGAUUUCUAAGCUUUUGGUUCUUAAUAUCUUGUAGCAUUACUAAAAAAGAAGCCAAAACUUUGUUUACUAUUUUUUCAAGUAUGCUAAAGACCUUAGCCUCUGAGAUUAAUUCCUCUGUUUGGUCCACAAUAGCCUCUCCCUGCAAUGCUUUUACUGAAAUAUAAAGAAAGCAGAUAACAAAUUUUAAUUUAAAUGAUUAAAUCAAAUCAAGAUUAAUAUAUUUAUGUAUGUAAAAAGAGCUAUUAAAACAUGUAUUAGCAACAAUCUUUGACUUUUCAAAGAUGGAGGGUGUCAGACAAUUGGCACCUGAAAAUCUAAGCAUUUAAGGCACCGAAAUUUGGUUUGAAAUUUAGCAUGGAAUAAUUUCAAUUUUGGUCCCUAAUUGUAUAGGGACUUUUCAAGUUAAUCCUUGAACUUCAACUAUAAAUAGGCCUAGCUAUUUCUCAUUUUCUCCAUCCCACAAAUGCCAUUCUCUACUUGAGGCAUUAUUCUCUCUCCUUAUUUGUAAAAUUUCACUUGUAUUUUGGAGUGAAAUAUAUUUGGUAGUGCCCGAGGACGUAGGCAAAAUUUGCUGAACCUCGUUAAAAUUCUAGUGUUCUUUAUUGUUUAUUCUGCAUAUUUUGCGAGUGUGAUUGUAGUGAUUUAUUGUGCUAUUAAAUUACGAUAGAGGGAUAUUCUGGCUAGGAAAGACCUGGUACUUAAGUGAUCCUCGUGAUCCACCUCUCUUUCCUGGGAAUUGAACUUAGUGUGAUUUUUUAGUACAAUAAUUUUACUCUUUUACACGCUUCCGCGCAACAACAUGCCUGUCUAUCUCUGGCAUUCCUUAAGCAGUCUCCAGAACAUCAACAACAAAUGGCAUUAAUCAACAUAAAAAUCGUACCUACGAGCGAGAUUAAGUGAGGAAGGUCCUUGCAAAUCUCAUCAGCACACUCUAUGUUCCGGACUGGAUUUGUUGACUGGUUCAAAAAUGAAUCAAGCUCUUGAAAUGCAUUUUCGAUGCUAAGACUGGAAAUGGCAUUAUCGACAAUCCUGGGCUGCAUCAAAUUUUUCAAUCGUUGCACUAAGAGUUGAGGGUCACGAAGCCGAUUCAUCCCUUCCACUACUAUCUCUUUCUUUUCUUCCCAUUUCUUCUGCAUUCAAAAAAGUUACUAAAAGCAAUUAGAAAUAUAAAUGAACUUGCACCCUCAGUUUUUUAGCUCAAUAUUCUUGAGUAAAAACAAAAGCACGAUAAUCUGAAUUAGACAUUAUAAUUGAAUUAGAUAUUCAAUAUUAAUAAUCAAUAUAUAUUAACUGAAUUAGACAUUAUAAUUAGUCAUGACUGUCGAAAUUCAAAAUUGUAAAAAUUAAUAUAUAUUGAAUUAAAUGACUACCAUACAUAAAUUUAUUCAAAUAAUAAUAAUAAAAAAAUGAGAGUGUUUAAGACAAUUUCGUUGUAUUUGCUUGUUCUAUGAUCCAACUAUGGUAGGUAAGCGUGAUGUAGGCUCAUUGUACUCCCAUCCGGUGGCUUUAAUUUGCUCUAAUGGAAUCGAAAAUGAAUCAAUCCUUGUAACUUCUUUUUCUUCCUCUUCAUCAUCGGAAAUCGACUUUAUUUCCAAAAAAAAAUUUGGGUCGAUUUUGGAGUUCCAAUCAAUAUCAUCGAUAUACAUAUCUGCUGCAUUACUUGGCAACUUAUUUGUGCAAGGAAAACGAUGAUAAUAUUCCCAGAAUCUCUGUUUGGCUUCCUGGAAAGCUUUUAAACCAGCUGAAUCAUCCCAUUCAAAUACUUUAUCUGUUUUGAACAAAUUAUUCUUUGAUUCAAGAAAUCUUUUCCAUGGCAUUGUACCCACUUUUAUGCAGAAUUUUUUCUCCCAUGCAGGUAAUGGUUCCCAUGAAUUACCGUUAUCAUUCAGUUUGGGACGAGUAGAUUUCGGACUGUAGUACCUUUCUGGGCGAUUAUGAUAUCUUCUCUGAUUGUAUGACAUGAUUUCUUGUAAUCCAAACAAAUAAAUGAAUUGAAAUCACUAAUGAUAUGAAUUCAUAGUGAGGAGACUUGUGGGUUUAUAUAAUAUUAUUAGAGUCGGCGGUGACUCAAUCCUUUUCCUGGUUGGAAAAGGAAUUCUAAUUUCAGUUUGACUAUGAUUUCUAUUUUCUAAAUAUUUGUAUAAUAAAAUUAUUAAAAAAUAACUAUAUCUGUAUUAAUUCGUUUCCCUCUAAUUGAUACGUUACAUCCCUAGCUUCUCUAGAAUCCUCAUUGACUAUCUAAUCUCUUCACCCAUUGGUGUUCCCCCAAGAACGUUUUUUUCUAGUUUUCUCCUCCUAAUUCAUCUCCACGAUCAUCACCUCCUAGCUUACCGUUUUCAACUUACUUCCAAUACACCACUUUUCCCUUAAAGCGAGCUAAGUUCACAUUUACUUUACUUCCAUAUAUACAGAAUCCAUUAAGUUUACUAAUUGCCCUCUUAUCAUCCACAAUGCUUGCAAAUCUUACUAAACCAAAACCUAGACCUUUUCGAUGCCUCUUGUUAGGAAUAAACGCGUCCAACACUUUGCCAUGGAACUCAGAGAUUUUCCAUGGUCCCUUCCAAUGAAAACAAGAAGGAAGAUUAGAAACAUAAACUAAAAUCACCAUUUUCUCUAAGGAUUUAGCCUAGUAAUAGUUUACAAUAACUCCACGGCAUCUGAUUAAAAGCACAAGUUAAUUGAAUUACCAAGAACAAUGUUCUUCAACACUAUUCCAAAUUCAAUUUUGGAACUUUUGUUAUCACAGCUUUCAACUGUUUGAAACUCUGUUGGCAUUAUUCAAUCGCACAUAACUAACAUUUUCAGUAGCAACUUCGUCAUGGUAGAGCUAUCAUCGACGAGCCUGAACAAAUCAUCUGUAGUAUACAAUAAAUCCUAGAGACCUACAUAUUUCUACAUUAUUUCCCAGAGAUUCCCUAAUUAACAUUUAUCAGGAGUUCAUUCGAAAUAACUCAAAUAUAUUCUACUGUUAAUAAAAGGUUUAAAAAACUUAUUUCUUGAAAUUAAAAUUCACAUUUAUUGAUCUUCACAAAUAAUUAUUUCUUCACAUGAAUUGAGUAUAUUUUGUCUAUUAAAUAUAUAAAGUGACUAUGCAAUUGAUAAUCAUAUACAAUAAUCAACAUUUGACUAAACUUUGCAACCUAUACAAGUUUUUGUGGGAUUUCGACAAAAUAUAAACAAAAACCCCGAGAAGACACUUAAAACAUUUACUCAUCCAUGGCAACUGGCUGAAAAAAUUUGGGUUGUCGUCUAGCUCAUAAUCAUAUACCAGGUCAAUACCAAAUUCUAGCACAGAUAAAUCUGAAAGAACCCGAAGACUAAUAUGAUCACCAGCUUCUAAUUCAUCACCCCUAAAAUUCCAACAAGUCGUCCAAUAUAAUGUAUUCUUAGUUUCAGGAAUUCCCAUAAAAUUUUUGGAGUAGGUCCACUUUGUACCUUUCGUCUCGUUCACAAUUUCAAGGCAUGGUAAAAAUCCAUAUGUUUUAUCAUUCUUGGCAGAAAAAAUGAUAAUGGAAUUUAAGAAGCAACUUAUCUUAUUUCGACUAGAGUUUGGGGGCACUGAUAUUGAAACCUCAGUCUUGCCAGCUUGAUGGCCAUAGUAAUGAUGACCAUUGUAAUCAAAUGGCACUGGAUCAAAUGUUGUAAUUAUAUCGUAAUCAUAUAAUACCUGUAGCAUUGGGUCAGAGAAUGAGUUAUUAAAAAGUAUAUAGUAUAUAAAUAAUUUUAAAAACCUGGAACUUGUAAAGGGAACCUGUGGGGAAGCAACCACUUUUGAUUCUUCUAUAUAACUGCAAAGUUGCACUUUUGCAUUUCCAAAAGAUUCCAAACUGCGCAAGUGUUCAGUUAGGUCCAUCUUGAUAAUAUUUCUUGUGGAAACUUCAUCUCCUAAAAUAUGUACAAUAAUGUGUUAUUUAUCAAUUUUAGUGAUCAUCAACAUAAUAUGCUUAUUAGAAAGUAAUAGUAUUGACUUGAAUGGAGUGAUAAUUAAAGCUUUUAUCAGACCCAUUUGACACGAAUACAAAUAGUGACUCAUCCCCUAUACUCAAUGUUGUAUGAAAAAAUGAUAUCAAAGUAGUAAUGUUAUUAUCACUAAGAUAUAUUAUAAGACUUGUAAGAAAUAAUCAAUUAUACACAUUAUAUCUUUAUUUUUCAUUUUUAUAUAAAAUAUACACUUGAAAACUAUUAAAUAUGUUAAUCAAAACACCACUGUUAUAGUUUUAUCCAUUAUUUUAGUUUCCACUUCUAUUAGUACUAUUGGAUUAAUCAUUUAUCAAACAAUUAACUUAUUUUCAUUAGACCCCAAUUGCAGCAUAACUUUAUAAUUAUCAUUUUAUUAUUAAGCUAAAUUUCUCUCAUAAUCUAUUAAAUUGUCACAUUUCUUAAUAAUAUUUUUAUUGUAUUAGAAAGUCUUUUAGAGAAACAUUCAUCAUUUCUUGAACAUUUGUUAGUCACAUAUAAAAUGAAACAAUAAAAUAAAUAUAAUAGGAUGUAUUUACUAAAAUAUAAUUAUUUGAAGUCUACUCAACACCUGUAGAUGAGUGCGAAAAGCCAUAUUCAUAUCUAAUGUUGUGUUCUGAUUCAUAAGUAACGCCAAAUUUUCUUAUGCUGAGAUGAAGAGGCACUACCAUGCAACUCACAAGGUCACCACCUUCAAAUUCAGAAUCCGUUACUGGCCAAUGGAUCAACCACAACAUUGUGUUAUCGUUAGUCUUAGGAAUUCCGAUGAAACUUGAGCGAUAUCUUGUUGAAAUUGGCCAACCAUGCUGCUGUUACAUGUUUUGGUUGAAGUGCAUGCAGGAUGAUGACAUGCUGCAGCACGUAUACUUGCUGUAACAGCAAGGUUUUCUCUUUAGUUUCUUUGUUGAUUAAACUAGUUGAAAAUGAACAAGUUGGUGACAACUUGAUGCAUUAGGUGUUGAAUGAUUAGUUUAGGUGGCUUGUUUAUGUGUACAAGCAAUGUUUAUUAAGUUACUAGGCUACUUAGUGGUAGUAGGUAGUAUUUGGUAAUGUAUUUGACUAUAAAUAUGUUGUUUUUCUAGUUGAAUGAAUGAGCUAUCAGCCAUAAGCUCACUUGCUGCACAUUUGUGAGCAAGUAAAAAUUUUUCUUGCAUCUAGUUUCAUUGUUCUGUUCUCUCUGUUAUCGUCUUUUGCUGCUGCCAAUGUUCCAACAUAUCUCUGCAUGAUCCUUUUGGUCUUAUUGAAAAUGUGGACACUUGGUAGGAACUCCAAUAUUUGAUCACUAGCUAAAGAGAAAACUAUUGGAACCCACCCAUUGUUUGAAAAGUCAAAAAGGGUGGGCACCGAAAGUAGAAAGUAAAAUUGGUUGGCAAGUUGGGUUAAAAGUUGGCAUGGGAUAAUUGCAAUUUUGGUCCCUAAUUGUAUAGGGACAUUGCAAGUUGAUCCUUGAACCUCAACUAUAAAUAGGCCUAACCAUUUCUUACUUUCUUCAUCCCAUAAUUGCCAUUCUCUACUUAAGGCAUUAUUCUCUCUCUCUAUUUGUAAAUUUCACUUGUAAUUUUUGGAGUGAAAUAUAUUUGGUAGUGCCCGAGGACGUAGGCAAAAUUUGCUGAACCUCGUUAAAAUUCUGGUGUUCUUUAUUAUUUGUUUUGCAUAUUUUGUGAAUGUGAUUGUAGUGAUUUAUUGUGCUAUUAAAUUACGAUAGAGGGAUAUUCUGGCUAGGAAAGACUUGGUAUUUAAGUGAUCUUCGUGAUCUACCUCUCUUUCCUGGGAAUUGAACUUAGUGUGAUUUUUCAGUACAAUAAUUUUACUCUUUCACACGCUUCCGCGCAACAAUUGGUACCAGAGCCAGGUUCGUACUUGGGGAAUACGACCGUUUACGGUACUAUUCACGUAUAUGAUACUAUUCACGUAUACGGUACUAUUCACGUAUACGGCACUAUUCACGUAUACGGUACUGUUCACGUAUACAGUAGUUGGGAUUGAAGAGAAAAAUGGCAGCAGCAUCGUCAUCAGCAAGGACUACUGUGACAAAUGCAAAAUUUGAAGUAGAGAAAUUUGACGGUACCAAUAAUUUUGGUAUGUGGUAAUGUGAGAUCCUGGAUGUCUUAUGUCAGCAAGAGCUAGAUAUAGCCCUUGAAGAAAAACCUGACAAGAUGGAUGACAAGGAGUGGGCCAAGAUCAAUAGACAGGCGUGUGGUACAAUCCGCCUAUGUUUGGCCAAAGAGCAGAAGUACUCUGUCAUGAGGGAGACAUCAGCGAAGAAGUUAUGGGAUACACUGGAAGAAAAGUUUCUAACGAAAAGUCUUAAAAAUAGGCUUUAUAUGAAAAAGAAACUUUAUCGAUUCACGUAUGCACCCGGUAUAUCGAUGAAUGACCAUGUGAACUCAUUCAAUAAAAUUUUAGCAGACUUGCUAAAUUUGGAUGAGAAAUUUGAAGAUGAAGACAAGGCAUUAUUGUUGUUGAAUUCCCUUCCUGAUGAAUAUGAUCAUCUUACCACCACAUUGCUUCAUGGGAAGGACACGAUCACAUUUGAUGCAGUCUGUAGUGCGUUGUAUAGAUCUGAGACUCGAAAGAAAGAUAAAAGAGAUCACAGAGAUACAACCGCAGAAGUCUUAACAGUAAGAGGUCAUUCACACAGCAGCAAAUCUGGUAGAAGGGGAAAGUCCAAAGGGAGACCCGCCAAAGAUGAAUGUGCCUUUUGCCGUGAAAAAGGGCAUUGGAAAAAGAAUUGUCCUAAGCUACAAAAGGGCAAGGCUAUUUCUAAUGCAUGUGUAGCGGAGCAUGAUGAGGAGUCAGACUUUGCUUGGUUGGCAUGGCAAUGGCAUGUGAAACGGAUGAGUGGAUUUUGGAUUCAGGAUGUACUUACCAUAUGUGUCCUAAUAAGGACUGGUUUUCUAGUCUUAAAGAGCUAGAAGGUGGAAUUGUUCUUAUGGGCAAUGAUAGUGCUUGUAAGACAAUGGGAGUGGGUACAGUCCAAUUGAAGAAUCACGACGGCUCAAUCCAAGUCUUGACAGAUGUUCGCUACGUACCUAGCCUGAAGAAAAAUCUCAUCUCAUUAGGUGCCCUAGAAUCUAAAGGGCUCACAAUCACUUUGAGAGAUGGAUUACUAAAAGUAGUAGCUGGGCAACUGACGGUGAUGAAAGGCACAAUAAGAAAUAACUUGUAUUUUUGAAAUGGAAGUACAGUUAUUGGAUCAACAUCAACAGUUUCUACAAAAGAUGUAGAUUCAGAGGCUACCAGAUUAUGGCAUAUGCGAUUGGGACAUGCUGGUGAAAAAGCUUUGCAGACAUUGGUGAAGCAAGGCUUAUUGAAAGGUGCAAAUUCUUGCAAAAUAGAAUUCUGUGAACAUUGUGUUCUGGGCAAGCAGAAGAGGGUAAAAUUUGGUCCAGCAAUUCACAAUAUGAAAGGAAUUCUGGACUACGUUCACAGUGAUGUGUGGGGACCUACCAAAGUAGCUUCUUUGGGAGGUAUGCACUAUUUUGUUACUUUUGUUGAUGAUUAUUCAAGAAAAGUAUGGGUGUAUCUAAUGAAAAGAAAAAGUGAAGUUUUGGAUGUAUUUCUGAAAUGGAAGAAGAUGGUGGAGACUCAGACUGGUCGAAAGGUCAAACGACUUCGAUCAGAUAAUGGUACUGAGUACAAAAACGAUCCAUUUCUACAAGUAUGCCAAGAUGAGGGCAUUGUGCGACACUUCACUGUUCGGGAUACACCAUAGCAAAAUGGGGUGGCAGAACGAAUGAAUCGAACUAUACUGGAGAAAGUUCGAUGUAUGUUGUCCAAUGCUGGAUUGGGCAAAGAAUUUUGGGCUGAGGCAGUUACAUAUGCGUGCCAUCUAAUUAACCGUUUGCCAUCAGCUGCAAUAAAUGGAAAAACUCCUAUGGAGAUGUGGACUGGUAAAUCUGCUACUGAUUAUGAUUCUUUGUAUGUAUUUGGUUCCACUGCAUAUUAUCAUGUAAAAGAAUCUAAGUUAGACCCAAGAGCAAAGAAAGCAUUAUUCUUGGGUAUAACUGAUGGAGUAAAAGGAUAUCGUCUCUGGUGUCCUGAUACAAGGAAGAUUAUUUUCAGUAGAGAUGUGACUUUUGAUGAAUCAACCAUGUUGAAGUACAAUGAUUCACAAAAGGAUGACAAAACCAGUAGUACUUUGCAGCAGGUGGAGCUUCAAAAGGUUAACGAUGAUCCAGCUAAUAUUGAAGGGACAAAUGAUGAAGAGGUUCCUACCCAAGAACCUCUACAGCAACAAGAUUCAAUUGCAUAUAGAAGGCCAAGAAGAGAGAUUCGUAAGCCUGCUCGCUUUGAUGAUAUAGUGGCCUAUGCACUUCCAAUUACAGAUGAUGAUGUUCCUUCUACUUACACAGAAGUAAUAAGUAACCCUGAUGGUGUAAAGUGGAAGCAAGCAAUGAAUGAAGAAAUGCAGUCUCUUCAUAAAAAUAAGACCUGGGAGUUGGUGACACUACCCAAGGGAAAGAAGGCAAUUGGAUGCAAAUGGGUAUAUGCAAAUAAGGAAGGAUUUCCUGAUAAAAAUGAAAUUCGAUACAAGGCUAGAUUGGUAGCAAAGGGUUACGCUCAGAAAGAAGGAAUAGACUACAAUGAAGUGUUUUCUCCAGUUGUGAAGCAUUCGUCUAUUCGGAUUUUGCUAGCCUUGGUUGCGCAAUAUGAUCUUGAACUAGUUCAGCUUGAUGUGAAGACCGCGUUUUUACACGGUGAUUUGGAAGAGGAAAUCUAUAUGACUCAGCCAGAUGGAUUCAAGGUUGCUGGAAAAGAAAAUUGGGUUUGCAAACUGACAAAGUCGCUUUAUGGAUUGAAGCAAUCUCCGAGGCAGUGGUACAAGCGAUUUGAUCAGUUCAUGAAAGGGCAAAGGUACACAAGAAGUAAAUUUGAUCAUUGCGUGUAUUUUCAGAAGCUACAAGAAGGAACUUUCAUAUACUUGCUCUUAUAUGUUGAUGAUAUGCUAAUAGCAUCUAAGAGCAAAGUUGAGAUUGAAAGAUUGAAGACUCAACUCAAUCUCGAGUUUGAGAUGAAAGAUCUAGGAGAAGCUAAAAAGAUUCUCGGCAUGGAAAUUUGGAGAGAUAGAGCUCAUGAUAGAGUUAGCUUGUCUCAGAAGCAGUAUUUGAAGAAGGUACUACAGCAGUUUGGCAUGAACGAGCAAACAAAACCUGUAAGUACCCCGUUGGCUUCUCAUUUCAAGCUUUCUGCACAACUAUCUCCUUCGACGAAUACGGAACGAGAAUACAUGUUGCAAGUUCCGUAUUCUAAUGCAGUGGGUAGCUUGAUGUAUGCAAUGGUGUGUACAAGACUCGACAUUUCACAGGCAGUUAGUAUAGUGAGCAGGUAUAUGCAUAAUCCUGGAAAAGGACAUUGGCAAGCUGUGAAAUGAAUUCUACGGUAUAUUCAGAAGACCGUGGAUGUUGGACUACUGUUCAAGCAGGAUAAUACACUUGGUAAAGGUGUUAUUGGGUACGUUGAUUCUGACUAUGCCGGUGAUUUGGACAAGCGAAGAUCAACCACCGGUUAUGUGUUUACACUUGCUGGAGGACCAAUAAGUUGGAAGUCUACACUACAGUCUACAGUUGCAUUGUCAACCACAGAAGCCGAGUACAUGGCUGUAACAGAGGCUGUAAAGGAGGCUAUUUGGUUACAAGGUAUGGCUAAAACCUUGGGGUUGGUUCAGGAGCAUAUUAACGUGUAUUGUGAUAGUCAAAGUGCUAUUCAUUUAGCAAAGAAUCAGGUCUAUCAUGCACGUACAAAGCAUAUCGACGUACGAUUCCAUUUUGUGCGGGAAAUUAUUGAAGAGGGGAAAAUUUAUCUUCAGAAGAUCAAGACUGCAGAUAAUCCCGCAGAUAUGAUGACCAAGGUGGUAACAGUAACCAAGUUUGAACAUUGUUUGAACUUGAUUAAUAUCCUGCAAGUUUAACAGUUAAAGAAGGCACUAUCAAGUAUUGUUGUCAAAGGCAGAAAGAAUUGUGUGAAGAUAAGAUUAUCCUAAUCAAAUCUUCAAGAUGGAGAUUAUUGGAACCCACCCAUUGUUUGAAAAGUCAAAAAGGGUGGGCACCGAAAGUAGAAAGUAAAAUUGGUUGGCAAGUUGGGUUAAAAGUUGGCAUGGGAUAAUUGCAAUUUUGGUCCCUAAUUGUAUAGGGACAUUGCAAGUUGAUCCUUGAACCUCAACUAUAAAUAGGCCUAACCAUUUCUUACUUUCUUCAUCCCAUAAUUGCCAUUCUCUACUUAAGGCAUUAUUCUCUCUCUCUAUUUGUAAAUUUCACUUGUAAUUUUUGGAGUGAAAUAUAUUUGGUAGUGCCCGAGGACGUAGGCAAAAUUUGCUGAACCUCGUUAAAAUUCUGGUGUUCUUUAUUAUUUGUUUUGCAUAUUUUGUGAAUGUGAUUGUAGUGAUUUAUUGUGCUAUUAAAUUACGAUAGAGGGAUAUUCUGGCUAGGAAAGACUUGGUAUUUAAGUGAUCUUCGUGAUCUACCUCUCUGGGAAUUGAACUUAGUGUGAUUUUUCAGUACAAUAAUUUUACUCUUUCACACGCUUCCGCGCAACAAAAACAAUGCAUAAGCUGAACCGAUGGAUCUUUUCUUCUGGAUGAGAUGGUGUUGGCAAAGAAAAAGAGAUUCCGUGCUCGUUAGUGCGAUGCUUAAACACAAUAGGAACUUCACUUCCUAUAACAAAUGUGCUUAUUAUAACACAUUCCUGCAAGACCUGAUCCAAAAAAAACAUGUUAGAUGAUUACGAAUGUGUUCAUUAAGUAAUGUAAGAGAAAAAAAUAAAGUUAAAAUUUAAGUUGGAGAACUAUUGGACCUGUGAGGUAGCAAGCAUUAAGCUGUCUGUUAGGUAGCUAUAAAGUUGCAGUCGAUUUCUGCUAAUGGAAUCCAGGUUGAAUAAUCUUCUAAUCUCUUCUUCUUCAAAGUUUUCAGUUGGUUCCAACUUGAAUAGAUCUUCAACUUCAGUCAAUUUUUCACAUCCAAAAAUAACACAUCGUGUGGAAGAAAAGAAGCAUGGAAGAAUUGCCCAAUAUCCUUUAAAUGGAGAUAUUGUCAAGAACUCAAAAACAUUGGGCAAGACUGGAAGCUUUGGAAUCAUUUGGAGUUCAGUGCAAGAAGUCAAUAGAAGUUCAUCAAGUUUUGUAAGUUUUUUUAUGCUUUCGGGAAGGCAAUGAAUUGGGUUUCUACUUAAAUUUAAGGAUUUCAAUGAAGCUAAGUUAUAAAGAUCAUUGGGCAUGACAUCAUCAGGUAAUUUGCAACUUUCAAGGCUUAACUUUACCAAAGAGCACCGUAGAGAUGCCCAAGAGAAACCCAAUUCUUUACUUCUUCUUUUUUCUUCACAUGAAUUAUGUUUAAUUAUAUAGCAACAACUCUCAUAAGAUACAGCUAGAAACUUUUGUCUAUUAAAUAUAUAAAGUGACUAUGCAAUUGAUAAUCAUAUACAAUAAUCAACAUUUGACUAAACUUUGCAACCUGUACAAGUCUUUUUGGGAUUUCGACAAAAUAUAAACAAAAACCCCGAGAAGAUACUUAAAACAUUUACUCAUCCAUGGCAACUGGCUGAAAAAAUUUGGGUUGUCGUCUUGCUCAUAAUCAUAUACAAGGUCAAUACUAAAUUCUAACACAGAUAAAUCUGAAAGAACCCGCAGAGUAAUAUGAUCACCAGCUUCUAAUUCAUCACCCCUAAAGUUCCAACAAGUCGUCCAGUAUAAGGUAUUCUUAGUUUCAGGAAUUCUCAUGAAAUGUUUGGAGUAGGUCCACUUUGUUCCUUUCGUCUCGUUCACAAUUUCAAGGCAUGGUAAAAAUCCAUAUGUUUUAUCAUUCUUGGCAGAAAAAAUGAUAAUCGAAUUUAAGAAGCAACUUAUCUUUCGACUAGAGUUUGGGGGCACUGAUAUUGAAACCUCAGUCUUGCCUGCUUGAUGGCCAUAGUAAUGAUGAUGACCAUUGUAAUCAAAUGGCGCUGGAUCAAAUGUUGUAAUUAUACCGUAAUCAUAUAAUACCUGUAGCAUUGGGUUAGAGAAUGAGUUAUUAAAAAGUAUAUAUUAUAUAAAUAUUUUUUAAAAGUUGAAACUUGUAAAGGGAACCUGUGGGGAAGAAACCACUUUUGAUUCUUCUAUAUAACUGCAAAGUUGCACUUUAACAUUUCCAUAAGAUUCCAAACUGGGCAAGUGUUCAGUUAGGUCCAUCUUGAUAUUUCUUGUGGAAACUUCAUCUCCUGUACAAUAAUGUGUUGUUUAUCAAUUUUAGUGAUCAUCAACAUAAUAUGCUUAUUAGAAAGUAAUAGUAUUGACUUAAAUGGAGUGAUAAUUAAAGUUUUUAUUAGACAUCCAUUUGACACGAAUUCAAAUAGUGACUCAUCUCCUAUACUCAAUAUUAUAUGAAAAAAAGACACUAAAGUGUAUUUUAUUUUUUAAUUUUAUAUAAAAUAUAAACAUUAAAACUAUUAAAUAUGUUAAUCAAAACACCACUGUUAUAAUUUUAUCCAUUAUUUUAGUUUCCACUUCUAUGAGUACUAUUGGAUUAAUCAUUUAUCAAACAAUUAACUUAUUUUCAUUAGACCCCAGUUGCAGCAAAACUUUAUAAUUAUCAUUUUAUUAUUAAGCUAAAUUUCUCUCAUAAUCUAUUAAAUUGUCACAUUUCUAGAUAAUAUUUUUAUUGUAUUAGAAAGUCUUUUAGAGAAACAUUCAUCAUUUCUUGAACAUUUGUUAGUCACAUAUAAAAUAAAUAUAAUAGGAUGUAUUUAAUAAAAUAUAAUUAUUUGAAGUCUACUCAUACCUGUAGAUAAGUGCGAAAAGCCAUAUUCAUAUCUAAUGUUGUGUUCUGAUUCAUAAGUAACGCCAAAUUUUCUUAUGCUGAGAUGAAUAGGCACUACCAUGCAACUCACAAGGUCACCACCUUCAAACUGACAGUCCGUUACUGGCCAAUGAAUCAACCACAACAUUGUGUUAUCGUUAGUCUCAGGAAUUCCGAUGAAACUUGAGCGAUAUCUCUGCAUGAUCAUUUUGGUCUCAUUGAAAAUGUGGACACUUGGUAGAAGCUCCAACAUUUGGUCACUAGCUAAAGAGAAAACAACGCAUAAGCUGAACCGAUGGAUCUUUUCAUCUGGAUGAGAUGGUGUUGGCAAAAAAAAAGAGAUUCGAUGCUCGUUAGUGCCAUGCUUAAACCCAAUCGGAACUUCACUUCCUACAACAAAUGUGCUUGUUAUACCACAUUCUUGCAAGACCUGAUCCAGAAAACACAAGUUAGAUGAUUAAGUAGUAUAAGAGAAAAAAAUAGAUUUAAAAUUUAAGUUGGAGAACUAUUGGACCUGUGGGGUAGCAAGCAUUAUGCUGUCUGUUAGGUAGCUAUAAAGUUGCAGUCGAUUUCUGUUAAUGGAAUCUACGUUGAAUAAUCUUCUAAUCUCUUCUUCUUCAAAGUUUUCAAUUGGUUCCAACUUGAAUAGAUUUUCAACCUCAGUCAAUUUUUCACAUCCAAAAAUAACACAUCGUGUGGAAGAAAAGAAGCAUGGAAGAUUAAUUAUCCCAGAUCCUUGAAAUGGAGAAUUGUCUCCAAAAAUAAACUUGCACUCAAAAACAUUGAGCAAGACCGGAAGCUUUGGAAUCAUUUGGAGUUCAGUGCAAGAAGUCAAUAGAAGUUUAUCAAGUUUUGUAAGGUUUUUUAAGCUUUCGGGUAGGUAAUGAAUUGGGUUUCUACUUAAAUUUAAGGAUUUCAGGGAAGCCAAGUUACAAAGAUCAUUGGGGAUGACAUCAUUAGAUAAUUUGCAACUUUCAAGGCUUAACUUUACCAAAGAGCUCGGUAGAGAUGCCCAAGAGAAACCCAUUCCUUUGCUUCUUUUCAGUAAGAGCCAAUGCAACCCCGAUCUUGAUUGAUAUAUGGCAGUUUCAUCUAAAUUAAGCACCUUCAAUGAUUCCAUAUUAUGCAACUCCCUAGGAACAUCAUCAAGUCUUGAACAACCAGAUAAGACAAGCUCUUCAAGUGAUAUUAAUGAACCAAUUGUCCUUGGAAGAUGCCUAAGACUAGUGCAAUCUUUAAGGUUCAAGAAAGUAAGCAUCUUUAGCUCACCAAUGGAUUGAUCAACUUCCACCAAAUUUAUGCAAUCUUUGAGCAUCAACUUCUCAAGGCUAGGGAGUCCUGAAAAGCUUGGGGUUUUAAGAAGGCCAUGUGAAUGGUUGAGAUUAAGGAUCUUUAAAUUUGGGAGGCACUGCAAAAAAAGAAAACCCUUCAUUUGUAUAUUAUUGUUUCACACACACACAAAAAGAAGGAAAAUUAGUAUAUAUCAUACCUCUGUAUCCCUCCAAACUUGUUUAAGUUUACUGUUGCGCAUGUCGAGAACAACUAGUUCAUUGAUAUCAAAAUCCACCGGAAAAGAUUGCAUACAAAACCCACGCCAACGUAACCAUCUUAAUCUUUUGGGAAAGUCUUUGAAGUCUCCUUUAAGUCUUACAUAAUCCAGUUGAAGCUGUUUAAGUCUCUUCAUCUUCGCAAAUGCUUGAGUUUCCAUAUCAACAUCAUUUGCCAUGAGAAAUUGACUUUUGGAAUGCUUUGGAAAAUGUAGAGUUGUAUUUGUCCGUUUAGCCUUGUCUUCUAGCAAUCCUUUUAGGUCAAUUGUGAGGCACUUAACUGUUCUGGAACCCUGCAUCAGAAAAACUUUUUUAAAAAAUAAAAAGAAACUUGAUAAAUAAAUAAAAAGUAGUUUACAUGCACACAAGAAAAAAGUUGAGUAAAAUGAUGUUUCUUACAAUUUUUUCUCUUAUUACAUCAAACGCGUUCUUAUGCCACAAUCUGCUUCGUUUCCCAAUAUCUGAUGAUUCUUGACGAAUAAUUUCUCGUCCCAUAUCUUUAAUCAUUUGGUGCAUCAUUAGCUUGUUUUUUUCAUUAAUGAUUAAGAGAGACCUGCCUACUAGAUUUUCAAUUCCAAUUGUUGUAUAGAAAUCACAACCAUCUAGAAUUGUAGUCGUGUAAUCUCUAUCCUUCCCAAUGAAUAAACAAACUAUGUCAAGGAAUAAAUUUUUGUCAUGAUCGUCUUCCAAAGAAUCAUAGCUUAUUCUUAGAAUCUUUUGAAUUUUGUUGUCAGGGAUUUCUUCUAAUUUCUCCAAUGCACUUUUCCAAGAACUCACACUUUUGCUAGAUAGUGAAGAGCCGAAAACUUGAAGAGCUAAUGGAAGCCCACCACAGUGUUUCACUAAACUUCUUGCAAAAACCAUUGAACUUUCAGGCACAGAGUUAUGACCAAAAGCAUACCAAUUAAAAAGUUGUACUGAUUCACUUGAAGCUAAUUCUUUUACUUCAAAUUGCUUGCUUAAGCCUCCACAACUAGUUGAUGCUUCCAAAUCAAACAUUUGGCUUAUAAAAUAUGCAUUCAAUAGGCAUCGGUUUCUACUAGUUAUGAUGAUUUUACUUCCCGGAUGAAAAGGAAUUUGAGUUCCCAUUAAUUUUCUUAUUUUUUCCAAUUCAUCAACAUCAUCAAGAACAAGAAGAACUCUUCUACAACAGACAAUUUCUUUGAUCUUGUUAAUUCCAUUAUCUAUAUUGUAUAUUUUAUGUGAUUUUCCUUUAAGGAUAUCUGAAAUAAGUUGCCUUUGCAAACGGACUAAACCAUUGCAAUCUUGACUUGUUUCUCUAACAUCAGCAAGGAAACUAUAACCUUCAAACCUCGGGAUGUUUUGAUUGUAAACAACUUUGGCAAUGGUUGUCUUCCCAAUGCCUCCAAUGCCACAAAUAGUUGCAAUGCCAACUUUAUUUGCUCCAUCUUGCUCUAACCAUUGAUUAAUUUGUGUCACGAGAGGAUCUAUUCCAACUAAAUAAGGAGGGACAUACAAAGAAAUAAGAUGAAGUUUAUUUUGAACUUCUUUAACAAUAUCUUGAAUGAAUUGUGAUUCAUGCCUGCAAAUUUAAAAAAUACAACUCAAUGGUAAAAUCUUAGAAAUUAAGUAUAAGUUACUAAUGUAUUUUCUCUUUUCUUGCAUAUAUUUUGAUUGUUUUUAUGAGAUUAUAUGUUCAAGUAAAAAUAAGAAACUAAUGCAACAUUUCAACAUAUAUGAUACAUUCAAAAUCAAAUCAAAUCAAAUAAAGCAACAUAAAAAUUAAUGGAAUUCAUUCGAGAAAUAACCUAUACUCAAAAUUUCAACUUUUCUUUAUGAAAGUUUAAUAAAUUCAUGUUAUUUACAUGAAUUUAUAUAUUUAUUUUUUAUUCGUUGUAAUACUUUGAAUAUGUGUAGGACUAUUAUACGAAUAACUUGGAUAUAAUUGUUGGAAAUAUACUAUUGCAAAAUAGAAUUGUUACAUGAGACCAAACUGAAUGUAAAUAAAAUAAGAAUCACUGUGUCGUGAAGAACCACUGCAUUGAGGCAAAUUCGCCCUGAUCGGUGUAAUUGUGUAAUGAACGUUACCCCCCAACAUAAUACUCCAAUAUUCGUACACCCGAAUAAAGAAGGUGGAACACGGCUGACAUUACUCUUUCCGAAAAAAAUUCAAUUCCCAAGAAAGAUUAAAGGGGUCACAAACAGUCCCGCUUAAAACCUAAUCUCUUAGAUAGAAUUUCUCUCUCGUGUAAUUUUGCAGAACUCUAGAAUUUAGAGAACAUAGAGAGAAGUUUUUUUUUCUUGUUGUGUUAGGUGGGAGAAUGCCCUCCUAUUUAUUCUAUUUUUUGAUGGGCAAAAUGGUAAAAUAACAAUUUUAGUUUCCAAAAAUAGCAAAGGAUUUUCCUAACUGAAAAUAUUCUAAAAAUAUUUUAUGCAACAGUUAGAGAAUUUUCCGCAAUUGAAAAUAUUCUUUUGCAUUACCAACAAUGACAUCUUAGAAAACCAUAAAUAGUGUCAUUAAAUUCAAGAGGCUAUUUCUUUUUGUUUUCUACUCGUCAAAUUCAAGUUGUUCAUGUGAUAGGUGCAAAUGUAUUUAAAAUUUGAUCUAUGUGUUUUAAAAACAUCUCAUUCGAGCUAACAUUUAAUGCUUAAGCUGAUGAUUUGUUUGAUAGAAAGACCUUAUUGAUACAAUACUAAUAUUUUAAUGACUCAAUUAAAACAUGUUAAUGUUUGAGAAAUAAUUUAAAAUCUGAAUUAUAAUUAACCCUUUAAAAUGGAUUGAAGUAAUCAUUUUAAUUUCCAAACGCUACCUAACAAUAUUUUCUAUUAAUUUUAUUUCUACCCUAUCAAGUCUUAAUGAAAAGGAUUGAAGUAACCAUAUGGAACUUGAUUAUGUGUAUAACGUACCUGUCUUGUAGAACCAUGCCUCCUAUAUCCGCAACUUCUUUUAAAGCAUUCCUCCAUCUUCGUACCAUGGACUCGAAGUUUUGUUCAUGUUGGGUAAAUGCUUCUCCAUAACUUCCCGUCUGGUUCUUGACUUGACUCGGAUCCACAUCAUAGAAAACUGGCAACACAAUAUGUUUAGAGGAUUUCUUGUGCUCCAAUAUCAUUACAAGUUCGUUAAGACACCAUGUGGAUGCAGCAUAAUUCUUUGAGAAAACAACGAUAGAAAUUUUGGAGUGGUGUAGUAUUGCUCUUUCAAUUUCAUAUUUUAUGUUAUUCCCUCUCUCGAUUUCCUCAUCAUCUCUGAAUGUUUGAAUUCCUAAGUGCACCAAAGCUGUGUAAAGAUGAUCCGUGAAACUUUUGCGCGUAUCUUCACCUCUAAAACUCAAGAAUACAUGAUAAGUACAUCGCGAGAUUUCUGACAUUGCCAUUGAAGAAGAAAAUGAAGUCGUCCUGUAUUUUUUAUGUAAUAACAAUGUUCCAGCAUAUAUAUAUAUAUAUAUAUAUAUGAAUGGCAAAGAAGAUAUUAUUAGCAGUCAAGUGGCAGUUCCCAAUCCAUGGUGGGUCAAUCCUUCCACCAGUUCAUACAACUAUCCGAAGAAAUUCAUGUCGGCCAUGUUGUUUUUUCCAAAUCUACCAACUUGGGUUACGUAUUCUAUAUUAUUAAUUUUGCUUGACAAAUACAAGCUAUUGAUUAACUUGAUGGUUAUAGCUAACACAACACGUAAUAUAGACAUCAUCUUCAGGCCAAUAUUAGUAAAAAUACUAUGAAGGUUUUUGUAUUUUAAGUUAUAUCAUAUUUUGUUUUUUCUAUUUAAAAAAUAGUAAAUUAGUCUUUGUAUAUUAGAUUAUAAAUUAAAUUAGUUCUUUUGUUAAAAAAAUUACCCAUUGUUAUUAUUAAAAAUUGGUCCAUGUAAUCAACACGAGGUACAUGUGACACGUCACAUGCAGUUAUCUGGUUAUUUCGUCAUUCACAUUUGUUUUUAACAACAAAAAUGAAUGAAAUUUUUAAUAGAAAUAAUAAAUUUGUUCUUUUAUCUAAUGUAUAUGGACUAAUUUGCUUGUUUUUGAAUAAAAUGGGUUAAAUAUAAUUUGACUCUCAAUAGAAUGAUCUCCAUGAUACUUUUACCAGCUAAUACCUUGGUAGAUACAGUCAAUAAUUAAACCACAACCACAAUAUAUCACAUAGACAUCACAUUAAACAUUCAAGUUCGGUAUAGUAAAGAGACAAUUUUAGUAUCUAUGCAUGAAUGAAAAAUUAAUUAUUUUUGGAAAAGAAUUGAUGAUUAAAUGGAUAAGUCAUCAAUUUUUUUAUUUAAUUUGUUCUUGUUAUCUAAAGUAAAUAAAUUUUUAAAAUUAAAAAAUAAUAAAAAUUCACGUACAUUGCACAUUAAAGUAAAUUGAAAAUGAGAAUUGAGAGGCCAUAAGAGGAGAAUAAUUCCGAAGUAUUCUAGAAAACGCGUUUCAAUCGCUUUUCAUUUCGGAGUCAUGCUUACGGUCCAUUUGGUGCUCAACAUUUUUAUUGAAAAUAUUAUAUGAAUAGAGUUUUUCAACAGAGGUAGUAAUAAGGAAGGAAAACGUCAAAGUUGUUCACUAUAAAAAUAUAUAUAUUAUCAGACCUUAAACAAUGAUUUAUGGGCCUUAAAUUAGCAAUUAAAGAGGAUGGGAUAAGGGUAAGAUUGAGUAAUUGAUCCAAAAUUUCAUGCUGAGGGCAACUAGCACAAAAUUGUUUAAAUAUUUUCCAAUACUCAUUAAGGAUCUUCAUAUCCUUUUUGUGGUAUGCCAUAGAUUUCUUUCCUAAUUGAAGCACCAAGUCAAGAAAAAGAAAUUUCAACGAAUAUUCUUAUGAUAUCUAUUUUAAAAUUUUAAUAUAAUUAAUGAAAAAUAAUUCAUAUAUAUGAAUCAUCAAAUUUGACGUGCUUAGAUAACCCUAUAUGAUAGCCUGAUGAUUGAGGUUGUUCAUCACCUCAAAUGUGGCCUAGAUUUGAGUCGCGUUAUUUGUAUUGUAAUUCAAAAAAUUUUAACGUAUUUAAAUAAAUAUUGAAUUUUGUCACAUUUAGGGUGAGUUUGGAUGGGCAAUGUGUUUACCUGCGGUUAAUGUAAAAACAGCGUUGGCAGUGAGAUUAGAUACUGUAGCGAUACUGUAGAGUGAGACAAAAGUAAACUAAACGCAUCGCACCGCACCUAAUCGCCCAUCCAAACAGACUCUUAAUAUAGAGGACAUAAGAGGAGGAGAAUAAUUCCCAAGAACUUGGUGUGGAAAAUGGUAGUACUAGAAAACGCGUUUCAGUUACUUUUCAUUUUGGAGUCAUGCUUACGUUCCAAGACUUUACACCAUUAGCAAUUAGAGUGGGGCUUCAACAAAAUUACGGCCCCAACUGUUUCACCUAACAUAAUAAAUUCGUGGGCUAACCCAUUUCAGUGCAAUAAAAGUAGUGAAGAGGAUGGGACAUUGUUGGUAAUGCAAAGUGGAAUCCCUCGUUACAGCCUUCAAAUUUUUUGGUUCACAAUAUUUUAGGAAGAACUCGAUUCAAAUAAUAUUUUUUCAGUGAUUGUUUUUUUCAAUAAUAUUUUUUUUAAAUUUAGAUCUAUAUUUUUCUUAAAAGUAUAAUAUGUCUCACCAUUAUAUGUAACAAUUGCUAAUUAUUCAAAUAAUAAUGUUAACAAAAAGGUUGAGCACCAAAUGGUUGAUAAGUACUAACAAGCUCAUGGUCUAAAGUCUAGAUCGAGUAGCACUAUUAUCCAAAACAUAGUGAAACAUAUUAAUUCUUUCUCCGACGUUUGUUAUAUAGAACUCUACAACCUAGUGCUACUAAUUAUCAAUUUUAUUGUUGUGACUCCAUAAUUAAAAUUUAGCUGAUCCCUUCAUUCAAGAGUGUAAUUAUUUGAAUAGGAUCAUGUCUCUCUUUUAUGGUGGAACACUAAUUCAUUUUAUUACAUGGACUUGUUCAUAAAAAUUCUCUUAAAAUAUCGAACAAAUAUCAGUUAAGUGUUCUGAUUUAAAUAUUUAGUUUUUAAGAGAAUAUAUUCUUACUUCAUUACGCUUUCUCGAAGAUUUAUGUCAAAUCCAAACUGAUGUGAGUUGGUAGCCAUAUAUUUUUAUUUUUAAGGAUUUUAGUCCUUCUAUUUUUUGAGAUUUCAAAACUCAAAUCUAAUUGUUAACACUAUUAAUUUUUUUAUUAAAUUCGAGUUAAUUACAACAUCAUUUUUGUAAUUACGUGGUUACCAAAUAAGUUUUUUUUUUAUUUCAAAAUGCCACUCUAACACAUUUAACAAAAAAAUUAAAAUGUUAACCAUCAGAAAGUAAAGAGACUAAAUUUCUGGAAAUGAAAGUACGUGUUCUAAACUCCAAAAUUUUUAAAAGUACAAAAACUUAUGGCAUUUUUUAACCUUUUAACUUCUGAGACGAGCUACUCAUCCAUUCCCCGCUCGAGAUUUGGGAGGAUUUAGACAAAAUUAUCAAGCUCGAAAAAUAGAUUUGGACAAAAAGUUAGUCCAAUUUAAAAUACGAUUCGGGUCGGGCAUAAAAAUUCAAGGCCCGAGCCAUUUACUAAUUUUCUAAUAUAUUAUAUUAUGUUAUUUUUAUAAAUUAUAUAAUUUUUUUUUAAAAAUAAAUCUAUAGUAAUACAUAUGAUACUAUAAUGUAAACAUUAAAAAAUGUUAAGAUGUCUAUAUAAAAUGUUAAGAAAUUUGGGAAAAAAUUCAAUUCAAUCAGGCACAAAACAAUUUGUGGGUCGAUUAAUUUAACGUCUCUAUUCAAAUCGACAAUGGCGAAACCUAAAAGAGGCCUAGGGGGCCAUGGCACCACCAAGGAUUAAAAUUUUCGCAAUUUAGCCCUUUGUAGAUAUACUAUGGCCCUCCCAAACAUAUAAGUAGCCCCCCAAGGUUUAAGAUUUUUGCAAUUUUCCAAAAAUACUGCUUCUUUUGGAUCGAUUAUCAUAUUGGAAUAGUGCUUCUUUUGAGUCAAUUCUUUAUAUGUUUAAAUCGAUUGUCAAGUUGGAACACUACUUCUUUUGAAUCGAUUGUGUAUAUGAUUAAAUUGAUUGUCAUGUUGGAAUACUGCUUCUUUUUAAUUGAUUGUGUAUAUGAUUAAAUCGAUUGUUAUAUUGGAAUACUACUUCUUUUGAAUCGAUUGUUUAUAUGUUUAGAUCAACUGUUAAGUAGCACGUCUAAUUUUAGUUUGGCCCCCAAAAUUAACAUCCUGACUCCGCCACUACGGAUCAAUAUAUUGGUCAAUUCUUGAUUCAAUUUAUCGACUAAUCUUAAUUAAUUCGAUUUAAAUAACUAUGUCAAAUAUAUACAUAUUUCUAAAAUAAUAUGUUAGUGUAAAAAUAUUUAAUCAAUUUGAGUUAUGAAAUUGUGGUCUAACAAUAGUUUUGGGUAUCUUAUAAACUCAAAAUUUUCAAAUUAUGCCGGUGUCCAUUUGUGCUUUAUUUUUGGUACAAGUUCUUUUUGGAGCUAUACCAUAUAUUAUAUAAUUUAAAAUAUUCUUAAAAAAUAGAUUGAAGUAAAUUAAGCCUCAAAAUUAAAUUCAUCAAGCAGUGUACAUGUCCAAAUUACUAUAUUGAUUAAUAAUAAUAUUGAAUAAAUAAGACAUAAAUAACCUUCAAGAUUCAAUCCUUCAAGUUUUCUUUCUCCCUUAUUUACUUCAAUUUUAUAUAUGAUAUUUCGACUUAUUAAUGGGUUCAGUUAUUGAUCCAAAUUUAAAAGAUUAUUUAAAUUUUGAAGGAAUUUUGAUAAAAUUAUUAAACCCUGAAAAUAGGACUGGGCAAAAAAAAUUAAACUUGUUUAAAAUAUGAGUUGAACUCAUAUAUGAACAUUUAAGGUCUGAACUAGGCUCGGUCCAUUUUUAAAAUUUGUAAUUUUAUAUUAUAUUAUUCUUAUAUAUUAUGUAAUAUAUAAUACAAAAAUUAAAUCUAUAGUAAUAUAUAAUAUCGUAAACAUUAAAAAAAACAUUAAGAAGAAUAUAUAUAUAUAAGUUUAAUAAAUAAAUUAUUAAAUUAUUAAAUAGUAUUAAAAAUAAUAUAAAUAAUUUUUUUAAAAUAAUAAUAUGGGUGGAUUUAAAAUGGAUUUGGAUUAACUAUUUAUAAGUAUGGAUGGGCUUAAACAAAUUUUAGAUACAUAUUUCAGACUGAAUCUAGUCGAUCUUGACUACCAGAAUAUGUGUUAACAUCAUGCUUAAUUCUAACCCAAACUCAACCCGAUGCAUAGCGGAAAAUGUUUAAACUUCAAACGAUAUUAGUGAAAUAUGAUUAAUUUUUAAAUAUUUUUUAAAUAGCUUAUGAGUAAAACUUUUUUAUUAGUUUGAAGAGUUGUGAGUUUAACUCUGAAUCGAUUCUUAAUCAAUUUCUAAUUCAACCAGUUUGACCAAUCAAUCUGAUUUGGUUUAGACAACUUUGAUUAUAUGAAUUUGAAGUUACAACUGAUAUUAAAAUAAAUCGAAACCUUCUCGGUCUCACCAAACUUACUCUAAACCAAGAGCAUAAAAAAUAAAUAAAAAAUAAAAAAUCCUCCUCUAAACCAUGCAGUGUCAGCAAUCAUAAGAUCUGUUAGUGAAACAUUCAGUAGAAACUAUAGAUGACAAGAAGUGGGAACCCUCACCUUGUCAGAGAUAAUGGGAAGUAUUGAACUCUUAUAAUUAGAAUAAUCAAGUUCCACUGAAAAUAACGAUAUAAAAACGCAUACCAUGAACAUGCAGUUCAUAAUAUUCUUUGAAGUUUUAAACUCUUGACAAUAACCAGAAAAGUCAAACACAAACACAGUCUGUAUCUUCAGUUGAUAAACAUCCCAAUAAACCAUUGGGAUUCAAACACAAAACCAUCACACAAACACAUAUUAUCUGCAUCUUCAGUUCAUAAACAUCCCAAUAAACCAUUGACAUUCAAACACAACCAUCACACAAAUGCAUACCGGCAGUAUCUUCAGUUUAUAAACAUCCCAAUAAACCAUUGAGAUUGUAUUUCAAAGAAGCAAAUUACUCAACCCGUGGCUUUUUCUGCAACCUGGCUAGCUUCAGUUGGUUUUCUUUUAACUCAGCUUCGUCCUGAUCCAGCUUCAGUUUCUUCUCUUUUAAGUCAGCUUCGUCCUGAUCCAGCUUCAGUUUCUUCUCUUUUAAGUCAGCUUCAUCCUUCUCCAGCUUCAGUUUGUCUUUUCUAACAUUAGCUUUCUUCUUCUCAAAUCUCUUCUCCUCUGCUUCAUACUCCAUUUCACGAGCCUUCAUCAACUUAUUCAUGAUGUCUUGCACCAUUGCCUCCAUAGUUGUGAUGACUUUUAGCUCAAGUAUCUCUGGGUUACUUUCUAUUUUAUGGUAAACUUCAGCUAGUGAGUUCAUAAUGAUCCUUUGAACAUCUGCAUGACUACAUAAAAAAAAAAUUGUUAUCAGUAUAAGGGUGCUUUAGAAAUGUCAGUGAGCACUUGAGUUCAUAAAUAUUGUAUACCCCUGGACGGUUGACAGCUUCAUAUCGUCUUGAUUUGCUCUGACAUCACCGCCGCCUUCAGUCAGAUCAUUGUAUAUCUUGUCGUCUAGAAAACAAAGUUAUUAAGGUAGGAAACAUAAAGGAUAUUAAUAUUUACAACUUACAAGUAAAAAGCGAAGGAUUUUAUAAGAUCAUUUAUCAACUUGCAGCAAUUACCUGACAGAAGAAAGUCUUCAACAUCAAAAAACGGCAGUGACAGAAGAUCCUGUAGAAAAAGAGAAUCAGAUCUGAUCCAAAAAUAAGCAAUUUGAAUUUAAAAAAUAUAUACAGGGCCAAACUUACUGGUACUGGAUCAACAUUAAGCCCCUUUUCUAGUGAGUCUACUUCAUGAUAACCCUGCCAAUAAGGAGAGAAGUACACAACAUUAAGCCCCUUUUCCGACUCAGGACUUUUGUGUGUGUUUGACUAAUAUUUCUAUGAUUGCGUUUAUCUGGAUUUGAUUCCAAGUCAUUGAAAUCAUCCAUGUAUUCCUUGAAUGAACGUACAAUCUAAGAACCAUAAGAAAAAGGACAUAAAAGGAUCAUAAGACAUAAAAAUCCGAAUAUUUGAACUACAAAUAUUUCUGUCUGCUAACUAAUGUUCAGGUAGAAUAAUCUGAGUUCAACAAUUGCUUACAAAGAAAGUAACAAACAUUUCUGGCCAAUAUAUAUAUAUAUAUGUAACCCAGAGAAUUAAUAAAAAGAAGUGAUAUUUUGGGUUGUAUCACCUUAUAGUUUGCAAAAGAUGAAAUAAACUGCCCGUCAAAGAAAUUAAAGGGAUGACAAGUUGUACUUAUAUGACAGUAGGAAUGGCUGAGAAGGGUUAAAAUUUCCAUUGGUUAAGAGAGAAUCUAUUAUUGCAACAGAGGAUUAAACUUGAUUUUUGCAUCAUUUAUUGAAAGGAUUGAAUAGAAAACUAGUCGACAAUACAUGAUUGCCUAUUCAAGUCAUAAUUUGCUCAACAAAAAUCAAAAUUCGGUUCUAAGUGAAAAAAAAGAACAGAACAGAACAUGAGAGCCAAAAGACAAGUUAUUCUGUGUACACCUCCAGAAGACUGUGAUAUGGACGCUUUUAUUGCAAUAGGAGUUUUAGUUUUAUUUAUUUAUUAUAUCAGGUUUUAUUAAGAGUUUUAAUUUUACUUAUUUUCUCUAUUAUAUUAGGUUUUUAUUUCCAAGUUAAGAAUUCUACUAGGACUCUUUCCUUUAUUAUUAACAGUCUAUAAAAUGCUGCCAAUAUGAAAUAAAGAGAUAAGCAAUUAUUCUAUCAAAAAGAAACGAUAUUAUGAGAGGGGGUUCAGUUAAGGAUGAAUCUGCCUUUUGAGUAAUCAUAGAUCGAUAUAAGAAUUCUUUCUCGUUUAGAACUGUGACUAGAUUCUACGCCAAGGCGCAUAACUUAGUAUCAGAGCCAGCUGUCAUGGGUGAUGAAAAGACUUUGACAACCAAGAUGGAGGCUUUGAUGGAACAAAUUGUUACAAGGAAACAAGCAUUAGAGGAGCAGGCGGCGAUAUUAGCUCUUUCGGUCCAAAAGAUAACAAAAGGGGAUUCAGAAAUAAAAUAAUGAAGAACAGGACAGCAGCAGAGGCGGGAAAAGGAAUUCAGACUCGCAACGCGGUGGGUGCAUGGUGCCACGAUACUCUAAGAUGGAAUUUCCCACUUAUGAUAGUGUUGGAGAUCUUUUAGGGUGGCUAAAAAGAUACGAAAUUAUUUUUGACAAUCAACAAACUAACGAAGAAGACAAAGUAGGCUUAGCUUCAUUCCAUCUCUUAGGAGAGGCACAAUUGUGGUUUGAUCAAAUGGAAGAAAAGGCAAAUAUUGACUGGGGACACUUCAAAGAGUGUUGUCAUGUAAGGUUUGGGUCACCUAUGAGUAAUAACCCCUUGGUGGAACUUGUCAACUUGAGACAAACUGGGACUGUAGGGGAAAUCAACGCCAAUUUCAAUCACCAUUGGCUAGGACUGCUGAUCUUAAACCUCGACAACAAGUAAACCUCUUUACUGUCGGUUGGUAGAGGAACUUAGAAUUGAUAUUGAAAUGCAACAACCGGAAAACCUUGGAGUUGCAAUGAAUAUGGCUCAAACAUUGGAACAUAAACAAAAUGUCUUUUUCUAAACUGUCAUCUCGAGCUAUCCUGAACUGGCUAACUUCCCAAAACACUGGUAGCAAUUCAAUCAUUCCAACAACUAAGAGCAUUGUAAAGAGAGGGGGACAAACAACAAAACCAACAGGGAACAACGGCAAAAUAGGUUCUUCUGCACCAUUUGUUAAGAGAUUGACACAGACAGAAAUGGUGGAAAGAAUGGCUAAGGGGUUGUGUAAUAAUUGUGACGAGUCCUAUUCCAUGGGACACAAAUGUAAAAGGUUAUUUUGGAUAGAAAUACCAGAUGUUGAAGGCAAGCAAGAUGAUGAUGAGGUAGAUGAUGAGCUUGAGGACAAGCUCAACUCCAAGGAGGGGAGUAAUGAUAUGGACGUUUUUAUUACAAUAGGAGUUUUAGUUUUAUUUAUUUAUUAUAUUAAGUUUUACCAAGAGUUUUAGUUUUACCUAUUUUCUCUAUUAUAUUAAGUUUUUAUUUCCUUCAUACACUCUAAGUUAGGAAUUCUAUUAGGACUCUUUCCUUUGUUAUUAACAGAAGGUUAUCAAUAGAAAUAAAGAGAUAAGCAAUUAUUCUAUAAAAAAAGAAACCUUAUUCUGAGAGUGGGUUUAAUCAAGGACGAAUCUGCCUUUUGAGUAACCAUUGGUCGAGGCAAGAAUUCUUUCUCAUCUAGACCUAUGACUAGAUCCUACGCUAAGGGGCAUAUCAGACUGUUUCUAAAUAAACUUACCACAUCAACUCUAAAAAUUUAAUAAUGCAAGAACAAAUUACCAAGAAAGAAAAGUCAUGCCGCUACUACUAAGUUACAGAGUCAUGUUUUCUACAAUAAUUUUCAUGAUAAAAGUAAAAUCUAAAGCUCCAUUGAUUAAAAUACUAAUGGCAAAUUGGGUGCUUCUACUCAAAAUAUUUACCUGUAGAUUGAUGUGAAUCUUAGCACCUCUGGUACAAUCAGGGGUUAGAGGAAAAUGGAAUAUUAAGUGUUCAUCUUCCAUUUGCACAAGAUCUUGAAUACUAACAGGAUUUGUAAGCUUUUGGUUCUUAAUAUCUUGUAGCAUUACUAAAAAAGAAGCCAAAACUUUGUUUACUAUUUUUGCCACUAUGCUAAAGACCUUAGCCUCUGAGAUUAAUUCCUCUGUUUGGUCCACAAUAGCCUCUCCCUGGAAUGCUUUUACUGAAAUAUAAAGAAAGCAGAUAACAAAUUUUAAUUUAAAUGAUUAAAACAAAUCAAGAUUAAUAUAUUUAUAUAUGUAAAAAGAGUUAUUAAAACAUGCCUGGAUGUCUAUCUCUGGCAUUCCUUAAGCAGUCUCCAGAACAUCAACAACAAAUGGCAUUAAUCAACAUAAAAAUCGUACCUAUGAGUGAGAUUAAGUGAGGAAGGUCCUUGCAAAUCUCAUCAGCACACUCUAUGUUCCGGACUGGAUUUGUUGACUGGUUCAAAAAUGAAUCAAGCUCUUGAAAUGCAUUUUCGAUGCUAAGACUGGAAAUGGCAUUAUCGACAAUCCUGGGCUGCAUCAAAUUUCUCAAUCGUUGCAGUAAGAGUUGAGGGUCACGAAGCCGAUUCAUCCCUUCUACUACUAUCUCUUUCUUUUCUUCCCAUUUCCUCUACAUUCAAAGAAGUUACUAAAAGCAAUUAGAAACAUAAAUGAACUUGCACCCUCAGUUUUUUAGCUCAAUAUUCUUGAGUAAAAACAAAACCACGAUAAUCUGAUACUUCUAGUAAAAAUUUGGACACACUUCCGGUAUUUGGAAAAAAAGAGUCAGAAAUUGCAGGAUUGACAUGUUACGUUGUAGUGGGAGUCGGAUUGACAUGGAUUAGUUUGCUCUUUUUUCUUUCUUUCUUUUUUCAAAAUACAAAUUAUAAAAAGAGAGGAAAAGUCUCACAGCAGCUCGAUAUCUGUCAUCACCAUCCAAUAGCAUACGCAUCAGUUCUCCCACCAGCUCGUUACAGUCCUGCAUAUAUAUGGAGAGUAACUAUUAUUAAACAAACCCUAAACGAUAAGGGAAAUAACUUAAUUGCAAGAAAGGAAAGAAAAUGAAUAGGUACCUUGAUUCUUUUACGACUGCGCUUAUCUUUAUCUGAUUCCAAUUCAAUGAAAUUCCCCAUAUAUUCCUUGAACGAAGUACAAUCUGAGAAUCAAGCAAAAUGAUAUAAAAAGAUCUUAGAAUAUUCUGUAAGUUCAAAUUUUGCUUUAAAAGCAAAAUAUAUUUCUAACAAAAGCAAAGUCAAACUCGAUUCUAUCCAGUAGACCAGAGAAAAAUACAAACCAAACUGAAUUAUAUUCCAGCAAAGAGAGAAGAGAAAUGGAGCUUAAUAUUGCUUACGAUUGCAGAGGAGAGACUUGUUAUGCGGUCGCGGAAGUCUUUUUAUCAUUUUUUUCUCAAAACUUUUAUUUCUGAUGCAUUCGCACGAUCGUGCGAAUUUCGCUUUUCUGAAUUAUUCGAAAAAAUAUUAAGAAGAAAUUGAUUCAAUCCCAAAUUUUGAAAAAGUAGUCUAUUUUCCAUUUGUGUGCUCAAAAUAAUCUAAAUUUACGGUUGAAGUUAUCAAUAAUUCUCGUUUCUCCUGUUUGAGAAAAAUUAAGUUGAUUCGUUUGCAGGGGUAUUGCCAAGAGUGCGUUAGCAAAUGCCAAUUCCUUUAAAGAAAAAAAUUAAAUUACUCAACUUUCGAUAAAAAAAAAAUUCCACUAAACUAUAAAAGGUUAUAUUUUAAUCACUAAUAUUUUUUUAGUGAAAAAUAAUAAAUAGAAAUACGAGUAUCAACUAUUGAAAGACUGUAAAAGUUUUGUCUUAUUAGAUAGCCGUAACCACCAAAUCAAGAGUUACUUCAAAUAUUUGAAGGGAGAUCUGCCAAGAGAGACUAAUUUUUGCAGUUAAUUUGAAAUUAAAUUAUACUCCCUAGGAACAUACUUAAUUUUCCAUUGACCUUCAGAACGCAAAAUACAUUUAACUCUUCUGAGCAAGGUAAUACCGGAGUCCACUAACUCCUCCAUGGACAAAGCACUAACCACCUCAAGGCUAUCUAUCUAAAUCCUGACUUUCUUAUAGCCCUUAUUUAAUAAAAUGAGAAUUCUAUCAAGAAUACCCUAAAGUUUUGCCUCCAAAGGCGAACAUCUGCCCAAAUAAUGAUUAAAGCCCAAAAUCCAAUUGUCAGCCUAAUCACGAACCACCCCACCCAUGGAUGCAUUUCCGGAAGCUCUAGCCAUUGCUCCAUCAGAAAAUAAAUAGACCCAAUUGCCUUUAUAAUAGGAAUGAAUUUUCGAAUUUGGUGAAUUAGGCUUGGCCUCAUUUAGAAAAGGUUUAAAUUGUUGGGCCCAAUUGAGAGAGACUUUUACAAUUUCAUAAGCCAUCCAAUUAAUGUUUUGAAAGAUGAAAAGAUUCAUGUUCUUCCAAAUUCUCCAAGCAAUUAAUCCAAAUAAGCUUGACCAAGUAAAAUGGCAACAAACGUUUAGUGGAAAACCAAUUUUGAAGGGAUUAAAAAAAAAACUUGGAUUGCAUCUUAAGAAAGAUUACAAGCUUCCAUGCUUUCCUAGCCAUCAAACAGUCUCGGAGUACAUGCAUAAUGUCCUCUGUAUCAUGACCACAUAAAGAGCACACAGUGUUUUGCCCAAUUCCUCUCUUAACGCACUCUAAAUUAUUAAGAAGCCUCUGUUUGACCACAAACCAAAGAAAAAGACAAACUCUCUGUGGGCUUUGAUAUUUCCAAAUAGACUUUCAACUAUCAUCUUUAUGACUCCAAGAAUCUUCUCUUAAAGCCCAAUAAGCAUUACGAACAAAAAAAGACUCUCAACCAGAUCGAGCCCAAAUGAUCCCAUCCUCUCCACCAAUAAAGUGAGAAGGGGGGAUACCUACUAUACAUUUUAUCACGUCAUCAAGUAGCCAAAUACAAAGCAAAUCAACUUUCCAAGAACCAUCAAGUAGAACCCAAUCUCUUAAAGUGCUCUCUAAACCUAGGCUUGCAUGAGCUGGGAAAUAAGAAAAAAGAGGACCACCUUCCAAUAUCCAAUAAUCUUUCCAACAACGAAUUAUAGAGUCAUCACCAAUAGACCACAUAAGAUUCUCAUAAAAAAAAGGGGUCACACCUUAGAAAGGGAACGCCAAAGAUGAUAGUAUUGGUUUUUGUGGAUAGAAUUUGGAAGCUAAUUCUUCCAACCAUAUUUCGAACAAAGGACACGAACUCAUAAAACGCCCUUUUUAAAGACUAGAUUGAACCCAAUUUUCAUAAUGAAGGAAUUAUUUUGGUCUUGGAGGUGCCGAAACCUGAGGCCCCCUCAAAACCUAGGCUGACAAAUGGACUCCCAACCUACUAAAGUUGUUUUUGGAUGCCCAGUAGAACCACCCCAAAUGAACUGUCUUUAUAUCCUCUCUAUCUCAUCACACACACCUUUCGGGAUUAACAAGGACUAUCUAAAGUAGUUUGAAAUAGUUAGGAGAUUGACUGGGCAAGAGUGACACGUCCCGCAAAGGAGAGUUUCCUAGCUUCCCAAUUUUGAGUUAUAGUGACUUGGUACAUUAACCCAAAAGAUAUUAUCUAAUUUGACCUUGAACUCUAGUUAAAAUAUUCGAUUUCAUCCUUUCGCAACCUUUUUUAAUGAUAAUUCUAAAAAAAUUAUCAAAAAAUUUAUUUAAAUUUUCAAAAAAUUAUUUAUUUUCUAAAUAUAAAUAUUCACUAAAUUAUAUUUAUCUUUUACAGGUUUUUUUAUGCAAGGUUAAUGUUGUAGUAGCUAGGGAUGUUCAUAGUUCAAUUAAAACCGAAUUAAUCGUUUUAACCAGUCUAAUUUGAUUAAUCAACCAGUGGUCGAAUUUAGUUCAAUCGAAAGUCGAUUAAUGAUUUUUUAAAAUUUCAAUUAUCAAUUCAAUUCAAUUCAAAAUCAGAUAAUUACUUGAAAUAAAUAAUAAGUAUUAUAUAUAAUAAUUAAUUUUUAAGAUUUAUGUAAUAUUUUUACAGUUUUAUUUAUUACUUUCAACUCCAUUUAAAAGUUUUUGAACUAUUAAAAGAUAUGAACAUUAACAAUAUAUUCUUAUUAUGUUUUAUACUUAUUUUAAUCAAAAGAUAAAAAAAAAAACAUAUAGAUUUCAAUUAACCGGCUAAAUUAACCAAAAUAUUUCAAUUCGAUUAAUGCAUUAGAAAAAACUUCAAUUCAAUUCAAGGUUAAAAUUUUUACAUUUCAAGUAAUUCGGUUCGGUUCAAAUAUUAAUUGAACCAACCAUUUUAACAAUGCAAUCGAUACCCUUACUGAAUUCUUUUAACGGUACCGAUUAAAUUAUCCAACGAAUUCAACAAUAAUAAAUUUAGAAUUGAAUUGGAGUUUGUUCGUAUAUGAAAUACACACAAAGUCCAUGUAAACCAUUCUUGGCAAAGCCAAUCCUUGAAUAUCCUCUUGUAGCACUUGAGCAGGUCCUGCUGGCGGCACACUAAAAAUUUGCAUGCCAACAUUCUGGUUUGAAGAAAGACAAAGCAUCAGCUAGCCGAUUCGCUUCCCUAUGCACAUUCUGAAUUGAAGUCAGCAAAGCCAAACCAUUCUUCCAAGUUGUAAAAACUCCUGAUUCAAACACAAAAACAUCCCACUAAACCAUUAAAAGAUUCUAUUCCAACGUCAAAUAGAUUUUGACUUACUUGACCGCAAUAACAAGUAGCAAUUAGUCAAGCCGUGGUUUCUUGGCCAACUUCAGUCUGCCUUCUCUUUUUCUUAGAGAAGCACAAGCAAUUACUGAGAUUUAUAAAUAUAGACACGAACCAUAAAUGAAAAUUUGGGGUUGGAGUAUUAACAGUUCAUUCACUAUUUGCACAAUGUCCUUGAAAAGGAUUUCCCAAGUUCAAAAUGUCGUAGAUCUUAACAUAAGUCGUUGCUUAUUUCUUCUUGCCUUCUUGUGGUCACAAAAGACAUUUUCCUGGAUAUGCAAAGUAGACAAUUAAUAAUGAUUUAUCCGAAGAAAAGAAAUGAGAGAAAGGAGACCCAAAGACGGGAUGAUUGGUACCUGUCUGCAUAAAUUACGGCUAAUACACUGAUGUAAAUCAUAAAUGAAGCACUUUACCGUCCAUCAGUCUGGCUUCUAAGUUAAUAAUUAUGAUCUAAAUCCAACAUCUACUAUUGCCAUAGAUAUCGCACUUAAUACUAUUGGUAUAGUCUUCAGAACUGUAUUCUUCGAGGGAAAAAGAAAACUUGAUUCGCUUUGCUAAGAAAGCUUAUUUGUCCCUAUCUGUUGAAAUCAGCCAAGAAAUAUGGGCAUGCACUUUGCAGCUUAAAAGACCAUACACUCUGAGCAUCAAUUAGGAAAAACAUUACAGUAUGUUUAUUGUUGAUAAAAAUAUGUCGAAGAGAGGGAAGAAACGACUGCAAACUAAACAUUACCUAGUAAAAUUUAAAAGUAAAUUCAAAAGAAAGGAACUUUCCCGGAAUCAGACUGUUGAAUUGAGUGAGGAAGAGGUUUGUAAAUCUCAGCCCAAUCUCAGCUCAAACUGGUAUUUGUUGACUGGAAAAGCAUUUUUAGAUUUGUUAUCUGCUUCAAAAAUGCAUUUGUCAACAAAUCCAGUCCGAUCCAAGACACCGGAAUACUGAACUGCAUCUUGAAUUAAGGGUCUUGGGGGCGACUCAUCGCUUCAAGCACUAUCCACUAUCAACAUCCUUCCCCUAUAUAAUAUAAACAUCGAAAAUAAAAUACUGAAACAAAUUAAAACAGAUUAUAAAAGAGAUUGUGGAUCUUGGUUCAUCGCUCCUUAUACUAUCUACAUCCUCCCCUAUAUAAACUCUGCAAAAAUAUAUUAAAACAAAAUAUAAAAGACAGUGGUUGGUUCAUUGCUUCUUUUACCAUCUACUAUCUAUUUCCUAAAAGUUACUAAAAAGAAUUAGUAACAGAAACAUCAGCAGAUAAGGAAAAACAACUACAAAAUUUGCAUCUGUAAAAGGAAACACCAAAAUGGUGAGAAUAAGACUCAAGACUAGAGUGAUUUUGUUUACGGACGGCCAAAAACGGAAAAGAACAAAAAUGACCUAAAGUGAAAAGAACUCCUCCACAGAACUGAAUAGCAUUUAUGUUCUCUAAUAACAAAAUUUACCCUUAUAUAAGGCAAAUGGCCGAAUGGCCUCAGGGUUCCAAAUAGGGUAGGCAUAGUGGUUUCACAGCCGCUAAUUCAAAAUAGCAGCAGCAUCCGCUACCGCUAAAGAUCUCAAUAGCUGCGUCAACAUAUUUUCAGAUGUUCUUCGAAACUAAGUAAAUACAGAAAGAGUACAAGAUACGGCGGAAUCCAAAGUAGAAAAUAAAAAACGUAGAGGCUGAGAUAAGGUAAUUGAUACUGUAAGUAGAGAUAUUUUAGGGUUUUGAAAUUUACCUUGCAAAAGAGGAUUUGGAUCUGAGUAAUGGUGAGAUCCUUGCUUGGCGG
rnacentral:lncRNA from 1 species